rnacentral:lncRNA from 1 species
UUUUUUAUAUUUUUCUUCGUAAUGAAUCCCUUACAUCUUUUUGCUCUCGUUACGAUCGAAGUGGGGAUUCUCAAUCAUGUGAAAUAUGGGUAAUGAACGACUAUGAUGGAGUUAAGAGUUCAUGGACAAAACUCCUAACUGUUGGACCCUUUCAAGGCAUUGAGAAGCCAUUGACAUUUUGGAAAAGUGACGAGCUUCUUAUGCUUGCUUCCGAUGGAAGAACCACCUCUUAUAAUUCUAGUAUUGGAAAUCUGAAGUAUGUUCAUAUUCCUCCUAUUCUCAAUAAGGUUGUAGAUUUCCAAGCUCUAAUUUAUGUGGAAAGCAUUGUUCCACUCAAGUAAGUUGAGCGCAGAGUUCCCUUUCCUCCGAUUUAAUUUGUCUGCAUGAUAUAAGGCUAGAGUUUGCAUCUUUUAAUUUAAUUGCUCUGUGGCCUUUGUUCUAUGUUGGCUUAUUAUAGGCUGCCUUUAAUUUGUGUACUUUCCACAUUUUGAAGUAUGAUUCAAUUUCAAAGUGUAUGAUAACUAAUUUUCUUUAGAGUUAAUUAAUAAAUUCCAUUCCCUUGUUUUCUUUUUUCUUUUUCUUCAGAAUUCCCUUCUUAAAAACCUAAUAUGUUGUUACUCAUUUAACAUAAUCAAGUUUAACCUUCUAGCAUAGAAGUGCAAACAUUUAUAAAUAAAAUUCGGGGUGCUAAACAAAUUCAGGCAACAAAGAAUAUUAAUAGCCUUUUAGCACCUAACCGUAGUUCCUAAAAUACGAAACAGGUAUUGUAUGCAAAAAAUGCGUACGUGUAUUAUUUGACAACUUUAAUAAAACUUUAGGAGAACUUCAGCCACUUUUUUUAAUUUUAAUAAUUAUUUAUUUAAACUAAUCAAUUAUUUUAGGGUAAAUUAUACUUUGUCUUCUUAGAUUUGUGGUCAUUUGCAACCCCAUGCAACAUUUUUAAAACAUUUCAAUUUUAUACAUUACUUAUUAUUUAAUUUCAAUUUUGUAUAAUUGUUAGUCAAUCUGUUAAGUUAACUAUUAAAUAAUAAUGUGGCAAGUACAGAGCUCAUACUAAUUUGGAAUACAAAUUUGUGCCACCUGGUUAAUAAUAAUUUAAGGAAAGGAAAAAAAAAAUCUGAAACAGAAAUUGGGGAUUGCAGCUGCUCCAUCAACCGUUCUUCUCUAGUAACCAGCAAGGUUAACCAGUUCUCCUUCAAGAAUGGGAGGAUUUAGGUGUGGAAUGGGUUGUCUGAGCUCUGGUUGUUCAUUCGAGGGUUUCCCAUCACUUUCUCUCUUACCCCCUUCUGACGCUUAUCUGAAUCUUUGCCGAUGUGUUGCUGCACUUGGAAUUUCUUGUCUAUUGUGAAGUGAUUGGGCACCAAAAAAAUAUAAAAUGUUUUCUUCAAUAUUUUCUCAAUCCUUGGUGUGAUGGGAGAAGUCCAAGUUAAAGAGAAAUUCAAUGCAAGAAAAUCAAAAACAAAAACAAUCAGUGCAAUUCAUUUUCCUAUAACAGUAUAACUUGAUAAGAAUGUGAAUUCAACUAUAAAUCUACACAACCAACAAGCUAGAAAUUCAAUAUCUUUGCUACGAGGAAUGGAUUUUCUACGGGGAAAUAAGUUUGAAUUGGAGAAGAGAACAGUCGGUACGUUUCUGGACAGACGAAGAAAUUAGGGAUUUGAUAUGGAAAUGAGGACGAGGAUAUGAAAAGUACUUAAGAAGACAUUUCAAAUCAUCUAGCCCUAGAAUACGGAUCGAUUCCCCUUGAGAGUAGCGAACCCGCUGUUAAAACAUCAAUAAAGAGUACAACAACAACAACAACAAAGCCUUUUCCCACUAAGUGGGGUCGGCUAUAUGAAUCCUAGAACGCCAUUGCGCUCGGUUUUGUGUCAUGUCCUCCGUUAGAUCCAAGUACUCAAGUCUUUUCUUAGGGUCUCUUCCAAAGUUUUCCUAGGUCUUCCUCUACCCCUUCGGCCCUGAACCUCUGUCCCGUAGUCACAUUUUCGAACCGAAGCGUCAGUAGGCCUUCUUUGCACAUGUCCAAACCACCGGAACCGAUUUUCUCUCAUAUUUCCUUCAAUUUUGGCUACUCCUACUUUACCUCGGAUAACCUCAUUCCCAAUCUUAUCCUUUCUCGUGUGCCCAUACAUCCCACGAAGCAUCCUCAUCUCCGCUACACCCAUGUUGUGUAUGUUGAUGCUUCACCGCCCAACAUUCUGUGCCAUACAACAUCGCUGGCCUUAUUGCCGUCCUAUAAAAUUUUCCCUUGAGCUUCAGUGGCCUACGACGGUCACACAACACGCCAGAUGCACUCUUACACUUCAUCCAUCCAGCUUGUAUUCUAUGGUUGAGAUCUCCAUCUAAUUCUCCGUUCUCUUGCAAGAUAGAUCCUAGGUAGCGAAAACGGUCACUUUUUGUGAUCUCCGCUAGAUUGCUCCGGUCAUUAGUGUGGAUAAGUAUAUAAAUGGAUAGAGAUAGGAAAGCAAACACAAGAUGUACGUGGUUCACCCAGAUUGGCUACGUCCACGGAAUAGAGGAGUUCUCAUUAAUUGUGAAGGGUUUACACAAAAGCAAACACAAGAUGUACGUGGUUCACCCAGAUUGGCUACGUCAACGGAAUAGAGAAGUUCUCAUUAAUUGUGAAGGGUUUACACAAGUACAUAGGUUCAAGCUCUCCUUUAGUGAGUACAAGUGAAUGAUUUAGUACAAAUGACAUUAGGAAAUAUUGUGAGAGAAUGAUCUCGUAGCCACGAAACUUCUAAGUACCGGAGUGUGGUAUCGUCUUGACUUGCCUUAUCUGUCUCAUAGGUAGAUGUGGCAUCUUCUCUGGAAGUACUCUUCCUCCAUCCAGGGGUGGUAUCUGUAACUGGUGGAGAUGCACAAGGUAAUGUAUCAAUUUCACUUGAAGCUUACUUGUAGUUUCAUGCUUGGUCAAGCGCGAUACAAACCAUGUAGUAGGAGUCCCCCAAGUCGCCGAGCUAGGGGAUCUGCUGAAAGAGGUGAGACAAGGUAAGCAAUCAGAGCUCCGGCUGAUUGUUCACAUUCUCCCUAUCUUGCAGGCAGCAUGAAGGAUAAAGAGAAGAAAAAUGAGGAGAGAUGAUAUGUGAUACUUUUGCUUUUGAAGAAGUAACUUUCCACAGGCUUAUUCUUGAACUGGGCUGGAGGGUUUUCUGGUUUCCUCCAGAGUAUAAGGCCGACUGAAGAAUUUGAGGGUCAAAACAAGUCCAUCAAAUCUAGAGUACGUUCGACCCUGCUGAUAUGGGAUACUUUUGCUUUUGACAGAGUAGUGGAUGUAUCGGCACGUGUGCUGUUACGCUUGUCUCCACAUGCUUCCUUGUAUCCUUCUCACUUGCCCUAUCUGUUCCUCAGGCAGAUGCGGUAUCUUCCCUGGAAGCAUAAGAUGUUGAAGAUGAGUACUCGAGAGCAAUGCCAGGUAAGUAAUCAGGUAAGGGGUUCCAGGCAGUCAGUUCCUAGCUGGAAGCUUGAUUCCAAGUGCUGACUGAUUGCUCUCUUUCUCCUUGUCUUGCAGGUAAGAACAAGGCCAAAGGAAAAGACAGGGAAAAAGCAUGAUAUGGGAUACUCUUGCUUUUAACCCUGAUGAUAUGAGAUAUUCUUGCUCUAGUAUGGCUUGUUUACAGAGGUAUUAUCGGGGGGAAAGAAAGCUGAAUAUUUCGAAAGGCUUCGUUGGGAGUGCCCUUUCAGAUAAGAGAAGGGGUUGAGCAUUUUUGCAGGUCUGCCUGUCCGUUAGGGAUGGAGGUCGACAUAUAUAGGAGUCUCCCUAACAUCAAGUAAUAAUGCUAUUCCUUUACCCUGCUUUGUUAUAGCACGGUAGUGGGAGCUGCCAGCUUCACAUGUUUUAACUCUGUCAGAUCACUUUGAAAAAGUGGUCUGUGGUAUCUGGAAAGCUGAUGUUGCGUGUGAAGAUUACAGACAAGCUUUAUCCAAGGAGAUCCAGCUCUUGAAGUUGGGAAAGUGGUGCCUCUUCGAUUUUCGAACAAGCAAUCCUGUCGGGGAUCUGGCUCUCUAGAUUCGGAGAACGAUGCCUCUUCGAUUUUUGAGAAAGCAAUCCUGCUGGGGGUCUGGCUCUCGAGAUUCGGAGAGCGGUGUCUCUGCGGUGCCUCUUCGAUUUUGGAGCAAGCAAUCUUGUUGGGAGUGUUUUCUCGAAUGUGAGUAAAGGUUGGGCGUGUUUGCUAGUCUACCUUGCCACGAAGCGGAGGUUGACACAUAGGGACUUUCCAAUUAUCCAGCAGUGGUACUGUUCCUUUACCCUCUCUUCGAUUUUUGAGAAAGUAAUCAUGUUGGGAGUCUGGCUCUCGAGAUUCGGAGGGCGGUGCCUCUUCGAUUUUGGAGCAAGCAAUCUUGUUGGGAGUGUUUUCUCGAAUGUGAGUAAAGGUUGGGCAUAUUUGCUAGUCUACCUUGCCACGAAGCACAAAGGUUGACACACAGGGACUUUCCAAUUAUCCAGCAGUGGUACUGUUCCUUUACCCUCUCUUCGAUUUUUGAGAAAGUAAUCAUGUUGGGAGUCUGGCUCUCGAGAUUCGGAGGGCGGUGCCUCUUCGAUUUUGGAGCAAGCAAUCUUGUUGGGAGUGUUUUCUCGAAUGUGAGUACAGGUUGGGCAUGUUUGCUAGUCUACCUUGCCACGAAGCACAGAGGUUGACACACCGGGACUUUCCAAUUAUCCAGCAGUGGUACUGUUCCUUUACCCUUGUGGGUAAUAAUAUGGUAGCUAGACCUUCAAAAUUUAUGUGUUUAAACUUUGUUAGUGUCCUUUUUUUUUUUGUGCACACGCAACAGAUGCAAAACUUCACCAUUAUGCACGCCUGAAUCCAAAACGACUCUACUGAGAAUUGGAUAACUACUUGAAGAUAGAAGACUAAACAUUACGUAUUCUAGCUUACUCUGAAAGGCAUGGUCUUUGGAUAACUAUUCAUCCUCAAGGGGAACAAGUUUCCUUUCGGAUGCAUAGUUAGGGGCAGUUGUGGGACCAUGAUUUUCCAAACUGGAGUAAGGUUGAUCCGAAUACGGUUACCUCAUUUGAAGGCCAUUGUGGUGAGUUGAUCGACUAGCUUCUCCGCCUCUACCUGUUCCACUUAGAAUCGCUUCAUGUAAACCCUGAGGCUCUCAUUUUUCUUUAGGGUAUCAGGUUAAAUAUAGCUUCAUGUCACUUCCGGGUGUCACGGUAGACGAAAUAGGUGUUGAUGAAGAUGUUUGCCAAACUCUCGAAGCAGUUGAUUGAGCGAGCUGGCAAUUUUGAGAACCACCUCAUAGCUGGUCCUUCCAAGGUGGAGGGAAGCAUCUUGCACAUCCAUGCAUCAUUGUUGCUGUACAGCACCAUAUCAUUGAUAUGGUAGUCGGGUCUGGGUCAUCACAAUAGUAAUUAAAUCUAUGUUGGAAGAACUUAUCUGGUGGAGGAGCGGACUCAUAGAGGAGAGCGGGCUUCUGAUCUUCAUAACAGCCUUUCCAGGCACUCGUGGCAAAGUUUCCCUCAUAUUACUUAGGGGCUCUUUCGUGGCUGGAGAUCUGGCGCCUUUCAGACUUUUCUAAAGACUUGGGUUCCUCAAAAGUCAGGUGUCGAGGCUGCACCGGAUGCUCCCAUGUGCCAUCUGAGGGUCUUAAAUCAUGCAAAGUCUGUAUCUUGUCCGCAACGGUGCGAUUAACGAUCCGGCCAUCAUGAGACAAGCUCGUGCUAAAAUCAGCCAUAUCUGCAUGAGUCCAAGUAGAGGUUAACUUAAUGGGUUGUCCAUCAGGGGUUACGAUGCUGAUGUUGCCACAACUUAAGACAGGGAUUUGAGUGUACAAGUUGGUCUAGCUGGAGUUCUCUAGAGCCUUCAUCCUUUUCUCCAUAUCACUUGCUGCAGCUUAUCAAUAGUAGAGUUGAUCUUCAGCAAAGUAUCCCACAUAUGUUCCAUAGUAGAAGGGGCCUUUCAGCACUGGCCUCAGCUCUCCUUUUAGUGGUUGCAGCUUUAGGAGUUUAGUUGGAAGCUCCCAUAAUGGCGGUAGUGGCGUCGGAGGUAAGGUUACUGCCGACCUGUGCGACAUAGACAUCUGUAACCGGGCCGCCAUUAGGUGCCUGGUCAUUGCUAGCGUUGACAGAGCUUUCUAAAGUGUUCAUUGUGUCAAUUGUAAAGUGAUAUGUUUGAGAGGAACAUGAGUUAUUCUCUCAAUGAAACCACUAAUUAUUGAAACCAAAUCCACGCACCACCGUGAGUGACGGAGAUGCUUAAAUCUGUUUACUUGUAAAUGACACACAACCGUGAGUAAGCUUAGGACCGAAGGGGAAUAUGUGUGCCGGUCAGUGGCUCAACGAUGGUUAAGUUAGUAAGCAAUAUUAAAACUCUAACAUUAGGCAAGAAAUUAAGUUUGGAGAGAUUGUGCUACUAGAGAUGAACCCCAAAAGCGUGUAUUUAUACCAAUCGAGGAGAUGAUCUUUUAGGAUAGUAAAAUAUGUAUUAAACCAGGACAAUCAUGAGGAUAUCCAGGAAAUAGAUAUUGAAUCCUCUUAGGAAUGUGAUUACUUGCAACAAACGCCAAUUCUUAGAUUGUAAGAACUCCAAGAUUAUGGGGAACUUGCUAAUUCCUUUCUGAAUUAGGUUCUUGAAUCUAGCAAACAAGAAUGGUCUACUCAGUGAAGUCAAUGGACUUCACCCACUAAUUUCGGAACAGGAUGAUGGUGGCAUCACCGAUCUGUUUAGUUAGCUUUGCUAGGGAAGCUGUUGUGUCUAUGAUCAAACUUAGGUAGGCAUACUUGAAUCCGUCUUACUUUAGCUAUGACAAAUCAUGGUCCCAAACACAUUAUUUUAUGCUAACCCCAAUAAACCAGCAGUAAUGGAAAGGGAUUUCACAACAGAAGAGCCUGUAAUGGCUUAAUAAUGGAAGGGGCUGACUUCCCCGACCAGCCCAAGAUCAAGAUUUACACCAAUAAGAUAGUGUUUGAGAGGCCAAACCAAACAAUGGCCAACCUUCUCAAUCCUAUUUAUGUGUCUGCAUUGUAAACAUGGAAAUUCCUGCGAUGAACGAGACAAGAACACGUGUACAAAAUAAUAUUUGUAUUAAUGAUUUAGGGGUUACAAUCUCUUCUACAAAUUUAGCCUCUGAUUCGAUCUUUGUAAUGUGUAGAUUUGUGGAUUGGGCAGUUGAUCUAAGGGCCGUCAGGGCUUGAUCUUAGGAUAAACAGUUGUGCGGAUUUGUUGACGUCGUUGAUCCAAAAGGCCGUCGGGGCUUGAUCCUGAAUUGAUGGAAGUUUUUCAAGGGCCGUUGGGGCUUGAUUUUGAAUGAGGAAGUUCUUCAAGGGCCAUUGGAGCUUGAUCUUGAAUGAGGAAGUUCUUCAAGGGCUGUUGGGGUUUGAUUUUGAAUGAGGAAGUUCUUCAAGAGUCGUUGGGGCUUGAUUUUGAAUGAGGAAGUUCUUCAAGGGUCGUUGGGGCUUGAUCUUGAAUGAGGAUUUGACGAAGAACGAAGAGAGCUUUCUUGAUCCUUUGGGAUUUGCUUGGGAGCUUUGAAGUUUCAAAGCUUCAAGGUUUUGGUGUGAGGUGAAUUGGUUAUAAAUUGGUGUCGAAAAUGAAUGCCUUGGUUUCCUAUUUAUAGAAUUUCAAAACCUGAUUUUUGGAUUUAAAUAAUCAGAUGAAAUAAAUCAUUUCUGCCAAGUCUUGACACGUGUCAUGUUUGAUGACUUUUCUGAUGAUUCUCGAUUUUUGGUUGAGUCACAUGCUAUGUGUAAAAUUUAUAUGAUACGUGAACGUUGAAAUUUUAAUUAUUGAUCAACAUUUAUUUCACCGAAAUUUUGAUGUCUACAAAUGCCCCUACUUCAAGGCGCGUCGUAUACAUGUGUUUGUCAUGUGUAGAAGAUGCGUUUUGAAGUCCCUUAAUGUAGAUGUUGAUCCAAGGGCCGUUGAGGCUUGAUCUUGAACUGGGUUGGUAAUUUCUCCAAGGGUCGUCGGGGCUUGAUCUUGAAUUUGUCUGGAAGAUUUUCUGGUUUCCUCCAAUUGUUGAUUUUCCACAGGCUCAAUCUUGAACUGGGCUGGAGGUUUUUUUGGUUUCCUCCAAAGGUCUGAACUUACUCAUUUUAUCUGGAGCUGAAUUUGAUUUAAGGGUGGAGAAGACUUGAUUUUGAAUCGGGCUUGUGGUUUCUUUAAGGGCCGUUGAGACUUGAUCUUGAACUUAAACAUGACCAUGAGCAGUUUCAGGAUCUGGACACAUGGUAGGUAGGCACGAGAUGGAGGUGAUGGUUUGUUUCUUUUUUCAAUCUUUCUAAUUCAUAUUGAAGAAGGUCAGGGGAUAAGAUCAGACACUGCAAAAAAUUUACUUUGAAAGAUCAAGGAAGUUCGCAGCAUUUUCAUAUGAACCCUAAGCAGUUUGGUUAACGGUAUGAUCUUCAAGGGUUGUCGAGACUUUGCUCUUCGACGAUAGUGCCAGCGAAAGGUUGUUGAAGCUUCUCGAGAUCUUUGAUUAUAGCAACGAUGGCGGGCUUCGAUUUGACUUAGACUCAUCCGUCUGGAUUAUGUGGUUCUGCAGGGACGUCGUGCUGCAAUGAUUUGUUCCGGCUCAUUGUGCUGCAUUCUUCUCUACUUGUUUCUUUUGCAUAGCCAAAACGAUGCGCAACCCUUUUCCUUUAAAUGGUUAUUCAGAGCAUCACUUUUCAGUAACUCAUCCAUACUUGGCAGCUUCAGUGUAAAGAGCCAACACUAUAUCAACUGUCUUGAAGUAUUUGCCGAGGAAAUUCGAGACCCGUCAACAGUUGAAGAUGAGCACUUGAGAGCAAUGCUAGGUGAGCAACCAAGUAAAGGUUUUGGCUAAUCAGUUCCCGAUCGGAAGUUUGAUUUCGGGUUUCGACUGAUUGCUUUCUUUCUCUUUGUUCUGCAGGCAAAAGAAAGGGCAAAGGAAAUGAUAGGGGAAAAGCAUGAUAUGAGAUACUUUUGCUUUCGACCCUGAUGAUAUGAGAUGCUUUUGCUUUUGAAGAAGUAGCGGACGAUCAGCACAUGUAUUCGUUACGCUUUUCUCCACAUGCUUUGAUGCAUCAUUUUCACUUGCCUCUUCUGUUCUACGGGCAGAUAUGGUUUAUUCUCUGAAAGCAUAAGAUGUUGAAACAAUGGGUACUUCGAGAGCAGUGUUAGGUGAGCAAUCAGGGAAGGGGUUCCAGGAAAUCGAUUCCAAAUCGAAAGGUUGAUUCCAAGUGCCGGCUGAUUGCUCUCUUUCUCUUUGUCCUACAGAGAAGAACGAGGACAAAGAAAAGGAUAGGGAGAAAGCAUGCUAUGAGAUAUUCUUGCUUUUAACCUAGGGAUAUGAGAUACCUUUGCUCUGGUGUGACUUAGUUGAAGAGGUGUUUCCAGGGAGGAAAAAAACCGAGUAUGUUAAGAGGUUUAGUUGCAGAUGUAUUCUUGGCAAGGAAGAAGGGUCAGGCGUUUGUAUUUUUAGGGAGGAAGAAACUUGAGUAUAUUUAAGGGUUUGGUUGCAGAUGCAUUUGGCAAGGAAGAAGAGUCAGGCGUUUUGGAUGUAUGCCUUGCUAUAGAGGAUGAAGGUUGAAUUAUAUAGUGAUUUCCCAAUAGCAAGUGGCAGUGCGGAUGCGGCCUUGUCACCCACGAUUGUCGGCCAAAAGUGUGGUAGUUGGAAUAAUGGACUUCGCACGUUUUCAACUUUGUCAGUGAUCUUUGACAAAGUUGCACGUGAUAGCCGAAAGCUGAGAUUGCGUCUGAAAAGUGUUGACGGACUUUACGCAGGAAACUCCAGGUUUUGAAAUUCGAAGAGUGGCGUCUCUUCGAUUUUUUGAACAAGUGGUUAUGUUGCCUCUUCUUUUAAAGAGGUGUCAAUUGUAUUCAACAUGCACAUUUUGAAGAUUGCCUGUUCAUGAAAAUCGUCUUCGGUGUAUUUUUGAGCUUUUACUUUAUCCAACCUUUUUCUUUUAACAUUUUUUAAAAUGGCUUACCCAUCUAACAUUUGCUUAGAUUUGAGUCUCAGUAAUGACAUAGGUGCACCGCGUCAAGGUAAUAUAUGGCGCCCGUCCUUCUUAUCUUCUAAUAGCCCUCUUACAGUUAAAGACUCUGUGAUGAGGGAUGCAACAAUGACUACGGUUAUAGCUAGGAACCUUCUCACUCCUAGAGAUAAUAGGUUGCUUUCAAGGCGGUCUGAUGAGUUGGUUAUCCAAGACUCCCUGGCUCUCAGUGUUUAGUGCGCGGGCUCUGUGUCCAAUAUGGGCCAUCGUCUAUUUGCUCGAACUUGCCAAGUUGAAUCAUUGGCGGCCGAGGUGGAAAGCCUUGAAUGAGAGAUCAAACGUCUCAAGCGCGAGAAUAGAAAGUUGCAUAUGCUUGCAAAUAAUUAUUUAAUAAGCAUAAAGAGAAAACUCGAUGAGCUACAGGAAUCUGAAGGUCGGAUUCAAAGUGACCAUCAGAGGUUUGUGGCUUUCUUCCAGCGGCACCUUUUGCCUUCGACAUCUAGAGUCUGACCAAGUAUUAAGGCGUCACAUGAUCAAUCUCCAGUGCCUCAUUCUUCUGGGGUUCUACCAGGAGCUAAGGCUUCAAGUGAGCGAACUUUGUGAAGGCUCCCUUUUUUUUUUUUUGCACUUGUAAUUUCUCGGAGAUAUCAAUAUACAUGCUUUAUUUUAUUCAGUAUGUUGUGCUAAAUACAAAUAAAACGUAUAUCUGACUAAGAUGUGUUACUUCCCUUUUUUUUAUUAUCCUUUUAGAUGGUGCCUGAUGCACCCAUUUCCUUUUAUAUGGUGACUAGUGCACCCAUUUCCUUUUAGAUGGUGACUGGAAGCAUCAUUUUGUCGCCACCACCCAUUUCUUUUUUUCUUCUUGACUUGCUAACAGUAGCUUGCACCUUCUUUUUGUGUGUGUGUACAUGUCCUGAUGAUGAGUAUGGUACAUUGACACUGCUGGAUCCCUUGGUGGGUGCUUGAAUUUGCAUAGGAUAUCAUUCCUCUUUAGAAAAAAUGUAAGCUCCACCUUUGAAUUGGCAUGCGUGAACUCACGUCAAAUGUGUUGAUGGGUCACUUUUAAACAUGUGCCUUUGUCCUGCUGCUUAAUCCCACCUACAACCCUUCACAUGGUGCCGUGCACUAUUCCUGAAAUCUUCGUAUUAUUAUUAUUUUGUUUUUUUGUUUUUGUUUUUGUUUUUUUUGUUUUUUUUUUGUCGGCCAACACCUUCCCUUUCUGUUCUAUAUAUCCCCACAGGAUGUAGGGAGAAAUGCAGAGGAGCUUGGAGCAGUAGGAGGCUAGGCAUGGAGCAAGGAGGCAGGUAGGUGUAAGUUGACAAACUUUGGUUUUGUUAAUCACAUUCACAGGCAGCAGUAGAGGUAAACAUAUGUGAGUUGCCAAAUUUUGGUUUUGCUAAUCACAUUCAUAGGCAGCAACAAAGGCAAGCAGAUGUGAGUUGACAAAUUUUGGUUUUGUUAAUCACAUUAACAAGCAGCAGCAGCUAGAGCUUGAGGUAGUGCAAAGCGUCGAGCUUCGUGACCGGCUAGUCGUUUGACAGCGGUCACUGAGGAUCUUCGAGCUUGAGGUUGUUGAUAGCGAUGAGGAGGCUUGUAGAGUGAUGGCACCGGUUACUCACAUUCAAAGGCAGCAACAAAGCAGUAGAAGCACACCAACCAACCUUCGAAACCAAGACCAAGGCAUCAACCCUCGCAUACUUCCGAAGCUGAGGAUCUCAAACAGGAGAAUAUCGAAGAUCUGGCGGUGAUUGAAGGCAGAGAUGACACCUGUAAAGACGAUGACAGCCAGAGCUGAUCAAAUGAAGAGCACAGUAAGGAAGGUCUUGGUGUAGACUUUCAGGGACAUCGCCGAUCUGAAAGAGAUAGAAUUUGGGAGCAAGCGAAAUGGCGGUGUCGAUUUUGUUGGUGCAUUGAUUUGUCCCUGUCGUGCACUGGGUUUGUCUCGAAAAUGAAGACGAAAGAGUGGAGUUCAUGGUUUCCACAAAGCUUUUGAAGCUGCGGUGGUCUGGGCUCCAAGAUGGUGGUUCGACGGCUGGAUAAGGACCUCCACCAUCUCGCUCCCGGCGAAGCAGUUCUUGACGAUCUCCAUCUUCAUCUGACGGUCUUGAAUCUGCAACUCCAACUGCAACAAAAUUGCCACCAAUAUAUCUCAUUUUGCCGCUGCGACCCUACCUCUAUGAUCUUCACCAGCAUCGUGACUUUUCAGUUUUUUUUUUUUUCUUCUUCAUUAUGGCUUUCAACAAUCGAUCCCAGUAUGUAGAAUUGCAAUUAGCUCCCAAAUGAGGCGCAUAAUUGGCUAGUUUGCAGUGAUUGAAGACAGCCCCAAGUACCCAUCUUCCCAAGUAUCCAUAUGAGUGGACACCCGGAGCAGCCACAAAGGUCGUCGAUGGAGUUUUCAAAUUGGGACAUCAUUUUUCGGAACUGGGUAGCUGGGAUAAUGGUGAAGGCUCAUUUCAUGGUGUCGUCGGCUCGGCAUUUGAGCACCAAAGACAGUGCCUUAUUGAACACCUGCUCAGUCUCGUCGAUGAUUCGUCGAGUAGGACGAUCUUAGAGGUCGGGGGAAACAGAGACAAUCCGGUUCAACUUGGCAGUGAGAUCAUGAACCCUGUCCAACCGGGACUCCCAAAAAUGGAUAAGGGCUUUGAGCGUGUUGACCCAUUGCGUGGAGGUGACGAUGCGAUUAGCGGGAGAAACCUCAACGCCUUCAGACCUGGACUUGCAGUUAAUGAUCACCGCGUUGAUUUCAUGCUUCUGGAGGCUCCGAUGGUCAGAGAGAAGCUCGACGAUGAAGCUUGCUUGGCAGGGAGGAAUGAGUGCACUAUGGAUGGUCACCUUGAAAACUUACGACAGGCGGAAGGCCCCAGUGGCGUUCUUGUUGGGCAAAGAGGGAGAAUGUGUUGGAAAUAUGCCCUGAAAGUCAAUCUUUAGAAGAAAUCUUUCAGGACAAAUGAAUGGAUGUAUGGAUGAAUCUUAUACAUCAAAGGCAAAAACACGAAUUAAGACUAUCUCAAUGAACGAUAUAUGUCCUAAAUAGUGUAUCCAUGGACAAUAGAUUGAUUGAAGAAGUAAUCUAAUGAUGUUAGAUUACAGAGACCUUCUUCACAUAACCAAAUGUCCAAAAGGUUCCUAGUCAUUGGAUUGUCGGAGGGAUACUGACAAUGCGUAGACCGGUACAUACUGUGUCUGCUUCAAAUGGAAGGAUGGAAAGUCUCAUCCCAUUCGUGUUGUGACACUAAGACAAGUAUGUAGGUGCUCAUUAGGGGAAUGAGUUCACUGAACACAAUCGAACGAGAGUACUUGCAUGGAGGUCUACUCAUAUGUCAAGCAAGUAACUCUAAUGGUUGGAAUAAUGUAAGUAGUCCUUAGACCUGAGGCAUCGUCGUUGUCUUGUGGCUAAGUAUUUAAUCUUUGAUUAUGUCAAAGUCUCCCCAUUCGAGGGUGUCCACGGCAUGAUUGGGGUUAAGCCACUUAGUCAUGAAGGCAAGUAUAUGCGCAACAAGGAAUCUCUAAUCCUCAAUAAGAGAGGAAGAAUGCUCUAAGAUAUGAUUCGGGAAUCUUCGGCCGAAGUAUCGAGCGUAUUAAAAGGAAUGCGUUCCUAUACGACUCAAAUGAAUCAUAUAAGAAGGAAUAAUCACAUUAGGGGUUUGACAUAAUACAUCCAUACCCUAAUGAUGUGAUUGAGAGUAUUGUAUUAGAGAAGGAUCGAAUUACAUUGUAAUUCUAACUGAAUAGGUUCUCUGAAUAAACUUCUACAUUAGCUUGGGUAGCUAUGACAUAUGGUUAGAUGUCAAUCAUAGCUUGUGAGUUCUUCUAGAUGAUUAAAUGUAGUCAUCAAAGAAGAAUGGUGAAUUGAAAUGAAGUUUCAAUUCACUAAGUGAUUGAAUUAAUUGGAUUAGUGCCAAUCACCUCACUGCCUUGCUAAUUAGAACCUAAAAGAUUGUUCACCAAUACACUAUUGUAGUGAGUAAUUAAUGGAUGAUGGAAACAAUUAAUUGGAUUAAUUAUGUGUGUUGUGAUUAAUUUAGAAAAGUCUAAAGAAAUCAUAAAAGCGAUAAAGAUCGUUUUGGGCUUAAAGAAAAACGUUCGGGUUUAAUUGGGUCCAUUGGGCCCAAACCCAUUGGGCUUUUAUUCAAGCAUUGGAUGACUUGAAAUAAAUGAAAGCCCAAAGCCCAAACAACACAAAGAGGGCCGGCCAUAUUAGGUGUUUAGGAGAGAAGAAUAGUCAAGUUGUUGACUAGGUUUCUUUUGUCUAUAAAAGGAACUUUAUAGCAAAUGUUUCAUAGGGGUUUUUUGUGUGUUUAGAACCAAAAAGAGGCUAAAGAAAACUCUCUCAAAUACUCACAAGGGCCGGCCACCUUAAGGGAAAAAGAGCUAACAAUCUUUCACCCUUUUGGUUAUUCCUUCAUCCUUCUCAUUACACUAGUGGGUGAGGAUCUUUAGAGGUUUCCUACUUUGGAAACUUGAAGAGAACCUAGGAGCACUCAUUCUUUUCAAAGUGGAGGAGGCAAGGAGGGAAGCUAGGCUCAAGGAUUUCAAGGAGCAAAGAGAUUGGAGGUGGUCCAUCCUUGGUCUAAAAUCAAGAUCAAGAGGUAUAGAUCUAUUCCUUGACUUUGUUCUUGAUUCUUUAAAAUGUUUUGAUGCAUUAUAUAUAAACCUAUGAACCUUGAAGGGGAUUUGCAUGACUAUAGCUUUGAUUUUAUUUGAUAACAUGCUUCCGUUGCUCAUGUAUAUAAAUUGUUGAAUUGUAUAUGCAUGCUAGUCAUCUAGAAAUCCCACAUGAAACUCAUAAAUUUCCCUUCAAUUGGUAUCAGAGCCAAAGGUUUAUGUAUAAUGUGUCAUUUUGGAUUUUAUGCAUAUGGGUAUUAAUGUUAUGUAUGACAUAUUACUUUUCCAUUCAAAUUAUGUUUAUCUUUUGUUUUUCAAUAGUUGAAAAAUGUUAGUCAAAAGUUGAGAAAGAUAUGUAUGCAAAAUGUUUUGUAUGCAUGAAUGAAAAAUGAGUUUAGAACUAGUAUGACAUAUUAUUUCUUCAUCUAAAAGUAUGUUAUUUAUCUUUGUUUUUUUCCAAUGGUUGAAAAAAUAUAAAUCAAGAGUUGAAAAAGAUAUGCAUGUAAAAGUUGUUUUGUAUGCAUGAAUGAAGAAUAAGUCAUGAACAAAAUUUGGGGUUUUGUUACUUGGGGUUGGCAUGGUUUUGGCUUAGUGUUUGUGUUUUUAUUUUGAAUCACACACACACUUUAAAGCUAGAAAGUAGAAAUCUUGUCACUUUUGUUUUUGGGUUUGAAAAAUCACCAAGAACAUAUAAAUCUUGAAAAUGUGUUCAUGGUUUUGUUCUUGGUGUUCAUGGUUUGGAUUUGAUGAAAAUGGUUUUCAUGCAUUGUUUUGUGGUUUUGGAUGAUGUACAUACCAUCCAUAGCCAUCUCAAAAAUUUAUUAAAUCCUAAUCUUUAUUAGGUGAAAUUCCAUCAUUUUGUUUCAUUAAAGUCCUUAAAGCAUAGACAAGUGACAAAUAAAAUUUGUUUUUCUACUUUGAAAUGAUUUAAAGCAAAAAAUGAGUGGGAUUUUUCUAUUUCCCCUCACUUAUGGCCGGCCUACCUAUUGGAAUACCCACUUGUGGGGUAUUUUGUAAUUUAGAAAAAGACAUUUUAUACUUUUGAGUAUUUAUGGUUUGACCCCUAACUUUUUCUUAUUUGCAUUUAGGCCCCUACUAACUAGAAAGUUAAAAUAUUUGAUUUUAAUUUUGUUAGUUGUUUAAACUCAUAAUUAUAUUAUGCCCAUAUGCACUAAAUCUAAAUGUUUAUGUUGCAUUCCAUUUAAUUAUUUAAAUGUGUUUAAAUAGUUGUGAAAUGGAUGACUUUGGACUUAUGCCUUAAACGAUAAUUGAGCUAUGAGAUAAGGCGCUAAAAUCAAAUUGUUUGAACCUUGGGAAUGUGUUUUAAUUGCUGUUUAAUUGGACCUUGUCACGUUUGAAGUUAAUCUAUCUCUCUCCUUUUAGUAUAUGUAAUUUAUAGGAAUUUGUACAAAUCGGUUUGUAAUUCUUAUUACUUCUUAAUCUCUAUUCAUUAGUUGAUUCCCUCUAGUGCUAGACUAGAGUUUCUUUAACUAUUGGUAAGGAGACAUAACUAAAAGAAGGGUUUUAUGACAUGAGAUUAAAGUUUAAAUGGGUCCAACGCCCUAAUUAGCAAUGAAUGAUUGUCUUUCAUUUCUAAUGGCUCAAUGAAAAUAGUUUUAAUUGGAUUAAUAAGCACGUAAUUAAAUUGACACAACCUCCCCGAGUUUUUAUUCAACAAUGUUGGCUCGUUGUUGCAAUAACCUAAUAAGUCCAUAGUCAUCCAAGAGCCUAAGAUAAACUAUAAAGUCCAAUUACAAAGGAAUGCAAAAACCAUAGUAGUAGUAGUUACUUCCAAUAUUUGAAAAAUUCGUUUUUGAUAUUGAUUUGUUUUUCUCAAAACAAAUAGUGGGAGUAUCAUACGCUACUAAACUAUAAUGAAUACAAUUAGUAGUUAUAUAUAUCUCCAAUAUUUUGAAAAAUGUUUUGAUAUUGAUUUGUUUUAUGAAAACGAAUAGUGGGGAUAUUAUAUGCUACUAAUUUCAUUAACUUUGGACUAGUAGUUGUAAUAGGACAUUAUUUAUUUGAUUGUGAUUAAAUAAAUGAAAUUGAUGAGACCUUAAAAUCCCUCAAACCACUCAAUAUUAAGUUGAAAACGUAAGAGUGCUUUGAACACUUUUUCGUGGCCUUCCACCAUGGUAGGCUCCAAGCGUUUAUGACUUGUACACCGCCUUCACCCUAUAAUGGGGAAGUGACAAAGUGCAUGCUUAUAUUCAGGAGGAGUUUAUUUAAAACAUUUGAUGAGGUGAAGAUAGGCAACGAGUGUGGCCAAUAUCGUAUAAUCGUGAGGUCAUGCUUGAACCCCUAUCUAAACCAGCAUGGUGGGAAAUAACUUAACUAAGAGAAAUGGUGCCAAUAUCGUAUAAUCGUGAGGCAUUGUUCUCUAGAGGCCAAAAAGAUGGGUAAUCACAAGAGGUUGUUGUGAAUGGGUAAGUAUACCCUCUCAUUAUUAUUUUUGCUAGCCAACAUCGUAUAAUCGUGAGGUGGGCUUGGUAAUAGUGAGCCUCCCAUAACCCGCUAGGAGCUUUCUUUGAAAUCUCCCGGAUUCCAUCAUGGGGGAUAUGGAAUUUGCCAAAAAUGGUGGGUGGUGUCAUUCGGUUUAAAGACCCGAAUCGUUUGACUUAAUCAACAAUCAAUCUAAUUAUUUUAUUGUUUAUGUAUAUAGAUAUGGUUGGAAGCGCACUCGCGAAAAUACUCGACAAACAUUGCCUAGAGGGGCACAAUUUCCCAUCAUGGUAUCGUAAUAUCAAGAUUCUCCUAACAUUGGAGAAGAUUGUUUACGUGCUAGACAAAGUCCCAUCUCACAUACCUCUUGGCCCUGAGGCUACUGAGGAUGAACGUGCUAAGUAUGACAAGUACGUUGAGGAUGACACACAAGCCAAAUGCUAUCUGUUGGCUUCCAUGAAUGAGGAGCUACAGAGACAGCAUGAGGGCAUGGACAGUGCAUAUUCCAUAAUACUCCAUCUUACGGAAUUAUAUGGUGAAGGGACGCGCAAACCGUCGCUUUAGCACUGUCAGUGAACUUGUGAAGACCAAGAUGGUCAAAGGGGCUCCAGUGCAUCAACAUGUACUGAAGAUGAUAGGACUCAUUGAACAAUUGGAGAACCUAGGUACUCCACUUGACGGGGAAUUGGCCCAGGACUUUAUAUUGGCUUCUCUUUCUGAUUCAUUUGCGCAGUUCGUAAUGAACUACAAUAUGAAUAAGAUGGAUAGUUCUCUCUCUGAGUUGCUAAAUAUGUUAGUAACUGCCGAGAAGACUAUGAAGAAAAGAGAACGUUGUAGGGACUGCUGCAGUAGCCUACAACAAGCCAUCCUCUUCCAAGGCUAUGCCGCAAGGCAAAGGCAAAGGGAAGGAGAAGAAGUCACCCACUCAUAAGCCGAAAGGAGGAGUGAAGAAAAAGAAGGCAAUGGAGCCCAAGGGGACUUGCCACCACUGUGGAAAGGAGGGGCAUUGGAAGAGGAAUUGCAGGUUAUACCUUGCAACUCUUAAGGACAAACCACAAGGUAUGGUUUAUGUUCUUAUCUUCAAUUCUAACUGUUAGAUCUUCUAAAUAUUUAUAUUUGAUAUAAAGAGCUAAUCACUUGUAUAAUUGUAUAUAGGUGGAGGAGCCAAGUAGAAGAGGAACAAGCAAGGAAUAAUGUGGAGAAGGGUUCGGCCACUAUGUUUUUGCUUACUACUUAGGAAGUUUGUUAGGCAUUUAAAGAUUGUCUUUAAACUUUCUUAUUUUGUUAAGAACUUAAUGUGGCUUCAUAUGAUGGAAGACCACUAUUUGUGCCUAAAUGUAUGAAGGUAUUUAUAUUAGACUCUAAAUGUAUAGAGCUAAUAUUUUUGUGUUAAACAUUAUGAAUGUUUGAAUUAUCAUAUUAAUGUAAUGUGAAGAAUGCCUUUUUAAUAUACUAUUUCCUUAAAGUAGUGUUAUGAAUUGAAAAUUGUCUUGUUGUAUCCUAGAUGAGAUACAAGAGUUAUAUCACAAGUAAUAAGAAAAACGUUUCUUAUAUGGUUAUCACUUAAAUCACAAUGAUCAAGAUCACUCUUGAUUCAAUUAGUAGUUUUGAACAACAUAUUGGGCAUUCUUUAAAAUUGUUUUAAAAUGUCAAUUGUGUUAGUGAUGAAACCAAGAAAGAAGUGUCUAAAUCUAUAAAAUGUUUAAAGACUUUAGUCACUUAAUAACAAGACAUUAACUUAGUGAAGAUUGAAACAAUAAGCUUGAAAUGUUUAAAAGCUAUUACCCAAUGUCUUCCUCCAAUAAACUCCACGUUUAUACAUUUUGAAUGUAUGAAGUGAUUUCUCAUUAAAGUCAUGAGAAAUAGUGGGAGGUGUGAAAAUGGAUAUAAACUUGAAUGUGAUUGGUUUAUAGUUGUCUAAAUGAAUAAUAGUACUUGACUAUUAUUAAGAGUUUGUAAUUUUAAUUGUUAAAAGAACUCAAGCUCUUCAAACGUUAAAAUGCUAUGUUGUGAGACAUUUAAAGAAUAGUCUUUGAAUGUUGGUUUCGUCAACCUAACGUAAAAUGGUUAUAUGUUGGGUGUUAUCCAUCAUUCUCUUUUAUGAGAACAAGCUAAUAACAAAGCAUAUGGACAAGUUGAUGAAACAAAAAGGGAAUAAGUUUCAAAAUGAGUCACAACAUAUGGUUUAACAACAAGACAAUCCAAAUUCAACAUCUCAUGUAACGAUAUUGCUCAAUGUAGUUUUGAUAAAGAAUUAUAUCAACCACCUAGAAGGAAUGGUUGAGUUUCUAUAUUCUUGGUAGGAGCUAUGUUUCCACUAAAGACUUGGAUAAUUCUUAUAUGACUACAUUAAAGGUCUUAGUAUGACUAAAAUUUGAAGUAUGGUGUAUGACACCAUAUAAUUUAAAUGAAUAGACUUAAUGAAACAAGUCACACAUUUUGGAAUUACUUGAGAAGGAAUUCUUUUGUGUAUGAUUCAUUUAAGUUAAUGGGAGCAAUAUGCAUUCAAAUCAAGAAAUUAUAAUUGUUAAUUUUGAAGGAAUGCUAAGUUACAAACAAGGCCAGUGGGAGUGAUGUCAUAAUUUGAGCAACAAAGAUAUGAAUAAGGUCUAUUUGAUAGACUUACUUAAACAUAGAUGUUACUCGAAAAAUGACAAAAUAUGACACGGUCAAUUUUGAAGUAUAGACUUGAAAUUGGACUUAUUGAUAUAGCAAGGCUAUUUCAAUAAUGUUAUAUGGAAUUAAAUCUCAGAUGUUGGAGAUUUAAGAAAGCAUUUUACUAUAUGAUAGAAAAUCACUUUCAUAACCCUUAUAAUGAAUGUGUCAUAAAAUCACAAAAGGGACACAUGUAUUGACUUGUGAAGUAGAUAUCCAAAGAUGAAGAAACCACACGGGUUGUCACUUUAAGAUAUUACUAUAUCCCAGGAUCAGAACCAAAGCAACUGAUAGAGUAUUAUUGCCUUUAAGAAAGAAACAUCAGAGUGGGACUCUGGAAGCGUGCAUUCACUUAGGUUGAUUAACCAAAGUGAAAGAUAAGCCAUUUUUAACAAAUGGAACUUCAUAAUGGAUGAAGUACUAAUCAUAUGAAUGAAUUGUUAGUAUUGUACUACAAUGGUCUCAAGAUUGGAGCAAAGUUUGUAUAAAGUAUACAAACGAAAUAUAUGUCGAUAUAUAGUUUUAGAAAACUGCUUCAAAAAGUGUUUUGAAUGAAGAGGUUCUUAUAGAACCAAUGAUUGAAUCCAAACCAUAAGGUCGUUAGUAGGAUACUACGACGUAAUGGGGCGAUAGCUCAAGCCGUGGAAUCAAGGUCUCAUCAAAAUAUUCGAACACGAUGAAGAGACAUCAUCAAAUGUUUUUGGAAACAUUUGAUAAGUAAAUCCCUUUUAAAUAAUAAAAGGAAUUAAUACAUAACCAAGUUAACCUACGACCAUAAGCUCUCUCAGCUAAGAUGUAUAAGAUACACUAGUGAUUGACUUUAGUGCAAGUGGGAGAUUGUUGGAAAUAUGCCCUGAAAGUCAAUCUUUAGAAGAAAUCUUUCAGGACAAAUGAAUGGAUGUAUGGAUGAAUCUUAUACAUCAAAGGCAAAAACACGAAUUAAGACUAUCUCAAUGAACGAUAUAUGUCCUAAAUAGUGUAUCCAUGGACAAUAGAUUGAUUGAAGAAGUAAUCUAAUGAUGUUAGAUUACAGAGACCUUCUUCACAUAACCAAAUGUCCAAAAGGUUCCUAGUCAUUGGAUUGUCGGAGGGAUACUGACAAUGCGUAGACCGGUACAUACUGUGUCUGCUUCAAAUGGAAGGAUGGAAAGUCUCAUCCCAUUCGUGUUGUGACACUAAGACAAGUAUGUAGGUGCUCAUUAGGGGAAUGAGUUCACUGAACACAAUCGAACGAGAGUACUUGCAUGGAGGUCUACUCAUAUGUCAAGCAAGUAACUCUAAUGGUUGGAAUAAUGUAAGUAGUCCUUAGACCUGAGGCAUCGUCGUUGUCUUGUGGCUAAGUAUUUAAUCUUUGAUUAUGUCAAAGUCUCCCCAUUCGAGGGUGUCCACGGCAUGAUUGGGGUUAAGCCACUUAGUCAUGAAGGCAAGUAUAUGCGCAACAAGGAAUCUCUAAUCCUCAAUAAGAGAGGAAAGAAUGCUCUAAGAUAUGAUUCGGGAAUCUUCGGCCGAAGUAUCGAGCGUAUUAAAAGGAAUGCGUUCCUAUACGACUCAAAUGAAUCAUAUAAGAAGGAAUAAUCACAUUAGGGGUUUGACAUAAUACAUCCAUACCCUAAUGAUGUGAUUGAGAGUAUUGUAUUAGAGAAGGAUCGAAUUACAUUGUAAUUCUAACUGAAUAGGUUCUCUGAAUAAACUUCUACAUUAGCUUGGGUAGCUAUGACAUAUGGUUAGAUGUCAAUCAUAGCUUGUGAGUUCUUCUAGAUGAUUAAAUGUAGUCAUCAAAGAAGAAUGGUGAAUUGAAAUGAAGUUUCAAUUCACUAAGUGAUUGAAUUAAUUGGAUUAGUGCCAAUCACCUCACUGCCUUGCUAAUUAGAACCUAAAAGAUUGUUCACCAAUACACUAUUGUAGUGAGUAAUUAAUGGAUGAUGGAAACAAUUAAUUGGAUUAAUUAUGUGUUGUGAUUAAUUUAGAAAAGUCUAAAGAAAUCAUAAAAGCGAUAAAGAUCGUUUUGGGCUUAAAGAAACGUUCGGGUUUAAUUGGGUCCAUUGGGCCCAAACCCAUUGGGCUUUUAUUCAAGCAUUGGAUGACUUGAAAUAAAUGAAAGCCCAAAGCCCAAACAACACAAAGAGGGCCGGCCAUAUUAGGUGUUUAGGAGAGAAGAAUAGUCAAGUUGUUGACUAGGUUUCUUUUGUCUAUAAAAGGAACUUUAUAGCAAAUGUUUCAUAGGGGUUUUUUGUGUGUUUAGAACCAAAAAGAGGCUAAAGAAAACUCUCUCAAAUACUCACAAGGGCCGGCCACCUUAAGGGAAAAAGAGCUAACAAUCUUUCACCCUUUUGGUUAUUCCUUCAUCCUUCUCAUUACACUAGUGGGUGAGGAUCUUUAGAGGUUUCCUACUUUGGAAACUUGAAGAGAACCUAGGAGCACUCAUUCUUUCAAAGUGGAGGAGGCAAGGAGGGAAGCUAGGCUCAAGGAUUUCAAGGAGCAAAGAGAUUGGAGGUGGUCCAUCCUUGGUCUAAAAUCAAGAUCAAGAGGUAUAGAUCUAUUCCUUGACGUUGUUCUUGAUUCUUUAAAAUGUUUUGAUGCAUUAUAUAUAAACCUAUGAACCUUGAAGGGGAUUUGCAUGACUAUAGCUUUGAUUUUAUUUGAUAACAUGCUUCCGUUGCUCAUGUAUAUAAAUUGUUGAAUUGUAUAUGCAUGCUAGUCAUCUAGAAAUCCCACAUGAAACUCAUAAAUUUCCCUUCAGAAUGAGCUUGGCAUCGAAACUCUCAUGAAACUUUCGAAGCCAUGGUGGUUGAUAGCAGCUGUCGUAUUUUCCAAAGACAUUUGCAGUGCUACAAAACCCGACGGAGAUCCCACCAAAACGUAGCAACUCCAGGUGCUGCGGAUUUAGGGUUCGUUCCCAACCUUCUCUCUGAGCGGUGAUCUGAUCGCGUAUAAUCCAGAUUUGGAUGGGAACAGAGGAAUCAAGAUCGUCAAAUCAGACGGCUCAAAGCGCUGGAAUUUGAUCAAGCUGGGGGUACUGGGCCGACUCGUGGCCUAUGGUGGGCUUGUUGGCGGGGGAGUGCUUCUAAUUUAGUUGCUGGUGCGGGCUUUGGUCUGUGCUGGGCCCUGGACUUUUCUCUUGAUGCAGGUUUAGGCCUGGAUGCUCGGCGUCGCAUACCAAGCGUAGAAAGGCCCAAUGACAUUUUUUUUUGUACAAUAAGGAUACUAAUAAUUUUUUAUUACAAAUAUUCGUUGGCUUUGUAAUAAAAAUUGACUUUAAUAAAAUCCUUAUUAUUAUUUUUUUUAUGUGACUGAACUCAAAGUUGAAUGUUCGAGCUGCCUACGUACUCUUCCAAAGAAGAGAUCAAUCGUAACGUAGUUCAAAUACAGAUUUUUUUUGGAUUUUUUUUGUGCCAUACGCAUUUUAUGCUCUUGUGGGCUAGGAGCUUUGGUGCUGUGUUGCAGUUUCAGCUCGUGCAGGCAAGAAGCUUUGGUGUUGGUUUGUCAAGCGAUCUGGGAGAGUCGUUCCUCGCAAUCUUCAUAGCAAGGAGCCUUGACUGAGUAGUUGAAGAAGUCUUCUGGGAAGAGGUCACGCAUCGUGAUGGGGAUGGAUGAUCCUUGUGUCAAAGUUUCAUUAUCUCUAACACUUUCACAUUGUUUUGGAGGUUGAUAGGAGGUGCUUUGCCCCCUUUCCCAUUGGUGAACUUGUGGAAGAGAUGGUUGCUGCUUGGAGAGGCGUUCCUCGCAAUCUUUAUAGCAAGGAGCCUUGACCGAGUAGUUGAAUAAUUUUCUGAGGAAUAAGAGAUCGCGCAUGGUCGAUCUUUGUGUCGAAAUUUCCUCAUCUUCAACACUUUCACAUCUCUUUGGAGGUUGGCGAAAGCUGCUUUGCCCCCUUUCUGAUUGGUGCACUUGUGGAGAAGACAUAUGCUUCUUGUGCAGUUUCUUCGGAGUGACAUGAGUCCAUCCUUCAACUUCACUCGGCUUGACUGGCAUGGUUUUGGAGCAUGCCCCCAGCGAUUGAGGUGAAGAUUUUAAGUUGACAGAGCCAAAAGUGACGUCUUCUUCAAGGAUUUCGUCUUCUUUGUCUUCUUGGGCAUCCUCUUCAGUGUCGUCCUCUUGGGUUUGUUGGCAUGAAGAUUGACCGGUGUAGAUGAUGGUGCGCCUCCUUACCUUCGGUGGUCAUUUUGUGUCAACCUUCAAAGUUGCUUGGCGCUUCAUCCUUGAAGGAAUUAAGCUUUGAACAUCGUCUUUUCCUGCUAGACUAUUAUGUUUUUCUUCAUUUGGCGUUGUCUUCCUCUUUCUAGAAGGCUUCUUGGUUUCUUCAAGUCUGUCCAAAGCUGACCAACAAGGAGGAGAGUUGGCCGUGUUGCUUUGCUUUUUAGGUUUUGACAACCUUUCAAAAAUAGAGCUUUGGGAUGUUGGCAUGUUAAGCCUCUUGAAGACAGAGGUUCAAUUUUGACCACCAAUGCGAUCAAAUGCUGACUGUAAACACGGAAUUCCUGCAAUGAAUGAGACAAGAACACGUGUACAAAAUAAUAUUUGUAUUAAUGAUUUAGGGGUUACAAUCUCUUCUACAAAUUUAUCCUCUGAUUCUAUCUUUGAAACGUGUAGAUGUAGUGUUGUUGAUCCAAGGGCCGUCGAGGCUUGAUCUUGGACGAACAGUUGAUGAAUAAUGAACACCUUCUUCAAGGGCCGUCGGGGCUUGAUCUUGAAUGGGUGGAAGUUCUUCAAGGGGCGUUGGGGCUUGAUCUUGAAGGAGGAUUUCACGAAGAACAAAGAGGGCUUUCUUGAUCCUUCGGGAUUUGCUUGAGAGCUUCAAAGUUUCGAGGCUUCAAGGCUUUGGUGUGGUGUGACUUCUCUUCCAAUUUGGGAGUAGAGAAAGUGUAUGUAAAAAUCCUCUCUUGAUUCUUUGAUGGAGGAGCCUAUUUAUAGGCUUUGGGAAUGAACCACCACCAUCCAUUUGUUUUGGUGGAUGUUGUAGGUGAAUUGGUGGAUUGUUGUAGGUGAAUUUGGGUGGAGGUUGUAGGUGAAUUUGGGUGGAUUGUUGUAGGUGAAUUUGGGUGUAUGUUGUAGGUGAAUUUGGGUGAAGGUUGUAGUUUUAAUGCAAUGGUCAACAUUUAUUUCACUAAAAUUUCAAUGUUUACAAAUGUAAUUUUAAUGCGAUGGCUAACAUUUAUUUCAACGAAAUUUCAAUGUCUACAAAUGCCCCCACUUCAAGGCGCGUAGUAUACAUGUGCUUGUCACGUGUAGAAGAUGCGUUUUGAAGUCCCUUAAUGUAGAUGUCGAUCCAAGGGCCGUUGAGGCUUGAUCUUGAACUGGUCUAGGAGCUUCUUCAAGUGCCGUUAAGGCUUGUUCUUGAAUUUUGUUUGAAAUUUCUUCAAGGGCCAUUGAGGCUUGAUCUUGGAUGAAAUUGGACCACAAGGAGCUUCACGUAGUAGACGAUCCUUGGCUUUGAUAAUGGAUGAAUCGGCACGUAUUUUGUUGUGCUUGUUGACUUUCCACAGCUUUGAUCUUGAACUAGGCUGGAGGAGUUUUCUGGUUUCCUCCAAAGGACUUUCCACAUACUUAAUCUUGAACUGGAUUUGACUCAAGGGUGGUGGACACUUGAUCUUGAGUCAGGGUCGUUGAGGCUUGAUUUCGAAUUUAAACAUGACCACGAGCGGUUUCAGGACAUGCAUGCUUUGAAAGAUCAAGGAAGUUCGCAGCAUUUUCAUAUGAACCCUGAGCAGUUUGGUCAACAGUAUGAUCUUCAAGAUUGAUGGGCUCUUCUUCCAGUUGGUGACUUGAUCUUUAAGGAUUAUCGAGGCUUUGCUCUUCGGUGACGGUGCCAGCGAAGGGUUGUUAAAGCUUCUCGAGCCUUUUGGUUAGAGCAACGCUGUCCAGCUUGGAUCUUUACUUGAACUCCUCCGUCUGGAUUGUGUGGUUAUGCAGGGAAGGGCUUCAUGUUUCAUGAUUUGUUCCAGCUCAUUGUAUUGCAUUCUUCUCUGCUUGUUUCUUUUGCAUAGCUGAAGCGGUGUGCAACCUUUUGCCUUUAAAUGGUUCUUCGGAGCACCAUCUCUCAGCGAGUCACCCAUGCUUGGCAGCUUCAGUGCAAAGCGCCGAUGUUAACAGAUCCACACUCCUGAAGCAUUUGCUGAGGGAAUUCGAGACAUAUCAGCAGUUGAAGAUGAGCACUCGAGAGCAACGCUAGGUAAGUAACCAGGCAAAGGUUCCGGGCAAUCAGUUCCUGGUCGGACAUUUAAUUUCAGGUUCCGACUGAUUGCAUCAUUUCUCCUUGUUCAGCAGGCAAGAGCAAGGGCAAAGGAAAAGAUGGGGGAAGAGCAUGAUAUGAGAUACCUUUGCUUUCGACCCCAGUGAUAUGAGAUACUUUUGCUUUUGAAGAAGUAGCGGACGAUCAGCACAUGCAUUCGUCGUGCUUGUCUCCAUAUGCUUCGAUGCAUCAUCUUCAUCUGCAUCAUCUUCACCUGCAUCAUCUGUUUUCCAGGCAGACGUGGUAGACGAAGAGGAAGUAAAAGAUGUUGAGGAUGAGUAUCCGAGAGCACGGCUAGGUGAGCAAUCAGGCAAGGUUCCAAGCAGUCGGUUCCUUACCAGGAGCUUGAGUGGAGGUUCCGACAUGUUGCUUUCUUUAUCCUUGUCUUCGCAGUGAAGAGGGAGGACAAAGAAAAGGAUAGGGAGAAAGCAUGCUAUGAGAUACUCUUGCUCUCAACCCCAAUGAUAUGAGAUACCUUUACUCUGGUGUGGCUUGGUUGAAGAUGCGCUUCCAGGGAGGAAGAAAACUGAGUUUUGGUUGCAGAUGCCCUCGGCGAGGAAGAAAGGUCAGGCUGGAUGUGUUUUCAGGGAGGAAGAAAACUGAGUUUUGGUUGCAGAUGUCUUGGGCAAGGAAGAAAGGUCAGGCUGGAUGUGUUUUCAGGGAGGAAGAAAACUGAGUUUUGGUUGCAGAUGCCUUAGGCAAGGGAGAGGGGUCAGGCUGGAUGUGUGUCUUACUAUAGGAUGAAGGUCGAAUUAUAUGGUGAGCUCUUAACAUCAAGUGGCAGGGUGAGCGUGGCCUUGUCACCCACGCUUGUCGUCAGAAGUGCGGUAGUUGGCAUAAUGGACCUCACGCGUUUUCAACUUUGUCAGUGAUAUCUGACAAAGUUGCACGUGAUAGCCGAAAGCUGAGAUUGUGUCUGACAAGUGUCGACGGACUUUACGCAGGAAAAUCCGGGUUUUGAAAUUCGGAGAGUGGUGUCUCUUCGAUUUAUGAACAAAUGGUUGUGCUGCCUCUCAUUUUAAAGAGGUGUCAAUUGUAUUCAACACGCACAAUUUGAAGGUUGCCUGCCCGUGAAAAAUUAUCUCUGCUGCUCUUUGCUUCAUCCAACCUUUUUCUUUUAGUAUUUUUUUGAAAAUGGCUUCCCCUUUUAACAUUUGCUUAGAUUUGAGUCUUAGCAGUGACACAGGUGCACCGCGUCAGGGUAAUGUAUGGCGCCCGUCUUUUUUUUCUUCUAAUGGCCCUCUUACAGUUGAGGACUCUGUGAUGAGGGAUGCAACCACGGCUACGAUUGUAGCUAGAAACCUCAUCACUCCUAAAGACAAUAGGAUACUUUCACGACGGUCCGAUGAGUUAGCUGUUCAAGAGUCCCAGGCUCUUAGUGUCUAGUGUGCGAACUCUGUUUCCAACAUGGGCCAACGCUUACUUGCUCGAACUCGCCAGGUUGACUCAUUGACAGCCGAGGUGGCGGCUCUUAGUCAAGAGAUUCGGCAGCUCAAGCGUGAGAAUAGAGAGUUGCAUGUGCUUGCAAAUAGUUAUUCGACGAGCAUGAAGAGGAAGCUUGAUCAGCUGAUGGACUCCGAAGGUCGAAUUCAAAGUGACCAUCGGAAGUUUGUGGAUGUAUUCCAGAGGCACUUUUUGCCUUCGUCAUCUGGAAUUCGACCAAGUAUUGAGGCUCCGAAUAAGCUAUCUUCAGUGCCUCCCUCCUUUAGGGUUCCACCGAGUACCAAGGCUCAAAGUACUGAGGCUUCACACAAGUGACAUUCGUGAAUGCUCUUUUUUUUUUUUUUUUUUUUUUUUUUUUUUUUUUGUGUGUAAUUUCUCGGAGAUAUUAAUGGACAUGCCUUAUUUUAUUCAGUAUGUUGUGUUGAAACGCAAAUAAAACGCAUAUCUGACUAAGAUGCAUUACUUCCCUAUGCACCCACUUCCUUUUAGAUGGUGACUAGUGCACCCAUUUCUUUUUAGAUGGUGACUGGCAGCAUCAUUUUGUCAUCACCACCCAUUUCCUUUUCCAUUAUUGACUUUGCGAAUAGUAAUACACACUCGUGAGUGGCUUGACGAUAGCACAGUUGGUUUUUUUCGUGGCCUUCCUCACUGCAUUGCGUUCUUCUCGCAUGCGGACCAUCUUUUCACUUGCACAAUCACCUUAUCACAAUCUUCAUUGGAUGCGGAUUGCUUUUUACACAGUCACUGCAUCGCAUGCGGAUCACUGUUUGCACAGUCACUGCACUACAUGCAAACCGGUUUUAUUUGCAGCCUGUUGAGACCAUUAUAUAUAUACACACGCAUUCAUACACACAUGCAUACAUACAUAGGGCAUUGCGUAGCCUUUACAUAGACACUGCACCAGCUUACUGCCCUGCAUCUUAACUGCACUGUCGUGUUUCUUUGCUGCGACGUGCUCUUCUUGUCUGCCGUGUGGUGAGCUCGGUGUUGGACAAAAAGUGGUGCAGCUUUUUCAACCCCAUCGCCCUGCAGUCGGUUACGUCUAUGUUCAUCGUGUUCACCCGAAGUCUUCACUGCGGCAGAGGAAAAGCUCACCAUCAUCAAAAUUAGGGCAGCAACUACAAACUUCAUUAUCCUGCAAGCUUUAGGGAGAGUUGCAGGAGAGUAUGAGGACGGAAGGAUGAAAGACUGCAGCAUGGUUGCUACAACCGCUUGGGCUUCCGUUUAUCGUCUUCGAUGGCGCUGCAAAUGUUUCCACCAAUGGAGAAGAGGAAGGAGAAGAGUCAGCGGAAAAGAAGGUGUUUGCAGACGAGGUCGCGUGGCUGACUUGGAGGUCCACUUGCUUCGGGUGUGCGCACCAUGUGUUGCAGGUGGGGUUUUGCUGCGUAAUGCCUUUUGGUCACAGUUUUCCCUUGGUGGUGACGUUGGCGUAGUGCUCACCUUUGUAAUAUGGCUUUGUAACCAAAUCAUUUCUUUAAAGAAAUAAAAUAUUCAUAUCUUGACUUACUAUUUAUUCUUCAAAGUGUUUGUGUUUUUGUUGGUGAUGUGACUGUACUUGAAGUUUUGAAGUUUCAAGUUGCCUACGUACCCCCGGUUGAUGAGGGAUCAAGUCAUAACGUAGUUCAAAUGAACGAUGAUUUUUUUUUUUUUAUAGUGAUUUUGAUGAUGAUUUUGCCGUACACAGUUUAUGCUCUUGCGGGCCAGGAGCUUUGUGCCGUGUGCAGUUUAGGCUCAUGUAGGCAAGGAGUCUGGUCGUCGCCUUUUUAGGGGUAGUAACGCUUCAAGAAUCUACCAUUUAUGGGACCGAUCCUCAAGCCGUCUUCUGCCAUGAUUAAGUAGGCGCCGUUCGUGUAGACCUCUUGUAUUACGUACGGUCCAUCCCACUUUGAUGUGAACUUGCUUUUUGUCUUGUGAGUCGUGAUGAUAGGCCUUCGUAAUGCAAGGACGAGAUCUCCAGUUUGGAAAGACCUUGGGCGGACCUUCUUGUUGAAUGUCUUGGAUAGCCGCGCUUGGUAGCAUUCCAAGUGUUGUUGAGCUUCGAGCCUUCUUUCGUCGAGUGAUUCCAACUCUUGAAGGCACAACUUUGCAUUCUCUUCAUCAGUCAAGCCUUCUUGUAUAGCCAUCCUAAGUGAGGGGAUUUGACUUUCUAGCGGUAGAACAGCUUCUACGCCAUAUACGAGAGAAUAAGGGGUAGCUUGGGUAGGAGUCCUAUGCGUCGUCCUAUAUGCCCAAAGUGCUUCGCUUAUUCUUUCGUGCCAGUCUCUCUUUGUUCGGCCGAUCACCUUUUUUAAAAGGUUGCACAAUGUUUUGUUGAAUGCUUCUGCGAGACCGUUGGCCGGAGCAUGAUACAUGGAAGACUUGUGCUGCUUGAACUUGUAUUUCUCACAGAGCUCAUCUACAAGUCGGUUGGAGAACUGUUUUCCAUUGUCAGUGAUAAUGUAGCGAGGCACACCAUAUCUGUGGAUGAUAUGUUCUUUGAUGAAACGGACAACAGUUUCCUUAUUUACUUCCCUUAGGGGUAUGGCUUCAGCCCACUUGGAGAAGUAAUCUGUUGCAGCUAGGAUGUAGGCUUCUCCUGCAGAUGACUUUGGAGUAAUUGGUCCCACGACGUCCAAUCCCCAUGCAUCGAAUGGCCAUGAAGCAGUUGUAGGGUGUAAUGGUUCAGGUGGUUGAUGUAUGAAGUUGGCGUGGAAUUGGCAGGCUUGGCACCUUUUGGCAUGUUCCAGGCAAUCCUUCACCAUACUUGGCCAGUAGUAACCCAUUCUUUUGAGCUGGAAAUGUAGCUUUGGUCCAGAUUGAUGUGCCCCGCACACGCCUGAGUGCGCUUCUUCCAUGGCUUGAUUGGCUUCUUCCUCACCUAGGCAUCUCAGAAGUACUCCUUCGAAAGAGCGCCGGUAGAGUGUUUCUUUGUAGUAGAGGAAGCGAGGUGCUCGUCGACGUAUUUCAGAGCGGUGUCUAGGAUCAUUUGGAAGUUUUCCAUACUCUAAGUAGUCAAUCAAUGGUUGUCUCCAUUCUUUAACAUCGACUGGAAGUACCGAGAUGACAUUUGUAUCAUCUAGUAGCAUUUCGGUGGCGAGGGGGAUGACCCAUCUUUGGCAAACUGGCACGUCUGCCGCUUCGUCUUCUCCUAGUGUCAUACUCGAGGCUAGGUUAGCCAGAGCGUCUGCCAUUUGAUUUUCUUUCCUCGGCACAUGUUCUAGUGUUACGGCCUCGAACUUUUGUAGCAGCUGAGUUGCCAGUCGGAAGUACGGGACGAGAUCGUCUUUCCUCACCUCAUAUUCAGUCAAGAGUUGACUAAUUAUGAGCUUGUAGUCGCCAUAUACCUCGAGGGUUGUGAUUUCCAUGUUGAUCGCCAUUUGGAGCCCGAUGAUUAGUGCUUGGUACUCAGCGACGUUGUUGGAGCACAAUUCGCUUAGUUGGAAUGAAUAAGGUAGUAUUUGCCUUUGUGGCGACAUGAAUACUACUCCUGCCCCCGCUCCGUCUGCUCGUGCGGAUCCAUCGAAGAACAUCGUCCAUCUCGGGAAUAUGUCAAUGUAGAAUACCUCCUCGUCAGGCAAGUCGUCUGAGAUUUUCCAAUCGGCUGGGAUUGGAUGAUCGGCAAGGAAGUCUGCUAAUGCUUGUCCCUUGACGGCUUUAGCUGGGACGUAAAUGAUCUCGUAUUGAUUGAGAAUCAACGCCCAUUUAGCUAGUCGCCCUGUCAAAACUGGCUUGGACAUGACAUAUUUAAUCGGGUCAGCUUUAGCAACCAAGUGGAUGGUGUAAGCAUGCAUGUAAUGUCUGAGCUUCUGGAUGGCAAACACCAAGGCAAGGCACAUUUUUUCUAUUGGGGAGUAGUUCAACUCAGCGCCGGUGAGUGUUCGACUCAGGUAGUAAAGCGCUCAUUCUUUCUGGAAUUCGUUUUCCUGUGCCAAGAGUGCUCCCACUGAACUUUCCUGAGCGGCGAUGUACAAUAUGAGUGGUUUCCCGGGCACAGGCGCCCCCAGGACAGGUGGACUUGAUAAAUAUUUUUUUAUGCUUUCAAAAGCGUUGUGGCACGCUUCGUCCCAUACGAACGGGACAUCCUUUUUCAUGAGUCGACUAAACGGUUGACAACGCCCUGCAAGGUUGGAGAUGAAGCGUCUGAUGAAGGCUAGUCGUCCUUGUAGACUUUUCAGCUCGUGUAGGUUUCUUGGCUCGGGCAUGUUUUGAAUGGCCUUGAUCUUUGAUUGGUCUACUUCAAUGCCACAGUGCUUGACAACGAAGCCGAGAAACUUUCCAGAGGUGACGCCAAAUGCACAUUUUAACGGGUUCAUCUUGAGGUUGUAUUUUCGCAGCCUUUCGAACACUACUCGCAAAUCCUUCAAGUGAUCUGAUCUUUUCUUUGUUUUGACUACCACGUCGUCUACAUAACAUUAUACGUUUUUGUGUAGCAUGUCAUUGAAGAUUUUAUGCAUUGCUCGCUGAUAUGUGGCUCCAGCGUUCUUUAGACCAAAGGGCAUCACCUUGUAGCAGUAGAUACCUUUUGGAGUGCGGAAUGUUGUCAGUUCCUCAUCUUCGAGAGCCAUACGAAUUUGAUUGUAUCCAGAAGAGCCGUCCAUAAAUGACAGUGCCUCAUGGCCAGUGGUUGCGUCCACCAUGAUUUCGAUGAUCGGCAAGGGAAAGUCAUCUUUCGGGCAAGCGUCAUUGAGGUCCCGAAAGUCUACACAAACACGUAUUUGUCCAGAUUUCUUAAGGACGAUGACGAUGUUGGAGAUCCACUUGGGGUAUUGCACCUCUCGAAUGAAGCCUGCUUCGAUUAGCUUGUCAAUCUCUACCUCGAUUUGUGGAAUGAGCUCGGAUCGAUAGCGCCUUUGAGUUUGCUUUAUCGGUCUCGUUCCAGGCUUAACUGCAAGAUGAUGUACAACGAUGACAGGGUCAAGGCCGGGCAUUUCCUUGUAAGUCCAAGCAAAGACGUCUUUGUACUCUGAUAACAGUUGGUAAUACUCGUCUACCUCGUCCGCACUUAGCAGCGCACUCACGAAGAUAGGUCUCUGCUCCUCUUUUGUGCCUAAGUUGAGCUCUUUGAGAUCAUCGACCGUGGAUUGCCCCCCAUCCUCAAGUUGUGGUGGCGCAGCAGUGACAUCUUCUUCGGGGAUCUCAUCUUCUUCGCUUUCUUGGAUCGUGAUAUGGAAGACAUCUUGGAAUUCCUCUUCGGUGUCGUCCUCUUGGGCUGGUCGGCAUGAAGAUUGUCCAGUGUGGAUGAUGGUGCGCCUUCUUACUUUCAGUGGUCCGUUUGUGUCCACCUCCAAGAUUGCUUGGCGCUUCAUCCUUGAAGGAAUUGAGCUUCGAAUAUCACAUUUUUCUGCUAUCAUGUCGAGCUUUUCUUCCUUUGACAUUGUUUUCCUAUUUCUAAAAAACUUCUUGUUGUCUUCAAGUCUUUCCAAAACUGACUGACAAGGAAGAGAGCUAGUCGUGUUGCUUUGCUUCUUAGGUUUUGACAACCUUUCAAAAACAGAGCUUUGGGAUGCUGGCAUGUUAAGUCUCUUGAAGACGGAGGUUCGGUUUUGACCACCAAUGCGGUUAAGUGCUGACAUUCUGGGUCUUGAACGAUUCAUCCUAUCGAAGACCGACGUCCAAGGGGUGGAUUUAGGUUCAUCAUGAUCUUGUUCAAUACUCACGCUAAUGUGUUGAGUGCUAGCAUUUUUCGCUUUGCUUGAAAUCUUCACGGGUGCAUUUGGUGUAAAGCCUAGUCCAACUUUGUUGUUAUCAACUCCGUAACCGUGCUUCUUCAACUUCUUUUGAGUCUCGGUGAGGUCACGUUCUUUAUUGUUAACGGUGUUUGAAACCUUCUUUCCAUGAUUCGAAGAAGAAGCGAAGUCGUAGCCAGCUUUCGACAUGAGUUUAUAGGCGUUUGGAUCAAAACCUUCUUCGGUCCUCUGGGUUGGGAGAAAGCUUGGUUCCACCCCCUUUGGUAGAGCUUUUAUGAAGCCUUGUGGUAGUCUUGCGACCUUAGUGCCGCCUAGCUGUGUCAGAGGUAAAACCGCAUUCGUCUUGAGCAACUUUACAUUAUCCAUAUGCCUCUGUGCAUCGGCUUUGUUUGCUCCAGUUUCGAACGGAGAUUGACCAUUCUUUCUUCUCGACAUCGGGAUGUAUCGGAAGACGGGUGUGUUUGGUCCAUUUGAGGGCGUCCUACUCCCCUUUGUUGUUGCACGUUUAGCUAGUUCAUUAUCGUUCUUGCUUGAAGACGGCGUAACUUCUUCUUCUUGCUUCUUGAGCAUGGCUUGUUGCUCCUGCUUUUUAGGUGUUGCUUUGCCCGUGGAUUUGAUCUCUUUUGGAAGAGCUUCGGGCACCAUGUUUUCAUCCAUGUAGAACUUGGCGUCUGCGAAAUGUGAUUCGGCUUCAGUGAAUGGUUUGGUGUCGCCAUAGAUCACCUUCACUCCUUCUCGAUAGAAUUUUAAGCAUUGGUGAAGGGUGGACGGUACUACUCCAUUCGCAUGGAUCCAAGGCCUUCCUAAGAGUAAGCCGUAAGAAGUUCUUGCAUCAAUCACGUGGAAUAUCGUGCUCGACUUGAGUUCACCAAUAGUCAUCUCCACUCGGAUCAUGCCCAUCGCUCUUUGUCCUCCUUGAUUAAAACCUUGGAUUAGUAGACGACUUAGGGACAACUCAUCUGCCUUGAUGCCGAUUGUAGUCAUUGUUGACUUUGGCAUGAUGUUUAUGGCUGAUCCACCAUCCACAAGCAUGCGGUUGACUUUGUGCCCCUUUACAUACCCAGAGACGAAGAGAGGACGGUUGUGAGGCUUGGAUCCUAGCAGCAAGUCUUCGUCGGUGAAAUGGAUUGUGUCCUCGAUGGCACAACAUGUGGCACAUUCAUGUGGCCGAAGCUUCAAGCCUUCGUGCUUGCUUUCUUGCACUUCAUGUUCAUUGGGACUUUCCAAGGCUGUUGCUAAUGCUAUUCGCAUCUUCUUUGGUAAUCGUAGCGUUUCCUCAAUGAUAAAGUCUGUUGGCAGACCUUCUUCGAGCGUGAGAGUUUUUUCUCCCUCAGUGGUGAUAUCUUUUCCUUUUGAAGGUUCUUCCGUUUCUACUUCGACCAUAUGGCAUGCAGCGAUAGUGCACUGUUGGAAGAAGUCAUUCGGGAAGUACUCGUGCAAGGAGACAGGAAUGCGUGGCUCUUGCUCCAUAGGUUCCCCAGCAUACGUUGGCUUAUCGACUUUUGCGUUUCUUUUAGGCUUCCUACUGUUGCGGCGACGGUGUUUUCUCACUUGUUCCACCUUUGGUCUUGUGGCUUGUGGUUUUGGUUUCCUUGUUUUUUUGUAGGUCACCACUGUCCAUUCUUCAUCAUCAUCGGUAUACGCAUCUUGUUCGUUUGCCCCCAGCGAUGGUUGUGUAGAAGGCACUGUGUAGCUUGCACAUUGAUAGGAAUGGUCGGGUGUCGUUUGGAGAGGCACGGGAUCGAAGGAUCCGAACGCCACUGUAGUAGUAUGUGUUGCGGCUAUGUCCUCAAGGUCUAGCUCGAUUCUCCCUUGUUGCGCUAGCUUCAUAAUGAGUUCUUUGAGGACGAAGCAUUUGCCCACUUGAUGGCUUACGAUACGAUGGUACUUGCAGUACCUAGGAUCGUUCGUUCGAUUCAUUUCUUCAGGGCGCUUGCACUCUGGUAACUCAAUUACCUUCUUUUCCAGCAAGUCAUCUAACAUUGCAUCCACGUCUGAGUCAGGAAAAGGGUACGUCUUUUGCUCCAACUCUUUCAAGGUGUUUUUAUACUUGUCUUGGGUGCGAGGAGGCUCACUUCUUUUUGUCUCCUUUGCCUUGGUCUUGGAGGAAAUCUUGAUAGGUACAGAGGUGGUCUUGAUAGGUACAGAGGUGGUCUUGAUAGGCGCGGAUGGGGUUUUGAUGGGGGUAGUGUUGACAGUAAAAGUUUCCUUGGCAGGCUUUUUUCCAGUCUUGUCCACACUCGGGGUGAACACCUUAUCCUUCUUGAAGUGGGUGAUCGGCUCAUUCUUUCCGUGAUUGGCGAUACUCAGCUCCAUGUCGUGGGAGCGCGUUGCCAGCUCCUCAAACGUUCUUGGUUUUAUGCCUUGGAGAAUGUAAUGUAACCCUCAGUGCAUGCCUUGAACACACAUCUCAAUGGCAGAGGUUUCAGAGAGCCGAUCUUUGCAAUCCAGACUUAAUGAACGCCAUCUAUUGAUGUAGUCGACGACGGGUUCCUCCUUCCACUGUUUCGUACUGGUCAGCUCCAGCAUGCUUACGGUGCGGCGCGUGCUGUAGAAGCGGUUGAGGAAUUCCUUUUCUAGCUGAUCCCAACUGUUGAUAGACUCGGGCUCGAGGUCAGUGUACCAGUCAAAGGCGUUGCUUUUCAGCGAGCGCACGAACUGCUUGACGAGGUAGUCUCCCUUUGUUCCAGCAUUGCUGCAGGUUUCAAUGAAGUGGGCGAUAUGUUGCUUCGGGUUCCCCUUUCCAUCGAACUGCAUAAACUUUGGUGGUUGAUAACCCCUCGGCAUCUUCAAAGCGUCAAUCUUCUUGGAGUAGGGCUUUGAGUAUAGUACGGAAUCAUGUGAGCUUCCUUCAUACUGCGCCUUGAUGGUGUUGGCGAUCAUCUCCUGCAGCUGCUGGAUAGAGAGAGACCCCAUGAGUGUCGCCGCUUGGUCUGGAUUCAGCGUCUCUUCGACGUUCUCCAAUGGAGGUUCCUCAUCCUUGUCGUUUUCCUUCUUUACUGGAUUAUCCCCUUGCCUGACUUUCUCAUCGGGCUUUGCAUCUAGUUGGUUAACGAGUGCUGCGAUUUGCAGGUCUUUUUCCUCCACAGUCCUUGUGAGCUUUGCGAUUGCUUCAUUCAUCUGAGCCAGCUGCUCCUCAAUUGAAGUUGUUCCAGUAACCAUGACUUGCAUAGCUAUGCCGCUGCUUGAGUCGGCAUCGGAAAGUAAGGAUUCAGAGUACUUCCUCUGGCUUUCCUCUCUUGGCGCCCUGAACGAGGCCAGGGUGAUCACCGGUUCGAACCUCGGGUGCUCUUGUGCCUUUGGCGGAGUUGAUGAAGGGGCGAAAGAGGCGGCGGAAAGAGCUUUUGCCUUGCUUCGAGUUAUGAUGCCUGAAGUGAUGCCCCCUGCCGUGAUGACGCUUUUGUUUCUUGCAUCGGCAGCGGGAACAACUCGGGCCUUCUUUGACGCCAUUUGUGCUUGUUGCGGAUUCACAGAUAGAGAUGAGAGGUAGAGACUGUCCCACUGGGCGUGCCAAAUUUGUAAACACGGAAUUCCUGCAAUGAAUGAGACAAGAACACGUGUACAAAAUAAUAUUUGUAUUAAUGAUUUAGGGGUUACAAUCUCUUCUACAAAUUUAUCCUCUGAUUCUAUCUUUGAAACGUGUAGAUGUAGUGUUGUUGAUCCAAGGGCCGUCGAGGCUUGAUCUUGGACGAACAGUUGAUGAAUGAUGAACACCUUCUUCAAGGGCCGUCGGGGCUUGAUCUGGAAUGGGUGGAAGUUCUUCAAGGGGCGUUGGGGCUUGAUCUUGAAGGAGGAUUUCACGAAGAACAAAUAGGGCUUUCUUGAUCCUUCGGGAUUUGCUUGAGAGCUUCAAAGUUUCGAGGCUUCAAGGCUUUGGUGUGGUGUGACUUCUCUUCCAAUUUGGGAGUAAAGAAAGUGUAUGUAAAAAUCCUCUCUUGAUUCUUUGAUGGAGGAGCCUAUUUAUAGGCUUUGGGAAUGAACCACCACCAUCCAUUUGUUUUGGUGGAUGUUGUAGGUGAAUUGGUGGAUUGUUGUAGGUGAAUUUGGGUGGAGGUUGUAGGUGAAUUUGGGUGGAUUGUUGUAGGUGAAUUUGGGUGUAUGUUGUAGGUGAAUUUGGGUGAAGGUUGUAGUUUUAAUGCAAUGGUCAACAUUUAUUUCACUAAAAUUUCAAUGUUUACAAAUGUAAUUUUAAUGCGAUGGCUAACAUUUAUUUCAAUGAAAUUUCAAUGUCUACACUGACGUUUUGGGUUUUGAACAAUUCAUCCUAUUGAAGACUGAAGUCUGAAGGGCGGAUUUAGGCUCCUCUUGAUCGUGUUCAAUGCUCACGCUGAUGUGUUGAGUGCUAGCAUUUUUCGCUUUGCUUGAAAUCUUCACGGGUGCAUUUGGUGUGAAGCCAAGUCCAGCUUUCUUGUUGUUAACUCCGUAACCAUGCUUCUUCAACUUCUUUUGAGUCUCGGUGAGGUCACGUUCUUUAUUGUUGCAGUGUUUGAAACCUUCUUUCCAGGAUUUGAAGAAGAAGAGAAGUCGUACCCAGCUUUUGACAUAAGUUUGUAGGCGUUUGGAUCAAAAACUUCUUCGAUCCUCUUGGUUGGGAGAAAGCUUGGUUCCACCCUCUUUGGUAAAGCUUUUAUGAAGCCUUGUGGUAAUCUUGCAACCUUAGCGUUGCCUAGCUGUGUUAGAGCCAAAACUGCAUUUGUCUUGAGCAACUUUACAUUAUCCCUAUGUCGCUGUGCAUCGGCUUUGCUUGCUCCAGUUUCGAACGGAGAUUGACCAUUCUUUCUUCUUGACAUCAGGAUGUAUCGGAAGACAGGUGUGUUUGGUCCAUUUGAGGGUGUCCCACUCCCUUUGGUUAUUGCAGGUUUAGCAAGCUCAUCAUCGUUCUUGCUGGAAGACGGCAUAACUUCUCCUUCUUGCUUCUUAGGCAUGGUUUGCCACUCCUGCUUUUUAGGUGUUGCUUUGCCCAUGGAUUUGAUCUCUUUUGGAAGAGCUUCGGGCACCAUGUCUUCAUCCAUGUAGUACUUAACGUCUACGAAAUGUGAUUCGGCUUCGGUGAAUGGUUUGGUGUCGCCAUAGAUCACCUUCACUCCUUCUCGGUAGAAUUUUAAGCAUUGGUGAAGGGUGGACGAUACUACUCCAUUCGCAUGGAUCCAAGGCCUUCCUAAGAGCAAGUCGUAAGAAGUUCUUGCAUCAAUCACGUGGAAUAUCGUGCUUGACUUGAGUUCACCAAUAGUCAUCUCCACUCAGAUCAUGCCCAUCGCUCUUUGUCCUCCUCGAUUAAAACCUUGGAUUAGUAGAUGACUUAGGGACAGUUCAUCCGCCUUGAUGCCGAUUGUAGUCAUUGUUGACUGUGGCAUGAUGUUUAUGGCUGAUCCACCAUCCACAAGCAUGCGAUUGACUUUGUGCUCCCUUAUGUACCCAAAGACGAAGAGAUGACGGUUGUGAGGCUUGGAUCCUAGCAGCAAGUCUUCGUCGGUGAAGUGGAUUGCAUCAUCGACGGCAUAACAUGUGGCAUAUUCAUGUGGUCGAAGCUUUAAGCCUUCGUUCUUGCUUUCUUGCACUUCGUGGUCAUUGGGACUUUCCAAGACCGCUGCUAGUGCUCUAUGCAUCUUCUUUGGUAAUCGUAGCGCUUCCUCGAUGUUAAAGUGUAUCGGCAGGUCUUCUUUGGUGUGAGGGUAAUUUCUCCCUCAAUGGUGAUGGCUUUGCCUUUUGAAGGUUCUUCCAUUUCUACUUCGACCAUGUGACAUGCAGCGAUGGUGCAUUGUUGGAAGAAGUCAUUUGGGAAAUACUAGUGCAAGGAGACAGGAAUGCGUGGCUCUUGCUCCAUAGGUUCCCCGGCAUACGUUGGCUUAGCAGCUUUUACGUUUCUUUUGGGCUUCGUACUGUUGCGGAGACGAUGCUUUCUCACUUGUUCCACCUUUAGUCUUGUGACUUGUGGUUUUGGUUUCCUUGUUUUUUUGUAGGUCACCAAUGUUCAUCCUUCUUUAUCAUCGGUAUGUGCAUCUUGAUCACUUACCCCCGGUGAAGGUUGUGCCGAAGGUGCCGUGCAACUUGAACAUUGGCGGGAAUGGUCAAGUGUCGCUUGGAGAGGUACGGGAUUGAAGGAUCCAAACGUAAUUAUAGUAGUAUGUGUUACGGCCGUGUCUUCUAGGUCGAGCUCGAUUCGCCCUUGUUGUGUUAGCUUCAUGAUGAGAUCUUUGAGGACGAAGCAUUUACCAAUAGGAUGGCUCACGAUUCGAUGGUACUUGCAAUAUUUAAGAUCGUUUACGCGAUUCAUCUCUUCAGGCCGCUUGCAUUCGGGUAGCUCGAUUACUUUCUUUUGCAGCAAGUCGUCUAACAUUGCAUCCAUGUUUGAGUCAGGAAAAGGAUAUGCCUUCUGCUCCGAUUCCUUCAAUGUGUUUUUGUACCUGUCUGGGGUGCGAGGAAGCUCACCUCUCUUUAUCUCCCUUGCUUUGGUUUUGGAGGAGAUCUUGAUAGGCGCAGAUGAGGUCUUGAUGGGCUCAGUGUUGACUGUGAAAGCUUCAUUAGGGGGUUUUUUCCCAGUCUUGUCUACAUUUGGGGAGUACACCUUAUCCUUCUUGAAGUCGGUGAUCGGCUCUUUCUUCCCGUGAUUGGCAAUACUUAGCUCCAUGUCGUGGGAACGAGUUGCCAGCUCCUCGAACGUUCUUGGUUUUAUGCCUUGAAGGAUGUAAUGUAACCCCUAGAGGUUUCAGAAAGCUGAUCUUUGCAAUCCAGACUUAACGAACGCCAUCUAUUGAUGUAGUCGACGAUAGGUUCAUCCUUCCACUAUUUCGUACUGGUCAGUUCCAGCAUGCUUACAGUGCGGCGGGUACUAUAGAAGCGGUUGAGGAACUCCCUCUCUAGCUGAUCCUAACUGUUGACGGAUUUGGGCUCGAGGUCGGUAUACCAGUCGAAGACGUUAUCUUUUAGUGAGCGCACAAACUGCUUGACGAGGUAGUCUCCCUCCGUUUCAGCAUUGUUGCAAGUUUCAAUGAAAUGGGCGACAUGUUGUUUUGGGUUUCCCUUUCCAUCGAACUGCAUGAAUUUUGGCGGCUGAUAACCCCUCGGCAUCUUCAAAGCGUCAAUCUUCUUAGAGUAAGGCUUUGAGUAUAGUACAGAGUCAUGUGAGCUUCCUUCGUACUACGCCUUGAUGGUGCUGGCGAUCAUCUCCUGCAGCUGUUGGAUAGAAAGGGAUCCCAUGAGUGCUGCUGCUUGGUAUGGCUCCGACUUCACAUCGACUUUCUCCACCGAAGGCUCAUCUUCUUCGCCAGCUUCUCUCUUUAGUGGAUUGCCCUUUAGGUCGAGUUUCUCGUCUUGCUGCUCCUCCAAUUGGUUAACGAGUGCAGCGAUUUGUGAGUUUUUUUCUUCCACAAUUCGUGUUAGCCUUGCGAUCGUUUCAUUCAUAUGAGCCAACUACUCAUCGAUUGAAGUCGCUCCAGUGGUCAUGACUUGCAUGGCUGAGCUGCCGCUUGAGUCGGCAUCAGAAAGCAUGGAACUAGAGUACUUCCUUGGGCUUUCCUCCCUUGACGCCCUUAGCGAGGCCAGGGUGAUCACAGGUUCGUGCCUCGGGUGCUCUUGUUAUUUCGGCGGAGUUAAUGCAAGGGUGGAAGAGGCGGCAGAAAAAGCUAUUGUCUUGCUUCGAGUUGUGACGCCCGAAGUGACACCUCUUGCGGCGAUGACGCUCUUGUUCCUUGCAUUGGUUGCGAGAACAACUUGAGCCUUCUUUGAUGCCAUUUGUGCUUUUUGCGGAUUCAAAGAUAGAGAUGAGAGGUAGAUAAGGUCCCACUGGGCGUGCCAAAUUUGUAAACACGGAAAUUCCUGCGAUGAACGAGACAAGAACACGUGUACAAAAUAAUAUUUGUAUUAAUGAUUUAGGGGUUACAAUCUCUUCUACAAAUUUAGCCUCUAAUUCAAUCUUUGUAAUGUGUAGAUUUGUGGAUUGGGCUAUUGAUCCAAGGGUUGUCGGGGCUUGAUCUUAGGAUAAACAGUUAUGCGGAUUUGUUGACGUCGUUGUUCCAAAGGGUCGUCGGGGCUUGAUCUAGGGAUGAACGGAUGAUGACUGAUGAACACUUUCUUGAAGGGCUGUCGAGGCUUGAUCUUGAAUUAGUGAAAGUUCUUCAAAGGCCGUUGGGGCUUGAUUUUGAAUGAGGAAGUUCUUCAAGGGCCGUUGGGGCUUGAUCUUGAGUGAGGAAGUUCUUCAAGGGCCGUUGGGGCUUGAUUUUGAAUGAGGAAGUUCUUCAAGGGCCGUUGGGGCUUGAUCUUGAAUGAGGAUUUGACAAAGAACGAAGAGAGUUUUCUUGAUCCUUCGGGAUUUGCUUGGGAGCUUUAGAGUUUCAAAGCUUCAAGGUUUUGGUGUGAGGUGAAUUGGUUAUCAAUUGGUGUCCAAAAUGAAUGCCUUGGCUUCUUAUUUAUAGAAUUCCAAAACCUGAUUUUUGGAUUUAAAUAAUCAGAUGAAAUAAAUCAUUUCUGCCAAGUGUUGACAUGUGUCGUGUUUGAUGACUUUUCUGAUGAUUCUCGAUUUUUCGUUGAGUCACAUGCUAUGUGUAAAAUUUGUGUGAUACAUGAACGUUGAAAUUUUAAUUAUUGAUCAAUAUUUAUUUCACCAAAAUUUCGAUGUCUAUAUGCAUACUUAGAAUGAGUCCCUUUCAAAAGAAUGUGCAUCGACGGAUAAGCAACUCUGAAUGCCUUGCCUCUAAAGGAAAUGAAGAAGUUAUGCAAGAUUGCAAGUGAUCUUAUCCUAAAAGACCUCACAGUGUUAAGCUUUUCUGGAGCAACCACAAAACUUAUGGUAUCUUACCACUAAAGGUAGUUUUUAGGAUUAAGUUUAAAUUUAAAAUUAUGAUGAAUUUUACAUUAGGAAUAAUUUUUUGGCUUUAAUUAUAGAAUUAAAAUUAUGAUGAAUUUAGGCUUUAUUUUUAGGAUUUUAGUUGUAGAUUAUGAUUAAUUUAUUAAAUUUUGUAUUAUGAAUCUGAUAUUUUGUCGUUCACAAAUUUUACAGAUGUUGCGUUUGAUUUCUCGUCGUCGCUCAGUUACCAGUGCACCUCUCGCAUAUCAUGCACAUUCCACACCUUUUGCUCCGAUCAUGAAAGCUCCACCGAUUCUGGAGCCUACACCGGUUGCAUUGGUUCCUCCUACGGUCUCUGUGACACUCGCGUCAUCAACUUCUUGGGUGACACAUCCGCAUACUAGUGCUUAUCAGAUUCACAGGCGAGCCUAGCCAGGUAACCAUGCAGAGGAGUCUCUCGCGACAUCCACAAUCGAGGGAGUGGGAUAGUAAUAUUAAAUUAAUUUGUUGAUAUCGAAAUUGCUUUCGUUUUAAGAAUAAUUGUUGAUGAUUAUAAUUGGUUGCAUGCUCCCAAUGUUGAUUUAAUGUCGAUACAUAUGAUUAAAUUGAUGAAAACAAUGGUUGGAUGUGUAUUACUAUUGUAUUACUGUUUACAGGUUAUAGGAAAUGUUAUACUUUUACUGGAAGUUCUGGCAAAAUUUCGAUAGAAUUUUAAGUUGGUUUUGGUCGUAAAUGCUUAUUUUGCAGUUAAUAAGAACAUCAAAGAGCCAUGCAGAUAGCUCAAAGUCACGAAGUUGACUUGCGUGGCGUACGAUUAGAUCAAGAUUACCUAUGAUCGCAAACAUCAUGCAGCGGCUACGGGUGAGCAGCAUAACGGGUUCGCCCACGACGUUGGGUCUGUUGAGUGAACCCACCUUAUGCAGUGGGACUCCUGGAGAGCAGUGCCAGAGGACACGAAGAAGGACGUGCUAGAUGAGUUGUGGUUAGUACGGUCAGUUUUAUUCGUACUAUUUUAGCAAAGUAUACAUAUUAAUAAUUAAAUUUUAAAUUUUAAUAUUUUUUUAUUUGGAGCUGAACUAUGAUCUUGAGCACCUCGAUGCAGACCAUACCACCUACCUACAAGAGUUCAUGGCACACUGGUAAUCUCAGUGGAAGAGUGACCUCCACAAAUAUUAUGAGGCUAAUUCAGAUCUGAAGACUAUUCUCAAAGAAGGCUACCCUAAGGAGUUGCAGGAACGCUUGGAUGAUUGUGAGUGGUUGUGCAAGUGUUUUCAAGACUCGAUGUAUUCACAUUGUGGGACCAUGAUUUUCCAGGGCAAGCGUAAGCCUGAUCCGAAUACAAUUACCUUAGAAGUCUGGUCAUGGACAAGCUCCAGGUGGAGCUGUAUCAGAUGGAGUAGCGAUGCCACCAUCACUCUACAUUGGGGCAAUAGGCCGAGUAUUAGCGAAUCUGCUAGAUGACCAUGCUUGUUCCGCAAUAGACAUGAUCUAGUCUGGAUAUUGGCACAAUUAGGUCCUAUAAGUCUUAGAGUUCCUACAAUAUAGAAAUUGGAGUGCACUGCAAGUAAUCACAACUCCUAAGAUGGUGCAAUAUCUACUUCUAUAUAUCUUUUAGGAUUCUCUCGACUUUGAACGAGGAUUUUAUCAUAAAAAGGUCUCUCUCCCCACAGCAUAAAUACACCCAUCCAGGGUUCGUCUUUAGUAACGCAAUCUAAACACUUUAAUUCUCUUGCCCACUGCUCAAGUCUAAAAUCAUUCCCUAACUUGACCAUCAGAUUGCCUUUGCCCAAUACCCUACCGCCCAGUCAGGCUUGCUUAUGUUUGUUUACUAUUUUGCAAGUUGCUCAGAUUUGUGCUCAACCAUCAUUCACGAUGGUGCGCGAAUUUGGUUCCAACAAUUGGUGUUGUCAUUAAAAGUGAACUUAUAUUCCUCUCAAUCAAACCACUAUGCUAAUUGAUAUGUCAGAGAGCUCAGUUAACAACAUCUUUGUCGUUCCCAAGGCAAUAUCCACGAGGAGCACAAUGGCAUUGCCGCCAUCAAGGAGAUGUGGGAAGACGUCAUGGAAAUCUAUCUUUAAAUGGUGUACGGAUGAAGUCCACUGGCUAGAUAACUUGCUAGACUUGUUGACAUGAAGGCACGCGUCAAACACCUCAGAUAAGCUAUUUCUCGUUUUGAAGAAUUAGCUACUCGAAGGACGGAAGAGAUCGAUUUAAUUGAGGAGUCAUCUUGACACCCUAUCCCAGAAAAACACAUUAGGAAAUCCAGGAGACUUUUGGGUCUUCACCUUGUCCAAUGCCUAGGGGAAGAGCGUUACUUGAGGUAAACUGUAUAUAUGGCAAGUAAGAAUAUCUAGGAGACACCCAUCAACAAGCCAUUGGCGAUCGAUUAUAACAUCUUGAUGUUUUUGGAUCGUGAUUUGAAAGAUGUCCACUAGCCCUAUGAUGAUGCCCUUGUUAUCAAGGUCCAUAUCUUCAAUGCCUUGGUGAGUUGCAUCCUGGUCAACAACUGCUCAGGAGUUAGAGUCCUAUUCAACCACAUCGCCAAAAAAAUGGGGAUUCUCAAUAGCUUAAACAAAGGGAUGAAAACCCUCCACACCUUCAACAGAGUAUCAGUACAAUUUCUAGGAACAAUGAAGCUAGUGGUCCAAGAAGAACCCUAAAAACAUUUGGUGACCUUCCACGUAAUGAAUUUCCUGACUCCUCACAACGCCAUUCUCGGCCAGAACUGGUUACACAAGAUGAAGGUUUUUUUGUCUAGUUACCACCAAUUAAUCUGUUACUCGACUCCUGAAAGAGUAAAAGAAAUUAAAAAAAAGAUCAAUCAGCAGCAUGUUAUUGCGCUGUUGAAAGCAUAAAAACGAUCAGGAAAGGAGAACGAAACAUCAACACCCACAUAGAUGAAUCAUCAUAGCAAUCAUAGUGGGGUCAGCAAACAAGUUACAAGGAAUUCGACUUGGAUCUUGACCCCCAAGAUGAUAGUAGAUCGGAGUCAAAGACAAGCGAUGAUGCCAUAUACAUCAACCUUUAACCUGACAUACCCAAAUGGAAAGCCAAGAUUGGCUCAAAGCAGACCGAUUGAGAGAAAUAACUGUUUACUAACUUCCUGCAAGCUAACGAAGACUUAUUUGCAUGGUCAACAUAGUACAUUCUUAGAAUUGAUCCCUCUAUGACCUGCCACUGUCUCCAUAUGGACCUAAUUGCUAGGCCAUAAAUAGAAUCAUGGAAGUUAAUGCAUUAAGAUCAUAGAUGCAGAGAUAUACAAAUUCAAGUAUGGCCAGUUCAUCAUUGAAGUCCAACACCCAGAUUGGCUAGCAAAUGUUGUGCUAAUGCAUAAGAAAAAUGGAAAGUGGAGAGUAUGUGUGGAUUGUACAGACCUGUACAAAGCAUGCUCAAAGGAUCCAUACCCACUCCCACUGAUAAACCUAUUAGUAAACUCAAUUGCAGAACACAAACUUUUAAGCUUCAUGCAUGCUUACUUUGGAUAAAACCAGAUAAAGAUGUAUGAGCUGGUCAUGGAAGCUACAUCCUUUAUCAUUGAUCGAGGGACAUACUGCUACAAAGUCAUGUCCUUCAAACUUAAGGACACAUGGGCAACAUACCAGCGACUCGUCUACUGAAUCUUUGAGGAGAAGAUCGGAGACACAAUGGAAGUCUACAUGGACGACAUGGUUGUUAAUAGCAAAGAGAAGAGUGGCCAUAUAACAUAUCUCUAAGGAUUGUUUGACCUACUCUAGAAGUAUAACAUGAAACUGAACCCCGAAAAGUGUACAUUCGGGGUAGCAUCUGGUAGAUUUUUAGGCUACAUGGUUACUAAGCGUGGGAUUAAGGCUAACGAAGACUAGAUAAAAAAUCCAUGAUAGAGAUGAAGUCCUUAGAACCAUGAGGGAAAUACGAAGCCUAAUAGGGCGAGCGACAGCCUUCAACAGAUUUCUUUCACGAUCCACCGAUAAGUGCAAGCCUUUCUUUACAUUGAUAAAGAAGAGCAAGGGUUUACUUUGGACAAAUAAAUAUGAGGAAGCCUUCACGAAACUCAAACAUACCUCUCAAAACCCCCUCUACUGUCCAAACCAGUAGAUGGAGAAGACUUGUCCUUGUACCUGGAUGUAUCUGAUUGUGUGAUAAGCACAUCUCUGAUCCAAGAAGACUUGGGGGAGGAGAAACUGGUAUAUUGCAUAUAAACAUCUCUUCUUGCAUUAGAGACAAGAUACUAGAAAAUGGAAAUGCUUAUCUUCGCACUAGUAAUGGUAGCAAAAAAACUUUGACCAUAUUUCCAGUCGUUUAGAGUGGUUUAUAUGACCGUGUAUCCAUUGAUAUCCAUCUUGCAUAGCCCUGAUGCCUCAUCUAGAGUCACUAAAUGGCUAUCAAACUAGAGCAACAUGAAAUAAUUUGUCGACCAGGACACUAAUCAAGGCUUAAGCAUUAACAUACUUUGUAGCUAAAUUCAUACCAGCAGCUCAAACUACUACAGACGCAACAAGUUCCCAAAUCCUUCUAGAAAAUCUAUGCCUUUAGACACUUUAAGUAGAUGGAUCGUCCAUAAUCGAACAGGCUUUGAAACUCGGGUUUAAGGCAAACAACAAUGAAACAGAGUACGAGGCCCUUUUGGCAUAACUCAGAGUCGUGGAAGAACUCCAUGUAAAGAAAUUGCUAAUUCAUUGUGACUUGAUGCUCAUAGUUAAUCAUGUCACAAGUGGACUAUGUCGCCUAUCAUCCUACCAUGGGGCUAUACCUAAAUAUGGUCAAAAUACUACUCGAGAAAUUUGAAAGGUACGAAAUUACACUAAUCCCUAGAUGAGAGAAUAGUCACGUCGACGCACUCAUCGAAAAGCCUCAAAUGUAGAUUACUCCCUUCAAUGGAUGAUCCCCUUCGAAUAUCUAGAAGUCCCCUAUCAUCCAUAAAACAGAGUUUAAGAUGAUCGCCGUCAUUGACACUUUAGAAAAUUGAAUGGACGAAAUCAUUAACUACAUACAAAAUGAAAAACUACCAGAGAACCGUAACCUGGCCAGAAAGUUAAUCUAGAAAGUGUCAAGAUCACUGUUCUAAAAAUCCUCGUCUAGGCGCUAGGCAGCCUGCCACAGUACUGAUUUGUCCCUAGGUGUUCGAAAAUUAAGAAAGUCACUUAGAUCCGCUUAAGGCGUCCGCCUAGCCCGCCUAAACCCACCUUGUCGCGGCUCUCAUUUAGACAAAGAAUCAAUAACUUUCAUUUUUCAUUUUAUUUUUUAAAUAAAGGGAUGUGCUAUCCACACACCCCUUUUUACUUCACAUACACCCCUUAUUAAAUUUUGUCCUUUGAUCUUCUUCAAUUCAUCCGAUCCGACGGUCAAAAACCAAAAAGGUGUGGGAUAAGUAAAAAGGGGUGUGUGGAUAUCACACCCCUAAAUAAAAUGUAAGAGACUUGUUAAAUACUUGAGGAACACUCAUUUUAUGCUUGUUCCUCAUGUUUUCAAUAUGUUCUAAUACUUUAUAAUCUAUAUAUCAUUUCAUUUUGUAAUUUUUGUAAACAAGUAUUUGUUUUAAGUUUAAAUAGGCAUAUAUUAUUGCAAUACAUAAUAAAUUUACUUAAAUCCGCCUAGUUCACCUAGGCGCUAGACCCCUGCUCGCCGCCUAACUAGCUCCUAGCAUCUUUUAGAACCUUGGUCAAGAUAUACAGUCAUCCAUGAAAAGCUCUACUGACAUUCCUUUUCCAGACCUUAUACCUUGUGCAUCACUCUAGACGUUGGCCCACAAAUUCUAAAUGAUAUCCACUCGGGUCUGCGACAAUCAUGCUAGAGGAAGAUCAUUGGACCAGAAAGUGAUAAUUGCAAGCUACUAUUGGCCCACCAUGUGGCAAAACACAAUUAGCUAUGCCCAGAGUUGUGAUAAUGUCCAAGGUACGCUCUUAUGAACCAUCAACAUGCAAAAUAACUUAAUACUCUGAUAGGUUCAUGGCCUUGCCUGCAAUAGGGCAUCAAUUUAGUAAGACCUCUUAAGAAAGCCCCAAGGAACAUGCACUACCUGAUAGUGGCGACAAAUUACUUAUCGAAAUGGAUAAAAGCGGAGCCUUUAACAAGAAUCACUACCACAGUUGUUAAGUUCUUCAUUUGAAAAAACAUCAUCUGCAGAUUUCAAAUUCCCUACACAAUAUUGAUAGACAACAGGUUAUAGUUCACCAGCUCUGAAGUCACGGACUGGUACAAAGAGCUAGGGAUCCUUCACCUCACUUCCACUCUAAGAUACCCACAAGGUAACAUACAAGCAGAAGUCUCGAAAAAAACCAUUUUGCAAUGUUUCAAAAAAUAUUGGAAGUAAAGAAAAGCAAGUGGCCAAAAGAAUUGCCAGAGUCAUAUGGGUGUAUCGCAUGACAAUCCAAAAAGCAAUCGGGAAAAUGCCAUUCUCCAUGGCCUAAGGAAUGAAGGCUCUCAUAUCAGUUCAAGUCACAACUAUGCUGAAUUUGCAUACUGAAGAACAAACUAUCCUAGAAAAUAUGGUCCUGAACACUGAUCUCGACUUUGUAGAGGAGCAUUAAGAAUGUGCUUAAGUCCAACUAGCAGCCUAUUAGCAGUGGAUCUAAUCAUAUUACAACAAAGGCGUCAAACCCAUAAAGUUACAAGCUAGGGACUUGGUCUUGAGAAAAGUUUUUGAGAAUACCAAAAUCUAAAGAAAAGGAAAACUCGAGGUAAACUGGGAAGGACCAUACAAGAUCGCUAAAGUAGGAGGAAACAUAACCUAUCACUUGGAGCACAUGGAUGGAACCCUCAUCACCAAGAAAUGGAACAUCGCUAAGCUCAAAAAAAUAUUAUCCAUGAACGCACCAUUUAAACUAUAUGCGAUUUGAUUCCUUUCUCGAGAUAUGUAGGUAGUCCUCUCCGGACCCAAUUGCAAGCCGCCAGAUGUACGAAGAAAGUCCAUGGAGAACUCAUAUUCUCAUGCCCCACCAAAAGCUUUUCGUCAAAAGUGACCCUUGGUGAUUUUUUUACAUCAUAUCAUCUUUUUCUUAGGACUACACACAUCACUAGUGAUUUGAUUCUCCAUCCCAAAGAUAUGUAGACAAUCUUUUUUAGAUUCAAUCACACCCCCUAAACAAUCUAAUUAUACUUUGGAUCAUCAAUAAAGAAAAGUUAUAUGUCUUAAAUGUCUAUUCUUUAUUUUCCUUGUGAUGUAGGAGAAUACCUUACUUAUUCUAAACAGGGUACAAACUUUGAAAACUUUGCACGAAUGCAAGUACAAAAAAGUUCAAAGUAAGACUGUUAGAGGAGUAUCUCUUAGACCAAUCCAUCUUAAUCAGUUAGCAGCUUGAGAGGUAAAUUGUAAUAAAGGCGAUAAUGAUUGAAAGGUUGCAGUCACAACACAUUGUGCCCUGACCUAGAAGUGCAAUGCAUCAUCUGGCCUCCGGAAAGUGUAUGCAACUAGCAAGGUUAUGGGUUAUAACAUUUAAACUUGAGCUCUACUUCAUUCGAGGGAAUAGUAGAAAUGGUGAUCCGAAAAUCAUUCGUGGGUGACUCAGAACUCUGAUCUCGAGUACGACUACUUCUAUCCUGUACCAACAUACUAAGCCAUGUAUGUUCUGUGACAUCGUAUGUCAACAGGUUCAAAAGAGGCAUCCAGACUAGGCAAUUUCGAAGAGGAAUUUUAUUCCAAUGGAGCUUUAAUACGCAGAAAUGGUUUGGGUAAGUCAGGCAAGGUAGUCUGAUCAGAAACGCUCAAGUUCGACACAUUGUAUUUGACAAAAGGAUUCAAAAAGUGUUUCUAUCCCACAUGCUGAUAACUAUGUUUCCAACAAUCUUUCAUUUAAGAUUCACUAGAAAUGGACAUACAAUCUAAUCUAGGAAGAGAAAUUCCUUCAUGCACUACAUUGCAAUUAAUAAAGCCCUUAGCCCAAGAUUAGGGGCAAGGUAUAGAAGAUUUCACUAACUUAUCUAUUGAAGGAUAUUUCAGAUGUGGUGUAACCGUCUCAAAUCCGAUAAAUGUAUAAAUGAGUUCAGAUCGGAGGGUUCCUCAUAGGUUUAAUGUAUAAUUCCUGGUACCGGGGUAAGGUGGUAUUUCGGUUAACGCGAUGAGAAUCCUUUAUAGAUGCAAAGUUUGGGAGGUAAUGUUUCUCUGAAUCAAUGUUAACAAAAGGGUCUUAAAACUUUAUCCUAGGCCCACAAACCUAUUCCCAUUCUGCUCUGUUACUUAUUUUAUUCCUUGAAGUUUGUUUACUUUGAAAACAUUUAUUAAAUUAUAAAUUCUUCAUGAAAAAUAUACACAAGACAAGAAGAUCCUUACAUAAACGCAUGCUUAUUAUCAAAGUCACAAAGGAAGAUCCUUACAUACACAAGACAGGAACAGUGCUCCUUGUUUGCAUAAGCUUAAAAGGCGACACCCAAUGCUCCUCGCCUACACGAGCCUAAACUGCACACAGCAACAAUGCUCCUCGCCUGCACCAACCUAAAUUGCACACGGCAACAAUGCUCCUUAUUCACACGAGCUUAAAAGGCAACACCCAAUGCUCCUUGUUCACACGAGCUUAAAAGGCGACACCUAAUGCUCUUCGUCUGCAUGAGCCUAAACUGCACACAGCAAUAAUGCUCCUUGUUCAUUCAAGCUUAAAAGGUGACACCCAAUGCUCCUCUCCUGCAUGAGCCUAAACUGCACACGACACAAUGCUGCUCGCCUACACGAGCCUAAACUACACAUGGCACAAUGCUCCUUGUUCGCACUAGCGUAAAAUGCGACAUUCAAUGCUCCUUGUUUGCACAAACUUAAAAGGCAACACUCAACGUUCUUGGCCCACAAGAGUAUAAACUAUGUACGGCAAAACAAAAAAAAAAAUAUCAAAGCCAUCAAAACCAUCAAAAGUAAUCCAUCAUUCAUUUGAACUACGUCAUGACUUGAUCCCUUCUCAACCGAGGGUACGUAGGCAACUUGAAACUUCAAAACUUCAAGUACAGUUACAUCAUCAACAAAAACACAAAUACUUUGAAGAAUAAAGAGCAAAUUCAAGAAUAAACGCAAAUACUUAUUUCAAGGAAGAAUUCGGUUCCAAAGUCGUAUUACAAAAUAAGCAAAAAACAAAGAUGACUUCUCCAGUAAUCGACAAUGUGCCAUUCCAAGUCAUAGCUCUGCUACAGAUGCGAUCGCCAAGAAGCUCAAACAAAGGUGGUGGAUUGUCACGAACAUGGUGCGAAGGAUUCAAGAUAAGAAUUCUCGAUGUACAUGCCUUCUUCUUCGUAUUUGGUCGACCAAAAUUUGUCACCUCCUCAGAUAUUUCAGAAGACCACAACUUGAUAUGCAUCGAGUUGUCUUUUGCAAGAAGAACAAGCACCUUAGGGCCAAUCAACAGCGCACAAAGUUUCAACGUCGUUCCCAUAUCUUGAGAAUUGCCUUCCUUCGCAAGAAUGGUGAUGGUAUUGCUCUUAAAGCACUUGAAAAAUACCAUAACUGCAACAAAACAAAGAAAAGACAACAUAAGCACAAGGUGGGACGACAAGAAAAAAAAAGAAAAAAAAAGAUUGCUUCACUAAAGCAAAAGACAUGCGAGACAAACCUCAUGAGCGUUAAAGGAUGAUGAUGACAAAGUCACAAUGACGAAAAUAUAUUAGCCAUAAAGCCUGAGCAGCACAACAAAGAGGGCAGCUAUAAGACAGUCCUGUAAAGCACACUAUAGUAGCAAAGAAAACCAAAAUGCUACACAAUCGUACUACGCAACCCCACAACAAUUACGCAAGUAGUUUCUUGCACUGCACAGCAACAUCACCAACGAGGAAAACUGCGACCAAAAGGCACUACAUAACAUAACCUCGCUGCGGUCUUUUGCAUAGUACCACAUGGUAAAAAGUGAUGCACUGCAACAAGCUUCAAGCAGCAAUUACACACGGCAGCAAGCAGCAAUAAGGCAUGGCAUAACAGCAAGCACAGUGGCAAUGCACGGCAAGGGUGUGUUGUGGCAAAAACACACACCCAAUUGUCUUAUAAAUAUGGGUCAAUUGCUUUCUAAUGCUAUAGGAGAAUACAUACCAAAUUGCAAAAGGAAAAUCAAAAGAAGGAAGUACAUUCCAACCAAAAGAAUGAAGCAAAUUCCAAGCAAAAAGGGCAAUGUAAUUUUGGCCAACAAGGGAAAUACAUGAUGUUUUUGCAACAAAAGUCAGCAAAGAAAAGAAGAGGAAACAAAGAAAUAAGGAAAAAGCUUCUAAAUUUCCAAAACAUCAAAGGAAAUUGCCCCCUUGCCAAAAUUCAAAGAGGGAAUCCUUCCAAAGCAAGUACAAGUCUUCAAGUUUCCCAAACCAAAGGGAAAAUAAAAACACACCCUCUUUGCCAUGGAAAAGGAAAGGGAAAGGAAAACAAUGCAAAUCCUACUUACCCAAGGACAAGCAUUAAAUCUUUCCAAAACCUUGAAGGAAAUCACCAACACUUUCCAACACUUUGAAGGAAAUCACCCUCAUUACCAAAAUUCAAGGAGGUUCCUACAUAAGCAAGGAAAAACAUUUUUUUCCUACAACCACAAGGAAAAAAUUCAAAACCAAAUGUAUUUUGUCAAAAUUAUGGAAAAUCAAUAUGCACAAUAAGUAUGUAGCAAAUUAUCCAUUUCCAAAAUUUAUUUCAACAUCAAGCUUCAACUGCCAUUGAAAAUAAAAAAUUUCAUUUCUUUGAAGAUCAAGCCUCUAUGGCCUUUGAAGGAAAAAAUUUCAUUUCUUUCAAGAUCAAGCCUCUACGGCCCUUGAAGAAAAAAAAAUUCAUUUAUUUCAAGAUCAAGCCUCUACAGCCCUUGAAGAAAAUUUCCUUUUCAUUUAAGAUUAAGCCUCUACGGCCCUUGAAGAAAAUUUUCAUUUGAUUCAAGAUCAAGCCUCAACGGCCCUUGAAGAAAUGUUUCGUUCAAGAAAUACGCCUCAACGGCCCUUGAAGAAAUGUUUCGUUCAAGAAAUACAUCUCUACGGCCCUUGAAGAAGCAAACUAAUUCAAGAUCAAGUCUCGACGAUCCUUGAGUUAGAACAUUUACAUUGCAAGACUUCAAAACACAUUUCCUACAUGUGACAAGCACAUGCCUACACCAGGCCUUGAAGUGGGGCCAUUUGUAGACAUGAAAAUUUCAUUGCACGCAAAUGAUGCAUCACAAAGCUCCACAUGGCAUAUGACUCAUCACAAAUGGAUAAGUCAUCAAUGACAUGUGGCACAAAUCAAGCAAAGAAAGCUCAAAAGCAUUCCUAAAAUGCAGCAAAGGGGAAGAAAUCUCCUUAAAAUUGGCAAAGGGUCCAAGUUGCUCCCAAAACUAGAAAGAAAGCUAAAGCAUCUUCAUAAAACAAGUAAGAAUUGAAUAUUGCUCACAAAAUAGGUAACAAGCCCUAUAAUUCGGCCAAGCAAGGGAAAGUGCCUGAAAUUAAGACACAAAACAUGCCUAAAUUCUCCCAUGGAUGAAUCAAGACACAAAUCAAAGCCAAAUCCACCCAAAGGAAUGGCUUUGGAAGUCUAUAAAUACAAGGUCCUCAGACAAGCAUAAAGGUCAACAAUUUCUACAAUGAAGGGCUGGAAUUCUCAUAAAAGGAGAACCUCUGCCAAAUCUUUGAAAACUAAUACGCUACCAAAGCUUUCUUCUAAGAACAUACAGCCAAAGCUGAAGCUUUCUUUCGAUCAAAGCUGAAACAUUCCCUUGAAGAAUCAACAAGCACUUAUGCCAAUUCCUUCAAGACUUUGUUCCAAGCUUAAAAUUUGUAACGGCAUUUAAUCCAAGAUCAAGUCGCCAAGACGCUUGAAUCAACAAAAUCCCACAUCAACAUCACCUUUGCCGCAGGUCAUACGCAAACCUUGAGGUGAAGACUAUCCAUGCAUUGUUUCAAGCUCAAAACUUGAGGAAAUCUUUCAAUCGUUCGUCUAAGAUCAAGUCAUUGCCACCUUUGGAUCAACAACCUACGCAUCUACAUCAAAUUUGAAGACUGAAUUAGAGGAAAAUUGUAAAUAGAGAUUGUAACCUACAAAUUCAUCUAUACAAAUCUACUUUGUACACGUGUUCUCAUUUCAUUCGUUACAGAAUUUUCGUGUUUACAUUAGCAACAAUUACAUUUAACAUGAUUAGAAUUCUAAAACAAAGACUUGAGCUUGGUGAUGUUGUAGUCUGCAGCUUAAGCUUCCAGGGAUGUUGAAUUGCACAUGGAAAUAUUUGUGGACCUUACCCAUUUAAUGAGGACAUUCUUGUUUUUUUUAGAAAAAGUUCAUGUAUCGUCUCUAGAACUUUUAAAAUAUUUUGGCCCCCUCCGAUACAAACAAUCAGCACAAUAUUUAUGCCCUGCCAAAGGUAUCCAGUAUGACAAGUUGGAAAAUGGCAACUGGAGGGCGUAUCCCAUUUUGGCGAAAGUCAAGAAAUUUCAGGAUUCCUUUCAGGCUUGUCGUUGGUCUUGGACUCCAAGUUCAGCCAACAAGGCGGCGGAUCUGUUAGCGUCACAGAAGUCGAAGGAGAUGUAUGAUGUUUCGUGGGUUGACCGACCCCCAUCCUCCUUGGUUUAUGUCUUAAACAACAACAAUUUGCCGUGCCCACAUUAGGUUAUCAUGGCUUUGCAGGGGGUGACGUCUUGGCAUGCGGCUCUGCUUCAGUUUUUCUUGUAACUCCCUGCAAAGCUUGUCUCCUUUGUACUACUUGCUGAUUGCCUUGUUUUGGCUUUCUAUAUGUUUGGCUUCUUAACCCUGGCUAUGAUAUUCCAGUUACCAAAAAAAAAAAAAAGUAUCCAGUAUAAAAGGCGAGCCCAGCUAGUACUGUUACUUAAAUAUAUAGUACGGUUAAUUGCAUACCUCCAGAUGACCAUUUUCAUAUAUAUAUAUAUUAGUUAGUUGUGAGUUCUAUAUAAAUACAACUUCUCACCUAAGUUCAUCCAACCAUUUAAGUUUAUUGUUUUUAUUUUUUAUUUUUACUUGUAAUUGCGUCAAAAGACAAAAGAAAAGUUUUAAUCAAAACCAACAUUUUGGUUUCUAUUGAAUAAUAUAGAAGAGACAAAAAGAUGUUGGUCUAUAGUGAAGUUCAAAAAUUGGGGGUGCAUUGACACACCUCAACCCGGAAUGUCCACUAGGACUCCGAAUCGAGCUGUGCUGGCCAACAUCUGGAAGGUGACGAAGCCAUAAAGUGUGAUGAUGUGGAAAAUGUGAAUAAAUUUAUACCUAAUAGUGCCUAAAUACUAGAGUGCACCGGUGAGCGGGAAUGAACCCACUUCACACGUGACAUUAGAGCAUAAGCAAGUACAGAAUAGUGAAUUAAGAAUUGUACCCUCGAAAUAAUCUCCAAUACUACGAAUCGCCACGAAUCUUCGACGCUAAGAAAGCUCAGCUAAUAAAACCUGGUGGGUGAAGACAAGACAAAGGUGAGUGGCUCUGUAAAUAAAAUUUUAAUAGAAACCAUAUAAAACAUUAUAACCCCUCGCUACAACACCUGUAUAAUUUCCAGAAAAAAAAAUCAUAAAUAGUUCACAACACAGCAUCUCGUCAACAAUAUCAAAUUAUCAUGCGAUUAAUAACUCAUACUAGUACGCAAGUCGGAGUCACCUAUGGUGAUUUAUACGACUUACCCAUAUCGCAUCACAUAUUUCAUCACAUAUACUAGCUUAUCACAUAUUCAUCACAUAUGCUAGCUUAUUGCAUAUUCAUCACAUAUGCUAGCUCAUCGCAUAUUCAUCACAUAUGUUAGCUUAUCGCAUAUUCAUCACAUAUGCUAGCUCAUCACAUAGCUCAUCGCAUAUUCAUCACAUAUGUUAGCUUAUCGCAUAUUCAUCACAUAUGCUAGCUUAGCUUAUCACAUAUUCAUCACAUAUGCUAGCUUAUCACAUAUUCAUCACAUAUGCUAGCUUAUAAGUCAGAGUCACCUCUAAUGACUUGUACGACUUAUCCAUAGCUCAAUAAGUAUACCUGCACACGAGUCGGAACCACCUAAAGUGGUCUGUACAACAGGACUGGGUGUAAAUAAAUAUGCUCAAGUGCUACGAUCAAGUGAAGACUAUGCGAAUAAUCGCAGGUCACCUACGAGUUGGAACCACCUAUAGUGGUUUGUACAACAGGACUGUGCACCUACCUUAGAUCCAAGGUGAGCGUAAGGUGCGAGAGGUGCACAUCACAUGAAGGACUGUGCCCUGGCCACGGGUGGGAGCACUAACAUGUGGGUGCAGGUUUAUGAGCUCUCAAUGCAUCUCAACAUAACAUGUACAAUUCAUGAGCAACCCGCACAACAGUGUCGGGGUUGCUUAAGACAUAAUAUAGUCAUGCCAUAACCCCAUCAUGUCAACUAAUACCAUAAACUCACCUGAACUUACCUGGGUGUCCUGAGUUCACCUUCGCGCUUCCAAGCAUUUACAAUGAUUACGUGCAGGUAAUAUACAUAUGAAUAUGCCAUGAUGCAAUCAAAAUUCAACCAUAACAUAGUAUUCCUAAAUAUAUAUACACACACACACACACACACACACAUAUAUAAUAUGGCAUAAAAUGCAUAAUCCGUAAUGCCCUACUCCCGAACUACUUAUUUUCGGAGAUAAUUAUCAAGGAUAAGCCCAACUAGAUACUAGUUUAAUUAACUAUCAUUACGUUUCCUUACUUCAAAUUCCUGAUUCGUCAUACAUUGAUUUUUGACCAAUAUUUAACCACCAAAUCAUAGGGUUAAAUCUUAUAUUUUCCACCAAUGUCCCUCACAUUACUCUAUUCCCUAAACAAGGCUAUUGUCUGAUAGGAGCAUAUUUAUGCAACUUAGUUAGCUUGUUUCUUGGCAUUUAUGUUGUUAGUACGUAGUUAUUUUAGUAUUUUAAGCUAUUUUCAUGUGGUUGUAGGUCCAAAGGGUUAAUGUGGCAAAGAAGUGCAUUUUGGAGCCUUUUGGAGCAUUUUUGGGCAUGGAAUGGAUAGCAUAUGCUUGGAGCAAAAGGAAUGGACGAAAUUGAAGACUUGAAGAUGUUAGGAUUCCUAAUUGAAGAAGGAUUCCUAGUUGAAUAAGGAUUCCUAGAAGAAUGAGGAUUCCUACUCAAAUAAGGAUUCCUACUUGAAGUAGACCUUUCCUAAUCCUAAAAGUCCUUAAGUUCUAACUACAAAGGAGUUUCCAAAACACAUUACGAUACUUAAUUACAUGUUCUAGAAACCUUAGACAUGCCCAAAAGUCCAUGCCGCACAAGGGAUCCUCUCCUUUCCUAUUUUCUGAUUUUAAUUCACAUUCCCCUUUAGUUCUAGGCAUUGCCGCACCUUUCUCUCCUUUCUUACCUAUUUUCUGACCCAAAAUUGCAUUACCCUUUUGUCUCAAUCCUUGCCGCACAAGGGGAGAGGAUUCUUACCUAUUUUGUGCCUCAAAACACAUUCCUAAAUUUGUCCUACAUUCUUUGCCGAAUUUCCUUUCCUAUUCUCUUUAAAUUCCUGCACCUUACUUGCCUAUUUUUCAUUGAUUUCUGAUUCCAAAUUUAAUAAAUUCAUAGCCCUUCCUUCCCAUAUAAAUAAAACCCCUUUCUGACCAUUCUAAUCUCUCCACCCUUGACCAUAACCAACCUAUAUCCAUCCACCACCACAAAUCACCACAAAAACCUUCACCCAUCCCUUGUGCCGCAACAAAGAAGAAGGAAGGAGACCCUUGGACGUGCUUGCCAUUCAAGUUGGAUUGCUGGAGCGUUUUUAGGUGUUUUCAUUCUUUGUUUUCAAUGUCUAAAUUUAUGUAUCUUUGUUUUGUGAACAUGAGGAACUAAGCCCUUCUUGGCUAGGGGGCUAUUCAAAAUCAUGAUUAUACUUGCAUUAUGAAUUGAUUACCUUCAGUUGUUAUUUCAUAAGUUGUGAAUGCAAUUUGCUUAACCGUUUGAUUGAUAACUUAUUCUUGUAUGUUUAUUAAGAGUGCACACUUAGUUUUCAUGCAAGGAUUUGAAGCUAAAAUAUAAGGGAGUUUCACCUAAUAGUUACAAACUUAUAUUUGCAAGUAGUGGAGGUCGCUUAUAAACGAUCAUGUUAAGUGAAUUCUUGGCAAAAGUUUCAUGCUUUUCAUAGUUACAAUUGUCUUGUGAAUGCUUAUAGUUUUCAUGAAACUUAAUGAUCUUUGAUUGUACCUUUAUUGUGCUUUUCACGUAGGGACUUUUAGGGAAUGCUUUGAAUUGUUGUAUGUGCUUUCCCAUCCAAUUCAUUAACUUAAGGAAAACUUGAAGGUUAAAAGAGUGUUGUCACAGUUAACCUGGAGUAUUGAGUUUCAUGACGUAUUGAGAGAAGCAAUUGGAAAUCAAUUUGAAUGCAAGUGUGUCAUGUGUGGAGAAGAAACCUCUAGCUAGCCCAUCAUCCGUCUAAUUCAACCAAUUUCGUGCAAAUUUGUCUAGUUUUAAUUCUUGCUUUGUUUUACUUUAUUUUCGUCCAAAACCCAAUCCCCCUUUACUUUAGUGUGUCUAAUUAGUUAGAAUUUGUUUUAGUUAGUGUUUUUAAGUGUUUUGAGUUAAUAAAAGUCAAUUUUCGUCCAAAAUCGUUCCUAGUGUCUAGUUUGAGUGUAUUUGGUUGUUUAAGCUGUUUUGAGUAUUUUAAGUUUGUUUUGAGUCUUAUGAGUCUUGUUAAGUGUUUUUAAGUUUAUUUUUGUGUUUCUAAGUCAGUUUAGAGUAGAUUAGCAAUCCCUCCUAAUCUCCGGUCCAUAACGAUCCUUACUUAUCCAUACUACAAUUGUCAACAAGAGGGUUUAAUUUGUGUGUUAAGUUAAUUUUCGCAUCAUUGUCUCAGUUAUUUAGUCUCAUUUAUUGUAUGGCUACAUCUAACGUCUCGUUAGACUGCCUACGUACCCUAAAUAGGGAUCAAGCCAUUCGUAGUUCACAAUAAUUAAUUGUAGGUAACAUGCAUAAUUCACUUUAGAAGCAUUUGUGGAACUAUCAAUUAUAUACCUAUGAUAAAAGGAAAAUGCCCACUCACCUGGAGUCCACGUUAUGAUUCUCUAGCACGUGCAUCGAGGCGUCUCGAAUGAUUGGUGCCUAGAACAAUUUUUGAAUCACAUCUCAGAACUUUUAUCAAUAGAAUACGUAAUUCACAUAAAACACAUCCUCAAGGACAUUCUAAAAUAGUUUGAGACCCAUUGACCAUAAGUCAACCGUCGAUCUUUGAUCGACGGUUGGGUCUGCAACCCUGUAAACUUGAUCUGGAAGAUCCGCAUAUCAGAUUUCCAAUCCGCAACUUCCAAAGAUACACAUUAUGCUUCUAGAAUAACUUACUAAAAUUUCAUUACGAUCCAACGGUCGGAUCUCCGUCAAUUGCCCAAAACUAAGUGACGGUUAACAUUUAUUUUAUAAACUUACAAAUCCAAUUGGGGAAGAUCCGUAAGUUUCUAUGGUCCUUAAAUAUUACGUACUAUAAUGUAAUAAAGUUUGGUGACGAUCCAACAGUCGGAUCAUCGAUUCACACUUUUACCAAUUAACAUAUCGUAGAGAAUUCAGGUUCCAACCAUCAACCUAUAUCAUGCAAUUACCAAGAUUGAACUCAAAGUAUCUAAUCUAGCCUAAGAAUGACAUCGACGGCCCCCUGGCCACGCGCCGCCCCGACUCGCCAGAAAAUCCAACUAUUUCCAAAAAUUACCAAAAUUUACAAAAAUGAAGAUCUUAAUGAGUAGAGUAACUUUCAUACCUGUGACCAUGGCCAAUUAGGCUGGGAAGAGCUUUAAUUUCAUUAAAAUCCGCCAGAAACCCUAGAAAAUAGUGUUUUCAAUUUGACUCCAAAACCGUUCCAACGCCCCCAACCAAUGCUUAGGCUUUUUUCUAGAGCUCAAGGGGAGUGUAAUGGUGGUGGUAAUUGAAUGAAAUCGUUUCAAAAAUGGUGAAUCUCGGCAAGGUUUCCCGCGGCACCCAUGGUGAGUUUUUCACCAAACUACACCUGAAUUUCCUUUUAUUUUGAGUGGAAAUGGUAGAGGGAAAGCUAGGAAGUUGAUUCCAAGUGUUUGUUGGACAUGGUUCACCGGAAAAACCGAUGAAAAUUGUCGGAGAAGAUGAGCAAACCCGGGUCGAAAUCGGUUUGGUGGUGAGCACGGGUUGACAAAAUGAGAGGGGGAAGAUUUCAGCUUCUCUCUCCUCUCCUAAUUGGUCCUUUUUCUCCCCCUUUCAAAAUUUGAUUGGUCACUUAUUCAACAUAAAUAUGAUUGGGCUUUUCUCCCAUAAGGUGGGAGUUCAAUUAAUCUAUAAUCCAAAAUAUAAAUAAUCAAAUUCAAAUGUCCAUGACUAUACCGUUAUAAUCCGGACUCGAGAAUGGCUUUCGCCUAUGCGUUUGUACCACCGAGUACUGCACAAAUAUGCCAAAAUAAUAAGUCAUACGUUCCUCUAGACGAUGGUCAAUGGAAGUCAAAGUCCUCGCCUCCAAAGCAUUUUCGUCAAUUCACACUUUUAAAAUUUAUAAAAUUGUAAAAUUUGGGACAGGUUGUCACAUGCAUGGGAGGCUGCGAUAGGGUUUUUGUGUAUAUGGUGUUGGCCUUGGAGGGUAAUUUUAGAAGAAAAGUGGUGAACUUAGAAAAGGUUCCAAUUUUAAACUUCUAAUGGAGUGUAAAUAAAAAUUGGGGUAAACUUAAAUGAAAAGUGGUUAUGUGAUUGUAUUUUUAAUGAAAAUAUUGACUUGAUAACUAAAACUCGUGUAUGAAUACAUGAAUUUUAUUUUCUUAGUUAAUUAAAAUCAUGUGAUGUUACACGCGGGCCCAUGGAGGGAUAUCAUGUGAAUUUUUCUUCCUUAGUUAAUCUAAUGUAGAAUUCAAAAGCAAUACUAGGAUGGUUAUUUUUGUAUCAAUAAAAAAAAUUAAAAAUAGUAAAUUUUGAACAAAUUUUUAUUUUUAUUUUUUUAUGGGGAAACCUUGAUGGUACGAGGGAAAUUUUAUUUAUAACAAAAAAAGAAGUUACACCUAGUCAGGGGGGGACAUAAACCUUACCCCUCAUAAAACAAAGAUAACAAAAGCAAUACACGAAAAAGAAAGGGGGACAUAACCGUACCCUUCCAGAAACGAAAACAGGAGAGAUACAAAGAAAAGAGGAGGGGACAUAAAACCUAACCCCUCUGAAACCAAACCUAAAGGUCUAAACCUGCACAACAAGUUGAGCAACACCACAAAGUUAGGGGAAAAAAAAAGAAAGUAAGACAAACCUAUAUGCCAAGAUGCACAUUAAUUUGAUAAGCGGUAACUAGGCAAGCCAUCAUAGUCCGAAAACAAUCAGCACGAGCCGCUGGUGGAUGAGAAUCAUACCAAGAAAAUGACCAAAAAAGUUGAACAAAUGAUUCUCCAUAAAACUCGAAACUAAAUGGAUCACCCCUGUUUUCUUUGGAAAACUCAAAAAACGCCAACUAUGAAUUGCCCGUGUUUUAUUUGAUAGCUAUAUACGUUGUGGCUAUGGAACUCCAAGUUUAUUUAGUACUACUGGAUUUUGGCAUCUUAUGUGGUAACAUGUUUAAUAAUCGAACAUUGAUCUACCAGGCCUUAGGGACUUGGAGUUUAAUUUAGUUUGUCACUCAAACUGGUGGUCUUUCUUGUGUAUAAACGUGCGAAGAAUUCCUGUGGGGCAAAACUGCCAAAAUGUCCCAGAUGCACGAAAAUGAAACCCCUGCAGAUAAGGAGGUAGAAAUCCUGUCCAGGUUCCGCCUAUCUGAUGCGAUUCAAAUGCAUACGCAAGUCUUGGUGCACUCUCAUCAAGAGUCCAAGUUUUGUGGCCAAACACCUCAACAAUUCCGUGGACAGUAACCUCUCGUCCUCACAUUUUCCGGGACGAGAGUUGGAAAUAUGAAAUUUUAUGGUCCAUGAUUAAUCUUUCCAUUGACAGUGAUAAUCCCAACCUUCAUUAUGAUGUUGAGGACCUAAACAUUCCGUUUCCAAUGGAAGACCAUCACCCAGUACUGAUUCACGGUUAUUGCAAUGGGAUUGUCUGCGUAAUAACAGGGGAAAAUGUUGUUUUAUGCAAUCCAGCAAUUGGGGAAUUCAGGCAACUUCCCGAUUCAUGCCUUCUUCUACCCCGUCCCAAGGGAAAAUUCGAAUUGGAAACGACCUUUCAAGCAAUGGGAUUUGGCUAUUAUUGCAAAGCUAAACAAUACAAGGUUGUGCGAAUUAUAGGAAACUGCGAGUAUUCAGAUGAUGAGCAAACAUAUUAUCAUCGUAUUGGUCUUCCUCACACAGCUGAGGUAUAUACCACGGCUUCCAACUCUUGGAAAGAGAUCAAGAUUGAUAUAUCAAGUAAAACCUAUUCCUGGUCUUGUUCAGUGUACUUGAAGGGAUUUUUUUAUUGGCAUGCAACGGAUGGCAAGGAAUACAUACUUUCAUUUGAUUUAGGUAAUGAUAUAUUUUAUAAAAUACAAUUCCCUACUGGGAGAGAAUCCGGGUUUAGUUUUUAUAAUAUUUUUCUUCGUAAUGAAUCCCUUGCUUCCUUUUGCUCUCGUUUUGAUGCAAAUGAGGAUUAUCAAUCAUGUGACAUAUGGGUAAUAGAAUAUUAUGACGGAGUUAAGAGUUCAUGGACAAAACUUCUAAUUGUUGGACCCUUACAAGGUAUUAAGCAACCAUUGACAUUUUGGAAAAGUGAUGAGCUUCUUAUGUUUGCCUCCAAUGGAAGAGCCACCUCUUAUAAUUGUAGUACCCAAAAUCUCAAGUAUAUUCAUAUCCCUCUUACUGUUAGUGAGGUUAUAGAUUUCGAAGCUCUUAUUUAUGUGGAAACUAUUGUUCCUAUCAAGUAAGUUGAGUACAAAGUUCCAUUGUCUCCUCUUUAAUUUGGAUGCAUGGUAUAACACUUUAAUUUCCGUGGAAAACUUGUAAAUCGGAGAGGAUCCGAGCUCGAGUAUCCAAAUAAGGACUAAUCCUCUGACUGACAUCGCAUCACAACUUGGAUGAGAGGGAAUGAACCGAGUUACAAGGACUUAAUUUUGAAGAAAGAAGGCUUCUAUAAAAGGCGGCGGAGGGAUUAGAUAAAGAGACGCUCAACUCAAAUCAAAAGACUUCUUUAAAGCUUUGCAGCUUACUUUUCAAACAUUCCCUUUGUAGCUAAAGACAUUCUCUUGUAUUUAUUGUUUUGCUACUUUCCUUUUGCAAUAUCGAUUUUCUUUGUAAAAAAAAAAAACCCUUUGUUAGUACAUUGCCCACAACUGCAAGAACUUGCUCGAUGGCUCGUAUUUGUUACUUACUUUCACGCUAUUGUCUUUAUGUUUCGCUUAGUUAUCAAUGUUUCUUGAAUAUUUGCUGAUAUAUCUCUUUGUUUAUUCAUUUUGCUUUACUUUCCUGCAUUGCCCCCUUACUCAAAGGUUGUUCACUGGUUCAAAAUCUCUUUUUGAUCAGUUUGUGAUCCUUGUUUUCUUCUUUUUUUUUUUUUUGGUAUUUAACACAAGAAAAUUAUUAACUCCUUGUCUUCAAGGCAUAUAAAAGAACCUAAGUAUGAAUUUAACUUCUCCAGAAUAACAAUCCUUUAAGAAGAAGGCCAAUUCCUUGCGGCGGAGGCAAAUGGCAUACUAAACAACUUAAAAAUAAUAAUAAUAAUAAUAAUCUGUUGGUCUUGGCCAACAGUGGCAUGCCUAUACAAAAUCAUUGUUUUUACAAGAGAGCCUAAGAGCCUAUCAAAGGCUUGACUAAAGCACCUUGUGCUAACAAGAGUUUACCACUCGCUUUCAGGGGCAGGUUGUGUGAGGAUUAUGUGUCCCAACAGAUUGUACAUAACCAAAAAUAAUACCACACGGUGGAAGAGCGAAAAUAGUUUUAAAUCUCAAGGUUUACCUCUAAGAAUGACUUUAGUGUUUGUAGCUUAAGAGCUGAAAGCCUGGUUGCAUAAAAAGCAAUUGAUUUUGUGUUGAAAAGCAAUUUAGCGUUUAUUGAGGAAUCACUCAAAGGUUUUUGUGUAAUCUGAAGAUAUUGAAAUUGACAACGGUCUCGAAUGUGAAGGCCUCUAGCUCUAUUUAUAGGCAGCGCAGAAGAAGCAACCUCAAUCAUCUCGCUGAGCUUGAGCAAUGGUAGAUCGGUCAUUUGGCACUAGUAGUAACUGCAAUUCCCGGUUGGUGGCCUUCAACCGUCUCUUGAGGCGGUUUGCACCGAAAAUGUUAUACGCAAAGGCACCAAAUAAGGUACCAAAACUCAGGUGCCAAUUCAACGAGUCAUGCUGCACACACCAUAUUUUUCUUACCAUAUUUGUACCACCUCUCUAAUACGGGGAGGAUCACCAACUGAUAGGAGCAUAUUUAUGCGACUUAGUUAGCUUGUUUUCUUGCAUUUUCAUAGUUUGUUUAUGUUUAUUAUAGUGUUUUAAGCUAUUUUCGUGGGUUUGUAGGUUCAUAUGACAAAGUUGGCAAGAAAGUGCAUUUUGGAGCAUUUUGAGGCAGUUUUGGGCACCAAAUGGAUAGCUUAUGAAUGGAGCAAGAUGGAUGGACGAAUUUGAAGUUCAAGAGGCUAGGAAUGUGCUGAAAUGAGUGAAGAAAUAAAUCCAAGUCAAGGAAGAUAAGAAAUCAACUCAAAAGAAGGAACAUUAUCCAAAAUCUUAUCCAACCUUAUCUUAUCUUAUCCUAUCCUAAUCCUAUCCUAAUUUAAUUCCAGCUGCAUGGGGGAUUUAUUUUCAGAUUAGGACACAUAAAAUUGGUUUCUAGAAGCCCUUAUCCACUCCUACAAAGGUGCCACACCUUAUCCCUUGUUUUUCUAGAAAUCAGCCACAAAACAACCUUUCUAGAAGGCCUUAUCCCUUGUCCUACAAAAGUGACGCCCCAAACCUUUCUAGAACUUCUAGAAACCUGAUUAUUCCUUUCCCCCUUGGUUUCUAAAAGCCUUAGCCUUUUCCUUCAAGGAUUGUGUGUUAUUAUCCUAUACAAAUUAGGCCUUUAAAUCCUUUUCCUUUGCUACAUAGGGGCUGCGAAUUUCAGCCUAUAAAUACCAUCCUUUGCUGCACCAUUUAGUGACCACCCUCUACCAUAUUUUCACUACACCAUUCACCCAAACAUCCCUCUUGUGCCGUGAGUUUGCAAAGGAGAAGGAAGGAGACUCUUGGAGCCGUGCAUGCCAUUCAAGGAGCUUGGAUUGUUGGAGCAUUUCUAGGUGUUUUCUAUCUUUAUGUCAAUGUUUAAAUUUAUUUAUCUUUGUUUAUUUGCGAACAUGAGGAACUAAUUUCUUUGUAGUUAGAGGGGAAUUCAAAGCCAUGAUCAUAUGUUUUAUAUGACUUGAUUUCCUCCAGUUAUUUCAUAAAUCGUGAAUGUGGUUUACUUAUCUAUUUGAUUGAUAACAUGUUUAUGUAUGUUGAUUGAGGGUCGACACUUAGUUUGCAUGCAUGAAUUUGAUGCUAGAGUAUAAGGGAAUUUCACCUAAUCGUUAUUAACUUAUAUUCAUAAGUAGUAAAAGUCGCUAGUCACGAUUGUGUUAAGUAAAUCCUUGGCAAGAGUAACAUGCGUAUUCCAUAGUUAUGAAUGCCUCGUCAAUGCUUAUGAUUUCCAUUGAACUUAAUGAUCUUUGAUAUGUGUCUCUAUCAUGCGUAUUCCAUAGUUAGGGUCCUUGAUAAGAAUAAUUUGGUUGUAAUGCGUAUUCCAUUCAAUUCAAUGAAUCUAGGGAAAUCUGAGAAUUAAUUGGUGCAAUCUAGUUAAUUUGGGGCAUUGUCAUUCAUGGUUUGUUGAAAGAGUAACUGGAAAUCGAGUCGUAUGCAUAUGUUUCAUGUGUGGAGAAUGAACCCUCUAACUAGCCUUUCACCAUUCUUUUUCAUCCAAAAUCGUUUUUGUUAAGUUUGUUUUCAAAGUUUAUGUUUUAACUUUCAAUUUCGUCAAAACAAAAUCCCCAUUCAUUAAGUCUUGUUUUUAGAGUCAAAACUUGUUUCCUUUAAGUCUUUUGAGUCUUUGAAGUUCUAUUUUCGUCCAAAUCACUUGUUAGGUCUAGAAUUGAGUCUUUUUUAUUGUUAUUUGCUGUUUUGAGUGUUGAAGUUAGUUUUGAGUCUAUAGAGUCUAGUUUAGUGUUUUUGAGUCUUAUUUGUGUUGAUUAGCAUCCCUUCUAAUCCCCGGCUAGAACGAUCCCUACUUGCAUCAUUACUACAAUUGUCAUCAAUAGGGUUUAAUUUGUGUGUCAACUUAAUUUUCACAUCACCAACACAUAUGUGUCCCAUCUCUAUUAGAUAGGUGGUAUGAAAAUGUGAUAAGAGUAGCAUUUUUAUUGAACAACUAAGACUGGGAUGACUGAAUUCGUUGAGGUCACUCUUUGCAGCAAUCACAACUAAAACGAAGUUCAUAGACUGCCCCCGCCAAUUCAAAGAGUCAGCACAAUAUUUAGGAUCAAUUGCAUCCCUCCAGAUGACCAUUUUCAUAUAUAUAUAUAUAUAUAUAUAUAUAUAUAUUAGCUGUGAGGUAUUUUUCUAUUUAAAGACCACUUCAAAUCUAAGUUCACCCCACCAAUUAGGUUUACUUUUUUUUUUUUGAACUUUUAAAUGUUUCAAAAGACAAAACAAAAGUUUUAUUCAGAACCAAGAUGGUUUAUAUUGAAUAAUACAGAAGAGACAAAAAGAUGUUUUUUUUUUUUUUUUUUUUUUUUUGUGGACAAAUGUAAUUAUCAUUACCAAGAUAGCACAAUUACAAACAAAGGGGCCCAAAUACACUGUAAACACAAAACAAAAAGUGAACCCCCAACACUAAACAAAAAAAACACAAAACAGAAAACCCUACAAGACUAACUUCCUUGGCCGCCGACCACAAUCCAGCAACCUAGGCUAGAGAUCUCACCAAACACAGCCCCAAAGAAGAAGGCUCCAUCUUCCCCCACCAAACACCACACAAAUCGAAAACGCAACCACCAAAGAAAGAAGCUAUAAGGAAAGAACUUUCCCCCAGCAACAAAGCAGAAAACUACAUACAAUUGGAAGGUGGUGGUGUGUACACCAUAUGAGCCGAAGCUCUGAACACCUUCCUAGAAAACCGCAAAAUGCGGGUGGAAGAGAUGGUUGCAGAAUUGGACAUGUGUGAGAACGAUGUAGGACAAAAGCAAAUGGAAAAAUCAAAAAAUGGCUGGAUUAGAGUCAUGGAGGUGGAAAAACUUGAGAGAGAAGAAGAAAAGGGAAGGUUGGAAGUGGGAUUGUCGGAUCGAGACCAAUGAAAGGUUAGAUCGAAGGUCGCAGGGGGGGAUUACCAAAAAAGACGGUUAGAAAAAAUGGAGAAAGCCAAUCUCAUAGAGAAGGGAAGAAAGACAAAAGAAGAAGAAGAAAAAAGGAUGCCACCAACCCUGGCCACUGCUAGGGUCGGCGGCAGAGUGAGUGGACAGAAUUGGGAGCACUCACACACAAGUGAGAAAGUCUCUCACAUAGAAAUUCAGAAAUUAGUGAUUCAUAGGAGGCAGCGUUAGGGUGUUUGUGGUGUUGGUCUUUGAGGGUAUUUUUAGAAGAAAUAUGGUGAAAUUAGAAAAUGUUUAAAUUUAAAUUUUUAAUGGAGUGUAGAUAAAAAUUAGGGUAAACUUAGAUGAAAAGUGAUUAUGUGAUUGUAUUUCCAAUGAAAAAAUUGACUUAAAAAAGAUUGAAGUUUUAUUAAAACAUGUGUUAGAUUACAUAUUUGAUUCAAAUUCAUAUUCUGUUUUUGUUUUAAUAUUUAAUGUAUAUUUUUGGGUAAAUUACAUAAAACUACCUCAAUUAUUGGGUCAUUAACAAUUUCAUACCUCGUCUUUAAAAAGUUUCAAUGUCAUACCUUAUCUUCGAAUUUGUUGCAAUGUCAUACCUUCCGUCAGUUGUCUAUCAAGUCCUCUGUUAAAUGCUGACGUGGCUUGAGGUAGGGCCCACUUUCUAUUAAAAAAUUAUUAAAAUAUUAAUUUACCCUUAACUGCAACUAACAUCAAAUCCACAUAAAAUGCUCUUUUGUACAUAUGAGCAUAAAAGGCAACACCAAGUAAUCCUUGUCUACAUGGGCUAAAAUUGCAAAUGACAACAAAUCCACACCAAAAGCUCCCAAUUUGCACGAGCAUAGAAAGAGACACUGAUUGCUCCUCAUCAGCAUAAGCCAAAACGGCAAAUGCCCCCAAAUCCUCAUCAAAUGCUCCUCGUUCGCAUGAGCAUAAAAGGCAACAGAAAAUGCUCCUUGCCAAUACUAGCCAAAACUGCAAAUGACAUUAAGUCCUCCAAGGCUUUUGGCAGAAAGAGCCUAAAUUACGUACCGAGCAAAAAAAAAAAAAAAAAAAAAAAACUUGAAUUACGUUAUGACUUCACUUAAGUAGGGUACGUAGGCAGCUCAAGAACCAAAUUCAAGUUCAGUCGCAUCAAAAGAAAACAUGUUACUCAUGGAGUUUGAUGUGCACCACCUCUAGUUGACCGCCACUGUGUUGUAUGAAAGGUUGACACCACUAGGUUGAAAGCAUCAUGAAGGCCAAAGUAGAAGAGUAACUUUAAGUCGCACCUCAUACAUGUAACAAACACAUGAUACAUUGUGGCUUGAAGUGGGAGCAUUUGUAAACAUCAAAAUUUUGGUAAAUAAAUGUUCACCAACAAAUAAUAUUCUGACUUACCAGGCUUAUGUGGUGGACAUUGUGGGUCUCACAAGUUGCAUACGUGUCAUCAAAACCAGACAAAUCAUCAAAAGUGACCUGCGUUGGCAUUUAGUGAAAAAUAAUUAAAGAUGUUUGUACCAUACUUAGGGCCUCCGUAUUUAGAUCUCGUAUAAAUACUCGGGGGAAAUAUGUAAUAAAGGAAUGGGAAAAUAUGUAAUAAGUGAGGAGCCCUUAUUCUAUAACAGGACUCCUCACUCUCCUCAUUAAGGGAGGCCAUUUUCUUAGGCCAUGGGAAGAGCUCCCUUACCCUCAGAAGCUCUCUCCCUCACUCCCUUCACUUCUCAGAGAAAUACAAUAUCAGUGUGGACGUAGCCCAAACCUUGGGGCGAACCACGAUACAUCUUGUGUUAUUUACAUUUCUUGCAAAUUCAGGGUCGGAUUUACAUUGUUCCAAGACCUUCGGUUUUAUGCAUUAACAUUUGGCACCGUCUGUGGGAAUCGACACGAAAACCUAUGUCGGUUCUCUUUCAUUUUUUCACCUCCACCGUGAAUCUGCAAAAUCUACAAAAUCACAAAAAAACUCAGAAACCCAGUAACCUUUCUCUCUCUCUCCCUUCAGUCGUAGUCAGUACUAGCACAUUUUCCAAUCUUAAUCCAUACUUAGGGGUCAAAGAAAUCAAAAUCCUAAAACCCAAACUCAAAAUAUCUCUCUGUCUCUCUGUCUCUCUCCUACAGCCUACAUGCACUAGUCAUGGCUGAAAACGGGCACAAACCUUCACAACAGCAACAAGAAGAAAGCAGAAAUACAAAGCCUCAAUCUUUGCAGUUCCGCUCCUUCCUCUCUCUCUCUCUCAAUCUCUCUUCUCUUUCUCUCUCUUCCAUCUAUUUUCAGAACUUAUUCUUGCUCAGAUUCAGCUUAAAUCUUCCGUUCCCUGAUCAGAAAUCUCAAAAAGUUUGCGCCUUUGAGCUCUUAUUCGGAAGCAGGAAGCUCAUGACAACUGCAGCUCUGCCUUUUAUCUUGCAUUUAAACAGCAACCCAUUGAAAGAAGAGUACCCAGGUUCGAGUUCGUCUCAAUCGGAUCCAGAUUUCUACCCGAUGGUGAUGAUGAUCCCUCCGUCGUUUCUGAACAAGACAUACGAUAUGGUGGACGACCUGGAUUCGAAUCGAGUCGUGUCGUGGAGUAGGGAAGGGGGGAGCUUUGUGGUGUGGGGCCCACAUACUUUUGUGAUGAGCCUCCUACCCAAGUACUUUAAGAACAAUAAUUUCUCAAGCUUUGUGAAAUAACUCAACACUUACGCACCAUUUGAAGAAGGUGAAGAGCGCUCACAGACAGAGAAUAGCAAAAGAGAGAAAUAGAGAGGAUGACCACCACAUCCUCCUCUGUUUUUUUUUUUUCAUUACAUAUAUUCCAAUCCCACUCCUUGGAUCUUAGUUUUCAUCUUUUUCUCAUCUCGGUCCUCCUCAAAUGGAAAUUCGCUUUGUGGAUCUGAUUGGUUCAUGAAGGAUCUAGUGUUCCAAGAUUGGAUUUGACGUUUCCUAAUUGUUGUUUCAAUCAGAGCACUAUCCGGGUUCUGUCUGAAUUUUGGACAAGAAAAAGAUGGAACCAGAUCAUGGGAAGCUGUUCAUUGGUGGGAUUUCCUGGGACACAGAUGAGGAACGGCUCAAGGAAUAUUUCAGGAAGUAUGGAGAGGUGGUGGAGGCUGUGAUCAUGAGGGAUCAUGCAACUGGUCGUGCUCGUGGAUUCGGGUUUGUUGUCUUUGCGGAUCCUGCAGUUGCAGAAAGAGUUGUCAUGGAUAAGCACAUGAUCGAUUGCUGCACAGUCAUUGUUAAAAGCUGCACAAAAAACCUGUAGGGCCUGUCAAGCACCACCCCACGUGGUGCUAGAGCAAGCAGUAAGGAUACUCAUCACAACUGAUACGAAGGUCCUUGUGGUCGGGGCAUUCGCCGACCCAUAUCCCAUCUUCUGCGAAUACCACGGGAAAAGCAAAAGCGGAGAUAAGAUCCCUUUCUUAUUAUUAAAUUCUAUUAUCAUUCCUUGUCUGCCAUCUGCAAAAGGGAAAAGAAAAGAAGAAGCAGAAAGCAAAAGAAGAUAAAAACAAGCAGACAUAAUUGUGGUGGUGAUGGCAUGCAGAAAAGGGAAAUAUAGGCGUGACCCAUCGAGCAGAGGGUCGAGUUUAUUUUUGAAUGUUGUAAUUUAUUUUUUUUAUCUUUUAGAGAUAUCUGUAUAAACCCCAUCAGAGGGUAAUUAAAAAAAAAGGGCAAGCCUAAAAUAAUGGGCUGGAAUGUUAUGUGGAGGGCGAAGGCCCAUAUGCCUAAAAGAGCCAGGCCCUCUAUUAUCACCAACCAGGUGAUCAAAAGUACGUCCAGUAUUAUAAAAAAUUAUUCGGCAGCCUGCCGUUAUUACCACUAACCAAGUGAUUAAAAGUACGCCCAGUACUCCAAAUUUAUUAAACACCCUGCCGCUAUUAUCACCAAUCAAGUGAUCAAAAGUACGCCCAGUACUUCCAAAUUUAUUCGGUAGCUUGUUGCUAUUAUCACCAAUCAGGUGAUCAAAAGUACGCCUAGUACUCCAAAUUUAUUCGGCAGCCUGCUGCUAUUACCACCAACCAGGUGAUCAAAAGUACGCCCAGUACUUCCAAAUUUAUUCGGUAGCCUGCUACUAUUAGCACCAACCAGGUGAUCAAAAGUACGCCUAGUACUCCAAAAUUAUUCGGCACCCUGCCGCUAUUAUCACCAACCAGGUGAUCAAAAUUACGCACAGUACUCCAAAAUUAUUAGGUAGCCUGCCGCUAUUAUCACCAACCAGAUGAUCAAAAGUACGCCCAGUACUCUAAAAUUAUACAUGAGCAUUACUCAUGUCAAUCACACAUAAACAUUUCAUAAGCAUCACUCAUGUCAAUCAUACAUAAACAUUCAUGACCAUCAUUCAUGUCAACAUUCAUGAGCAUCACUCAUGUCAACAUUAAUUAGCAUCACUCAUGUCAACAUCCAUGAGCAUCAUUCAUGUCAAUCAGCAUAAACAUUCAUGAGCAUCACUCAUGUCAAUUAGCUUCAAAAGCUUCAUUUACAGAGCUCUAGGUUCAAAAGUUUCAUUUACAAAGCUCUAGCUUCAAAAGCUUCAUUUAUAGAGCUCUAGCUUCAAAGCUUCAACUUGCAAAGCUUCACCUACAAAGCUUCAGUGCAUGGUCUACAAAGACCGCUUCCGAACAACCGCCAUUUCGGCCUUUACAUGGAUUGAAUUUGAAGUCUCCAGCCAACAGCCUCUAUUGACCGAAGACUUGGGGGAUUACACUAUGUACCAUAUAUUGGGCCUCAUGAAAAAUACUUGGGGGACUUAGCCCAUUAUUUAUGUACUGAGGAGCGAGCCCUUAUUCUAUAAAAGGGACUUCCUCACUUUCAUUAGAAAGCACCCAUUGCUUAUGUACUGAGGAGCGAACCCUUAUUUUAUAAAAAGGACUCCCUCCUCUUCAUUAGAGAGCAUCGCCGCCAGCUGAGCAACCGCCUCGCCGUGAGCAUCACUCCUAGCCCAUCAUUUAUGUAUUGAGGAGCGAGCCCUUAUUCUAUAAAAGGGACUCCCUCACCAUCAUUAGAAAGCAUCGCCGCCUGCUGAGCAACCGCUUCGCCGCGAGCAUCAACUCUAGCCCAUUAUUUAUGUAUUGAGGAGCGAGCCCUUAUUCUAUAAAAAUGACUCAUUCACCAUCAUUAGAGAGCAUCAACUUUAGCUCAUCAUUUAUGUAUUGAGGAGAUAACCCUUAUUUUAUAAAAGGGACUCCCUUACUUUCAUUAGAGAGCAUCGCCGCCAGCUGAGCAACCUCCUCGCCGCGAGCACCAACUCUAACCCAUCAUUUUUGUAAUGAGGAGCGAGCCCUUAUUCUAUAAAAAUGACUCCCUCACCUUCAACGCCACAAGCCGAGCCAACCAAGGCAACACAAACAGAGCAGCCUCGCAGCAUGUGCUACUUCUAGUUGAGCAUCAUGUCAAAUUGGGCACCGCCUUAUAUCAAGCAUCAAUUCUAGAUGACAUCUAGUUACUUCGGCCCAUACAUGGACUGAAUUUCAAGUCUCCAGCCAAAAGACUCUCUUGACUGAAGACUUGGGGGACUACUGUUUGUGCCAUACUUACGGCCUCCAUAUUUAAAUCUCAUAUAAAUACUCGGGGGACUCAAAUGUAAUUAUGUAAUAAAGGAAUGGGCAAAUAUGUAAGAAGUGAGGAGCUCUUAUUCUAUAAAAGGACUCCUCACUCUCCUCGUUAAGGGAGGCCAUUUUCUUAGGCCAUGGGAAGAGCUCUCUCAUCCUCAGAAGCUCUCUCCCUCACUCCCCUCACCUCUUAGAGAAAUACAAUAUCAAUGUGGACGUAGCCCAAACCUUGAGGUGAACUACGAUACAUCUUGUGAUUUACAUUUCUUACAGAUUCAUGGUCGGAUUUACGUUGUUCCAAGACCUCCGAUUUUCUGCAUCAACAAAAGAUAACCUUGAUUUAGAUCAAACAAAUUAAUUGAUUUAAAUUAAAGGAAUAAUCAAUGGAUGCCAAAUCAGGGAGAUUGCCAAAUUAAAGAUGGCUAGAUUAAGGAUGAAGUUGAUUGAUUUAAUAAAUUAAUAUUGUUGAGUAAAAAUUGUACACAAUAUGUAAACAAAUAAUUCACUCAACACAAUUUCACCCUCGUUCAUUUUUUCGAAGAGGGUUUUAUUAAUUUGAGUUCGACCCAUUCUAGGCUACGCGCCUAUUAAUUACAACCCUUCUUUUGGGAAAGGAAUACCCUUUGAUUCUAAUAUUAAUAAAUCGUAACUUGGGGAUUUGGGUGUUUAUUUGAUUUUGUGACUGUGUCUAGGUAGAGCCCUAGAUUGUCUACGUACCCUCGUUGAGGGAUCAAGUCAGUCGUAGUUCUUUAUGUGUUUUGUUGGAGUUUGAUGCCUUGUGCAGUUUCAGCUCGUGCAAGCAAGGAGCAACUGAUGCCUUGUGCAGUUUCAGCUCAUACAAAUGAGGACUUUAAGCCGUUGGAGCGUUUAAUGCCUUGUGAAGUUUUAGCUCAUGCAGGCGAGGACUUUAAACCAUUGGAGCUUGAUGUGGCUUCAUGCCAUUUGAGUCUUGUUGUGGCUUCGUGCCGUUUUGAUAUUUGAUACGGCUUCAUGCCAUUUGAGUCCAAAAAUAUAAAGCUCACGUGAAUACAAAAUUGUUGUUUUACUUCAAUCUCACAUGGAGCAACAUUCCCUAUAAAAUUAAGAACUUUGUUGCAUGAGCAGCGUCCAUUAAUUGGAAGUCUAGGAACUUGUGCUUGAAGACUUCUCUUUUACUCUUUGUAGAAUUUGUUUUUACUUGAUCAAAGCAGCAGAAGUGAAUUUAGUUUAUAUAAACCAGGGAUUCGUCUUGAUUUCUUGGUUGCGUCUAAAAUUUGAUAUUACACUGCCUAUGUAUCCUUAACGGAAUCAAACCGGCGUAAUUCGUAAAAUUUGUUGAUUUGGAUUUGUGUUCAUACUUUGGCUAAAUGAAAAGCCAAUUGGAUUUAUUUAAAACCCACAUACGACCUUCGCAAUCGCCUAAUAGGCCUUGUGAAAUAGGAGUUUUAUUUUGUCUUUUCCUUACGUAGCUUAGGAUUUGAAGACUUAAAGUGGGACUCCCAGCCCCACGUGAGAUGCACCAUUCAAACUUUUCCUUAAGUGGUUGAAACUUGAAGACAAAGUGGGACUCCAAAUUUUUGACAGCAAGCUUUACUUUUUCUCCUCUUUUUUUAUCUCCAACAUGGUUUUUGUAAGAUUAGGGUCACGUGUUCAAAUAGUGACUUUGGCUUCCAAAUUCCUCUUAUCGUCAGCAACCUCCCGCCUUCUCCCUGUGAGCGACAUUCCUAUUUAAUUUGGGGAGUAUUUUAUCUGUAGCGAACCCCAUCUUUUUCUUUUCCUUGCUGGACGCCUUCGGAUUUUGUAGGAUUUUAAUCCUAAUUGAAAUAGGAUUCAAAGCAUAAAAGUUGGACCCUUUUCCAUUGUGAAAGACUCAUUUGACUUGGUCUUUUCCUUUGAGUUUUUAAACUACCCAGUGGAUGCAAUAGAAUAAUCCAUUUUUCUUCUUCUUCUUCUCGGUUUUGGUACCUUUGUCACUUCGUCUCCAUGCCUGAUCUGUUUCUUUUUGUUAUUGACUUUUAUCUCUUGCACAACAGGUCUUUGCUUUCAUAUUGUUUAAUGAAAACACAAAAAGCAAGUGGCAGAGCAGCAUGCCUUUUCAGGCUUUUUUAUAGUCUGACUUUCUUUGAGAAGAAACCACAUGCUUUCAUGUUGGAGAGAUGUGGCAUUUCAAAGAUGUCACGUGAGUUUUUUUUAUUUGAUUUGGGCAGUUGUCAACAAGCCCUUUUUCUUUCUCUGUGAAUUUGAUCUCUUCCAAGCCCCGUAGGACUUUACAUGGAAAUAAACAUCUAUUUGUUUCCCUCCUGCAAUAACUUCUUUUUUUUUUUGUGGGAUUCAUGCCACGGAGUGAAAAGGGUUUUAAACACCUUUUGCUUUUGGUUGGUUGAAGAGCUUCUGAAGUCCUUGAAUUCUUUUUGAGAGUCUUAACUCUUAUUUUAAAUAAGCGAUGUAUCGAAGACUUAGGAAAGGAAGACAACAACUUAUAUAUACAUCUGCCGUUGUUUGUUCAUCCGCGAGAGAGGAAGGGUGACACACCAUUCAUUUGCCGCUGCUUGCUAGUCUCUCUCCUCUUGAUUUUUAACGGAAACGAACGACAUGUUGAACUCUUUCUCCUCCACGACAAGGUGCACAUCCCAAUUUGUUUUGCUUCAUCACGUGAAAGGAUCAGGAGCCUUUGACUUUACCCCCAACACACUUGCCCAUAUUUUUGUCUUGUUUCUUUGCAGAGCCAAUGGCCUCAUUAUUUUAACAUUGCUUUUGCUGGGACUUUUUUGAUUGUAGGAAGGGAUCAUUUUCCCUUUUUUUAUUUCACCAUUUGCUGCCAAGCCUACACGAUGGAAAAAAUGUUUCCUUUCUUCUUUCUUUCUCUUUAUUUGUCUUGUUUUCCUUUUCAUUUACUUUGUCUUCAUAUUCAAUUAAUAAGGCCAUGUUCAGAAUGCCCACGUGAGGAGUAUGGAGAUGUGUUCUUUUAUUUAUUUUCUUUCCACUGUAGCUUCCAUCCUCCUUUAUUUCUUGGACAAAAGGCAUAAAGGCAGCAACUGACAUCAUUUAGGGGUCUUUGCCUUGUUUCUUUGUGAGCUUACAUUUAAUUUAGCCUCAUUAUUUAAGUAUGCUUUUGCCGAGACUUUUCUAAUAGGAAGGAAUCAUUUCCCUCUUUCUUUUUUAUUUUCACCAUUGAAGUUUGCUAUCAAACCUACGCGAUGAACGUGAUGCCUUCUUUCUUCUUUCUUUCUCCAUUUUCUAGUCUCCACUGUAGCUUUCUUUGUUGUUUUGUUAUCCCAAAUUUAAUGGGAUCUUUAGAAAAGACAUAUAACAAAACAGCAGCUUUGGUCCUUGGAAUCUCGUGGAGAUUGCUUUGUUCAUCUGUAUCACUCUUUCACUUCUCAUAUUUGUACGAUAAGAAAAUAAAAGAAUGUCGAUCAGUAGAGGUUGCCCUCCUCUAAUUUGCUGUAAUCAUCAGAGUCAAUAGCUUAUUUCCCCAAGUGAGUACCCAAAACAAAAAAGGCAGGAUGACUCUCUUUUUUGCUAUUUGUAAAGAACUCGCAGUUGUUGGUUGAGCUUUUGACUUUGGCAUUGAUCGACGGUUGGUGCUGCAGGAUAUCUCCAUCGAUGGAGAAGAGGAAUGUGUGGCAGAUUUGCAGAGGCCUACGUCUUUAUUCUAUAGUUCGAAAUCAUCCUUGUUUCGUCGGGAAGCUUCGGAAACAUAGCUGGGCAUAGUGGGUUCUUCUUCUCCACUUGUUCAAACGUGCAAGUGACGGUUUCUUCUCCGUUGUGUCUCUGAAAAGAGAAUGAGAGAUGUCGAAAACCUCUUUAGACACCCAAGAGGUUGCAGGAGGCUGUGUGAAGCCGGUUUGCUAUUGCGUUUUGGUGAGAUCUCUAUUAGGCAUCACAAGUUGCAGGGUGUUGAUGACGACCACAGAUAGCACCUGCACCGUCUUCCUUUCCGCUAGCAACUUAGACAGCAGCUCGCACCAUUUUUUAUGCACUGUGUAGGCAACACAGCCUUUCCUUCCAAAGUGGUAGCAGCUUUUUCUUCUUGACUUCAAGACAACGAUGGCGGCGGUCGGAGCACUUAGAUUUGAUUGGAACUUCAUGGAGUGGUUUAGACCACCCCAAAGAAAUUCAUGGGACUAACUGCAACAGCACGGACUGCACUUUUUUCUUCUCGGCAUAGACGAACUUGAUAGGCAGAGAGGUCACGGUAUGGCUGCAACGUCCUUUUGGGCUUCCGUUUAACGUCUAUGACGGUGCUACAAAUGUCUUUACCAAUAAAGAAAGGAAGGCAUGGCAGAUAUCCAGAGGCCUACGGUUUUAUUCUCUAGUUCGAAAUCACUGUGAUGGAUGCCAUGACUUGGAAUGAGUUGGGGAAUGGGAGAGAUUGGAGAAGCAAAUUGCUUCUUUAUUUCCUGCAAAACCGAGAGAAACCAAACAAAGAAAAUUUAGAAGGAUGGAUUUGUACCUUUGUUGCUUUCCUUUGUUGUGUAUCCUCUUCUCUGUUUGCUUUUGUCUCCCUGAAUUUCCGCAGCUGUUCACCUCUUUAAUUUCUCUCUUAAUUCCUGCAGAGUCUCCUCUUUUUUUUUUCUUUUCUGUCGUCCCCUUUGCUUUGGUUUGAUGCCUUUUUAUAGGCGAACAAUGGAUGAGUUAACAGGACAUAUUCAAGAUGAUAUUCCUUGGUGUAUGCUUUUCGCAGACGAUAUAGUGUUGAUAGAUGAAACUCAGGUUGGGGUAAAUGUGAAGCUUAACCUUUGGAGAGAAGUGUUGGAAUCUAAAGGUCUUCGCCUAAGCCGAUCAAAGACAGAAUAUAUGGAGUGCAAGUUCAAUGCAAAUGGAGGCCAAAAUGAGUUAGGGGUGAGGAUCGGAGAUCAGGAAAUACCAAAGAGCGACUGAUUUCGCUACCUAGGAUCUAUCUUGCAAAAGAAUGGAGAAUUAGAUGGAGAUCUCAACCAUAGAAUACAAGCUAGAUAGAUGAAGUGAAAGAAUGCAUCCGGCGUGUUGUGUGACCGUCGUAUGCCACUAAAGCUCAAGGGAAAAUUUUAUAGGAUGGCAAUAAGGCCGGCGAUGCUGUAUGGCACAAAAUGUUGGGCGGUGAAGCAUCAACACGUAUACAAAAUGGGUGUAGCAGAGAUGAGGAUGCUUCGUUGGAUGUGUGGGCACACGAGAAAUGAUAAGAUUAGGAAUGAGGAUAUCCGAGGUAAAGUAGGAGUAGCCGAAAUUGUAGGAAAGCUGAGAGAAAAUCGGUUACGGUGGUUUGGACAUGUGCAAAGAAGGCCUACUGACGCUCCGGUUAGAAGAUGCGACUACGGGAUAGAGGUUCAGGGCCGAAGGGGUAGAGGAAGACCUAAGAAACUUUGGAAGGGACUCUAAGAAAAGACUUAAAGUACUUGGAUCUAACGGAAGACAUGACACAGGACCGAGCACAAUGGCGUUCUAAGAUUCAUAUAGCCGACCCUACUCAGUGACUUGGAUUUUUCAAGUCUCCAACUGAGAAGUUUUCCUCACUCGAGAAAUUAAGGGAACACUACCUCAACCUAUAUGUUUCACUCACAAAGCUUUAACAUACAAGCUUCAACAAAAGAAAAAUUCAAAGAACUUAGUGAAGAAGGCUUUGGUGUAUUUAACACAAUACGUUGAAAUGAAGCAAAGCUUAUUUAAUGAUAUCUCCGAUAAGUCACAAAUAUGUACAUAUACAUGAGUCAAAAUAAACAAACAAGAGGGGGCCUUCACAAAGGUUGCUUAGGAGAAGUCUCAGCAGUUGGUAAAGCCCCAGAAAGAGAAGGCACCGGAGGGUGAUCACUUGGAGCCUCAGUACUGGACAAAACCCUAUAAGGAAGAGGCAUCGGAGGCUGAUCAUUUGGAGCUUCAUUACGUGGUACAGCCCCAAAGACGAAGGCAAUAAAUGCCUUUGGAACAAACCCACAAACCUCUGAUGAUCAAGUAAAAUCUGACCAUCAAAUUCCUUCAUCUGGUCAAGCUUCCUCUUCAUGUUUGUAGCAUAGUCAUGUGCGAGCCUGUGCAACUGUUUAUUCUCAUGCUUGAGCCCUCUAAUCUCCUGUUUGAGACUCAUCACUUCAGCCGCCAAUGAUUCAACUUGGCGGGUUCGAGCAAAUAGACGUUGGACCAUAUUCGACACAGAACCUGCACAUUGAACACUGAGAGCAAAAGAAUCCUUAACAGCGAACUCAUCAGACCGUUUGGAAAGAAGUCUGUUAUCUUUGGGAGUGAGAAUGUUCCUGGCCACCACCGCAGCGAUCAUAUCAUUCUUCAUCACGGAAUCCCCAACGGUAAGAGGACCAGUAGGGGAUAAGAAGGAUGGGCGCCAUAUGUUGUCCGGAGAAGGCACGGCUACCUCUUCACCAAGGUUUAAGUCAAAACGACGAUCGGAAGGGCCAGACAUUUUCAAAGGUGUUGAAGAGAGAAAACGUCGGACAAAUCAAGAUCUUAGAAGUGCAAGAAGGGAGCUUCUACUGGUGGAGAUUCAAUUGUGCUUUGGAACUUAAUGCCAGCCUCUAUAAAAUCUGCACUCGACGGAGCUUCAGAAAUCGAAGAGGCGCCUGCUCAGAAAUCGAAGAAGCGUUUGCUUUCUCAAAAGUUGGGCUGCUCAGAGACCACGAGGGCCGAUCUCAGAGAUCGAAGAGGCGUUUGCUUUCUCAAAGACCAUGAGGGCCGAUCUUUAAAAUCGAAGAGGCGCUUGCUUUCUCAAAAGCUGGGCUGCUCAGAGACCACGAGGGACGAUCUCAAAAAUCGAAGAGGCACCGGCUUUCUCAGCCUUGUCAGCACCUGUCACAUGCACACUCAGCUUUGCGAAAAUUACGGGCAAUCUGUCGAAGAUUUCUGGUGAAGUAGAAGGCACGUGAACCUUACUGUUCAAUCAUCCACUUUCCAAACGCAACAUCAGCUCAUGGGUACCACAGAUAACUUUGCCAAAGAUCUCUGACAAAGUUUAGACACGUGAAGCUUGCAGCUCCCACUACAUCGCUAUGACCAAGAAGGGUAAAAGAAUAGCAAAUAAAUAGCACUAACAAAGUUUAGACACAUAAAUUUUGAAGGUUUAGCUACCAUAUUAUUACCCACAAGGGUAAAGGAACAGCACCACUGCUAGAUAAUUGGAAAGUCCUUGUGUGUCAACCUCUGUGCUCCGUGGCAAGGUAGACUAGCAAAAAUGCCCAACCUUUACUCACAUUGGAGAAAACACUCCCAACAAGAUUGCUUGCUCCUAAUUCGAAGAGGCACCGCCCUCCGAAUCUUGAAAGCCAGACUCCCAACAGGAUUACUUUCUCAAAAUUCGAAGAGACACCGCUCUCCGAAUUUCAAGAGCCAGACUCCCAGCAGGAUUGCUUUCUCAAAAAUCAAAGAGGCACCGUUCUCCGAAUCUUGAGAGCCAGAUCCCCGACAGGAUCGCUUGUUCGAAAACCGAAGAGGCAUCGCUUUCUCAACUUCGAGAGCCAGAUCUCCUUGGAUAAAGCUUGUCUGUAAUCUUCACACGCAACAUCAGCUUUCCAGAUACCACAGACCACUUUUUCAAAGUGCUCUGACAAAGUUAAAACACGUGAAGCGGGCAGCUCCCACUACAGUGUUAUGACCAAGAAGGGUAAAGGAAUAGCAUUACUACUUGUUGUUAGGGAGACUCCUAUAUAUGUCGACCUUCAUCCUCAACGGACAGGCAGACCUGCAAACAUGCUCAACCCUUCCUCAUAUCUGAGAAGGCACUCCCAACGAAGCCUCUCGAAAUACUCAGCUUUUUUCCCUCCGAUAAUACCUCUGCAAACAAGCUACACCAGAGCAAGAAUAUCUCAUAUCAUUAGGGUUAAAAGCAAGAGUAUCCCAUAUCAUGCUUUUUCCUUAUCUUUUCCUUUGGCCUUGUUCUUACCUGCAAGACAAGGAGAAAGAGAGCAAUUAGUCAGCACUUGGAAUCAAGCUUCCAGUCAGGAACUGACUGCCUGGAACCCCUUACUUGAUUACUUACCUGGCAUUGCUCUUGAGUACUCAUCUUCAACAUCUUAUGCUUCCAGAGAAGAUACCACAUCUGCCGGAGGAACAGAUAGGGCCAGUGAGAAGGAUACAAGGAAGCAUGUGGAGACAAGCAUAACAGAACACGUGCCGAUACUUCCACUACUUUGUUAACAGCAAAAGUAUCACAUAUCAGCAGGGUCGAACGUACUCUAAAUUUGAUGGACUUGUUUUGACCCUCAAAUUCUUCAGUCGACCUUAUACUCUGGAGGUAACCAGAAAACCCUCCAGCUCAGUUCAAGAAUAAGCCUGUGGAAAGUUACUUCUUCAAAAGCAAAAGUAUCUCAUAUCAUCUAUUUUCCUUUUCUUCUCUUAUCCUUCAUGCUGCCUGCAAGAUAAAGAGAAUGAGAACAAUCAGCCGAAACUCGAAAUCAAACUUCUAAUCUGGGACUGAUUGCUUGGAGCUCUGAUUGCUUACCUUGUCUGUCACCUCUUUCAGCAGAUCCCCUAGCUCGGUGACUUGGGGGACUCCUACUACAUGGUUUGUAUCGCGCUUGACCACGCCUGAAACUACAAGUAAGCUUUAAGUGAAAUUGAUACAUUAACUUGUGCAUCUCCACCAGUUAAAGAUACCACCCCUGGAUGGAGGAAAAGUACUUCCAGAGAAGAUGCCACAUCUACCUAUGAGACAUAUAAGGCAAAUGAAGAUGAUACCACACUUCGGUACUUAGAAGUUUCAUGAUUACUCAGCGGCUUGGAUCUUGCAAGUCCCCAACCGAAGAGCUUCCCCUCCAACCAGGAGGCCAAUCACAGAGUGACACGUGUCAACAUCAGAAGCCAAUCAUAGCACGACACGUGUCAACAUCGGAAGCCAAUCACAACACGACACUUGUCAAUGUCAGAACAAGGCUAGAAACUCUCUUAUAUAAAAUGAGAUCAUUCUCCCAAAAUAUUUCCUAAUGCCAUUUGUACUAAAUCAUUCACUUGUACCCACUAAAUGAGAGCUUGAACCUAUGUUCUUGUGUAAACCCUUCACAAUUAAUGAGAACUCCUCUACUUCGUGGACGUAGCCAAUCUGGGUGAACCACGUACAUCUUGUGGGCUCUCCUGUCUCUAUCCUUUUACAUACUUAUCCACACUAAUGACCGGAGCAAUCUAGCGAAGGUCACAAACUUAAUACUUUCUGUUGUACCAAAGUCCUCACUGAUUUUGUGCAUCAACAAUCCUUAAGUACUUACCUUUUUGCAUUGGUAAUGGAUGAGUUAACAGGACAUAUUCAAGAUGUUAUUCCUCGGUGUAUGCUUUACGCAGACGAUAUAGGGUUGAUAGAUGAAACUCAGGAAAGGGUUAAUGCGAAGCUUAACCUUUGGAGAGAAGUGUUGGAAUCUAAAGGUCUUCGCCUAAACCGAUCAAAGACAGAAUAUAUGGAAUACAAGCAGGAUGGAUGAAGUGGAAGAGUGCAUCCGGCGUGUUGUGUGACCGUCGUAUGCCACUGAAGCUCAAGGGAAAAUUUUAUAGGACUGCAAUAAGGUCGGCGAUGUUGUAUGGCACAGAAUUUUGGGCGGUGAAGCAUCAACACGUACACAAAAUGGGUGUAGCGGAGAUGAGGAUGCUUCGUUGGAGGUGUAGGCUAACGAGAAAGGAUAAGAUUAGGAAUGAGUGGGUUGGACAUGUACAAAGAAGGCCUACUAACGCUCCAGUUCGAAGAUGUGACUACGGGACAGAGGUUCAGGGCCAAAGGGGUAGAGGAAGACCUAGGAAAACUUUGGAAGAGACCCUAAGAAAAGACUUAGAGUACUUGGAUCUAACGGAGGACAUGACACAAAACCGAGCGCAAUGGCGUUCUAGGAUUCACAUAGCCGACCCCACUUAGUGGGAAAAGGCUUUGUUGUUGUUGUUGUUGUUGUUGUUCAAUGCAGAUUUUGGUUGGAACGCAAAGCAAGCAUGCAUGGACAAUCAACGAUAGGUUUUGAUUAUGAUUUAAUUCUUUAUUGCUUUUGGCUAAUUUUUUGUUUUAAACAAUUUAGCUAAUUAUGUUUAGAGAUAUUAUUUCUCUCUAUUUUUUAUUGCUAAUUGUUUACAUGUAUUAUUUCUCUAUGUUUUUUGCACUUUUGAUAUUCAUACUAUUCUCAAACACAACAUCAGAAAAGAAAUGAGCAGUUUUGCGAGGAGAAGAUGGAAUUGAAAGAAUUGCAAUGGAUAAUUCCUAUAGAUAUAUCUCAAAUUUUCCUCCCGAUAUUUCUUGAACUUUUCGAUUAUUGGACAAAAAGAAGCAGGCCAGUCAUGGUUAGUCAACAGCGAUUUUCUAAGUUGCUGAUUGUUUUCAAUCUUUUUCUCACAAAAAAAAAAGGUCGUACCCAGUGCACAAGGCUCCCGCUUUACGCAGGGUCUAGGAGAGGUGAAUGUCGGCUAGCCUUACCCCCAUUUAUGGAGAGGCUGCUCCCAAGUCUCGAACCCGAGACCUACCGCUCAUGGGCGAAGGCACUUGCCAUCGCACCAAGUGCAACCUCUAAUCUUUUUCUCACAGCCAAAAGAAAAUCCUCAAAAUGUUGGUACUUCUUCACGAUUCCUGGACAAGCAUCAAACGUAACCAAUUCCACUUCUGCAGGAUCAGCUACAAAGGUAGAGUUCUCUUUCGCAAAGGUCAGCAUUCUCGGGAACUUGACACCAAGGCACCUAUAUGGCAGGAUCCAUUAUACUUCCCCGGUAGCCCACGUCCUCUUACGAGGCCAUUCAAAUCAAGGGCUCAAUACAUUAGCUUUCAGCAUGACAACAAGAUUCUGCCAUCUGAAACUGUGAAUAAUUCCCCUUCCAAAGAGUUUCCAACCCUAUAUCCCACAACUACACUACCAUCACGAGUAAUGGAAUGAAGAAUACCUACUGGUGAGUGAUACUUUCUUCAAGCGUACCCAAUCACCAGCUUCCAAGCCAAAAGUGGUCUGCUUAAUAUUCCUUAAUUUGAUAGAUAUAGUACCUGCUUAAUUUUCCUUAAUUUUCUUGCUAAUUCUUUGGUUUAAUUUUCAUUUCUUGAUACCUUUUCACUUUUGGUUCGCAGGAUGUGACAUCCUCAAAGUCUCAGUGAUAUUAUCAAUCAUGCUUUUAUUUAAAGACUAUGUACAAUAUCUUUUGUUUUGUUCGGGUUUCAUUCCUUUAAAUUUUUUGUUCAGUUGUUAUUCAAUGAUGAAAAUAGGAUGUCAUACAUGUUUGGUAUUCAUUUCACAACUUCGCUGAUGUUCACUGAACUAUUUUUCUGUACAUGCUUCAUGUUUUUUCAAGAACGAAAGUAUGAAAAGUAGACGAGAGAUCUGUUGUAACUGUAAUUGCUGCUCAUCUUUAUUGUCGUAUGUUUUUUUGCUAUCUCUGAUUCCUCUUACUCGAUUUCUCUCCCAAAACAUGUAAUUAUGUACUGUUGUAAUACAAUAACGUAUUUAUUCUAUUACUGUUUUCACUAAUAUGGUUAUGCGGCUUAUGCUUUUUCCUUUUCAUAUUUAUGAAAAAGGAUAGAGGUGCUGAGGGAUCACAUGAGGCUCUGGAAGUAUCACUUCAAUGUAUUCCUAGGAAAAGAGUGAAUCUCAUUUCAUAAUUUCAUGUUGGGCAUAAAUUUAUCUUUGUAGACUAUUUAAUGACUAAAGUUGUUCAUUGUAGCUUGAAUUUGUUACAAUUAAAAUCAAGUUCAUUCACAAAGAUAAAUUCGGUAUAUAUUUAUUUAUACAAGCUUUGCAUUACAAUGAAAUAUUCAACGAGAUAACCCCAAACAAAUAUGGGGAUAAAUUCCAUAACUUUUAUUAUCAUUCACCUUCUUUCAUUUAGGAAGACAUGUUAGCUAAAGAAACAAGGAUAUUGAUAAUCAAGAAGUUUAACAUGCAGCAAAGUUUAUUAUCAAGUAUCAACUAACUCAACAUAUUUUUAGAGGCGCGUAGCGCUCGUGAUUAAAAAAAGGCAUCUCGCAUACGCGUGAGCGCAUGCGAUGCGAAGAGGCUAGUAUAUAAGAAUAUAUGCACACACACACAUAAAGUGAGCCUUAUUUCUAGUCAGUCCAUAUUUUGGACUCUAUUAUUAUUACUAUUAUUAUUUUGAAGUCUCCCAAUUUUUAAUAAGACUUGCUAAUAUAUUUUGUUUGUGAAAAUAUAUAGCUCAACAAAUAUCAUUUAAUUAAAUAAUAGAUGAUUUGAUUAAAUCAAGAUUAUUUGAUAAUCAAGUCCAAAUCAAGGCUUGGUUCUUUCGUCAAUUGAUCAAGUCCAAAUCAAGUCUUGGUUCUGUCGUCAAUUAAUCAAGUCCAAAUUCAAUAUCAAAUCAAGUCUUAAGUCUUUCGUCAAUUAAUCAGAAUUAAUCAAGUCCAAAAUCAAUAUCAAAAUCAAGUCUUAGUUCUUUCGUCAAUUAAUCAAGUCCAAAUCAAGUUUUGUUUCUUUUAUCAGUUAAUCAAGUCCAAAAGCAACACCAAAUUAAGCUUCAAUCAAAACAUGGAGAGGACUAUAAAUACGAGGCUCUAAGACAAAGAAGGCCUCCACAUACAUCCUCACAUCCUCAAACCUUCAAAUACCCAAACACUCGUGGUCUUGAUCAAGCUUGUGGGGAAUCAACAAGCACAACAAAUACACGUGGCGAUUCAUCCACAUAAAACCUGGUGUACCACCCACCACGUGAAACUGCUCGUGGUCCCGCUUCGUUCAAGAUUAAGCCUUGACGGCCCUUGAAGGAAUCAAGUAUGAUUCAAGAUCAAGUCUCUAUGACCUUUACCACACACACAUCUUCAAAGGUUGAAUCAGAUGAUCAAAUUUUGUACUUAGAGAUUGUAACCUAAUUUUUUAAUUAAUACAAAAUUUAUUUUGUACACGUGUUCUUCUGUUAUUUAUUGCAGGAAAUUUUGUGUUUACACUUGUAUCAGGAUGUGGAAGCAAUUCGUUCGGAUUAAAAACAGUGGCAUAAAUUUUCUGGGCCGGGUGGAGGGAUUUCGCCCAAUGGAAUUUCUUUUGGUUACAUUUUGUUUUCUCACUUAAUCCGGGCAAAUGAACUUAGAUGUGUGUAUACAGAAUUCUAGACAGCUCGGUUCAGAUUCUCCUUGGUCGAGUUAUUUGUUGGUGAAGAUUGUAGCAAAAGACGUCUCAAAUUAUUUUAUCUCAUCUGUCAAAGCCAGGUUUCCUGGAAAGUCACUGUAAAUACCGAUCUCGAAGGUGACCUAGUGUAUGAGAAAUACAAUUAACCCGUCCAUAGAGGGCACGUUUAAGAAUUCAAGUCAUGUUUUACGGAGAGUUGAUCUGCCUAUAAACUACUUUUAGUUGGAACUUUAAAUUCUUCAUGCUACCUGGAAACUCUCUGCGGAGCAUCGUUAUGAAGUUUGGUUGAUGGCAUGUUCACAUGUAUAUAUACGAUAUAAUCCAGCAUGAAACUGAUGAAAACAUGUGCAGAUUAGGAUUUAGGUUCUUGAGGCAACAGGGAGAUGACAGUGAUGCGAUUUAUACUAUGUACAAUGAUGUGAUUUAUACUUUGUAGUAUAAAUCUUGAGCCUUGUUUCUUGUACAAUAAGUUCUGACUAAGUUGACCAUCCUAUCGAGUUGUCACAUUUUUAACUUUAUCAUACUACAGAGCUAUAUAUUACACACUGUUUAGAUGCUUGAUACAUUUCUCGUUUUGUUUGUUUUGUCCAACAAAUAUUACUCUAUGAGUGCUGGUCUCAUCUUCUCUCCGAUUGUUAGUUGAACGUAACUUUCAUGCUUGAGUAUCCAGGUCAUCUUCUCACCAACAACAAAAUGGUUCUGUGCGGGAUGUCAAACUAUCAGCCUGUGCAGGACUUAUAAAAUUCGCGUUAGACUUCCUCUCACAAUGAAGUGGGACAGACGUCGAAUUGUGCUUUUGUUAUCACUGUGAAAGGAAGUCCUACAUGACGCGACUCACAGAAAAACUACAUUUGGUCCAACAAGUAUUUUUCUAAUUCCGGAUUGUUAUACCUUAUGUCCUUCUUUCCUCCAUAUAUAAACCAAUAAUGUCAAUUUAUUUACAUAUAUAAUAGAGCUAGAGUUAGAGGCCAAUAAGAAAAUUGUUGUUAAUAUUAGACGGAGGAGGAGGGUGGUGCAAAUUGGAUUAGUUAGGAGUAUCACCUUGUCCCAAAACAAAACGAAACAAAAUAGGAACCUUUUUGUUUUGUUUUUCACCUUCUUAUGUUAUAUUGGAAGGGAUAGAAUAACCCUUGAAAUACCAAGAUUCUACCAAAAUUGCAUACACCCUCCCUCACUGCUAGUUAGGGUUAAAUAAAGGCCUCCUUUUUCCUCUAUAGUUACUAACAAAACACCUUUUCCAAAAGUCUGCGCAAGGGGCUAGUAACAAAUGGUUAAAAGUGUUAAACUAUCCCCGAGAUUCAGUGUUUGAUUCUUCUCCAGUCCCAUACUAUUGUAAUUUAUAUGAACACAUUUUCUGCAUUCCAAGAAACUGAGAUCUAAUAUGGGCCUAGGGUUCUAAAUCCCCCUUCCGGUAUAAGAAACCCCUUACCGGUAUAAGAAAAACAACAAAAAUAUGGGGCCUCUCGGGUCAGUUGGAAAAUCAUUUUGAUUAAUUGUACGAUUUAAAGAGAGAAUCCCAAAUUAAUUAAUGCCAUCCAAACGAAGUGUUACAAACCAACCAAGGAAGCAAAGCUUGUAACAAUAAUACAAAUAACUGAAACAAAUACCAGUAAAAUCUAUAUCGAAAAACAAAAAUAGGGCAUGUUCAAGAUAUAUAGAACCUUGGAUCUUCGGAAGGAGAUUUUUCACUUUCUGUUCACAUCCUUCACAGUUAAUGUGCACUUUCAGAACAUUGUGUCUGCAAAAAAAUAAAAUAAAAUAAAACACAACAACGAAAAAAGUCUUUCAAUUUUGCAUGCAUUGAAGACAAAAAUGAAAAGGGAAGAAAUUUGAGAGGAGGGGGAGACCUGGAUAUUGAAGAAAUAAAAAAUACCCUCAUAAAGUGGAGGAAUUGGUUCGACAAAAAUACCAUUGUCAAAUGAAGGCAUUGGUUUGACAAAAAUGCCCCAAAAAAAGUGGUCAGGUGAUCGUUCACAUGACAACUUAACGAGGAUAUAGAUUUUUCAUGGAAUGACCAAAUAAUUUAUAGUGGACAAACUCAGGGCCCACUUUUAUCAAUUUUCAUUGUCAGGGACCAAAAUGAAGAGUUAUGCAAUUUGCAAGAACCAUUUCUUAUGAACGGUUUAGGGUUGAUUUUGAUCUAAAAACCAAUUAGAUAUAGGAGAAGUAGUGUAUUGCUAAACAUUUCACGUUCUCACAUCUUUGUGCAGUGAUACUAGAGGGUGGAUACACUCAAUUCUUUUUCUUGAUGGUUUUAAAAUAAUGAACUCAUAAAAUGUGUGUACUAUUCAUCUAGUCUAACUUCUUAUAAUUUUUGCUCUUUUAUUGAUGAGAGGUUAUGGGCAUACUUAGUUAUAUUAAUUAUACAUGUACUUUCGGAAUUUUAAAAAUAUUUUGUUUUUUCUGUACACGUUUUUUUUAUUCGUUAAAUUGCACAUUUUUAAAAGUCCAAUGUGCAAUACGCGUUCUAAACAGGCACACGCGUACUUUUUACGUUUAAUACAAGUUAUUGUCACACAAUUUUCAAUAAUACAUAUAAAAUUCAUGUAUUCUUAACUAUGAAGAAUUUAAAUAUAUAAAUAUUAAAAUUAGAAAAAGUGCAUAAUUUUCAAAGUAAUGCCUUAACAAAGUUGUCGAACAAUAUAUGUGUGCGUAGUUUUUAUAUACUAUACCCGUUCCAUAUUUUACUAACUAUGGUUAGGGGCUAAAUGUGACAACCCGUUCCUAACUUUACGAUUUUAUUAAUUUUAAAUGAGUGAAUUGACGAAAAUGCCCUAGAGGCUAGAUCGUUGACUUUUGUUGAUCGUCUUUUCGUGACGCGAACGGGCUAUUAUUUUACCGUAUUCUGGAAGUGCUCGACGGUACGAAUGCGUAGGCGUAAAGGAAAUCGAAACCGAAGUUACGGUUAAAAUUUUAUGAAACACCGAAUAUUGACGGCAAGUUGGUAAUUUCAUUUUGAAAGAUAUUUUGCAUUGUUUUAAGAGCCACGUAGGGCCCACACCCCACUCUCCUUCUCUCUGCCUUGUCUCCCAAUCCCAGACCCUCAUUUUUAUAUUUAUUUCUUCUACAGAGGCAAGAACCAAGAGGGUGCAACCCUAUGAACCACCACCACUUGCUGUCUCCGGCAAGCCAAACCUUCACCUGCCACCAAAUCUUGCCACGUCGAUGAAGGUUAUCCACAUUCCAUCCCAGAACUAGAAACACGGUUACAAAAUCGAAACCAAACCUCGACCUCCAUGCUUUCCGACGAGGCAUCACUAUCUUCCGACCAAGGUAAUGGUCGAGACCACUCCAUUUUUCUUUCCCAUCUCAGUUUGAGGAUGAUUGAGUUAUUAUACAUAUGCUUUGGACAACGUUUCGAUGCAGAUCAAUUCGAGGGGAAUCUCCCUAGUUUUCCAGUGGAAGACCCGUGAGUUGCAAGAGUCUUCCUGCCGUUUUUCGGCCACAGCAGAGACGCAAAAUGGUAUUAUUCGAACCCCUAGCAUUGUAGCUUCAUUUUGGUUCAAAUUUGGAGUGAAAUGGUUAAAAAAUCGACCUUGAACGGAGCUCGAGAGUUUCUCAGCCAAAUCGGCCCGACUCCGGUGUCCUUUGCUAGGUGCGGCCGACCCACGAGCUCAAGUGGGUUAGUCCGGCCCGUUUCGAAAAACAAAAAGGGGCCUUGGGCCCAAAACCCGAUCCAAAGUUUUGGCCAAAAUUCGUAAUCCAACCGGCCCAAACCUUUGGGCCAAUGUCCAGCCCAGCCCAGUUCCAAAAUGGGCUCAGAACUCUGGAAUAUUCCUUAGGUUGACUUUUUCAAAAAUUUCUCAGAAACCCUCCUAGCCUAAUUUUGAUGUCCUGAGUCCGUUUUUGACAUCCAUUUAGUGAAAUUUUGAAGUUUUAACAUAGUUGACCACCGGGGAGUCUCGGUUGACUUUUUACAAAAUUUGUUGGGGACCCUCCUUAGCGUAUUUCAACGCCCUGAUUUCAAAUCCGCCAUCCAUUUUUCGAAAUUUAACCGUUUUAAUAUAGUUUCUUUAUUAGCCGUACUUUGUACGAAAACGCAUUUAUACUUUAGUAUGUACGUAUUUACAUAAAUGGUUUCAUUUCUAGGUAAAACACAUCGCAAGGAUCUUGAUGCCCGUGAGGUGGGUUCGACUCGAUGACAUGAUUUGUGAGUGGGUCUUUAUAUAAAUAUAGGUUAGUUUCCAUAUAUACAAUUUUUAAUAAAUUCUCUACGUGAUUGCCAUGAUUAAACUAACGCUUAUAAGAAAUGCCUUAUCAUUGGGAAAUGAUGAAAUAAUCAUGUGGGAUGCACAUGUAAGCUUAUUAUUAAGGGGAUGCCUUAAUUAUAUUUAUGGUCAUGAAUAGUAUUAUAAUGACUAGAAUUGUUGAAUUGAUAUGACAUGAUUAUAUUUAAGUUAUUUGCUGAUCAUUGUUGCACCAGUGUUACUACUCACUCGGGCCAAGGCCAGUCUUUAACAUGUAUGUGCACAUCGCACCGUAUGCUCACUUUAGAUCUAUUUUAGGUGCCAAUCUUGUCCUAGAUUGCUAUAGGCAAUUAGGACUCGUAUGUGUUGCACAUAGCGCCAGUCAUCACGUGAUUGUAGUACUAGAGCGUAUAUCAUUAUUACACCCAAUCCUGUUCAUGUCAGAAUACCUCUGCAUGAACUCGUAUGUCAGCAUAUGUCGAUAAGCAUUCAAUGUGAUAUGUUUAUUUAGGUGAAAAUAUAUGAUUACGGACGUCAUGUACUUAUUUACUAAAGUUGUGACGUAUGGCAUCCUUGAAAUAUUGCUAGUUAUGGUAAGCAUUUUUAUACUAUACAUAGUAAUUAUAUUUUGGAAACUAGACUUGUUUUAUGGUGAGGGGUUAUAAUGUUUUCAAAAGGUUUUUAUUAAAACUUUAUUUUCAGGCCCACUUACCCUUAAUUUUCACCCCUUCAAGUUCUAGCAGCUAUGACCUAGGGUUUGACUAAUUAUGAUCUUGGCCACAGCCUUGAUACUGAUUAAAAUUUGGGGGAUGCUGAGCAACAAAUGCCUAAGAGUUAGGGCUUAAGGUUGGUGUAUGUAGGAUACUAGUAGAUGAUCCAAGAGAGGAAUUAAAGGCCUAAAAGGCUCAAGAGGUGGUAGAUUUCUUCCAAUUUGCAAGUUGAAUCCCUUUGCUAAAAAGCAAGCCAUGUAAUUCAUCAAUAGUUGUAUAUCCUAGACAGGAAUGAAUCACGUCAACAACGGACUUGUAUUCAGAAGGUAAUCCAUGGAAUGUAAUAGAGAUAAGCUCAGAAUCUUCAAUCGGAGCUCCAAUGCUGGCAAGAGCAUUAGCGAUCUCCUCAAUUUGUUGAAGAUAUGCAAUAGUGGUGGAUUCACCCUUCGAAAUGCUUCAGAGUCUUGAUCUGAGUUCAUGAAUAUGAUACUAGGACGCUGCUACAAGCCAUGGUUCAAGCUUCAACCAUAGCUCUCAAGUGGAAUUGACACCAACAAUCUAUGGAAUUAAACAUUAAAAGAGUGUCGAAUUAAUCCAAAUAGGGAUAUUCUGAUCGUUUUCGAACCAGGCUACAUAUUCAGGAGAAGGAGUUUCUAGAUGAAUCACGAAGAAUUUUAGGUGGAGCUUCUAUGGAUCCAUCAACAAUUCCAAUGAGAUUAUGCCUUUGAAAGAUCGAAGCAAACAACGCACUCCAUGUAAGGUAGUGGUUGUGGUGAGCUUGAUCGAGACCAUGGAUAGAGUGCCAAUAGAAUUAUGGCAUGAAUUCGCAACUAGAGAUGGAUGAAUCUGACAAUUCGAUGCAGAAGAGGGACAAGCAACAGUAGAUAUGGCUGCAAAUUUCCAGAGUAAAAGACGACGGAAACGUGAAGAAGAAGAUGCGAAGUAGGGAUCAUAUACGUCGUUAAACGAUGACGAAGGAUACCAUAUUGGGAAAAUGUAUUUCAUUGAUUAAUGAAUAAGAUUACACCAUUGAGUAUUUAUACAAGAUCUGUACACAGGCAGCACAUCAUAACAAAUCUACCUAUCCAAAUAGAAACCUAUAACAGAAUGCCAAACUAUUUACAAAAUUGACACUGUUAACUUUUGUCUUUUACAAAACUAUCCUUAAUAGAAAUAUAUGAUUAAAAUAUAAAAAAAAUUUGAUCAUAUCACGCUGCAGUCUUUUCCUUUGCAGCCGAUACUUAGGUGGUCCUCGGAGGCUUUCACAGCCACUUAGCCGAUUUCGGGUGGUCUCGGGCCCACUCAGGUCUCUUAAUUGAUUUGUCCUCCUUGGUGUCAUACAUGAAUACAUUACUACUAUUAAUUAAGCUAUUGAUUCUUAAAAUCAAAAGUAUAAGUUGUGCCAAUUUAAUAAAAAUAAUGUAUUAUUAUGUGUACGAUUUGAGUUUAGAUGACCAAGCAGAGACAUUCAACUGAUCAAGAAAAAAAAUAAAAUAAUAUAUCGGGAAGGGGACAGUAAAGUUUCAUAUGUGAAAGUUAAACGUAACACAAGAUGAGAUUUAGAACAACGCUAGGCUAUGAGUACUAUUUUUGUGGAUAUGAUCUCAACAAAACAACGUUCCAUUGACAUAUCUUAUACCAUGCAUACAAAUACAAAUACAGAAGAAAAUGGAACUUAAUUUGCCCUCAACUCACUUGACUGGAACAAUACUUUCCACAUAAAUAAGAGCUUGGAAAUCUCUAACUUCAUUGAGAAUAGGAGGAAUAUGAAGAUAGUUGAGAUUUCUGGUACUGGAAUUAUAAGAAGUGGCUCUUCCACCGGAGGCUACCAUAAGAAGUUCAUUAGUUUUCCAAAAUGUAAAUGGAUUCUCAAUGCCUUUUAAGGGUCCAAAGGUUAGGAGUUUCGUCCAUGAACUCUUAACUCCAUCAUAAUCAUCUAGUACCCAUACUUCACAUAAUGUAGAAUCCGCAUCACUUGGAUCGCAACAAGAGCAAAAAGAAGCAAUCGAUUUAUCACAUAGAAAAAUAUUAGAAAACUCAAAAUUGGAUUCUCUUCUAGAAGGCAAUUGUAUUCUAUGAAAUAUCUCAUCACCUAAAUCAAAUGAAAGUAUGUAUUUCUCGCCAUCGGUUGCAAACCAAUAACAAAAUCCCUUCAAGUACACUGAAAAAGAAUAAUGAUAGGUUUCACUUGAUAUAUCAAUCUUGAUCUCUCUCCAAGAGUUAGCAACCAUAGUAUAUACCUCAGCCGUGUGAGGAAGAGCAAUACGAUGAUAAUAGUAUUGCUGAUCAUCUGAAUACUCACAAUUUUCUAUAAUUUGCACAACCUUGUAUUCUUCAGUUUUGCAAUCAUAACCAAAUCCUAAUGCUCCAAAGAUCGUCUCCAAUUCGAAUUUUCCCUUAGGACGGGAAGGUAAAAGAAGGCAUGAAUGCGGAAGUUGCCUGAAUUCCCCCGUUGCAGGAUUGCAUAAAAGAACAUUUAUCAAAUGAAGAUUUUUCCCUGCUAUUACACAGACAAUCCCAUUGCAAUAGCCGUCAAUCUCUACAAAAUCAUGACCUUCCAAUGGAAACGGUAUAUUUAGGUCCUCAACAUCAUAAUGAAGGUUGUGCUCAUCACUAUCAAUGUAAAGAUUAAUGAUGGACCAGAAAACUUCUGGUUUCCAACUGUUAUCCGGGAAAACAUGAGCCUGAGAACGGUUGAGAAGGAUGCAAGUGGAGGAUGAUAGUUUGUUGUCCACAGAAUUGUUGAGGUGUUUGGCCACAAAACUUAGACUAUUGAUGAGAGUGCACCAAGACUUGCGUAUGCAUUUGAAUCGCAUCAGAGAUUUGGGCGGCAACCUAGACAGUGUUUCGACCACGCUAUUAGGAGUUUCACUUUCAUACACCUGAGACAUUUUGGAAAUUUUGUUCCACAGGAAUUCUUCACGUAUAUAUACACAGGAAAGAAAACCACAAGUUUGAGAGCCAGACUAAAUCAAAAUACAAGUCCUUAAGGCCUGGUAGAUUGAAAUUCAAUUUCAACAGUACUAAAUAAAUAGGGGCGAUCGAGUCAGUUUCGAGUUUUAUGGAGAAUCAUAUGUUCAAAAUUUACUAUUUUUUUUUAUCUUUUUGUUUGAUACAAAACUAACCAUUCAAAUUUUACUUUUUAAUUCUACAUUAAAUUGAUAAUAGACACAUUUUCAAUGUUUUCUUUCUCAGUAAUCAUUUUGAAAUUAAAUAACCAAAAGCAUUCUUAAAUCAUAAAAUAAAAUAAAAUAACUACCAAGCCUACGUGGUGCGCAUGCCGAGUAACUAAUAAGCUAACUACGUCCUUCGGUUGUAUGCGGGGCGUGCCAACUCACCGGCCGAGGAAUAAAAUUUGUUGAUGUUUGGGUGCAUUGCUGACUUCUUGAUCUUGCGACUGCGGCCGAGGAAGAAACAUGUCUUGACCUUCGGGUUCUAGAGCCUGAAGACAAUGCUGCUAGUUCUUCGAAGUUCAAUAUCAAAUUCGGCUUUCAAUGUGCCAAAUGUAGUAACUUGUAAAACUCGCUUCGCUGAAAAGGCUAAUAAGAUAACCUCUGCCAAUAAGGAUUUGAAAAUCCUUCUCGACCAAGACUUGGAUAGAUAACCAGUCGGCCCCGUCGUAAUGCUGUUUAUCCAAACUAAAGGUGUUUCACGGUCGGCUGAUUCUACGGCAACAGUGUUGUUUAUCCAAACUGAAGAUGUUCGUCAGUUGCCUUCACAGUGUUGUUUAUCCAAACUGAAGAUGUGUUGGUGAAAAAGGAAAAUAAAAAUCUUAAAGUUGUUGAGAGGUUUCGCGUACAGCGAGGGUUUGCGCAAGGCAGUUUGUGUGUUGAGUUGGAGGUCCCUUGAAUGCUGCACAGCCUCCAUGUAUUUAUAGCUUUGGAUAUCUACCUGGCACAGCCUAAUGGUUCUUGCAGAGUCCAACUAUGAAAUCCCGUUCCUAGAUUUCAUUGUUAUAAUCUACGUAUUCGUAUUAUUAAGGUUCUAUAUUAUUUUUGGGAAUUUAUAUUAAUUUGUUUGAAUUUAGAUUUUAAUUAGAUUAGUUACGAAGUUUGAAGUUUGGAAAUUAAUUAUUUAAAAUUCAUAGACCUUUCGAGGUCACAAUUUAUAUUGGUGAUUAGAAUUCGAGAUCACGAACGCAUAGGCGAAAGCCGUUUGCGAGUCCGGGUUUUAACGGUAUUGUUACGGAUAUUUGAAGUUGUGUUACUAAACUAUAGAUUUUAGUUUAUUUUAAAACUCCCACAUAGUGGGAAAGUGGGGGGGAUAAAAAAAUAAAAUAAAAAACAAAAGGAGAGGUGCGGGAAGUUAGGGAGGAAGGGCAUUGGUUGCCCAAUCAGAAAAGAAAGGGGGAAGAAGAGGUGACGAAUAACAGGGGAGAUCAAGGAGGAAAAGGAGAGAGGUGAGUGGCACCCAACCAAAAACCUUUCUCCUUGACCCGUUUCUUUCACCCCGACCCUGUUCGGCUGGCACCAUUUCCGAUGCCCUCACGGUGUUUUCUGAGCAAAUGAAAGCACCCUACCACCACUAAAUCAUUUCCCUUCCACUUUCCCAUCAAUUUCCAACCAAACCCAACAAAAUUUGGGCCUCGAUUGUGCGAGGGGACACCCACAGGUUCGAGGGGGUCUAGGCAUUGAUCUUCCAAUUGUGAAAUGUUUUCCUUCAAUUACCACCACCAAAAGACUUCCCUCAACCCAAGGAACAAAGCCCAAUCAGUCUUGGAGGCGUCGAAGUUCAAUUGGAAGCCGAAUCAAAGCACACAUUUUUCUAGGGUUUCGGCGGGUUUAAGUGAAAUUGAGGUGUUUCCCGGCCAAAUUGGACUUGUCCACAGGUAUAAAGUUUGCUCUACUCUUUGAGAUCUUCAUUUCUGUAUUUUUUGGAAAGUUUUAAAAAUAGUUGAAUUUUCCGGCAAGUCGGGUCGGCCGAUCGCCACCCGCGGCGGCGUGUGCAGCGGCGACCUGGCCAGUGGGCCGAUGAUGUCCUUUUAAGUUUAAUUAGAUGCCUGGUUUCAUAAUUGAUAUCCGUAUGAUGCGGUUUGAUUGUUUGAACCUAUUUUCAUUACAAUACGCCACUUGAUAAAUAUUUGAAUCGACGAUCCGACCGUUGGAUCGUCAUCAAACUUUAAUGCGUUAUAGAAUGUAAUAUUUAAGGAUAUCUGGAACUAACGGUCGGGAAUCCUACGUACGGAUCUUCCUGAAUUGAAUUUCUAAGUUAGUAAAAUUAAUUGUUAACUGCCACCUAAUCCUAGCAAUGAGUGGAGAUCCGACCGUCGGAUCGUGUUGAGAUUUUAGUAUGUUGUUAUUUGAGCAUAAUGUGGACUUUAGAAAGUUACUGAUCCGAAAUCCAAUGUGUGGAUCUUCCGGAUUGAAUUGUGUAGAAUUGUGGACCCUACCUUUGAUCGAGAGUUGACUUUUGGUCAACAUGUCUCGAAGCGUCCUAAUUACUAAAAUUAGUACUGUGGGGGACCAAGUGAAGUCUAGUGGGCCUACAUUGGUUAGAGAGUGACUUGAAUUUAUGUGAUAUGGUUAUUACUCAACUUCCUAUGUUAGUAUCCUUUGUGAAGAUGAAUUGGUUUUAUAAAUGUGAUUUCUAUUGAAAUGUGAUUUUUAUAUAUUUAGCCAAAGGCCUAUGAUUAUUAAACAUGAUUUGGCUUAGUAUUGAUGAUGGUUGUGACAUAUGUGAGUUAAAUUAUCUUUUUAGUAAUGUGAAUUAUGUGUAUGAUUAUUUUUAUGAUAAUAUGAUCCUAGAAACCUAUUAGAAGUAUGUUGUAGCACUUAUAUGCUUGGGUGACAUAUUAGUGGUGACCUUGAGAAGUUGAUGGUGUAGGUGACUACGUUGUAACUCAUAGGGGUUGAGAUGUGGAUAAGUUGAGGUGUUGAAGGUACUACACCAUGUAGUAGUUGUACAUUGAUGGUCCUACUUGGUAUAUCUACAUUGGGGGACCAUAUGCAUUCUAGAAGUGAGGAGGAUUAGUUGUACUUGGUAAUUUGAUGGGGGAAUCAUAUGCUUGUUUGGAUUCCGUUGAGUGAUGGUCCGGAAUCGUAUCCUGGUUCGGAUUCCGUUGAGUGAUGGUCUGAAAUCCCUUCUAUUCUACGAUUCCGUUGAUUGAUGGUUUGGAAUCGUAUCCAGCUUGUAUUUCAUCGAGGGUUCGGUUCUAUAUGCAUGGUACUUUGAGAUUCCGUUGAGUGAUGGUCCGGAAUCCCUUCUACUCCGUGAUUCCGUUGAGUGAUGCUCCGGAAUCCCCUUUGGUGUCUUGGCUCCGUUGAGAGGUCUGAAAUCCCUACUUCAAAGAAGUAGGCUUGGCCUAACGGUGUCACUCUAGCCUUAGUUAUAUAUAUAUAUAUAUAUAUAUAUAUAUAUUUGUGACAAUGGUUUUGAGAAUCUUGUGAAUUGAGUUAGAAAAGAUGUUGGACGUCGGGGUGACUCCUUCAGGAUUCUCUACGAUUCGAUUAUGAUUUCAUCAAGUAUGAAUUUAGAAAAUAUGGGAAUGAUUGUUAUUAUUUUGAUCAGAUUAAUUAUUUAAUGUGGCUAGAGAAUGGUUAUGUGCUUCGUCGGUUCUUAAAUAUGACGUAUGUUUUGAAUGGCGAUGUGAUGAGACAUAAUGAUUUAUAUGUUGGAUGAAAGAGAAAUCAUGAUUUUCAUGGGGGGUUUGUUAUGUAGCUUGAGUCCAGGAAUUUCAUGCUGUCAGGUUAUUAUAAAUAAUGGAGGAAUGCUAUACUUUUCUACUUGAACUGGGUGUGAUAAACAUUUGAUUUUGUGAGUGUUGAACUACGAAUGGCUUGAUCCCUAAUGAGGGUACGUAGGCAGUCUAACAAAGUGGUUAGAUGUAGCCAUAAAGCUUAUGAAAAAUUAUUACGUAGUUGGACCUUGAGCUAUGCCUUGUACAUAUAUCGGAGGCAGGAUCUGUUAAAUAUACGGAUGCUGGAUGACGUCACGCGUCGAUCCUGGACGUAUGUUGGGUUUGGGGCAUGACACCAAUUGCAAUUCUUUUCCCCGGAAUCAAAAUUAAUCCGCAUCAGAGACCAAGGGAUAUCUUUAAGAUAGAUGUUCAUGAUUUUCCAAACCUCACAAAAGCCUAUCCAAAUAAAAGUCUUGUCAUCAUAGCCUAGCCAACCUAGGCUUGUCAUCAUUAUCCAAGACUAUUAAAUCUUAGACUUAUCACAUCACCACCAAAAGCCAAGCCUAUCUAGGCUUCUCCAUAAUCCAUCUGUGCAUGCACCAUGACUUUUCAAACAUCAUCUACCAAGUUUCUCCAAUUUGAUAGUAGUAAUCCUAAGUUCACUCGAACUGUACUUGUUCAAAGAUAUAAUGCUAAGAUAAUCCAAAUUAAAAAAUAAUUACUAUGACAAAAACCGUAAUAUUAUUUUUUAACAAUAACAAAAUUAUCACCACUUUUCCAUCCGAUAAUUAAGAGCUAUGCUCACUCAACGACAUUAAUUGCACGGGCUGAUGGUGUAACUUUGUGUCCAAACAUUGCCCCCCAGUUUCCUUGAACUUCGGAUCAUAAGCCGAAUGGUUAAGGAAAUUAGUGCAAUCGAAGAAUUCUCGUAUCGCCGAUAGUGAAACUUUUUACUCGCCAACAACAUCUCUGUAUUGCCAAGGCUCUAUACAAGGCUCGGCUGUCACAAUUCUAUACAAGACUCGGCAACAACAUCGCUGUGAUCUUCCUCGGCUGCCACAAUUCUAUACAAGGCUCGGCCACUUUAAUAAGUAACCUUUUCGACCAUCUAGAAAAAUUUGGACCGAGGAAAACCAAAUGGCGUCGAGGGCCAAGAUAUAUAGGUAACCUGAUUACCUAAUAUAAUUUGUCGGUCAUGCAUAUACACACAUAUAUAUAUAAACCCGUACCGAGCACCAGUUCGUCGAGCUUGGCAUGUAUGAUAUAGGUCGAAAGGAAUUGGGGGUAAAGGGCCAAGGGAAAGAUCUUCCUUGGCAGCUCGUUUCUCGGCCAUGCAUAUACAUAUACAUAUAUAUAUACAUAUACAUAUAUAUAUACAUAUACAUAUAUAUAUAUACAUAUACAUAUAUAUAUACAUAUACAUAUAUAUAUAUAACCCAUUGUCAGCAAUCAUGACUAAAUAGGUAGCCUGACUGAUGUGAUAUGUCUGCCGUGCCUUUGGCAUAUAUAUAUACACACACACACAAAACAAAUAUGUGCCAAGCACCAUAUCGCCGAGCUCUUCAUGUGUGUGCGUGUAUAUAUAUGUUUAGCGACUAAUAAAAGUGGCUGAACUAUAUGGGGCUGAGAAAAAAAAGCCGAGUUCAAGAAGCAUCAGGCCGAAGUCACACGGCUAGAAACAACUUUUAAACCGAACACAUUAUCUUCUGGAUUGCAACACCAUUUUGUCAUGACUUGGAACAGGUGUCGAUGAAACUUUAUCUUUACCAAUGGUAUUCUAACAUAACUUGGAAUUCGUCAUGACUCCCCACCUGCAACCACACUUUCAUAGGCUGAAGCCUACUACCUUCCUUCUUGGUAAUGGCAUCCUGAUGUAAGCUAACUAUAUAUAUAUAUAUAUAUAUAUAUAUAUAUAUAUAUAUAUAUAUUAUAUAUAUAUAUGUAUAUGUGUUGUACAAGGUCAGGUCUGUGGUCAGGAUGCUCAUUGUCCCUUUAUUUUCUUUUGCAUCGGCCGAGGAGCCGAAUGGUUAAGAAAAUAGUUUAUUCCCUUUUUUUUUUUAGCCAAAGAAACAAAAAGUGGCCGAACGAUAAAGUGGAGGAGGCCAACGAUGUUUUAUUCCAAGCCGAGAUCUUUUAAAACCAACAUAGCCAAACAAAUUUUACAUUGAGCCAAAUAAAAGAUGAUCUCCAAAUACUUUUGACUUGGCGAAAGAUUUUUUAUCAUCGGCCACCGAAUGUGUUGGACAAUUAUUAUGCCCCCCAGGCAUAAUUACUUCGUUAAUUUUGGCCUUUAACUUAAAUAACUUAGCCGAAUGUGAUUUCUCUAUAUCAGCCUUAUCGCCAAUAACCAUAUCGACUGUCAUGGUUUUGGCGUCUAAAACCAUGUCUCCAAUUACCAUAUCAAUUGAUGUGGUUUUAUGGUCAUAAGUCGUGUAUUGGUCUUGUUCGUCAUUGGAACACUCCUCUGAUGAAUCAUUUUCUGAGUCAAUUUAUGGCUUAGAAACUUGAACAUUUUCUUCUAGGCCUACCACACUUUUAGUCUCGACCGAAAAAAUAGGUGGCCUUUGUUUUUAGGCAAAAUUAAGAAUUUUCUUAGGCCGAAUAUUGGUUGUGGUCGAAGCGAAAAAUUGCACCCCGGUCUCUUGCCUUUCAAGAAUCCUACACCAUUUCUCAAAGAGUUUUUCUUGCUCCUUUAAUAGGCGACAAAUCUCGUCCAAUGGAGCCUGAUCUAGAUACAUCAUGUGAACUUCUUAGUUUUAGCACUGUGUCCCACCAGUCGUGCCAAAAUGUUGACUCUAAAAACUACCAAGUCUACGUGGUGCGCAGGCUGAGUAACUAAUAAGCUAACUACAUCAUUCGAUUGUAUGCGGGGCAUGCCAACUCGUCGGUCGAGCUCGACCGAGGAGUAAAUUUGUUGAUGUUGCGUUGGGUGUGCUACCAACUUCUUGAUCUUGCGACUGCGGCCGAGGAAGGAACACGUCUCGACCUUCGAGUUCUAGAGCCUGAAGACAAGGCUGCUAGUUCUACGAAGUUCAAUAUUAAAUUCGGCUUUCAAUGUGCCGAAUGUAGUAACUUGUAACACCUCACUUCACCGAGAAGGCUUAUGAGAUGACCUCUACCAAUAAGGAUUCGAAAAUCCUUCUCGACCGAGACUUGGAUAGAUAACCAGUUGGCCCCGUCGCAGUGCUAUUUAUCCAAAUUAAAGGUGCUUCACGGUCGGCUGAUUCUACUGCAACAAUGUUGUUUAUCCAAGCUGAAGAUGUUCGCCGGUUGCCUUCACAGUGCUGUUUAUCCAAACUGAAGAUGUGUUGGCGAAAAAGGAAAAUAAAAAUCUCAAGGUUGUUGAGAGGUUUCGCGUAGAGCGAGGGUUCGCGCAGGGUAGUGUGUGUGUUGAGUUGAAGGUCCCUUGAAUGCUGCACAGCCUCCAUGUAUUUAUAGCGUUGGAUAUCUACUUGGCACAGCCUGAUGGUGCUUGUAGAGUCCAACUGCAAUUGUUUUCCGCAGAACUGAAAUUAAUUCGCAUUAGAGACCAUGACAUAUCUUUAAGAUAGAUGUUCACGAUUUUCCAAACCUCACAAAAGCCUAUCCAAAUAAAAGUCUUAUCAUCAUAGCCUAGCCAACCUAGGCUUGUCAUCAUUAUCCAAGACUAUUAAAUCUUAGACUUAUCACAUCACCACCAAAGGCCAAGCCUAUCUAGGCUUCUCCAUAAUCCAUCCGUGCAUGCACCAUGACUUUUCAAACCUCAUCUACCAAGUUUCUCCAAUCUGAUAGCAGUAAUCCCAAGUUCACUCGAACUGUACUUGUUCGAAGAUAUAAUGCUAAGAUAAUCCAAAUUAAAAAAUAACUACUAUGACAAAAACCAUAAUAUUAUCUUUUAACAAUAACAAAAUUAUCUCCACUUUUCCAUCCGAUGAUUAAGAGCUAUGCUCACUCAACGGCCUUGAUUGCACGGGCCGAUGGUGUAAUGCCAAGUUAAUAUAUGAUCUAGAAACUAGAAUGUGAUUGUGUUAUUGUGAUGCAUCAUUUUGAGUUUAGACUGUUGUUGUUGUUGUUGUUAUUAUUAUUAUUAUUAUUAUUAUUGUUGUUGUUGUUGUUGUUGUUAUUGUUGUUAUUAUUAUUAUUAUUAUUAUUAUUAUUAUUAUUAUUAUCAUCAUCAUCAUCAUCAUCAUCAUCAUCAUCAUCAUCAUCAUCAUCAUCAUCAUCAUCAUUAUCAUCAUCAUCAAAUGAUUGUAUUAGAGGGUUAAAUUGUUAAAUGUUAAGGGAAGAGGAUCGGUGAGGGUCAAACCUGCACUGCGGCACAUAUGAACUAUUACUUUAUGUCAUCGUUGUAAAGCGUCAUCUUCUUUGUUUUAGAAUUAAUAAACACACAUUUUUGCAUCUAUCGGGUAACCAAAAAUAAAGAAAUUAUAUAAGAUAAGUGAGAGAUUAAAAAUAAUGUGUGCAAACCAGUUCCGCUUUGUUUUUCAUGAUGUGUAAUUUUCAUUAUAACUUUGAAAGUAAGUGAGACCAAUUAUCAUUGGUGUGUUGACCUUGUAGCAGAAAUGUAGUGAAACAUUUUCUUGAAUUCAUUCUUCAUAUAUAAGAUGGACUAUGGGGUAGCAAGAUUCCACCGUCUUCUGCCUUGACAAUUUGUGUCUACAAAACAAUUAACACAUUUGAUAGGAUUUUUACUACAUGGUCAAAGAGGGUUAAAAUCACACCAAAUUUGCGAGAGAACAAGAUUAUUGUAGUAAGAAUGCCCAUGCAAGGUUGUUCCCAUGCACAAAGAUUAUUUAAAACAAUUUAUGUAAAACCCAAUCUUAAUUACUUGAAACGAAGUUUGGACAAAGUUGAUUUUUAAUUUUUAAAUAUUAAAAAAAAAACAAAUUUCAAAUAAACUAAUUAAAGAAAUCAGCAAGAGACCAAUUUUAAAGAAAACAAUUUGAAAGGAAACGGUUUGAAAUAUCAAAUUAUAAAAGCACUAGGGUUCCGACAUCAUCUUGACAAUCCUAUGUAGUUUUAUCAAUUACUUAUAAAUUACACAUGCAAUUCUGAAGAUUAGGUUUUCCUAAUGCAUAUUCUACUUGUGGCAUUCAAGAUACAAUAUAUAUCAUACAUGCAAGUCGUCUGUGGCAUUUAGAUGAAACGUAAACAUGCAUGACUCGUUACGCAUUAUGAAAACCCUUUGAAAAACCAUGUUGUAACAACCCGCUCGGAUUUUAUCAGAACGAAAAAAGUAUAUCAUGAAAUUGCAUCUCAAGCUAGAUAUUUUUCUUUUAAAAUUGUUUUUGGGUGUUAAAUGGUGUGCCUAAGGGGCCCACCUGUGAUCUUUGUCCCUCUUCCCUCUUUCCUCUUUCCUUUUGGACCCAUGCGUCGUCACUCUCCUUUAUUUCUCCCUCUCUUUUUCUUCCCUUUCCCGUGCAUCUCUCUCUCUCUCUCUCUCGCUCUCUCUCUCUCUCUCUCUCUUUCUAUCUCAGUUCUCUCCCCCCUUGCAAGUCUCUUCUCUCCCAUGUUCCAUAGCUAGCACCGAGAUGGUGCUUUGGAGACGACCACCAGAUGCCACCCUCACCUGAGGGAUGUCCCUCAUCCCUCAUAGACUCUCUCACUUCAAUCUCUCAACUCUGCAACUGCAUCACUGUGGCUAAGUUGCCUUGUUUGACACCGGUUAUCGAUUCCCCAGCUUGAGAGUAAGGUUCUAGACCUUUUGAUUAAUCUUUCCUCAUAUCUAGUUGUUGACUAAAGUUUGUACACGUUUUAGACGUCAAACCACGAAGAAACCACCUCGAUGGAGUUUCUCCACGUUUUCCGACGAGGAGCACCACCCCUUUCGAGGCAAUUUCCAUCCAAACCACAGCGAGUUGGCUAGAGUGCAAGGUAUCAAUCUCUUCAUCUUGUUGAGUACUACAACUUUCCUUUUUGUUUCACCCAAUUUCGUUGAGUAUUGAGGAAGUUAUAUGCAUUUGAAUCUUACCCAGUUUCGGACGACCUCCGUGGCUUUCGAGGCAUUUUUCAGCCAAACCAUGGUGAGUUAACAUCGUGCGAGGUUCCAUUCUCUUUGUCUCAUCAAGAAAUAUGAUUUUUGUUUUUGAAUCACUCAAUUUCAUUGAGUAUUUACAAAGUUAUGAACGUUUAAAGUUUGUCCAAUUUUCACGCCGAAAUCCAACCUUUUUCCCCAGAGAGUAACGGGCUCCCAAGCCCAACCUUUCAAACCAGGCCCUUUGGGCCUUCUCACCUUAGGGCCUUUGGCCGUUAAAACAUAACCCAAUCCAUUUAAUUAUUCUAUUUGUUUUCUGAAAUUCAAAGUCAUGUGGGCCAGGCUUUCAAACCCAGACCCAUUAGAACCUUUAAACCUUUUAAACCCAUACCCUUUUUAAUUAUUAAACCCCAAAGCCCUUUGAGGUCAAAACCCUAAACCCUAACCAGCCCAAACCCUUUAUGAGGAAUAUUCUGUUAGGGAAUAUUCCAUUAGGGAAUAUUUAGUUAGGGAAUAUUCUAGGAAUAUUCUAUUGACUUUUACGAAAUUUAACUGGGAUCCUUCUUAGGAUAAUUGACGUCCUGAAUCAGUUUCUGAUGUCUGUAUUUCCAAAUUCAAUUGUUAUAAUAGAGUUUUAUUAAUUGGACCAUUUAUGUGCUUAGGGGUAAUUUAUUGUGGCAUUCUAUUUUCUUUAGUUUGCGUGGCUCUCGGCGCCGAAGUAUCUAUGAGUGGACCCCUUCUAAAAAUGCAUGUUUUAAUAGUAGAAAUGCAUACAUGGAAAAGUAUGAUUGAACAAUUAUGUUCUAUGAAACGUUUUGAGAUAACAUGCUUACUGAGGCUAUUUUGAAUUAUUACUAUUUUUCCUAUAACCCGUGUCCUUAUAAAAUAUCUGAUGGAUGACGAUAUGAUAUUUAGAACAUGUUUUGAAUACCUCUUUAUAGUAUAGAUGAUGGAUGACUUUAUACUAUGAAAUUGUUUUUCAAAUGUAUGUAUGUUCGAUGGUUUUGUACUUACCUAGUGGUCCUUAUUCCACUACGGGAUGUAGGGAUAGAUUCUGGUCCGUCCCAGGUAGCGAUUAUGGUGUUGGCAUAGGCCCUGAAGUGCUUUUCCUCUAGCUAUUAGUACAUGGACGGGGAGCCGGCAUGGGGACUGGGGGUAAUUUUCCUCUGACAGUUUGCUCAAAGAUGAAGAGUCAGCAUGGGGCCUGGAGAGAUAUUAGACAUUCACUAGUGAUUAUUAUAUAUACAAGUUAUGAUUUGAGACAUUGCACGACAUGCUAGGUUUCGGAAAACCUAUGUUUAUCAUGAUAUAUAUGUGUUUUCAUAAAACUUGAGGGUUAGUACGUGGAUAACUGUUUUAGUAUAUAUAUAUCAACUUGGUCCACUCAUGUUUGUUUUACGCCCCCUUCAGGACUUAGAAUCGAGGCAUACAAUCCCAGCGUCCAGGCAUUUCUGCAUCGGCAUCUUCGAGUCCUUUCAGUGUAGGACCCACUCCUUUGUUCAUUCAAUUUUUAUAUUAAUUCUUUUAGUGUUUUAGAUUAGAUGUGUGCUCUGAACACGUUUCUUAAAUGCAUAUUCCUUAUUCUUUUACAUUUAUAAGUUUUAUCUAUCCCUUGUUUUCAGCGUUUGCACUCAAUAAAUGGCUUUCGUCACCCUUGGGUGUCGGCCAGCACGUGCCUAUCCUAGUAGUCGGGGAAUAUCAGGAUCGGGGCAUGUCACAUGCCCUUAAGACAUGAUGCCACUUGUUAUAAUCUACCACUUAAACUAGAUACAAGUGAGAGCAACCACAUGGACUAUGAUCCAACGACUUUAAUUUAAAUUGGAAACCACUAUUAAACUAAGAACUUGAAUUGUUUCUUUGGCUCCAAGUUUCGGUUGAAAGGUUACAAACCAACACUCCCUUCUAAACCUUUAGCAGAUUUAACUCCCAGAAGCUCUCUGAGAUAGGCACAUCGAUCUUUAGGUAAAACUUUAGUAAGAAUGUCUGCAAUUUGCUCCUCAGUCUUGCAGUACACCAGUUCAAUCUCCUUAGCUUGAAUUGCUUCUCAGAUGAAGUGAAAUUUUCUACUGAUGUAUUGUCACACAUAAUCUGAGUCCGUUCCAGUUGUUCUUCUUCAAAAUCUUCAAGUACAAAUCUCAGCCAUUUUGCUUGAGAGGUAGCUUCUGCAACAUUUACAUAUUCUGCUUCUGCUGUGGACAAUGCCAUAGUGCUUUACCUAAUUAAAACCCAUGAAAACACACCAGAUCCCAGUGUAAAUGCAUAACCUGAAGUGCUCCUCAUAUCAUCCUCACUUCUAGCCCAGUCACAGUCACAAUAAUCAAUUAGAGUAGUUGCUUUCCCCUUUUCAAAGACAAUUCCAAAAUCAAUUGUUCCUUGAAUGUAUCUCAGCACUCUCUUUGCUAUUCCCAUGUGUUUCUUAAUUGGAUUAUGCAUGAACCUUGCCAGCAAGCUUGCUGCAAACAUUACAUCAGGUCUAGUUGCUGUCAACUAGAUUAAGCUCCCUACAAGUUGUCUAUAUUCUCUCUCAUUUGCAGCUUCAUUACCAUCAAUUUUACUCAAUUUUUCAUUCACUGCAAGUGGAGUAUCAACAAUUUUGCAGUCUUUUAACCCAAACUUCUUAAUCAACUUCUUAAUUAGCAUUUUACUUAAUUUCUCAGUUCAUAGUACUCCAUCCCAAGGAAAUGGUGUAACAAACCCAAAUAUGUUACUUCAUAGUGUUUCAUCAUGUCAUCUUUAAACUCUUCAAGCAUUUGUGGACUGCUACUAGUGUACACAAUAUCAUCUAUAUAUAAGGAGACAAUAAUGAUACUUGAGUCCUCCCUUGUUGGGUCGCUACUGUUCGAUAGGAAAUAUGUGGUCACCGAUACUAAUUGCACGAUCACACCUAAGUAAAUACAGGGACCCAUUAGUAAAAACUCUAUUAAAACGUUUGAAUUUGGGGAAAUAUAGUGCGUAAACAGAAUUAGCGUGUCGAAAUACCUUAGGAGAGUCUUGGGGCGAUUUUGAAAAAGUCAAUAUUAAUCAACUUUGACGGUCAACGGUCAAGUUAACGGAAUAUUUUGUCGGUUGGCAGAACAUUCCAUUAAAACUAACACAAAGUUAACGGAAUACACAUGAAAUAUUCUUUCCAUAUUAUGAAGAAGUCAUGUCAGACGAUCGGAUAUGGGUUGGAUAGGGUGCAGGUCCGGGUUUGAAAGCGGUUUUGGGUGUCGGAGCAAUAUUAGAAAAUAUGAAAAUAACAUAAGAAUUCCAUUAAUAAUAAUCAUAAAGAAAUUCACAACAUCAAUUAUGUAUGAGAAUAUAAACAACUAGAGAGAAAGUUAGAAAAACUGACAAACUUGGAGAUUGAGGCUUGCAUAAAUGCAAUAUCCUAAAGAUAAAAUUUCACCCCUACUCUUGUGUUUGUAGUUCGGUAGGCGUUCGUCUCCCAGGAUUUAACAAUCUAUAAUCCGAAGUCAGAGCACUUCAAUCUUCGGACUCUAGCGAACUUUAUAUAUUCUGUACUUUCACGACACGAAUCGGAAUUUGACAAACAAAGAAUGAGAGAAAUAGAGUGGGGAAAUCCUAUUUCUCAAGAGUAAUUAAUUAUGUUAUUUUCUAUUCUCUCUCAUGGCUUAGUGUUACUGGGUUUAUAUAGAAUCCAAGUACCUUUUUCUAAACAGCAUGACUAACUCUAUAUAGAUGUUUUGCGGGUCGCACUACUUCUAUAACCAUGACAGCCAAUUAGCUAUGACAUAACCCUAAGUAAAUUAGGGAAAGGUUACAACUAUUAUGUUUUGAAUACUACACGGCAAGUGUAGCAUUCUCUGCAUGAAACACUUCACAAACUAAUUUUUCCAUUCAAACUAAUAUUAAAUAUUAUAAUAUUAUAUUAUAAUAUUAAAUAUCCAACACUGGGCUAUCCCGUCGAAUCGACCCGGUCUGGCUGCUAGUUUUAAAAUGAAGCUGGAAACAAGAGGAAUCUGAUUUUAAAACUUAGAAGUCCAAAUGGUAGGCGGAGGUGGCUGGCAGUGGCCUUAAAGCCACGAAUCUCGCUGGAAACUGAGCAUAUUUCAAACUUUCGAAUCUUUGUCAUACUGUCAUUUCUUAACCAAAUCAUGCAUGCAAUAUAUCAAAAUCCAUCUACUCCACAAGAGCUAUCCAAUGGUAGCAGUUUCGAGACUUAGAUUCACAAAAAAGGGAGGAAACCUUGUCGGGAAAGUCAAACAUCGUCGGUGUUCGGAAAAUCGCAGUCUCAGGUUGAGUUUUCACAAAACAAAACCAAGGAUGUGUUCAUAUGGGCGGAGUUGGUCUGAAUGGUGGUGGUUAGUGGUCAGGUUCGACAAAGAAUGGAGUUUCCGCCGCCGUUUGUGAUGGCCCAGAGAGAGAAAAAGGAGAGAUAAAGGAGAGAGAAGAAUGAGCUUGGGGUUUUCCCCUGUUUCUGGGUUUUUGGGGAGAAGAGGGAGCGAAAUAUGGUGGUCGCAAGUCGGUGUUUCCUGGGUUCGGCGCCUCACGGCAUCUCUGUGCUUUACAUAGAGAAAAGAGAGAGUUGAAGAGAGUGACAAUGAGGAGAGAUGGAUGGAGAGUUGGGUGAGAGGGAGAGUCUGAGAGAGGAUUAGAGCAUUCCCAACGAGGGGCUCUAUAUGGAGCUGGAAAAGUGAUAGAUAUAAUCCAUUUCAGUGCUCCGAAUAAUUUUUGGAGCUUUAUAAAAGAAUCACUCUCAAUGAAGAACUAUUACUUUGGGGCUCUAUAUGGGGCUAUAUAUAUUUAUUUAUGUAAUAAUUUGAUUAUGCGAUAAUUUUAUUUUUGUGUUAUAUUUUCUUAAGUUGAUUUUUGGACGUGUUAUUUCAAAAAAAUUUAUAAACCUUUCAACCUAAAAAAGUUCAAAUUCUGAACAAGUUAGAUUUCAUCACUCAUGAAUCAUUUGUUGGAUUAGAUUCUCUUAUAUCAAUCUCAUUCGUUGAAAGAUACAAACCCUCACUUUGCUCUCUGAAAUAAUUUGAUUUUCACGUAUAACACAAUAAUUUACCUAGUAUCAAUUGGUAAAUUAGUAUCAUACAAUUUUGAAAAAAUUUAUUAGAAAAUUUAACCCUCCAAUGCCCAUGAACGUUAUAUCAAUUUGAAAUUUUAAUUCUUAUGGAAUUUAAAACAAUCAUUAAUUUUCCAAAUUGCAAGAAAAAUGUGUGAGGAAAAAAGAAUAAAAGAAGAGUAUAAGUGUAUUCGCAAGUGGAGGAAGAGUAAUAAAAUUUUGCUCACAUAGAUUGCUACUUUUGUGGGACUCACUAUUUUUUGAGGCUAACAAGUGGUGGAUCUAGCCCCAAUUUCCGACUCAUUGGAGAUGAAAUUUGGAGACUCCAAUGAGUCGGAAAUUGGAGAUGAAAUUUAUCUUUGAGGCUUGAAAAGUAAUAACCUCAUGGAAGAUAAAGCCCCUAUUAGAAAUGCUCUUGGAGAGAGGAGAACAAGAGUAAUGAUGGUGGAGUGCACAAAACGAGUUAGACAAAGAGGAGAAAAGGUCCCACGUGGGUGGGUCCCAUGGGACACAAAGCGCCCAUCAACCAAAACAUUAAAAACGUGACAAUGCACGGACGACUAUAUUUACGAUAUUACCCUUUAUGUUCUGCUUGUCGACGCGAUUGUAAUGAUGGGCACUAGAAAAUAUGUGAGUGUGUGUCUUUAUGUCAAGCCAAGAUAUUUAAUUAGGCACGAGACCUAAAUAAUAAAAUACUAACAGAGAUAAUCUUACUUGCCCACUUGCUUAGAAUCUAACAAAUAGGCCAUCAAUAUCAUAGUUUGUAGCUUGCAAUUAUGACACCCACAGUUGUCUCAAGAUACAAGUUAUGGAUUCUAGAUAGUGCAACAUUAUCAUUUUGCCCCUCAAUGGAAAUGUGCUUAUAUCGUUCACUUUACAUCUGAUUUAUGUCUCGUUUGCUCACAUGUUUGUAAGAAUACGUACUACCUUGAAGGAUGAGAAAAGGGACAAAGUGACAAGGUCUCAAAUGUCCACAAGGAUUUCCAUUUAGCCCGGUAUUGGCCUUUUUAAAUUGCCUAGUGUCAGGAAAUAAAAUAUGAUUAAAUUUGGCACAGGAUGAGACAAAUGUUCCAAAAUGAGAAAACACUAAAAAAGUGACUCAUAAGAAAAAAAAUAUGUCAAUACAUAAGUGUACUGAAAUUAUAUUAAAAUGAAUUGAUGCACCUAAAUUAUGUACCAAACUAUAUUAUAAUAAAUUAAUAUACCAAAAUGUUUGUACCAAAAUGUUUGUAUUAUUAUAUUGAUUUAAUGCACAUAAAUGUAUAUACUGAAACGAAUAUAUCAAAAUAUAUUAAACAAAUUAAUGUAUUGAGAUGAAGAAAACAAAGUGUAUUGAAAUAGAUUAUAUGAAAAAUUAGUUUACUCAAGUGUUUCCAACAAAAUAUAUUAUGAUGCAAUGUAAUUGAUACAAUAAAAUUUGGAAGGAAAAUAGAAAUAAACAUCAAAACUUAAUUAAACAACUGAUGUGAUUAAAUAUAUCAAAUGACUAAGAUUAGAUUAGAUUUUAAUCUUUAAGAACAAGGUUUUAGUCUAAAUAUCAUAUUUAUAAGGAUUGAAAUGAAGUGUUCUAUUAAUUAAAACCUGUGUACGAAUAUGUGAAUUUUACUUUCUCAGUUAAUUUAAUGUAGAAUUAAAAGGUGAAAUUUGAAUGGGUUUUUUUUUUUUUUUUUUUUUUUUUUUUUUUUUUUUGAGUAUCAAUAAAAAAUUAAAAAUAGUAAAAUUAGAAUGUAUGAUCCUCCAUUAAACUCGAAACUGACUGAAUCGCCCCUAUUAUGUUUGGAAAACUAAAAAAAGACCAACACCAGAUCACCCCUGUUUUAUAUUUGAUAGCAAUAUGUUGUGGUUGUGGAACUCCAAGUUUAUUUAGUAAUGUUGAAUCUUGGCAUCUUAUGUGGUAAUAUGUUUAGUAAUUGAACCUCGAUCUACAGGCCUUAGGGACUUGGAGUUUGAUUUAGUUUGGCUCUCAAACUAAUUGUGUUCUUUCCUGAAAACAAAACUACCGAAAUGUCUCAUGUGUGUCAAAGUGAAUCUCUAGAAGAUAGGUUAAUUGAAAUCUUGUCCAGGUUGCCGCCCAAGUCUCUGAUGCGGUUCAAAUGCAUACACAAGUCCUGGUACUCUCUCAUCAGUAGUCUAAGUUUUGUGGGCAAACACCUCAGCAAUUCCGUGGACAACAAACUCUCAUCCUCCACUUGUAUAUUUCUCAACCGUUCUCAGGCUCACAUUUUCCCAGAUCAGAGUUGGAAACAAGAAGUUUUCUGGUCCAUGAUUAAUUUUUUCAUUGAUAGUGAUGAGAACGACCUUCAUUAUGAUGUUGAGGACCUAAAUAUACCGUUUCCAUUGAAAGAUCAUGAUUUUGUACUGAUUUUUGGUUAUUGCAAUGGGAUUGUCUGCGUAGAAGCAGGGAAAAAUGUUCUUUUAUGCAAUCCUGCAACGAGGGAAUUCAGGCAACUUCCAAAUUCAUGUCUUCUUCUACCUUCCCCUCCUGAGGGAAAAUUCGAAUUGGAAACGAGCUUACAAGCAUUGGGAUUUGGCUAUGAUUGCAAUGCUAAAGAAUACAAGGUUGUGCGAAUUAUAGAAAAUUGUGAGUACUCAGAUGAAGAACGGACAUUCUAUCAUCGUAUUGCUCUUCCUCACACGGCUGAGUUAUACACCACAACUGCUAACUCUUGGAAAGAGAUCAAGAUUGAUAUAUCAAGUACAACCUAUUCUUGUUCUCGUUCACUGUUCAUGAAGGGAUUUUGUUAUUGGUAUGCAACGGAUGGCGAGGAAUACAUACUUUCUUUUGAUUUAGGUGAUGAUACAUUUCAUAUAAUACAAUUGCCUUCUAGGAGAGAAUCCGGUUUUAGGUUUUAUUAUAUUUUGUGCGAAAUGAAUCCCUUGCUUCUUUUUGCUCUCGUUACGACCGGAGUGAGGAUUCUGAAUCAUGUGAAAUAUGGGUAAUGGACGACUACGACAGAGUUAAAGGGUCAUGGACAAAACUCUUAACCAUUGGACCCUUACAAGGCAUUAAGAAGCCAUUGACAUUUUGGAAAAGUGACGAGCUUCUUAUGCUUGACUCCGAUGGAAGAGCCACCUCUUAUAAUUCUAGUACCGGAAAUCUCAAUUAUCUUCAUAUUCCUCCUAUUCUCAAUAGGGUUGCAGAUUUCGAAGUUCUUAUUUAUGUAAAAAGUAUUGUUCAUAUCAAGUGAGUUGAGGAGAAAGUUCCAUUUUCUCCUAUUUAAUUUGUAUGCAUGACAUAAGGCGUGAAUUUGCAUCUGUUAAUUUAAUUUGCUUUGUGGCCCUUUUACUACCUUUGCUUAUCAUGAGCUGCCUUUAGUUUUGUGCUUUCUUUUACAAAUAGGCAAAAGUUAGAGAAAUAAUCUUUGCUAGGAACAAGAGCGAAGUGGGGGCAAAAUAUCACACCAUAACUUUAGUAGCUAUAACACAAAAGGAUGACAGAUAAAAGAGGGAGGGAGACAUGAUGAUGAUAUUGAUCUUUUCUUUUUGCGGUGUGUUUUGAUAGCAAACGAAGCGCUCUAUUUAUAGAGCUACUCCAAACAAACAUAAUAAUUACAUCUUGAAAAACAUAGCACACACUUUGUGAAAAGCCUUGGGCAACGAGUCAUGCUUUAUAUCUCGCAAUCUCGUUUUUCUCAUUGCGCUUUCUUGUAAAUACCCAUUUGUAACCCACGGGGUUUACAUCAAGCGGGGUUUGGACUAGUCCAAAAACAUUUCGCCUUGGAAUUUAAUUCUGCCUAGAUUGCAUCUUUCCACUUAGGCCAAUCCUGUCUCUGUUUGCAUUCAUCAACAGAGCGGGGCUAAAUGUCAUCGCUUAAUAUGAUUUUAGUGGCUACGGCGAAUGCGAACAUGUCAUCGAUGAUUAUUUCAUUCUAAUCCCACAAUUCAUUAGUACAAGCAUAAUUUAUGGAGAUUUCUUUGCUUUCUUGUACCUUUGUCUCUUCAGGGACAUGUGUCUCAUCAAGGACAUUUUCUUUUUUCUGGAAGUACAGAAUCAUGAGUUGUGGAUUUGUCAUUCAUUCUCUCUUCCUAAAUGAUUUCAUUCGGAUUCAGUUGUGCCCUUGUUUUUCUCUUUCGAAGGGCUAAAUCUUUUGAACCUAGAGGUCUACCAGGCUUCAGGCGUGCACCAGAUGAAUCAUUCGCUGCCACUUUAUUUUGUCCAACAAGGACAUCAAUUCUUGCAGGUGCAUUUGCAACUAGUAUAUGUGAUUUUGUCACUUUCAUAACAUCAUUAAAUGCAUCUGGCAUUUGAUUAGCAAUACUUUGAAGAUGAACAAUCCUUUUCACUUCAUUUUCACAUUGAGUGCUACGUGGAACAAAAUGAGACAAGGUGGGUACAACCCAUGUUAGCUCCUGCCGUUCUUCUGGAAUGGUCUUUUCUCCCCCUAAUGACGGGAAGACUGUCUCAUCAAAGUGACAAUCAGCAAAACGAGGUGUAAACAUAUCACCUAUCAAGGGUUCCAAAUAUCCAAUGAUAGAUGGUGAAUCAAAACCCACAUAAAUUCCUAGUCUGCGAUGAGGUCCCAUUUUAGUGCAUUGUGGUGGUGCAAUAGGCACAUAAAUAGCACAACCAAAAACUUGUAAAUGUGAAAUGUUUGGUUGAAGCCCAAACACGAGUUGUAUUGAUGAGUAUUGGUGGUUGGCUAUAGGUCUCAAUCGAACUAAUGAUGCAACAUGCAAGACGGCAUGUCCCCAUACAGAAACUGGCAAUUUUGUUUUCAUGAGCAGUGUGCAAGCUAUUAAUUGAAACCGCUUGAUAAAUGCUUCUGCUAGACCAUUUUGAGUAUGGACAUGAGGAACAUAGUGUUCAACAUCAAGGCCCAAUGUCAUACAGUAAUCAUCAAAAGUUUGAGACGUAAAUUCACUAGUUAUCAAGUCGGAUUGACUUAAUGGGGUAAUCUGGGAACUGUGCUCGCAACUUAAUUAUUUGAGCAAGAAGUCUCGCAAAAGCUACAUUUCGAGUAGACAAAAGACAAACAUGUGACCAUUAGAUAGAUGCAUCAACCAAAAUCAUAAAAUAUCGAAAUGGUCCACAAGAUGGUUGAAUAGGCCCACAAAUAUCCCCUUGAAUUCUUUGCAGAAAUGAUGGGGAUUCAGCAUCAACCUUUAGUUAUGAUGGUUUAAUUACCAACUUCCCUUGAGAACAAGCCUUGCAAGGGUUAUCAUUUGAGAUAGCAAUGUGUUUGCUCAAUAAUGGAUGUCCAUUAAAGUUGGUAAUGAUCCUACGCAUCAUGGUGGAUCCUGGAUGACCCAGACGGUCAUGCCAAAGCAUGUAAAUUUUUUAAUCAAUGAACUUCUGGUUCAUGACAGUAUGUGAUUCAAUUGUGUUUAUGUAUGUAUAAUACAAUCCACUUGACAAACCACGAAACUUCUCUAAUAUACGUUUCUGGGUAUCAUUGGAGGUAAUGCAUAGAUACUCCACAUUUUUUGCACUUUUAGUUUCAAUGUGGUAUCCAUUUAAACUUAUGUCUUUAAAACUCAACAAAUUUCGAGUAGAUCGAGUAACGUACAAUGCAUUCUCUAUGGAUAAUAUUGUUCUAUUUGGUAACAUGAUCUGGGCUUUACCUAAACCUUCGAUUACAUUUUAUUAGCCUGAUAUUAUUGUUACCUUUACUUUUGUAAGCAUCAAGCUUGAGAAAUACUUUCGAUCUCGAAGUAUUGUAUGCGUGGUUGCACUGUCUGCAAGACAAAUAUCUCCACCAUUUCUCUUGUUUUGAGAAUGGCCAUAGUUUUUAUCCAUGCUCUCUGAGUAAGACAGUUAAUUUAUUUAUAAUAAAAGGAAAUUGACAUGCCACUUUUAUUGAUUUUGAAAUGCAAGCAUUUAGACUACAAGAUCAGAAUAAUAAGAGUACAUUUAACAGAAAUGAUUCAAUCGGACCGAUACACUUCAUUCCCUCUUUCCACAAUGAAGUCCGAGACAUCUAGGUGGGUUGUGUUCAACUGCCCUGAUAAGUCGCACACUGGAUUAGGUAUAUCCAUUGGUCUAGCCUGGUCGAGGAAAUUGGUCUCAACACCUUUCUCCUUGAGGGAGGCUUGAUAUAGAUCUACUAUAUGUUUUGGUGUAUGACAGGUUUGCGCCCAAUGCCCAUUGCCACCACACCUAUGGCAGGCUCUUUCAGAGUUUCUAGGAGCAUUGUUCAUAUAAGCUUUGCCAUUGUGGCGAUUUACAUUUUUGAAGCUCAGGCCUGAAUUAUGCCUUGAAACCUGGUUGUGAAACUGAAUACCAUGAUUCUUGCCUUUCCCAUUCCAUCAACCUUGUUUGUGGCCACGUCAUCGUUUGUAAUUAUUACCACGAGAGGAUGUGGUGUUCAUUUCGAGGGAAACAACAUUCACUUCUGGGAAUGGUGCAGAUCUAGUAGGCCGGGACUGAUGAUUCUUCAUCAGAAGCUCAUUAUUUUGUUCAGCUAGUAGUAGCACAGAUAUCAGCUGGUUGUAUUCAAUGAAGUCUCGCUCUGUAUUCUGCUACUGCAAAAGCACAUUGAAGGCAUGAAAGGUGCUGAAAGUUUUUUCUAGCAUAUCUUCCUCAGUGAUGUUUUCCUCAAGUGAGUCCACUCAUAACGAGCCCUUGGAAGAAUCACUGUUUUCUAGUGAUUAUAUCUAUUUCUCAGUGCCUUCCAGAGGGUUAAUGGAUCUUCAACCGUCAAGUAUUCACUCUUUAGUCCUUCAUCAAGGUGGCGAUGAAUAAAGAUCAUGGUCUUCGCCCGAUCUUGAGAGGAUGCACUGUUCUCCUCCUUGAUUGUUUCUCCAAGAUUCUCUGCCUCCAGAUGGAUUUUGGCAUCCACUACCUAGGUAAGGUAGUUAUUCCCAGUAAUGUCCAGGGCAACAAAAUCAAGAUUUGCCAAGUUCGCCAUUUUCUUUUCUAAAAGAAAAAUGAGAUGUGUAAGAAUUGCAAUAAUAUGUAUUAUGGAGGGAUGUAGUGUUAAAACUUCUGGUUCUUACAAAUUAUUCAUUUUGAUCUUCAGGCCAAAAUGAUAAGCACUCGAAACUUCAGGCUCGAGAAUUACAUGAUUAAAGAGAAGGGCGAUUGUACCGCACCAUUCUCAUUGAAGAAAGCAUAGGAUGAUCGAUUAUUUGGCACCACUCAAACAUAAUGAAAAUUUAAAUAUGCAGAGCAGGUGGGAUGAUUAUACCGCACCACCUAAAAUUGCAAAAAAAUUAAAUAUGCAGCUCAAGAUAGGCGAUGACACCGCACCAUCUUGGAUUGCAGUAAGAUUAGAUUUGCAGUUCAAGAUAGUCAAUUGUACCGCACCAUCUUUGAUUGUAGUAAAAUUAACAUAAAUAAACACUAGGUUAGUAAUAAGGAACUACACCAAACAAGAAAUCAAAGGUAUAAGUAAAUUGAGAAUGAGAAAUAGGCAUGGUGCUAGCAGUUCAUCACGAGGGUACAUCAUGCAGGUGAGGCACAAGAAGAAGAAGAAGAGGAAAAUCCAUGGAGGAAACAUUUUUUUUUUCUUUUCGGUGAAGUGAGAUGAGAACUGGUUAGAGAGUCGUGCUGAUAACGUGUAAUAAAUAGGCAAAACUUAGAGAAAUAACCUUUGCUAGGGAUAGGAGUGAAGCGGGUGCAAAAUAUCACACUAUAACUUUAGUAGCUAUAACACAAAAGGAUGAUAGAUAAAAGAGGGAGGGAGGGAGAGAUGAUGAUGUUAUUGAUAUUUGCAGUGUAUUUUGAUAGCAAACGGAAUGCUCUAUUUAUAGAGCAACUCCAAACAAACAUAAUAAUUACAUCUUGAAAAACAUAGCACACACUUUUUGAAAGUAUUACACAAAUACAAUCAUCAUUCUUUUCCCAAGUCGACAUUACUGUGUGGGCAUUCAUUCAUCUACCAAUAUUUACAACCCUUUCCACAUUUUGUAAUGUUAUUUUAUUUGAAAGUGUAAGACAAAUAUUUUCUUCAUCGUAAAAAUAACAAUUUCCUUAUGUUUCCUUUUUUUUUUCCCCUUCCUUCAGAAUUCCCUUCUUAAAAACCUAAUAAGCUUUUACUUAUUUAACAUAAUCCAGUUAACCUUCUAGCGUAGGAGGACUAACAUUUAUACGUUAAAUCUAGGCUGCUAGAAAAUUUACACGACAAAGAAUACUUAUAGCCUUUUAGCCCCUAACCGUAAUUCAUAAAAAAGAAAUGGGUAUAGUAUGUGCAUGUAUUAUUGGACACCUUUGCUAAAGCUUUGAAAAAUUCAGCCACCUUUUAAUCUUAAUAUUUAUUUAUUUAACUUAAUUGAUUAUUUGUGGGACCAUGAUUUUUUAGUCUCAGAGUAAUACUGAUCCAAAUAUAGUUACCUUAGAAGUUCGGUCAUGGACUCACCAACUUCGAGCAGAGCUGUAUCAGAUGGAGUAGCGGUGUCACCAUCACACUGCUUCAAGGCACUAGGUGGAGUCUUAGCGACUCCGCUAGAUAACCAUGCUUAUUUCGCAAGACACGUGAUUUGAUCCGGAUAUGAACACAAUCAUAUCCUAUAAGUCUUGGAGUUUUUACAAUCUUGGAAUUGACGUGCGCCGCAAGUAACCAUAACUCAUAAGAGAAUGCAAUAUUUACUUCUAGAUAUCCUUUAGGAUUCUCUUGGCUUAGAACCAAGAUUCUAUCUUAAAAAUGUCUCUCUCCAUGGUAUAAAUACACUCAUCUAGGGUUCAUUUAUGGUAAUGCAACUGCAACACUUCAAUUCUCUUGCCCACUGCUUCAGUCUAAAAUCAUUCACUAACUUGAGUGUCGGAUAGCCUUUGGCCAACACACACCUUCUCCCCCCUAGCACCCCCAGUCUUAGUCGUCUUCACGGUUGUUUUCUAUUUUAUAGGUUGCUUAGAUUUGUGCUCAAUCACCACUCAUGGCAGUGUGCGAUCUUGGUUGCAACAAUUGGUGUUUUCAUUAGGAGUGAACUCUUAUUCUUCUCGACCAGACUGUUCUGCCAACUAACAUGUCAGAAAGCUCAGUUAACAACGACGACCUUACUGCCUCCUAGGGUAAUGUCCACCAGAAGCACGAUGGUGUUACCAAUAUAGACAAUAUGUGGGAAGACCUCAUAAAGGCAUGCAUCAAAGAUCUUAAAGAAUUCGUUUCUCGUUUCGAAGAAUUGGUGGUUACCUAAAAGACAGAAGCGAUCAAUCUAACCUUUGAAGAGUUAUCUCACGAUGACGCCCUCGUCGUUAAGGCUCAAAUCUUCAACACCUUGGUGAGCUGCGUCUUUGUUGACAUCAGCUCAAGAGUUACAUCCUUUUGAAGAAUGUUGCUAAAAAGAUAGGGAUUCUUGACAUCACCAACAAAGGGAAUAUAACCCACUGGUGACUUUUCACAUAAUGUGUUGGAACCAAAUUCACGCACCUCCAUGAAUUAUGGCUGAACAUAAACUCAAGCAACUUCCAAAAUAGUAAACAACCGUGAGCAUGCCUAGGACCCAGAGGGGGAGGGGUGUUGCAUCCCCUUUGUAGUUAUGAUUACUUACAGUGAAUGCCUAUCCCUAGAUUGUAGGGACUCUAAGACUUAUAGGAUCUGACUGUGUCAAUAUCUGAAUCAGAUCGCGUGUCUUGCGAAACAAGCAUGGUCAUUUGUCGGAGUCGCCAAGACUCUGUCUGGUGCCCUAAAGAAGAGUGAUGGUGGAACCCUGCUCUGUCUGAUACAGCUCCGUCCGGAAUUGAUGAGUCCAUGACCGGAUUUCUGAGGUAGCAACAUUCAGAUCAACCUUACUAUGACCUUGAAAAAUCAUGGUUCGACAAUUGCCCCUAAGUAUCUAUGUGAGAGGUAACCUAUUCCUCUUAAAGAUGGAUUGUUAUCGAAAGAGCAUGCCUUUCAGACUAAGCUGGAAUACGUACCAUUUGGUCUUCAUAAAUGUUAGGUGACCUCUAAUGCUGAUGUGAAAACGUUUUGGAUUCAAAUGUGCACCUUCAUGUAAUGUCAUGCCCCGGACUCGUGGUCGGUGGAAAAUUUUGACCCAAAUCUAGAACGCGAGCUAAAAAAAUUAAAUAAAUAUAAAGAAGCUGAAACGGGAUGGAAAAUAAAUUCCUCUUAUAAAAAUAACUUAUGAUUCUUAAACAAAUCUGGAAUUUUUUAAAAUUUUACAAUAUAUAGAUGAAUAAAUUUUCUAUUCUCACAUCUAAUCCAAUCACAUCCUAGUUACCCUUUUGAAUGUCUAGUUCGUAAACCUGCAUAACAAUAGAGGGGUGCUUCAACAGCUCAAUAGAGACAUAACCUUACCACAAUAAAUUGACCAAACUAAACUAAGUGUCAUAAAAUCAUAUAAUCAAAUAAGAAUGCAGAGUGCAAUGCAGAUUCUUCAUCUAUACCCAUUAAUCCGUAUAACUAAAUACCCAGACCUCGUACGUCCCAUUCCGUACUUAUAUCACUUGGUCUCGAGUGACUAAUUAUACAAACUAACCCUGGUAACUCAAUCAUCCUAGUUUUCCCUUUUGUUAGUCGUCUUGCCAAAAUGCUUCGUCGCCAAUCCCGAAUUUCUCUAAAAGAAAUUGUUAACUAUGUGCUCGCCUGAUACUUGGUACCUACUAAGAGUUUGAACCAACUACACAAAAGAUCGUUUCUAGCUACCCUCAUUUCCAUAUUUCCAAUCUCAACACUGAAGUUCCAACCACAUCUCACAACAUGAAUGAUGCACAAAUAAUGUCAUUUCAUGUUUCACAUGUAUCACAGUAUAUUUUCAACGAAUAGCAUUUCACAAGUACACCUAAAAGAAGCAUCUAUCUAAUUAGCAUCAAUUUAUAUUAAUAAACCAAUGAGAUGAAUAAUAAUAUACCGCUCCACGAAAUUGAAUAUAAUCAAUCUCCGUAAAGGUCUGCCGUAUUUCCCCUACCUAGAUUCCAAAACAUUGCUCCGAGUUAUUAACACAAGAAUCCACCACCGUGGCCAAUUCCUAUUUCACAAGUAUAAGCAAAUAACCAAAUACGUAGCCACAACUCUAUUCCUACUUAAAUAACUUGGGAAAUUAGCGUGGUUUUGUCCAAGUACAAACAUACUUAUAUAUAGAUAUAUAAAAAUUGUUGGAGAACAAUUCAGAAAUAAAUAAAAAUAACAGAAAUAACAGAACUUGAAAUUCUAAUACUUUAUUAACCAAAAAUACUUGCUAUACAGAAUGAAAUACAUAAAUAAAUACAAGAAUUAAAAUGGUACUAACUUGAUUAACCACAGGUAGAAGCUAGCGCAAAAACUAUGUCCUUCAAACAGUAUUUCCGUCCCACUCUUGUGCUUGUGGUUCUACAACACUGCUCGACCAGGAUACAACUACCUAAUUCUACAACCCGCACUGGAUUAUAGAAUUCUAGCGAAUUUGCUUUGUGUGUUUACUCUCUGGAAAGUUUGUACAGAAGAGGAGGAAGAAAAGAUGAUUCUACUUGGAAACUGUGAUUGCAAUUAUAUAGGUUGUUUCACACCUUUUCAAAUACCUGUUUAGCAUAUUUGAAAAUAUACAACUCUUCUAAGAGCUGUCUCUUAAUCAAAAUGUUUUUUAAUUAAUAAGUUAAUUAAAAAUUAAUCCGAAAUUAAAAUUAUACAAGCCUUCAAUUCAUUUCCAAAUGGUCCAAAUCCUAACUACUAUUGUAGAAGACAAAACAUAUGUAAAUGUCCUUGGGAAUCCUAUGUUCCCCGAUGUGGGACAAGGAGUCUCAAAACUCCAACAAUAAUAAAUAUAAGUUGAUAGAAAGAUAAUAAUUAGCUUGGACCAAUUCUAGUAUAUAAAACAAGUCUCUCUCUUCAAAUUGAUCUUACUGGUGCGUAAAAGAUGAGGGAGGAAAAUAAGUAUAUAACUAGGAAAAUUGCCCGUGUUCUGCUACGGGUUAUGAAUACGUAGUCACAAUUUAAUAACAAAAUGUCCCAUAAGAUACCAUGGCUUUUAGUGUCUAUGAUUCACCUUCUAAUAAUAAGUACCAGCAAUAUACAAUUCGUAUGAUGAGUUUUUCAUAUGAAUUUGAGACUGAUGGCUAUUUAAUUGAUAUCUAAGGUUAGUGGAAGUGCUUACAUGCUGGAUAGGUGGACCCGUACUUAUGGUAGGUCUUCAGCAAGAAUAGGUGGUGCAUAAGUAUAAAAGCUUAAUCCAAAAUUUACCAUAGGUAUCAAUAAUAAUUUUAUGCAUAUUUGAGGCAAAGUUACACUUGAUUUUGCAACACAUUCAUUCCUAAACAUUUUAUAAAUUAAUAGAACAACUAAACAAACAGGGUCAAAUAGGGUUUUCAGUUAUAGAAGAUUCUAUUUAUUUUACAUCAAAAGCAUAUUUACAAUCCAAUGGGGAGAUUUCUAAGUUUUACAUUCAUAUACACUUCCAAAAGUCUCCCACUUUGAUUAGCCGUUCAUUUUGCACCUGUAUUUUACUAACUCUAUGUUAAAAGUUCUAUGUACAUAAAAAAAAAACAGAUCUGAACGACUAACAGGAUGGACUUGCAAGUCCCAAAUAUAUACAGUUUCAAAAAUUGUCCACAUGGUUCUAGUUUUCAUGUUGCUUCUUUGUCCUUGGGCUCAUAAAAAAAAACUUCCAUUUGUUCUGUAUUGUUCAGAGAACUUCAGUCAUCUUUGCACUUGUUCUUGCUGUAGAUUGAAAUUAUAUUCUUUGUAUCAGAAAUAUGAUAAAAAAGAAAAUUAACCAACAACGAUGUAAGCCACUGUCCAAAAAAUGAGUAGAUAAAUAGACAGAAAGGAGAAUUAACAAAUUCUGCCUAUCCAGGUUCAACUCUACACAAACAUAAACUUAAGCAUUUGAGCUUUUCCUCAUGUGUCCACCAAGUUGGGAACCAAAUAGCAAAAUUUCAUCCCCAUAGUCCUAACCACAAAGUAAAGCAGUACCUAUGGGACCUAACUAAUAGUUAAAGCAUUAAUAACAAAUAGAUGUAACGUACCGGGUUUUGGAAGUAGUAGAUACUAUUUCAGUUUUGUUUGGAGACAUUUUGUUCCUGAGGGAUUUGAUGGGAAAAUCUUCGGUGCCCGAAGCGUUUUGUUCAUCUAUUUCUUCAGUAAUUUCAGUUUCCCUUAAAUCCAUAUAAACAAAAGAGAGAUUAAUACAUUAGUAAAUAUCAGGUUAUUUGAAAAUAUAGAUACAAAUGAGAUAGUUACAGUGAAAACUCUUACCUCUUUGGUUUUUUUCUACUCUCAGAGCUGAAAAGACCCUUUGGAAUUAAACUUUCUGUAGACGAUGUUGUAACAACAGAGCUGAAAGUCUGAGCUGUAGUAUCUACCUCCUCAAAUUCAGCCAAUGAUUCAUAAGAAGCUUUGGAACUUGAUUGAACAGCUUGUAUUUUGUCGACGAAAAUCGCUUGGACCAAGAGAUCAUUUCUGUUGAAAUCAUUUUUCAAAUUCCCAAAUUGAAGUUGAAAUUUUUUUUAUUUGUCAUUGACAUUGGAGAACUCCGUCUGUGUAAGUUUAUCUUACAUUACCGGUCCCAAGCCCGGAUAAAGGAGGAGGGGGAGGGCGUCAGGUAGUCUACAGCCGGCACUCCACAGUUACGUCGAAUCCUUAUGACAAUGAAUCCAGAACGAAAUCGCGCUAAAGCUAGGACGUCACCCAUAAGUGGCGCGCUGUGUGGCCCGAGCACAGUGAUAAGUGAGUAAGGGUCGCUGUAUCUCCAUCGGCACCCGGAUGCAGUGUUAAAUGAGCAAGGGGGCCAUAGAAACUUCUUUUCAAACGACUCCACUCAAAGUUGUUUGGGAGCAUAUGCUCCUAUCAACUUUACACAGGACACACAAAAGAAAUACUUUGAUCCUAUUAGACGGGGGAUGGUGAAGAAGCUAGGACAAAAGGGUAGAGUUCAAGAGAGUAGAAUGCGUUUAGGAACGUGGAAUAUAGGAACCUUAACGGGAAAAUCUAUGGAAGUAGUGGAAGUUAUGGUGAGGAGAAGGAUAAAUAUUAUGUGCCUACAAGAAACUAAGUGGGUUGGUCUUAAGGCAAAGGAUCUAGAAAACUCAGGGUUUAAGCUUUGGUAUUCGGGCACAAAUAGAACGAGAAACGGUGUUGGCAUCAUUGUGGACAAGACCUUGACACAAGAUGUUGUAGAUGUCAAGAGGGUAGGAGAUAGAAUCAUGGCAAUCAAGAUUGUAAUAGGACAAGAACUCAUCAAUGUGAUUAGUGCGUACGCACCUCAAGUAGGGUUGGAUACGAGUUUGAAGGAGAAAUUUUGGGAAGACCUUGGAGACUUGGUGCAAGGAAUUGCUCAGACGAAGAAGUUAUUUAUAGGAUGAGAUUUAAAUGGACAUGUGGGCAGGGAGACAGGCAACUAUGGAGGUUUUCAUGGUGGCCAUGGUUUUGGGGAGAGAAACGAGGAUGGGGAAGCUAUCUUGGAUUUUGCAAUGGCAUAUGAUCUCUUCUUAGCCAACACCUUCUUUAAGAAGAGAGAAGAACAUGUGAUCACCUACAAGAGUGGGUCGUCAAAAACACAAAUAGAUUUUCUUCUAAUGAGGAAAGGGGAUCGUAUAACUUGUAAGGAUUGCAAAGUUAUACCGGGGGAGAGCUUGGCUAAUCAACAUCGCUUGUUGGUGAUGGAUGUACAUAUCAAAAGAGUGAGAAAAAAGAACAAGACUUGGAAGUGCCCAAGGACUAGAUGGUGGAAUCUAAAAGGAGAAAAACAAGUCAUUUUCAAAGAGAAAGUAAUCACCCAGUGUGUGUGGGAUAGAGAGGGGGAAGCUAGCCAAAGGUGGGAUUCCAUGGCUAGUUGUAUCCGAAAAGUAGCAAAAGAGGUAUUAGGAGAGUCCAAGGGCUUUGCUCCACACCAAAAGGAAUCUUGGUGGUGGAAUGAGGAGGUACAAACAAAGGUGAAGGCUAAGAAGGAAUGUUGUAAAGCCUUAUACAAGGAUAGGACCUGAUGAAAAUGGUGAAAGGUAUAGAAAGAGCGAAGCAAGAGGCGAAGAAAGCUGUGAGAGAAGCUAAGUUAGCGGCUUAUGACGAUAUGUAUAAGCGACUAGAUACCAAAGAAGGAGAGUUGGAUAUCUAUAAACUAGCUAGAGCAAGGGAAAAGAAGACAAGGGACCUAAACCAAGUGAGGUGCAUCAAGGAUGAGGAUGGAAAGGUUCUUGCUACAGAGAACGCGGUUCAAAGACAGAUGGAGAGGUUAUUUUUCAUAAUCUUUUCAAUGAAGGACAUGAAAGGAGUACUUCUUUAGGGGAGUUGAGUAACUCAGAAGAGUGUAGAAACUACUCCUUUUUAUCGUCGAAUCCAGGAAGGAAGAAGUGGUUGUAGCUUUGAAGAAGAUGAAGCAUAGAAAAGCAGUGGGCCCAGACGAUAUAUACCGAUCGAAGUGUGGAAAGUUUUGGGAGAGACAGGUAUAACAUGGCUCACUGACCUUUUCAAUAGGAUUUUGAAAACGAAGAAGAUGCCAAAUGAGUGGCGAAAGAGCACUUUGGUGCCUAUCUACAAGAAUAAGGGCGACGUACAAAAUUGCAUGAACUAUAGGGGUAUUAAGCUAAUGAGUCAUACAAUGAAGCUCUGGGAGAGAGUCAUUGAGCAUAGAUUGAGGCAAGAGACACGGGUUUCGGACAACCAAUUCGGGUUCAUGCCAGGGCGCUCAACCAUGGAGGCAAUCUAUCUCUUACGAAGAUUGAUGGAAAGAUAUAGAGAUGGGAAAAAGGAUUUACACAUGGUCUUUAUAGAUUUGGAAAAAGCGUAUGAUAGGGUCCCAAGAGACAUUCUUUGGAGGAUUUUAGAGAAGAAAGGAGUACGAGUAGCAUAUAUCCAAGCUAUAAAGGAUAUGUAUGAAGGAGCAAAGACUGCCGUAAGAACUCAUGAAGGACAAACCGAAAGCUUUCCCCAUAACUGUAGGAUUACAUCAAGGCUCAUCCUUAAGUCCUUACCUUUUUGCGUUGGUAAUGGAUGAGUUAACAGGACAUAUUCAAGAUGAUAUUCCUUGGUGUAUGCUUUUCGCAGACGAUAUAGUGUUGAUAGAUGAAACUCAGGAAGGGGUAAAUGCAAAGCUUAACCUUUGGAGAGAAGUGUUGGAAUCUAAAGGUCUUCGCCUAAGCCGAUCAAAGACAGAAUAUAUGGAGUGCAAGUUCAGUGCAAAUGGAGGCCAAAACGAGUUAGGGGUGAGGAUCGGAGAUCAAGAAAUACCAAAGAGCGACCGUUUUCGUUACCUAGGAUCUAUCUUGCAAAAGAACGGAGAAUUAGAUGGAGAUCUCAACCAUAGAAUACAAGCUGGAUGGAUGAAGUGGAAGAGUGCAUCCGGCGUGUUGUGUGACCGCCGUAUGCCACUGAAGCUCAAGGGAAAAUUUUAUAGGACGGCAAUAAGGCCGGCGAUGCUGUAUGGCACAGAAUGUUGGGCGGUGAAGCAUCAACACGUACACAAAAUGGGUGUAGCGGAGAUGAGGAUGCUUCGUUGGAUGUGUGGGCACACGAGAAAGGAUAAGAUUAGGAAUGAGGAUAUCCGAGGUAAAGUAGGAGUAGCCGAAAUUGAAGGAAAGAUGAGAGAAAAUCGGUUACGGUGGUUUGGACAUGUGCAAAGAAGGCCUACUGACGCUCCGAUUAGAAGAUGCGACUAUGGGACAGAGGUUCAGGGCCGAAGGGGUAGAGGAAGACCUAGGAAAACUUUGGAAGAGACUCUAAGAAAAGACUUAGAGUACUUGGAUCUAACGGAGGACAUGACACAGGAUCGAGCACAAUGGCGUUCUAAGAUUCAUAUAGUCGACCCCACUCAGUGACUUGGAUUUUUCAAGUCUCCAACCGAGAAGUUUUCCUCACUCGGGAAAUUAAGGGAACACUACCUCAACCUACAUGCUCCACUCACAAAGCUUCAACAUACAAGCUUCAACAAAAGAAAAUUCAAAGAACUUAGUGAAGAAGGCUUUGGUGUAUUUAACACAAUACGUUGAAAUGAAAACAAAGCUUAUUUAUUGAUAUCUCCGAUAAGUUACAAAUAUGUACAUAUACAUGAGUCAAAAUAAACAAACAAGAGGGAGCCUUCACAAAGGUUGCUUAGGAGAAGUCUCAGCAGUCGGUAGAGCCCCAGAAAGAGAAGGCACCGGAGGGGGGAUCAUUCGGAGCCUCAGUACUGGACAGAACCCUAGAAGGAGGAGGCAUCGGAGGUUGAUCAUUUGGAGCUUCAUUACGCGGUACAGCCCCAGAAGACGAAGGCAAUAAAUGCCUUUGGAACAAACCCACAAACCUCUGAUGAUCAAGUAAAAUCUGACCAUCAGAUUCCUUCAUCUGGUCAAGCUUCCUCUUCAUGUUUGUAGCAUAGUCAUGUGCGAGCCGGUGCAACUGUUUAUUCUCAUGCUUGAGCCCUCUAAUCUCCUGUUUGAGACUCAUCACUUCAGCCGCCAAUGAUUCAACUUGGCGGGUUCGAGCAAAUAGGCGUUGGGCCAUAUUAGACACACAGAACCUGCACACUGAACACUAAGAGCCAGAGAAUCCUUAACAGCCAACUCAUCAGACCGUUUGGAAAGUAGUCUGUUAUCUUUGGGAGAGAAGGUUCCUGGCCACCACCCGCAGCGGUCAUAUCAUUCUUCAUCACGGAAUCCCCAACGGUAAGAGGACCAGUAGGGGAUAAGAAGGAUGGGCGCCAUAUGUUGUCUGGAGAAGGCGUGGCUGCCUCUCUUCAACAAGGUUCAAGUCAAAACGACGGUCGGAGGGGCCAGACAUUUUCAAAGGUGUUGAAGAGAGAAAGAGGUCGGACAAAUCAAGAUCUUAGAAGAAAUGCAAGAAGGGAGCUUCUACUGGUGGAGAUUCAAGUGUGCUUUGGAACUUAAUGCCAGUCUCUAUAAAAAUCUGCACUCGAUGGAGCUUCAAAAAUCGAAGAGGCGCCUGCUCAGAAAUCGAAAAGGCGUUUGCUUUCUCAAAAGCUGGGCUGCUCAGAGACCACGAGGGCCGAUCUCAGAAAUCGAAGAGGCGUUUGCUUUCUCAAAAGCUGGGCUGCUCAAAGACCACGAAGGUCGAUCUCAGAAAUCGAAGAGGCGCUUGCUUUCUCAAAAGCUGGGCUGCUCAGAGACCACGAGGGCCGAUCUCAGAAAUCGAAGAGGCACCUGCUUUUUCAGCCUUGUCAGCACCUGUCACAUGCACACUCAGCUUUGCGGAAAUUACGGGCAUUCUGUCGAAGAUUUCUGGUGAAGUAGAAAGCACGUGAAUCUUACUGUUCAAUCAUCCACUUUCCACACGCAACAUUAGCUCAUGGGUACCACAGAUAACUUUGCCAAAAAUCUCUGACAAAGUUUAGACACGUGAAGCUUGCAGCUCCCAUUACAUCGCUAUGACCAAGAAGGGUAAAAAUAAUAACAAAGAAACAGCACUAACAAAGUUUAGACACAUAAAUUUUGAAGGUCUAGCUACCAUAUUAUUACCCACAAGGGUAAAGGAACAGGACCACUGCUGGAUAAUUGGAAAGUCCCUGUGUGUCAACCUCUGUGCUCCGUGGCAAGGUAGACUAGCAAACAUGCCCAACCUUUACUCACAUUCGAGAAAACACUCCCAACAAGAUUGCUUGCUUCAAAAUCGAAGAGGCACCGUCCUCCGAAUCUCGAGAGCCAGACUCCCAACAUGAUUACUUUCUCAAAAAGAGACGAGACACCGCUCUCCGAAUCUCGAGAGCCAGACUCCUAGCAGGAUUGCUUUCUCAAAAAUCGAAAAGGCACCGUUCUUCGAAUCUCGAGAGACAGAUCCCCGACAGGAUUGCUUGUUCGAAAACCGAAGAGGCACCGCUUUCUCAACUUCGAGAGCCCCUUAGAUAAAGCUUGUCUGUAAUCCUCACACCGCUUUCUCAACUUCGAGAGCCAGAUCUCCUUGGAUAAAGCUUGUCUGUAAUCUUCACACGUAACAUCAGCUUUCCAGAUACCACAGACCACUUUUUCAAAGUGCUCUGACAGAGUUAAAACACGUGAAGCUGGCAGCUCCCACUACCGUGCUAUGACCAAGCAGGGUAAAGGAAUAGCAUUACUACUUGUUGUUAGGGAGACUCCUAUAUAUGUCGACCUCCAUCCUCAACGGACAGGCAGACCUGCAAAAAUGCUCAACCCUUCCUCAUAUCUGAGAGGGCACUCCCAACGAAGCCUCUCGAAAUACUCAGCUUUCUUUCCCCCCGAUAAUACCUCUGCAAACAAGCUACACUAGAGCAAGAAUAUCUCAUAUCAUCAGGGUUAAAAGCAAGAGUAUCCCAUAUCAUGCUUUUUCCCUGUCUUUUCCUUUGGCCUUGUUCUUACCUGCAAGACAAGGAGAAAGAGAGCAAUCAGUCAGCACUUGGAAUCAAGCUUCCAGUUCGAACUGACUGCCUGGAACCCCUUACCUGAUUACUUACCUGGCAUUACUCUCGAGUACUCAUCUUCAACAUCUUAUGCUCCCCGAGAAGAUACCACAUCUGCCUGAGGAACAAAUAGGGCAAGUGAGAAGGAUACAAGGAAGCAUGUGGAGACAAGCGUAACAGAACACGUGCCGAUACAUCCACUACUUUGUCAACAAGCAAAAGUAUCCCAUAUCAGCAGGGUCGAACGUACUCUAGAUUUGAUGGACUUGUUUUGACCCUCAAAUUCUUCAGUCGGCCUUAUACUCUGGAGGAAACCAGAAAACCCUCCAGCCCAGUUCAAGAAUAAGCCUGUGGAAAGUUACUUCUUCAAAAGCAAAAGUAUCUCAUAUCAUCAUUUUCUCCUUUUUUCUUCUCUUUAUCCUUCAUGCUGCCUGCAAGAUAAGGAGAAGGAUAACAAUCAGCCGGAACUCGAAAUCAAACUUCUGAUCUGGGACUGAUUGCUUGGAGCUCUGAUUGCUUACCUUGUCUGUCACCUCUUUCAGCAGAUCCCUAGCUCGGCGACUUGGGGGACUCCUACUACAUGGUUUGUAUCGCGCUUGACCAAGCCUGAAACUACAAGUAAGCUUCAAGUGAAAUUGAUACAUUACCUUGUGCAUCUCCACCAGUUAAAGAUACCACCCCUGGAUGGAGGAAGAGUACUUCCAGAGAAGAUGCCACAUCUACCUAUGAGACAGAUAAGGCAAGUGAAGACGAUACCACACUUCGGUACUUAAAAGUUUCGUGAUUACGAGAUCAUUCUCCCACAAUAUUUCCUAAUGUCAUUUGUACUAAAUCAUUCACUUGUACUCACUAAAAGAGAGCUUGAACCUAUGUACUGUGUAAACCCUUCACAAUUAAUGAGAACUCCUUUACUCCGUGGACGUAGCCAAUCUGGGUGAACCACGUACAUCUUUGUUUUGCUUUCCUGUCUCUAUCCAUUUACAUACUUAUCAACACUAAUGACCGAAGCAAUCUAGCGAAUAUCACAAACUUAAUAUUUAAGAUGAUAUUCUUUGGUGUAUGCUUUUCGCAAACGAUAUAGUGUUGAUAGAUGAAAUGCAGGAAGGGGUAAACGCGAAGCUUAACCUUUGGAGAGAAGUGUUGGAAUCUAAAGGUCUUCGCCUAAGCCGAUCAAAGACAGAAUAUAUGGAGUGCAAGUUCAGUGCAAACGGAGGCCAAAAUGAGUUAGGGGUGAGGAUCGGAGAUAAGGAAAUACCAAAGAGCGACAGUUUUCGCUACCUAGGAUCUAUCUUGCAAAAGAACGGAGAAUUUGAUGGAGAUCUCACCCAUAGAAUACAAGCUGGAUGGAUGAAGUGGAAGAGUGCAUCCGGCGUGUUGUGUGACCGUCGUAGGCCACUGAAGCUCAAGGAAAAAUUUUAUAGGACGGCAAUAAGGCCGGCGAUGCUGUAUGGCACAGAAUGUUGGGCGGUGAAGCAUCAACACGUACACAAAAUGGGUGUAGCGGAGAUGAGGAUGCUUCGUUGGAUGUGUAGGCACACGAGAAAGGAUAAGAUUAGGAAUGAGGAUAUCCGAGGUAAAGUAGGAGUAGCCGAAAUUGAAGGAAAGAGGAGAGAAACUCGGUUACGGUGGUUUGGACAUGUGCAAAGAAGGCCUACUGACGCUCCGGUUCGAAGAUGUGACUACGGGACAGAGGUUCAGGGCCGAAGGGGUAGAGGAAGACCUAGGAAAACUUUGGAAGAGACCCUAAGAAAAGACUUAGAGUACUUGGAUCUGACGGAGGACAUGACACAAAACCGAGCGCAAUGGCGUUCUAGGAUUCAUAUAGCCGACCCCACUUAGUGGGAAAAGGCUUUAUUGUUGUUGUUGUUGUUGUUGUUGUCAUUGACAUUGGAGAAUUGCAUAUGGCAACUCUUGUUGAUCAGUAAACCUUUUUUUGACAACUAAAUCAUAAUAUGAAGUUCCAAAUAAACGUUCAGCCGAUUUACCAAUGAUGAUAACACUAGUCUCAUCGCUGGCGUCUUCGAGUAUUAAACUUACUUUGAACCUAAGUACAUGAAGAACAAUGUUUAAGUAUAAAGCUUGUGAAAUUAGUAAUAAACAUUUGGCUUACCAGGGUAGGGGAGUUUGAACAUUGUGCUUUACACAAAUUAGUACGUUGUUAUUUUCAUAUUUUCUCAGUUGUUUGUAGCAGCAUGGACAUGCUUUGUACCACCAUCCAACAUGCGUGUCAAAACGUGUAAUGGCUGCUCUACAUAAGACUGAAGUGUUCUGAAAUAUGUGUAUAGACAUUAAUUAAUAUAUAGAUAAUGUAAUGACGGAACAUAAUAUAUCAAAAGUAUGUAUAUGUGAAACAUACGGUUCAUGUUGCAGAAAAGAGAAACCAAAUCUAAAUUAUAUUUUUCCUUUCAAUUAUGUUUUUUUUAUGUUCAAAGUUUAAAAUCUAAGAAUGAUUUGUACUUCACUAAGUCGUUAUAUACCAUAUGAGGAAUAUAAUAUAUUUAACAACAAUAAACGAUGUGUGUUAGUAUCACAGCAGCUACACAUGUCUGAUUUCUAAAACAUUGAGAAAAGUUUGUUUACCUUGUACAAAUCUGGAUCCAAAACAUUCAGAUCCUGAACAGACAGUUUUUCAGCGUUUUCCAAUUGUUUUGAUCCCAUUAGUUGUCUUGCUGACGUUGGCAACAUUUUUACAGAAUGAGUCGAACCAACAAAGUUGCAUAUAUUUUUGUAUUCAAAUUAAAGAGAAUAAGAAUCUAAACCAUAAAGGGAUACUAACAUGUUCAUUAAGAAUUUAUCAAUUGAAAAAAAAAUUCAAAUAUUAUACCAUAAGAAAAUUGAAAGAAUAAUUUUCAUACUUCUAUAGAUCUAUUGUAUCACUAUGUAAUGCAUAUACAAACAUGGCUUGUGUUUCUAAAGUGUGGGCUCUCAAAAGUUUGUCCAAAUGUAUAUGUAGAUGUUGUUAUGGUAGACUAAAAUAAACACAUUCUUAUGAGAGAAUUUUUUUAUGAAUAAGGCAAAAAAAAUAGGUCAUGAAUUUUAACAAACCAAAAUAUUUUGACCCUAAAGGGAAACAAAUUCCGCUUCAUCUACUAUACAGCAACAACAAUGAGUAGUAUACAUCAUUUUUUUUUAAACAAUUGUAGUCAACUUGACAAACCUUUCCAAGUUUGUACAUAGCUUGCAUAAGUUGACCAUACUAAGAAAAAAGGUCUGCUAGUUUGCAAUGUACAAUUUCAGGUAGUUCUAGCCAAUUAUUUGAUCAAACUAACACUGAAGAAAGCUAGAUCAUAGCCUUUUAAUUAUAGAAACAUGUAAACUAAAAGAAAUAUAUAAACAUUGUAUUUCUAGAUGUGUUUACUUGAAUUAACAGUUUCAUAUUUAUAUGCAUAUCAAUAGUAAACAGGUAUAUCCAUAUUUUUUCCCUCAUAUUGAAUUUCAACAUGAAAAAAAAAAUUUUAAAUUAUUUGGAGUUUAGAAACUGACAUUGCUUUGUAAGGAGUUGCUUCGAGAAUGUCUGGAUUGAUGAAAAUCAUUGUGGAAAUACUGUUGUUCAGCACAAUGUUUUCUAAUUGUUUAUAGAUGAGGAAUUAAAUCAUUAUUCUAUACAAUAAAUAUGAACAAUUGAAAAUAGAUCUGAAAAUUUUUAUACCUCUGAAUCGUCUAACGUUAAGGCUUGUAAAAACACCCAAAACUGGUGGUGUCAAGUGUUCCAGAGCUUCGAAAUCAAAGGUCUUUACAGUGUUACCCCACAAUGUCAGGUUAACAUCUUCUCUCCUAAGUGAACGGAUAUUAAGAAAAACAUUAGUAUUUUGAAUAAAAUGUGCAGCAAUUUUGAGAAAUUCAAAUGUCUCCAUAUAUUGUUGACCUGAUAUUUUGCAACUUCACUUCGCGUGUUUUCUCCAUUCUCUCAUUACCGAUCAUUCUGUCCUCCAAAGGCUUUACUGUAGUGAUGCAUCCCAGAACAUCUCAAAAUUUGUCCAAAGAUUGUAGUUAGAUCUCAAGAUGCUUCAAAAGAUAUUGACAAAAUGAUACUAAACUGAUGUUAAAUUUUUUCAUUUUUUAUAUAUGUACAAUUACGUGUGAGAAUAUCAUCUUGAUUGAUGCGAGAAAACAUUUGAGAAUAAUCAAGUAAGUAAAACCGCUGUGAGGGAAUGUUUGGAUGAACACCUGGCAACUCUUCAAAAAUUGUUUUUGUAUUGAAGCACACUUGCGCAUCAUGGGGGACAAUUUUGUAGGACGAUUUACAACGACUGGUAGAAAAGCGAGUGAUCUCAUAAACAUGAUUAGCUUUAAUUUUUGGAGCAACAUACUCAUAAUCUAUUUCUUUUGCAGAGGCUUCAAUUGCAUCUUUCUAGAUGAUUAAAAUUAAUUUAACAAAAUUAGGUAGAUAAAUAUGAAUAGUACAUCUUUUAAAGUCAAAAAAUAUAAUCUGAUAAAAUAAUUUUCUUAUUUAUUUAUAGGAGAAUUCAAAAAUUGCAUCUUUCUGCCAAAUUUAGGUCAUCAUUAUUGAUAAAUGCAUGGAUCAUGGUAUUAUCAAAAUUAAAAACAAAAUUCUUACCAUUUCAUCAACCAAUAUACAUUGAAGACCGCCAAACGUAUUGUCCUUUCCUAUAACCUUAGGUCUCCAAAUUCUGCAUACACGUACUGUGAUCUUCUUAUUAAAUUGAAAAGGUCCUAAAUUUCGGAUUGGAUCUAUCUUCAUUCUGCUACAAAACUGCAAGCAAAUUUACAUGGCAUUAGAUGUCAGUCGUCUGGGGUACUGCUUGUUUGAUUUUCUUGAACCCCCUUUAAAAUGAGACUGUGGUAUACAUUAUUUAUAAAUGCAGACAUCUAAAUUUGAACAAAAGAAAAUAAUACCAUCACAUGAAAUAACGCAUUUCAAGAUCUAGAUUAAAAGGACAAUUAAAAUAUAUAGAAGAGCAUCCAAAAUGAUAUCCAUUGAAAUUACAGUUCCCCUGUUGACUGAAUGAAAAUAAAACAUCAAAGUGAGAUUCUGUUUUGUAAUCCAAUUUGGUGCCUAAAGAAGAAUUUUGGCAUUCAGUCAAUUACAUGUGUUCAAUGCCAUUUCUUCGUAGUGGAAAUUCCAUAUAACAAUGUCAAAGCCACAUUCUGCAGUUUAAGCUAAUUUAACGCUCAUAUCCUAAAUUAUUAUGAUAUCAAUAGCUACUAACAGAGUUCCAUGAUCACUCGAACAUCCAUUUUUCUAUGAUCACCAGAAUAUCUAAUGUUUAUAUCUUAGAAUACUUAUCAAUACAUAUGCAAGGUAAUUGCUUUCACUAAAUUCAAGCAACAUAUUUUGUUCACCAUAAAAUUGUAAAUAAUUAUUUUUUCAGUCAAGUAGCGACCAGAAGAAGAGCUUAAUCUAAACCAGUCUAGUAAAGAGUAGGAAUACAAAUAAUCUAAACCAUAGUCUUCUUUCUAUCAUUAAAAUAUUACCUUCCAAACUGAAAAAAGGAACUCACCCAAUGAAGGAGGAUUGGAACUAUUAAACAUAACUGAAUUCCUAAACCACUCAAAAUAUUACCUUCAAAAUAUUCACCUGUCAGAAACACCUUGAAAUCCCACAAAGUUGUCCAAUUUCCAGUAGAAUUCACCUUCUUCCAGUGUUGGGAAGCUAUACCAAACAGAAAGCAGAAGAACAAACACUUGGUCUGCACAAAUUAUUCAGACUAACAAAACCCAUAAUUAGAUUCCUUCAGGGUAAAACACACAAAGCAAAGAAACACCAAUCAAAUGAAGUAGCUUUCAUAUCCAAAAAGCAAAAAAUAAAACAACCCAGAAAAAAAAAGGAUAACAAAAAAUGCUUUGAAAAGUUGAGGAAUUUGGGUCUGGAGGGUCCAGCUCCUCUUCUGAAAAUGGAGGCUGCAAGCAAAAGCCUAAAAACCACAACCCAGGAUCAUACGACUUUAAGAACUACAAAUUCAGAGUUUUGAAUACUUUCAUUUGUUUUGGAUAUACAUACAACUAAUUACAAUUCAAUCAUAUUAGGAAAAUAAUUAGACUAUACAAUAACAUCAAUUAAAUCUUAAGAAUGAUAAAAUUUGCUGUAUUUAAAAAAACCCAUAUGGAAACGUGUAAACAAUUCGCAAGGGAGAUUCAGAGUUAAAUAAAUACCUUGGGUACUUGAUCAUGAGGUCGCGAGAGACAUGACAACGACAAAGACUGACGUACAGGGAGUCAAACGUGUGGAGGAUGCGUUCAUGUCAUGGUCGAGCAGCUCAAAUUAGCAAGGAAGUUGCCGCAAGGUUGCUGGUGAAGAAAUAAUUGAGGAAACACAAAAGGAAAAUUGUGGUUCAUGGAUUGGCAAAGGAAGAAGAUUUAUGCGGUGGGGGAGGAAAACGGUUAGGGAAAAAAACUUCCACGCGUCGCUAAUUAGUGUUAAGCAUUUCACAGCAAAGCAAAAAGGGCAAGGUUGUAAUAACACACAAAUAAGUGAGGGCAAAAAAGGAAGAAUCCCACCCAAACAGAAGUCCUCUGAAACUCCGAUUUCAACUAAAUCACCAACAACAACAACAAAGCCUUUUCCCACUAAGUGGGGUCGGCUAUAUGAAUCCUAGAACGCCAUUGCGCUCGGUUUUGUGUCAUGCCCUCCGUUAGAUCCAAGUACUCUAAGUCUUUUCUUAGAGUCUUUUCCAAAGUUUUCCUAGGUCUUCCUCUACCCCUUCGGCCCUGAACCUCUGUCCCGUAGUCACAUCUUCAAACCGGAGCGUCAGUCGGCCUUCUUUGCACAUGUCCAAAUCACCAGAGCCGAUUUUCUCUCAUCUUUCCUACAAUUUCGGCUACUCCUACUUUACCUCGGAUAUCCUCAUUCCCAAUCUUAUCCUUUCUCGUGUGCCCACACAUCCCACGAAGCAUCCUCAUCUCCGCUACACCCAUUUUGUGUACGUGUUGAUGCUUCACCACCCAACAUUCUCUGCCAUACAACAUCGCUGGCCUUAUUGCCGUCCUAUAAAAUUUUUCCUUGAGCUUCAGUGGCCUACGACGGUCACACAACACGCCGGAUGCACUCUUUCCAUCCAGCUCGUAUUCUAUGGUUGAGAUCUCCAUCUAAUUCUCCGUUCUCUUGCAAGAUAGAUCCUAGGUAACGAAAACGGUCGCUUUUUGUGAUCUUCGCUAGAUUGCUCCGGUCAUUAGUGUGGAUAAGUAUAUAAAUGGAUAGAGAUAGGAAAGCAAACACAAGAUGUACGUGGUUCACCCAGAUUGGCUACGUCCACGGAAUAGAAGAGUUCUCAUUAAUUGUGAAGGGUUUACACAAGUACAUAGGUUCAAGCUCUCCUUUAGUGAGUACGAGUGAAUGAUUUAGUACAAAUGACAUUAGGAAAUAUUGUGGGAGAAUGAUCUCGUAAUCACGAAACUUCUAAGUAUCGGAGUGUGGUGUCGUCUUGACUUGCCUUAUCUGUCUCAUAGGUAGAUGUGGCAUCUUCUCUGGAAGUACUCUUCCUCCAUCCAGGGGUGGUAUCUUUAACUGGUGGAGAUGCACAAGUAAUGUAUCAAUUUCACUUGNGCUCUUCNNNNNNNNNNNNNNNNNNNNNNNNNNNNNNNNNNNNNNNNNNNNNNNNNNNNNNNNNNNNNNNNNNNNNNNNNNNNNNNNNNNNNNNNNNNNNNNNNNNNNNNNNNNNNNNNNNNNNNNNNNNNNNNNNNNNNNNNNNNNNNNNNNNNNNNNNNNNNNNNNNNNNNNNNNNNNNNNNNNNNNNNNNNNNNNNNNNNNNNNNNNNNNNNNNNNNNNNNNNNNNNNNNNNNNNNNNNNNNNNNNNNNNNNNNNNNNNNNNNNNNNNNNNNNNNNNNNNNNNNNNNNNNNNNNNNNNNNNNNNNNNNNNNNNNNNNNNNNNNNNNNNNNNNNNNNNNNNNNNNNNNNNNNNNNNNNNNNNNNNNNNNNNNNNNNNNNNNNNNNNNNNNNNNNNNNNNNNNNNNNNNNNNNNNNNNNNNNNNNNNNNNNNNNNNNNNNNNNNNNNNNNNNNNNNNNNNNNNNNNNNNNNNNNNNNNNNNNNNNNNNNNNNNNNNNNNNNNNNNNNNNNNNNNNNNNNNNNNNNNNNNNNNNNNNNNNNNNNNNNNNNNNNNNNNNNNNNNNNNNNNNNNNNNNNNNNNNNNNNNNNNNNNNNNNNNNNNNNNNNNNNNNNNNNNNNNNNNNNNNNNNNNNNNNNNNNNNNNNNNNNNNNNNNNNNNNNNNNNNNNNNNNNNNNNNNNNNNNNNNNNNNNNNNNNNNNNNNNNNNNNNNNNNNNNNNNNNNNNNNNNNNNNNNNNNNNNNNNNNNNNNNNNNNNNNNNNNNNNNNNNNNNNNNNNNNNNNNNNNNNNNNNNNNNNNNNNNNNNNNNNNNNNNNNNNNNNNNNNNNNNNNNNNNNNNNNNNNNNNNNNNNNNNNNNNNNNNNNNNNNNNNNNNNNNNNNNNNNNNNNNNNNNNNNNNNNNNNNNNNNNNNNNNNNNNNNNNNNNNNNNNNNNNNNNNNNNNNNNNNNNNNNNNNNNNNNNNNNNNNNNNNNNNNNNNNNNNNNNNNNNNNNNNNNNNNNNNNNNNNNNNNNNNNNNNNNNNNNNNNNNNNNNNNNNNNNNNNNNNNNNNNNNNNNNNNNNNNNNNNNNNNNNNNNNNNNNNNNNNNNNNNNNNNNNNNNNNNNNNNNNNNNNNNNNNNNNNNNNNNNNNNNNNNNNNNNNNNNNNNNNNNNNNNNNNNNNNNNNNNNNNNNNNNNNNNNNNNNNNNNNNNNNNNNNNNNNNNNNNNNNNNNNNNNNNNNNNNNNNNNNNNNNNNNNNNNNNNNNNNNNNNNNNNNNNNNNNNNNNNNNNNNNNNNNNNNNNNNNNNNNNNNNNNNNNNNNNNNNNNNNNNNNNNNNNNNNNNNNNNNNNNNNNNNNNNNNNNNNNNNNNNNNNNNNNNNNNNNNNNNNNNNNNNNNNNNNNNNNNNNNNNNNNNNNNNNNNNNNNNNNNNNNNNNNNNNNNNNNNNNNNNNNNNNNNNNNNNNNNNNNNNNNNNNNNNNNNNNNNNNNNNNNNNNNNNNNNNNNNNNNNNNNNNNNNNNNNNNNNNNNNNNNNNNNNNNNNNNNNNNNNNNNNNNNNNNNNNNNNNNNNNNNNNNNNNNNNNNNNNNNNNNNNNNNNNNNNNNNNNNNNNNNNNNNNNNNNNNNNNNNNNNNNNNNNNNNNNNNNNNNNNNNNNNNNNNNNNNNNNNNNNNNNNNNNNNNNNNNNNNNNNNNNNNNNNNNNNNNNNNNNNNNNNNNNNNNNNNNNNNNNNNNNNNNNNNNNNNNNNNNNNNNNNNNNNNNNNNNNNNNNNNNNNNNNNNNNNNNNNNNNNNNNNNNNNNNNNNNNNNNNNNNNNNNNNNNNNNNNNNNNNNNNNNNNNNNNNNNNNNNNNNNNNNNNNNNNNNNNNNNNNNNNNNNNNNNNNNNNNNNNNNNNNNNNNNNNNNNNNNNNNNNNNNNNNNNNNNNNNNNNNNNNNNNNNNNNNNNNNNNNNNNNNNNNNNNNNNNNNNNNNNNNNNNNNNNNNNNNNNNNNNNNNNNNNNNNNNNNNNNNNNNNNNNNNNNNNNNNNNNNNNNNNNNNNNNNNNNNNNNNNNNNNNNNNNNNNNNNNNNNNNNNNNNNNNNNNNNNNNNNNNNNNNNNNNNNNNNNNNNNNNNNNNNNNNNNNNNNNNNNNNNNNNNNNNNNNNNNNNNNNNNNNNNNNNNNNNNNNNNNNNNNNNNNNNNNNNNNNNNNNNNNNNNNNNNNNNNNNNNNNNNNNNNNNNNNNNNNNNNNNNNNNNNNNNNNNNNNNNNNNNNNNNNNNNNNNNNNNNNNNNNNNNNNNNNNNNNNNNNNNNNNNNNNNNNNNNNNNNNNNNNNNNNNNNNNNNNNNNNNNNNNNNNNNNNNNNNNNNNNNNNNNNNNNNNNNNNNNNNNNNNNNNNNNNNNNNNNNNNNNNNNNNNNNNNNNNNNNNNNNNNNNNNNNNNNNNNNNNNNNNNNNNNNNNNNNNNNNNNNNNNNNNNNNNNNNNNNNNNNNNNNNNNNNNNNNNNNNNNNNNNNNNNNNNNNNNNNNNNNNNNNNNNNNNNNNNNNNNNNNNNNNNNNNNNNNNNNNNNNNNNNNNNNNNNNNNNNNNNNNNNNNNNNNNNNNNNNNNNNNNNNNNNNNNNNNNNNNNNNNNNNNNNNNNNNNNNNNNNNNNNNNNNNNNNNNNNNNNNNNNNNNNNNNNNNNNNNNNNNNNNNNNNNNNNNNNNNNNNNNNNNNNNNNNNNNNNNNNNNNNNNNNNNNNNNNNNNNNNNNNNNNNNNNNNNNNNNNNNNNNNNNNNNNNNNNNNNNNNNNNNNNNNNNNNNNNNNNNNNNNNNNNNNNNNNNNNNNNNNNNNNNNNNNNNNNNNNNNNNNNNNNNNNNNNNNNNNNNNNNNNNNNNNNNNNNNNNNNNNNNNNNNNNNNNNNNNNNNNNNNNNNNNNNNNNNNNNNNNNNNNNNNNNNNNNNNNNNNNNNNNNNNNNNNNNNNNNNNNNNNNNNNNNNNNNNNNNNNNNNNNNNNNNNNNNNNNNNNNNNNNNNNNNNNNNNNNNNNNNNNNNNNNNNNNNNNNNNNNNNNNNNNNNNNNNNNNNNNNNNNNNNNNNNNNNNNNNNNNNNNNNNNNNNNNNNNNNNNNNNNNNNNNNNNNNNNNNNNNNNNNNNNNNNNNNNNNNNNNNNNNNNNNNNNNNNNNNNNNNNNNNNNNNNNNNNNNNNNNNNNNNNNNNNNNNNNNNNNNNNNNNNNNNNNNNNNNNNNNNNNNNNNNNNNNNNNNNNNNNNNNNNNNNNNNNNNNNNNNNNNNNNNNNNNNNNNNNNNNNNNNNNNNNNNNNNNNNNNNNNNNNNNNNNNNNNNNNNNNNNNNNNNNNNNNNNNNNNNNNNNNNNNNNNNNNNNNNNNNNNNNNNNNNNNNNNNNNNNNNNNNNNNNNNNNNNNNNNNNNNNNNNNNNNNNNNNNNNNNNNNNNNNNNNNNNNNNNNNNNNNNNNNNNNNNNNNNNNNNNNNNNNNNNNNNNNNNNNNNNNNNNNNNNNNNNNNNNNNNNNNNNNNNNNNNNNNNNNNNNNNNNNNNNNNNNNNNNNNNNNNNNNNNNNNNNNNNNNNNNNNNNNNNNNNNNNNNNNNNNNNNNNNNNNNNNNNNNNNNNNNNNNNNNNNNNNNNNNNNNNNNNNNNNNNNNNNNNNNNNNNNNNNNNNNNNNNNNNNNNNNNNNNNNNNNNNNNNNNNNNNNNNNNNNNNNNNNNNNNNNNNNNNNNNNNNNNNNNNNNNNNNNNNNNNNNNNNNNNNNNNNNNNNNNNNNNNNNNNNNNNNNNNNNNNNNNNNNNNNNNNNNNNNNNNNNNNNNNNNNNNNNNNNNNNNNNNNNNNNNNNNNNNNNNNNNNNNNNNNNNNNNNNNNNNNNNNNNNNNNNNNNNNNNNNNNNNNNNNNNNNNNNNNNNNNNNNNNNNNNNNNNNNNNNNNNNNNNNNNNNNNNNNNNNNNNNNNNNNNNNNNNNNNNNNNNNNNNNNNNNNNNNNNNNNNNNNNNNNNNNNNNNNNNNNNNNNNNNNNNNNNNNNNNNNNNNNNNNNNNNNNNNNNNNNNNNNNNNNNNNNNNNNNNNNNNNNNNNNNNNNNNNNNNNNNNNNNNNNNNNNNNNNNNNNNNNNNNNNNNNNNNNNNNNNNNNNNNNNNNNNNNNNNNNNNNNNNNNNNNNNNNNNNNNNNNNNNNNNNNNNNNNNNNNNNNNNNNNNNNNNNNNNNNNNNNNNNNNNNNNNNNNNNNNNNNNNNNNNNNNNNNNNNNNNNNNNNNNNNNNNNNNNNNNNNNNNNNNNNNNNNNNNNNNNNNNNNNNNNNNNNNNNNNNNNNNNNNNNNNNNNNNNNNNNNNNNNNNNNNNNNNNNNNNNNNNNNNNNNNNNNNNNNNNNNNNNNNNNNNNNNNNNNNNNNNNNNNNNNNNNNNNNNNNNNNNNNNNNNNNNNNNNNNNNNNNNNNNNNNNNNNNNNNNNNNNNNNNNNNNNNNNNNNNNNNNNNNNNNNNNNNNNNNNNNNNNNNNNNNNNNNNNNNNNNNNNNNNNNNNNNNNNNNNNNNNNNNNNNNNNNNNNNNNNNNNNNNNNNNNNNNNNNNNNNNNNNNNNNNNNNNNNNNNNNNNNNNNNNNNNNNNNNNNNNNNNNNNNNNNNNNNNNNNNNNNNNNNNNNNNNNNNNNNNNNNNNNNNNNNNNNNNNNNNNNNNNNNNNNNNNNNNNNNNNNNNNNNNNNNNNNNNNNNNNNNNNNNNNNNNNNNNNNNNNNNNNNNNNNNNNNNNNNNNNNNNNNNNNNNNNNNNNNNNNNNNNNNNNNNNNNNNNNNNNNNNNNNNNNNNNNNNNNNNNNNNNNNNNNNNNNNNNNNNNNNNNNNNNNNNNNNNNNNNNNNNNNNNNNNNNNNNNNNNNNNNNNNNNNNNNNNNNNNNNNNNNNNNNNNNNNNNNNNNNNNNNNNNNNNNNNNNNNNNNNNNNNNNNNNNNNNNNNNNNNNNNNNNNNNNNNNNNNNNNNNNNNNNNNNNNNNNNNNNNNNNNNNNNNNNNNNNNNNNNNNNNNNNNNNNNNNNNNNNNNNNNNNNNNNNNNNNNNNNNNNNNNNNNNNNNNNNNNNNNNNNNNNNNNNNNNNNNNNNNNNNNNNNNNNNNNNNNNNNNNNNNNNNNNNNNNNNNNNNNNNNNNNNNNNNNNNNNNNNNNNNNNNNNNNNNNNNNNNNNNNNNNNNNNNNNNGCUCUUCNNNNNNNNNNNNNNNNNNNNNNNNNNNNNNNNNNNNNNNNNNNNNNNNNNNNNNNNNNNNNNNNNNNNNNNNNNNNNNNNNNNNNNNNNNNNNNNNNNNNNNNNNNNNNNNNNNNNNNNNNNNNNNNNNNNNNNNNNNNNNNNNNNNNNNNNNNNNNNNNNNNNNNNNNNNNNNNNNNNNNNNNNNNNNNNNNNNNNNNNNNNNNNNNNNNNNNNNNNNNNNNNNNNNNNNNNNNNNNNNNNNNNNNNNNNNNNNNNNNNNNNNNNNNNNNNNNNNNNNNNNNNNNNNNNNNNNNNNNNNNNNNNNNNNNNNNNNNNNNNNNNNNNNNNNNNNNNNNNNNNNNNNNNNNNNNNNNNNNNNNNNNNNNNNNNNNNNNNNNNNNNNNNNNNNNNNNNNNNNNNNNNNNNNNNNNNNNNNNNNNNNNNNNNNNNNNNNNNNNNNNNNNNNNNNNNNNNNNNNNNNNNNNNNNNNNNNNNNNNNNNNNNNNNNNNNNNNNNNNNNNNNNNNNNNNNNNNNNNNNNNNNNNNNNNNNNNNNNNNNNNNNNNNNNNNNNNNNNNNNNNNNNNNNNNNNNNNNNNNNNNNNNNNNNNNNNNNNNNNNNNNNNNNNNNNNNNNNNNNNNNNNNNNNNNNNNNNNNNNNNNNNNNNNNNNNNNNNNNNNNNNNNNNNNNNNNNNNNNNNNNNNNNNNNNNNNNNNNNNNNNNNNNNNNNNNNNNNNNNNNNNNNNNNNNNNNNNNNNNNNNNNNNNNNNNNNNNNNNNNNNNNNNNNNNNNNNNNNNNNNNNNNNNNNNNNNNNNNNNNNNNNNNNNNNNNNNNNNNNNNNNNNNNNNNNNNNNNNNNNNNNNNNNNNNNNNNNNNNNNNNNNNNNNNNNNNNNNNNNNNNNNNNNNNNNNNNNNNNNNNNNNNNNNNNNNNNNNNNNNNNNNNNNNNNNNNNNNNNNNNNNNNNNNNNNNNNNNNNNNNNNNNNNNNNNNNNNNNNNNNNNNNNNNNNNNNNNNNNNNNNNNNNNNNNNNNNNNNNNNNNNNNNNNNNNNNNNNNNNNNNNNNNNNNNNNNNNNNNNNNNNNNNNNNNNNNNNNNNNNNNNNNNNNNNNNNNNNNNNNNNNNNNNNNNNNNNNNNNNNNNNNNNNNNNNNNNNNNNNNNNNNNNNNNNNNNNNNNNNNNNNNNNNNNNNNNNNNNNNNNNNNNNNNNNNNNNNNNNNNNNNNNNNNNNNNNNNNNNNNNNNNNNNNNNNNNNNNNNNNNNNNNNNNNNNNNNNNNNNNNNNNNNNNNNNNNNNNNNNNNNNNNNNNNNNNNNNNNNNNNNNNNNNNNNNNNNNNNNNNNNNNNNNNNNNNNNNNNNNNNNNNNNNNNNNNNNNNNNNNNNNNNNNNNNNNNNNNNNNNNNNNNNNNNNNNNNNNNNNNNNNNNNNNNNNNNNNNNNNNNNNNNNNNNNNNNNNNNNNNNNNNNNNNNNNNNNNNNNNNNNNNNNNNNNNNNNNNNNNNNNNNNNNNNNNNNNNNNNNNNNNNNNNNNNNNNNNNNNNNNNNNNNNNNNNNNNNNNNNNNNNNNNNNNNNNNNNNNNNNNNNNNNNNNNNNNNNNNNNNNNNNNNNNNNNNNNNNNNNNNNNNNNNNNNNNNNNNNNNNNNNNNNNNNNNNNNNNNNNNNNNNNNNNNNNNNNNNNNNNNNNNNNNNNNNNNNNNNNNNNNNNNNNNNNNNNNNNNNNNNNNNNNNNNNNNNNNNNNNNNNNNNNNNNNNNNNNNNNNNNNNNNNNNNNNNNNNNNNNNNNNNNNNNNNNNNNNNNNNNNNNNNNNNNNNNNNNNNNNNNNNNNNNNNNNNNNNNNNNNNNNNNNNNNNNNNNNNNNNNNNNNNNNNNNNNNNNNNNNNNNNNNNNNNNNNNNNNNNNNNNNNNNNNNNNNNNNNNNNNNNNNNNNNNNNNNNNNNNNNNNNNNNNNNNNNNNNNNNNNNNNNNNNNNNNNNNNNNNNNNNNNNNNNNNNNNNNNNNNNNNNNNNNNNNNNNNNNNNNNNNNNNNNNNNNNNNNNNNNNNNNNNNNNNNNNNNNNNNNNNNNNNNNNNNNNNNNNNNNNNNNNNNNNNNNNNNNNNNNNNNNNNNNNNNNNNNNNNNNNNNNNNNNNNNNNNNNNNNNNNNNNNNNNNNNNNNNNNNNNNNNNNNNNNNNNNNNNNNNNNNNNNNNNNNNNNNNNNNNNNNNNNNNNNNNNNNNNNNNNNNNNNNNNNNNNNNNNNNNNNNNNNNNNNNNNNNNNNNNNNNNNNNNNNNNNNNNNNNNNNNNNNNNNNNNNNNNNNNNNNNNNNNNNNNNNNNNNNNNNNNNNNNNNNNNNNNNNNNNNNNNNNNNNNNNNNNNNNNNNNNNNNNNNNNNNNNNNNNNNNNNNNNNNNNNNNNNNNNNNNNNNNNNNNNNNNNNNNNNNNNNNNNNNNNNNNNNNNNNNNNNNNNNNNNNNNNNNNNNNNNNNNNNNNNNNNNNNNNNNNNNNNNNNNNNNNNNNNNNNNNNNNNNNNNNNNNNNNNNNNNNNNNNNNNNNNNNNNNNNNNNNNNNNNNNNNNNNNNNNNNNNNNNNNNNNNNNNNNNNNNNNNNNNNNNNNNNNNNNNNNNNNNNNNNNNNNNNNNNNNNNNNNNNNNNNNNNNNNNNNNNNNNNNNNNNNNNNNNNNNNNNNNNNNNNNNNNNNNNNNNNNNNNNNNNNNNNNNNNNNNNNNNNNNNNNNNNNNNNNNNNNNNNNNNNNNNNNNNNNNNNNNNNNNNNNNNNNNNNNNNNNNNNNNNNNNNNNNNNNNNNNNNNNNNNNNNNNNNNNNNNNNNNNNNNNNNNNNNNNNNNNNNNNNNNNNNNNNNNNNNNNNNNNNNNNNNNNNNNNNNNNNNNNNNNNNNNNNNNNNNNNNNNNNNNNNNNNNNNNNNNNNNNNNNNNNNNNNNNNNNNNNNNNNNNNNNNNNNNNNNNNNNNNNNNNNNNNNNNNNNNNNNNNNNNNNNNNNNNNNNNNNNNNNNNNNNNNNNNNNNNNNNNNNNNNNNNNNNNNNNNNNNNNNNNNNNNNNNNNNNNNNNNNNNNNNNNNNNNNNNNNNNNNNNNNNNNNNNNNNNNNNNNNNNNNNNNNNNNNNNNNNNNNNNNNNNNNNNNNNNNNNNNNNNNNNNNNNNNNNNNNNNNNNNNNNNNNNNNNNNNNNNNNNNNNNNNNNNNNNNNNNNNNNNNNNNNNNNNNNNNNNNNNNNNNNNNNNNNNNNNNNNNNNNNNNNNNNNNNNNNNNNNNNNNNNNNNNNNNNNNNNNNNNNNNNNNNNNNNNNNNNNNNNNNNNNNNNNNNNNNNNNNNNNNNNNNNNNNNNNNNNNNNNNNNNNNNNNNNNNNNNNNNNNNNNNNNNNNNNNNNNNNNNNNNNNNNNNNNNNNNNNNNNNNNNNNNNNNNNNNNNNNNNNNNNNNNNNNNNNNNNNNNNNNNNNNNNNNNNNNNNNNNNNNNNNNNNNNNNNNNNNNNNNNNNNNNNNNNNNNNNNNNNNNNNNNNNNNNNNNNNNNNNNNNNNNNNNNNNNNNNNNNNNNNNNNNNNNNNNNNNNNNNNNNNNNNNNNNNNNNNNNNNNNNNNNNNNNNNNNNNNNNNNNNNNNNNNNNNNNNNNNNNNNNNNNNNNNNNNNNNNNNNNNNNNNNNNNNNNNNNNNNNNNNNNNNNNNNNNNNNNNNNNNNNNNNNNNNNNNNNNNNNNNNNNNNNNNNNNNNNNNNNNNNNNNNNNNNNNNNNNNNNNNNNNNNNNNNNNNNNNNNNNNNNNNNNNNNNNNNNNNNNNNNNNNNNNNNNNNNNNNNNNNNNNNNNNNNNNNNNNNNNNNNNNNNNNNNNNNNNNNNNNNNNNNNNNNNNNNNNNNNNNNNNNNNNNNNNNNNNNNNNNNNNNNNNNNNNNNNNNNNNNNNNNNNNNNNNNNNNNNNNNNNNNNNNNNNNNNNNNNNNNNNNNNNNNNNNNNNNNNNNNNNNNNNNNNNNNNNNNNNNNNNNNNNNNNNNNNNNNNNNNNNNNNNNNNNNNNNNNNNNNNNNNNNNNNNNNNNNNNNNNNNNNNNNNNNNNNNNNNNNNNNNNNNNNNNNNNNNNNNNNNNNNNNNNNNNNNNNNNNNNNNNNNNNNNNNNNNNNNNNNNNNNNNNNNNNNNNNNNNNNNNNNNNNNNNNNNNNNNNNNNNNNNNNNNNNNNNNNNNNNNNNNNNNNNNNNNNNNNNNNNNNNNNNNNNNNNNNNNNNNNNNNNNNNNNNNNNNNNNNNNNNNNNNNNNNNNNNNNNNNNNNNNNNNNNNNNNNNNNNNNNNNNNNNNNNNNNNNNNNNNNNNNNNNNNNNNNNNNNNNNNNNNNNNNNNNNNNNNNNNNNNNNNNNNNNNNNNNNNNNNNNNNNNNNNNNNNNNNNNNNNNNNNNNNNNNNNNNNNNNNNNNNNNNNNNNNNNNNNNNNNNNNNNNNNNNNNNNNNNNNNNNNNNNNNNNNNNNNNNNNNNNNNNNNNNNNNNNNNNNNNNNNNNNNNNNNNNNNNNNNNNNNNNNNNNNNNNNNNNNNNNNNNNNNNNNNNNNNNNNNNNNNNNNNNNNNNNNNNNNNNNNNNNNNNNNNNNNNNNNNNNNNNNNNNNNNNNNNNNNNNNNNNNNNNNNNNNNNNNNNNNNNNNNNNNNNNNNNNNNNNNNNNNNNNNNNNNNNNNNNNNNNNNNNNNNNNNNNNNNNNNNNNNNNNNNNNNNNNNNNNNNNNNNNNNNNNNNNNNNNNNNNNNNNNNNNNNNNNNNNNNNNNNNNNNNNNNNNNNNNNNNNNNNNNNNNNNNNNNNNNNNNNNNNNNNNNNNNNNNNNNNNNNNNNNNNNNNNNNNNNNNNNNNNNNNNNNNNNNNNNNNNNNNNNNNNNNNNNNNNNNNNNNNNNNNNNNNNNNNNNNNNNNNNNNNNNNNNNNNNNNNNNNNNNNNNNNNNNNNNNNNNNNNNNNNNNNNNNNNNNNNNNNNNNNNNNNNNNNNNNNNNNNNNNNNNNNNNNNNNNNNNNNNNNNNNNNNNNNNNNNNNNNNNNNNNNNNNNNNNNNNNNNNNNNNNNNNNNNNNNNNNNNNNNNNNNNNNNNNNNNNNNNNNNNNNNNNNNNNNNNNNNNNNNNNNNNNNNNNNNNNNNNNNNNNNNNNNNNNNNNNNNNNNNNNNNNNNNNNNNNNNNNNNNNNNNNNNNNNNNNNNNNNNNNNNNNNNNNNNNNNNNNNNNNNNNNNNNNNNNNNNNNNNNNNNNNNNNNNNNNNNNNNNNNNNNNNNNNNNNNNNNNNNNNNNNNNNNNNNNNNNNNNNNNNNNNNNNNNNNNNNNNNNNNNNNNNNNNNNNNNNNNNNNNNNNNNNNNNNNNNNNNNNNNNNNNNNNNNNNNNNNNNNNNNNNNNNNNNNNNNNNNNNNNNNNNNNNNNNNNNNNNNNNNNNNNNNNNNNNNNNNNNNNNNNNNNNNNNNNNNNNNNNNNNNNNNNNNNNNNNNNNNNNNNNNNNNNNNNNNNNNNNNNNNNNNNNNNNNNNNNNNNNNNNNNNNNNNNNNNNNNNNNNNNNNNNNNNNNNNNNNNNNNNNNNNNNNNNNNNNNNNNNNNNNNNNNNNNNNNNNNNNNNNNNNNNNNNNNNNNNNNNNNNNNNNNNNNNNNNNNNNNNNNNNNNNNNNNNNNNNNNNNNNNNNNNNNNNNNNNNNNNNNNNNNNNNNNNNNNNNNNNNNNNNNNNNNNNNNNNNNNNNNNNNNNNNNNNNNNNNNNNNNNNNNNNNNNNNNNNNNNNNNNNNNNNNNNNNNNNNNNNNNNNNNNNNNNNNNNNNNNNNNNNNNNNNNNNNNNNNNNNNNNNNNNNNNNNNNNNNNNNNNNNNNNNNNNNNNNNNNNNNNNNNNNNNNNNNNNNNNNNNNNNNNNNNNNNNNNNNNNNNNNNNNNNNNNNNNNNNNNNNNNNNNNNNNNNNNNNNNNNNNNNNNNNNNNNNNNNNNNNNNNNNNNNNNNNNNNNNNNNNNNNNNNNNNNNNNNNNNNNNNNNNNNNNNNNNNNNNNNNNNNNNNNNNNNNNNNNNNNNNNNNNNNNNNNNNNNNNNNNNNNNNNNNNNNNNNNNNNNNNNNNNNNNNNNNNNNNNNNNNNNNNNNNNNNNNNNNNNNNNNNNNNNNNNNNNNNNNNNNNNNNNNNNNNNNNNNNNNNNNNNNNNNNNNNNNNNNNNNNNNNNNNNNNNNNNNNNNNNNNNNNNNNNNNNNNNNNNNNNNNNNNNNNNNNNNNNNNNNNNNNNNNNNNNNNNNNNNNNNNNNNNNNNNNNNNNNNNNNNNNNNNNNNNNNNNNNNNNNNNNNNNNNNNNNNNNNNNNNNNNNNNNNNNNNNNNNNNNNNNNNNNNNNNNNNNNNNNNNNNNNNNNNNNNNNNNNNNNNNNNNNNNNNNNNNNNNNNNNNNNNNNNNNNNNNNNNNNNNNNNNNNNNNNNNNNNNNNNNNNNNNNNNNNNNNNNNNNNNNNNNNNNNNNNNNNNNNNNNNNNNNNNNNNNNNNNNNNNNNNNNNNNNNNNNNNNNNNNNNNNNNNNNNNNNNNNNNNNNNNNNNNNNNNNNNNNNNNNNNNNNNNNNNNNNNNNNNNNNNNNNNNNNNNNNNNNNNNNNNNNNNNNNNNNNNNNNNNNNNNNNNNNNNNNNNNNNNNNNNNNNNNNNNNNNNNNNNNNNNNNNNNNNNNNNNNNNNNNNNNNNNNNNNNNNNNNNNNNNNNNNNNNNNNNNNNNNNNNNNNNNNNNNNNNNNNNNNNNNNNNNNNNNNNNNNNNNNNNNNNNNNNNNNNNNNNNNNNNNNNNNNNNNNNNNNNNNNNNNNNNNNNNNNNNNNNNNNNNNNNNNNNNNNNNNNNNNNNNNNNNNNNNNNNNNNNNNNNNNNNNNNNNNNNNNNNNNNNNNNNNNNNNNNNNNNNNNNNNNNNNNNNNNNNNNNNNNNNNNNNNNNNNNNNNNNNNNNNNNNNNNNNNNNNNNNNNNNNNNNNNNNNNNNNNNNNNNNNNNNNNNNNNNNNNNNNNNNNNNNNNNNNNNNNNNNNNNNNNNNNNNNNNNNNNNNNNNNNNNNNNNNNNNNNNNNNNNNNNNNNNNNNNNNNNNNNNNNNNNNNNNNNNNNNNNNNNNNNNNNNNNNNNNNNNNNNNNNNNNNNNNNNNNNNNNNNNNNNNNNNNNNNNNNNNNNNNNNNNNNNNNNNNNNNNNNNNNNNNNNNNNNNNNNNNNNNNNNNNNNNNNNNNNNNNNNNNNNNNNNNNNNNNNNNNNNNNNNNNNNNNNNNNNNNNNNNNNNNNNNNNNNNNNNNNNNNNNNNNNNNNNNNNNNNNNNNNNNNNNNNNNNNNNNNNNNNNNNNNNNNNNNNNNNNNNNNNNNNNNNNNNNNNNNNNNNNNNNNNNNNNNNNNNNNNNNNNNNNNNNNNNNNNNNNNNNNNNNNNNNNNNNNNNNNNNNNNNNNNNNNNNNNNNNNNNNNNNNNNNNNNNNNNNNNNNNNNNNNNNNNNNNNNNNNNNNNNNNNNNNNNNNNNNNNNNNNNNNNNNNNNNNNNNNNNNNNNNNNNNNNNNNNNNNNNNNNNNNNNNNNNNNNNNNNNNNNNNNNNNNNNNNNNNNNNNNNNNNNNNNNNNNNNNNNNNNNNNNNNNNNNNNNNNNNNNNNNNNNNNNNNNNNNNNNNNNNNNNNNNNNNNNNNNNNNNNNNNNNNNNNNNNNNNNNNNNNNNNNNNNNNNNNNNNNNNNNNNNNNNNNNNNNNNNNNNNNNNNNNNNNNNNNNNNNNNNNNNNNNNNNNNNNNNNNNNNNNNNNNNNNNNNNNNNNNNNNNNNNNNNNNNNNNNNNNNNNNNNNNNNNNNNNNNNNNNNNNNNNNNNNNNNNNNNNNNNNNNNNNNNNNNNNNNNNNNNNNNNNNNNNNNNNNNNNNNNNNNNNNNNNNNNNNNNNNNNNNNNNNNNNNNNNNNNNNNNNNNNNNNNNNNNNNNNNNNNNNNNNNNNNNNNNNNNNNNNNNNNNNNNNNNNNNNNNNNNNNNNNNNNNNNNNNNNNNNNNNNNNNNNNNNNNNNNNNNNNNNNNNNNNNNNNNNNNNNNNNNNNNNNNNNNNNNNNNNNNNNNNNNNNNNNNNNNNNNNNNNNNNNNNNNNNNNNNNNNNNNNNNNNNNNNNNNNNNNNNNNNNNNNNNNNNNNNNNNNNNNNNNNNNNNNNNNNNNNNNNNNNNNNNNNNNNNNNNNNNNNNNNNNNNNNNNNNNNNNNNNNNNNNNNNNNNNNNNNNNNNNNNNNNNNNNNNNNNNNNNNNNNNNNNNNNNNNNNNNNNNNNNNNNNNNNNNNNNNNNNNNNNNNNNNNNNNNNNNNNNNNNNNNNNNNNNNNNNNNNNNNNNNNNNNNNNNNNNNNNNNNNNNNNNNNNNNNNNNNNNNNNNNNNNNNNNNNNNNNNNNNNNNNNNNNNNNNNNNNNNNNNNNNNNNNNNNNNNNNNNNNNNNNNNNNNNNNNNNNNNNNNNNNNNNNNNNNNNNNNNNNNNNNNNNNNNNNNNNNNNNNNNNNNNNNNNNNNNNNNNNNNNNNNNNNNNNNNNNNNNNNNNNNNNNNNNNNNNNNNNNNNNNNNNNNNNNNNNNNNNNNNNNNNNNNNNNNNNNNNNNNNNNNNNNNNNNNNNNNNNNNNNNNNNNNNNNNNNNNNNNNNNNNNNNNNNNNNNNNNNNNNNNNNNNNNNNNNNNNNNNNNNNNNNNNNNNNNNNNNNNNNNNNNNNNNNNNNNNNNNNNNNNNNNNNNNNNNNNNNNNNNNNNNNNNNNNNNNNNNNNNNNNNNNNNNNNNNNNNNNNNNNNNNNNNNNNNNNNNNNNNNNNNNNNNNNNNNNNNNNNNNNNNNNNNNNNNNNNNNNNNNNNNNNNNNNNNNNNNNNNNNNNNNNNNNNNNNNNNNNNNNNNNNNNNNNNNNNNNNNNNNNNNNNNNNNNNNNNNNNNNNNNNNNNNNNNNNNNNNNNNNNNNNNNNNNNNNNNNNNNNNNNNNNNNNNNNNNNNNNNNNNNNNNNNNNNNNNNNNNNNNNNNNNNNNNNNNNNNNNNNNNNNNNNNNNNNNNNNNNNNNNNNNNNNNNNNNNNNNNNNNNNNNNNNNNNNNNNNNNNNNNNNNNNNNNNNNNNNNNNNNNNNNNNNNNNNNNNNNNNNNNNNNNNNNNNNNNNNNNNNNNNNNNNNNNNNNNNNNNNNNNNNNNNNNNNNNNNNNNNNNNNNNNNNNNNNNNNNNNNNNNNNNNNNNNNNNNNNNNNNNNNNNNNNNNNNNNNNNNNNNNNNNNNNNNNNNNNNNNNNNNNNNNNNNNNNNNNNNNNNNNNNNNNNNNNNNNNNNNNNNNNNNNNNNNNNNNNNNNNNNNNNNNNNNNNNNNNNNNNNNNNNNNNNNNNNNNNNNNNNNNNNNNNNNNNNNNNNNNNNNNNNNNNNNNNNNNNNNNNNNNNNNNNNNNNNNNNNNNNNNNNNNNNNNNNNNNNNNNNNNNNNNNNNNNNNNNNNNNNNNNNNNNNNNNNNNNNNNNNNNNNNNNNNNNNNNNNNNNNNNNNNNNNNNNNNNNNNNNNNNNNNNNNNNNNNNNNNNNNNNNNNNNNNNNNNNNNNNNNNNNNNNNNNNNNNNNNNNNNNNNNNNNNNNNNNNNNNNNNNNNNNNNNNNNNNNNNNNNNNNNNNNNNNNNNNNNNNNNNNNNNNNNNNNNNNNNNNNNNNNNNNNNNNNNNNNNNNNNNNNNNNNNNNNNNNNNNNNNNNNNNNNNNNNNNNNNNNNNNNNNNNNNNNNNNNNNNNNNNNNNNNNNNNNNNNNNNNNNNNNNNNNNNNNNNNNNNNNNNNNNNNNNNNNNNNNNNNNNNNNNNNNNNNNNNNNNNNNNNNNNNNNNNNNNNNNNNNNNNNNNNNNNNNNNNNNNNNNNNNNNNNNNNNNNNNNNNNNNNNNNNNNNNNNNNNNNNNNNNNNNNNNNNNNNNNNNNNNNNNNNNNNNNNNNNNNNNNNNNNNNNNNNNNNNNNNNNNNNNNNNNNNNNNNNNNNNNNNNNNNNNNNNNNNNNNNNNNNNNNNNNNNNNNNNNNNNNNNNNNNNNNNNNNNNNNNNNNNNNNNNNNNNNNNNNNNNNNNNNNNNNNNNNNNNNNNNNNNNNNNNNNNNNNNNNNNNNNNNNNNNNNNNNNNNNNNNNNNNNNNNNNNNNNNNNNNNNNNNNNNNNNNNNNNNNNNNNNNNNNNNNNNNNNNNNNNNNNNNNNNNNNNNNNNNNNNNNNNNNNNNNNNNNNNNNNNNNNNNNNNNNNNNNNNNNNNNNNNNNNNNNNNNNNNNNNNNNNNNNNNNNNNNNNNNNNNNNNNNNNNNNNNNNNNNNNNNNNNNNNNNNNNNNNNNNNNNNNNNNNNNNNNNNNNNNNNNNNNNNNNNNNNNNNNNNNNNNNNNNNNNNNNNNNNNNNNNNNNNNNNNNNNNNNNNNNNNNNNNNNNNNNNNNNNNNNNNNNNNNNNNNNNNNNNNNNNNNNNNNNNNNNNNNNNNNNNNNNNNNNNNNNNNNNNNNNNNNNNNNNNNNNNNNNNNNNNNNNNNNNNNNNNNNNNNNNNNNNNNNNNNNNNNNNNNNNNNNNNNNNNNNNNNNNNNNNNNNNNNNNNNNNNNNNNNNNNNNNNNNNNNNNNNNNNNNNNNNNNNNNNNNNNNNNNNNNNNNNNNNNNNNNNNNNNNNNNNNNNNNNNNNNNNNNNNNNNNNNNNNNNNNNNNNNNNNNNNNNNNNNNNNNNNNNNNNNNNNNNNNNNNNNNNNNNNNNNNNNNNNNNNNNNNNNNNNNNNNNNNNNNNNNNNNNNNNNNNNNNNNNNNNNNNNNNNNNNNNNNNNNNNNNNNNNNNNNNNNNNNNNNNNNNNNNNNNNNNNNNNNNNNNNNNNNNNNNNNNNNNNNNNNNNNNNNNNNNNNNNNNNNNNNNNNNNNNNNNNNNNNNNNNNNNNNNNNNNNNNNNNNNNNNNNNNNNNNNNNNNNNNNNNNNNNNNNNNNNNNNNNNNNNNNNNNNNNNNNNNNNNNNNNNNNNNNNNNNNNNNNNNNNNNNNNNNNNNNNNNNNNNNNNNNNNNNNNNNNNNNNNNNNNNNNNNNNNNNNNNNNNNNNNNNNNNNNNNNNNNNNNNNNNNNNNNNNNNNNNNNNNNNNNNNNNNNNNNNNNNNNNNNNNNNNNNNNNNNNNNNNNNNNNNNNNNNNNNNNNNNNNNNNNNNNNNNNNNNNNNNNNNNNNNNNNNNNNNNNNNNNNNNNNNNNNNNNNNNNNNNNNNNNNNNNNNNNNNNNNNNNNNNNNNNNNNNNNNNNNNNNNNNNNNNNNNNNNNNNNNNNNNNNNNNNNNNNNNNNNNNNNNNNNNNNNNNNNNNNNNNNNNNNNNNNNNNNNNNNNNNNNNNNNNNNNNNNNNNNNNNNNNNNNNNNNNNNNNNNNNNNNNNNNNNNNNNNNNNNNNNNNNNNNNNNNNNNNNNNNNNNNNNNNNNNNNNNNNNNNNNNNNNNNNNNNNNNNNNNNNNNNNNNNNNNNNNNNNNNNNNNNNNNNNNNNNNNNNNNNNNNNNNNNNNNNNNNNNNNNNNNNNNNNNNNNNNNNNNNNNNNNNNNNNNNNNNNNNNNNNNNNNNNNNNNNNNNNNNNNNNNNNNNNNNNNNNNNNNNNNNNNNNNNNNNNNNNNNNNNNNNNNNNNNNNNNNNNNNNNNNNNNNNNNNNNNNNNNNNNNNNNNNNNNNNNNNNNNNNNNNNNNNNNNNNNNNNNNNNNNNNNNNNNNNNNNNNNNNNNNNNNNNNNNNNNNNNNNNNNNNNNNNNNNNNNNNNNNNNNNNNNNNNNNNNNNNNNNNNNNNNNNNNNNNNNNNNNNNNNNNNNNNNNNNNNNNNNNNNNNNNNNNNNNNNNNNNNNNNNNNNNNNNNNNNNNNNNNNNNNNNNNNNNNNNNNNNNNNNNNNNNNNNNNNNNNNNNNNNNNNNNNNNNNNNNNNNNNNNNNNNNNNNNNNNNNNNNNNNNNNNNNNNNNNNNNNNNNNNNNNNNNNNNNNNNNNNNNNNNNNNNNNNNNNNNNNNNNNNNNNNNNNNNNNNNNNNNNNNNNNNNNNNNNNNNNNNNNNNNNNNNNNNNNNNNNNNNNNNNNNNNNNNNNNNNNNNNNNNNNNNNNNNNNNNNNNNNNNNNNNNNNNNNNNNNNNNNNNNNNNNNNNNNNNNNNNNNNNNNNNNNNNNNNNNNNNNNNNNNNNNNNNNNNNNNNNNNNNNNNNNNNNNNNNNNNNNNNNNNNNNNNNNNNNNNNNNNNNNNNNNNNNNNNNNNNNNNNNNNNNNNNNNNNNNNNNNNNNNNNNNNNNNNNNNNNNNNNNNNNNNNNNNNNNNNNNNNNNNNNNNNNNNNNNNNNNNNNNNNNNNNNNNNNNNNNNNNNNNNNNNNNNNNNNNNNNNNNNNNNNNNNNNNNNNNNNNNNNNNNNNNNNNNNNNNNNNNNNNNNNNNNNNNNNNNNNNNNNNNNNNNNNNNNNNNNNNNNNNNNNNNNNNNNNNNNNNNNNNNNNNNNNNNNNNNNNNNNNNNNNNNNNNNNNNNNNNNNNNNNNNNNNNNNNNNNNNNNNNNNNNNNNNNNNNNNNNNNNNNNNNNNNNNNNNNNNNNNNNNNNNNNNNNNNNNNNNNNNNNNNNNNNNNNNNNNNNNNNNNNNNNNNNNNNNNNNNNNNNNNNNNNNNNNNNNNNNNNNNNNNNNNNNNNNNNNNNNNNNNNNNNNNNNNNNNNNNNNNNNNNNNNNNNNNNNNNNNNNNNNNNNNNNNNNNNNNNNNNNNNNNNNNNNNNNNNNNNNNNNNNNNNNNNNNNNNNNNNNNNNNNNNNNNNNNNNNNNNNNNNNNNNNNNNNNNNNNNNNNNNNNNNNNNNNNNNNNNNNNNNNNNNNNNNNNNNNNNNNNNNNNNNNNNNNNNNNNNNNNNNNNNNNNNNNNNNNNNNNNNNNNNNNNNNNNNNNNNNNNNNNNNNNNNNNNNNNNNNNNNNNNNNNNNNNNNNNNNNNNNNNNNNNNNNNNNNNNNNNNNNNNNNNNNNNNNNNNNNNNNNNNNNNNNNNNNNNNNNNNNNNNNNNNNNNNNNNNNNNNNNNNNNNNNNNNNNNNNNNNNNNNNNNNNNNNNNNNNNNNNNNNNNNNNNNNNNNNNNNNNNNNNNNNNNNNNNNNNNNNNNNNNNNNNNNNNNNNNNNNNNNNNNNNNNNNNNNNNNNNNNNNNNNNNNNNNNNNNNNNNNNNNNNNNNNNNNNNNNNNNNNNNNNNNNNNNNNNNNNNNNNNNNNNNNNNNNNNNNNNNNNNNNNNNNNNNNNNNNNNNNNNNNNNNNNNNNNNNNNNNNNNNNNNNNNNNNNNNNNNNNNNNNNNNNNNNNNNNNNNNNNNNNNNNNNNNNNNNNNNNNNNNNNNNNNNNNNNNNNNNNNNNNNNNNNNNNNNNNNNNNNNNNNNNNNNNNNNNNNNNNNNNNNNNNNNNNNNNNNNNNNNNNNNNNNNNNNNNNNNNNNNNNNNNNNNNNNNNNNNNNNNNNNNNNNNNNNNNNNNNNNNNNNNNNNNNNNNNNNNNNNNNNNNNNNNNNNNNNNNNNNNNNNNNNNNNNNNNNNNNNNNNNNNNNNNNNNNNNNNNNNNNNNNNNNNNNNNNNNNNNNNNNNNNNNNNNNNNNNNNNNNNNNNNNNNNNNNNNNNNNNNNNNNNNNNNNNNNNNNNNNNNNNNNNNNNNNNNNNNNNNNNNNNNNNNNNNNNNNNNNNNNNNNNNNNNNNNNNNNNNNNNNNNNNNNNNNNNNNNNNNNNNNNNNNNNNNNNNNNNNNNNNNNNNNNNNNNNNNNNNNNNNNNNNNNNNNNNNNNNNNNNNNNNNNNNNNNNNNNNNNNNNNNNNNNNNNNNNNNNNNNNNNNNNNNNNNNNNNNNNNNNNNNNNNNNNNNNNNNNNNNNNNNNNNNNNNNNNNNNNNNNNNNNNNNNNNNNNNNNNNNNNNNNNNNNNNNNNNNNNNNNNNNNNNNNNNNNNNNNNNNNNNNNNNNNNNNNNNNNNNNNNNNNNNNNNNNNNNNNNNNNNNNNNNNNNNNNNNNNNNNNNNNNNNNNNNNNNNNNNNNNNNNNNNNNNNNNNNNNNNNNNNNNNNNNNNNNNNNNNNNNNNNNNNNNNNNNNNNNNNNNNNNNNNNNNNNNNNNNNNNNNNNNNNNNNNNNNNNNNNNNNNNNNNNNNNNNNNNNNNNNNNNNNNNNNNNNNNNNNNNNNNNNNNNNNNNNNNNNNNNNNNNNNNNNNNNNNNNNNNNNNNNNNNNNNNNNNNNNNNNNNNNNNNNNNNNNNNNNNNNNNNNNNNNNNNNNNNNNNNNNNNNNNNNNNNNNNNNNNNNNNNNNNNNNNNNNNNNNNNNNNNNNNNNNNNNNNNNNNNNNNNNNNNNNNNNNNNNNNNNNNNNNNNNNNNNNNNNNNNNNNNNNNNNNNNNNNNNNNNNNNNNNNNNNNNNNNNNNNNNNNNNNNNNNNNNNNNNNNNNNNNNNNNNNNNNNNNNNNNNNNNNNNNNNNNNNNNNNNNNNNNNNNNNNNNNNNNNNNNNNNNNNNNNNNNNNNNNNNNNNNNNNNNNNNNNNNNNNNNNNNNNNNNNNNNNNNNNNNNNNNNNNNNNNNNNNNNNNNNNNNNNNNNNNNNNNNNNNNNNNNNNNNNNNNNNNNNNNNNNNNNNNNNNNNNNNNNNNNNNNNNNNNNNNNNNNNNNNNNNNNNNNNNNNNNNNNNNNNNNNNNNNNNNNNNNNNNNNNNNNNNNNNNNNNNNNNNNNNNNNNNNNNNNNNNNNNNNNNNNNNNNNNNNNNNNNNNNNNNNNNNNNNNNNNNNNNNNNNNNNNNNNNNNNNNNNNNNNNNNNNNNNNNNNNNNNNNNNNNNNNNNNNNNNNNNNNNNNNNNNNNNNNNNNNNNNNNNNNNNNNNNNNNNNNNNNNNNNNNNNNNNNNNNNNNNNNNNNNNNNNNNNNNNNNNNNNNNNNNNNNNNNNNNNNNNNNNNNNNNNNNNNNNNNNNNNNNNNNNNNNNNNNNNNNNNNNNNNNNNNNNNNNNNNNNNNNNNNNNNNNNNNNNNNNNNNNNNNNNNNNNNNNNNNNNNNNNNNNNNNNNNNNNNNNNNNNNNNNNNNNNNNNNNNNNNNNNNNNNNNNNNNNNNNNNNNNNNNNNNNNNNNNNNNNNNNNNNNNNNNNNNNNNNNNNNNNNNNNNNNNNNNNNNNNNNNNNNNNNNNNNNNNNNNNNNNNNNNNNNNNNNNNNNNNNNNNNNNNNNNNNNNNNNNNNNNNNNNNNNNNNNNNNNNNNNNNNNNNNNNNNNNNNNNNNNNNNNNNNNNNNNNNNNNNNNNNNNNNNNNNNNNNNNNNNNNNNNNNNNNNNNNNNNNNNNNNNNNNNNNNNNNNNNNNNNNNNNNNNNNNNNNNNNNNNNNNNNNNNNNNNNNNNNNNNNNNNNNNNNNNNNNNNNNNNNNNNNNNNNNNNNNNNNNNNNNNNNNNNNNNNNNNNNNNNNNNNNNNNNNNNNNNNNNNNNNNNNNNNNNNNNNNNNNNNNNNNNNNNNNNNNNNNNNNNNNNNNNNNNNNNNNNNNNNNNNNNNNNNNNNNNNNNNNNNNNNNNNNNNNNNNNNNNNNNNNNNNNNNNNNNNNNNNNNNNNNNNNNNNNNNNNNNNNNNNNNNNNNNNNNNNNNNNNNNNNNNNNNNNNNNNNNNNNNNNNNNNNNNNNNNNNNNNNNNNNNNNNNNNNNNNNNNNNNNNNNNNNNNNNNNNNNNNNNNNNNNNNNNNNNNNNNNNNNNNNNNNNNNNNNNNNNNNNNNNNNNNNNNNNNNNNNNNNNNNNNNNNNNNNNNNNNNNNNNNNNNNNNNNNNNNNNNNNNNNNNNNNNNNNNNNNNNNNNNNNNNNNNNNNNNNNNNNNNNNNNNNNNNNNNNNNNNNNNNNNNNNNNNNNNNNNNNNNNNNNNNNNNNNNNNNNUUUUCUCGAAUGUGAGUAAAGGUUGGGCAUGUUUGCUAGUCUACCUUGCCACGAAGCACAGAGGUUGACACACAGGGACUUUCCAAUUAUCCAGCAAUGGUACUGUUCCUUUACCCUCUCUUCGAUUUUUUAAGAAAGUAGUCAUGUUGGGAGUCUGGCUCUCGAGAUUCGGAGGACGGUGCCUCUUCGAUUUUGGAGCAAGCAAUCUUGUUGGGAGUGUUUUCUCGAAUGUGAGUAAAGGUUGGGCAUGUUUGCUAGUCUACCUUGCCACGAAGCACAGAGGUUGACACACAGGGACUUUCCAAUUAUCCAGCAGUGGUACUGUUCCUUUACCCUUGUGGGUAAUAAUAUGGUAGCUAGACCUUCAAAAUUUAUGGGUCUAAACUUUGUUAGUGCUGUUUUCUUUGCUAUUCUUUUUACCCUUCUUGGUCAGAGCGAUGUAGUGGGAGCUGCAAGCUUCACGUGCUCAAACUUUGCAGAGAACUUUGGCAAAGUUAUCUGUGGUACCCAUGAGCUAUUGUUGCGUGUGGGAAGUGGGUGAUUGAACAGUAAGAUUCAUGUGCUUUCUACUUCCCCAGAAGUCUUCGACAGAAUGCCCAUAAUUUCCGCAAAGCUGAGUGUGCGUGUGACAGGUGCUGACAAGGCUGGAAAAGUAGGUGCCUCUUCGAUUUCUGAGAUCGGCCCUCGUGGUCUCUGAGGAGCCCAGCUUUUGAGAAAGCAAGCGCCUCUUUCGAUUUCUGAGAUCGGCCUUCGUGGUCUUUGAGCAGCCCAACUUUUGAGAAAGCAAACGCCUCUUCGAUUUCUGAGAUCUACCCUCGUGGUCUCUGAGCAGCCCAGCUUUUGAGAAAGCAAACGCCUCUUCGAUUUCUGAGCAGGCGCCUCUUCGAUUUCUGAAGCUCCGUCGAGUGCAGAUUUUUAUAGGGCUGGCAUUAAGUUCCAAAGCACACUUGAAUCUCCACCAGUAGAAGCUCCAUUCUUGCACUUCUAAGAUCGUGAUUUGUCCGACCUCUUCUCUCUUCAACACCUUUGAAAAUGUCUGGCCCCUCCGACCGUCGUUUUGACUUGAACCUUGUUGAAGAGGCAGCCCCGCCUUCUCCAGACAACAUAUGGCGCCCAUCCUUCGUCUCCCCUACUGGUCCUCUUACCGUUGGGGAUUCCGUGAUGAAGAAUGAUAUGACCGCUGCGGUGGUGGCCAGGAACCUUCUCACUCCCAAAGAUAACAGACUACUUUCCAAACGGUCUGAUGAGUUAGCUGUUAAGGAUUCUCUGGCUCUCAGUGUUCAGUGUGCAGGUUCUGUGUCUAAUAUGGCCCAACGCCUAUUUGCUCGAACCCGCCAAGUUGAAUCAUUGGCGGCUGAAGUGAUGAGUCUCAAACAGGAGAUUAGAGGGCUCAAGCAUGAGAAUAAACAGUUGCACCGGCUCGCACAUGACUAUGCUACAAACAUGAAGAGGAAGCUUGACCAGAUGAAGGAAACUGAUGGUCAGGUUUUACUUGAUCAUCAGAGAUUUGUGGGUUUGUUCCAAAGGCAUUUAUUGCCUUCGUCUUCUGGGGCUGUACCGCGUAAUGAAGCUCCAAAUGAUCAACCUCUGAUGCCUCCUCCUUCUAGGGUUCUGUCCAGUACUGAGGCUCCGAAUGAUCCCCCUCCGGUGCCUUCUCUUUCUGGGGCUCUACCGACUGCUGAGACUUCUCCUAAGCAACCUUUGUGAAGGCUCCCUCUUGUUUGUUUAUUUUGACUCAUGUAUAUGUACAUAUUUGUAAGCUUAUCGGGGAUAUCAAUAAAUAAGCUUUCCUUCAUUUCAACGUAUUGUGUUAAAUACACCAAAGCCUUCUUCGCUAAGUUCUUUGAAUUUUCUUUUUGUUGAAGCUUGUAUGUUGAAGCUUUCUGAGUGGAGCAUGUAGGUUGGGGUAGUGUUCCCUUAAUUUCCCGAGUGAGGAAAACUUCUCGGUUGGAGACUUGGAAAAUCCAAGUCACUGAGUGGGAUCGGCUAUAUGAAUCUUAGAACGCCAUUGUGCUCGAUCCUGUGUCAUGUCCUUCGUUAGAUCCAAGUACUCUAAGUCUUUUCUUAGAGUCUCUUCCAAAGUUUUCCUAGGUCUUCCUCUACCCCUUCGGCCCUGAACCUCUGUCCCAUAGUCGCAUCUUCUAAUCGGAGCGUCAGUAGGCCUUCUUUGCACAUGUCCAAACCACCGUAACCGAUUUUCUCUCAUCUUUCCUUCAAUUUCGGCUACUCCUACUUUACCCCGGAUAUCCUCAUUCCUAAUCUUAUCCUUUCUCGUGUGCCCACACAUCCAACGAAGCAUCCUCAUCUCCGCUACACCCAUUUUGUGUACGUGUUGAUGCUUCACCGCCCAACAUUCUGUGCCAUACAGCAUCGCCGGCCUUAUUGCCGUCCUAUAAAAUUUUCCCUUGAGCUUCAGUGGCAUACGGCGGUCACACAACACGCCGGAUGCACUCUUCCACUUCAUCCAUCCAGCUUGUAUUCUAUGGUUGAGAUCUCCAUCUAAUUCUCCGUUCUUUUGCAAGAUAGAUCCUAGGUAACGAAAACGGUCGCUCUUUGGUAUUUCUUGAUCUCCGAUCCUCACCCCUAACUCGUUUUGGCCUCCAUUUGCACUGAACUUGCACUCCAUAUAUUCUGUCUUUGAUCGGCUUAGGCGAAGACCUUUAGAUUCCAACACUUCUCUCCAAAGGUUAAGCUUUGCAUUUACCCCUUCCUGAGUUUCAUCUAUCAACACUAUAUCGUCUGCGAAAAGCAUACACCAAGGAAUAUCAUCUUGAAUAUGUCCUGUUAACUCAUCCAUUACCAACGCAAAAAGGUAAGGACUUAAGGAUGAGCCUUGAUGUAAUCCUACAGUUAUGGGAAAGCUUUCGGUUUGUCCUUCAUGAGUUCUUACGGCAGUCUUUGCUCCUUCAUACAUAUCCUUUAUAGCUUGGAUAUAUGCUACUCGUACUCCUUUCUUCUCUAAAAUCCUCCAAAGAAUGUCUCUUGGGACCCUAUCAUACGCUUUUUCCAAAUCUAUAAAGACCAUGUGUAAAUCCUUUUUCCCAUCUCUAUAUCUUCCAUCAAUCUUCGUAAGAGAUAGAUUGCCUCCAUGGUUGAGCGCCCUGGCAUGAACCCGAAUUGGUUGUCCGAAACCCGUGUCUCUUGCCUCAAUCUAUGCUCAAUGACUCUCUCUCCCAGAGCUUCAUUGUAUGACUCAUUAGCUUAAUACCCCUAUAGUUCAUGCAAUUUUGUACGUCGCCCUUAUUCUUGUAGAUAGGCACCAAAGUGCUCGUUCGCCACUCAUUUGGCAUCUUCUUCGUUUUCAAAAUCCUAUUGAAAAGGUCAGUGAGCCAUGUUAUACCUGUCUCUCCCAAAACUUUCCACACUUCGAUUGGUAUAUCGUCUGGGCCUACUGCUUUUCUAUGCUUCAUCUUCUUCAAAGCUACAACCACUUCUUCCUUCCGGAUUCGACGAUAAAAAGAGUAGUUUCUACACUCUUCUGAGUUACUCAACUCCCCUAAAGAAGCACUCCUUUCAUGUCCUUCAUUGAAAAGAUUAUGAAAAUAACCUCUCCAUCUGUCUUUUAACCGCGUUCUCUGUAGCAAGAACCUUUCCAUCCUCAUCCUUGAUGCACCUCACUUGGUUUAGGUCCCUUGUCUUCUUUUCCCUUGCUCUAGCUAGUUUAUAGAUAUCCAACUCUCCUUCUUUGGUAUCUAGUCGCUUAUACAUAUCGUCAUAAGCCGCUAACUUAGCUUCUCUCACAGCUUUCUUCGCCUCUUGCUUCGCUUUUCUAUACCUUUCACCAUUUUCAUCGGUCCUAUCCUUGUAUAAGGCUUUACAACAUUCCUUCUUAGCCUUCACCUUUGUUUGUACCUCCUCAUUCCACCACCAAGAUUCCUUUUGGUGUGGGGCAAAGCCCUUGGACUCUCCUAAUACCUCUUUUGCUACUUUUCGGAUACAACUAGCCAUGGAAUCCCACAUUUGGCUAGCUUCCCCCUCUCUAUCCCACACACACUGGGGUGAUUACUUUCUCUUUGAAAAUGGCUUGUUUUUCUUCUUUUAGAUUCCACCAUCUAGUCCUUGGGCACUUCCAAGUCUUGUUCUUUUUUCUCACUCUUUUGAUAUGUACAUCCAUCACCAACAAGCGAUGUUGAUUAGCCACGCUCUCUCCUGGUAUAACUUUGCAAUCCUUACAAGUUAUACGAUCCCCUUUCCUCAUUAGAAGAAAAUCUAUUUGUGUUUUUGACGACCCACUCUUGUAGGUGAUCACAUGUUCUUCUCUCUUCUUAAAGAAGGUGUUGGCUAAGAAGAGAUCAUAUGCCAUUGCAAAAUCCAAGAUAGCUUCCCCAUCCUCGUUUCUCUCCCCAAAACCAUGGCCACCAUGAAAACCUCCAUAGUUGCCUGUCUCCCUGCCCACGUGUCCAUUUAAAUCUCCUCCUAUAAAUAACUUCUCCGUCUGAGCAAUUCCUUGCACCAAGUCUCCAAGAUCUUCCCAAAAUUUCUCCUUCGAACUCGUAUCCAACCCUACUUGAGGUGCGUACGCACUAAUCACAUUGAUAAGUUCUUGUCCUAUUACAAUCUUGAUUGCCAUGAUUCUAUCUCCUACCCUCUUGACAUCUACAACAUCUUGUGUCAAGGUCUUGUCCACGAUGAUGCCAACACCGUUUCUCGUUCUAUUUGUGCCCGAAUACCAAAGUUUAAACCCUGAGUUUUCUAGAUCCUUUGCCUUACUACCAACCCACUUAGUUUCUUGUAGGCACAUAAUAUUUAUCCUUCUCCUCACCAUAACUUCCACUACUUCCAUAGAUUUUCCCGUUAAGGUUCCUAUAUUCCACGUUCCUAAACGCAUUUUGCUCUCUUGAACUCUACCCUUCUGUCCUAGCUUCUUCACCCUCCCCCGUCUAAUAGGAUCAAAGUACUUCUUUUGUGUGUCCCGGGUAAAGUUGAUAGGAGCAUAUGCUCCCAAACAACUUUGAGUGGAGUCGUUCGAAAAGAAGUUUCUAUGGCCCCCUUGCUCAUUUAACACUGCAUCCGGGUGCCGAUGGAGAUACAGCGACCCUUGCUCACUUAUCACUGUGCUCGGGCCACACAGCGCGCCACUUACGGGUGACGCCCUAGCUUUAGCGCGAUUUUGUUCUGGAUUCAUUUUCAUAAGGAUUCGACGUGAUCAUGGAGUGCCGGCUGUCGACUACCUGACGCCCUCCCCCUCCUCCUUUAUCCGGGCUUGGGACCGGCCAUUUCAACUAAAUCACCACAAACAACAAAUUCACAUUCAAAAACACAUAAUGCAAAACACACACACAAAUCAUAUGAAUUUAUUUAAUAUUUUCAUUUAAUUUAAUCUUUUGUUGGCAAAAGUAGAGCUUUAAUUUUUUUAAGAUAGUGCAUGUGAAAUUAUUGAGUUUCAUAUGCAGGUAUGCACUGGGGUCAUGAUGCACGGAUAUGGUGUUGUGAAGAAACUAUGUUCCGAGCUGAAGGAUUUUAUGAAACAGUACAAUUUCUCAUCCACUGAAGAUUUCGAGGUGAAAAACAAAUUGCACUCAUAUAUUAUUUUCGGUCUUUUCGACAAAUUUGUAGGGUUUCCCUCGAGUACUUUGACAUACAGAUUUAGUAAGAACAGAACAGGAAGCAAUCAAACAGAGGAAAGCAAGAAUAACGCUGAUAAAAUAACAGUACACAACAACAAUUUCAACGAUCAGCAAAGGUUCAGGGCAUAAUCACCCUAAUUAAAAAAAAAUUGACAACACCCCAAAUCCUCCUAAAACUCCCUAUCAGUUUAUACCAACUCAUCCCCAAAAAUUUUGCACAGAUAACAAAAAAACAAUAGCAAAUGCAAUAUAUAGGAAAAAAAAUAAGGAAAUCCAAAGCCAAAGAAAAUUGGAACUUACCAAGGAUGCACAAAGGUGUGGCCAAAGAAGAAAAACAGGCGAGCGACGCCGUCUAGAAGAAGGAAAAUAACACUGGAAUUGAAGAGAAAUCCGGCGAAUCAAAGAGAAAUCGGUCAAAUUGAAGAGGUGUGCACAGCGAUGAACGUGUGGGCAAAAAAUGGAGGAACUGCGAGGAACAAUGUGCAGAAGAAAGGAAAGAACGCUGAAAUCGAAGAGGGAGUCAAAUGGAAAAAGAGGAUACCCAGGAUAAUCAACACGUGGCCAAAGAGUGGGAGAACCCAGAAGAAAAGAAAGGAUAAUAAUAAGGGCAAGAAGGUCAUUUUCCUGUAGCAAAGAGGGAAAACAGUACGGGCAAUGAAGAAAUGGGAGGGCAGUUGGGGAGUUCACUGCUGGUGAACAGUAACCCCUCUCACAUGAUGAACAAUGAGGGAACUAAACUUUAGUAUAUAUAGAUUUGAUAACUUGUAUCUUGGUUCAGUCCAAGCAUAUAUAGACCAUAUGCAUAUAAACGUGAGUAAAAACAACCAUAUAUACACUCUUAUUGGUGAAAAUAAGAGUAUCAAAAUAUAUGUAUUGCCAACACGUUACAGAGAUUUCAUUUUACAUAGUUGAAAUUGUAGUAGACAUACAAAUGUGAAGACGUGAAAACUGGUUUGGUUAAUUAGUUUAAGCAUAAAGAUAUACAUACUUAUAUGUAUUAAUUUUAAGUAAUUUGAAAGAUCACCAAGUGUCUGUCAAGAACAUACGUUUGAAACCAUAUAGCCAAAAUAGUUUUCUUAAUAAAAUAGCUAAUACAACAACAACAACAACAACAAAGCAUUUUCCCACUAAAUGGGGUCGGCUAUAUGAAUCCUAGAAUGUCAUUGCGCUCGGUUUUGUGUCAUGUCCUCCGUUAGAUCCAAGUACUAUAAGUCUUUUCUUAGGGUCUCUUCCAAAGUUUUCCUAGGUCUUCCUCUACCCCUUCGGCCUUGAACCUCUGUCUCGUAGUCACAUAUUCGAACCAGAGCGUCAGUAGGCCUUCUUUGCACAUGUCCAAACCACCGUAACCGAUUUUCUCUCAUCUUUCCUUCAAUUUCGGCUACUCCUACUUUACCUCGGAUAUCCUCAUUCCUAAUCUUAUCCUUUCUCGUGUGCCCACACAUCCAACGAAGCAUCCUCAUCUCCGCUACACCUAUUUUGUGUACAUGUUGAUGCUUCACCGCCCAACAUUUUGUGUCAUACAGCAUCGCCGGCCUUUUUGUCAUCCUAUAAAAUUUUCCCUUGAGCUUCAAUGGCCUACGACGGUCACACAACACACCGGAUGCACUCUUCCACUUCAUCCAUCCAGCUUGUAUUCUAUGGUUGAGAUCUCCAUCUAAUUCUCCGUUCUUUUGCAAGAUAGAUCCUAGGUAGCGAAAACAGUCGCUCUUUGGUAUUUCCUGAUCUCCAAUCCUCACCCCUAACUCAUUUUGUCUUCCAUUUGCACUGAACUUGCACUCCAUAUAUUCUGUCUUUGAUCGGCUUAGGCGAAGACCUUUAGAUUCCAACACUUCUCUCCAGAGGUUAAGCUUCACAUUUACCCCUUCCUGAGUUUCAUCUAUCAACACUAUAUCGUUUGCGAAAAGCAUACACUAAGGAAUAUCAUCUUGAAUAUGUCAUGUUAACUCAUCCAUUACCAACGCAAAAAGGUAAGGACUUAAGGAUUGUUGAUGCACAAAAUGAGUGAGGAUUUUGGUACAACAGAAAAAAUUAAGUUUGUGAUCUUCGCUAGAUUGCUCCUGUCAUUAGUGUGGAUAAGUAUGUAAAUGGAUAGAGACAGGGAAACAAACACAAGAUGUACGUGUUUCACCCAGAUUGGCUACGUCCAUGGAGUAGAGGAGUUCUCAUUAAAUGUGAAGGGUUUACACAAGUACAUAGGUUCAAGCUCUCCUUUAGUGAGUACAAGUGAAUGAUUUAGUACAAAUGACACUAGGAAAUAUUGUGGGAGAAUGAUCUCGUAAUCACAAAACUUCUAAGUACCGAAGUGUGGUAUCGUCUUCACUUGCCUUAUCUGUCUCAUAGGUAGAUGUGGCAUCUUCUCUGGAAGUACUCUUAUUCCAUCCAGGGGUGGUAUCUUUAACUAGUGGAGAUGCACAAGGUAAUGUAUCAAUUUCACUUGAAGCUUACUUGUAGUUUCAGGUUUGGUCAAGCGCGAUACAAACCAUGUAGUAGGAGUCCCCCAAGUCGCCGAGCUAGGGGAUCUGCUGAAAGAGGUGACAGACAAGGUAAGCAAUCAGAGCUCCAAGCAAUCAGUGCCAGAUCAGAAGUUUGAUUUCGAGUUCCGGCUGAUUGUUCUCAUUCUCCCUAUCUUGCAGGCAGCAUGAAGGAUAAAGAGAAGAAAAAGAAGAAUAGAUGAUAUGAGAUACUUUUGCUUUCGAAGAAGUAACUUUCCACAGGCUUAUUCUUGAACUAGGCUGGAGGGUUUUCUGGUUUCUGCCAGAGUAUAAGGCCAACUGAAGAAUUUGAGGGUCAAAACAAGUCCAUCAAAUCUAGAGUACGUUCGACCAUGCUGAUAUGAGAUACUUUUGUUGUUGACAAAGUAAUGGAUGUAUCGGCACGUGUUUUGUUACGCUUGUCUCCACAUGCUUCCUUGUAUCCUUCUCACUUACCCUAUAUGUUCCUCAGGCAGAUGUGGUAUCUUCUCUGGAAGCAUAAGAUGUUGAAGAUGAGUACUCGAGAGCAAUGCCAGGUAAGUAAUCAGGUAAGGGGUUCCAAGCAGUCAGUUCCUGACUGGAAGCUUGAUUCCAAAUGCUGACUAAUUGCUCUCUUUCUCCUUGUCUUGCAGGUAAGAACAAGGCCAAAGGAAAAGACAGGGAAAAAACAUGAUAUGGGAUACUCUUGCUUUUAACCCUGAUGAUAUGAGAUAUUCUUGCUCUGGUGUAGCUUGUUUGUAGAGGUAUUAUCGGGGGAAAAGAAAGCUGAGUAUUUCGAGAGGCUUCGUUGGGAGUGCCCUCUCAGAUAUGAGGAAGGGUUGAGCAUUUUUGCAAGUCUUCCUGUCCGUUAAGGAUGAAGGUCGCCAUAUAUAGGAGUCUCCCUAACAACAAGUAGUAAUGUUAUUCCUUUACCCUGCUUGGUCAUAGCACCGUAGUGGGAGCUGCCAGCUUCACGUGUUUUAACUCUGUCAGAGCACUUUGAAAAAAUGGUCUGUGGUAUUUGGGAAGCUGAUGUUGCGUGUGAAGAUUACAAACAAGCUUUAUCCAAGGAAAUCUGGCUCUCGAAGUUGAGAAAGCGGUGCCUCUUUGAUUUUUGAGAAAGCAAUCCUGCUGGGAGUCUGGCUCUCGAGAUUCGGAGAGCGAUGUCUCUUCGAUUUUUGAGAAAAUAAUCAUGUUAGGAGUCUGGCUCUCGAGAUUCGGAGGACGGUGCCUCUUCGAUUUUGGAGCAAGCAAUCUGGUUGGGAGUGUUUUCUCGAAUGUGAGUAUAGGUUGGGCAUGUUUGCUAGUCUACCUUGCCACGGAGCACAGAGGUUGACACACAGGGACUUUCCAAUUAUCCAGCAGUGGUGUUGUUCCUUUACCUUUGUGGGUAAUAAUAUGGUAGCUAGACCUUCAAAAUUUAUGUGUCUAAACUUUGUUAGUGCUGUUUCUUUGCUAUUCUUUUACCCUUCUUGGUCAUAGCGAUGUAGUGGAAGCUGCAAGCUUCACGUGUCUAAACUUUGUCAGAGAUCUUUGGCAAAGUUAUAUGUGGUACCCAUGAGCUGAUGUUGCGUGUGGAAAGUGGAUGAUUGAACAAUAAGAUUCACGUGCUUUCUACUUCACCAGAAAUCUUCGACAGAAUGCCCGUAAUUUCUACAAAGCUGAGUGUGCAUGUGACAGGUGCUGACAAGGCUGAAAAAGCAGGUGCCUCUACGAUUUCUGAGAUCGGCCCUCGUGGUAUCUGAGCAGCCCAGCUUUUGAGAAAGCAGACGCCUCUUCGAUUUCUGAGAUCGGCCUUCGUGGUAUUUGAGCAGCCCAGCUUUUGAGAAAACAAAAGCGUCUUCAAUUUCUGAGAUCGGCCAUCGUGGUCUCUGAGCAGCCCAGCUUUUGAGAAAGGAAACGCCUUUUCGAUUUCUGAGCAGGCGCCUCUUCGAUUUCUAAAGCUCCGUCGAGUGCAGAUUUUUAUAGAGGUUGGCAUUAAGUUCCAAAGCACACUUGAAUCUCCACCAGUAGAAGCUCCCUUCUUGCACUUCUAAGAUCUUAAUUUGUCCGACCUCUUCUCUCUUCAACACCUUUGAAAAUGUAUGGCCCCUCCGACCGUCGUUUUGACUUGAACCUUGUUGAAGAGGCAGCCAUGCCUUCUCCAGAAAACAUAUGGCGCCCAUCCUUCUUAUUCCUUACUGGUCCUCUUACCGUUGGGGAUUCCAUGAUGAAGAAUGAUAUGACCGCUGCGGUGGUGGCCAGGAACCUUCUCACUCCCAAAGAUAACAGACUACUUUCCAAACGGUCUGAUGAGUUGGCUGUUAAGGAUUCUCUGGCUCUCAGUGUUCAGUGUGCAAGUUCUGUGUCUAAUAUGGCCCAACGCCUAUUUGCUCGAACCCGCCAAGUUGAAUCAUUGGCGGCUGAAGUGAUGAGUCUCAAAUAGGAGAUUAGAGGGCUCAAGCAUGAGAAUAAACAGUUGCACCAGCUCGUACAUGACUAUGCUACAAACAUGAAGAGGAAGCUUGACCAGAUGAAGGAAUCUGAUGGUCAGAUUUUCCUUGAUCAUCAGAGGUUUGUGGGUUUGUUCCAAAGGCAUUUAUUGCCUUCGUCUUCUGGGGCUGUACCGCGUAAUGAAGCUCCAAAUGAUCAACCUCUGAUGCCUCCUCCUUCUAGGGUUCUAUCCAGUACUGAGGCUCCGAAUGAUCCCCCUCCGGUGCCUUCUCUUUCUGGGGCUCUACCAACUGCUGAGACUUCUCCUAAGCAACCUUUGUGAAGGUUCCCUCUUGUUUGUUUAUUUUGACUCAUGUAUAUGUACAUAUUUGUAACUUAUCGGAGAUAUCAAUCAAUAAGCUUUGCUUCAUUUCAACGUAUUGUGUUAAAUACACCAAAGCCUUCUUCACUAAGUUCUUUGAAUUUUUCUUUUGUUAAAGCUUGUAUGUUGAAGCUUUGUGAAUGGAGCAUGUAGGUUGAGGUAGUAUUCCCUUAAUUUCCCGAGUAAGGAAAACUUCUCGAUUGGAGACUUGAAAUAUCCAAGUCACUGAGUGGGGUCGGCUAUAUGAAUCUUAGAACGCCAUUGUGCUCGGUCCUGUGUCAUGUCCUCCGUUAGAUCCAAGUACUCUAAGUCUUUUCUUAGAGUCUCUUCCAAAGUUUUCCUAGGCCUUCCUCUACCCCUUCGGCCCUGAACCUCUGUCCCGUAGUCGCAUCUUCUAACCGGAACGUCAGUAUGCCUUCUUUGCACAUGUCUAAACCACCGUAACCGAUUUUCUCUCAGCUUUCCUUCAAUUUUGGCUACUCCUACUUUACCUCGGAUAUCCUCAUUCCUAAUCUUAUCCUUUCUCGUGUGCCCACACAUCCAACGAAGCAUCCUCAUCUCCGCUACACCCAUUUUGUGUACGUGUUGAUGCUUCACAGCCCAACAUUCUGUGCCAUAUAGCAUCGCCGGCCUUAUUGUCGUCCUAUAAAAUUUUCCCUUGAGCUUUAGUGGCAUACGGCGGUCACACAACACGCCGGAUGCCCUCUUCCACUUCAUCCAUCCAGCUUGUAUUCUGUGGUUGAGAUCUCCAUCUAAUUCUUCGUUCUUUUGCAAGAUAGAUCCUAGGUAGCGAAAACGGUUGCUCUUUGGUAUAACCUGAUCUCUGAUCCUCACCCCUAACUCAUUUUAGCCUCCAUUUGCACUGAACUUGCACUCCAUAUAUUCUGUCUUUGAUCGGCUUAGGCGAAGCCCUUUAGAUUCCAACACGUCUCUCCAAAGGUUAAGCUUCGCAUUUACCCCUUCCUGAGUUUCAUCUAUCAACACUAUAUCGUCUGCGAAAAGCAUACACCAAGGAAUAUCAUCUUGAAUAUGUCAUGUUAACUCAUCCAUUACCAACGCAAAAAGGUAAGGACUUAAGGAUGAGCCUUGAUGUAAUCCUACAGUUAUGGGGAAGCUUUCGGUUUGUCCUUCAUGAGUUCUUACGGCAGUCUUUGCUCCUUCAUACAUAUGCAGAAAAACCAGUUUUGAUAACAAUGGCUAGUCCACGGCAGAAAGUCUAAUACUGUAUAAGAUUAGGAUUUCCUAAAACUAAUAGGAAAUAUACAAAUAGCUAUGAAACUAUGCAUGAUAAAAGAAUCUUUACCCAGGUAUUGCAAUCUGCCGUUGCUAGAAUAAGACAGAGAUGAUAAGGUAGAAGGAGGAAUCAAACUACUGUUCGUUGCUAGAAUGAGAAAGAGAUACCAAGAACACCUCUAUCCAUCAAGACGUCGAGAAAAAUUAUUGGGAGAGUUCUAAUAUAAAUCCUCUCCGCAAAACAUUUAGUUCCACCUCUCUUUCUCUCUCUCUCCGUCUCUGUUCGGUGCAUAAGGGGACCUCUUUCUAAUCUGAUGCUAGGACAUAUAUAUAAGCACCAUGUUCUACUUGCACCGCCUGCUACUUCCCAUUUCUUUGGGUCCAAGCAUCACUUGUCAUGUGGCUAAAUUGCCACUACCAUAAUCAAAUCAGCCCAUUGCUGUCUAACUCUAACUACUGUCACGUGGCAAGAUAGCCACUCAUUGGCUGCCACGUGACACUCAUUCAUUGAUCCAAUAUGUAAAUUACUAUAAACAUUCAUAUGAGUUUCAAAGAUAAUCUGAAAGAUGCCACGAACUCAUAAUGAUGUCUACUAUGUUUUCAUGAAUAAAUUCUCAAUAAAUAGGCUAAACAUAUUUUCCCAAAUAUUCAAUAAUAAAUUCUUGGGAUCCCACAUGUAGCGUGCCAGAAAGUUUGUAAUGAUGAAGUGUUGCGUCUGAUGCUUGCGCACGAGAAACGAUUGCAGCGUCUAGUGGGAACCCGGCCAUGAUAUCUACAUUGAUUUACCACCGUCGUGAUAUCCCUAUUGUCCCUAUACUAGGAUUUACCCUCGCUCUCAAACCUAGGCCUUCGUUUUCCUCUCUUUGCUUUUAUGAAAGUUAUUUUGUUGUGCCAUGAUAUAGCCAUCUGUAGCCUUUCUCCUGCCGCCUUUCAAGCUUCUUACUUGCUUGGAGUUACUAAGCCAAUGCUUUAGGGUUGAGUUGGAUAUACCAAGUUUAGAAUGUUGCACAUUAUCAGAGUGAGUUUGGAUGGCCAUUACUAUUUUACGACCAAAGCUAGCGUCGCUUGGGAGACGUACAUCUAGGACAUUCUUUGCAAUGACAAGGAUUGGUACAACGAUAUACUAGUCGUUGAUGAAGCCUGGGAAUGAGACAUUAGCGGACUCCGGUGUAAUGUCAUCCAGACUUAAUUCGCUUGAAUUUCAAAGAUGAUGAUUUGCUCGACCUCGGCUUGUGUCGUCCAAACUUGAUUUGUUAGGCAAUGUAGAUUCUAGACGUUUACUGCAACUAGAAGUGGCUCAUUUUGCUAUAGCACUUCACCAAUUGUGGGAAAGACAUAGACGCCUUCCACUAUUCGAGAUUCCCUAUAAAGGAGCCAGAGUGGGUUGAUGCACGUAGUGCCCAUAGAAAGACUCAUUCCUCAAAAUUUGUAGCAACCUUGUCAUCUAUUCCAAAGAAGCAGAAACACCGUAAUAGUUCUCCUUCUCAUUCAUUGGUUGCCAACCCUCAGCCUCAACUAUUGAUUAAGGACAUCCAAUCUGAAAGUUUGGAGAAGAGGAAGAGACCCCCCUUCGAGGUGCCAUCUACCCCACUAUCCACAGUGGAUGAGCCGCCCUCUUUGUCUCCCUCUGCCUUUACCUGUGGUGUUUCCUUAGUCAUUGGAGCUGGAACCCCACCUUCCUUCUUUGGUUCCUUUAUCAAGUUCUCUGGUGGUAUUGGCGAAAUCGCUGCGUCUUCCAUUGCCUCAACAUCAACUUCCGCUCCUUUGUUGAAAGUGCCUAUAGGUGGCCUUUCUUGUCAUGACAGUCUUCCGUCGAUUGCCCCAAUAAGGUCUGAGAGAACAACUCGUCAUCCUCUUGUGAUCCGCCCUUUGGUUGAUCAAAUUGCCUUUCCCUCCAAUGCUAGUGGUCUUCAAUACAUUGACUAUCCUUAAGUGUUGCUUAAAGCAUCAAUUGCUUUUGUCGAUUUCAAGGGAGCUUGCACUUCUCUUAAAGAUGUCAUGAUACGAUGCUAUGGGAGUUGCUAUGAGGUACCUGAAUUUCUUUCCUUCAUUUCCUUUUGUUGAUGUGCAUUAGGCUAAUGUGUGGACAGAGGUCACCUUGUUCCCACAACGGAGGUCGCCUUGUUCCCAUAAGUGAUCCGACCUUUGGUUGAUCAAGUUACCCUUACGUUUCUCGUAUAAAGGCAUAAUGGAGAUUGCAAAUCCCAAUCAAAAGAGUUUAAGAGCAUGCAUGCCUGGCAUCAAGCUUCGGAAGCCGCUUAUGAGGCAAAAAUAACUCGGUAUAUUGACUUAGCUAUUGUUGAAGAGGUACAGGCCAAUGACUACCGGGAAGGAUUUGAGAAGGUUAGAGACGAGUUGAAGUUGGAGAGGCAAGGUGGAGAAAGACCAGGAAAUCAUUGCUUUAAAAGGAAAGUCAAAGCGUGUGUUAGCUCCGGAGCAGAGUACUUGGGUAAAGGAGCGGGAAACUCUUCGAAAGAAGAUUAAGCAUCUUCGCUAAGAAGUGGAUCAGAGGGAUAACAAGCGCAUUCCGGACCUUCAGUAACUUACUAAUAAGUAUACCUCUGAGGUAUCUACACUCCUAGAAGAUCAUGAGGUUACUCAAAGAGGAGUUUCACGUCGGAUUCUUCACGGGCUACGCCCAAGGAGACCACCCUAGAAGAUUAAACAUAUGGAGUUCCCCCCUCUGCAACAUUUGUUGGACAGGAUUUCAGAUUUAGAGGUGGAGCAAGAGGAAUACGAUCUUAAAGGUAAUUUGACACCUAAUACCCUUGGUGAAACCUUUGCUACAUCCACGGGAAAAGAUGUCCCAAAAGACCCAUUGGUGUAGCGCGACAAAAACGGUUUGUAGCUUCAUUCUUUGCGCGAAAAAGUUUUUCAUUCCUCUAACUUUUGUGCAAGGAAGGAUUGUUUGGUUACACGGACCUGUUUUCGUGGGUGCAAUUUAAAUAUUCAUCGUGCAAUGUCUUUUUUCAUCAUGCAAUUUGUCUUUUCGCGACGGAUUGCACUUUGUCAUGAAAAUAGUUAAAUGUAGUAGUGCAAUAUCCUUAUGUGUAGCUUUGAGCAGAACCUGAGCCGUUGCAAGCUUGAACUUCAAAUCUUCAACUUCACUGCAAGUUUCCAUCUACAAAGAAGUUGGGGUAAAGACAUUGGGCCCCUUAAAUCGGCAAGCUCAGACUCAGACUUUUCAAUCUUUUCGGUGGUCGAAAGAGCUUGGGCUACCAUCACCGCCUCAACCUUCUUCAUAGCUUCAACCGCAUCUUGGCCAAAAUGCAUGGACUUAGCAGCCAAGAUCAAAAUCUUAUGCAUAGUAGCAAGCGAGGAAACCCUUCUCGAGCUACCAGGACGCUUCGCAAAAGAAUAUGAGUAGACUACCUUCCCAACACUAUUAACAAACUUGGUGCAAGAAUUUAGGUCGUCGAGUGGGUCAACCUCUAACAGAUCACAAAUGUUGGGGAACUUUCUAGAACAAACUUGGUGGAUUUUUCACAAUUGCCCUUAGGAGCAGUUUCCCCUUUCUCAGUAGACAGAGCAGACACAAUAGUAGAAGUAGGCCCAAGCGCCUCAUUGGUAGACAAAUCUACCUUGUCGUUGUUCAUAUUGGCAUACCUCUUGGAAGCUGAACUAAGGCAAACUUAGCUCCAGACGGAUGUCUUGACGCUAACCUAGACACCAGGGGCACCAUGAAACUCUUACUCUUAGAGUAGCAGGCUUAAAGUCAGCAUCAUCAUUCUUCCACUUGAGAGAUGACAGACUGAUGACCAGCUUCUCAGAGGUAGCUAAACCACCACGAGCAGUAGAGGAAGUCUUUGGCUUCUUCUUCUUAACCGACAACUCUCGAGUAGUUAGCAAAAACCUUUUUUUUCCCACUCUCACCAGCAACACAAUUGUGACCAAACGAGCAAGUGCAUCUUCCUUAAUCUAAUGAAGCAGCCAACGCCAUUUGCAGUAUUCAAUAAGGAUACCCAUGGUGAUAUGAAUCUUCUUCAUAUCAGGCAUGGUCUUUGGAGUAGAGCCAAACUUCAAAUUUGCACAAAGAAAGAUAGACGUUCAAUAACUCAAAGUUAAAAGCAACUCAACAAGAAUUCCAAGCAUACCAAGAAUGAAGCAGUCAUGUGCAAAGAUUACAAUUAAUUUAAAAUUUGAUCAUAAAUUUAUGUUUGUAUAUAGGCUUAAUAGCCAAAAUGGUCCCUGAGAUUUGCAUAACUCAUCACUUUGGUGCCUAAAAUUUCAAAUCGAUAAAAGUGGUCCCUGAGAUUGUCAUUUUGAUCAUUCCGUUAAAAACUCCGUUAAGUAUCCCGGAGCUCUUCGCCGGAAGUUUGGGCAAUUUUCAAAGCUUCAUAACUCAAUCGUUUCUUAACCAAAAUCGACCCAUAAUAUAUCAAAAUGAAGAUAGGAAAGUGUAGAAUAAGAUUAUACAUUUUUCAAAGCCCAAUGGCUGCCAGAGAUGACCAGAAAAUAGCCUCAAAGUUGACUGGUCCGAGGGAAAACUGGAAAACUCGCCGGAAACUGGGUAAACUUUAAAUGUUCAUAAUUUCUUAAAUACUCAACGAAAUCAAGUGAUUCAAAAACGAAAAUCAUACUUCUCAACGAGUUGAAGAGAAUGGUACCUUUGUAGAUGGCUAAAUCGUUGUGGUUUGGCCGGAAAACUGCUUGAAAGUGGAUAACUUGAGACCAAGACAACUACUUUCGAGCCGUUUUCUGGCCAAACCAUGGCGAGUUAAAAAUCUAAAAAAGUACCAUUCUCUUUUUCUUGUUGAUAAGUAUGAUUUUUGUUUUUGAAUCACUUAAUUUCAUUGAGUAUUGAAGAAGUUAUGAACGUUUAAAAUUUACCCAGUUUCCUGCGAGUUUUCCAGUUUUCCUUCGGAGCAGUCAAGUUUGAGGCUAUUUUUCGGCUAUCUCCGGCAGCCUUUGGGCUUCUAAAUAGGUAUAAUCUUAUUCUACACUUUCCUAUCUUCAUUUUGAUAUAUUAUGAGUCGAAUUUGGUUAAGAAACGAUUGAGUUACGAAGCUUUGAAAAUUGUCCAAACUUCCGGACAAGAGCUCCAGGACACUUAACGAAGUUUUUAACGGAAUGACCAAAAUGAUGGAUGGUGGACAAUCUCAGGGACCACUUUUAUCGAUUUGAAAUGUUAGGGACCAAAAUGAUGAGUUAUGCAAAUCUCAGGGACCAUUUUGGCUAUUUAGCCUUGUAUAUAUUAUGUCGCCAUACGCAAAAACUCAAAUCCAAUUGAACAUUAUUUGCCCGAGGAAUGCACUCAAUCGAGCUGAUCAUCAAACUAUCAAAGCUUAUGGGCUAAAGAGUGGAAAAACAUGGCACAUGUGGGUCUCCCACAAUAAGGGAGGAGAAUGAUGACUUUGAAAUAGUAAUUAAAAUGUACAAUAUAACCGAGAAACAAAACAUCUCUGAAAUCCUCUCAAAGGCGAAGAUUGAAUCGGAGGGGAAUAUCCAGAUAUAGGUGGGUACCAACAAUAAGGCACCAAAACUCAAGUGCCAAUUCGGGUUCCUAUCUUCCGUUCUUAGUUUUGCCGCAGAUGAUACACAAGAAAUCUAGUAAUUCUACACUUACCACAUUUUUCAUACCACAUUUUUACCACCUUCUUAAUUAGUAUGGCCAACCAACAUAUAUGGGUUCGAUCUGUAUUAGAUAAUGGUAUGAAAAAUGUGAUGAAAGUAGUAUUUUUGUUCAACAACUAAGGGUGCGAUGACUGAGUUGGUUGAGGUCACUCUUUGAAGCAAAGUGAUUACAACUGAACGCAGUUAAUAGACUGCUCCCACCCAUUCAAACAAUCAUCACGAUAUUUAUACCUCGCUAAGGGUAUCAAUUAUAUAUAUACAUAUACAUACAUAUAUACAUACAUAUAUAUAUAUGUAAAUAUAUUACGAUCAAUUGCAUCUCGCAGAUGCCAUUUUCAACUGUAUUACAUUGAAUAAUACAGAAGAGAUAAAAAGAUGUUAAUCUGUAAUGAAGCUCAUGUGCGAGUUGUAUAAUUCGUUAAGGUGAAAAUUGUAGUAUAUUGUCCCACAUUGACGAAGUGCAUAUGUAAUACCAACUUUAACUCCUAUAUAUACCCCACUUUGGAGAUUAAAGAAUAUACAAGAAAUUACCAAAUAUUGUCAUAUAUAUUUUUGGUAUUUACCAUAUUUAGUGUAACUUGGCAUCAGAGCAGUUCACUUUUAAUGACCUGUGUGCUUUAUUUUUUGGGCCCAACUUUGUCGUGAUUUCCUUAGUUCAAAAAUAAAAAAUAAAAAUAAAGAACAGUGCCAUGAACUGUGGUUUUGCUACAAUGCUAUGAAUAGUGAUCAACUACAGGUUUUAGUAAAUUGUUUUAGUGUUGUCGUGUAUCUUUUGUCCCUAUGUUGUUCGUGGUUUAGCUAAAUGGCUGAAUACAAUAACAAUGUUAUUAUGCAUCUUGGUGGAACAAAUAUAUGGAUAAUUGAUACUUGGGCCAUUAAUCAUGUGACUAGUGACCCUAGAGUGUUUGAUGAAUUACGAAGCAUCUAUCAUUCAGUUAUACGAAGCAUCUAUUUCUUUCUUUGUUUCGCACUUGUAGUGAUUCAAAGUUCAAGUGUGAAACACGUGUGUGAACACAAAAAUUCUGUAACGAAUAAAACGAGAACACAUGUACAAAGUAGAUUUGUAUUGAUUUGAAUUUGUGGUUACAAUCUCUGUUUACAAUUUUCCUCUAAUUUAGUCUUCAAAUUUGAUGUAGAUGCGUAGGUUGUUGAUCGAAAGGUCGUGAUGACUUGAUCUCGGACGAACGAUUUAAUGAUAGCUUCGAGUUUUUGAGCUUGAAACAAUGCAUGGAUAGUCUUCACCUCUAGGUUUGCGUAUGACUUGCAGCAAAGGUGAUGUUGAUGUGGGAUUUUGUUGAUUCAAGGGUUUUGACGACUUGAUCUUGAAUCGAACAUUGUUACAAGUUUUAAGCUUGCAACAAAGUCUUGAAGAAAUCAACAUAAGUGCUUGUUGAUUCUUCAUGGGAAUGCUUCAGUUUUGGUAGAAAGAAAGCUUUGGCUUUGGUUGUACGUUCUUCGAAGAGAGCUUUGUCAGCGUAUUAGUAUUCAAAGAUUUGGCAAAUGUUUUCCUUUUGUGAGAAUUUCGGCCCUUCAAUGUAGAAAUUGUUGACCUUGAAUGUAGAAAUUUUCGACCUUAUGCUUUUCUAAGGACCUUGUAUUUAUAGACUUCCAAAGGCAUGCCUUUGGAUGGAUUUGGCCUUGAUUUGUGUCUUGAUUCGUCCUUGGGAGAAUUUAGGCAUGUUUUGUGUCUUAAUUUCAGUCACAUUCCCUUGCUUGGUUGAAAUCUACAUGGCUUUCUUCCCUGUUUUAUGAGUAAUCUUCAAUUCUUGCUUGUUUUGAAGAUACAUUAGUUUUCUUUCCGGUUUUAGGAGCAAUUUGGGCCCCUUGCCGAUUUUAAGGAUAGAUUCCCCCCCCUUUGCUGAAAUUUGGGGAAGUUUUAUUCUUCCUUUGCUUGAUUUGUGCAACACGUCAUUGAUGACUUGUCCAUUUGUGAUGAGUCAUAUUCCACGUGGAGCUUUGUAAUGCAUCUUUUGUAGGCAACGAAAUUUACGUGCCUACAAUGUGUCAUGGCUAAGAGUCAUCGUGCUUCCCUUCCCAUAAGUGAUUCUAAAGCUACUUUGCCAUUUGAUUUAAUACAUUCUAAUGUGUGGGGUCCUGCGAAGGUUACUUCUAAUGGAUUCCGUUGGUUUAUUAUUUUUAUUGAUAAUUGUACUCGAUUAACUUGGGUGUUCUUGAUGAAGAAUAAGAGUGAUGUCCCUUUGCUUCUUCAAUUAUUUUGUGCAAUGGAGUCUACUUAGUUUCAGACCAAAGUUAAGGUCUUCAGGUCUGAUAAGGAGGAAAUUAUGUGAAUCACGCUUUGGCAUGUUUUUUUCGUGAUCAGGGUAUUAUUCACCAAACGACUACUCCGUUUACACCCCAACAAAAUGGUGUGUCUGAAUGGAAGAAUAGUCAAAUAAUGGAGGUUGCUCGCUCCUUGAUGUUGGAUAUAUGUGUUCCUAAUCAUUUGUGGGGUCAUGUUGUUUUGGCUUACGAGUAUUUGAUAAAUCGUGUUCCGAGUAGGGUUCUUGAUUUUCAGACACCGCUUGAUGUGCUACAAAAACAUGUUUAUCUUGUUUCAAUAUCCAAACUACUCUCAUCAGUGGAGUAAACUUGAUGCUCUCAGUAGCGGAGUAAACUUGAUGCAUAUGCUCUCUGAUGUGCAUUUAUUAGGUAUGCUAACAAUCAGAAAGGCUAUAAGUGUUAUCAUCCUCCAACUCAGAAAGCUUAUAUUACCAUGGAUGUCACAUUCCACAAGUAACUUUCGUAUUUUGUGAAGUCCUAUUCCGACUCUCCACUUUAGGGGGAGAAUGGGAGUGAAGUGUAGAUUCGAAUUAAUGGUAUGAAUGAUGUGUUACAGGCAGAGUUGGGGACAUAACCUAUUAUGUUGCAUGAUAAUGAUCAAUCGACUAUAAAUAGUGGUUGGAUGUGCCCAACAAGUUGCAUGCUGAUGAUCGGUUGCAUGCUACUAGUAUGCCUAACAAGUUGCCUAAUGAUGGUUCAUCCAGUGAUGAUUCUUCUAACAGUUUGAUAGAAGAUGGUGACAUACAUGAGGUAAAUUAUGACGAUUCAUCUACUUAUCAGUUGCCUUCACGAGCUAAUCGUGGAAAACCUAAAGUACAUUAUGAGCCUGAUAUGCAUGCCAAAGCCAAGUAUCCUAUCAACAAUAUGUGUCUACUCAUCAUUUGUCUAAGCCAUAUGCAUCUUACAUAUUGUGAACACGAAAAUUAUGUGUCGAAUGAAAAUAGAACACGUGUACAAAGUACAUUUGUAUUGAUGAAUAUGUAGGGUUACAAUCUCUGUUUACAAUUUUUCUUUGAUUCAGUCUUCAAAUUUCAUGUGGAUGCGUAGGUUGUUGAUCCAAGGGUUGCAAUGACUUGAUUUCAGACAAACGAUUGAACGAUUGCUUCAAGUUUUGAGCUUGAAACAAUGUGUGGAUGGUCUUAACCUCAGGUUUAGGGUUAUGGCAAAGGUGUUGUUGAUGUGAGAUUUUGUUGAUUCAAGGGUCUUGAUGAUUUGAUCUUGAAUCAAACGUCGUUACAAGUUUUGAGCAUGCAACAAAGUCUUGAAGGAAUUGGCACAAGUACUUGUUGAUUCUUCAAAGUAAUGCUUCGGCUUUGGUUAUGUGUUCUUCAAAGAGAGCUUUGGCAGCAUAUUAGUCUUCAAAGAUUUUGGCAAAAGUUCUUUUGAAUGUAAAAAUUUCGGCCCUUUUGUGUGUCUUGGGAUCUUGUAUUUAUAGACUUCCAAAGUCAUGCCUUUGGAUGAUUUGGCUUUGAUUUGUGUCUUGAUUCGUCCAUGAGAGAAUUUAGGCAUGUUUUGUGUCUUAAUUCAGCCAUUUUCCCUUAGCUUGGCCGAAUUCUAGGGCCUUCUUACCUAUUUUGUGAGCAAUCUUCAAUUCUUCCUUGUUUUAUGAAGAUGCUUUAGCUUUUGUUCCAGUUUUGAGAGCACUUUGGGACCUUGCCAAUUUUAAGAGAUAAUUUAUCCCUUUUGCUGAAUUUUAGGAUGGUUUUGUACUUCCUUUGCUUGAUUUAUGCCACAUGUCAUUGAUGAGUUGUCCAUUUGUGAUGAGUCAUAUGCCACGUGGAGCUUUAUGAUGUACAUUUUGUAUGCAACGAAAUUUAUAUGUCUACAAAUACCCCCACUUCAAGGCACAUUGUAGACAUGUGCUUGUCACAUGUAGGAAACGUGUUUUGAAGUCCUGCAAUGUGAAUGUUCUAACUCAAGGGUUGUCGAGACUUGAUCAUGAAUCAGUUUGCUUCUUCAAGGGCCGUAGAAGUGUAUUUCAUGAAUUGAAAUGAUGAAUUUCGUCAAGGGCCAUUGAGUCAUAUUUCUUGGAUGAAACAUUUCUUCAAGCGCCAUAGAGGCUUGAUCUUGAAUGAAAUGAAAAUUGUCUUCAACAUUUUGAAGCCCUUUCCUUAUUUUAUUUAUUUUUGUUUUGUUUUGUUUUCUUUGCUGAUUUUUGUUGCCAAAAACACAUUUUGUUCCCUUGCCGUGCAUAAGCAUUGCCUUUUUUGCUUGGAAUUUGUUUCUUUCUUGUAGCUGAAAUGUGCUUCUUUCUUUUGAUUUUCCUUUUUCUAUUUGGUAUGUAUUUCCCUUAUAUCAUUAGGAAGCAAUUGACCCUAAUUUAUAGGACAAUUGGGUGUGUGUUUUGUCACAGACCACCCUUGCUGUGCACUGCCUCUGUGCUUGCUGCUGCUUAGUGCUGCGGGUUUUGCUGCUUGGAGCCGAGCCUUUUGCUGCUUGGUGCUUGUUGCAGUGCGUCACUUUUUACCGCAUGGUGCUGUGCAAAAGACUGUAGCAAGGUUACGAUGUGUAGUGCCUUUUGGUCGCAGUUUCCCUUAAUGGUGACGUUGCCAUGUAGUGCAAGAAACUACUUACAUAAUCGUUGCGGGGUUGCGUAGUGCGAUUGCGUAGCAGUUUGGUUUUCUUUGCUACUGUAGCAUGCUUUGAAGGAAUGUCUUAUAGUUACCCUCUUUGUUCUGCUGCUCAAGCUUUGUGGCUAAUUUUUUUUCGUCGCUGUGACUUUGUCAUCGUCAUCCUUCAACACUCACGAGGUUUGUGUCACAUGUCUUUUCCUUUAGUAAGGCAAUUUUUUUCUUCUUGCCGCCCCACUCUUAUACUUAUGUUGCCUUGUUUGUUUUGUUGCAGCAUGGUAUUUUUCAAGUGCUUUAAAAGCAAUACCAUCACUAUUCUUGCGAAGGAAGGCGAUUCACAAGAUAGGGGAGCAACAUUGAAACUUUGUGCGCCAUUGACUGGCCCUAAGGUGAUUGUUCUUCCUGUGGAAGACAACUUGAUGCAUAUCAGGUCAUGGUCUUCUGAAGUAUCUUGGGGGGUGAAAAAUUUUGGUUAACCAAAUACGAAGAAGAAAGCAUGUACUUCAAGGAUUCUUAUCUUGAAUCUUUCGCACCAUGUUCGUGACAAUUCACCGGUUUCUUUUGAGCUUUUUGGUGAUCGCAUUCGUAACAGAGCUAUGAUUUAGAAUAGCAUCUUGUUUACUACUAAAGAGGCGGUCAUUGUUGAGUUUUAUUAGGAGUGGCUUGAAGAUGUCUUGAGCCGAUCCAAAGAUGUGCUUACCGAUGUGGGCUUUUAUCAUGUUGUGUACGCAUCUUUGUUUAGUUAUGAUCGUCAUCUUCCUAUCCUUCGUGCGUUCUUUGAGCAUUGGUAUUCAGCAACUAACACAUUUCACACGUCAUAAGGGAAGAUGUCGAUUUCACUUUGGGAUCUCCAUAAGAUAGGAGGCUUACCGAUCCAGUGUAGGUUUUAUGACGAGGUUGUUCCUUGCAUGGAGGAAUUUUCAUAUUGCAAUAGUCGAGGAUUGCUUGCGAGUUGCCUCUAUUUGUUUUGGGCAUAUCACAAGCUUUCCCAGGAGGCUCAGGGUAAGUCAGGCGUGAAGAUUUCUUCAUGGAUCGGAUUUUGGUAUUGGGAUGUCAUGAAGUACAAGAAGCCUUUGAAGAAAAGUGACCGCAGCAAGACCACUAAGCCAAAGGGAAACUUAGACCCGUUAGGUGCCAUUGGUUCAGCUAGGUGUCGUGCCCCUGCCGACUUGAAAGCGUUUGAGGAUCUUGGCGUAGCUUCAGAGCAUGUGCAAGAAUCCUACCUAGCCGUUUUCUUAGCUUGUUGGCUUUAUAAGUUUGUUUUCCCCAAAGACGACGUUAACUUUAUCCACCCCGGAGUCUUCAAAGUGGCUAGCAAGAUGGCCACAGGUGAAUCUUUCAGCAUUGCUAUUCUGAUCUUAGCCAAUAUUUAUGAUGGCUUGAGUGUUGUUUCAAAUUUGGCAAGUACCGAAGAUCAUUCUGCAAUACUUCCCUACCACUAUGUGUAUGGUUGGUCAGGUGAGUACUUUAGCUCUCAUUUUUCUUCGUCAACUUUAGACAAGUUAGGGCCUUCUUCAUCAACUUCGGCCAAGCUGGGGCCUUUGAUGACACAAUACUCUAAUGUGUUUUCUACAAAGAGCCUUAAUGAUUUGCAGGCACUAACGUUGUUUGGAAGCUAUGACGGUUUGAGGAUAGACCAUCUGGCGAGAGUUGGCUCGUCACGGCGAGGCCUUAUAAAUGAUUCGCACCUUCGUUUCUCAAACUUGUCUUAUCUUAACUCUUCGUUUGGGAUAUGUUUCUUUGCGGUUAUAAGAACAAUGAAUUGUUUAGCCAUAUAGUCCUUACCAUUUCAGCAGGUAGUUUGACUUUGUCUAACAUGUGCCAGGCAAGCUGAAGGAAAACGCACAGUUAGAAUCCAUGCAAACCGUGUAUAUGUAUUAAGAGUCUUGUACCCGUGCAUGCACAAAUGCUUAUAUCACCUUGCCGGCCAAAAACGAGUUCAAGAGUAAUCUAGUAACCCAUACCUACAUAGGUUGGUGGUCAAAGGUACACCAUAAAGACUUGGGGACGGGAAGUGGCACCAAUUAUUCUCGUUUACGAAAUGAUGCACAGAGAGAGUGUUGUUCUACUAUUCCUACACAGCUGGCACCUUUCGAUUGUGUGAGUGCAGCUCAUUUACAAGAUGGAUGUAUGACCUUAGUCUUCAAUGCCCGUGUUUAUCUUCUCAGUGUUUGGAUGCUUCUAAAAAGGCUGGUGACGAAGUUGACUCGCAGGAAGAUGAGCUUAUUUUGCUACAGUGGCAACAAGUUUUGAACAAGCAAUCGCUUGAAUGUGGUCUUCUUUAGGCUGGGCCUUAUUGUUUUUUUUUUAAUUGGCGAACAUGGGCGUUCAUUCCUUUAGGGAGAUGCUAUUUAGAGGCAAUCUACCUACAGACGAGGAGAUUGGGGAUUCGCCCGGUGCAGAGCUUGUCCAAAUCCGCCAAGUUGCCCAAGUUUGCCGUGUGUAGAUGAAGGUAUGCAAAAGCUUGUCAUGCAUCCAACACCUUUGCCAACUAGCUCUGAGAUCUCUCUGAGAUGGCCAAACCUUAGUGGCACUGAGCAGCUCAUCCAUUGCAUCAACAUUCGCGUGGCCAUAGAUAUCAAGAGUCAUAUUGAGAAGAGGAUUUCAAAGUGCCCAUUGGAAGGCCUUGAGUAGCUCAAGGAAAACUUGUCGAAGCUUGUUUCUAUGAUUGACAACCUUAACGUUGAUUCCUCACUCUUGAGAGUUAAGAUUGUUGAGUUUAUGGCUACCUAAACUGAGUAUUAUUCUUUGCAUGUUGUUUCCUCGAAAAAGUUGAGUCCAGAGGUUAGGGAUCAACAACUUGGGGCAAUAAACUUAUCAUUCACCCAAGUUCGAUCUUCUCAGUAAGCUGCUUCGAAAGGUUAUCAAGUCACAAAGACUUUUUCAGCUUCCAUCCAAGCACGUCUAGAAGCGUUGGCUCAUGAGCGAAAACAGUUGGAAACCGAAGCAUCACGACUUCAAGGUGUUCUCUCGGAGCAGGAAGCUACACUUUCUCAGCAUAAAGAGGAGAUUUCAUGCUUAGAGCAAGAGAAAGGCGUGGCCAAGGAAGUGCCCACCGAUGUAGAGACUUUGAAGACUACUUGCAAGAGAAAGGCUUUAAAGUCGACUUCUUCAUUUAAAGAAAUAAACUAUUCACAUUUUGAAUUUGCUCUUUAUUCUUCAAAGUGUUUAUGUUUUUGUUAAUGAUGUGACUGUACUUGAAGUUUUGAAGUUUCAAGUUGCCUACAUACCCUCGAUUGAGGAGGGAUCAAGUCAUGACCUAGUUCAAAUGAGUGAUGGAUUGCUUUUGAUGGUUUUGACAAUUUUUUAUGGUGAUUUGGAUUUUUUUUGUUUUGCCGUACACAGUUUAUGCUCUUGCGGGCCAGAAGUGUUGGGUGUCGCCUUUUAAGCUCGUGCGAACAAGGAGUGUGGUGUGUCACCUUUUAAGCUAAUGCAAACAAGGAGCGUUGUGCCGUGUGAAGUUUAGGCUCAUGCAGGCAAGGAGCAUUGUGCCUUGUGCAGUUUAGGCUCGUGAGGCAAAGAGCAUUGUGUCGUGUGCAGUUUAGGCUCAUGGAGGUGAAAAGCAUUGGGUGUCAUCUUUUAAGCUCAUGCGAACAAAGAGUAUUGUGCGUCGCCUUUUAAGCUCGUGCGAACAAGGAGCGUGGUGUGUCACCUUUUAAGCUCAUGCGAAUAAGGAGUAUUGUGUCAUGUGCAGUUUAGGCUCAUGUAGGCGAAGAGCAUUAUGCCAUGUGCAGUUUAGGCUUGUGCAGGCGAUGAGCAUUGCUUGUUUGGUUUAGGGAUAGUAACGCUUCAAGAAUCUGCCGUUAAUGAGGCCAAUCUUCAAGCCAUCUUCUGCUAUGGUUAGGUAGGCACCAUUGGUGUAGACCUCUUGUAUUACAUAAAGUCCAUCCCACUUUGAUGUGAACUUGCUUUUUGUUUUGUGAGUUGUGAUGAUGGGCCUUAGUAAUGCUAAGACAAGAUCUCUAGUUUGGAAAGACCUUGGGCAAACCUUCUUGUUAAAUACUUUGGAUAGUCGUGCUUGGUAGCAUUCCAUGUGUUGUUGAGCUUCAAGCCUCCUUUUGUCUAGUGCUUCCAACUCUUGAAGACGUAGCUUUGCAUUUUCCUCUUCAGUCAAACCUUCUUGUAUAGCCAUCCUUAGUGAGGGGUUUUGAUUUUCGAGUGGCAGAAUAGCUUCCACGCCAUAUAUGAGAGAAUAAGGAGUAGCUUGGGUAGGAGUUCUAUGUGUCAUCCUAUAUGCCAAAAGUGAUUUGCUUAUUCUUUUAUACCAGUCUUUCUUUGUUCAGUCGAAUACCUUCUUCAGGAGGUUGCAUAGAGUUUUGUUGAAUGCUUCCGCGAGGCAUACCAUAUCGGUGGAUGAUAUGCUCUUUGAUGAAAUGGAUGACAAUUUCCUUCUUGACUUCCCUUAGGGGUACAGCUUCAGCCCACUUGGAGAAGUAAUCCGUUUUGGCUAGGAUGUAGGCUUCUCCUGCAGAUGAUUUUUACGUGAUUGGUCCCAUGACGUCCAAUGCAUAUGCAUCAAAUGGCCAUGAAGCAACCAUAGGUUGUAAUGGCUCAGGCGGUUGAUGUAUGAAGUUGGCGUGGAGCUUGGCUAAUAUGGACGAUGGUGCGUCUUCUUACCUUCAGUGGCCCUUUUAUGUCAACCUCCAAGGUUGCUUAGCACUUCAUCCUUGAAGGAAUUGAGUUUCGAACGUCAUCUUUUUCUACUAGACCAUCGAGCUUUUCUUCCUUUGGAAUUGUCUUCAUCUUCCUAGAAGGCUCCUUGGUUUCUUCAAGUCUUUCCAAGGCCGACCAUCGCAGAGGAGGGCUAGCUAUGUGGCUUUGUUUCUUAGGUUUUGACAACCUUUCAAAAAUAGAGCUUUGAGGUGUUGGCGUGUUAAGCCUUUUGAAGAUAGAGGUUCAGUCUUGACCACCAAUGCGAUCAAGUCCCGAAAUUCUAGGUUAUGAAGGAUUCAGCCUAUCGAAAACUGAUGUUUCGAGGGGCAGGUUUAGGAUUUUCUUGAUUUUGUUCAACGCUCACACUGAUGUGUUGAGCACUAGUGUUUUUUGCUUUCCUUAAAAUCUUCAUGGGUGUAUUUGGUGUGAAGCCAAGUCCAGCUUUGUUGUUGUCAACUCCGUAACCAUGCUCCUUCAACUUCUUUUGAGUCUCAGUGAGCUCACGUCCUUUGUUGUUAACGGUGUUUGGAUCCUUCUUCCCAAGAUUUGAAGUGGAAAUGAAAUCGUACCCAGCCUUUGACAGAGUUUGUAAGCAUUUGGCUCAAAACCUUCUUCGGUUCUCUUGCUUGGAAGAAAGCUUGGUCAUGCCUCCUUUGGGAGGGGUUUUACGAAACCUUGUGGUGGUUUAGAAACUCUAACGUCGCCUAGUUGUGUCAUAGGUCUUAAGCAGCUUUACAUCGUCCUUGUGCAGCUGUGUGUCAACUUUGCUUGUUCCAUUUUCAAAUAGGGAUUGCACAUUCUUUCUUCUCGACAUGGGGAUGUAUCGGAAAACAGGUGUGUUUGAUCCUUUUGAUCCUUUUGAGGGCUUCACACUCUCUUUGGUUGUUGCAGGCUUAGCAGGCUCAUCGUCAUUUUUGCUUAAAGAUGUCACAGUUUCCCCUUCUUGUUUCUUGGGCGCGACUUGCCACUUUUGCUUUUUAGGUGUGGCUUUGCCUGUGUAUUUGAUCUCUUUUGGAAGAGCUUUGGGCACCAUUUCUUCAUCCAUGUAGAACUUGGCAUUCGCAAAGUGUGAUUCAACUUUGGUGAUUAGCUUGGUGUCCCCUUGUAUCACCUUUACUCCUUCUCUUUAGAACUUUAAGCAUUGGUGAAAGGUGGACGACAUUACUCCAUUCUCGUGGAUCCAAGGGCUUCCUAAGAGCAAGCUGUAGAAAGUUCUUGCAUCAAUCACAUGGAAUAGCGUGCUUGAUUUGAGUUAGCCAAUGGUCAUCUCCACUCGGAUCAUGCCCAUCGCUCUUUGUCGUCAUUGGUUAAAACCUUAGAUUAGGAGGCAGAGUCAGGAUUGUUCAUCCACCUUGAUGCCGAUUGUGGUGAUUGUUGACUUUAGCAUGAUGUUUAUGGCCAACCCACCAUCCACAAGUAUACAGUUGAUUUUACUCUCUCUGUACUCAGAGAGGAAGGGAGAACAGUUUUGAGGCUUUAACCCUAGCAGCAAGUCUUCGUUAGUGAAGUUGAUUGCAUCAUGGGUGGCACAGUAUGUGGCAUAUUCAUGUGGUCGAAGCUUCAAGCCUUUAUCCUUGCUUACUUACACCUCAUGGUCGUCGGAACUUGCCAAGACUGCUACUAGUGCUUUUCACAUCUCCUUGGGAAAUCGUAAUGCUUCCUUGAUGCUAAAGUGUGCCAACAGGCUUUUUUUAGGCGUGAGGGUCUUCUCUUCAUCGAUGGCGAUAACUUUGCCUUUUGAGGGCUCUUCUAUCACCACUUCAACCAUGUGAUAGACAUCGAUAGUGCAUUGUUGGAAGAAGUCAUUUAGGAAGUACUCAGGCAAGGAGAUGUGAAUACACAGCUCUUACUCCAUAGGUUUCCUUAUGUACAUUGGCUGAGCAACUCUUACGCUCAUUUUGGACAUCCUAUUAUUGCGGCGGUGGUGCAUUCUCCCUUGUUCCACCUUUGGCCAUGUGGCUUGUGGUCUUGGCUUCCUUGUCUUUUUGUAGGUCACCAGUGUCCACCCUUCUUCAUCAUUGGUAGGGGCAUUUUGGUCGCUUGCCCCAACGAUGGUUGUGCAGAAGGUGCCGUGUAGCUUGAACAUGGAUGGGAGUGAUCAUGCAUCACUUGGAGAAGCACGGGAUCAAAGGAUCCUAACACAAUCGUAGUGGCCAUGUCUUUAAGGUCAAGCUUGAUCUUCCCUUGUUGUGUUAGCUUCAUGAUGAGCUCAUUGUGGACACAUAUCAAUGGCGAAGGUUUCAGAAAGCUGAUCUUUGUAAUCCAAAGUUAAUGAACGCCAUCUGUUGAUGUAGUCGACGACAGGUUCAUCCUUCCAUUACUUAGUACUUGUCAACUCCAGCAUACUUACGGUGCGGCGAGUGUUGUAGAAGCGGUUGAGGAAUUGCUUUUCAAGCUGGUCUCAACUGUUGAUAGACUCAAGCUCAAGGUCAGUGUACCAGUCAAGAGCGUUACCUUUUAGCAACCGCAUGAACUGCUUAACGAGAUAGUCUCCCUCCGUCCCAGCAUUGUUGCAAGUUUCGAUGAAAUGGGCAAUAUGUUGUUUAGGAUUACCCUUUCCAUCGAAUUGCAUGAAUUUUGGCAGCUGAUAACCCAUUGGCAUCCUUAAGGCAUCAAUCUUCUUGGAGUAUGGCUUUGAGUAUAACACUGAGUUGUGUGAGCUUCCUUCGUACUACGCCUUGAUCGUGCUAGUGAUCAUCUCCUGCAACUGUUGGAUAGAGAGAGAUCCCAUGAGCGUUGUUGCUUGGUCUGGCUUCUCCUCCACUUUUUCCAUCGGAAGCUUCUCAUCCUCGUCGGUUUCCUUCUUUUGUAGACCAAAUUUCGGGUCACUUUCAACUUUUUCUUCGUGCAGCAUCUCCAGUCAGUUAACAAGUGUGGCAAUUUGAAAGUCUUUUUCCUCCACAAUCUUUGUUAGCCUUGCAAUUUCUUCACUCAUUUGAGCCAGCUACUCCUUGAUGGAAUUCGCACCAGUAGUCUUGACUUACAUGGCUACGAGAUACGAGCUGCUGCUUAAGUCAGCAUCAGAAGUCAAGGACUCAGAAUACCUCAUCAGGCUUUCUUCCUUUGGCACCCUUAGCGAGUCCAAGGUGAUCACGGGCUUGUGCCUCGGGUGCUCUUGCUCCUCCGGCAGAGUUGAUGUAGGGGCGGAAGGCAUGGCAGAGACAGCUCUUUCCCUUCUUUGGGUUGUGACGCCCAAAGUGCCACCACCUGCUACAAGGAUGUUCUUGUUCUUCGCGUUGGUUGCGGGAACAACUUGAUCCUUUCUUGAUGCCAUGUGUUUUUCAUAUGGAUUUGAAGACAGAUAUGAGAGGCAGAGAUGUCCCACUGGGCGUACCAAAUUUGUAAACACGAAAAUUAUAUGUUGAAUAAAACAAGAACACGUGUACAAAGUAGAUUUGUAUUGAUGAAUUUGUAGGGUUACUAUCUCAUUUUAUAAUUUUCCUCUUAUUCCAUCUUCAAAUUUGAUGUAGAUGUGUAGGUUGUUAAUCCAAGGGUCACUAUGACUUGAUCUCUGAGGAACGAUUGGACAAUUGCUUCAAGUUUUGAGCUUGAAACAAUGCGUGGAUAGUCUUCACCUUAGGUUUAGGGUUGUGGCAAAGGUGAUGUUAAUGUGAUAUUUUGUUGAUUCAAGGGUCUUGGCGACUUUAUCUUGAAUCGAAUGUCAUUACAAUUUUUUAGCUUGCAACAAAGUCUUGAAGGAAUCUACACAAGUGCUUGUUGAUUCUUCAAAGGAAUGCUUCGGCUUUGUUCGAAAGAAAAAUUAAGCUUUGGUUGUGGGUUCUUUGAAGAGAGUUUUGGUAGCAUAUUAGUCUUCAAAGAUUUUGGCAUAAGUUCUUCUGAAUAUAAAAAUUUAGGCCCUUUUGUGUGUCUUGGGACCUUGUAUUUAUGAACUUCCAAAGUCAUGCCUUUGGAUGGAUUUGGCUUUGAUUUGUGUCUUGAUUCGACCAUGAGAGAAUUUAGGCAUGUUUUGUAUUUUAAUUCAGCCACUCUCCCUUAGCUUGGCUGAAUUCUAAGGCCUUCUUGCCUAUUUUGUGAGCAAUCUUCAAUUUUUCCUUGUUUUAUGAAGAUGGUUUAGCUUUCUUUCUGGUUUUGAAAGCAUUUUGGGCCUUUGCUGAUUUUAAGAGAUAUUUUAUCCUUUGCCGAAUUUUGGGAAGGUUUUGUACUUCCUUUGCUUGAUUUAUGGCACAUGUCAUUGAUGACUUGUCCAUUGGUGAUGAGUCAUAUGCCACUUGGAGCUUUGUGAUGUACGUUUUGUAUGCAACGAAAUUUAUAUGUCUACACAUAUGUCAGCUAUCUAGUGUAUCAGUUCAAACAAAAUUGCACGAUGUUUUGUUUGACCCUAAGUGGGUUAAUGCCAUGAAUGUUGAGAUGGAAGCUUUUGAAAAGAAUUCCACUUCAAAUUUGGUUCCUUUGCCAAACAGGGAGAAAGUUGUUGGAUGUAGAUGGGUGUUCAUUAUUAAGUAUAAAGCAGAUGGUUCUAUUGACUGGUAGAAAGCCAAAUUAGUUGCUAAGGGUUAUACUCAAACCUAUGGGGUGGAUUAUCAGGAGACUUUUGCUCCUAUUGCCAAACUUAAUAUUGUGCAUGUUCUUCUGUCAUUAGCAACAAACCAGGAUUGGCUCCUAUUGCAGUUUGAUGUUAAAAAUGCUCUCCUUCAUGGUGAUCUCAAGGAGGAAGUUUAUAUGGAUCUCCCAUCUGGUAUCGGAAUAUCUCCUGAAAAAGGUGUUGUGUGAAAAUUGCGAAAAGCUUUGUAUGGUUCGAAAUAGUCUCCUAGAGCAUGGUUUGAGAGGUUUACAAGUUCAAUGAAGAAGAUUGGGUAUGUCCAGAGUCAUUCAGAUCAUACUUUGCUCUAAAGCGACAAAAUGGUAUGCUAAUUGCAUUGAUUAUUUAUGUUGAUGACAUGAUAGUGACUGGUGAUGAUCAGAAGGAGAUACAGUGCCUUUAAAAAUACCUAGCUACUAAAUUUGAGAUGAAAUAAUUAGGUGAACUGAAGUAUUUUCUUGGAACCGAGGUUGCAUGAUCCAAGCAUGGUAUUUUUUUUUGUCUCAACAAAAGUAUGUUCUUUAUUUGUUAGCUGAAACAAGUAUGUUAGAUUGCAAACCUGUUGAUACUCCGAUUGAGCAAAAUCAUCGUCUGGGCUUAUUUCCGGAUCAAGUUCCUACUCAUAAGGAACGAUAUCAGAGGCUUGUGGGGAGAUUAAUUUAUUUGUUUCACACUCGCCCUGACAUUGCUCAUGAAGUUAGUAUGGUAAGUCAGUUUAUGCACUCACCUAGUGAAGUUCAUAUGGAUGCAGUAAUCUAUAUUUUGAGGUACUUAAAGAUGGCUCAUGGCAGAGGCUUGUUUUUCUCCAAGAAUGAUAAUUUGAAUGCUGAAGGGUAUACAAAUGCAGAUUGGGCAGGUUCUAUCCUUGACCGGCAAUCUACAUCUGGAUACUUUACGUUUGUUGGUGGUAAUAUAGUUAUUUGGAGAAGUAAGAAACAAAAAGUGAUGGCCAGCUCAAGUGCUGAAGCUGAGUUUCAUGGUAUGUCUCAUGGUGUAUGUGAGUUGUUGUGGUUGAAAAAAUUGUUAAGAGAUCUUGAAUUUAAACCCAAGGGUGCUAUGAAACUUCAUUGUGAUAACAAGGCUGCUAUUGAGAUUGCUCGUAAUCCAAUGCAACAUGAUUGAACAAAACAUUUGGAGAUUGAUCGACAUUUCAUCAAGGAAAAAUUGGAUGCUGGAAUUAUGUUUCCGUUUGUGGGAUCUGUAGAUCAACUUGCUGAUAUGCUUACUUAGGCUGUGUCUAAUAGUGUGUUUUCCGACUUGCUUGACGAGUUGAGCAUGCGUGACAUCUUUGCUCCAACUUGAGGGGGAGUGCACUUGUAUAUUAAUUAAGGAGUACACAGUAGUAUGUUGUCCCACAAUGACGAAGUACAUAUGUAAUACCGAUUAUAACUCCUAUAUAUACUCUACUUUGAAAAUUAAUGAAUAUACAAGAAGUUCUCAAAUAUUGUCAUAUAUAUUUUUGGUAUUUAUCAUAUUUAGUUUAACUAUUCAGAAAUUGGGGGGUACAUGGGAGGCUGCGUUAGGGUGUUUGUGGACGUGGCAUUGGCCUUUGAGGGUACUUCUGGAAGAAAAGUGGUGAAAUUAGAAAAGGUUUACAUUUUUAACUUUUAAUUUAGUGUAGAUAAAAAUUGAGGUAAACUUAGAUGAAAGGUGGUUAUGUGACUAUAUUUCUAAUGAAAAAAAAUUGACUUUAUUAAUUAAAACUCAUGUAUGAAUAUGUGAAUUUCCCUUUUAUUAAUUAAUUAAAAUCAUGUGAUGUUACACAUUGGUUCUUAUACGGAUAUCAUGUGAAUUUUCUUUUCUUAGUUAAUUUAAUGUUAAAUUAAAAAGUAAAAAUUGAAUGGUUAUAUUUGUAUCAAUAAAAAAAAUUAAAAAUAGAAAAAUUUGAACGUAUGAUCCUCCAUAAAACUCGCAUGCCUUAGCAACAUGGAGUUUGAUUUAGUUUGUCUCUCAAACUGGUGGUAUUCUUUCAUGUGUAUAUAUAUGUGUGAAGAAUUCCUGUGGAAUAAAACUGUCGAAAUGUCCCAACUGCAUGAAACUGAAACUCCUGAAGAUAAGGUGGUUGAAAUCUUGUCUAGGUUGCCGCCCAAGUCUCUGAUGCGAUUCAAAUGCAUACGCAAGUCUUGGUGCACUCUCAUCAAUAGUCCAAGUUUUGUAGCCAAACACCUCAACAAUUCUAUGGAGAACAAACUCUCAUCCUCCACUUGUAUCCUUCUCAACCGUUCUCAGGCUCACAUUUUCCCAGACCAGAGUUGGAAACAAGAAGUUUUCUGGUCCACGAUUAAUCUUUCCAUUGACAGUGAUGAGCAUAACCUUCAUUAUGAUGUUGAGGACCUAAUUAUACCGUUUCCAUUGGAAGAUCAUGAUUUUGUACUGAUCUUUGGUUACUGCAAUGGGAUUAUUUGUGUAGAUGUAGGGAAAAAUGUUCUUUUAUGCAAUCCUGCAACGAGAGAAUUUAGGCAACUUCCCGAUUCAUGCCUUCUUCUACCCCCUCCCAAGGGAAAAUUCGAAUUGGAAACAACCUUUCAAGCAUUAGGAUUUGGAUAUGACUGCAAUUCUAAAGAAUAUAAGGUUGUGCGAAUUAUAGAAAAUUGUGAGUAUUCAGAUGAUGAGCAAACAUUUCAUCAUCGUAUUUCUCUUCCUCACACAGCUGAGGUAUACACCACGGCUGCUAACUGUUGGAAAGAGAUCAAGAUUGAUAUAUCAAGUCAAACCUAUCAUUGUUCUUGUUCAGUGUACUUGAAGGGUUUUUGUUAUUGGUUUGCAAGCGAUAACGAGGAAUACAUACUUUCAUUUUAUUUAGGUGAUGAAACAUUUCAUAUAAUACAAUUGCCUUCUAGGAGAGAAUCCGGUUUUACGUUUGAUUAUAUUUUUCUCCGAAAUGAAUCCCUUGCUUCUUUUUGCUCUCCCUACAGUCCAAGUGAGGAUUCUAAAUUAUUUGAAAUAUGGGUAAUGGAUGACUAUGAUGGAGUUAAGAGUUCUUGGACAAAACUCCUAAUUGUUGGACCCCUUAAAGGCAUUGAGUAUCCAUUGACACUUUGGAAAUGUGACGAGCUUCUUAUGCUUGCGUCCGAUGGAAGAGCCACCUCUUAUAAUUCUAGUACUGGAAAUCUCAAGUAUCUUCAUAUUCCUCCUAUUCUCAAUAAGGUUGUAGAUUUUGAAGGUCUUAUUUAUGUGAAAAGUAUUGUUCCACUCAACUGAAUUGAGGGAAAAGUUCAAUUUUCUCCUAUUUGAUUUGUAUGAAUGAUAUAUGGCUUGAGUUUGCAUCUUUUAAUUUAAUUCACUUUGUGGCAUUUGCAAUUUUUUUGCUUAUCAUGGGCUGCAUUUAGUUUUUGUGCUUCCACAUUUUGUAAUGUUAUUUUAUUUGAACGUGUAUAAUAACUAUUUUCUUCAGAGUUAAUUAAUAAUAACAAUUCCCUAAUGUUUUACUUUUGUUUUCCUUCAGAAUUCCCUUCUUAAAAACCUAAUAGUUUUUACUCAUUUAACAUAAUCAAGUUAACCUGCUAGUGUAGAAGUGCAAACAUUUAUUAGUAAAAGACAAGGUGCUAAAAGAAUAUUUAUAGCCUUUAGCCCCUAACUAUAGCUGUUGAAUACGUUAGUUUUAUAUGUGUAAUUGAAAAAAUCUGUGACAAUAACGUGUAUGAAACGUGAAAAGUACAUAUGCACAUGUUUAUAACGUGUAUUGUACGUUGUACUAUUAAAAACGUGCAAUUCAAUGAAUCAUUAAUAUGUGUAUAGAAAAUGGCACGCAUUUCAUGAGUUCAUCAAUUUAAAAUCAUCGAGAAAAAGAAUGUGUGUAUCCACCAACUAGUAUGACUGUACUAAGAUGUGAGAAUACGAACUUUUCCAAGGGCAAGAAUGAGACUGGUGAGUCUGAGCCUACGAUGCCUGCUAAUCCAAGGGUGCUAAAACCAUUGUUGAGAGGAUUGCCCAAUGUAGGAGUUCUUUGGUGUUCCUGGUGUCUAGGUCUGCGUCGAGACGUCUAUCUGGAGCUAAGUCUGGUUUAGCUUCUGAGAGGCUCACCAUUAUGAAGAUCUAGAAGGUGGGUUCAUAUGCCAGAAGGCGCUUGCCCACUUUUCCCAAUGUUGUGCCUAUCCCAGCUGCUAAGGAGGAAACUGCUCCCGAAGGCAGUUGUGAAAAAUCCACCAAGUUUGCUUCCGAAGUUCCCUAAAAUUUUUGUGUUACUGAAGGCUAACCUGCUCAAGGAUCUCGAUACUUGCGCAAGUUCAUCGACAUUGCUGGGAAGGUGGUCUGAAAUUCCUUUACGAAGUAUCAUGCUAGCUUGAGAAGGAUUUUUUUGCUUGCUACCAUGCAGAAACCUUUGAUCAUGGCUAUUGAGUCCAUGCAUCUUGAACAAGAUGUGGCUACGGUUGCAAAGGAGGCCAAGGCGGCUGUUUGGGUUAAAAACUGAACUUUAGGCCCAAAGUUGGAGUCGGCCCAAAAGGAGGCCUGGAGGAAGAGAAGAUCAAAGCCCAGCCGAGGCUUGGGAAGGCAGGAAAUGGCAUUUUUCUGACUUGAUACAAUUCACAAAGGCCACUUGCCUACCUACCCAAGGAUCAAGUGGUGUAGACUGAUCAGACUGCACAACCCAUAAAGUACUUUAUGGUGGCAUUACAUGUAAUAAAGCUGAUGAGUCAUCACCCUCAGACCGCAUUCGGGCAAAGCUGUUGCUACAGGAGCCGAACCGAGUAGUCUAUAAAAGGAGGAAGAGAAGACAGGAAUAAAGACACUCAAUCAAACAAACAAAAGCACAAACUCUGCUCAAAAAGCCAGAUUUGCCUUCAAACGAAGCUGUAGUCAGCCCAAGCUUUCAUCCCCCUCGGGAUAAUCUUUUUCCUAAACUUUGUAAUAGCUCUGCUACCUUGUUCAAACUUGUUGUAGUAUCGAUUCACCCUUUUGUAUUCUCCUUUCCCCUCUCCACCUAAGCUUUCAGACCUUUGACAGAACCACAAAGAUAGGGACCUGCAAGACGAUCAGCCUUAAUUGAUAAGGUUUAAUCUUGCCCGACCUGCUUUGUUCUGUCUUUGUCUUUUCUUUCUUUAAAGUCUAGCGAUAUGUUGUAUGGUUUUAGUUAUAUGCAAGUUGUUCCUAGCAAAAUCACGAUGACAAAGCUUUCUCAACACUUGGAUCUGAUUUAAAUAUAUCUUCAAUGCUUAAAUUAGAUCCAAGUCCUAAGCCCGCAGGCAUGUAAAUCUGAUUAGUUUAAAAGUCCUUGGCCUCAAGGCAUAAAAAAGAACUUUAUGUGGACUUAACCCAUCCACGACAAUCCUUGAUAAACGAGAAGUCCGAAGUUACUUGGGGCGCAAGUAAUCGACCUACCUUCUAGUUUUCUUUCUAUUAUAUCAUGAUUAUCAUAGAAUGCUUAAGCAUGGGAUGGACUCUAAUGGAAAGCCUCAAGGCCUACACCUAAGGCCCCACAAAGGCAUCCAUUUGGAUUCAUCCUAUUCAGCGAUCUUAGGAGUCUAAGCAUAAGAAUGAACUCUGAUGGGAAGCCUCAAGGCCUACACCUAAGGCCCCACAAAGGCACCCAUUUGGGUUUGUUCUAUUCCUUGGAUUCGGGUAAUCAGAAAUAUAAUAGUUAGAAGACUCCGACAAUCACAAGAAUACAUAUGAUGCGUUCGAGUACUGGUUUAGUUAUGUAUGGGAAGCCUCAAGGCCUACAUUUAAGGCCCCACAAAGGCACCUGUUAUAACUAAACACAGUUUCUUGGAUACAUAUAUAUAUAUAUAUAUAUAUAAUAUAUAUAUAUAUAUAUAUAUACAAUGAAAGAACGACAACCAUUUUACAUCUGCCAUGCUAAAGAUGGCAGUGGCACGCAUGAGCACCUAAAUGUUAACCUUGAUUGUGAGCCUCAAGGCCUAUACCUAAGGCCCCACAAAGGCACCUCUCAAAGUUAACUCUGUCCUUCUCUUUCAGCCUUGCCCGAAAAGCCUUGCCCGACGAGUCUUGCCCGACGAGACUUGCCCGACGAGACUUGCUCGACAACGCCCAGAAACGAAGCAGAAGUCCGACAGCAGCCCUCAACCGGCGCCAACCUCCAGGGGAGCUGUGUGCUCGUCGGCCAGGAAACACCCCCAGCGGAAAUUCCUGCCACGAACAUAGUUUUGGCACGCCCGGUGGGAUCCGAACUUCCAGAUCUUGCAUGUCCAAAAAGAAGAACCAUAAACUUGAUAAAAAGAAUCCAAAGGAAGGUUUUCUCCAAAUGGCAAAACAAUCAGAAAAUCCUUCUUCCCCAUCCGGACAGGUGGCUCCAGAUAGCCCGACUACAUCUGAAAGAUCACAAGGAAUGGGAAGUAAUGAAGAGUUACAAGCUACAAUGAUCCAAGUGUUAAAAAGCAUGGAAAGGAUCUCCCUAGAAACAAAGGGAGAAGUAAGCAGACUCUGUAUGCUCACAGGGAAUCUACAGAGAAGGCUUGAUUUGGAGUUCUCUACUCCAAAGGAUGCUCAAGGAAGUGGAGUGAGCCGAGUUAUCACGAGAGAUGAGCCAAUCAUUCCCUUAUUCCCACUAUUAGAAGAAACAGGAGAUAGGGGAAAGAAAAAGGUAAUUCUUGAGGGAAGUCGACCAACGAUGGAGUCUAUCCCGAAGACAGAGUUUCUUAGUUUCCCAUUAUUAUCAUUUAAUAAUAAGGGAAAGGACGAACAAGAAAGGAUGAGGUACGGAAUGCCAGAUAUGAUGGGAGAAACUAGUGGAAAAGAGACUACCACUGCUACGUCAGAUAAACCUCCACCCUAUAGACCGCCCCCGAUGGUCAAUAAAGGUGGAGGAUCUAACUGGAGGAAACCCGAACCAAGGAGGGAAGCGAAUGUGGGUAAUGACCGGAGCCCGAAGAUUGGAUCAGCUAUCCUUGGUCAUAAUGAUAAUUUAGCCACUCAACAACUAAGGGAGGAAUUGGCUGAGUUAAGAAGAACGGUGACUCAAAAUGCCCAGCCGCGGGCUCGCCCAGUGUUCAGGAUUACUUACCAGAAGCCAUAUCCUGAACAUAUCGACGAGCUAAAUCCAUUCCCUCUCAACUUCAAGAUGCCCGCAUUCCCCACUUUCACAGGUGAAGACAGCAGUGUAUCUUCCAGAGACCAUAUUUUCAAAUUCUCCAAUCACUGUAUGGCGUAUGAGGACAAUCCAAACUACAAAUUGAGGUUGUUUGGAAAUUCGCUGGCAGGACUGGCGUCUCAAUGGUAUUCUCUAUUACCCCCCAACUCUAUUGCCAACUGGGGGCAAAUGGAGAUGGCUUUUCAUGAACAGUUCUACAGGAUAGAGCCAGAAUUGACCAUCAAUGAUCUAGUGGAGGUAAAACAAUACGAUCAUGAAUCCACGGAAGACUUCAUGAUGAGGUUCAGGAGGACCAAGAUGAGAUGCCAAUUCCCCGUCAACCAAGCACAGCUCAUAUCUAUUGCUCAAAGGGCUUUAAAAUUACCUUUGAGAAAAAGGUUCUAUGAUGCACAGUUCAGUGAGCUGCAAGAACUCGUGAUUGCUGCCACGAAGUACGAGAGGUUGUUGCAAGAGGAACAGCAAGUGAAGCACACUUCCAAAGUCCCUCCUUUCUACAAAAACAAGGCUACUUUUCACCAUGUGGAGGUAGGAGAAACCAGGCCCGAACACGAGGAUGGUCGUGAGGAAGAAAAUAUAGAAGUAUGUGCUGCUGAGAUGACUACACCCUUCAAACCAUUGACGAUCAAAGGAUUAGUCCAACCUGUCAAGGAUCAGAAGAUCGUGAUGAAUGAUGGUGGUUUCGUCCCCAUGAAGCCCCCAAAGUAUCAGAGCUAUUCGUUUGAUUUAACCAAGGCACCAGAGAUCUAUGAAGAGUUGGUGCGGGCGAGAGUAAUUUUGCCCGACAGUGCCAAAAAGAUGCCCAAGCCCGAGGAACUCAGGGGGAAAAAGUAUUGCAAGUUGUAUUAUACCUUCAACCAUUCUAUAGUUAAUUGUGUCCAGUUUAGAGAUUGGGUACAAGACCUUAUAGUGAAGGGUAAGCUGUUACUUGAUUCACCCCAGGCCAGUAUGAUGGUGGAUACUAACCCUUUCCCGGAAGCUCCUAUCAGUAUGAUCAACCUCAUUUUUAAGGAGCCAGGGUCAUCAGCUGAGUAAGAGUGCCAUGAGGGGACCAGAGGACCAGGGACAGAUUCUAAGGUUGUCAACCAUAAAGGUGGAGAAGAAAAGCAAGUAGACAAGGGGGCAAAGAAUUGCCCAAGGCCAGUUCGAACAAAGCAAAGCAGGAAGCAAAUUACAUAUCCAUUCCAAUAUAAAAAGGGAGUUACAAAUCAUUCUAUUCUAAAAACUUUACAUCUUUACAAAGAGUGAUUAUUCUAGAAUGAUAUGUUCGCAUGAUGGUAAAAAUUCUAUUAGGUUCGGCUAAGACAGUAUGAUUGUUUACAAGUUCGGACUUGGCUUGUUCUAAUUCCGAAGAUGCCUUUUCUACCCCUUCGAUUUGAUGUUCAAGUUUGUCUAGAAGAAGUGCUUGUUCUGCCUUAAGGACAAUCAGUUGCUCUUCCAGUUUCUGGAUUUCAGAAGAAACCACUUUAACUCUUUCUUUAGUCUGCAUACUUGAUUCCAUCAGUCGGUUAACUUGGGUAGAAGAGUUUGAUUCUUUUUCCAUAAAGCAUUUUGCCCGGUUAGCCUGUCUAUCCGCUCUCUGGUAUUGUUCCCUCAGAGCCCUCAAGUUCUCGAAGAAAGAAAGAAAGGAAUCGUGCUGAGGCUUGGACAAACGACCGGUUUUGAAAAAUUCAGUUAUGACCUUCUCAAGAUCACAAAGAGCCUUGAGACUAAAUGACGCGGUGAAUUCCUUCUUUGCCCAUUCCUGAAAGAUUUGAUGUUGCUCCGAAAACAUGAAGGUUGCUGAAGGCUGCGUUGAAGAUUUCAACCGCGUCUCAAGUCGCCCGAGUGCUUCAAAGAGUUUGGGCAGCUUGGCAGGAUCAGAAGAUGGGAAAGGAGGAGGGUCCUGCGUGAUAGUUCUCUCCGAUGAGACAAUGCCUAUUGAGGGGGUAAUCUCUGCCUGUUUAGUCUGCUCAACUCCAGAGGGGGAAGUACCAAUACCUCCAGAAGAUGAAUGAGGGUGGGGGCGCUUUGAUUUACGAGCUAAUGGAGGUGGGGAAGUUUCUUUUGAAGCUUGCUACAAAAACCAAAAGACUCGGUCAAGAUAAUCUGAAUACAGGUUGAAGCAAAUGAGGUUCUGGAGAAAAGAAGUUUACCUGACUCAGCCCCGGAGUUUCACCAGAGAAUGAAGUAACCCUUGGUUGAGGAAAAGGUUCUUCACCACCGGCAGGAGGGGAAUGAGCUGCGCCUGAACCUGUACCUGCAUCCUGGAUAUAUCCAAAGAAAUGAGUAAUUAUCAGCAAAAGGGUCACCAGAGGAAGAAGCAAGAAGAAAACAUUCCAAUACCUGAGCCUGAUCUGAAGGAAGAGAAGAAGGUUCAUCAACUAUCGGGCGAGCAAACGCCUGCGAAAUCGCUACAUCUGCAGCUACAGGGAUCUCAGGAACUAUGGGCUCUUUAUCCGAGACCACUAGUGAGGGAGGUGGCUCAUAUACUGAAGAUGGCUGCAGGAAACACAAAAAAAGAGUUAAUUGGGUAGCAAUGCGCAGAAUUUCAAGGAGGAAAUAAUAAUUUACCAAUGGAUCAUCCUCAUCCACAAAGUGCAAUAUAACUCAUGUGGACGGAUCGAAUUGAGAGGAAGGGGUCGCAUCCAAAGCAGUGGAAGAAGUCAUAGAUCUCAGAGGGGGUCCAUGACUAGGCAAAGAGGCAGAUGCACCAGCCUAGGAAAACAAAUAGAAAAAAAGGAAAAGGGCUUAGCUAUUAAAUCCAUACAAUUGGAGGCUUAGAGGUAGGGAAAGUACCUCAGCAGGAUUGGUCUCAGAGGGGGAAAGAUUCUUCUGUCGGGCAGGUCGUGGAGAAGCCUCGGGCGAAGAGAGCAUUUCAUUUCUCACAGCCUGAUCAGAGUAAUCAAAUUCAGGGUUGUAUGAAAGUAAGAAAGUAUACAAUAAUAUCAGUCAUACCUCGAGCUCUCGAAGGGUGGUGUCUCACAAUUCUUCGGCCUUUUUAAGCAUAGCAGCCCGCAAUGGUUCCUCCUUGGAAGCAAGGAUUGGCCUUUUAGAUGCUUGAGGUCCUGUUGAUCGAUGAAAGGGACAAUUAGAUGAAGGAGGAAGACAGCAGUUCAAUAUAGAAAAAGAGAAACUCACUCGAAGAUUGUUGUUUCUUUCUGCCUGCCUCAGGAACUGGAGUAGAGGUGACUCCUGAUUUAGAAGGAAUAGUAAUCUUUGCCCGCUUACUCUUUCGAGUAGGAAUUGGUCUUGUGGUUGUCGUAGGAGGUGCUGGACCAGGGUCGGAAUCUUUGGCCAUGACCACUUUCUUUCGCUUAAGGGCUUUAGUGAUUGCCGUAGGUGUUCCUUCAGCCCCUGAAUCCCCAAUGGAUUCUGAGAUAUCCGUCCCUUCCCCGGCUUCUCGUCUUUCAGCCUCUGCGGCAACACCAUGAAGAAUUACAGCAUCAGCAGAGUCAUCUUCGGAUUCAUUGACUUCCAAUUCAACAUCCACUGGAGUUGCAGAAAUCAGCAAAAGUAAGAAUAGAAUGACUUCAGAAAGGAAGCCAAAGCAGGUUGAAAGAGAAGUACCUAUCAGAAGUGACCGGUUUUUUUCUUGAAUCAUCUCUUUCCAAUUUGCAAGUUCGCCCGAGCCAGGAUAUGAUUUAAGAGAAAGCUGGCUGAAGAUGCGAUCGUGAUUCAUCUUCAAAUCUCCUCCAUACUUUUUAGUCCAUUUCUCCUCCCACCAAGAGGAGAACAGUGAGGUACAUUCAAAAUUAAGAACAACGGAAUGUCGGGCUGCUUGACUCAUUACAUCCAGGCUGCGUCGGGCGGCUCGGAAUGUCACUUCAGUUGGGGUUUGUAACCGGAAUGAGGUGCCACAAUGGACAGAGUCGAAGAAUGGGACAGGUAUAGCUUGCCUAAAUCCUAACUGCCGACUGCAGAAGUUAGGAUGGUACACAUCCAAGCCUCGAUCAUAUCUAUUGCCCCGAACCCCCCAGGCCAAGUCUCUUGGUUGAAUACAACUGAUAAAUUUUUCUCUACAAAAAGAGGUAGCAUCCUCACCAGGGGCAUCUUGGAAGGCUUGGUCAGAGAACCAAGGGUAUCUCCUCAAAACUGACGCACCUCAUUCCAAGUCUGAUCGAGUCCUGCAAACUCUGAAAAAGUAAAAGCAGGCAAAGGUGGAAUGGUCUGUAAGAGGAGCUUCUGCUAGAAUUCGGGCAGGAGCCACACCCUCUGGCAACUCUAGAUUGGCAGCCCGAAAUUCUGGAAAAUACCAUUGUAGCCAAAUUUGUAUCAUCCAGAUUGGUCCAUUCAAGUUGGUCUCGAAGGGCUCGCCCCGAGUCAUUUCAAAAAGAAGGUGAUAAAGGUGGGAGAGAAGAAAUGGACCUGUGGCUACAUCAUCAAAAUUAUGAAGAACCUCCACCAAGGGGAUCCAUUCUACCCUCACUCCCUUGGAUUUGUUGGGGAAGACAUGCUUAUUGAGCCAGUAAAGGAGAAAGUACAUAUGCUCUUGAUUUUUGUCAGCCCGAGGGGAGCCUACUCCAAAAUUCUCCUUCACAAAAGGGAUGAAUCCCUUAAAGGAGGUCUCAUAGCUCUUGAAAGUAACGGAGUUAUAGCUCAGAGGAAGGAAGGUUGUGGAAGAACCCGAGCUCCCGGUGGUAGAAGACGGGACCCAAUCUUGAGAAACAUCUACUAUCCUGCCCGACGGCCUCAACCCGAAGACCUGGGCCAUAUCGAGAAUGGUGGGAGACAUGGGGCCCAUACGAAAAUCGAAGGUAUUCGUGCCCGUAUUCCAAAAGAGGAGAGUAGAAGCAAGCAAUUCGGGCUUAGGGACAAUGGAAGUCUUCGAAAGCUUGAGCAGUUCAUAAAUACCGUUAUUCAUCCAUUUCUGCUUGAAGAAAGGCUCUAAUUCGUCAACCCAUUGGGCCCAGGUGGGAUCAUUCAUCAAGGGAAAUCCUCGACGAUAUGAUGACCAUUUCGAGGAGGAAAUGCCCGACCCAGCCAGAUAGGGAUUUGGGGAAAACCAGUUUCCCCUGGGCAUGUUGUCUUCCACUACUGAGGAGACCCGGGAAAUCCAGGCGGGACCCAAUGAUUGUACCCCAUGCGUCUCAAAGAAAAGCUCAGAAUGCAAACCUGCCCGCGGGCAAUGCAGCCCGUUGAGUUGACGGCGUAGGGUGGCGAUUCCGUCGCCAGACUCAUAAGAUGGUGGGGUUUGGCUGGAUCCUGAAGCCAUUUGAUGAAAAUAGAGAAAGAAAAGAAAGAAAGAGGAUAAAGAUGCAACCUUGUCGGGCAACAGAGAAAGAUAGUGGGGAAGUAGGAAGGUUUUUUUCCGCAGAAGGAUUCCUUUCGCAGAGGUUCGAUCGCAAGGUAUUCAUGGGUUUAAUAGGGAAUCUCUUUCAAUUAAUAUUGGCGCCUGGAAUUCCAGGUUUAAUAUCAAUUGAAGGGGGCACUGUUUGGGUUAAAAACUGAACUUUAGGCCCAAAGUUAGAGUCGGCCCAAAAGGAGGCCUGGAGGAAGAGAAGAUCAAAGCCCAGCCGAGGCUUGGGAAGGCAGGAAAGGGCCUUUUUCUGACUUGAUACAAUUCACAAAGGCCACUUGCCUACCUACCCAAGGAUCAAGUGGUGUAGACUGAUCAGACUGCACAGCCCAUAAAGUACUUUAUGGUGGCAUUACAUGUAAUAAAGCUGAUAAGUCAUCACCCUCAGACCGCAUUCGGGCAAAGCUGUUGCUACAGGAGCCGAACCGAGUAGUCUAUAAAAGGAGGAAGAGAAGACAGGAAUAAAGACACUCAAUCAAACAAACAAAAGCACAAACUCUGCUCAAAAAGCCAGAUUUACCUUCAAACGAAGCUGUAGUCAGCCCAAGCUUUCAUCCCCCUCGGGAUAAUCUUUUUCCUAAACUUUGUAAUAGCUCUGCUACCUUGUUCAAACUUGUUGUAGUAUCGAUUCACCCUUUUGUAUUCUCCUUUCCCCUCUCCACCUAAGCUUUCAGACCUUUGACAGAACCACAAAGAUAGGGACCUACAAGACGAUCAGCCUUAAUUGAUAAGGUUUAAUCUUGCCCGACCUGCUUUGUUCUGUCUUUGUCUUUUCUUUCUUUAAAGUCUAGCGAUAUGUUGUAUGUUUUUAGUUAUAUGCAAGUUGUUCCUAGCAAAAUCACGAUGACAAAGCUUUCUCAACACUUGGAUCUGAUUUAAAUAUAUCUUCAAUGCUUAAAUUAGAUCCAAGUCCUAAGCCCGCAGGCAUGUAAAUCUGAUUAGUUUAAAAGUCUUUGGCCUCAAGGCAUAAAAAAGAACUUUAUGUGGACUUAACCCAUCCACGACAAUCCUUGAUAAACGAGAAGUCCGAAGUUACUUGGGGCGCAAGUAAUCGACCUACCUUCUAGUUUUCUUUCUAUUAUAUCAUGAUUAUCAUAGAAUGCUUAAGCAUGGGAUGGACUCUAAUGGAAAGCCUCAAGGCCUACACCUAAGGCCCCACAAAGGCAUCCAUUUGGAUUCAUCCUAUUCAGCGAUCUUAGGAGUCUAAGCAUAAGAAUGAACUCUGAUGGGAAGCCUCAAGGCCUACACCUAAGGCCCCACAAAGGCACCCAUUUGGGUUUGUUCUAUUCCUUGGAUUCGGGUAAUCAGAAAUAUAAUAGUUAGAAGACUCCGACAAUCACAAGAAUACAUAUGAUGCGUUCGAGUACUGGUUUAGUUAUGUAUGGGAAGCCUCAAGGCCUACAUUUAAGGCCCCACAAAGGCACCUGUUAUAACUAAACACGGUUUCUUGGAUACAUAUAUAUAUAUAUAUAUACAAUGAAAGAACGACAACCAUUUUACAUCUGCCAUGCUAAAGAUGGCAGUGGCACGCCUGAGCACCUAAAUGUUAACCUUGAUUGUGAGCCUCAAGGCCUAUACCUAAGGCCCCACAAAGGCACCUCUCAAAGUUAACUCUGUCCUUCUCUUUCAGCCUUGCCCGAAAAGCCUUGCCCGACGAGUCUUGCCCGACGAGACUUGCCCGACAACGCCCAGAAACUAAGCAGAAGUCCGACAGCAGCCCUCAACCGGCGCCAACCUCCAGGGGAGCUGUGUGCUCGUCGGCCAGGAAACACCCCCAGGGAAAUUCCUGCCACGAACAGCGGCAAUGGCCGGUUUAAGUUCGUUCGGCUGCCAAAAAUAUUGAGAAGUUGGAGUCUGAGUUCGCUGAUUUAAGCAGUCCAAUGUAUUGGGCCCACUUCUAUGCAAUUAGAAGCCAUUCGCCAGGAAGUUGACUUUAAGGUUAGGCUUGUUACUGUAAAACCAUUUUGUAAAUGACAAUGAAUUGUGCCGAAUAAUUGAGGGAAUAUUGACUUGGCAAUCAAGUUAAUAAAAUCUCUAGGACUCUCGGUGCCUUAAGGAAAUAAACAUAUUGGAGUCCUAAUUACAUGCAAUCAAUUAAGGGCCUUUACUAAAUAAAUACAAGGAAUAAGAGUCAUGAUGGGACUAUAAUUGAUGAGAUAUGAUUUGGGUUGAUAUCCUUUCCAAUAAUAGGGAGGAAUUGAUUGAAACCCUAACUAUAUAACCUAGGAGCCGUCCCUGCUUCCAUACCGAUAGAAACUCACAAAAACUAUAAGCCUAUUUCGAUAGUAGAGUUCAUUCAGAGGUACUGGAAGUAGAAGACUACUUCUACUUUGUUUGCAAGGAUCAAUGGCUUCACCUUCAUAACCAUGUCUUCCAAAUUCUACAGAUAAGUUCAAUAUAAUUAGUCGAUCUCUAUUUCAUAUUGAUUUGAUUUAUUCAUGAUCCUAAUGUCUUGUUGUUGUGAUUUCAGAAUAUGUCUUAUAGUUACGUCUCAAGGGCUGCUAAAAGCUGCACAUAAGGACAUUGGCCCUCAACUUUCUGAAGAUCGAGGACCUUGAUUGUGUCAAUUCGGACCUUCAAUCUUCUAGCUUCGCCAACGAUUAAGAACUUGUAAUUGUUGGAUAGUGGCCAAAUUAGUGGCCAAGUGGACAACAAGCUAAAUGCCUUUCGGCUAGUAAACUAAACAAAGAAAAGUUUGGUGGACAUCAUCAUGAGUAAAGACACAAUGAUGAUGUUUGUUGACAAGAAAAAGGAAGGUCAUGAUGAUGUUUGUAAAGGAAUGAUUAUUCCUUUACUUUGGAUUUUUUACUGGAUGUUUUUGUAUGGAUAAAGGUUACAGCCGAAUGUGGGAGAGGUGGGGGAGCGGCAUCAGAUGAGAGCCAUACCAGGGAGAGUGUUCGGCUCUCUCAUUUGAAACAGUGUUGCUCCUUCCCAUUUGUUUGUAAUCCCCUUUUGUUAGUAAUCCCUCAAUCAAAGAUGUUGCUACUACAUGUUGUGUAGCUUUUGGGAGAGAUGGUAUUUGAUGUGUGUCCAUCUUCUCCAAUUGUUCUUUGUGAGAGUGAGAGCUAUUGGUUGUAUUGGAGAUUUGGGUUUGAGAGUUAAAACUCUAUUUGUAAUCUCUUUUUGAUAUUAGUGGAAUUUCUUCGCCAUCUCGGAACUGGACGUAGGCUUACACCGAACCAGUAUAAAUCCUUGUGUCAUUUGGAUUAUUUGUCUUAUCAUAUUUGCCGUUGUAGCUUAUUGGUUUCAUAUUUGACGCUUCUGCACAACAAGUGGUAUCAGAGCCCCGGAUUUCGACUUGGGGGUUUUGUACUAGUAUGUAUAUGAAACCUUCAAAUAUGUUGAUGAAAUAUGAUAUUGAAAAAUUCGACGGGAGGAAUGACUUUGACAUUUGGUCAAUUGGAGAUACAAGUUUUGCUUGCAUUGCUGCGAAAUGUGUGGCAUUGAAGAAUGAUGUUAAGGGACCAUGCUGCAGUCCUUGAGCUCACAGAUUGGAGAAUGGUUUCGGAAACAGAAUAUAUGCUGCAAUGUUGUUGAAUUGUUAGUGUUCGAAGGCUGCAGGUGUAGUGUACUGGUUUGGUAGAUUCUCCGUUGGUCAUUGAUGCACCGGUGGUGUUUGUGGGCUGUUGUCGACAAGUUGAGUGGGAAGGAGAAAAAGUAGAAGUUAUUGAGAAUUGAAAAGAAAAUGUUGGUUCCUUUUCUUUCAGCAUUUGUUUUGGCAGAAGGACAUCAUGAUGACAAAUGAUGUUGUUGGCUGAAGAAAAAAAAGGGUUAAGUUUUCUUCUCUUUGGCAUUUUUUCAACAGUAGAGAAUUUUUUCUUCACUCCCACUAGUUGCCUUUGGAGCAAGUUGAUGGAAACAUUGGAGGAGUUUGUGAGGGCCAAUUUGUUGAGUUGUGCAAGUUUGGAUAGUGAGGCACCACACUAUUUUGGAUACACCACAUGCACUGUAGAACAUUUGUGUGGAACCCUCUUGUAGAAGGCAAGUUAUAUGCUUUCUAACUUUGUUUGGUCUAUGGACAUUUGGUUGGAUUUGUUUGUCACUGCUAUUUGGUUUGUUGGUCACUAGCAUAUGAAAUAUGCUUUGUUGAAGACUCCAGUUGAGGUAUGGUUUUGGAUCUCUUACUGAUUAUUUGAAUUUGAAAUAUUUGAUUAUCCUAUUGGUGCUCAAGUGAUGAUGGUAAACUUGAGUGAAGGGCAUAAUAUUGAUAUUCAUAGGAUCUGGAUUUGGGUGAAAGGUUUUAUAUGUGGUAUGUUAAACCUUGUUGCCAAAUUUUGUAAUCAGUUUUGACAUGGAGAAUGUGCCAUGCUAUGUGAACGAGUCUAUUGGUGCAGUUUAAGACCAUGGUGUUUGUGAGUAGGUGGAGUUCGUUGUGUGUCCAACUUUGGUAUGGUGUGCUUGAUCUUUUGUUGGUAAUAUUGAGGAAUUCAGUUCUUCGUUUGAAUCACUUUUGUUUUGGUCAAGACACUUAUGGUUUGCAAAUUUGGAGAAGACGGUAGAGAAAUGGUCUAGUUUUGUUGGCUUUGGUACAAUUUGAGUCGAGGUGGAGAUCAUUAUGAGUACCGAGAGUUUGGGGGAUUUGAUUUAGUUCCCGUUGUCAUUAGUUUGUACUUUGGGUGCUUAUGGUGAUUGUUGAUUCGAUUCUCUGUGAUGUUUUUGGAAUUUGGCCAAGGUGGAGAUUGUUGGAUAGUGGCCAAGUGGACAACAAGCCAAAUGCCUUUCGGCUAGUAAACUAAACAAAGAAAAGUUUGGUGGACAUCAUCAUCAGUAAAGACACAAUGAUGAUGUUUGUUGAAAAGAAAAAGGAAGGUCAUGAUGAUGUUUGUAUUGGAUUUUUUAUUGGAUGCUUUUGUAUGGAUAAAGGUUGCAGCCGAAUGUGGGAGAGGUGGGGGAGCGGCAUCAGAUGAGAGUCAUACCAGGGAGAGUGUUUGGCUCUCCCAUUUGAAACAGUGUAGCUCCUUCCCAUUUGUUUGUAAUCCCUUUUUGUUAGUAAUCCCUCAAUCAAAGAUGUUGCUGCUACAUGUUGUGUAGCUUUUGGGAGAGAUGGUAUUUGAUGUGUGUCCAUCUUCUCCAAUUGUUCUUUGUGAGAGUGAGAGCUAUUGGGUGUAUGUGUGAUUUGGGUUUGAGAGUUAAAACUCUAUUUGUAAUCUCCUUUUGAUAUUAGUGGAAUUUCCUCGCCGUCUCGGAACUAGACGUAGGCUUACGCCGAACCAGUAUAAAUCCUUGUGUUAUUUGGAUUAUUUGUUUUAUCAUAUUUUGCCGUUGUAGCUUAUUAGUUUCAUAAUUGACGCUUCCGCACAACAGUAAUUCCUGUCAACGAGAUUUGUCGUAUCUAGAAGGUUGCCAGCAAGUUUGAGUCCAAUAAAUUAGAGUUGCAGCCCGUGUCAUCUGUUAGUGAAUAAUUGAAAAAUGAGUUGGAUGAACUAUAAAACGCCCACACUGGCAUUGUUGAAGAGAAUAAGUAGUUGAGUAAUAAGAAGGCCAGUCAUGAUCGUGCUCUUGCUCAGGUACAAGCCAACUUCUACAAGCUAGGCUAUGUAGAUCAUCUCCAGGUAGGCAAAAGGAUUAUGAGUUUUUUGUGAAGAACUUCGAGACUCUCUCCAUUUCUCCCGAAGACCUACUUGAGUUCUCCUUUGAGAAUGUUGUUAAUGGGAAGUCGAGGGUCAAGCUGCUUUGGUUGAGGCAGUUGAAGAUGAAGUGAUGAAAGGUGUCGCUGCUGGGAGCGAUGCAGCUACAUAAGGCAUGGCAGCUGAGUUGUCGAGGGUAGCCCAAGCUACUGAUGAGUAGUAUUCUAACUAGGCUUAGGAAUUUUCUUCUUUUAUUUUGCUUAGCUUUAAACUUUUGCAGGCCUUUGAGUCUGUUUAUCAAUUUGUUAGAAAUUCAACAAAUUGGUUUCUGCACUUUACUUCAUCUUCGUGACUUUACUCUGUCUUGUGAAACUUUUGGCCAUAGGAUUGGCAGCCGGACAUGCUGCUUUAGAGAAGUGGAGGGUCCGCAUAGCUACGAUGGUCGUGAGCUCCGACUUAGGAAUUGUGAAUCUUUUAACCAUAAGAUUGGUAGUCAGACGCUCUAUUUUUGAAAAAGCAAACACGUCAGUGUAGCCACUAUGGCUACGAGUUCCGGCUAAGGUACUUUGGAAAACUUUUAACCAUAAAACCGACAACUAAACACGCUACUUUUAAAGAAACAUACAAGUCCGCAUAGCCAUUAUGGCCAUGAGUCUUGGCUUUAGGGCACUGAGCUGUUGAGCCUGUUGUGAGUUUGCUGCCCCCUGACCAUGUGCUAACUAUCAAGGCACAAAAAUCACUAACUAAUCCACGUCAUAUGUAUUUAGUCAUCAAAGAUUUGUGGAAGAUUCUUGGGCAACGAUCCAAGGAAUCCGCUACACUUUAUGUAACCUAUCUUAUAAGCUGCGUAGCUAGUGUCAUAAUACGAUAAGGACCAUUGUAAACAUGAAUAUCGUUAACUGGUCACAACGAAAGUGUGCAGUUUUCUGUAAUUUCAUGAGUAGUAACCCAAGGCUACUAUGCGUUUGGAAGUUUAUAAAACUCAUAGGAUGUGUAGCAUGUCUGCAACUCUAAAGUUUUAUAUGAGCACGAAGAUUGCUAACUAGUCACAUCAAAAGUGUGCAAUUGUAUCCUUCGUGGGCAGUUACUCCUGGGAAGCCUGCAAACAAUUGUCCUGAACCUGUGGGUUGUGUAGCAUGUCAGCAGCCGAUAGAGUCCCAUAUGGGCGCGGAGAUUGCUACCUAAUCGCAGUACAAGUGCGCAAUUGUAUAAAUCCUCGUGAGCAGUCACCUCAAGAGUUUUUUUCACUUAAGAGUUUAUAGAACCCGAACCCGAUGCGUAUCAUGUCGAUAGUUGGUAGAGUUUUGUAAAGAGAGGAAUGGUCGCUUAACUUGUCCAUGCUGAAAGUAAACAGUUGUAUGGAUCCUUAAUGGGCAGAAUAUCAGCGAACGCACUGCAUUUAUCACCUAUUUUGGUAAAGAGCUUGAGUUCCCACGGAUUAACCUGGAGCUUGAAAUCCUUUAAUCAUCUAAGACUUGAAAAGGACUAUUGUGACUAAUUCAUGGAAUAACCAGCGCAUGUCAUCGUGCUCCUAGUUACACCAGGGUAGCCCAUUCUAUCAUAUAUGAUAUAUAGGCUGUUUACCCUCGCCAAGGGGAGAGCAGACCCCGAAAGCAUGUACAGAAAUUGGUUUGCCCUCCCACACUAAAGAGCAUGGAAGUCGUUUUAAGCAUGCAGUUGUGCCAAGUUAUGGAUUACUUCUCAAAUCUUCAAUGAAAACAGGUGAAAUGUAUCAAACUUUGCUAGGAGGUAGAAACUGCAAAAUGGAUAAUCCUCGGCAUGCAAGGUCUUGCUCGUCAGAGUGCUUGGGUCUUCGAACUUCAAGUGGGAGACGACCUAAAAGACAAUGAGAGUUAGGAACACCCCGAGCCCAUGGAAGAAUUGGAGACCAUCGUACUGCCAGAAAAAGGCACAAGUAGGAAAGUCCAAAUAGGUAUUAUUCACCGUCAAAGUCCAGAGAAACUAAUUGAGUUUCUAAGGGCCCAAGCGAGCGUUUUCACUUGGCAUUACACAGACAUGCUGGGAAUAUAAAGUUCAUUAGAAAAGUGGAUUAUCCACGAUGGGCGAUGAAUGUUGAGAGGGAAAAGAAAUCGACUGCAAGCGGCGUAUAUGCACCAACUAUACCGAUCUCAACAGAGCUUGCCCAAAGGACAAUUUCAUAUUGCAUGCAUCGACUGGCUAGUAGACGCAAUGGCGAGUAACGAAUUUUUAACCUUCCUCGAUGCUUUCUCGGGGUAGAACUAGAUACGCAUGCUUUCAGUGACUUAAAGGAGCACGUUGGCCGAGCCCCAAUCAUAUCCAAGCCUAAGACUGGUGAACCGUUCUAUGUAUACUUAGCUAUCUCACCAUUGGCCAUUAGUGCAGUACUCUUCUAAUGUAUUAUGUGAGCCAAGAAAUGCGCAGUACUGAGCUGCGCUAUCGAGAAUUUGAAAAAUUGGCCCUCGACUUAUCAUGUUAGUUCGAAACUCUGUCCAUACUUCUAGGCUCAUUCAAUUGUGGUGCUCACCAAAUACCCUUUCCCCUAGUCAUUGAACAAGCCAUAGGUUUUAGGGAGGCUGAUGAAGUGGGUAAUCGAAUUGGGGGAGUUUAACAUCUAACUCCAACCAAGGCACACUCGCAAAGGGCAGGCUAUGGAGGAGUUUAUAGCAGAGUUCACUCUGCCUAUAACUCGAGAGAAGACACCAAGGGUCUCAACCUCUUCGUCUGGCAGGGCAACCAUGGACGAAUAGAGACCUGGGCACUGGUGCCUAUUUGUGGAUGAAUUGUCCAAUAGAAGUUGCUACAUCACGAUCAGCUAGAAUUUGAGUAUGCCUUGAGGUUUAAAAGCAGAAUACGAAAGCAUUGCUAGCAGGACUGUGCCUUACCCUGGGUCUAGAGGCAGAGCACAUCAAAGUCCACAGUGAUUUGCAAGUUGUGAUGAACCAAUACAAUGAGGAAUUUCAGUUCGAGGAUGAAACAUUGAUCCUACAUGAAGGUGUUAAUAAAGCAGUUUUUGAAAUGUACUAUCACAUAAAUCUCAAGGGCAGAGAAUAUCAGGGUAGAUGAUCUGGCAAGACUAGCGUCGACAUCGGAAGAAGAUGUUAGGCCCUCGAUACCAAUCGAACACUUGGAAGAACUGAGUAUCUUACUAACCAAGUGAUCUUUCAUGGAAAUUGAUGAGUUGGACAAUUCGAUGACGCCUAUCUAUGAGUACAUACAACAUGGUGUUCUCCCCAAAGACAAAAGUGAAUCCCAUAGCCUGCGCUUUUCGAGCAACAAGGUACAUGGUUAUCGAUGGAAAACUCUAUAAGUGGAGUUUCUCUCUACUCUACCUACGAUGCAUAAUAUCUAGGAAAGGGGAGCGAGUUUUAAGAGAAAUUCACGAGGGGUUUGUGUGGGGACCACUACGGCUCAAACGCUUGGGGCCAAGAGUUAGGUUGGGAUACCUCUGGCCCACCAUACAGGCUUGCUUACACUUAGGCCUGGCAAUUCCUGACACGAUCCGAUAAUCCGACACGACACAACCCGAUAAUCCGACACGAUACGACACAAAAUUAACAGGUGUUCGGGUCGACACGAUAACAAAACGGGUCGUUAUCGGGUAACCCAAUAAGCACCUGUUAAGAUAACGGGAUGUUUCGGGUAUACACGUGGGUAACACGAUACACGAUAAGCAGAAUAUUAAUUUAAUAAUUUUAUAACCCUAAAAAAAAUACUAUAAUUACUAUAUAUAUAUUAAUUUAACAAUUUUAUACGCCUAAAAACUAUAAUAAUUAUAUAUAUAUAUAUAUAUAUAUAUAUAUAUAUAUAUUAAAUUAACUAUAAUAAUUAUAAUAAUUAUAUAUACUAUAAUAAUUAUACCCCCAAAAUAUUAACUAUAAUAGUUAUAUUUAUAUAUAUAUAUAUAUAUAUAUAUUAAAUUUUAAAUUAAAUUUUAUACCCCUAAAAACUAUAAUAAUUAUACAUACAAAAUAAAUAGAUUUAAAUCUACUUAAUAAAUAAAUAAAUAUAUAUACACACACACACACCAUUGAACUUCAUGGGAUACGAAUUAUAUGAAACUAAUUUCAAUGAUUCAACCGUCAAACUUGUUUGUAUAUGCUUCGAGAUCGCAUCAGCAAAAAAAUUACAAAAAACAAACAUUCACAGAUCAAGUAACGAGGCAAAACUUUUCGAUGGUUAUAAACGAAAAAUCACGAUUUAACGAUUAUUUUAACUCCGAUUUUGAUGAUUUUUUACAGCUACACUCCUUGACCCUAUAUGAAUACAAUGAAUGAAUUCGAUCUUCAAUUUAAAAUAUUUACACUAGUGGAUACCACAAAAUCUUAUGUUACACUUGAUGAAAGUAUGAAUAAAACUCUUAAGUGUUAGUGAAUCUAUUGUUUUGAUGGGAUACGCGUUCUACGAAACUAGUUUCAACGAUCCAACCGUCAAACAUGUUUGAAUAUACUUCGAGAUCGCAUACGCCAAAAAUUGCAAAAAACAAACAUUCAGAUAUCAAGUAACGAGACAAAACCUUUCGACGGUUAUAAACAAAAAAUCACGAUUUAACAGUUAUUUUAACUCCAAUUUUGAUAAUUUUUUACAGCUACACUCCUUGACCCUAUAUGAAUACAAGAAUGAAUUCGAUCUUCAAUUUAAAAUAUUUAUACUAGUGGAUACCACAAAAUCUUAUGUUAUAUUUAAUGAAAAUAUGAAUAAACUCUUAAGUGUUAGUGAAUUUAUUGUUUUGAUGAGAUACGCAUUUUACGAAACUAGUUUCAACGAUCCAACCGUCAAACUUGUUUGUAUAUGCUUCGAGAUCGCAUACGCCAAAAAUUACAAAAAACAAACUUUCAGAAAUCAAGUAACGGGACAAAAAAUUUCGACUGUUAUAAACGAAAAAUCAUGAUUUAACGGUUAUUUUAAUUCUGAUUUUGAUGAUUUUUUACAUUUACACUCCUUGACCCUAUAUGAAUACAAUGAAUGAAUUCGAUCUUCAAUUUAAAAUAUUUACACUAGUGGAUACCACAAAAUCUUAUGUUAUACUUGAUGAAAUUAUGAAUAAACUCUUAAGUGUUAGUAAAUCUAUUGUUUUGAUGGGAUACGCAUUCUACGAAACUAGUUUCAACGAUCUAACCGUCAAACAUGUUUGUAUAUACUUCGACAUCGCAUACACCAAAAAUUGCAAAAAACAAACAUUCAGAGAUGAAUAACAGGACAAAACGUUUUGACGGUUAUAAACGAAAAAUCACCAUUUAACGGUUAUUUUAACUCCGAUUUCGAUAAUUUUUUACAGCUACACUCCUUGACCCUAUAUGAAUACAAUGAAUGAAUUCGAUCUUCUAUUUAAAAUAUUUACACUAGUGGAUACCACAAAAUCUUAUGUUAUACUUAAUGAAAAUAUUAAUAAACUCUUAAAUGUUAGUGAAUAUAUUGUUUUGAUGAGAUAUGCAUUUUGCGAAACUAGUUUCAACGAUCCAACCAUCAAACUUCUUUGUAUAUGCUUCGAGAUCGCAUAUGCCAAAAAUUACAAAAAACAAACAUUCAGGGAUCAAGUAACGGGACAAAACUUUUCGACGGUUAUAAAUGAAAAAUCACGAUUUAACGGUUAUUUUAACUCCGAUUUUGAUGAUUUAUUACAACUACACUCCUUGACCCUAUAUAAAUACAAUGAAUGAAUUUGAUCUUCAAUUUAAAAUAUUUACACAAGUGGAUACCACAAAAUCUUAUGGUAUACGUAAUGAAAAUAUUAAUAAACUCUUAAGUGUUAGUGAAUAUAUUGUUUUGAUGAGAUACGCAUUUUGCGAAACUAGUUUCAGCGAUCCAACUGUCAAACUUGUUUGUAUAUGCUUUGAGAUCGCAUAUGCCAAAAAUUGCAAAAAACAAACAUUCAGAGAUCAAGUAACGGACAAAACUUUUCGACGGUUAUAAACAAAAAAUCACAAUUUAACGGUUAUUUUAACUCCGAUUUUGACGAUUUUUUACAGCUACACUCCUUGACCCUAUAUAAAUACAAUGAAUGAAUUCGAUCUUCAAUUUAAAAUAUUUACACUAGUGGAUACCACAAAAUCUUAUGUUAUACUUGAUGAAAGUAUAAAUAAAAUCUUUAAAUGUUAGUGAAUUUAUUGUUUUGAUGGGAUACACAUUCUAUGAAACUAGUUUCAACGAUCCAACCAUCAAACUUGUUUGUAUAUGCUUUGAGAUCGCAUAUGCCAAAAAUUACAAAAAAAAAACAUUCAGAGAUUAUGUAACGGGACAAAACUUUUCGACGGUUAUAAACGAAAAAUCACGAUUUAACGGUUAUUUUAACUCCGAUUUUGAUGAUUUUUUACAGCUAUACUCCUUGACCCUAUAUAAAUACAAUGAAUGAAUUCGAUCUUCAAUUUAAAAUAUUUACACUAGUGGAUACCACAAAAUCUUAUGUUAUACUUGAUGAAAAUAUGAAUAAAAUCUUUAAAUGUUAGUGAAUCUAUUGUUUUGAUGGGAUACAUAUUCUACGAAACUAGUUUCGACGAUCCAACCAUCAAACAUGUUUGUAUAUACUUCGAGAUUGUAUAUGCCAAAAAUUGCAAAAAAAAAAAACAUUCAGAGAUCAAGUAACGGGACAAAACUUUUCGAUGGUUAUAAACGAAAAAUCAAGAUUUAACGGUUAUUUUAACUCCGAUUUUGAUAAUUUUUUACAGCUACACUCCUUGACCCUAUAUGAAUACAAUGAAUGAAUUCGAUCUUCAAUUUAAAAUAUUUACACUAGUGGAUACCACAAAAUCUUAUGUUAUACUUGAUGAAAGUAUGAAUAAAAUAUUUAAAUGUUAGUGAAUCUAUUGUUUUGAUGGGAUACGCAUUCUACGAAAUUAGUUUCGACGAUCUAACCGUCAAACAUGUUUGUAUAUACUUUGAGAUUGUAUAUGCCAAAAAUUGCAAAAAAUAAACAUUCAGAGAUCAAGUAACGCGACAAAACGUUUCGACAGUUAAAAACGAAAAAUCACGAUUUAAUGAUUAUUUUAACUCAGAUUUUGAUAAUUUUUUACAGCUACACUCCUUGACCCUAUAUGAAUACAAUGAAUGGAUUCGAUCUUCAAUUUAAAAUAUUUACACUAGUGGAUACCACAAAAUCUUAUGUUAUACUUAAUGAAAAUAUUAAUAAACUUUUUCAGUGUUAGUGAAUAUAUUGUUUUGAUGAGAUACGCAUUUUGCGAAACUAGUUUCAACGAUCCAACCGUCAAACUUUUUUGUAUAUGCUUCGAGAUCGCAUAUGCCAAAAAUUGCAAAAAAAAAAACUUUCAGAGAUCAAGUAACGAGACAAAACUUUUCGACGGUUAUAAACGAAAAAUCACGAUUUAACGGUUAUUUUGAUGAUUUUUUAUAGCUACACUCCUUGACCCUAUAUAAAUACAGUGAAUGAAUUCGAUCUUCAAUUUAAAAUAUUUACACUAGUGGAUACCACAAAACUUUUGUUAUACUUGAUGAAAGUAUGAAUAAAAUCUUUAAGUGUUAAUGAAUCUAUUGUUUUGAUGGGAUACGCAUUCUACGAAAAUAGUUUUGACGAUCCAACCGUCAAACAUGUUUGUAUAUACUUCGAGAUUGCAUAUGCCAAAAAUUGCAAAAAAGAAACAUUCAGAGAUCAAGUAAUGAGACAAAACUUUUCGACGGUUAUAAACGAAAAAUCAUGAUUUAACGGUUAUUUUAACUCCGAUUUUGAUGAUUUUUUACAGCUACACUCCUUGACCCUAUAUAAAUACAAUGAAUGAAUUCGAUCUUCAAUUUAAAAUAUUUACACUAGUGGAUACCACAAAAUCUUAUGUUAUACUUAAUGAAAGUAAGAAUAAACUCUUAAGUGUUAGUGAAUCUAUUGUUUUGAUGAGAUACGCAUUCUACGAAACUAGUUUCAACGAUCUAACCGUCAUACUUGUUUGUACGCCAAAAAAUUGCAAAAAACAAACAUUUAAAGAUUAAGUAACGGGACAAAACUUUUCGAUGGUUAUAAACGAAAAAUCACAAUUUAACGGUUAUUUUAACUCUGAUUUUGAUGAUUUUUUACAACUACACUCCUUGACCCUAUAUGAAUACAAUGAAUGAAUUCGAUCUUCAAUUUAAAAUAUUUACACUAGUGGAUACUACAAAAUCUUAUGUUAUACUUAAUGAAAUUACGAAAAGUUUUGAGUUCCAUUGGCAAGGUUUAAACUUUUGAGAAAGGCUUCACAACCUUGAAAACAAAAACGGUUUCAUUGUCAUAUCCUUGCACAUUUAAUAUUUGUAAUAGAUUAGUAGUGUAUGGAUGUAUUUUUUAUGAGUCUCUUAUUUUCGCGUGUAGAUGUAGUCCUUAAACGACAAAUGUGUUUUAAUGUUUUGAAGUAUUAUUUAUGUGACAAUGUGUGGUAUGUGCAAAUUUAAGAGAAAAAAAAUAUUUUUCUUAACGGGUCGGGUCACUUUACCCGUUGGGUAAAGUGACCCAACCUGUUACGGACCCGUUAUGAUAACAGGUGUGACACGACAUGACCCGUUAAGAUAACAGGUGUUACACGAAAAUGACACGAACACGACUGACACGACCCGUUUGCCAGGCCUACUUACACUACUACAAAAAGGUCUUAUUGCGUCGAUGGGUGGUGUCGCUUUUAUACAACAUAGUGGCGAAUAAGACAUUCCGAGACCCACUUAAUAUGGUGUCGGAGUUACUGUCGGUUAUAACAGACAUAAACUGUUAAUGUCGCUUAUAACCGACGUUUAUUUUAAUAUUUUUAAUACUGAUGUCGCAUUAAAAAAAAACUGUGUCGCUUUUAACCGACAUAACGUUAGCGUUGGUUAAAAGACAACUGGUGUCACUUAUAGGCGAAACUAAUGAUAGUUUUUAAAUAUUUUCAAAGGUAGUGUUAGUUGUAACCGACAUAGGUUUUAAUUUUUAUUAAAAAUUUUGAAACCCGAUGUCAAUUAUAACUGACAUAAUGUUAGCGUCUGUUAAAAGAAAUAUUUUCAAAGCUGGUGUCAAUUGUAGCUGACAUAGGUUUUAAUUUUUUAAUUGCAUUGACAUAUAUAUAUAUAUAUAUAUAUAUAUAUAUUAUUGAACUUGACGGUUAUAAACGAAAAUUCACGAUUUAACGGUUAUUUUAACUCCGAUUUUGAUAAUUUUUUACACCUACACUCCUUGAUCCUAUAUGAAUGCAAUGAACUAAUUCGAUCGUCAAUUUUAAAUAUUUACACAAGUGGAUACCACAAAUUCUUAUGUUAUACGUAAUGAAAGUAUAAAUAAAUUUUAAGUAUUAGUGAAUUUAUCGUUUUGAUGGGAUACACAUUCUACGAAACUAAUUUCAACGAUCCAACCGUCAAACUUGUUUAUAUAUGCUUCAAGACCAGAUACACCAAAAAUCGCAAAAAACAAACAUUCGGAGAUCAAGUAACGGGAUAAAACUUUUCGACGGUUAUCAACAAAAAAUCACGAUUUAAUGGUUAUUUGAACUUCGAUUUUGAUGAUUUUUUAAAGCUACACUCCUUGACCCUAUACGAAUACAAUGAAUGAACUCAAUCUUCAAUUUAAAAUAUUUACACUAGUGGAUACCACAAAAUCUUAUGUUAUACUUAAUGAAAGUAUGAAUAAACUCUUAAGUGUUAGUGAAUCUAUUGUUUUGAUGGGAUAAACAUUCUACAAAACUAGUUUCAAUGAUUCAAUCGUCAAACUUAUUUGUAUAUGCUUCAAGAUUGCAUACGCCAAAAAUCGCAAAAAACAAACUUUCAGAGAUCAAAAUCGCAAAAAAAAAACUUUUAGAGAUCAAGUAACGGGACAAAUUUUUUUGAAGGUUAUCAACGAAAAAUCACGAUUUAACGGUUAUUUUAACUCCGAUUUUGAUGAUUUUUUACAACUACACUCCUUGACCCAAUAUGAAUACGAUGAAUGAAUUUGAUCUUCAAUUUAAAAUAUUUACACUAGUGGAUACCACAAAAUCUUAUGUUAUACUUAAUGAAAGUAUGAAUAAACUCUACGGCCCUUAAAAAAAAUUCAUUUUCAUUCAAGAUUAAGCCUCUACGGCCCUUGAAGAAAAUUUCCAUUUCGUUCAAGAUCAAGCCUCAACGACCCUUGAAGAAAUGUUUCGUUCAAGAAAUACACCUCAACGGCCAUUGACGAAAUUCAUCAUUUCAAUACGCCUCAACGGCCCUUGAAGAAAUGUUUCGUUCAAGAAAUACAUCUCUACGGCCCUUGAAGAAGCAAACUAAUUCAAGAUCAAGUCUCGACGACCCUUGAGUUAGAACAUUCACAUUGCAGGACUUCAAAACACAUUUCCUACAUGUGACAAGCACAUGCCUACAACGGGCCUUGAAGUAGGGCCAUUUGCAGACAUGAAAAUUUCGUUGCAUGCAAAUGAUGCAUAACAAAGCUCCACAUGGCAUAUGACUCGUCACAAAUGGACAAGUAAUCAAUGACAUGUGGCACAAAUCAAGCAAAGAAAGCUCAAAAGCAUUCCUAAAAUGCGGCAAAGGGGAAGAAAUCUCCUUAAAAUCGGCAAAGGGUCCAAGUUGCUCCCAAAACCAGAAAGAAAACUAAAGCAUCUUCAUAAAACAAGUAAGAAUUGAAUAUUGCUCACAAAAUAGGUCAAACCCUAUAAUUCGGCCAAGCAAGGGAAAAUGGCUGAAAGUAAGACACAAAACAUGCCUAAAUUCUCCCAUGGAAGAAUCAAGACACAAAUCAAAGCCAAAUCCACCCAAAGGAAUGGCUUUGGAAGUCUAUAAAUAUAAGGUCCUCAGAUAAGCAUAAAGGUCGACAAUUUCUACAAUGAAGGGCUGAAAUUCUCACAAAAGGAGAACCUCUGCCAAAUCUUUGAAAACUAAUAUGCUGCCAAAGCUUUCUUCUAAGAACGUACAGCCAAAGCUGAAGCUUUCUUUUGACCAAAGCCGAAGCAUUCCCUUGAAGAAUCAACAAGCACUUAUGCCAAUUCCUUCAAGACUUUGUUGCAAGCUUAAAACUUGUAAUAGCGUUUGAUCCAAGAUCAAGUCGCCAAGACCCUUGAAUCAACACAAUCCCACAUCAACAUCACCUUUGCUGCAAGUCAUAUGCAAACCUUGAGGUGAAGACUAUCCAUGCAUUGUUUCAAGCUCAAAACUUGAGGCAAUCUUUCAAUCGUUCAUCCGAGAUCAAGUCAUUGCCACCUUUGGAUCAACAACCUACGCAUCUACAUCAAAUUUGAAGACUGAAUUAAAGGAAAAUUGUAAGCAGAGAUUGUAACCUACAAAUUCAUCUAUACAAAUCUACUUUGUACACGUGUUCUCAUUUCAUUCGUUACAGAAUUUUCGUGUUUUCAUUAGCAACAAUUACAUUUAACAUGAUUAGAAUUCUACAACAAAGACUUGAGCUGGGUGAUGUUGUAGUCUGCAACUCAAGCUUCUAGGGAUGUUGAAUUGCACAUGGAAAUAUUUGUGGACCUUACCCAUUUAAUGAGGACAUCCUUGUUUUCUUUAGAAAAAGUUCAUGUGUCGUCUCUAGAACUUUUAAGAUAUUUUUGCCUCCUCCGGUACAAACAAUCAGCACAAUAUUUAUGCCCUACCAAAGGUAUCUAGUAUGACAAGUUGGAAAAUGGCAACUGGAGGGUGUAUCCCAUUUUGGCGAAAGUCAAGGCAUUUCGGAUUCCUUUCAGGCUUGUCGUUGGUCUUGGACUUCAAUAUCAGCCAACAAGGCGGUGGAUCUGUUAGCGUCACAGAAGUCGAAGGAGAUGUGUGAUGUUUCGUGGGUUGACCAACCCCCAUCCUCCUUGGUUUAUCUCUUAAACAACGACAGUUUGCCAUGCCCACAUUAGGUUAUCAUGGCUUUGCGAGGGGUGACGUGUUGGCAUGCGGUUCCACGUCAUUCUUUCUUGUAACUCCCUGCAAGGCUUGUCUCCUUUGUACUGCUUGCUGAUUGCCUUGUUUUGGCUUUCUAUAUGUUUGGCUUCUUAACCUUGGCUAUGAUAUUCCAGUUACCAAAAAAAAAAAAUUGUAUCCAGUAUGAAGGGCGGGCCCAGCUAGUACUGCUACUUAAAUAUAUAGUACGGUCAAUUGCAUACCUCCAGAUGACCGUUUUCAUAUAUAUAUUAAUUAGUUGUGAGUUCUCUAUAAACACAACUUCUCACCUAAGUUCAUCCAACCAUUUAAGUUUAUUUAUUUAUUUAUUAUUUUUACUUGUAAUUGCGUCAAAAGACAAAAGAAGAGUUUUAAUCAAAACCAACAUUUUGGUUUCUAUUGAAUAAUACAGAAGAGACAAAAAGAUGUUGGUCUAUAGUGAAGUUCAGAAAUUGGGGGGUGCAUGGGAGGCUGCGUUAGGGUUUUUGUGUAUGUGGUGUUGGCCUGGAGGGUAUUUUUAGAAGAAAAGUGGUGAACUUAGAAAAGGUUUCAAUUUUAAACUUUUAAUGGAGUGUAAAUAAAAAUUGGGGUAAACUUAGAUGAAAAGUGGUUAUGUGAUUGUAUUUUUAAUGAAAAUAUUGACUUGAUUAACUAAAACUCGUGUAUGAAUACGUGAAUUUUAUUUUCUUAGUUAAUUAAAAUCAUGUGAUGUUAACGCGGGCCCAUAUAGGGAUAUCAUGUGAAUUUUUCUUCCAUAGUUAAUCUAAUGUAGAAUUAAAAAGCAAUACUAGAAUGGUUAUUUUUGUAUCAAUAAAAAAAUUAAAAAUAGUAAAAUUUGAACAAGUUUUUGUUUUUGUUUUUUUUUGUUUUUUGGGGAAACCUCGAUGGUAUGAGAGAAAUUUUAUUGAUAACGAAAAAUGAAGUUACACAUAGUCAGGGGAGACAUAAACCUUACCCCUCAUAAAACAAAGAUAACAAAAACAAUACAUGAAAAAGAAAGGGGGACAUAAACCGUACCCUUGUAAAAACGAAAACAAGAGAGAUACAAAGAAAAGAGGAGGGGACAUAAAACCUAACCCCUUUGAAACCAAACCUAAAGGUCUAAACUUGCAAAACAAGUUGAGCAACACCACAAAGUUCGGGAAAAAAAAAGUACGAAAAACCUGGAUGCCAAGAUGCACAUUAAUUUGAUAAGCGGUAACCAGGCAAGCCAACAUAGUCCGAAAACAAUGCAGCACGAGCCGCUGGCAGAGGAGAAUCAUGCCAAGUUAAAGUUGGAGAAGACAAGCCCAUGUUAGCAAAAUUGUCCGCAACAAAAUUUCCCUCCCGAUAUAUGUGAGAUGAGUAGAAAGUCAUUUUCUGGAUGCGGUCCUAACAAAUCGACCAUUGUGUACGAAGUGGCCAUGGAGGAUCAAAAUCAGACGAUUGAAGAGCAGAAAUAACACUAGAGCUGUCACUUUCCAACCAAAGACAAUGCCAACCCAGUUGAUAUGCAAACUCUACACCAAUAAUAAUUGCAGAUAAUUAUGUAAAAAAAGAGUUGCGAUAACCAAUCCAUUGGCAGAAACCACCAAGAAAAUGACCAAAAAACUUGAACAAAUGAUUCUCCAUAAAACUCAAAACUAAAUGGAUCACCCCUGUUUUCUUUGGAAAACUCAAAAAACGCCAACCAUGAAUCGCCCGUGUUUUCUUUGAUAGCUAUAUACGUUGUGGUUAUGGAACUCCAAGUUUAUUUAGUUUGUCACUCAAACUGGUGGUCUUUCUUGUGUAUAUACGUGUGAAGAAUUCCUGUGGAGCAAAACUGCCAAAAUGUCCCAGAUGCAAGAAAAUGAAACUCCUGCAGAUAAGGUGGUCGAAAUCCUGUCCAGGUUCAGGUUGCCGCCUAAGUAUCUGAUGCGAUUCAAAUGCAUACGCAAGUCUUGGUGCACUCUCACCAAGAGUCCAAGUUUUGUGGCCAAACACCUCAACAAUUCCGUGGACAGUAACCUCUCGUCCUCACAUUUUCCCGGACGAGAGUUGGAAAUAUGAAAUUUUAUGGUCCAUGAUUAACUUUCCAUUGACAGUGAUAAUCCCAACCUUCAUUAUGAUGUUGAGGACCUAAACAUUCCGUUUCCAAUGGAAGACCAUCACCCAGUACUGAUUCACGGUUAUUGCAAUGGGAUUGUCUGCGUAAUAACAGGGGAAAAUGUUGUUUUAUGCAAUCCAGCAAUUGGGGAAUUCAGGCAACUUCCCGAUUCAUGCCUUCUUCUACCCCGUCCCAAGGGAAAAUUCGAAUUGGAAACGACCUUUCAAGCAAUGGGAUUUGGCUAUUAUUGCAAAGCUAAACAAUACAAGGUUGUGCGAAUUAUAGGAAACUGCGAGUAUUCAGAUGAUGAGCAAACAUAUUAUCAUCGUAUUGGUCUUCCUCACACAGCUGAGGUAUAUACCACGGCUUCCAACUCUUGGAAAGAGAUCAAGAUUGAUAUAUCAAGUAAAACCUAUUCCUGGUCUUGUUCAGUGUACUUGAAGGGAUUUUUUUAUUGGCAUGCAACGGAUGGCAAGGAAUACAUACUUUCAUUUGAUUUAGGUAAUGAUAUAUUUUAUAAAAUACAAUUCCCUACUGGGAGAGAAUCCGGGUUUAGUUUUUAUAUAUUUUUUCUUCGUAAUGAAUCCCUUGCUUCCUUUUGCUCUCGUUUUGAUGCAAAUGAGGAUUAUCAAUCAUGUGACAUAUGGGUAAUAGAAUAUUAUGACGGAGUUAAGAGUUCAUGGACAAAACUUCUAAUUGUUGGACCCUUACAAGGUAUUAAGCAACCAUUGACAUUUUGGAAAAGUGAUGAGCUUCUUAUGUUUGCCUCCAAUGGAAGAGCCACCUCUUAUAAUUGUAGUACCCAAAAUCUCAAGUAUAUUCAUAUCCCUCUUACUGUUAGUGAGGUUAUAGAUUUCGAAGCUCUUAUUUAUGUGGAAACUAUUGUUCCUAUCAAGUAAGUUGAGUACAAAGUUCCAUUGUCUCCUCUUUAAUUUGGAUGCAUGGUAUAACACUUUAAUUUCCGUGGAAAACUUGUAAAUCGGAGAGGAUCCGAGCUCGAGUAUCCAAAUAAGGACUAAUCCUCUGACUGACAUCGCAUCACAACUUGGAUGAGAGGGAAUGAACCGAGUUACAAGGACUUAAUUUUGAAGAAAGAAGGCUUCUAUAAAAGGCGGCGGAGGGAUUAGAUAAAGAGACGCUCAACUCAAAUCAAAAGACUUCUUUAAAGCUUUGCAGCUUACUUUUCAAACAUUCCCUUUGUAGCUAAAGACAUUCUCUUGUAUUUAUUGUUUUGCUACUUUCCUUUUGCAAUAUCGAUUUUCUUUGUAAAAAAAAAAAACCCUUUGUUAGUACAUUGCCCACAACUGCAAGAACUUGCCCGACUAGGUAAAAAACUUGCUUGAUGGCUCGUAUUUGUUACUUACUUUCACGCUAUUGUCUUUAUGUUUCGCUUAGUUAUCAAUGUUUCUUGAAUAUUUGCUGAUAUAUCUCUUUGUUUAUUCAUUUUGCUUUACUUUCCUGCAUUGCCCCCUUACUCAAAGGUUGUUCACUGGUUCAAAAUCUCUUUUUGAUCAGUUUGUGAUCCUUGUUUUCUUCUUUUUUUUUUUUUUUUGGUAUUUAACACAAGAAAAUUAUUAACUCCUUGUCUUCAAGGCAUAUAAAAGAACCUAAGUAUGAAUUUAACUUCUCCAGAAUAACAAUCCUUUAAGAAGAAGGCCAAUUCCUUGCGGCGGAGGCAAAUGGCAUACUAAACAACUUAAAAAUAAUAAUAAUAAUAAUAAUCUGUUGGUCUUGGCCAACAGUGGCAUGCCUAUACAAAAUCAUUGUUUUUACAAGAGAGCCUAAGAGCCUAUCAAAGGCUUGACUAAAGCACCUUGUGCUAACAAGAGUUUACCACUCGCUUUCAGGGGCAGGUUGUGUGAGGAUUAUGUGUCCCAACAGAUUGUACAUAACCAAAAAUAAUAUACCACAUGGUGGCAGAGCGAAAAUAGUUUUAAAUCUCAAGGUUUACCUCUAAGAAUGACUUUAGUGUUUGUAGCUUAAGAGCUGAAAGCCUGGUUGCAUAAAAAGCAAUUGAUUUUGUGUUGAAAAGCAAUUUAGCGUUGAUUGAGGAAUCACUCAAAGGUUUUUGUGUAAUCUGAAGAUAUUGAAAUUGACAACGGUCUCGAGUGUGAAGGCCUCUGGCUCUAUUUAUAGGCAGUGCAGAAGAAGCAACUUCAAUCAUCUCGCUGAGCUUGAGCAAUGGUAGAUCAGUCAUUUGGCACUAGUAGUAACUGCAAUUCCUGGUUGGUGGCCUUCAACUGUCUCUUGUGGCGGUUUGCACCGAAAAUGCUAUAUGCAAAGGCACCAAAUAAGGUACCAAAACUCAGGUGCCAAUUCAACGAGUCAUGCUGCACAUACCAUAUUUUUCUGACCACAUUUGUACCACCUCUCUAAUACGGGGAGGAUCACCAACACAUAUGUGUCCCAUCUCUAUUAGAGAGGUGGUAUGAAUAUGUGAUAAGAGCAGCAUUUUUAUUAAACAACUAAGACUGGGAUGACUGAAUUCGUUGAGGUCACUCUUUGCAGCGAUCACAACUAAACGAAGUUCAUAGACUGCCCCCGCCAAUUCAAAGAUUCAGCACAAUAUUUAGGAUCAAUUGCAUCCCUCCAGAUGACCAUUUUCAUAUAUAUAUAUAUAUUAGCUGUGAGGUAUUUUUCUAUUUAAAGACCACUUCAAAUCUAAGUUCACCCCACCAAUUAGGUUUACUUUUUUUUUUUUGAACUUUUAAAUGUUUCAAAAGACAAAACAAAAGUUUUAUUCAGAACCAAGAUGGUUUAUAUUGAAUAAUACAGAAGAGACAAAAAGAUGUUUUUUUUUUUUUUGGACAAAGGUAAUUUUUAUUACCAAGAGAGUAAAAUUAUAGACAAAGGGGCCCAAAUACAUUGUAAACACAAAACAAAAAAUGAACCCCCAACACUAAACAAAAGCCAAACCCGAGAGAAGGGCCCAAAAUAGAAAAACACAAAACUAAAAACCCUACAAGACUAACUUCCUUGGCCGCUGUCGAAGAACCGGCCGCCGACCACAAUCCAACAACCCAGGCUAGAGAUCUCACCAAACACAGCCCCAAGGAAGAAGGCUCCAUCUUCCCCCACCAAACACCACACAAAUCGAAACCGCAGCCACCAAAGAAAGAAGCCAGAGGGAAAGAACUUUCCCCCAGCAACAAAGUUGAAAACGACAUACAAUUGGAAGGUGGUGGUGUGUACACCAUAUGAGCCGAAGCUCUGCACACCUUCCUAGAAAACCGCAAAACGCUGGUGGAAGAGAUGAUUGCAUAAUCGGACAUGUGUGAGAACGAUGUAGGACAAAAGCAAACGGAAAAGUCAGAAAAUGGCUGGAUUAGAGUCAUGGAGGUGGAAAAACUUGAGAGAGAAGAAGAAAAGGGAAGGUUGGAAGUGGGACUGUCGGAUCGAGACCGAUGAAAGGUUAGAUCGGAGGUUGUAGGGGGGGAUUACCAAAAAAGACGGUCAGAAAAAAUGGAGAAAGCCAAUCUCACAGAGAAGGGAAGAGAGACAAAAGAAGAAGAAGAAAAAGGGAUGCCACCGACCCUGGCCACUACUAGGGUCGGCGGCAGAACAAGGGGACGGAAUUGGGAGCACUCACACACAGGUGAGAAAGUCUCUCACACAGAAAUUUAGAAAUUAGUGAUUCAUGGGAGGCAGCGUUAGGGUGUUUGUGGUGUUGGUCUUUUGAGGGUAUUUUUAGAAGAAAUAUGGUCAAAUUAGAAAAGGUUUAAAUUUAAAUUUUUAAUGGAGUGUAGAUAAAAAUUAGGGUAAACUUAGAUGAAAAGUGAUUAUGUGAUUGUAUUUCCAAUGCAAAAACUGACUUAAAAAAGAUUGAAGUUUUAUUAAAACAUGUGUUAGAUUACAUAUUUGAUUCUAGUCACUUCUUGUGCAUUUAAUUCAAAUUCAAAUUUUGUUUUUGUUUUAAUAUUUAAUGUAUAUUUUUGGGUAAAUUACAUAAAACUACCUCAACUAUUGGGUUAUUAACAGUUUCAUACCUCGUCUUUAAAAAGUUUCAAUGUCAUACCUUAUCUUUGAAUUUGUUGCAAUGUCAUACCUUCCGUCAGUUGUCUGUCAAUUCCUCUGUUAAAUGCUGACGUGGCUUGAGGCGGGGCCCACUUUCUAUUAAAAAAUUAUUAAAAUAUUAAUUUACCCUUAAAAAAAACUGCAACUAACAUCAAAUCCACAUAAAAUGCUCUUUUGUACAUACAAGCAUAAAAGGCAACACGAAGUAAUCCUUGUCUGCAUGGGCUAAAAUUGCAAAUGACAACAAAUCAACACCAAAAGCUCCCAAUUUGUACGAGCAUAGAAAGAGACACUGAUUGCUCCUCAUCAGCAUAAGCCAAAACAACAAAUGACACCAAAUCCUCAUCAAAUGCUCCUCAUUCGCAUGAGCAUAAAAGGCAACAGAAUGCUCCUUGCCAAUACUAGCCAAAACUACAAAUGACAUUAAGUCCUCCAAGGCUCUUGGCAGAAAGAGCCUAAAUUACGUACCGAACAAAAAAAAAAAAAACUUGAAUUACGUUAUGACUGCACUUAAGUAGGGUACGUAGGCAGCUCAAGAACCAAAUUCAAGUUCAGUCGCAUCAAAAGAAAACAUGUUACUCAUGGAGUUUGAUGUGCACCACCUCUAGUUGACCGCCAUUGUGUUGUACGAAAGGUUGACACCACUAGGUUGAAAGCAUCAUGAAGGCCAAAGUUUGAGUCCUUCACCUUAGCUUUCUUUCGCCAACAUCAUCUACAGCAAGUACAAGAGAAACUUUAAAUCGCACCUCAUACAUGUAACAAACACAUGAUACAUUGUGGCUUGAAGUGGAAGCAUUUGUAAACAUCAAAAUUUUGGUAAAUAAAUGUUCACCAGCAAGUGAUAUUCUGACUUACCAGGCUUAUGUGGCGGACAUUAUGGGUCUCACAAGUUGCAUACUUGUCAUCAAAACCAGAUGAAUCAUCAAGAGUGACCUGCGUUGGCAUUUGGUGAAAAAUAAUUAAAGAUAACCUUGAUUUAGAUCAAACAAAUUAAUUGAUUUAAAUUAAAGGAAUAAUCAAUGGAUGCCAAAUCAGGGAGAUUGCCAAAUUAAAGAUGGCUAGAUUAAGGAUGAAGUUGAUUGAUUUAAUAAAUUAAUAUCAUUUAAUUAAAUAAUAGAUGAUUUGAUUAAAUCAAGAUUAUUUGAUGAAAUCAAAUGGGGAACGAAUCAAGUCCAAAUCAAGGCUUGGUUCUUUCGUCAAUUAAUCAAGUCCAAAUCAAGUCUUGGUUUUUUCGUCAAUUAAUCAAGUCCAAAUUCAAUAUCAAAUCAAGUCUUAGGUCUUUCGUCAAUUAAUCAAGUCCAAAAUCAAUAUCAAAAUUAAGUCUUAGUUCUUUCGUCAAUUAAUCAAGUCCAAAUCAGUUUUGUUUCUUUUAUCAGUUAAUCAAGUCCAAAAGCAACACCAAAUUAAGCUUCAAUCAAAACUUGGAGAUGACUAUAAAUAUGAGGCUCUAAGACAAAGAAGGCCUCCACAUACAUCCUCACAUCCUCAAACCUUCAAAUACCCAAACACUCGUGGUCUUGAUCAAGCUUGUGGAAAAUCAACAAGCACAACAAAUACACGUGGCGAUUCAUCCACACCAAACCUGGCGUACCACCCACCAUGUGAAACCGCUCGUGGUCCCGCUUCAUUCAAGAUUAACCCUUGACAGCCCUUGAAGGAAUCAAGUAUGAUUCAAGAUCAAGUUUCCACGACCCUUACCACACACACAUCUUCAAGGGUUGAAUCAGAGGAUCAAAUUUUGUACUUAGAGAUUGUAACCUAAUUUUUUAAUUAAUACAAAAUUUAUUUUGUACACGUGUUCUUUUGUUAUUCAUUGCAGGAAAUUUUGUGUUUACACUUGUAUCAGGAUGUGGAAGCAAUUCGUUCAGAUUAAAAAUAGUGGCAUAAAUUUUCUGGGCCGGGUGGAGGGAUUUCGCCCAAUGGAAUUUCUUUUGGUUCCAUUUUGUUUUCUCACUUAAUCCGGGCAACUGAACUUAGAUGUGUGUAUACUGAAUUCUAGACAGCUCGGUGCAGAUUCUCCUUGGUCGAGUUAUUUGUUGGUGAAGAUUGUAGCAAAAGACGUCUCAAAUUAUUUUAUCUCAUCUGUCAAAGCUAGGUUUCCUGGAAAGUCACUGUAAAUACCGAUCUCAAAGGUGACCUAGUGUAUGAGAAAUACAAUUAACCCGUCCAUAGAGGGCACGUUUUAAGAAUUCAAGUCAUGUUUUACGGAGAGUUGAUCAGCCUAUAAACUACAGUUAGUUGGAACUUUAUAUUCUUCACGCUACCUGGAAACUCUCUGCGGAGCAUUGUUAUGAAGUUUGGUUGAUGGCAUGUUCACAUGUAUAUAUACGAUAUAAUCCAGCAUGAAACUGAUGAAAACAUGUGCAGAUUAGGAUUUAGGUUCUUGAGGCAACAGGGAGAUGACAGUGAUGCGAUUUAUACUAUGUACAAUGAUGUGAUUUAUACUUUGUAGUAUAAAUCUUGAGCCUUAUUUCUUGUACUAUAAGUUCUGACUAAGUUGACCAUCCUAUCGAGUUGUCACAUUUUUAACUUUAACAUACUACAGAGCUAUAUAUUACACUGGUUAGAUGCUUGAUACAUUGAAGAAAUAAAAAAUACCCUUAUAAAGUGGAGGGGUUGGUUCGACAAAAAUACCUUUGUCAAAUGAAGGCGUUGGUUUGACAAAAAUGCCCCAAAAAAAGUGGUCAGGUGGUCGUUCACAUGACAACUUAACGACGAUAUAGAUUUUUCAUGGAAUGACCAAAAUAAUUUAUAGUGGACAAACUCAGGGCCCACUUCUAUCGAUUUUCAUUGUCAGAGACCAAAAUGAAGAGUUAUGCAAUUUGCAAGAACCAUUUCUUAUGAAGGGUUUAGGGUCGAUUUUGAUCUAAAAACCAAUUAGAUAUAGGAGAAGUAGUGUAUUGCUAAACAUUUCACGUUCUCACAUCUUUGUGCAGUGAUACUAGAGGCUGGAUACACUCAAUUCUUUUUCUUGAUGGUUUUAAAAUAAUGAACUCAUAAAAUGUGUGUACUAUUCAUCUAGUCUAACUUCUUAUAAUUUUUGCUCUUUUAUUGAUGAGAGGUUAUGGGCAUACUUAGUUAUAUUAAUUAUACAUGUACUUUCGUAAUUUUAAAAAUAUUUUGUUUUUGCUGUACACGUUUUUUAUUCAUUAAAUUGCACAUUUUUAAAAGUCCAAUGUGCAAUACGCGUUCUAAACAUGCAUACGCGUACUUUUCACGUUUAAUACAGGUUAUUGUCACACAAUUUUCAAUAAUACAUAUAAAAUUCAUGUAUUCUUAACCUAUUUUUGAAGAAUUGAAAUAAUUAAUUAAUUUAAAUAAAUAAAUAUUAAAAUUAGAAAAAAGUGCGUAAUUUUCAAAGUGCAUAAAUAUUAAAAUUAGAAAAAGUGCAUAAUUUUCAAAGUGCAUAAAUAUUAAAAUUAGAAAAAGUGCACAAUAUAUGUGCGUAGUUUUUAUAUACUAUACCCGUUCCAUAUUUUACUAACUAUGGUUAGGGGCUAAAUGUGACAACCCGUCCCUAACUUUAAGAUUUUAUUAAUUUUAAAUAAGUGAAUUGACGAAAAUGCAAUAGAGGCUAGAUCGUUGACUUUUGUUGAUCGUCUUUUCGUGACGCGAACGGACUAUUAUUUUACCGCAUUCUCGAAAUGCUCGACGGUACGAAUGCAUAGGGGUAAAAGAAAUCGAAACCAAAAUUACAGUUAAAAUUUUACGAAACACCAAAUAUUGAGAGCAAGUUGGUAAUUUCAUUUUGAAAGAUAUUUUGCAUUGUUUUAUGAGCCACAAAGGCCCACACCCCACUCUCCUUCUCUCUGCCGUGUCUCCCAAUCCCAGACCCUCAUUUUUAUAUUUCUUUCUCAACUCUCCCUCCACUCAUUUUCUGCCACCUCACCACUUAACUAUCUCAACUCUCUCUUUCUUCUACCGAGGCAAGCACCAAGAGGGUGCAACCCCGUGAACCACCACCACUUGCUGUCUCUGGCGAGCCAAACCUUCACCUGCUACCAAAUCUCGCCACGUCGAUGAAGGUUAUCCACGUUCCAGCCCAGAACUAGAAACACAGUUACAAAAUCGAAACCAAACCUCGACCUCCAUGCUUUCCGGUGAGGCAUCACUAUCUUCCGACCAAGGUAAGGGUCGAGACCACUCCAUUUUUCUUUCCCAUCUCAGUUUGAGGAUGAUUGAGUUAUUAUACAUAUGCUUUGGACAACGUUUCGGUGCAGAUCAAUUCGAGGGGAAUCUCCCUAGUUUUCUGGUGAAAGACCCACGAGUUGCAAGAGUCUUCCUGCCGUUUUCCGGCCACGGCAAAGACCCAAAAUGGUAUUAUUCGAACCCCUACCAUCGUAGCUUCAUUUUGGUUCAAAUUUGGAGUGAAAUGGUUAAAAAAUCGACCUUGAACGAAGCUCGGGAGUUUCUCGACCAAAUCAGCCCGACUCCGGUGCCCCUCUUUGCUAGGUGCGGCCGACCCACGAGCUUAGGUGGGUUAGUCCGGCCCGUUUCGAAAAACAAAAAGGGGCCUUGGGCCCAAAACCCCAUCCAAAGUUUUUGGCCCAAAUUCAUAGCCUAACCGGCCCAAACCUUUGGGCCAAUGUCCAGUCCAGCCCAGCCCAGUUCCAAAAUGGACUCAGAACUCUGGAAUAUUCUUUAGGUUGACUUUUUCGAAAAUUUCUCGAAAACCCUCCUAGGCUAAUUUUGAUGUCCUGAGUCCGUUUUGACAUCCAUUUAGUGAAAUUUUGAAGUUUUAACAUAGUUGACCACCAGGGAGUCUUGGUUGACUUUUUAGGGUUGAUUGUUGACUUUUCCGUUGACUUUUUACAAAAUUUGCUGGGGAACCUCCUUAGCGUAUUUUGACGCCCUGAUUUCAAAUCCGCCGUUCGUUUUUUGAAAUUUGACCGUUUUAAUAUAGUUUCUUUAUUAGCCGUACUCUGUACGAAAAUGCGUUUGUACUUUAGUACGUACGUAUUUACAUAAAUGGUUUCAUUUCUAGGUAAAACACAUCGCAAGGAUCUUGAUGCCCGUGAGGUGGGUUCGACUCGAUAACAUGAUUUGUGAGUGGGUCUUUAUAUAUAUAGGUUAGUUUCCAUAUAUACAAUUUUUAAUAAAUUCUCUACGUGAUUGCCAUGAUUAAACUAACGCUUAUAAGAAAUGCCUUAUCGUUGGGAAAUGAUGAAAUAAUAAUGUGGGAUGCACAUGUAAGCUUAUUAUUAAGGGGAUGCCUUAAUUAUAAUUAUGGUCAUGAAUAGUAUGAUAAUGACUAGAAUUGUUGAAUUGAUGUGGCAUGAUUAUAUUUAAGUUAUUUGCUGAUCAUUGUUGCACCGGUGUUAGUACUUACCCGGGCCAAGGCCAAUAUUUACGUGUAUGUGCACAUCGCACCGUACGCUCACUUUGGAUCCAUUGUAGGUGCCAAUCAUGUCCUAGAUUGCUAUAGGCAAUUAGGACUUGUAUGUGCUGCGCAUAGCGCCAGUCUUCACGUGAUUGUAGUACUAUGGCGUAUAUCAUUAUUACACCCAAUCAUGUUCAUGUCAGAAUACCUCUGCAUGAACUCGUGUGUCAGCAUAUGUCGAUAAGCAUUCGAUGUGAUAUGUUUAUUUAGGUGAAAAUAUGUGAUUACGGACGUCAUGUACUUAUUUACUAAAGUUCUGACGUAUGGCAUCCUUGAAAUAUUGCUGGUUAUGGUAAGCAUUUUUAUACUAUACAUAGUAUGUAUAUUUUGAAAACUAAACUUGUUUUAUGGUGAGGGGUUAUAAUGUUUUCAAAAGGUUAUUAUUAAAAUUUUAUUUUAAGGCCCACUCACUCUUAUUUUUCGUCCCUCCAAGUUUUAGCAACUGUGACCUAGGGUUUGACUGAUUAUGAUUUUGGCCACAGCCUUGAUAGUGAUUAAAAUUUAGGGGAUGCUGAGCAACAAAUGCCUAAGAGUUAGGGCUUAAGGUUGGUGUAGGUAGGAUACUAGUAGAUGAUCCAAGAGAGGAAUUAAAGGCAUGAAAGGCUCAAGAGGUGGUAGAUUUCUUCCAAUUUGCAAGUUGAAUCCCUUUGCUAAGAAGCAAGCCAUGUAAUUCAUCAAUAGUUGUAUAUCCUAGACAGAAAUGAAUCGCGUCAACAAAGGACUCGUAUUCAGAAGGUAAUCCAUGGAAUGUAAUAGAGAUAAGCUCAGAAUCUUCAAUCGGAGCUCCAACGCUGGCAAGAGCAUUAGCGAUCUCCUCAAAUUUUUGAAGAUAUGCAAUAGUGGUGGAUUCACCUUUCGAAAUGCUUCGAAGUCUUAAUCUGAGUUCAUGAAUAUGAUAUUAUGACGCUGCUACAAGCCACGGUUCAGGCUUUGACCAUAGCUCUCAAGUGGAAUUGACACCAACAAUAUAUGGAAUUAAACAUUAAGAGAGAGUCGAAUUAAUCCAGAUAAGGAUAUUCUGAUCGCUUUCGAACCAGGCUACAUAUUCAGGAGAAAGAGUUUCUAGGUGAAUCACAAAGAAUUUUAGGUGGAGCUUCUAUGUAUCCAUAAAAAAUUCCAAUGAGAUUAUGCCUUUGAAAGAUCGAAGCAAACAACGCACUCCAUGUAAGGUAGUGGUUGUGGUGAGCUUGAUCGAGACCAUGGAUAGAGUGCCAAUAUAAUUAUGGCACGAAUUCACAACUAGAGAUGGAUGAAUCUGAGAAGUCGAUGUAGAAGAGGGACAAGGAAGAGUAGCUAUGGCUGCAAAUUAGGGUUUCAGAGUAGAAGAAGACGGAAACGUGAAGAAGAAGAUACGAAGUAGGGAUCAUAUACUUCAUUAAACAAUGACGAAGGAUAUACCAUAUUGGGAAAAUGUAUUUCAUUGAUUAAUGAAUAAGAUUACACCAUUGAGUAUUUAUACAAGAGCUGUAAAUAGGCUGCACAUCAUAACAAAUCUACCUAUCCAAAUAGCAACCUAUAACAGAAUGCCAAACUAUUUACAAAAUUGACAUUGUUAACUUUUGUCUUUUACAAAAACUAUCCUUAAUAGAAAUAUAUGAUUAAAAUAUAAAAAAAAUUGAUCAUAUCACGCUGCAGUCUUUUCCUUUGCAGCCGAUACUUAGGUGGUCCUCGGAGGCUUUCACAGCCACUUAGCCGAUUUCGGGUGGUCUCGGGCCCACCCAGGUCCCUUAAUGGAUUCAUCCUCCUUGGUGUCAUAAAUGAAUACAUUACUACUAUUAAUUAAGCUAUUGAUUAUUGAAAUCAAAAGUAUAAGUUGUGCCAAUUUAAUAAAAAAAAAUGUAUUAUUAUGUGUACGAUUUGAGGUUAGAUGACCAAGCAGAGACAUUCAAUUGAUCAAUAAAAAAAAAAAAAUAGUAUAUAGGGAAGGGGACAGUAAAGUUUCAUAUGUGAAACUUAAACGUAACGCAAUAUGAGAUUAGAACAACGCUAGGCUAUGAGUACUAUUUUUGUGGAUAUGAUCUCAACAAAACAACGUUCCAUCGAUAAAUCUUAUACCAUGCAUACAAAUACAUAUACAGGAGAAAAUGGAACUUAAUUUGCCCUCAACUCACUUGACUGGAAUAAUACUUUCAACAUAAAUAAGAGCUUGGAAAUCUCUAACUUCAUUGAGAAUAGGAGGAAUAUGAAGAUAGUUGAGAUUUCUGGUACUGGAAUUAUAAGAAGUGGCUCUUCCACCGGAGGCAACCAUAAGAAGUUCAUUAGUUUUCCAAAAUGUAAAUGGAUUCUCAAUGCCUUUUAAGGGUCCAAAGGUUAGGAGUUUCGUCCAUGAACUCUUAACUCCAUCAUAAUCAUCUAGUACCCAUACUUCACAUAAUGUAGAAUCCGCAUCACUUGGAUCGCAACAAGAGCAAAAAGAAGCAAUCGAUUUAUCACAUAGAAAAAUAUUAGAAAACUCAAAAUUGGAUUCUCUCCUAGAAGGCAAUUGUAUUCUAUGAAAUAUCUCAUCACCUAAAUAAAAUGAAAGUAUGUAUUUCUCGCCAUCGGUUGCAAACCAAUAACAAAAUCCCUUCAUGUACACUGAAAAAGAAUAAUGAUAGGUUUAACUUGAUAUAUCAAUCUUGAUCUCUAUCCAAGAGUUAGCAACCAUAGUAUAUACCUCAGCCGUGUGAGGAAGAGCAAUACGAUGAUAAUAGUAUUAUUGCUGAUCAUCUGAAUACUCACAAUUUUCUAUAUUUUGCACAACCUUGUAUUCUUCAGUUUUGCAAUCAUAACCAAAUCCUAAUGCUCCAAAGAUCGUCUCCAAUUCGAAUUUUCCCUUAGGACGGGAAGGUAAAAGAAGGCAUGAACGCGGAAGUUGCCUGAAUUCCCCUGUUGCAGGAUUGCAUAAAAGAAGAUUUAUCAAAUGAAGAUUUUUCCCUGCUAUUACACAGACAGUCCCAUUGCAAUAGCCGUCAAUCUCUACAAAAUCAUGACCUUCCAAUGGAAACGGUAUAUUUAGGUCCUCAACAUCAUAAUGAGACCAAUUAUCAUUGGUGUGUUGACCUUGUAGCAGAAAUGUGGUGAAACAUUUUCUUAAAUUCAUUCUUCAUGUAUAAGAUGGAUUAUGGGGUAGCAAGAUUCUGUUGGAAAUUAUAUAUUAUAAUAUGAAAUAUUGUAAUAUAUAAUUUUAAUAAUUGAAUUAAAAAUAGUGUUAACCAAUUUCUUAGAAAGGUUAUGUUGUUUAGGUGAUACUUGAUAAGUGAUGUAUACUUAUAGCUGAAAAGUUACAUCUCUUUAAUAAAUAGAAGUUGGAUUCUAUAUAAACCCAUGAAACCAUUGGUAUUAGAUAUAGAAAAUUAGAGUUAAUUUUUACUCUUGGGAAAUAGGGUUUCCCACUUUAUUUCUCUUAUUCGUGUGUCAAAUUCCGAGUCGUGUCUUGAGAGUACGGAAUAUAUAAAGUUCGCAAGAGUCCGAAGAUUGAAGUGCUUUGACUUCGGAUUAUAGAUUGUUGAAUCUUGGGAGAUGGAUGCCAACCGAACUACAAGCACAAGAGUAGGGGCGAAAUUCUAUCUUUAGGACAUUGCAUUUAUGCAAGCCUCAAUCGCCAAAUUUGUCAGUUAUUCUAACUUUGUCUCUAAUUAUUUAUAUUAAUCUCAUAUAUAUUUGAUGUUGUGAAUUUCUUUAUAAUUAUUAUCAUGGGAAUCAUAUUGUUAUUUUUCAUAUUUUCUAAUAUUGCUCCAACAAUCUAAAGAUAGAAAUCUACUUAUACAAUAAUUAGUAAAUAUGAAUGUGAAGAAGAUGUUAAGAACAUUGAAGUAAUAACCCUAUACCCUAAUUCAAAGACACUAUGGUUUUCUACUGAAAAAGGCAUGUCUUGGAGGGACUAAUUUUUAUUUGCUUAUUGAUAUAUAACAUAAUAUUUGAUGUUGGCAUUCAAAUUGUAUUGUUAAAUGCAUGAUACAAUUCAAAUAUAUUCAUCUAUAUAUGCACAUGAGCAAUGUUUGCUUGUUGAUUCAAUCUGUGACUUUAAACGUGUUGGGCAACAUAUAACGUUGUAUUUGAUGCGUAGCCUAGCCCUUUUAUGCUAACAGGGUUUGUAUAAAUUGAUGCAAUUAAGACUUCAAUCUCUAUGAUUUUAGUCGUGAUGACUAGGGUUAGAUCAUGGUUUGGAAUUAUCCAUGGGGAGCGGUGUCCAUGCAACCGCCAGUUUCUUUGAAAGGAUAAAAAUUCAAAAGUAAAAAUUUAUGGGCAAAUGCAACACUUGACGAAAAGGUGUUAGCAAUUUGUAUGGGAAUUGUUUAGGUGUUUUGGACAACAAAAAGGUUCUUGGAAACAGAAUUCCAAGCCAAACGGUUAAUUUGCACAUAGUUUCUUAUGCAUGUUUGUCCUCUCUCUCUCUGAAACAAUGAUAUAUUUGAAUAAUCGAUUGCAAUCUUUCCAUGUUAAUAUAUGAAAAGGUGGGACACCUGUUAUGAAAGUCUUUAUUUGGGAAGUUGUGUUCCUUGGAAGGCAUGCAAACAUGGCUUGUGAAAUCAGUCUGAUAUAUUGUUUUAAAAUUUGGAAAAUAUCUCAGCCGCGUAAGUGCGGUUGGGAAACCUGCACCGAUUUCUGGAAGUUUUUGGUUUUCCAAAAAAGUUUGUUCGUCAUAAUUGGAAACCAAAAGAUAUUUCUAAGAAAAAUGAAGGACAUACGUGGAAAUGUCAAAGUUUGAGUAACUCUUUACGAAGGGUUGUUGUCGUUGGCCGGUUAAUUGUGUUUCUCGAAUAUAACUUUUCAGAUCAAAGUUAUGACAUAAAUUUGAUGCGCGAGUGCCUGGGAACGAUCUGUAAAUUUCGGAACGGUACAUUACCAAUAUGUAUGUUUGCUAAAACCAGACAUGGCUACCGUCUGAAUGGACUUCUCCAUUUGUGGUGGCAGCAUAUCGAAAUUUUGGCCAAAGGAAAAACUUGGAUUGAUGAUUGGCCAUAUGUGAAAUCAAAGGCCAAAGUAUAAUUGGAAGGCCUAACCAGGUCUGUAAAGCAGAUUGAUCCAUGCCUUAUUUAAGAAUCACAUAUACAUGGUUUUAAUUACAUUUGGGCAAAAGACAAUGGAAAAGAGUUUUGCCAUGGCUCAUGAUUUAGUCAUGUUUGGCAAUGAAUUUUACACUGUUGUCCAUAGCCAAAUCUUAGCGUGUAAACUCAUUUAGGAUGAGUUAUCUUUGUCUUAAAAAGAAGAUAGCAAUUGAAUUGUGGGGGUUCUGCCCAAGGAUGCAAGCCAAGAAGAGUUUUUCUUAUAAUGGCUAGUGAGGCACGACAGAGAUGCAUGGAACAUUGGUAGAGCCUAAAAUAAUUGGCGAUAACUUCUUAAAGAAAGUUUUGUGAUGGCUACUACAAACCAACCGAGUGUUGCCAUAAGCCACGUCUUGAUAAGAAACCUAAGAAAAUCAAUGAAUUUGGAUUAGAGACACAACAAAAACUAAUGUUGUCUUUAGAGAAGCCAAAAAAGUGAGAUAAGGCAUUAAAACUGUGGGGUUUUCUUAUAGAAGUGCACCAUAUUAGAUAUGGCUUAUUUAGUAGGCAAAAAUUAAGUUUGACUAUUUUGAUGCGUUAGCCAUGGUUUUAAGUUACUUAAGGUACAUUAUCAUGGAGUGUAAUUUACAAUACGCAAAGUAUAUCCACAUGGGAUAAUCCUAUGCAUGUAUUAGGAUGGUUUGCAAAUAAGGCAGAGAACAAAUUAGAAAGAGUAAUUUGCAUGUAAAAGAGAUAAUAAGUAAUAUCUCUUAUUAUGAAUGACUUUUAAGGUAGCGGAGAUGUAAAUGGUGGUGCGUCUUGGACUGCAGAAAUUAAGAUGCAGUAAGUUCUCAUGAAUAGGUUGGAAGUUUCUGGAUAUUUCGUCGAAUGGUAUUUUUAUUACCUUUUUGAGAUGCGUUAUUUUUACACUUGACUUGCAUUAUUAUUGUGUUUGUUUUCUGUGAGAUUAGUUUUUGUGGCAUGCAUGUUUGUGCUCCUAUAUGUGUGAGCGAUUACAAUAUUUCAAUUAGGAAGAUGGGUCUCUUGGAAAAUUUCUGGAAAACAUGAAUUAAGCAUACUCUCGUUCAUGGGGAAACUUAUGGUGAAGAGAUAUUUCACUGGACAUGUCUUUGUUCCUACCUUCAUGCAUGUCCCAUGCCUUGAAGCCAAGUGGGCGAGACGCAGAUCAUGGCAGUUUCUCUUGAAGGCAUGUCAGUUGCCAUUAAGGAAAUGACUAGCUAUUAUUGUGAAAUAAAACACUUACACUAGAGAGAGUCUUAUCCUCAUCCAUGUUAGUCAUGGUGAAAGUGAAUGUGUUAUAAAGAAAGUUGUGGUUGUCUUUAGUCAAAGAGUGAAGUCUUAACUAUGAAAUCUCGAUAAGUUUAAAGGCUAAAAGGCAAGAAGUGCCAGAAGUGCCGGAAGUCCUUCUCAUAGAAAGGACUUGUGAGGCUUGAACGCCUAGAAGUGAAGAUAGAUAAAGAGAAAAUAUCUUCACUGUUUCCUACUUCUUAAGUAUGAUGAAGGAGUAAUUGAUAGCAUUAAAAUGCAACCACAAUGUGAGUAAAUUGUGGGGGAGUGACAUAGUUAUCUUUGGACUAUAUGUCAACUUAGGUAGAAUGACCGAGUAAUUUGCUUCUAGAAAGAGAUAAAGAUUAUCUCUUGCAAUGGUGUUUUAAGGUAUUGAAAGGUUAUAGACUUUUCGAUAAAUACCUUAAAUGUGGGGGAGUUUACCCAAGGGCUUAUUGUUAGCAAAUUACUUAGUAAUUAAGUCCUAAUAUAAUUUUGAGGACUUGACAUUUCAAAUAAUGUCAAACAAUUACUCUCGUAUGAAAUAUAAUUUCAUAAGGUGGAUUGUGCACACCAUUAAAGAUAUAGUGAACCUAGUAGUGGAUCCAAUUAUUAAAGGUUUGACUAGAGAAAAAGUUGAUCAUUGAGGGGAAUGAGGCUAAAGCCAACAUAACUAAUGAAUCAGCCAAGCGGAAAUUUAACUUAGUUGAUUGGAGAUCUCAUGGUCUAAGUUCAAUAGGCAAACUGGUUGGGCAUAAUUCAAAGAAGUUAACACACUAUAUACCUCAUUCCUAUGGUGAAAGAAGUGUGUUGUUUGCAGAAGUUUUAGGGUGUAUAUUUAUACUUAAUGACAGUGAUAUCUUAUAAAUAAGAAGAAUAGAGCAGACUAUUCUUAAUCAGUGAUCACCUAUGUGAGAGUAGAAGUGGGUCGCUUCUAUGAGAAUGAGAUGGCUAAAUUCUCUAAAGCUCUCAUGAAUCCAGGAUUUGUUCAGGACCAAAUUGAACACAACCGUAUGAACCGGAAUAUAUUAGGAUUAGUGAUCUGUGUUGCUUAUUGUCUUGGUUUACUACUGCGGUGAACAGUUCAAGAUUUUAUAUUCACUGCGUCACCAAGUAAAUCUGAUAAGUAUUCACUAGGGUAGGUUCAAGUCCAAAAGACACCUCUCCCGAUGCAUCUCUUGUCCGCCUGUACUCUCAAUUUCUUCCUGAUUUUUCAUUGAUGUGGGGGAUUGUUUGAAAUUAUAUAUUAUAAUAUGAAAUAUUGUAAAAUAUAAUUUUAAUAAUUGAAGGAAAAAUAGUGUUAACCAAUUUCUUAGAAAGGUUAUGUUGUUUAGGUGAUACUUGAUAAGUGAUGUAUACUUAUAGAUGAAAAGUUACAUCUCUUUAAUAAAUAGAAGUUGGAUUCUAUAUAAACCCAUGAAACCAUUGGUAUUAGAUAUAGAAAAUUAGAGUUGAUUUUUACUCUUGAGAAAUAGGGUUUCCCACUUUAUUUCUCUUAUUCGUGUGUCAAAUUCCGAGUCGUGUCUUGAGAGUACGGAAUAUAUAAAGUUCGCAAGAGUCCGAAGAUUGAAGUGCUUUGACUUCGGAUUAUAGAUUGUUGAAUCUUGGGAGAUAGACGCCUACCGAACUACAAGCACAAGAGUAGGGGCAAAAUUCUAUCUUUAGGACAUUGCAUUUAUGCAAGCCUCAAUCUCCAAAUUUGUCAGUUAUUCUAACUUUGUCUCUAAUUGUUUAUAUUAAUCUCAUAUAUAUUUGAUGUUGUGAAUUUCUUUAUAAUUAUUAUCAUUGGAAUUAUAUUGUUAUUUUUCAUAUUUUCUAAUAUUGCUCCAACAGAUUCUACCGUUUUUUGCCUUGCCUACAAAACAAUUAACACCUUUGAUAGGAUUUUUAGUACAUGCGGAAAGAGGGCUAAAAUCACACCAAAUUUUCAAGAGAACAAGAUUAUUGUGGUAAGAAUGCUCAUGCAAGGUUGUUCCCAUGCACAAAGAUUAUAUAAAACAAUUUAUGUAAAACCCAAUCUUAUUUAACUACUUGAAACAAAGUUUGGACAAAGUUGAUUUUUAAUUUUUAAAUAUUAAAAAAAACAAAUUUCAAAUAAUUAAAGAAAUUAGCAAGAGACCAAUUUUAAAGAAAACAAUUUGAAAGGAAACGGUUUGAAAUAUCAAAUUAUAAAAGCAAUAGGGUUCCGACGUCAUCUUGACAAUCCUAUAUGCAACUCUGAAGAUUAGGUUUUCCUAAUGCAUAUUCUAGUUGUGGCAUUCAAGAUACAAUGUAUAUCAAACAUGCAAGUUGUUUGUGGCAUUCAGAUGAAACGUAAACAUGCAUGACUCAUUACGAUUUAUGAAAACCCUUUGAAAAACCAUGUUGUAACAACCUGCUCGAAUUUUAUCGGAACAAAAGAAGUAUUUCGUGAAAUUGCAUCUUAAGCUAGAUCUUUUUCUUUUAAAAUUGUUUUGGGUGUUAAAUGGUGUGCCCUGUGAUCUUUGUCCCCCCGGUCCCUCUUCCCUCUUUCCUUUUGGACCCGUGCAUCCUCACUCUCCCUUAUUUCUCCCACUCUUUUUCUUCCCUUUCCCGUGCAUCUUUCUCUUUCUUUCUUUCUAUCUCAGUUCUCUCCCCCUCGCAAGUCUCUUCUCUCCCCUCCUCCAUAGCUAGCACCGAGAUGGUGCUUUGGAGACCACCACCAGAUGCCACCCUCACCUGUGGGAUGUCUGUCAUCCCUCAUAGACUUUCUCACUUCAAUCUCUCAACUCUGCAACUGCAUUUGACAUCGGUUAUCGAUUCCCCAGUGUGAGAGUAAGGUUCUAGACCUUUGAAUUAAUCCUUCCCUCAUCUCUAGUUGUUGAAUAAACUUUUGUACAUGUUUUAGACGUCAAACCACGAAGAAACCACCUCGGUGGAGUUUCUCCACGUUUUCCGACGAGGAGCACCGCCACUUUCGAGGCAAUUUUUGGCCCAACCACGACAAGUUGGUCGGCAUGCAAGGUAUCAAUCUCUUCUUCUUGCUGAGUACUACAACUUUCUUUUUUGUUUCACCUAAUUUCGUUGAGUAUUGAGGAAUUUAUAUGCAUUUGAAUCUUACCUAGUUUCCAGCGACUUUCGUGGCUUUCAAGGCGUUUUUCUGCCAAACCAUGGUGAUUUAGAAGUCGUGCAAGGUACCAUUCUCUUCAUCUCAUCGAGAACUAUGAUUUCCAUUUUUGAAUCACUCAAUUUCGUUGACUAUUUACAAAGUUAUGAACGUUUAAAGUUUAUCCAAUUUUCCAAUUUUCGGCGAGUAACGGGCUCCCAAGCCCAACCUUUCAAACCAAGCCCUUUGGGCCUUCUCAUCUUAGGGCCUUUGGCCCGUUAAGACAAAACCCAAUCCAUUUAAUUAUUCUAUUUGUUUUCUGAAAUUCAAGUCAUGUGGGCCGGGCUUUCAAGCCCAAACCCAUUAGAAACCUUUAAACCCUAAGCCCUUUAAACCUUUCAAACCCAUACCCUUUUUAAUUAUUAAACCCCAAAGCCCUUGGAGGUCAAAACCCUAAACCCUAACCAACCCAAACCCUUUAUGGGGAAUAUUCAGUUAGGGACUAUUCCAUUAGGGAAUAUUUUAGGAAUAUUCUAUUGACUUUUACGAAAUUUAACCGGUAUCCUUCUUAGGGUAAUUCGACGUCCUGAAUCCGUUUCCAACGUCCAUAUUUCCAAAUUCAAUUGUUAUAAUAGAGUUUUAUUGAUUGGACCAUUUAUGUGCUUAGGGGCAAUUUAAUGUGGCGUUCUAUCUCCACUAGUUUGCGUGGCUCUCGGCGACGAAGUAUCUGUGAGUGGACUCCUUCUAAAAAUGCAUGUUUUAAUAGUAGAAAUGCAUACAUGGAAAAUCAUGAUUUAACAGUUAUGUUCUAAGAAACAUUUUGAGAUAACAUGCUUACUGAGGCUAUUUUGAAUUAUUCUAUUUUUCCUAUAACUCGUGUUCUUAUAGAAUAUCUGAUGGAUAACGAUAUGAUAUUUAGAACAUGUUUCGAACACCUCUUUAUAGUAUAGAUGAUGGAUGACUUUAUACUAUGAAGUUGUUUUUCAAAUGUAUGUAUGUUCGAUGGUUUUGUACUUACCUAGUGGUCCUUAUUCCGCUACGGAACGUAGGGAUAGAUUCUGGUCCAUCCCGGGCGACAGUUAUGGUGUUGGCAUAGGGCCUGAAGUGUUUUUCCUCUGGCUAUUAGCACAGGGACGAGGAGCCAGCAUGGGGCUUGGGGGUAAUUUUCCUCUGACUAUUUGCUCAGAGACGGGCAGUUGGCAUGGGGCCUAGAGAGAUAUUGGACAUUCACUAGUGAUUAUUAUAUAUACAAGUUAUGAUUUGAGACAUUGCACGACAUGCUAGGUUUCGGAAAACCUAUGUUUAUCAUAAUAUAUAUGUUUUUUCAUAAAACCUGGGGGUUAGUACGUGGAUAACUGUUUUAAUAUAUAUAUCAACUUGGUCCACUCAUGUUUGUUUUGCGCCCCCUUCAGGACUUAGAAUCGAGACAUACAAUCCCAGCGUCCAGGCACUUCUGCAUCGGCAUCUUCGAGUCCUCUCGGUGUAGGACCCAUUCCUUUGUUCAUUCAAUUUUUAUAUUAAUUCUUUUAGUGUUUUAGAUUAGAUGUGUGCUCUGCACACGUUCCUUAAAUGCAUAUUCCUUAUUUUUUUACAUUUAUAGGUUUUAUCUAUCCCUUGUUUUCAACAUUUGCACUCAAUAAAUGGUUUUCAUCACCCUUGGGUGUCGGCUAGUAUGUGCCUAUCCUAGUAUUCGGGGAAUAUCAGGAUCGGGGCCUGUCACAUGCAACCCUUAAGACAUGAUGCCACUUGCUAUAAUCUUUCACUUAAGCUAGAUACAAGUGAGAACAACCAUGUUACACCCACCCCUAAUUUAAAUUGUAUUUUCACUAAGUUUGAGAUUAUCUUACUUUUAAAAUAGUUUUUGGGUCUAAAAUGGUGCGCCCAAGGGGCCCACCCCCUGUUUUGUCCCCCGGUUCCCUUUCCAUACUUUUAUUUUUCUGAAAAGUCUUCAUCUUUCUCUCUUCUCCCUCACUUUCCCUUGCACUCUCUCUCGGCUCUCUCUAUCUCAGCCCCCCCGAGGGCUUUUCUUACCAACAAACAUCACCACAACAACAUCAACAUCUCCAUUAGCACCCUAGUGAGCUUAGAAACGAAGAGAGAACACCCCAAACCCUUUUCUUCCUUUCGGCCGGUACUGUUCAUCAUCUUCUCCGUCGAGUUUCGUAUCAUUUCGACAUUGGUAAGCUUCUAGAAAUCCUUGGGUUGUGUUUUAGGGUUAUAUCGAAGCUUGUUUUAAGUUGUGUCUACGUUUGAAUCACAGAAAAUAGCUCGGGAAAACUUUUCCAAAUUUUCCAGUGAGCACCGCCACUUUCGAGGUAAUUUCCGGCCAACCCACUGCAAGUUGGUCCUCGUGCAAGUAUCAUUCUCUUCGUCUCGCUGAGUACUACAACUUUCCUUUUUUUUUCACCCAAUUUCGUUGAGUAUUGAAGAAGUUAUAUCCAUUUGAAUCUUACCCAGUUUCCGGCGACCUCAGUAGCUUUCGAGGCUUUUUCCAACCAAACCACGGUGAGUUAGAUGUCGUAUGAGGUACCAUUCUCUUCGUCUCUUCAAGAAAUACAACUUUUGUUUUUGAAUCAUUCGAGUUCGUUGAGUUUUGACAAAGUUAUGGCCGUUUAAAUUUGGUGUGGAUUUCUGGCCGAAUUCCGGCCUUAUUCAUCCUUGGGUCCGGCGACCACCAAACCCAGGCCCUUUGGGCCUUUCCUGCCGAGCCCAACCCAAAACCCAUUUAAGUUAUUAUUAUUUAUUUUAUUAAUUGUUUUAAGUUAAAGGCCUUUGGGCCAAUUUAGCUAAGGCCAUAAGCUUUUUUUAUCUAAAACCCAAAACCCUUAGGCUUAAGGCUUUUGGGCUGUAGCUGUUGGGGGCCCUAAGCCCAACCCCAACCUUUUUAAUUAUUUUUGUUUAUUAAAUUGAUUUUAAAAACCCUAAAGGCCUUUAGGCCAUUUUCCUUUAGGGCCUUAGGCCCGUGCAUCCUAAGCCCAAACCCUUUAACCCUUUCAACCCUAAACCUUAGCCGACUCAACCCUUUAUGGGAAAUAUUCCGUUAGGGAAUAUUCCAUUAGAGAUAUUCCGUCAGGGAAUAUUCUGGAGACUUUUAGGAAUUUUACACGAGACCCUUCUUAGGGUAAUUCAACGUCUUGAAUCCGUUUCCAAUGUACGUUUUCCCAAAUUCAAUUGUUAUUUUAUAGUUUUAUUAAUUGGACCUUUUUUGUGCUUAGGGGUAAUUAUAGUGGCGUUUCUGUCUUUGCUAGUUGCGUGGUUCUUAAGCGGCUAAGUACAGUGAGUUGACCCCUUCUAAAAUGCAUGUUUUAAUAAUAGAAAUGCAUACAUGAAAAGCAUGAUUUAAUGAUUACGUUUUAUGAAACGCUUUGAGAUAACAUGCUUACUAAUGCUAGUUUGAAUUAUUACUAUUUUUCCUAUAACCCAUGUUCUUAUAGAAUAUCCGAUGGAUGACGAUAUGAUAUUUAGAACUCGUUUCGAACACCUCUUUAUAGUAUAGAUGAUGAAUGACUUUAUACUAUGAAGUUGCUUUUCAAUAUAUAUAUGUUCAAUGGUUUUAUACUUAACUAGUGGUCCUUUCCGCUAGGGGACGUAGGGAUAGAUUCCGGUCCGUCCCGGGCGACGGUUUGGUGUUGGCAUAGGGCCUGGAGUGUGUUUCCUCUGGCUUUUAGCACAGGGACGGGGAGCCGGCAUAAGGCCUGAAGUGUAUUUUCCUCUGACUGUCUGCUCAGAGACGGGGAGCUGGCAUGGGGCCUAAGGGUUAUCAGACAAUUCACUAGUGAUUAUUAUAUAUAAGUUAUGAUUUGAGACACUGCACGACAUGCUAGGUUUCGAAAUACCUAUGUUUAUCAUUAUAUUUGUGUUUUCAUAAAACCUGGGGGUUAGUACGUUGAUAACUGUUUUAUUAUAUAUAUAUAUAUAUAUAUAUAUCAACUUGGUCCACUCAUGUUUGUUUUGCGCCCUUUUUAGAACUUGGAAUCGAGGUAUACAAUCCCGGCAUCCAGACAUUUCCGCAUCGGCAUCUUCGAGUCCUCUUGGUGUAAGACCCAUUCUUUUAUUCAUUCAAUUUUAUAUUAAUUCUUUUAGUAUUCUAGUUAGUUGUAUGCUCUGAACACGUUCCUUAAAUGCUUAUUCCUUAUUCUUUUACAAUUAUAAGUUUUAUCUAUUCCUUAUUUUCCGCAUUUGCACUCAAUAAAUAGCUUUCGUCACCCUUGAGUGUCGGCCAGCACGUGCUUAUCUUGGUAUUCAGGGAAUAUCAGGAUCGGGGCGUGUCAAACCACAUGGACUAUUAUCCAACGACUUUAAUUUAAAUGGGAAACAACUAUUAAACUAAGAAUUUGAAUUGUUUCUUUGGCUCCAAGUUUCGGCUGAAGGGUUACAAACCAACACUCUCUUCUAACCCUUUAGCAGAUUUAACUCCCAAAAGCUCCCUUAGAUAGGCAAAUCGAUCUUUAGGCAAAGCUUUAGAAAGAAUGUCUACAAUUUGCUCCUCAGUCUUGCAGUACACCAGUUCAAUCUCCUUGGCUUGACUUGCUUCUCGGAUGAAGUGAAAUUUUCUACUGAUGUAUUGUCACACAUAAUCAGAGUUCCUUCCAGUUGUUCUUCUUCAAAAUCUUCAAGUACAAAUCUUAGCCAUUUUGCUUGAGAGGUAGCUUGUGCUACACUUACAUAUUCUGCUUCUGCUGUGGACAAUGCCAUAAUGCUUUGCCUAAUUGAUGCCCAUGAAAACAUACCAGAUCCUAGUGUAAAUGCAUAACCUGAAGUGCUCCUCUAUCAUCCUCACUUCUAGCCCAGUCACUGUCAUAGUAACCAAUUAGAGUAGUUGCUUUCCCCCUUUUUCAAAGACAAUUCCAAAAUCAAUUGUUCCUUGAAUGUAUCUCAGCACUCUCUUUGCUAUUCCCACGUGUUUCUUAGUGGGAUUAUGCAUGAACCUUGCCAGCAAGCUUGCUGCAAACAUUAUAUCAGGUCUGGUUGCUGUCAACUAGAGUAAGCUCCCCACAAGUUGUCUAUAUUCUCUCUCAUUUGUAGCUUCACUACCAUCAAUCUUACUCAAUUUUUCAUUCACUGCAAGUGGAGUAGCAACAGUUUUGUAGUCUUUUAACCCAAACUUCUUAAUCAACUUCUUAAUUAGCAUCUUACUCAAUUUCUCAGUUCGUAGUAAUCCAUCCCAAGGAAAUGGUGUAACAAACCCAAAUCUGUCAUCUCAUAGUGUUUCAUCAUGUCAUUUUUAAACUCUUCAAGCAUUUGUGGACUGCUACUAGUGUACACAAUAUCAUCUAUAUAUAAGGAGACAAUAAUGAUACUUGAGUCCUUACUUGUUUUAACAUAUAAGGUUGCCUUACUUAAGCUUUUCUUGAAACCUGCACUGUUGAAUUAGGCAUCAAUCUCAUCAUACCAAGCGCUUGGUGCCUGCAUUAAUCCAUACAUUGCCGUGUUCAAUUUAUACACCUUAGUCUCUUCAUUCUCUUUCACAAAACCUUGUGGUUACUCAACAUACACUUCUUCCUUCAGAAUUCCAUUAAGAAAGGUAGACUUCACAUCUAGUUGGUACAAACUCCAUUUCUUCUAUGCAGCAAGGGCAAUCAAGGUUCAUAUGGUAUCCAAUCUUGCCACAAGAGCAAAAGUCUCAUUGUAGUCAAUUCCAGGCUUCUGUGAGCAGCUUUUAGCCACCAAUCUAGCUUUGUUCUUCUGCAUUGUACCAUCCAUAUUGAGUUUGGUUUUAUAAACCCACUUGACACCAAUGACUGGCUUAUCAAAUGGUCCCUCAGCAAGCUCCCAUGUGUUAUUCUUCUCUAUCAUUUCCAACUCAACUUUCAUUUCAUUUUUUCAUGAGUCUCCAAGUUGGACCACAGAUAUUUGUGUGGAUCAAUUCCAAUGGAUUCUUGGCUGUCCAAGUUAGCUCAGAAGGAAAUGAGUCCCUAUGUUGUUUUCCCAUCAUGCAUCCUUCACAUACACUAGUGGACAUUUCCAAAUAGGACAAUCCAUGCACCAUCUCCUGUUCUUCAAGAAAUUUAAGACUUCUCUCAUUCAAGUGUCCAAAUCUCUUAUGCCAUAUCUAAAAGCAAUGUGUGACACUUGCUCUUAGUGUAAACUGAUUUGGUGGCAUCAUUGUCAAAGGAAAACAUCUAUUAUUGGUCAUCUGCACUCUAACUACCAAACUGUCAAGUGACCAACCACAAAAAAUAUUCACCACAUUUCCUCCAAACAAAAAAUAAUACCUAUGCUCUAUCAUCUGCCCAACACUGAGGAGAUUUUCCUGAAGUCCAUGAACAAGCAUCACUUCUUGUAUAUGUUUUUUUCCCAAUUUGGUCCCUAUCACUAGAGUUCCCUUUCCUGCCACCUGAACAAUUUCACCAGUCCCCAUAUUCACUUUAGAAGUCAAGUUUCUCUGAAUAUUGACCAAUAGUCUCUCAUCACUUGUCAUGUGGUUACUACAACCACUGUCAAUAUACCAUGAGUUAUUCACUUUCACAUUUAUCACUACAUUGCAGGCAUAGAACAAUGAUCCUGUUUCUCCCAUUUCCCUUGCAUAAUUAGCCUUUGGCACUGCUUUGUUCUCAUGGCAAUCUUUCACAGCAUGACAUGGUUUUACCACAACCUGUACAUUUUGGUUUACCCUCAUACAAACACUUCCCAUAAUGAAACCUGUCACACCAUUUACAAUCUCCUUGAGAGUUAUUCUGCCUCAGAGUAAAAUUAGGCAUGUGAUCCCAAUUUCUUUGAGCAUUGUUUUGUUUAUAAGCAAAGUUAGGCUUGUGAUCCCAACUUCUCCCCCUUGGUUUCCAAUUCUUUUGAAACUUUUGAUUUCUAAAAGAUCCACCACUUUAGGAUCCUUAGCUGCAACAUUUAAACUGGCAAAUGCUCUCUCAAUAGAGGUUUCAGCAUGCAAAUCAAGCCUCUGCUCAAACCCUUGAUUGAUGCAAUAACUUCUUCAACCUUAAGAGUUUCAAGAUCUCUAGAGUGCUCAAUCAUAGAACAAAUUGUAUCAUAUGUUUUUGGAAGGCUAAUUAACAAUUUCUGCACAAUUCUCUCCCUAGAUAAUUCUUCUCCAUAACCCCUCAUUUGAUUUGUGAUAUCAAAUAAUCUAGUGAGAUACACAGAUAAAGAUUCAUUGUCCUUCAUAUGACUAUACUCAAAAUCUCUAAGUAACCCUUGCAAUUUUACACUUCUUAUUUGUUUGUCUCCUCAAAAUUCACUCUUCAAGACAUCCCAAGCUCUUUUGGACGUUUCUUCGUUCACAAUUCUAGGGAAAAUUUGAUCCGAGAUAGCUCCUUGGAUUAUUCCAAGAUCAUGAGCAUCUCUCAUCAAGGUCUCACUGAAUGACACAAACUUUGUCAUUUCCUUCUUCGUCUCAUAGAGGUUCAAACCCAUUUUCAACCAACUCCCAUAUAUCAAACGAUUUCUGUAUUGUCAUCAUACGAAUCCUCCAAAACUCAUAGUUCUAUCCAUUGAAAAUUGGAGCUCUAAGCUUAGCAGUACUUGAUCCAGCCAUGUUAGAAUUUGGAUUCAAGGAAUUGCAGUUUCCAGACUCGAUUUGAGCUCAAAAUGGAGCUUAAUCGCACUCACAGAUUUCACACCCAGUUUGCACGAUGAAGCCUGGCUCUAAGGCCAUGUUAGACUUUGUGAAUAUUCAAUAUGCUUCAAUGGAAGCUUGAGGCAAAUCUGGAAAACCAAAGAAUGACAAAGAGAGUUUUUAGAGAAUGAUGAUGAUGGAAUUGAUUAUGAGAUUCCUCAAAACAAAUAUGUGAGGUUGUUACUGUUAUACAUGGAAGAUGAAGGGAUGUUACACCCACCCCUAAUUUAAAUUAUAUUUUCACUAAGUUUGAGUUUAUCUUGCUUUAAAAAUUGUUUUUAGGUCUUAAAUGGUGUGCCCAAGGGGCCCACCCCUAAAAUUUUGUCCCCGGUCCCCUCUCUUUUGUUGCCACAUGGUAGUCUUCUCUCUCUGCUCUCCUUGUCCCUGAGUUCCUUCUCUGUUUCAUUUUUAUCUCUCUCCCUCUCUCUCUCGACUUCACCCUUCCAUCCUCAUCACGAAACCCACACACACAAACCCACCACCACAACCACCUAGCUAUGACACCACCAUCACCUCUGGAACUUUCCUCUCCCCCCCCCCCCCGUCUUGGUGAAGCUUCGGAACACCAAGAGAACACCCAAGUCUCCCCCGACGACUCCGGCGACUUUUGAGGCAAUUUCUGGCCUAACCACGAUGACUUGGCUGGCUUGCAAGGUAUCAAUCUCUUUAUCUCGCUGAGUACUACAACUUUCCAUUUUGUUUCACGCAAUUGCAUUGAGUAUUGAAGAAGUUCUACUCAUUUGAAUCUUACCCAGUUUCCGGCGACCUCUGAGGCUUUCGAGGCAUUUUCCGGUCAAACCACGACGAGUUAGACGUCGUGUGAGGUACCCUCUUCAUUUCUUCGAGAACUAUAACUUUCGUUUUUGAAUCACUCGAUUUUGUUGAGUUUUGACAAAGUUAUGACCGUUUAAAGUUGGUGUAGUUUUCCGGCCAAAUCCGGCCUUCUCCUCCCUUUGAACCAGCGACCCACCAACCUAAGGCCUAUGGGCCUUUCCUGCCGAGCCCAACCCAAACCCAUUUCUGUUUUCUUAUUUAUUUUGUUUUAUUAAAUUGCUUUAAGUUAAUGGUCUUUGGGCCAUUUCUAUUUAAGCCCAGGUCGUGUGCCUUUUUAACCCAAAACCCUUAGGCUAAAAGCCUUUGGGUCUUUCAAAUCAGGGCCUUCAGUCGUCCUCCUUAAAACCCUAAACCCUAAUCAGCUCAAACCCUUUAUGUGGAAUAUUCUGUUAGGGAAUAUUCCAUUAGAAAAUAUUUCGUCACGGAAUAUUCUAUUGACAUUUUAUGAAAUAUAUCAAGGACUCUUCAUAGGGUAAUUCGACGUUCUGAAUCUGUUUCCAAUGUCCGUUUUCCCAAAUUCAAUUUCUAUUAUAUAGUUUUAUUAAUUGAGCCCUUUAUGUGCUUAGGGGCAAUUAUAGUGACGUUUCGGUCUUCGCUAGUUAUGUGGCUCUUCGGCGACGAAGUACUGUAAGUGGACCCCUUCUAAAAAUGCAUGUUUUAAUAGUAGAAAUGCAUACUUGAAAAGCAUGAUUUGAUGAUUAUGUUUUAUGAAACGCUUUGAGAUAACAUGCUUACUGAGGCUAUUUUGAAUUAUUACUAUUUUUCCUAUAACCCAUGUUCUUAUAGAAUAUCCGAUGGAUGACGAUAUGAUAUUUAGAAUAUGUUUCGAACACUCUUUAUAGUAUAGAUGAUGGAUGACUUUAUACUAUGAAGUUGUUUUUCAAUAUAUAUAUGUUCAGAGAUUUUGUACUUACCUAGUGGUCAUUUCUGCUACGGGAAGUAGGGAUAGAUUCUGGUCCGUCCUGGGCGACGGUUUGGUGUUGGCAUAGGGCCUGUAGUGUGUUUCCUCUGGCUAUUUAGAAUAGAGACGGGGAGCCGGCAUGGGGCCUGGGGUUAUCAGACAAUUCACUAGUGAUUAUUAUAUAUACAAGUUAUGAUUUUGAGACAUUGCACAACAUGCUAGGUUUCGGAAAACCUAUGUUUAUCAUUAUAUAUGUGUUUUCAUAAAACUUAGGGGUUAGUACGUUGAUAACUGUUUUACUAUUUAUAUAUCAAAUUGGUCCACUCAUGUUUGUUUUGCGCCCCCUUCAGAACUUAGAAUCGAAGCAUACAAUCCCAGCAUCAAAGCACUUCCACAUUGGCAUCUUCGAGUCCUCUCGGUGUAGGACCCAUUCCUUGUUCAUUCAAUUUUUAUAUUAUUUCUUUUAGUGUUCUAGAUUAGAUGUGUGCUCUGAACACGUUCCUUAAAUGCAUAUUCCUUAUUAAUUUACAUUUAUAAGUUUUAUAUAUCCCUUGUUUUCAGCAUUUGCACUCAAUAAAUGGCUUUCGUCACCCUUGGGUGUCGGCCAGCACGUGCCUAUCCUGGUAUUCGGGGAAUAUCGGGAUCGGGGCGUGUCAGAUUGGUAUCAGAGCGUGGUCUGUUCAAAGCAUACGUAGGAUAUCCUCUUACAGUAGUAAUGUGUCUGUCAGGACAUCAUUUGGAUGUCACGACUUCCGGAUUUGGUGCCAUUCGGCGCAUUUGUGCGAACCUUUCUCUAUUUGAAUUGUCACAUUCUGGUUGAAAUACAAGAAUUCGUGUAGGGAUUGUGCCUCAGCAACGAUGAAUUGGAUUGUUAGACGACUUUCAACAUUAGAUUGAUACUCUGCAAUAUGCGUUGCCUAGGAAUUGGGGGCAGAGUCGGAUCUACAUAAGAGCGUUGGGAAAUGGAAAAACCUAAGUGGUUUGAAUUUGGAAGCUCUAAAGCGGUGUUGUACUCUGCAACGUGCAUUCCCUGGGAAUGACAGGCAAAGUCGGUGUUACUUGGAAGCGGCGUGUUUUAGAAAUCUCAGUUUGAGGAAGUCUGGUUAAGACCAACUGUAGAUCCGAAAUGGCGAUGCCACUCUGCAACAUGCAUUCCCUAGGAAUUAUGGGCGGAGUUGGCUCUAUAUCGAAAUCUUGGGAAACAAAAAAAUCCUGGUGGUACGAAUUGGUUAAGACUAACUGGAGAUCUGAAGCGAUGAUAUCACUCUGCGACAUGCGUUUCUUAGAAAUGGCAGGCAGAGUCAUAUCUCUUGGAAAUUGUUUGAAACAUUCGAAGUGUGUGUUGGAGAAGGCGAGUAAGCGUUAGCUGUUACGAAGUUAGUGGUAGUUGGUGGGAGCAAAUCAAUGUUCUUGGACUCGUUUCCAUUGAGGACAUUCGUGUGAAUCUUUAGAAUGAAUCUUCGGGGAUUGUUCUAUCGAUAACCUUCUUGCUUAAUUAAUGACGAAGUCAAGUUUCCUAUCCUUUGACCGUUAGCUUCACACUAUAUUCUUCAAGUGUUGACUUCGUUUACAUUAAUUGCUUUUCUUAGGAAACUUCUCAGUAACAGACAUUCUCACCAAUUUCCAAAUGGAGUUGCGAUUCUUGUUGUUGUGGUAGUUGGACUUAGAUGAUGAAGAUCCAGUCUUGUUUGGAUAAUCUGACUCCUUGAACUUCACCUGGGUCUGGUACUCGGUGGUAAAACCCUAGCACCUUGUCCACGAACUUUUCGGUAGAGGUGAACUUAGUUUCUUGUUUGUAGCUCAACUGACUAAUGUUCUUGUCCAUUAACUGUUCAACAUUGUAAUUUUCAGUGUAAUGGCUUGAGAUUCCACCAUAUUCAUCAUUGUACAAAGAUUGAGCUUUGCGCUGAACUUCUCUAGACUCAUUGAGCUUUGGUUUGCUCAGAGGCAUCACUUUAAGGUAGCCAAUCGUGUCACUGCAUGCAUACACAGGCUGUUUUAUAUCUUUCUUCUUUGUCAUUCUGUUGAUUCAGAGGUUCUAUGUUUAAUUUUUUAACUUUGAAAAGCUCUCACAAAGUAUCGUGAAUUGCGAAAUGUCUUUGACCUCGUCAAAUCUUAUAAGCAGUUCUUAACUAUUCUUGAGAUUAGACUUGUUUCCCUUUUGGCUAAGAAAACCGUCAACCUUAUUGUGAUGAUUAGCCAAAUAAUCAUAAAUAGUGACUUAUAUUUCUACAUCUUUACCUUCCUUCGCUUGUUUGUUUCUCAAUGUGAACUGGAUCAUGCCGAAACAUUACACGGAGGGUGUAAAAAAAAAAUACGUUUGUUCUCGGCAUGGUUCCUGGUUCAAAUCUCGAUAUCUUGUACUCUAGAUUUUAAUGGAUUUGUUUUGACCCUCAAAUUCUUGAGUGUUUUUUUUCAGCCUUCUCGACCUGGUUUCUCACUUAAUCAGUGAGAAAUUCACGAUCGAUCGUUUCGGUGAAAGUGUGCACCCAGUUCGUGUCGAUUCGGACAGGAACGAUAGGAGCAUAACCUUUUCACAAGCUUACUAGACUUACCAGAAAGAGUUCCUUGUGGGUGUGAGGUUUAAGUCGCUUUUGGUAUAGGAUUAGUAAAGAUUAUAGUGUAGGUGAUCAACUGAUUUCAUCAUUAUCUCCACGCUAAAUUGAAUGGCCACCACUCAUUAUCUUGCUACAAUUCAUAACCAUCAUAUCUUACUCUGGUAGACCUUUUCGAUGAUGUGAUGUGUUCGCCUCAACGCAGCUUUCCACUAUCUCUCACUAGGAUCCUUCGAUUCGAGAGCAUGUGGGCGUGAGGUUUAAGCGGUCUUUUAGUAAGAGUUGGAUGAAGGUUUUAGUACAGAAGGUCAGCAGAUUGUAUCACCAUCUUACUAGAAUUCAUAGGCAUAACAUCGGUUAUUUUCCAACGAUAUGUGUUCGUCUCAACGCAUAUUUCCAUUGCUUCACUUCUGAACCUUAUUGUUGUGAGUACGUGGUUGUCCAAACACUUCUAACAUAUUUGUUUGGUGCAUUCUGGGAUGGCACUACAGCACGGUCGAGGCGAGAAUUGGAUAAUCUUUACACUUCUCUCGAAAGGUGUGUGCUCUCUUUGGUUGUGAGGAUGAUCAUUUGCAAGUUCUUUCUACCAACUUUGGCCUUGUUUGACUAGAAAUCUGCAACUAAGCAAAAAUGGAGAGGUGGAUUGAGCACAGCAACAGCUCCCUAGAGAUACUGCUUGUUGGGAAAGAUGACUUCUCAUUUUCUGCUUGCUUGACUUAAGCUUUUGGGUCUACUACUAGCAUGGUAGCCACUUCUCUUGAAUCCCAAGGUACAGUUUUCAAAAGGGUUAUUUACUGGUGAAACACUGGAAUAGUUGGUCACAUUUGGAAGAACUGAGGAGGAUAGGAUGCUUGGUGCUGGAUAGAGUUUUACGACGACAAUUUCAAUUUUGUUUGGUUUGAGUAUGGCAUUGGUACGAAAGUUGCUACAUGCAACACUGGUUGAUAGAGGAGUUGUGCGAGCUAGUAUUCGGAGGAUCGAAUUUACGACGCGUGAAAUUAUGCAUCCUUAGGAAAUUAUUUCUUGCUUAUCAAGACAACAAAUGUGUGAUCGAUAUCGUGGGCGGCCGACUGUGGUAUCGAUAACUUAUUCGUUGCGUUCGUUAAGCAAGUGGGCAAGAAGAUUCUUUUACGACAGCUGUUAAGGAAUUGUUAUUCUUGGGACUCUAACCAAAGACUCAUGUCUCGAAGUGCGUGACGUUUCGUAUGCUUAGGCGAUACCCACUCUCAUUUUUUUCAAUUUUGGUUUUCAGUAUAAGUAAUUUAACUUCAUUUACUUUAGUUAUUUGUUUUUGGUGUUACAAAUAUUUUGGGGGGAAGUUUUUCCGUUUUCAAUUUUAAGUUCAGCACGAGUUUUCGACCUAUAUAUUAGUACAUAUCUAUUUUUGACGCUAUAGUAUUUUGCGUACUUAUUUUUGACCUUACGUCAAUAUAUGUUUUCGACUUUAUAUUUUUAUAAAGUAUGUUUCUACUUUUACACUGUUGGGGAUGAAAGUAAGAACUUGGAGGCAUGAAAGAGGAUUUGGCAAACUGCUCGCGACAGUGUGACAUAUUCUCUUUGAUGCAUCCACUCUGACCAGAUUUCUCUUUAUACAUAUAUUCUUCUCCCUAUUUUCGAGUAUUUCAGUUUAGUAAGUGAUUUUAAAUUUCAGGGACGAAAUUCUUUUAAGGGGGUAGAUUGUUACACCCACCCCUAAUUUAAAUUGUAUUUUCACUAAGUUUGAGUUUAUCUUGCUUUUAAAAUUGUUUUUAGGUCUUAAAUGGUGUGCCCAAGGGGCCCACCCCUGAAAUUUUGUCCCCGGUCCCCUCUCUUUAGCUGCCACGUGGCAGUCUUCUCUCUCUGCUCUCCUUCUCCCUGAGUUCCCUCUCUGUUUCAUUUUUAUCUCUCUCCCUCUCUCUCUCGACUUCACCCUUCCAUCCUCAUCGUGAAACCCACACACACACACCCACCACCACAACCACCUAGCUAUGACACCAGCAUCACCUCUGGAACUUUCCUCUCUCCCCCCUGUCUCGGCGAAGCUUCGGGACACCAAGAGAACACCCAUGUCUCCCCCGACGACUCUGGCGACUUUCGAGGCAAUUUUCGGCCUAACCACGGCGAGUUGGCUGGCUUGCAAGAUAUCUAUCUCUUCAUCUCGCUGAGUACUACAACUUUCCUUUUUGUUUUACCCAAUUGCAUUGAGUAUUGAAGAAGUUAUACUCAUUUGAAUCUUACCCAGUUUCCAGCGACCUCCGAGGAUUUCGAGGAAUUUUUCGGUCAAACCACGCCAAGUUAGGCGUCAUGUGAGGUACCAUUCUCUUCGUCUCUUCGAGAACUACAACUUUCAUUUUUGAAUCACUCGAUUUUGUUGAGUUUUGACAAAGUUAUGACCGUUUAAAGUUGGUGUAGUUUUCCGGCUGAAUCCGGCCUUCUCCUCCCUUUGAAUUCGGCGACCCACCAACCUAAGGCCUUUGGGCCUUUCCUGCCGAGCCCAACCCAAACCCAUUUCUGUUUUCUUAUUUAUUUUGUUUUAUUAAAUUGCUUUAAGUUAAUGGCCUUUGGGCCAUUUCUAUUUAAGCCUAGGCCAUGUGCCUUUUUAACCCAAAACCCCCCAAAACCCUUAGGCUAAAAGCCUUUGGGUCUUUCAAAUCAGGGCCUUCGCCCGUCCUCCUUAAAACCCUAAACCCUAAUCGGCUCAAACCCUUUAUGUGGAAUAUUCUGUUAGGGAAUAUUCUAUUAGAAAAUAUUCCGUCAGGGAAUAUUCUAUUGACAUUUUACAAAAUUUAUCUAGGACUCUUCUUAGGGUAAUUCGACGUUCUGAAUCUGUUUCCAAUGUCCGUUUUCUCAAAUUCAAUUGCUAUUAUAUAGUUUUAUUAAUUGAGCCCUUUAUGUGCUUAGGGGCAAUUAUAGUGACGCUUCUGUCUUCGCUAGUUACGUGGCUCUUCGGCGGCAAAGUACUGUGAGUGGACCCCUUCUAAAAAUGCAUGUUUUAAUAGUAGAAAUGCAUACCUGAAAAGCAUGAUUUGAUGAUUACGUUUUAUGAAACACUUUGAGAUAACAUGCUUACUGAGGCUAUUUUGAAUUAUUACUAUUUUUCCUAUAACCCAUGUUCUUAUAGAAUAUCCGAUGGAUGACGAUAUGAUAUUUAAAAUAUGUUUCGAACACCUCUUUAUAGUAUAGAUGAUGGAUGACUUUAUACUAUGAAGUUGUUUUUGAUAUAUAUAUAUAUAUAUAUAUAUAUAUAUAUAUAUAUAUAUGUUCAGAGGUUUUGUACUUACCUAGUGGUCCUUUCCGCUAAGGGAUGUAGGGAUAGAUUCCGAUCCGUCCCAGGCGACGGUUUGGUGUUGGCAUAGGGCCUGGAGUGUGUUUCCUUUGGCUAUUUAGCACAGAGACGGGGAGCCGGCAUGGGGCCUGGAGUGUAUUUUCCUCUGACUGUCUGCUCAGAGACGGGGAGCCGGCAUGGGGCCUGGACAUAUUUCACUAGUGAUUAUUAUAUAUACAAGUUAUGAUUUUGAGACAUUGCACAACAUGCUAGGUUUCGGAAAACCUAUGUUUAUCAUUAUAUAUGUGUUUUCAUAAAACUUGGGGGUUAGUACAUUGAUAACUGUUUUACUAUUUAUAUAUCAAAUUGGUCCACUCAUGUUUGUUUUGCGCCCCCUUCAGAACUUAGAAUCGAAGCAUACAAUCCCGGCAUCAAAGCACUUCCGCAUUGGCAUCUUCGAGUCCUCUCGGUGUAGGACCCAGUCCUUGUUCAUUCAAUUUUUAUAUUAUUUCUUUUAGUGUUCUAGAUUAGAUGUGUGCUCUGAACACGUUCCUUAAAUGCAUAUUCCUUAUUAUUUUACAUUUAUAAGUUUUAUAUAUCCCUUGUUUUCAGCAUUUGCACUCAAUAAAUGGCUUUCGUCACCCUUGGGUGUCGGCCAGCACGUGCCUAUCCUGGUAUUUGGGGAAUAUCGGGAUCGGGGCGUGUGAAGGGAGAUCCUUCACUCAUCAAACCACAAAAACAAAUCUCAGCCCUUAAUUGCUAUCACCUUAUGAGAUGAUGCCACUUGUUAUAAUCUAUCACUUAAGCUAGAUACAAGUGAGAGCAGCCACAUGGACUAUGAUCCAACGGCUUUAAUUUAAACUGGAAACAACUAUUAAACUAAGAAUUUGAAUUGUUUCUUUGGCUCCAAGUUUCGGCUGAAGGGUUACACACCAACAAAAACAAGCUUGGAGAUUCACUAAUCAGCCGGAUUCUCUAGCUUAUAUUGCGUUCAAGGCAAAGUAUUUCCCAUCUACGGACUUUAUGAAUGCCGUAUAAGUGCGAAUGCUUCAUUUUGUUAAAGAAGCAUUGCUGCUACUCAAAGUGUGAUCUGCAAAGGGAUGAGGUAGCAAGUGGGUAACUGCUCAACUAUUAGGGUGUGGAAAGAUAACUAGUUACCACGUGAGAAUUUUUUCAAGGGUGACAUGGGACGAGGAAACUACGAUGGACAAACUUUUUUCUGACCGGUUUGCGACAAUGGAAUAUAAACCUUAUUGAACAACUGUUUUGCAUGGAAGAGGUGGAAGUAAUUUAGGGCAUCCUACUAAGUCUACGAGCCAUUGACGAUAGAUUAAUUUGGAAUUAUGCAGGGAACGGGAAAUUCUCGGUUCUUAGUGCUUAUCGUUUAGCAUGAAGAGAUAUGGUGUUAAUGGGGAUGCAGUCAGGCCUUUCGGGGUCGGUUAGGAAUGAGGAAGUGUUGUGGAGGAGACUUUGGGGUGCUUGUAUGCCAGGGAAGGUGAAGAUAUGUGUUUGGAGGAGUUGUCUCGAUGCUCUCCCAACUCACACAAAAUUAGAGUGCAGACGAAUGAUCCACGAUGUUGAACGUCUAUUUUGCCCAUAAAACUUGAAACUAUUGAGCAUGUAUCAAGAAAUUGCGACAUGGCUUCUGCUGUGUGGUUUGCAAGUCUGGGCAUAAGAGCUAUUGAUUCCAAUAGACUGAGCUUGAAGGAUUGGGUGGCUCAACUUACUCAGGUGUAUUCCAAACGAUCUCUAGAAAUGGUUUUCAUGAAUUUGUGGAGAUUAUCAUACGCAUUGAGAGCUAGCUACGAGCUAUCAGCAGUGAUACGUCCCACGGAAGACGGUAGAGGGAAGGACGAAACAAGGAUGGGUUAAGCCUAAUAUGGGCUGGAUCAAAUAUAAUCUUGAUGGGGCUUGGGAUAAGAGGGCAAAAAGAGGAGGGUUUGGAGUGAUUGUUUAUGACUACAAUGGGGGGGUUCAUGGCUGCUACGUCUAGGGAGGUAGAAAACGUGUCAUCGCCGCUGCACGCAGAACUCCUUGUGGUAGGGAGAGCUUUACAUUUUGUCCAAAAGUUUUAUAUUGGUGGUGUGGAUGUUAUGUUUGAAGGGGACUCAAGGAUCACGCUUACUGCAAUGAAUCGCCAAGAAGAUGAUAUUCUUUGUUGGGUCCGAUAAUCAACGACAUUCCAGUUUUACUUCAAGUGUUCGCUUGUCCAAAGCUGAAUCAUGUCGGUCGUGAGGCCAAUCAAACAGCACAUAGAUUGGCUCGUCCAGGGGUUGUAAGACAGCUCGAGGUGUCAUGGUUCAAGGAACCGCCAGAUUUGGUUUCAGAUAUUUUGAUUGAUGACACUCAAUGGAAAUUGAAUUGAUUUUUGUGUUUUUCCUUUGACGAUAGUUACGUUUAUGCCAGACACUUUUUUUUCUUUCGACCGGUUGAAAUUCCCGGCAAGGUUUUUAGCGAGAACCAUCUAUGCACCCUAUCCUCACUUUGUACGGUAUCGUACUUUUUCUGAAAAUAAGGUAGACUUAAAAGGUAAAAUUUGAAAGGUUUUGUAUCAAUAAUAAAAAAUAAAAAUAAAAAUAAAAAGGUAAAAUUUGAACGUAUUAUCCUCCAUAAAACUCGAAAUUGACCUGAUCGCCCUUAUUUUCUUCCAUAGCUAAAUAUGUUGUGGUCGUGGAAGCCCAGGUUUAUUUAGUACUGUUAAAUUUUGGCAUCUUAUGUGGUAAUAUGCUUAAUAAUUGAAUCUCGAUCUACCAUGCCUUGGGGACUUGUAGUUUGAUUUAGUUUGGUUCUCAAACUGGUGGUGUUCUUUUCUCUGUAUUAUACGUGUUAAGAGUUCUUAUGGGACAAAACUCCCCGAAAUGUCCCAAGUGCGUGAAAGUGAAACUCUUGAAGACAGGGUGGUCGAAAUCUUGUCUAGGUUGUCGCCCAAGUCUCUGUUGCGAUUCAAAUGCAUACGCAAGUCUUGGUGCACUCUCAUCAUUAGUACAAGUUUUGUUGCCAAACACCUCAGCAAUUCCUUGGACUACAAACACUCAUCCUCCACUUGUAUCCUUCUUAACCGUUCUCAGUUUCACAUUUUCCCAGAUCAGAGUUGGAAACAUGAAGUUUUAUGGUCCAUGAUUAAUCUUUCCAUUGAUAGUGAUGUACAUAACCUUCAUUAUGAUGUUAAGUCCCUAAAUAUACCGUUUCCUAGGGAUGACCAUAAUCAUGUACACAUUCACGGUUAUUGCAAUGGGAUUGUAUGUCUAAUAGAAGGGGAUAAUGUUCUUCUAUGCAAUCCUUCAACGAGGGAAUUCAGGCUACUUCCCGAUUCAUGUCUUCUUGUACCCCAUCCUGAGGGAAAAUUCGAAUUGGAAACGACCUUUCACGGAAUAGGUUUUGGCUAUGAUUGCAAAGCUAAAGAAUACAAGGUUCUGCAAAUUAUAGAAAAUUGUGUGUAUUCAGAUGAUGAGCAAACAUAUCAACAUUGUAUUGCUUUUCCUUACACGGCCGAGGUAUACACCACGGCUGCUAACUUUUGGAAAGAGAUCAAGAUUGAUAUAUCAAGUACAACCCAUCCCUAUCCUUUUUCUGUGUACUUGAAGGGAUUUUGUUAUUGGUUUGCAAGGGAUGGCGAGGAAUGCAUACUUUCAUUUGAUUUAGGUGAUGAGAUAUUUCAUAGAAUACAAUUGCCUUCUACGAUAGAAUCUGGUUUUAAGUUUUGUGGUAUUUUUCUUUAUAAUGAAUCUAUCAUUUCUUAUCGUUGUCGUUAUGAUCCAAGUGAGGAUUCUAACUUAUUCGAAAUGUGGGUAAUGGAUGGGUAUGAAGGAGUUAAGAGUUCAUGGACAAAACUCCUAACCGUUGGUCCCUCUAAAGGCAUUGAGUAUCCAUUGACACUUUGGAAAUGCGACGAGCUUCUUAUGGUUGCCUCCGGUAGAAGAGUCACCUCUUAUAAUUCUAGUACCGAAAAUCUCAAGGAUCUUCAUAUUCCUCCAAUUAUGCAUCAGGUUACAGGUUUGCAAGCUCUUAUUUAUGAGGAAAGUCUUGUUCCAAUUAAGUGAGUUGAGGGCAAAGUUCCAUUUUCUCUUAUUUAAUUUGUAUGCAUGAUAUAAGGCUUGAGUUUGCAUCGUCUAAUUUUGUUUUGUGGCCAUUGUACUAUGUCUGUUUAUCAUGAGUUGGCUUUAGUUUUGGGCUUUUCACAUUUUGUAAUGUUGUUUUACUUGUGAGUGUGAUAACAAUUUUUCAGAGUUAAUUAAUACUAACAAUUGCCUUAUGUUUUAGUAUUCCCUUUUUUUUUUUUUUUUAAUUCGAAAUUCCCUUCUUAAAACCUUAUUAACUUUUUACUCAUUUAACAUAAUUAAGUUAAAACUUUUUGCGCAAGAGUGCACACAUUUAUAAGUAAAAUCCGGAGUGCUAAAAAAAUAUUUAGGCAACUUAUGAGUUGAUUUUAUAUUAUAUAUUGAGAGCUGUUAUUUCCACCCAAAUAUCUUAAUUUCACACCCACCUUUAAUGAAUUUUUUAGUUACAAAUUUAUUCAUUUGUAAAAUGACUAAUUAGGUGUGACAACCCACCCCUAAUUUUAUGUUUUUUUUAGUAAUUUUAAAAGCGUGAAUUAACUAAAAUGCCCUAAAGGCAAGGACUUUGACUUCCAUUGAACAUCAUCUAGAGAAACGUAUGACUUAUUCUUUUAGCAUAUUUGAGUAGUACUCGUUAGUACGAACGGAUAGGAGAAAGCUGUUUACGAGUCCGAAUUAUAACGGUGUAGUUACAGACGUUAGAAAUUAGUUAUUUAAAGUUUAGUUAUAAAUUAAUUAAAACUCCCACCAUGUGGGAAUGGUAACCAAUCAGGAAAGGAGAAGAAGGGGAAAGGAGGUGGUACAGGGGAGGAAGUCCCCAUCUGAUGGGAGGUGGACGAACCAGAGAAGGAGGAGGUGAGUGGUCCAAUGGGAGGAAGAGAGGGGAAGAAAUGAGAGAGGAGUGAGAGCCACGGGAUCAUGAACCCUUCCCUUUCAACCCGUGCAUAACCCAAUUUCGACGCGGUUCCCAAUUUCUACCAUUUUUCUCGUUGAUCACCACCAUCCAUCACCUGCAAAUCACUUAGGUGGCCUCCCAUCCACCAUCUCAGCCCAAAAAUAGAGAGUUUUGGUUCCAAUUUCGUGAAGGCCGACGCACUGUUUCGUGGGUAUUAGGCGGUAUUAGGCGGCAAUCCACCCAUUUCUGAAACACUUACCUUCAAUCACUACCACCAAAACACUUUUCUGGAGGUCAAGAACAAAGCCCAAACAGUUUUAGGGGCGGUGGUGUUGCAGAUUGAUCGAAUUGAAGAACACCCAAUUCUAGGGUUCCGGCGAGUUCAUGGCGAUUUGAGACUUUUCUCGGUCAAAUUGGACUUGACCACAGGUAUAAAACUUGCUCUACUCACUGAGAUAUUCAUUUAUAUGAAGUUUGAGAAUUUUUAGAAAUAGUUGAUUUUUUCGGCGAGUAAAGGCGGCUCGUGGCGGCGACGCGUGAGCUAAGUAAUCCCCUGACCUUCCUAGGCUAAAUUUGAUUCUCCAAUUCCGUAUGUGAAGUCCGAUUGAAGAAUUUCCGUCGUUUGAACUAGUUCCAUUAAGGUCCGCCAGUUGAUUAAUAUUGCAAUCUUCGAUUCGACCAUUGGAUCGUCACCAAACUUUAAUACGUUAUAAUACGUAAUAUAUGAUGAUCAUAGGAACUUACGGAUUGGGAAUCAGACGUACGGAUCUUCCUGAAUUGGAUUUGUAUGUUCAUAAAAUUAAACAUUGACCGCCACUUGAAUUUGCAAUUGGUAGAGAUCCAACCGUUAGAUCGUAAUGAAACUUUAGUAUGAUGUUUUAGAAGUAUUAUGUGGAUCUUUAGAAAUUACGGAUCGAAAAUCUGUGAUGCAGAUCUUCCGAAUUGAGUUACGUAGGGUUGUGGACCCUAUCGUCGAUCUUUGACCGACGGUCAAUGGGUCUCAAAUCAUUCUAGAACGUCCUUGGAAAUGUGUUUUAUGUAAGUUACAUGUUCUAUCAAUAAGAAUUCUGAGACGUUAUUUGAUAAUUGUUCUAGGCGAUGAUGGCUCGUGACGCCUCGAUAUUCAUGCUAGGGAAUUGUAGCGCGGACUUUAGGUGAGUAGGUCUUUUCCUUUUUAUAUUAUAUAUAUGAUUGAUAGUGAUAAGCUCUUAUUUACAUAUAUUUUACAUCAAAUUCACUUGUCUUUUCUUAGUUAGUUCCUUAUAUUUUUGAGCUAUUUACUUUGUUUUUGUGUUUUGUGGGAUUUGUCAAGCAAAGAAAAGAAAAAUAGCACAAGUGCAAUUUUAAGUAACAAAUUCAUCAAAAUUGCCUGUGCAGAUCAGCUGACUUUGGAAGCAAGUUGCAAACAACUCAGAAUGAAUUAGAGAAUGAGCCUUAUAUGCUUGGAAAGCUACGGAUGUCUAUUUUCUGGAGCAUUGACGGAUUGUUAAUAUUGUUUUACUAGAAGAAGUUAUGGCCAUUUUAACACUGAUAGGUUCCCAAGGGGCUAAGCAGUUUGUAACUGACAAGAAAGCAAAAAAUCCAAUAAAUCUAGCAACCAAAACUGAUGCAGUCAAGAACAAGUCAGCUGACACCUAUUCAAAUAUCAGAGGAAAUGGAAAUAAAGAUGAGAAUUAAGUGGGAGUAAUGGGCAUAGAGGCUACCUAAAGAGUUACAAUUGUUUUACCAUUUCCUCUCACUUAUUGUCAUCACUAAAUGGCUGUUUCUAGGGUGAGUUGUGGAGAAGAAGCUUGGGCAGCAAGCAAGAACAAAAAGGCUGCAGGUUGCAGCGGAAAACGAAAAAAAAAAUAGAGAGGAGGAGAAAAAAAAUAGAACAAAAGCAAAAGGCAAGGCAGCAACAUUGGAGAAUGAAAGAGAGGAAGGAGGAAAUCUUGGCAUUCGCUUCUCUCAGUUUUAUCUUCUCAAACUCAUGUCUUUCUUUUGGUUUUAUUUAAGGAUUAUGUGUAACUAAUUUUUAGUAGUUAGGGGCUGUUUUGAAGCCCCGAAUAUGAUUGCAAGUUUGUUAUGACAUUUCGUUUGAAUUACUUUUAUGAAUGGAUGAAAAUUAGUUCACUACUUGUCUCAUUGAUGAAUUCUUUAUGUGUUUUCUACGGAUGCAUACUUAGUAAGCAUAUCUAGGAUUUUAAUGCUAUGAAUAUAUAUGUGUCUGCCCUUGUCGAAUGAGGACCUACAUAUGUUCUAGAGUAGUACUUGUUAAUUGCGAUUAACAUGUGAACCAAUUUCUAGGAUAAGUAAGACAACGCCAAUAAUUACGAUGCAUUGUGAUGACUCAAACUAUUUUCGUUCUUAAUGAUUUCUACUUGUUAAAUCUAUGAACACGCCAUCUAGAUUGCAUGCUAAUGACUAAGUUAAGUUGAAAACACCAUUCUCUUAACAUAGUACAUAAGAAAGAGUAAUAGGUUGAGUUCUAACAUUGAGCCAACUUGAGCAUCUUCAUCCAGAAAUAAAAGGAAUUUGACUGAAACAUAACAUGUUUGCAUGAUUAUUUGGUGGUGGAUAGCAAUUCCCCUAACUCGUUUUUCUUAAUUUGUGAACUACUUAAAAUCUGUUUCUGUCCUGUUUUUAUUCGAUUUAAUUUAAAUAGCAAAUCAACUCCAAAAAUUACAAAAAUUUGUAUGAUGUAGCUCUGUGUGUCUAGUGUCUUCAUAUAAAAUUUUGUAGACUUUAGAUAAGUGUAAGUUGGUCUAAUAAUUAUUUUUCGGUGGCUGGUCAGUAGGGACAACAUCCCAGUUUUUGUGACAUUUUUAGCAGUUAGAUAAAACAAUCUUCUGCGGGAAAGACCCUUAUUUUCAUACGCUAUAAUUGACAAAUCUUAGUGUUAAUAAGGAAAAUCAAUAGGACAUUUGUGUGCUACUUUGUGGUGUGCUUUUAAUCCUAUCAAAUUUUGGCACCGUGUCGCCAAGGAUUGUUAUUUCUAUUGUUUUUCUAUUGUUUUCUUUUAUUGCCUAAUUAGUGCUUUUGUUUUUAUUUCAGGUACUCUUCUUAGUAUAUGCAUACUCGAAGGUCCUGAGCUUGAACGAACACUUCGAAAGCUUCAGAGAAAAAUCAAGCAAAAGCAUGCAUCGGUGUCUUUACCACCAUCUUCCCCACCACAUUUGAGUUCAGAAGAGGAGGAAGAACCAUAAGAAGGCAUGGUUGAUAAUCGUACUUUGAGGGAGUUGGCAAUGCCAAAUACAGAUCAACAACCAUUAUGCAUCACAUAUCCAAAUGCAGAAGGAGGAUUUGAGCUUAAGUCCGGCAUGAUUCACUACUUGCCUAAGUUCCAUGGCUUCUCAAUACAGGAUGCCAGCAAGCAUCUCAUGGAGUUUCACGUGAUAUGCUCAAGAAUAAGACCAUCAAAUAUGGAUGAGGAGCAAGUCAAGUUGAAAACAUUCUCAUUUACAUUAGAAGCUAAGGCAAAGGAGUGGCUUUACAAUUUACCUUCGGGAUUAAUGAACACAUGGAACCAGGUGAAGCAAGCAUUCUUAGAGCAAUAUUUUCCAACCAUAAAAGCUGCAAGCAUAAGGAAAGACAUAUGUGUAAUCUGACAACAACAUGGAGAGCCCUUUGGAGAUUACUAUGAGCGAUUCACACAUUUGGUUACAUCUUGUCCUAAUCAUCAGAUUUUAGAAAAUCUUUUAAUACAGUAUUUUUAUGAAUGAUUGAGUGGUACUGAUCGUGUAAUGCUUGAUGCAGCAAGUGGAGGAGCAUUCAUGGACAAGACACCAACUAAUGUUAAGGCCUAAAGAACAUUGAUGGCAACACACAACAAUUUGGAGGGAGAGAUGAGCUACCUCUUAAGAAAGUUAACGAGGUAAGUGCUAAUUCUGGUAUUGAAUUACAAUUAGCUAACUUGACUAAUCUUGUGCAACAAGUUAUGGUGGCUCCAAAACAGGUGUGCGGUGUAUGUUCAAUGAUGGGACAUGCCACGGACAUGUGCCUUUCAUUGAUGGAUCAAGGUGGUCUUGAGCAAGCUAAUGCGUUAGGAGGGUUUCAGGGGCAACAAAGGCAAAUGUAUGAUCCAUACUCCAACAACUAUAACGCGGGGUGACACAAUCAUCCACACUUAAAGUGGAACAAUCAAGACAAUGGACAACAAUAUGUUCCCAAUACCUAUAACCAUCUACCUAGUUUCUUUCAAGCAAGACCAUAAACACCAUUUCAGCCUCAACAACAAGCUCCAAGUAAGUCUCUUAAGGAUUUAAUUGCUUCUUUAGCUAACUCUACUCAAUCUCAUCAAUAGGAAACAGACAAAGCAAUUGAAAACCUUGAACGCCAAAUAAGUCAGUUGGCAAGUUUGAUAGGGCAACAACACCAACUAGGAAGGUUGCCUAGCCAAACCGUGGUGAAUCCAAAUGCAGAGCAGAUGAAUGUUGUCACUUUAAGGAGUGGAAAAGAAGUUUUUGAGCAGCCGAGGAUGCAAAAGAGGACUAGAAAAGAUACAAAUGAGAAAGGGGAGCUACAAACCAAAAAUCUUGAGCAAGAUGAGGCUUCAACUGAAACUAAAAAGUCUCUUAAAGUUACAAAAUUGCACAAAAAAGAUUCUUAUGAGGUAAGUAAAGAAGUUCAAAAUUCAUGUAACUCAUGUGUCCCUGUUCCUUUUCCUCGUAGGUUUAUGAAGUCUAAGAAAGAGCAAACUGAUAAGGAAAUCUUGGAUACUUUUCGGAAAGUCCAAGUGAACUUACCUCUUUCAGAUGCCAUAAAACAAGUGCCCAAGUAUGCAAACUUCCUUAAAGAGCUUCAUACGAACAAGAAGAGAUUCAAUGAUCAAGAAAUUGUGGCAUUAAGCGAGGAAGUGUCGGCUUUUGCAGAGGAAGCUGCCACCGAAGUUGAAAGAUUUUGGUAGCUUUACCAUUCCAUGUGUAAUCAGAGAGAAAGAGUUUGGGAGAGCAUUGUGUGAUUUGGGGGCAUCCAUCAAUCUGAUGCCUUAUUCAGUUUAUGAAUCAUUGAACCUUGGAGACUUGAAGGAAACAAAAGUAGUAAUCUAGUUGGCAGAUUGUUCAAAUAGAUAUCUCAAAAGCCUAUUGGAAGAUGUACUUGUGCAAGUGAAUGAGCUUAUUUUCCCCGCUGACUUUUUUGUUCUUGAGAUGGAACAUGACCCUAUGCCUACUGUACUUCCUCUUAUAUUGGGAAGACCAUUCCUUAUAACAGCACAUACGAAGAUUGAUGUCUACGAUGGUACCUUAACCAUGGAAAUUGAUGGAGAAAGCGUCAAGUUCAGAAUCUUCAAUGCUAUGAGGUAUCUUAGCAAUUUUGAAUCUGUUUGUCUAUUGUGUUUGACUAUUUUGUGCAGGAUUGUUUUAAUGAAGGUGUGGGACAAGAUAAUUUAGAGAAGGUGUUAGUGCAUAGCAUUACACAUGGAAAGCUUAAUUAUUCCGAGCACAUUGAAGAAGAAUUAAUCCAAACAAUGGCAGCUCUUAAGUCUCUUUCACCAAUUCGUGGUAAGUCUUCUUCCUAUUUUAUUUCUCUUCCUACUUCUAACUAAAAAGCUCUUCCUUUUGUGAUUCACACACCCAAAUUGGAGCUCAAACUGAUUCCUGAACAUUUGAAGUAUGCAUUUUUGGGAGAGGAUGAAACAUUACCGGUCAUCAUAUCAUCACAACUCAAGCUUCAAUUGAAUGAGUUAGAUGAAAUCCGGAAUGAUGUAUAUGAGUCUAGUCAAAUAUACAAGGAGAAAUCAAAGGUAUUUAAUGACAAGAUGAUAUCAAGGAAGAGAUUUGCCAUUAGACAAAAAGUUCUUCUAUUUACUUCUCGCCUUCGGUUAUUUCCAGGUAAACUUCAUUCUCGAUGGGUUGGUCCAUUUGUUAUAACUAAUAUUUUUCCUCAUGGUGCAGUGGAGAUCCAAAGUGCAAAGACCGGAAACGUGUUCAAAGUGAAUGGACAUAGACUCAAACCAUAUUACGAGUCUUUUGUAGAGCAUGAUGUGGAGGUUGUACCCCUCCAAGAACCAUCUCCCUUUGGAUGAUUACUCUUGGUACCGUCCGACUACGGACGUAAAAGCAAGCGUUUAUUGGGAGGCAACCCAAUAUUUCUAUUUAUUGUCUUUUUAUGUCAUUUUCAAUUUUCCAUUUGUUUUUGUUUUCUGAAUUUUCUUGCAUGCUAAAUUGAAUUAUUUCUUUUCUUUGUAGGAAAAUUUGAUAUUGUCCACCAUUGGAGUUGAUUGCAAAAUUGAAGUUUGGGGGUCAUCGUUUGCUUUUACUACAAAUUGGGGAAGUUUUCAGUCCAAAUGCUUUAUUUUGUUUCUUACUAUUUUAUUUUUCUUACUAUUUUAUUUUAUGCAUUAUUGUGUUUUCUGACAUUGGGGACAAUGUCUAGUUUAAGUUUUGGGGUAAGGAUUGAAAACAUGACCAAAUUGAAAAUCAUAGUGACCAUAUACAACCUAUGUGAGUUUUUGAGCCUAUUGAAAGUGUGCAUUUUUCAUACACUCAUAUUCUUUCAUGUGUGAUGAACUUAUGUGACUUAUAUCUCUAGAACUUGCAUAACGAUCUUUCGAAAUGUUUGUCAUUUGAUCACAUGAACUUGAAAAUGAUAGAGGCAUUAGGUUUAUCACCAUGGCCCAAAUAAGCAUGUUUCCUAAAUAAAAAUGAUAUCAUUAGAUUGCCAAUUUGAACCAUAUAUGUUGAGCCUUUUAUUUCUUAUCACCAUAUAUGUCUACCCUUAUACCUUACACAUUUUUUCUUACCCUUUCCAAGCUAGUUAGUGAGCAAUGUGAGAUUGGCUUAUGAGAAAUGUUUGUGAAGUACUUUGAAGGAGUCUGGCAAAAGAAUAAGUGUGGGGGUAUUUCAUGUUUGUAUUUAGUUAUGUGCAAGUUUGUCAAGAAAAAAAAAAGAAAAAAAAAAGAAGAAGAAAAGAAAAAUUGUAUACAAAGCAAAUAAAAAGUUUUUUUUUUAAGUUUUAGUUUAGGGGUGUGGUUGGAGGUAUUAGCAUAGUGGUUGGAGAGCUUGAGUUCUUAUAAAUCUCAACAAGAGAAUUGCUUGCAAUGUAGCUUAGAACUUGUCUUUACCUAUCCUUUCAUUUCUAUAACCCUCUCUCUAAGCCUCAUUACAUCCAAUAAAAGUCCUCUUGAUUUAAGUUUUGCAAUUAUGAUUGUGGAGAUGAUCUCUCACAUUUGAUUCUUUGAGGGAAAGACCCUUAUUUUCAUAUGCUACAAUUGACAGUAGCCCUUAUUUUCGGUGGCUGGUCAGUAGGGAUAGUAGCCCAGUUUUUGUGACAUUUUAAGUAGUUAGAUAAAACAAUCUUUUGCUGGAAAUACCCUUAUUUUCAUAUGCUACAAUUGACAAAUCUUAGUGUUAAUAAGGAAAAUCAAUAGGACAUUUGUGUGCUACUUUGUGGUGUUAAUAAGGAAAAUCAAUAGGACAUUUGUAUGCUACUUUGUGGUGUGCUUUUAAUCCUAUCAGAUAGUUCCACAAAUGCUUUUAAAUUGAUUUAUACAUUUUAUGCCAUAUCAUAUAUAUAUAUAUAUUUAAAUAUUAUGAUAUGGUUGAGUUUUAGAUUGCAUCAUGGUAUAUCCAUAUGCAUAUUACCUGCAUAUAAUUAUUGUGAAUGUUUUGAACGCGCAGGUACGUUCAAGUGAGUUUAUGGUAUUAUUUGAAAUGAUUGAGUUAUGGCAUGACUAUAUUUAUGUUUUAUGCAACUCUGACACUGUCGUAUAGGUUGCAAUGAUCAGCAACUCUGACACUGUAGUACAGGUUGCCUAGGCAACUCGUACAGGUUGCCUAGGCAACUCCGACACUGUCGUACAGGUUGCAAUGAUCGGCAACUCCGACACUGUCGUACAUGUUGUAACAAUAGGCAACUCCGACACUGUCGUACAUGUUGUAACAAUAGGCAACUCCAACACUGUCGUACAAGUUGCCUAUGAGUCGUACAGGUUGCAUUAGGCAACUCUGACUCAUGUGUCAGCAUAGAUUGAUGAGCACCUGAUUUUAUUAUAUUGCUGCUGAUAUGUAGUGAUUUGGAAUAUUUCUGGAAUUACUGUUGAUUUGCAUUUGGUUUCAUACUUAUACGUAGUAUGAUUUUCUGGAAACUAUAUAGGUUUUAAAACGAAUGGUUAACGUUUUUGAAAGGUUUUUAUUAAAACUUUAUUUUCAGACCCACUCACCCUUGUUUUUUCACCGUUCCAAGUUUUAAUAGCUGAGCUUUCUUCUCGAUGAUGAUUCGUGGCAAAUCAUGGUAUUAGAGAUUACCUUCGAUGGUAUGAUUCUCAAUCCACUCUACUGUACUUUACUUAUAUUCUGACAUCACAUGUGAAAUGAGUUCAUACCCGCUCAUGCACUCUUGUAUUUAGGCACUUUUAGGUUUAAACUAGAACGGUUGCCCGCGCGUUGCUACAGGAAUGCUUAAUAGAUUAUAAAAACAUUGCGUUAAUGGAUGCCCAAUCGAUCCCUCUGAAAGCAAAUUGGUUUUACAACACUAAAAAUCUUGAACUCUUGCAUUUUGUUCCAAAAUUAUAUGCACUCUUGAGAAUCACAAACUGAAAAAUUUACAAAAGAUGAGGAAUAAAGAAUGUUUCCUCCAACUACAAUUCUUUGGAUUUCUUACCAACAACUUGCUUACUUUCAUGCCUCUUAUUAGAAAUCAAAUCAAAUCCCCACAUGCACCCUAAACUGUUUCUAAAAUCAUGGCAAACAUUGAUUGUAGAACGAAGCAUAGGGCACCCAAAUAUAACCUGAGUAAUCAAGUAACAAAAUGACAAACCAAGGGAUACAUCUAUUGUAGCAUUACUUUGUAAUUUCUGCAAGCUGGACACCUACAAUAUCAAUAGUGACAUAAUUUCUUCCUAAGCCAUCGGAAAAACCAAAAUUGAACAGAACUUCCUCCCCACUCCUCUGACCAAAUAAAAGAAGUAAUGUUUCUCUUUUGGAACCUCGAAUCACAUGACACAGAACCACACAUAACCAAAAUUAAAAAAAGAACUGAACACAUUAACUCUUGACAAAAACUUAUUACCCAAGAAUGGAAAGUCACUAAAAAUACAAAUCACCAAUGAAGAAAUAAGGAAACAAAUCAGCAACCUAACUUAUAUAGCAUUAGGAUGAACCAUGCUAAUUUGUUCAUAACUGAUCUGUCUCCCUCCAUUUUUCAAACUUGCAACCACAUAGAAUAUUAUAACAUAAUGAUCAAACAAAACAGAUUUAAGUUAUCUGGUGAAGUGGGUUAAAGUUUACAUAAGUGUCAAAAAUGAACUUUGCAAGAGAAUACAAUAAUUUAUGAUGAAAAUCUACAAGUACCAAUCAAAAUUAUAUAGGGGAAAGAAACCUUACCAAAUUUGAGGCACAAAUGAUCAUACUCUAGAGCCCUUCAUUUCACGGUUUCUUUCCAGCAACCAAAUAAACUUAAAAAAAAAAACCUGCAGAAUCCAGAGCAAGCAUGAUAACAGAAGGAUAUAAGAAAAAUGAAUUACCAAAAUAUAUAUAGGACAAUCACAUCAUUAUCUAUCCCUAUUACAAAAUUCAAGAAACAAAUAGGGGCAAUAAAAUUUAAAUAAGAAAAGGCAGAAAACAUUGUUAAUAGUUAAAGUGACUAAGAUAUUGAUGUUUCACCAUAUAUUUGGUUUAUUUCAACUUGGAUCGUUUUCUUCUGCAAGAUUCUUUGCUUAAUUUAAAUAUAUAAUCAAACAUUCCUCCCUAAUUAAAAGCUUGUGGUACCAACUAUUUCAUUUGACUGAAAAUUAUAUGUUUAAAUACUCACGGGCUGUUUGCUUGAUAGCCAUUUUUUCUAUCUCAGUGUUUUUCAAAAUCACUCAUAAUUACUUUGGCCCCAAUUCUAAAACAGAAAAAUGGCAAGAAAAGGGCUUUUUGCAAAAGCAUAAGUACAUACCAAUUCGGCAGUGAAUUCUCGUGAUUCCUCCUGGGACCUUGAUGAGAUUAUUGCUGGUGAUCUGAAGAUAGAAAGCUUGAAUUAGGGUGGACACAACCUAACUAAAAAUCCGACGGAUCAAAAGUUUAACCCAAAAGAACCCCCCAUCUCUCUUAUCAAAUGAAAACUCUGAAAGCAAUUCAAUGGUUGAUAACAACCCAUUUAAAAUUGAACCCAAAAAACUUUAAAGCUUCUGACAUUUAAAACUAAACAAAAACUGACCAAGACCCACAAAAUCAGCCAAAAGAUACAAAAUUAUUGUAAUGGAAAUUUUUUUUUUUAAAUUAAAGCUGGUUUAAUAUUCAUUCUUGGACAACGAAUUGAAAAUUCUGCAGCAAAACCAAAAAAAAAAACAAAAACAAAAAGAGCAAAAAAUCUUAUUGGGGUUUUCAACCUGGGUUUAAGAAAUAAAUGCCUCACAUAAAGAAAGAAGAGCCAACCAAUAAGUAAGAAAGACAUUAGUUGCUCCAUCUAUAGCACAUUUUGCAACAACAGUUGGGCUCUUCAAACUAAAAGAUCAUAAAUACAUUUAUGUAAGGGUAAUCGGAACAAAAAAAUGGAAUUGAAAGUUGAUUACGGACUACUCUGGUGUUUGCCCAAUAUUGGGGAAUAAAAAAUUUGGGAGACCAUGCAAAUUAAUUCAUUAUAAUGGUUUUUUGUAACCCAAGUAGAAAAGGAUACAACUUAAUAACAAUGGAAACCACAGACCUAUGUCAUUACUUAUUCAGGAUCAAAUCGAGCAUAUUUCUUAUUCGGGACCUAUGUCAUUUCUUAUUUGGGAUCAAACAGAGCAUAUUUCAUAUUCGGGACCAAUCAAAAGCAGAUGCAAUUUCAAACAAAACCCAUAAAGCAAAAACAGACGAUGCAAGCUGAGAAGCUCAAAAAUCAGAGGGAGGAGGCCUUACCAUGAGUCAUGACUGUGACCUGGUUGUACUUGGCAAGACACCCUGACCUGCAGGGAGCCCGUCUUGAUUUAUCCCUGCAAAAAAAAAAAAAAAAAAAAAAAAAAAAAGCAUAAAGAUUCAUGACAAAUCAAAUGGGGGUUUGGAGAAAACUGAGGGAUAACAUAACAGAACAUAAUAAAACUUCAAAAAACAUGCUGCAAAACCAUAAAACGCGCUCCACAAAACAAAACUUUUGGUGUCUGCUAUAUAAUUUACAAAAUUGUGAGGGACACGUCUCUUUGUGAUUGUCUUGGGUAUAGACUACACAAUACAUGUAAGUAUAUUGAAUAUUCAUAUAAAUGCAAAUCAGAUAGGAAUUAAUUUCAAUCUCACAUAAACUAUACUGAGUUUUCCGAGGCUAAGAGAGAAACCUGGAGAAGCCGAUGCUAUUGCAGAGAUGGGCUCAGUUUUGGGUUCUGAAGGAUCGGCUAGAGUUGGUGUUGUGGCUGCUAGGGUUUGAGAAAGGGUAAAUGAAGGUCAAAUAACUAAUAUCUGAUUUAUACUGAAAUUCUAGCAAUCAAGCAAAGAAGUUCGUAUUUGAAUAACGAAUUAUAUUUACACAUUAUAUUCCUCUCUUUGGUUCAGCGCUUUGCAGACAAUCCAACAUUUUUUUGUUUCUCUUGGUACGCCCAUUUUUUGAAUCAUUUAUGUGUCUAUGCAUUAAACAAUAUCUUGGUAUAAUUGAGAAAGAAAAAAAGAUAAAACUGAAAAUCAGAAAAUUAGAAAGAAAGAAAAAAUACAUGCAAAGAUUUAACCGUAAGAAACCCCAACAUUCCCAGCAUUCGAAUGGUUAGAAAAAUGAUGAAACAACCAAUUGGGCAAUCAAAAAUUUCAGAUGAAGAAAUCAUACCUGUUCGUCGCUAAAAUUUCCGUUGAGGAGGUUUCCUAGCCGACGAGCACACAGCUCCCCGGGAGGUUGGCGCCAGUCGAUGCUUUCUGUUGGGCUUCUGCUUCACUGGCGAGCUUGUCGGGCAAGGCUGAAAGAGAAGGACAGAGUUAACUUUGAAAGGUGCUUUUGUGGGGCCUUAGGUAUAGGCCUUGAGGCUCACAAUCAAGAUUAACUUUUAAGUGCUCAGGCGUGCCACUGCCAUUUUUAGCAUGACAGAUGUAAAACGGAUGUUGAGUUUUAGUUGUAUAUAUAUCCGAGAGGCUGUUUUAGUUAUGAAAUGUGCCUUUAUGGGACCUUAGGUGUAGGCCUUGAGGCUUCCAAUCAAGAACUAACCCAGUACUCGAAUAUAUAAUGUUUGUUUCAUUGAUUGCAAAAGUAUUAUGACUCUUAUACUUCUGAUUACCCGAGCCCAAAGAGCAGAAAGAAUCCAAACAGGUGCCUUUGUAGGGCCUUAGAUAUAGGCCUUGAGGCUUCCCAUCAGAAUUACUUCUAUACUCAAACGUUCGAUGAUAAUCAUAAUAUAACAGACAUAAAACUAGGAAAUAGGUCGAUUAUUUACGCCCCAAGUAACUUCGGACUUCUUGUUAUCAAAGACUGUUGUGGAUGGGUUAAGUCCACGUAAGGUUCUUUUUUAUGCCUUGAGACCAAGGACUUUUGAAUGAUCAAUCUUACAUGCCCGAGAGCUUAGAACUCAGAUCUGAUUUAAACUGUGAAGACACAUUCCAGUUGGAUUUAAGAACUGAGGAGUCUUUUAAUCAUCAACUUGCUAGAAAUAACUUGGAUACAACUGGAAGUAUACAACAUAUUGCUAGAUUAAUGAAUGAAAAGACAAAAACAAAUAGGGUCGAGCAAGGCUGAUCGUCUUGCACUUCCUAUUUUUGUGGUUUAUCAAGGGGUUUGAGAGCUUAGAAAGAGGGAUAGGGAGAUGAGAUUACAAAAAGAAAUCGAUACUACAUCAAGUUUUAGACAAGGUAGCAGAGCUAUUACAAAGGGUUUGGGUGAGGGUUGAUCCUGAAAGGGAUGAAGGCUUGGGCUGAAUACAGCUUCGUUGAAGGCAAAUCUGGCUUUGAGCAGAGUUUGUGCUUGUAUUUGUUUGUUUGAUUGAGCGUCUUUAUCUCUGAUUUCUCUUUCUUCUUUUAUAGACACUUCGGCUUGGCCUCCUGUAGCAGUAAUAUUGCCCGAAUGCAGCUUGAAGGGUAAUGACUCAUCAGCUAUUUACUUGUAUUGCCACUGUAAAGUGCUUUUGGGCUGAUUAGCUGGCUGGUCUACACCACUUGACUUCUAAGUGGGUGAGUAAGUGGUUCAAAUGGUCUCCACCUAGUCAAAAAAGGGCCUCUCCUGCUUUCUGGGCUUUGGCUGGGCUUCAAGCUUUUCCCCUUCUAGACCUUCUUUUGGGCCAACUCCUUCUUGAGCCCAAAGUUCAAGUUUUAACCCAAACAAUACCAAUGGGUUUCCAUUAAUUUCGAUAUCUAAGUUUCACUUUGUGAAUCGCUCCAAAUCAUUCUCCUGCCAAAAACAGAAACAAACCCCCAGAAUAAGGAGCUCUGUUGGUUCCCAAAUAUUAACUAUUGUUUCACUUGUACCCUUCAUCAAACAGGUGGUGAUCACUAUUACUAAGUAGGAUUGCAAAUUGAGUAUCUCAUUAUUAUAGGAAUCAGAAGUCAUCUUCCAGAAGAAAGAAAAAGUAUAAAGCACGACUCAAAUACCAGGGAUAGGCAAUCAAACUAAUAGUGCAGCGAAGAUAAUAAAACACGACCUACUACUCCCUCUCACUCGCUCUAUGCAAGGGCGGAAUGACUCUUAUUCACCAAACCCUCAUCGAAUGAUAGCCACGUAGACCCAUUCCAAUCUGUCCCAAACCCAUAGGACAAAAUUAACCUUCCUAACUUAGCAUCCUGACCGCUUCGAAUCCAAAAACUUUUAGCACAAAGAGUCCACAUGCAUAAGUAAAAUUCACAGAUCUAGUGCAUGCAAGCAUACAUCAGUAAAUGGAGCCAGAGAUUAUUACGUUUUACCUUGGGUCCGAGUUCCUUAAGUCGUGCACUCUCCAUUUUCCAAACGGACUUGAGUGUUGCAGUAGCAUCCUACAAAGAAAUCACAGAUACAUCAGCUGGUACAGAGAAUAGACACAUUUUUUUGUUUCAGACCGCAGAUCCAAGAACCACAAACUUAUUUCACCGAUUCUUGGUUCUGGACAAAAAAGCGAAGCAAGGGAUUGGAUGUUUACCUUUGGAAUUUUUGUACUCUCUAAUGAGAGAGGGGAACCUAGAAUGACAAACAAACCAAAGGGCAAACAAAUAAAUAGACGCCCAGAAGAUCCCCCAAUCAAUUAAAAAAAAAAAACCAAAAACCAUGCUACAUAACCUAACCAAACAACACAAAAAGAUUUGGAAAUUUUUUUUGGGCUUUCAAUCACCACAUUCACACAGAUAUAAAUGCAAAAACAAUAAAAAAAAAACUAAGAUUUUAAUACAGAAUUUAAUUGAAAAAGACACUUAUCUGAACAUGCUUGAAUGCUAUCUAUCAAUGGUAAUUCCCCAAAUCCAAACAAACCCCAAAGCAAACAGGGCAACUACAUAUGUAUUAAAUUCACAAUAACAAAUAAGUAAAAUUUAGCAAAAUUUAGCUCCAUCAAGCAAAAUUUAGCAUCUUCCAUCUUCACCAUAGCAGGUGGACUCAUCUACCUUUAGCUGAAUCAAACCAAAAUCAAGAUUACCAAAGUUAAUUACAACCGUUAAUUUCUAUAAAAUCAUACCUCAAAAGGUAAAACAAAAUGAAAUUGAAGGGUUUUACAUGGAUUUGCGAAUGCAAGAAUUUGAAUUUCCAAAAAUCCACCACUAUAAAAAUCCCCCAAAAUACUGAGAUUUAUACCCAAAAAAGGAAGAAAAUUUCCAAAACAUGAAACCCUAAAAACCAAAUAUAUAACUAUUUCUAUACUGCACCACCAUUUCAAAUUACUAUGCCAAGAGAAGGAAGAGGAACAUUGUGAGAACAGAGUAUAAUUAACCAUUUUGAUGUUCCUGUUAAUUAUGUCUAAAAGAAUGUCCAUGUCCAGUGCAUUCUGAUAGGAUUUUUAACGUCUAUGUAACUAGGGUCAAAAUCACAUAAAAUACUUGCAAGAAUUAGGGGUGGGUUCAAAAAACCGAAAACCGAAAAAAACCGAAAACCAAACCAAACCGAAACCGAAAAAACCGAACCGAACAAAAAAACCGAACCGAAUUGAAAAAACCGAACCGAACCGAAUUCUUUUGGUUCGGUUCGGUUUUAGUGAUCUAGAAACCGAACCAAACCGAACCGAACCGAAUUAAUUAAAUUAAUUUUUUUAUUUAAUUAUUUGUUUUGGAUAUUAUUUUCUAAACCCAAUUUGUAAGUUAAAAUAUGCUAAACCCAAUGUGUUGCCAAACUUUAAGCUCAAAAUAUUAAAAAAAAGUCCUAUAAAAACUUUAAACCCUAACCUAUUAUUUAUCCCCCAUAUAAGGUUCCGGAGCCAAACCUCAUCCUGAAGUACCUACAUCCAUCUCCAUAGCACUGUCUACUUUUGUCUCAGCUUUCUUUUCCAAAUCUACUCUCAUAUAACAUGUAACAGAAUCUAUAAACAUUUAUUUCGGGUAGAUUACUUAGGGAAUUUGUAAUGGAAAAGAAUCCAACACACACUAAAUAAAUCCACCCACGCAUUUCUUUUACUAAUCAAGUUGUCAACAUGCAGUUACAAGCAAACAACCCUGAUCUUUGAACAACAUCAUACAAUUUAACUUUUCUAAGUCAUUUGUACGAUUUUUGUGUUGUGAUGUUGUUAGUUUGGACUUUGGAAGACUUGAUUGAUGAUUUUAGUUCAACUUUAAAUGUUUAUUUUCAUUGUCUUUGAUUAUAGUUAGAAUGCUUGUGUUAUGAUUGUGUUGGAUACGUUAAAAUUUAAAUUUUCAAUGUUUUUCAUUUUUUAAAAGAAAAAAAAAACAAAAAACCGAAACCGAACCGAAACCGAACCGAAAAAAACCGAACCGAAAAAAAACCGAACCGAAAAAAAAAUGAACCGAACCGAACCGAACCGAAAUUUCGGUUUGGUUUCGGUUUUGGCAAAAAACCGAACCGAAUUAAACCGAACCCACCCCUAGCAAGAAUACAAGGAUAUUGUAGUAUAGAUGCUCAUGCAAGGUCGUUUUCCUCAAGGACUAUUUGGAUAAUUUGUGUAGAAACAAUUCCUAAUUAAAUACUUAGAAUUAAAACUUGAGAAAAGAGAGUUCGAGAAUGGGUAAUAUUAAAAACGAAAUUUAAACAAAAACUAAAAUAAUCGAAGAAAUGAGUUUAAAUACCAAUUUAUAAAGGCACUAGGGUUCCACCAUCACCUAGCAAUCCUAUGAAUUUCUACCAAUUACUUACGAUUUACACAUGCCACUUCAAAUGUUAGGUUUUCCUAAUACAUAUUCUUCUCAUGAUAUUCAAGCAAGAAUGUAUAUCUAACAUGCAAUUCGUCUGUGAUAUUCAGAUCAAAAAUGAACAUGCAAGACUCAUUAAGUUUUAUGAAAACCUUUUGAAGAACCAUGCAACCCCUAAGAACGUGAUAUUCGCCUUAGAUGAAAUUACAAUUAUCAAUCACAAGAAGCAAUACUCAAUCCUCCGGUGAUAUUCCGACCGAAUUGCAUCCAAUUACUUGUCUAAACAUCCUAAUGGUGGCAAAUCAUCAAGAUAAUUAGAUAGUUUAAAACAAUGAUCAAUAAUUCAAAGUGUGCAUGCAAUCAAUCAUAAGCAAUUAAAUAAAAAUUACAUAUUCAUGCUAAGGCUCAAGGUUUCACCCUAGUAAAAGGAAUUAGUUAUGCAUAAUCAUAAUUGAAAUCAUAGAAAAUAUUAUUACAAAUAAAAGGAAUGAAAGCACCUUGAAGUAGAAAAUCUCCAAGAACCCUAGCCAAGUUCUUUGUCUCUGAAGUUGAAUAAUAAUAAGCGUCCAGAAAAAUUGUAGACGGCCAAAGCAAUAUAUUUGCUCCGCCCUCACAAACCCUAAGACAUAGGUUUCUUAUUCCAACUAGAAAACUAAGAAAAAUAAUAAAAUAUCUUAGAAAAUAAAACCCUAAUUAAACUAGGAGAAUCUUCCAAGUACUUAUCCAGCCACGUUUUAGCCUCAGAUCUCCUCCAAAUCCGGUCCAAAACAGCUUGUUUUAAAGAUAAGGACCUUCCGACCACAUCUCUAGAAGGCCACGAAAUCAUCCGAGGUCAUCUUGGGCUCCAAAAACGCAAUUUAAGCCCAGAAACGUCAUUUUCCAGCACCGCACAUUGCUCCUUUAUUUUAUCGCCAAAAAAUAACCGCUUGAUGGAAAAAUCCCAAAUUUUGAUACGACCAAGCUAAGUGACUCACAAACAUCUUUUAACUGGAAUUACUCCAAAAUUCGUCCAUUUGACCACGUUUUGCUCCAGAGGAAGUCGAAAGUCCUAUAUUGAAAAUACAAUUCAAAGUAUCAAAAUUCUUCCAAAAUAUACUAAGAAUAUGGUUAAAUAUAUAAUAUAAAAUUCACUUAUCAAAAUACCCCCAAACUUAGCUUUUUGCUUGUCCUCAAGCAAAACAAGACUCAAACAAAAAUAAAAACUUAACAAACUAGACAACUAGCUAAAAUUAACUGACAAAAAUUUUUACCUUCAAAGUUGCAAUCCAUAGCAAAUUUUAAAAACUAGAACAUCUUUUCAAAAGUUCCAACCAAUCCCACUACAGAGUCUAAGCCAUUUAGAAUCAAUUAGAAAAGAAUUCACAAACUUCCUUUGGUGUAAAGUGAACCAACAUAGUUAAGGAGACUCAACUAAAACUCUUACCUCUCGUCCUUCUAUAUUUCACACAUACUACUUGUAAAUAUAACUAUUUGUUUUUUUCUUUUUCUCUUCAAUUGUUUCUCUUUUUUUUUCUUAGUAACAGUAGUGGUCGUGCAAUGUCGGUUCACUUAAGCUUUCAAUCCAACCCAUGUAGCGAGCUUUAGGUCAAUGACUCCCAAACCACUAGGGCUUUAGGGCAUUAGGUGUAGAACACCCCUAAGGACUUAUUAACCCGAGCUGAAAAGGCUACGAAACCAACUAACCACCCUGCCUCAUGCCAAAACUCUACCGUUUGACGCGAGAAUCAUUACUGAUUAGGCAGGACUGGCCCGGUUACUAGGCAGAACCUCGGGUGAGACAAUUAUUACUUUAUAACACAUACUAACUUUACUUUAUUUAGAACAAAAAUAAAAAUACACUUGGACAAAAAGCAAGUGUUUCAAUCUCACUCCCCACAAACCAUGUUGGUGUGAUGUGCAAUUGUCAAAGUAUAAUUCGUGAAUUGGUGUCUAAGUAACGAUAAAUAGAAAAGACUCUAUUGUAAGAUUAAUCUUUACCAUGUCCAUUUGUUCUAACGUUUAAAAUAAUCUAUAAAUAUUAACUUAAAAACGAAAAAAUUUAACUGACACAAAAAUAAAAAUCCUAAAUUUUUACUACUUUCCCACCCCCAAACUUAUUUCACACUUUGUCCUCAAGGUGUGAAAAAUAAAAUAAAACUAAACUGAAACAUCCAAAGAGAAGUCAACAACAAUCCUAAGCGAUUGGAAUAUGGGAGAAAACGAAAUGAAAAAUUGAAAAGCAAUAAAAAAAAACAAAGCAGACAAACAAUGAAAGGAUACACAAAGACAAAUAAAAGAAUGAGAAAUGGAGCAAGACACACCUGGGUGGGGUCGAACCUAGUACAGGAAAGCAUCAAAGAAAUGCUCAAAAAAUAUUUGUAGUCCAAAAAGGAGGCUCGUGACCAACGACCGAGCAUAUAGACAAAAACUUGGAAAACAAACAUUGGGCCUCGAGGAAAAUGGCGUGCAAACACAUCGAAGCCCAACUAGCUGCGGCAUUGACUCACGCAUGCACACACGUACAUCCACAAACCCUACCUUGGAUUCCCUAUUGCACUCCCUCGAGCCCAGAGUUAUACUUGUCAGCAAAACCAGAGCCAAACGGCUCUGUGUCUUGUCAUUUUUCAAAACCCACAUGUCUGACAAAUCACGUGAAAUGGGUAGCCUUGGACACGUGGCAAACAUCAGUGCAUUGAAACUCUUAGGAUUCCAAACGAACAGUCAGAUUACUUGUAUUCAUGUUGAAAGCUUUGGAUACCUGAAAUGCUUCUCAUUUUCAUUUUUUUUAUUGUAGAAACUGAAAGAACAGAGUCAUUUCUCUCGGCCCUCAUUGCUCCCCACAAAGAAAAGAACACAGUCACGGAAAGAACACAUUCAUUUUCAAUUUUCAAUUUUCCUUCUCUCUCUCUAGAAAAUCCCCAGAGACUCUCAGUGUGCACAACACUCGCAGCCCUCGCAUUUCUAUUUGUCCCAUAAAUGGGAGUUAUCAUCUGCACGGGAGUUCGGUCGUGAAUCCUAAAUUUCUAAAGGUAAAAACACGUUCCUUGCUGUCAUUUAGAUCCAUUGAGCUUAUUUUCAUGGAAAAAAAAAACAACUAAUGCAUGCAUGCCUUUGUUUCUGCAAGAGGACUCGGAUCCACAACAAAAGAGAGAGGCAAUAAUACACAGAUUUUUGUGAGUUAAAACGUGUGUAGACUGCUCACAGAUCUGUUGUCUGCAAAGUAGAAACAGAAGCAAAGCGUCUCCGACCCACAGAUCCGAGCAUAAGAAAGGUAAAACUCCUGUCGUGAAAUGUUGAGCUUUGUAUGGCCAAGGAUAGCUCAAUGUCACUGCAUAACCCAAAUCUCUGUCUCUCUGCGCCUGUAGGUGAUUCAGAUCGAGUGGAAAUCCGAGAAAAAAUAGUGCGCAAGCUGUAAAUGUAGUCGACAAAAUGGCAAAGCAAAUCUCUAAGUCAACGCGAUUGUGGAUUGGAAAGGUAUAAACACCCAUCUCUGCUGGAACCAUGUUGGAUAUAGAAAUCUUGUGUAAAUGAGUACAGCAGCAUGCAUGUAUUAUCUUCUCCCCAUGAUAAACUUAGUGAAACCUGAUCACCCCAAAACAUCUCUAUGCCCAUGUGGACUCGAAACGUGUCGAGGACAAAGAAUUAAUCAACCCCCAAACUGAUACACCUGUUUCCACUGGACCUCAUACACUUGAUUGUUCUGUUGCAGGGAAAAUACCCCAGAUUGGCAAAGGCAACGUGAUGACAAAACUAUGAGCUUACACUGAAUAAUGGCCGCUUAGCAAAAUAGAAAGGUAUAACAUCACAUCCCUGCUUGUGUAUGACAAAUCUGCUACUGGAUGCAUGAUUCCGUCUAAAAUGAUCUCUCUGUGCAUUAAGUCUUGUUUGUCUGCUGGCUGCAUAAAAAGCAGUUGUUGAAAUCAGAGAUAAAAAUGUAGAAGAUACUAUCAGUAAAAUAAAACAAGUAAAAACAAAGUAUGUUUUUUUUUUUGUUAUUUGUUAUUUUUUUUGUUUAAUUUUUAAUGAACACGAAAUGCAGCUAGAAAUUGAAAGUGAUGAAAGAAAAAUGAAACAAAGUAAAGAAAAAGUUAGAAAGUUGGGUUGCCUCCCAAUAAGCGUUUUAUUUAAAGUUUGCAGAAAUCUAGUGGUUAAAUCACUGGAUCCCUCAGAGUUAAUGACUCGCGUGCUGUGUGAUAGGGUGAUUCCAAGUAUGGUUUGAGCCUGUGAUCAUUGACCUUGAAUUCAUGACCUGUGACCUCAUUUUUUAUCUCCACAGCCCCAUGUGAAUAAACUUUAGUGACCACAUAUGGCCCUGUCCAACGUGACUUAAGUUUGCUUGGAAACAACUUUAAUCUGGAAUUGAAAAACAACACCUUUUGCCCUGUGUAAAAUUCUCUGCCAAGGAUUUUACUGUUAUGAAAUGCCUUAGUCUUGUCUUUGUAGAUUUUUGAACUUUCAUAUGCAUCAUUACGAAUCUCAUAGAGCUCAUUGAGCUCCAACUUACGCUUCUCCCCAGCUGAAUCAUAUGCAAAAUUUAGCUCCUUAAUAGCCCAAAACGCCUUGUGCUCUAGUUCCAUAGGUAAAUGACAUGCUUUCCCAUACACAAGUCUAAAUGGUGACAUCCAAAUUGGGGUUUUAAAAGUUGUCCUGUAAGCCCACAGUGCAUCAUUUAAUUUCAAAAUCCAAUCCUUAUGUGUAGAGCCAACUGUUUUCUCCAAAAUCCACUUUAAUUCUCUAUUUGAAACUUCCACUUGACCAGAUGUCUAUGGAUGAUAAGGUGUAGCCACGCGAUGAGUAAUCCCAUACUUUGCUAAUAAAGCUUCAAACUGUUUAUUAAUAAAAUGCUUCCCCCCAUCACUAAGAAUCACAGGUGGAAUUCCAAAACGUGGAAAUAUAACCCACUGGCGGAAUUUCAGUACCAUUGAUCCUUGAUUAGUGGGUGUUGCAAUGGCCUCGACCCAUUUAGAAACAUAUUCCACAACAACUAAAAUGUAUUGAUUUCCAUGAGAUGAUGGGAAUGGUCCCAUGAAAUCAAUACCCUAAACAUCAAAUAACUCAACAAUUAAAAUACUUUGCUGGAGCAUCUCAUUCCUUUUGGAUUGGUUGCCGACUCUUUGACACCUGUCACAAGCUUUGCACCAAUUAUGUGCAUCUUUAAAUAAUGUAGGCCAAAACAACCCACUUUGUAAAAUUUUCUCUGUUGUCUUUUUCUGUCCAAAAUGUCCCCCACAUGAAUACUGAUGAGCAAAACGUAAAACACUGUCUUGUUCAACCUCGGGAAUGCACCUAUGAAUAAUUUGGUUUGGACAAUACUUAUAUAAGUAUGGUUCAUCCCAGAAAUAAUGCUUGACAUCAGACAAAAACUUCUUUUUCUGCUGAAAUGAAAAAUCGGGAUGCAUAACACCCGUAGCCAAAUAAUUAACAAUAUCAGCAAACCAAGGUGUAUUAAUUUGGGCAGCAAAGACUUGUUCAUCUAGAAAACUCUCACUCAAUGGUAGAGAAUCUGCCUCCUUAGCUGCUGGAAUAAUUAAUCUGGAUAAAUGGUCAGCCACCACAUUUUCAUUGCCUUUCUUGUCUUUAAUUUCUAGAUCAAAUUCUUGAAGUAAAAGAACCCAACGAAUCAACCUAGGCUUUGCAUCCUUCUUAGACAACAAGUAUUUUAAUGCAGCAUUAUCCGUAUAAACAAUUAUCUUAGCCCCAACCAAAUAAGACCGAAACUUCUCUAAUGCAAACACAACUGUCAACAAUUCUUUCGCUGUGGUAGCAUAGUUAAGCUGUGCAUCAUUGAGUGUACGAGUUGCAUAAUAAAUGACAUGGGGAAGUUUGUCUUUCCGCUGUCCUAAAACUGCCCCAACAGCAUAAUCUGAAGCAUCACACAUUAAUUCAAAUGGUAAACCCCAAUCUGGUGCAGCAAUGAUGGGUGCCGAAGUUAGGAGUGAUUUCAACUUGUUGAACGCUUCUAAGCACGUCUCAUCGAAGUUAAAUGGUGCAUCUUUGGCCAAUAAAUUGCACAAAGGUUGGCUGAUCUUGGAAAAAUCCUUGAUGAACCGACGAUAAAAUCCUGCAUGUUCGAAAAACGAUCUAACACCUUUUACUGAUGUAGGGGGUGGCAACUUUGCAAUCACAUCAAUUUUAGCUUUGUCAACUUCAAUGCCUUUGUUAGAAAUUGAAUGACCCAAAAUAAUUCCCUGUUUCACCAUAAAAUGACACUUUUCCUAAUUCAGCACUAAAUUUGUUUCUUGACAUCUCUCAAGAACUAAGGACAAAUUAUGUAGGCAUUGAUCAAAUGAAUCUCCAAACACAGAAAAAUCAUCCAUAAAAACUUCCACAAUUCUUUCAACCAAGCCAGAAAAGAUACUUAUCAUACAAUGCUGAAAAGUGGCAGGUGCAUUGCAUAACCCAAAUGACAUCCUUCGAUAGGCAAAUGUCCCAAAUGGGCAUGUAAAUGUUGUCUUCUCUUGAUCCUUUGGUGCAAUUGGGAUCUGAUUAUACCCAGAAUAGCCAUCCAAGAAACAUUAAAAAGCCCUGUCAGCCAAUCUUUCUAACAUUUGGUCAGUAAACGGUAGAGGAAAAUGGUCUUUUCUUGUACCUGCAUUUGGCUUCCUAUAAUCCACACACAUACGCCAGCCUGUAGUUAAGCGUGUAGGAAUAAGCUCAUUGUUGUCAUUUUUAACUAUUAUAAUGCUAGUACGUUUAGGAACAACCUGCGUAGGACUCACCCAUUUACUGUCUGAAAUAGGAUAAAUCAUACCUGCAUCAAGUAAUUUCAUAACCUCUGUUCUGACCACCUUUUUCAUAAUUGGGUUAAGGCGACGUUGAACAUCAACUGUUGGCUUCACGUCGUCUUCCAUUAAAAUUUUAUGCAUACAGAUUGCUGGGCUAAUACCCUUGAUGUCAGCAAUUGUCCAUCCUAGUGCAUCUUGAUAUUUCCUCAAAACACGAAGCAAUUUAUCUUCCUCUAUGGGAGUUAAAUUAGCUGCAACUAUAACUGGCAGCGUUUCUGCAGCUCCUAAAUGUGCAUAUUUUAAAUGUUCUGGUAAGGGUUUCAGCUCCAAUUUUGGUGGUUGCUGUCUGGACGGCUUAAGGGGCUGUUUUGGCUCCCCUAAGCUCUCGUAAACAUUUCUAAACCUUGGCAACUGUGUGGGCAGACUGUCCAAUGCAUGAAUGUACUCAAGAACACCGUCAUCUUCAUAAUCUGUCCCAAUUUCCCCUUGUAAAACGUGCAGCAACUGAUCUGUAUUUGAACUGGCAUAAAAACUAUCUUGAACCAUAUUGUCUAACACAUCAAUGCGCAUACAAUCUUGUUGUUCAGCAGGACGUUUUGCUGCCUCAAACAAAUUAAAUACCACAGAUUGGUCUUGAACUCGUAAAGUUAGCGUUCCAGCUUCCACAUCGAGUAAAGUCCUAGCUGUUGCCAUAAACGGCCUCCCCAAAAUGAUAGGUGUUUGAAGGUCCUUAUCCAUGUCUAAAACCACAAAAUCCACCGGGAGAUAAAGAUUGUCAACCUUAAUAAUAAGAUCUUCAAUAACACCUCUUGAAUAAGUGAUUGAACGGUCAACUAGUUGAAGUAUAAUUGAUGUAGGCUUUAAAUCUCCUUGUCCCAAUCGCUGGAAAACAUAAAAAGGCAUCAAAUUAAUACUCGCACCCAAAUCAAUUAAAGCACUUUUAAAAUCAGAAUUUCCAAUAGUACAAGAAAUAUUAAAACUCCCUGGAUCUUUUUUUUUAGGUGGUAGUUUGUGUAGCAAAACUACACUGCACUGUUCUGUCAAAACAGCUUUGUCCAAAUCUGCAAGCUUCUUUUUGCUGCUACAAACUUCUUUCAGAAAUUUGGCAUAUGAUGGUAUUUUCUUGAUUGCAUCCAGCAAUGGAAUGUUGAUUUGAACCUUGGGUAAUGUCUGCAUGAAAUCUUUGAGUUGCUGAUCUCUUGCUUUAGGAAUUACACGUUCAGGGUAAGGCAGUGGAGGGUCAUAAACACGCUGAGAAUUUUGUUUUGGGAUUGUUUCUGUACUGUGCAGAUUCUGUUUUUUUACAGAUUUGUCAGGUUUUGCUGCUGGCAUUUCAGAUUCUGCAGUAAUUGGCACUGCAGGCAGAUUCUGUUCAGUACAGUUUGCAUGAUUGUCAUAACUUUUUCCACACCGUGAAGUCCGGACAACAUUGCAGUCUUCAUGUCCUCUUGGAUUAGGCACUGUUUGACUAGGAAAUUUGCCUUUUUCUCUGUCUGAAAUUUGUGCAGCUAGCUGCCCAAAUUGUUGCUCUAAACUUUUAAUUAAUGCUUCAACAUUUUGAAUUCUUUGAUUGCUGCCUUCCAUGAAUGUUUGUGUUGUAGCUGCCAUUUUAGAAAGUUGAUCUUCCAGGGAUGAUUUUGAUGGCACAAAAGGUUUUUGUACAUGCUGGAAUGGUUUUGAAUUAUUCUGAUUAUCACCCCAUUUGAAAUUAGGAUGAUCCUUUCAUCCUGGAUUGUAAUGAGUUGCAUAUGCAUCAUUCCUAGGCCUUUGAUAGCUGUUCAUCAUAUUAACAUGUUGCUCCACAAGCUCUGGGUAAGAUUUUUUAUGUGGACAACCCAAUAUGUUGUGUGUAGCUAUGCUGCAGAUAGUGCAAACUGUUGCCGCAGGUGGCUGCUGCUGUGUAGAAUUUGCUAUCUGUUGUAGAAUAAUAUCAAACUUGGCAUUAAUUUUCUUCUCUAUUUUUUCCAUUUGUGCAGGCAUAUUAGGAGAACCUGCUGAUAACUCAAAAAUGCCCCUUUUCUGUGAAUGUUUUGCUGCCCAUUGUUGAGAUUAUGUAGCCAUUGUAUCAAAUAAUUCAAAUUCUUCUCUUGUAGAUUUAUUUGACAAUGAACCCCCAGCUGAUGCAUUAACAUGACUUUUGGAUGUAGGAUUAAGCCCAUUAAAGAAAAUAUUUAUUUGUAUAUCUGGAUCAAUAUUAACAUGUGGACAUUUUAUACAUCUCUGUAUAUCUCUCCCACGCUUUAUGAAAUUCUUCGUUUGGCUUUUGAGUGAAUGUUAUAAUUUCCCGCUUGUAAUUCAAUGUCUUGGAUGCCGGAUAAUAUUUGUUCAGGAAUCUUGUAUGCAAUUGUUGCCAAGUAGUAAUGCUAUUAGCUGGUAGAGUGAAUAACCAAGUUUUAGCCUUAUCCUUCAAAGUAAAAGGAAAAAGAUGUAACUUAAUAGCCUCGGCAGAAAAACCCCUGAUCAAGAUAUUUUUGCAACCCACGAUAAAUUUUGCAACAUGUAAAUUCGCAUCCUCGUUAGACAGCCCACGAAAAGUAGGUAAAAUUUCAAGCAUAUGGUGCUUGAUCUCAAAUGAAUCGCCAUCUUCCUGGGCAGGAUAUACAAUACAAUUAGGAACAUCAUUAGCUCGGGCAGCCAAUGACUCUGAGUGGCUUACCUGCAGCAGGCAAUUGCAACGCCAUUGUGAUUUUACUGUCCACAAAACCAACAAACAAUUCCUGCAGAAACGUGCCUUGCAGUGCACAGUCCCAAACCAAAUUAUUUUCUCUCCUCUGUCUACGUAGUGUGUGUUCGGGUUCUGGAUCAAACUGUGCAAUCUGGGCAGUUCCUGAUCUAGUUUGGACCAUGCAGUUUGCAGAAUCUGCAAUAAAACAAAAGCGUUAAAAUGAUUUUUUUUGACGAAAAAUAAUAUAUAAAAAAGAUAAUCAGAAAAAGUUUAAACAAAAAUUAUCUAAAAUAGUCCCCGGCAGCGGCACCAAUUUCUUGAUAGGAUUUUUAACGUUUAUGUAACUAGGGUCAAAAUCACAUGAAAUACUUGCAAGAAUACAAGGAUAUUGUAGUAUAGAUGCUCAUGCAAGGUCGUUUUCCUUAAGGACUAUUUGGAUAAUUUGUGUAGAAACAAUUCCUAAUUAAAUACUUAGAAUUAAAACUUGAGAAAAGAGAGUUCGAGAAUGGGUAAUAUUAAAAAUGAAAUUUAAACAAAAACUAAAAUAAUUGAAGAAAUGAGUUUUAAAUACCAAUUUAUAAAGGCACUAGGGUUCCACCAUCACCUAGCAAUCCUAUGAAUUUCUACCAAUUACUUACGAUUUACACAUGCCACUUCGAAGGUUAGGUUUUCCUAAUACAUAUUCUCCUCGUGAUAUUCAAGCAAGAAUGUAUAUCUAACAUGCAAUCCGUCUGUGAUAUUUAGAUCAAAUAUGAACAUGCAAGACUCAUUAAGUUUUAUGAAAACCUUUUGAAGAACCAUGCAACCCCUAAGAACGUGAUAUUCGCCUUAGAUGAAAUUACAAUUAUCAAUCACAAGAAGCAAUAUUCAAUCCUCCGGUGAUAUUCUGACCGAAUUGCAUCCAAUUACUUAUCUAAACAUUCUAAUGGUGGCCAAUUAUCAAGAAAAUUAGAUAGUUUAAAACAGUGAUCAAUAAUUCAAAGUGUGCAUGCAAUCAAUCAUAAGCAAUUAAAUAAAAAUUACAUAUUCAUGCUAAGGCACAAGGUUUCGCCCUAGCAAAAGGAAUUAGUUAUGCAUAAUCAUAAUUGAAAUCAUAGAAAAUAUUAUUACAAAUAAAAGGAAUGAAAGCACCUUGAAGUAGAAAAUCUCCAAGAACCCUAGCCAAGUUCUUUGUCUCUGAAGUUGAAUAAUAUUAAGCGUCCAAAAAAAUUGUAGACGGCCAAAGCAAUAUAUUUGCUCCGCCCUCACAAACCCUAAGACAUAGGUUUCUUAUUCCAACUAGGAAACUAAGAAAAAUAAUAAAAUAUCUUAGAAAAUAAAACCCUAACUAAACUAGGAGAAUCUGCCAAGUACUUGUCCAGCCACGUUUUAGCCUCAGAUCUCCUCCAAAUCCGGUCCAAGACAGCUUGUUUUAAAGAUAAGGACCUUCCGAACACAUCUCCAGAAGGCCACGAAACCAUCUGAGGUCAUCUUGGGCUCCAAAAACGCAAUUUAAGCCCAAAAACGUCAUUUUCCAGCACCGCGCAUCGCUCCUUUAUUUUAUUGCCAGAAAAUAACCGCUUGAUGGAAAAAUUCCAAAUUUUGAUACGACCAAGCUAAGUGACUCACGAACGUCUUCUAACUGGAAUUAAUCCAAAAUUCGUCCAUUUGACCACGUUUUGCUCCAGAGGAAGUCGAAAGUCCUAUAUUGAAAAUACAAAUCAAAGUAUCAAAAUUCUUCCAAAAUAUACUAAGAAUAGGGUUAAAUAUAUAAUAUAAAAUUCACUUAUCACAUUCUUUCUAAUAAUUGACACAAACAAAUAUGCAGCCAUUUCAUGUAAUUCGAAGAGGAACAACCAUAUACCUGAGUUUUUUUUUUUCCAAAUGAUUAGCCACCCUCUCCCCAAAUCCCCUGAACAUAAAAUUCUCAUGCGCUCAUUUGCUCCAUGUUCUGCCUUGCUCCCAUUCGGAUCCUUCUCUUUCUCCUAGUUGGAGACUCUAAUUCAAGUAAAAUCAAACAUUCAAACAACUCAAAUGAAACAUUCAAACAACUCAGCUCUCACUUGACUGGUACCAAAUGAAGGCCAUUAAUACUUAUUAUAAUUUAAUUAAAAAAAUUAAAAACACUUGAAUGAAUUUAACAAAUGAGUGAGCAGUAGUAUGUAAUUAAUUAGUAUUCUUGACAAAUAUGUACCUACUGCUCAUCCAAGAUAUAAUUCAAUGUCAAAUUGAAAUCAAUAUUCAUAUGAACUAAUUUAAACAAUAAAAAUAACUGAAUCAUUUACCCAAGAUAUAAAUUAACAUCAUCAACUCGCCUAAAUAAAAAAUUUACAUUGGUGAAAUAUACAACCCAAAGGCAAAGUAUUCCCUGCAGUUAAUUCAAACGACAUUGACAAAAAAUUCCCAAAAAAAUCGAUAUUCUUACAGCCACUUUUAUCAUAUUUUAUAAACACACAAAUUAUCAAACAAAAAGAGGGGUUAAGAAAAAUACCCACUAAUUUCACAAAUCUGCUCCAGAAUGAUUUCUCCAAGCACCCUAGUAGCAGCAAAUGGCUCCACACCGCGUGCUUCAAGGCUCGAAGUAGCAACCUCGAACCCUUUUCAAUUCAACAUAAAUUACAGCAAUAAAAACCUACAAAAAACCUGUAUAAGGCAAUUAAUAAAAAUAUUAAAAGAAAAAAAAACAGAGAACCACCAAAUCCAAUUUUCAAUCACUUAAAAUUAUACAAUUGCAGUUCCUAAAACAAAAAUAAUUUGCAGAAAGAAAAUUAGAAAAUUCGAACUUGAUAACAAUCUACCUUAAGAAACCCCAUUACUGAGUAACAACAACAACAACAUCGAGACAUAAUUUGGUGAAUAUUUAUGGUGGACAAAUUUAACAACUCUAGUACUGUUAACAAAGCUUCAACCAAAACAAAGAAAUCAAAUCAAUAUAUACCUGCAUAUCCCCAGUCCGAAUUGUACUCUCGUGCCCUGCAAUGUCUUGGUGAGUGAUUCUUGCCUGAAAUCCAAACAAAACAAAAUUUGAAAUUUUAGUUUCCAACACAUUUAACCUUCACAGCACACAAAAAAUAAAAACUCUCAUCAAUAGAAAAUCAAAGGGAAAACUUGAAAUUAUAUACCUGAGGCACAAAUGGUUCGCAAACGUGUAGACUGAGAUAAGUGCCAGACUUGCUUCAAGGUGCCUAAGGACUUGUACCUUCAUUUCCUCCCUCUCUCUCACUGGGGCUAGGUUGAGAGAGAGAAGUCUCUCGAAUUUGAGAGAAAUGAGAGAGAAACGGUGCUAGGGUUGUAGGAAAUGAGCUUACAGAGUGAGAAAAGGAAGAUGGUUAUCGAGAAAGAGUCGGGAGAGAGAAAGAGGGAAAGAAAAGGCGGUGGCAAUUUUGUAAAUAAAGUGAAAUUCGGCUCAAACCUACGGACACAAUCACCCCCUAACUUUUAAGAAUUACCUUCCCAACCCAACCCAAAUCUGAUGGUUUUGUUGUAAAUAGCGUGAAAUCGAAUGGCAAACAAUUGACUGUAGCUCACUCCUCAAUUUUAGAAUAGAUAAUUCAUUCACAUUUUCCACAUCACUACACUUUAUGGCUUCGUCACCUUCCAGGUGUCUGCCAGCACAACUCGAUUCUGAGUUGUAGUGGACAAUCCGGGUCGGGAUGUGUCAGUUUGGUAUCAGAGCAUAAGUUGGGCAGUAUUGCAUUCAUCAUACGCGUGAUGUAAGCAUUCUAGGUUCUUAAGCCUAAUAUUUGAAUCUUGCCACCUCGUCGAAUCAUGAAAAAUGUGUUAGCUUUUCGUAAGUUUUGGGCAGUUUUGUCGACUUGUUGACAUUUUAGAAGAUUACUUUGGCGAACGCCUUAGACUUAAAGCGAAGAAAUUCCCUGCCCAGGAAAGGUGUAAAUUUGAGGCAAGUUGAUGGCCUUAAAGCAGGGCUAAUGUAUCGAUAACUAUGUAUCACCGUAGACUUUACCAAUCAUUUCCAUCACUAUUCUCCAACCAUUAGUAUUAAACCUUUUGAGAUAGGAAAUCAGAAAUAAUUUUGAUUCCUUGGCACUAUCUAUUAGAAUACCACCUAUUAGAAUUCCUAUGAAGUCUACUCUCGUCAAGACUCUAGAAAUGUCUUGUGUAACGAUGUGGUGCUAAAGUGGUAACACUCGACGAGAAAACAUCUUGGGACAAUCACUUUUGAUCCCAUAUAGCACUAAUCUUUCCAAAUGCAUUAGUGAUCAUUCCGAUCUUCGGGAGGAAGAUCGACUUCCGUUUAAGUUUGUUCUAAAGUAGAUUAUUAGAAAAUUCUUUUUUUGGCCUUAGGACGUUCCUGCCAACGCUAGUUUCCCGAGUUUCUUUUGGUGAUGUACUCAUCAUUUCAACGAGCAUAGGCACAGGUGUACAAGAUGUUAUACCUACGAUUAGUAGAAAUCCCCGAAAUAGUAAGUAUUUUCUCUAGAAUUGAAACCACCUCAUCGGACCAGUUCCUUACCAAUUGUCCAAAACCAACCAUCCGAGCGGGCUCUAGCCUGUGAUCAGUCCAUUGUAGCGCUACUAAUUGACAAUAUUAUUCGAUAUCUGGGAGCUGUUAACCAAUAUUCAGGCGGUAUGACUUCUAAUACAAACAUAUGUAUUAGUAUCUGAGAGUGAUACCUUUAUACCAGACCGUUGGUUCACAGUUUCAGGAUAACGAACAAUAUCAACAUAUUUAAAAUACGUGAUUAGUAGCGCGGCUGAUAGAUUGGUUAACAGUGACUACUUAAGCCGAAGAAACUAAAUCUCAGAAACUUAGGAGCAAGCCUAUUAGAAGGACCGUAAACUCGCAGUUAUGUUAAUUGUUUUACCCAUCUAGGUAACUAGAACGUUCUCGACCAUUCAUCCUUGUGGUCACUUCCAUCCACAAGCAUUAGGAUUGAAGCACGAGUUAAUUUCCCGAUGUAAGAGCAAGUUGAGUAUCAAGAAAGUCAUGAAGACCUAUUAGUAGGUGUCGUAGGGAAAAGAAGUAGUAUGAUGUGUUUUAAGGACGAAUACCUUUGGAGGCAUUUCCCAAAAUUUUAUCUGGGAAAUCAUCAAAUGGUGAAGUGCAGUACAUCAUUGACCCACUUCCUAGUAUUAUGCCAAUUUCCCUUACUCAUAUUGAAUGUUCCCGACAUCAUUGAGAAACUUAGUUAUAAAGUUUACCAAUUAGGAACUUACCUAACCCAGGACUCAACACUUUAUCUUGGAAACCUCAAACCUACCCAUGAAGCUGAAAGAUUGAAUCUUAGGGUCAUACCUAGACUAAACACUUUAUCCCCUACUUCGAGUUGAUGGUCUAGCCAACCCACCUUUGUAACUCGAGUAUUCUUCCAUAACCUAAUGAAUUUGUAGUGAUGAAUCUAAUCUUUAGACAUCGACAGUCAGCUUUAUAUCAUAUUCCUCAACUAUUAACUUUGAUUAAAUCGGUAUUUUUUCUCGGGAGACGUGAUCUCCACAGGUGAUAUUCCUUUCUUUUUCCAAAAAGAUUGUAGCGAAAGAAAGUAGAAAUUCUCACAAAAUAUUGUGAAUUUCGAGAUAUCUUUGGUCUUAUCGAUUUUAUCGACAAUUAGAUAGCAAUUUUCAGUUAUAGUUUUUUUCCUCACUCAUAACUGAGGAAAGUUAGUUUAGUUGGGAUGUUAGUUAUGAAUAAAGUUUCUGACAACUAAAUUGUUGUCUCAUUUCAUCUUCAUUUUAGACUUUUCGAUGACAUUGAUCAUUUGGAUAUCCAUGAUGACAACAUGUUCUCUGGAUGUUUCAACUAUGCUAAGGCAGCAUAACGGAGAAUCGCUUAUACUUUCCAACGGUUAAAAUCGUUUGAAAUGAACCAUCUUAUUCAUGACCUAGAGUCAAUUGUUAUCAUUUUCAUUUGGGAAACCGGAUGACACUUCUUUGUGGAGAAAUGUGUCCAUAACUUUCACCAAUCUCACAAACUUUUUAAAUGCACUUUCUUUUGAAAAGAAUUAAAUUUUCGACAGCGGCAGUGGAAGAACUAAAUCAACAUCUAUGAUUGCACUAUCAUGUAUUGUCCUGGUUGUGCAAAAGACAUUAAUUAUCUUUGAAAUAUUUUCAGCCUGUCCUAUUCCAUUUUAGUUGGAAUGCACAAGCUUGGUGUGACGUUACCUAUAAAUCAUCAAGAAUCAUUCGAAUGGUUGUAAUCGCUUCUUGUAUCCGAAUAGAGAUGGGGAAAUAUCACCAUAAGCUCCUGGUACAAGGUAUCUCAUGCAUGUGGAGAUUAUGAUGACGUUCGGUGAUUAUAGACUGACUUGACAAGUCAACCCAAAUUCUCAUUCCUGAAUUCUUCAGAUUUUCUUACGCUUCGAUAGGCGCCUAUUCUGAUGGUGUUUCAUUGUCUUGUGUUGGAAAGCAUUUUAGUCAAUCAUGAGUACGUGUUUACUCCACUGCUUUCCAUUUUAUUUCUAAGGUAGGCAGACCAUCUAGAAUAAUCGCUCGGACAUUUAAAUUUUAAUUGCGACCAUUAAUUCUUCAAUCACCCAAUAAUUACUCUGCUGAGUGAACCUUUACUGUUGGUGAUUGAAUAUUCUGUAAACUACCUUUGUAGUGUGAGAUCACAAUCAACCUAGAUAUCUUGAACUCUAGAUUUGAUGGACUUGUGUUGACCCUCAAAUUCUUGAGUGCUCAUUUAGCCUUCUUGACUUAGCUUUUCUCUAAAAUCAAGAAAAACUCAUUAUGAAUCUGUUCGCUAAGGUGUUGUGGAUUACAUUGUGUAGUCAUUACCGUAUCUCACUGUGAUGCACAUAUCACUUCUAAAUCUAAAUCUUGGGAAGUCCUCUUGAAGGCCAUGCAUACUAAGUUUUUGGUAUAAUACUAUGUUUCAUCCUCAAAGUAAUGGCCAGCUGGAAUGAGUUAUCUCGACCUUGGUGGACAUGUUGUGUUUAUGCGUACUAUGGUUUUAGUAUGAUUUUGACUAACACCUAUGCCUCGAGAGUUAUGUGUAACUACGGUUACAAUUUUCGAUUUUGAGUUUGGCACUGUUUGAAAACGUUGCAUGGAGACUUUAUGCACAGUGUAUGAUUGACAGAGGAGUAAUACAAAAAGGUAUUUGAAUGAUCAAGAUUAUGAUUUAAGAAAUUGUGUAAUGUUGAUGACGUUGCCCGAGAGGGUAGUGCGUGAGCACGAUCGAGGUUUUGUUCAGACGAUGUGUGUAUAUUCCCAAUGAGGGGCAUGAUGGUAAUAUUGCACCCUUGGGAAUUUGUUACUUGCUUAUUGAGACAACAGUGAGUUGUCGGUAUUACGGGCUGCAGACCGUAAUAUCAAUAACUUAUUCGUUGGAUUCGUUAAGCAAGAAGACAAGUAGGUUAUUCUACGUUAGCAUUUGUAUUUACUAACUUAAUUAGUUAUUCAUUGUUUGGGCUCAACCUAAAGAUACUAUAUACUUAUCUUAAGAGUACGUAACGCAACGAGUGCGUAGAUGAAAAACAGUCUAUGUUCAAUUUUAAUUUCAGUACAAUUACUUUAUGUUAUUAUUUAUAUAUUGACUGUAUGUUCUAUAAAAGCGGUAGUAUUGAAGGAGAAGAAAAGUAUGAGUUUGGGGGCAUGAAAGAGGAAUCACUGCACUCCGAUCGCGACGGAAUGACAUUAUCUUUUUUGCAACCGCUUUAACUUGAUAUCUUCUUUACAUACCUGUUUUUCUACUGUCUUUUCACUAUUCUUGUAUAACAAAUUAUUUUAAAUUUCGGGUACGAAUUUUUUUUUAAGAUGGGUCGAUUGUGACAACCCGUCUCUAAUUUUACUUUUUUUUAGUAAUUUUAAAAGCGUGAAUUAAUGAAAAUGCCCCAAAGGCAAGGACUUUGACUUCCAUUGACCAUCAUUUAGAGAAACGUAUGACUUAUUAGUUUAACGUAUUUGAGUAGUACUCUCUAGUACGAACGCAUAAGGGAAAGCCAUUUGCGAGUCUGAAUUAUAACGGUAUAGUUACGGACGUUAGAAAUUAGUAAUUUAAAAUUUAGUUAUAAAUUACUUAAAACUCCCACCAUGUGGGAAUGGUAACCAAUCAGAAAAGGAAAAGAAUGGGAAGGAAGGUGGUACAGGGGAGGAAGUCCCUAUCUGAUGGAAGAUGGACAAACCAGAUGAGGAGGAGGUGAGUGGACCAAUGGGAGGAAGAGAAGGGAAGAAAGGAGAGAGGAGUGAGAGGCACGGGAUCAUAAACCCUUCCUUUUCAAUCCUUGCACAACCCAAUUUCGACCCAGUUUUAAAUCCGACAAAUUUCUGCCAUUUUUUAUCCAUCACUUGCAAAUCACUCAGGUGGCCACCCAUCCAUCAUCUCAACCCAAAAACAUAGAGUUUUGGUUCCAAUUUCGUGAAGGCCGACGCACAGCUUCGUGGGUAUUAGGCGGCGAUCCACCCAUUUCUGAAACACUUACUUUCAAUCACCACCACCAAAACACUUUUCUGGAGGUCAAGAACAAAGCCCAAACAGUUUUAGGGGCGGUGGUGUUGCGGAUUGAUCGAAUUAAAAGGACACCCAAUUCUAGGGUUCCGGCGAGUUCAUGUAGAUUUAAAGCUUUUCCCGAUCAAAUUGGACUUGGCCACAAGUAUAAAACUUCCUCUACUCACUGAAAUCUUCAUUUCUGUGAAGUUUGAGAAUUUUUAGAAAUAGUUGAUUUUUUCGACGAGUAGGGGCGGCCUAUUGCCAUGUAUAGCGGUGCGUGAGCCGAGGCAUCCCCUGACCUUCCUAGGCUAAAUUUGAUUCUCCAAUUCCAUAUGUGAAGUCCUAUUGAAGAAUUUCCAUCGUUUGAACCUAGUUCCUUUAAGGUCCGCCAGUUAAUUAAUAUAGCAAUCGACGAUUCGACCGUUGGAUCGUCACCAUUAGUAAUUUAUAAUACGUAAUAUAUGAGGAUCAUAGGAACUUACUAAUCGGGAAUCCGACGUACUGAUCUUCCUGAAUUGGAUUUGUAGGUUCAUAAAAUAAAACAUUAACUUCCACUUGAAUUUGCAAUUGGCGGAGAUCCAACCGUUGGAUCAUAACGAAACUUUAGUAUGAUGUUUUAGAAGCAUAAUGUGGAUUUUUGGACAUUACGGAUCGAAAAUCUAUGAUGCGGAUCUUUCGAAUCGAGUUACUUAGGGUUGUGGACCCUACCGUCGAUCUUUGACUGACGGUUGACUUUUGGUCAAUGGGUCUCAAAUCAUUCUAGAACGUCCUUGGAAAUGUGUUUUAUGUAAGUUACAUGUUCUAUCGAUAAGAAUUAUGAGACGUUAUUUGAUAAUUGUUCUAGGCGAUGAUGGUUCGUGAUGCCUCGAUAUUCGUGCUAGGGAAUUAUAACACGAACUUCAUGUGAGUAGGUCUUUUCCUUUUUAUAGUAUAUAUAUGAAUGAUAGUUCCACAAAUGCUUUUAAAUUGAUUUAUACAUUUUAUGUCAUAUUAUAUAUAUAUAUAUAUAUAUAUAUAUUUUAAAAUACUAUGAUAUGGUUGAAUUUUAGAUUGCAUUAUGGCAUAUCCAUAUGCAUAUUACCUACAUAUAAUUGUUGUGAAUGCUUUGAAGUGCUAAGGUGAACGCGGGAUGCGCAGGUAAGUUCAGGUGAGUUUAUGGUGUUAUUUGAAAUGAUUGAGUUAUGGCAUGACUAUAUUUAUGUUUUAUGCAACUUCGACAUUGUCAUACAGGUUGUAAUAAUAGGCAACUCUGACACUGUCAUACAUGUUGCAAUGAUUGGCAACUUCGACAUUGUCAUACAAGUUGCAACAAUAGGCAACUCCGACACUGUCGUACAGGUUGCCUAUGAGUCGUACAGGUUACCUAUGAGUUGUAUAGGUUGCAUUAGGCAACUCCGACUCGUGUGUCAACAUAGAUUGAUGAGCAUUGCAUUUGGAAUAUUUCUGGAAUUACUGUUGAUUUACAUUUGAUUUCAUACUUAUAUGUAGUAUGAUUUUCUGGAAACUAUAUAGGUUUUACAGAAAGGGGUUAACGUUUUCAAAAGGUUUUUAUUAAAACUUUAUUUUCAGGCCCAUUCACCCUUGUUUUUUUUUUCGCCCCUCCAAAUUUUAAUAGAUGAGCUUUCCUAUCGACGAGAAUUCGUGGCAAAUCGUUGUAUUGGAGAUUACCUUCGAUGGUAUGAUUCUCAAUCCACUCUAUUGCACUUUACUUAUGCUCUGACGUCACGUGUGAAAUGGGUUCAUUCCCACUCACAGCGCACUCUUGUAUUUAGGCAGUUUUAGGUUUAAAUUGAUUCACAUUUUCCACAUCAUUACACUUUAUGGCUUCGUCACUUUCCAGGGUGUCAACCAGCACAACUCGAUUCAAAGUCCUAGUGGACAAUCCGGGUCGGGAUGUGUCAUUAGGACCUUAGUUAUCAUGUUUUGUGUUUUUUUUUCUUUUUUCUUUUUUUUUUUGUAAAAAAAAAAAAGAAAAUUUUGGGCAUGAUAACUCUCACGCUCUGUUUAGACGAUUUGUCACCCUUAAACCUUACUCAUCCUUCUCAUCUCCUUUCAUUGAGAGAAAGCAAAAAGAAUGAACAUAGAAAAUGACAUUUCUAUGGAAGAAGUAGAGGAUUAUGUUUCCAUCGAAGAGGUAGAAGAAUAAUUUAUGUGUGAGUCAUUUUAAUUUGUCAUCAAUUGAAUUUGCAUAGCUCUGUAGUUUUUUAUUUGAAUUUGCAUACCUCUGUGGCUAUGACUUUAUAUUUAACUUUUGCGUACAUUAUUAUGAUUAGUAUUAGUUUAGGGUGCAAUUUGUUUCAUGUUUUUAUAUGCAUAUUCCUGGAGAUGGUUUACUUGAGUAAGCUCCAUUUUCAAUCCCAACCAAACCUAUUUUUAUUGGAUUGCUUACAACUUACUAGGCCUUCUAAGAAUUUACAACCACCAAAAUAUGGUUGAGCCACAUUUGUGGAGGCCAGGGGUUUGGGUUCGGGUUCGAGAGAGAGCUCCAUAAAUGUGUUUUGGAAACAAAUGGAAGACUCCGGCUUUUCCCUUCCCAUGGUGAUCAAUAGGUGUACAUCAGGCUGAAAAUUGGAAGAGCUCAGUUUUUUUUUUUUCCGUUGGCUUUAAGAAGAGAGUAAUAUUAUUUGUUUAUAUUCUCUUUCUAAGAGAUAAGUUAAAAGUAUAUAUAUUAAGGGUUAUUUUAGGAAUAAUAGUGGGUGGGGAAAUAAUAUUUUAAUUUUUUAACUUUUUAUAGUGAGUGUAAAUAUAACGUGGGUGGGGAAAUAAGACAACGGGGUGGAUCUAGCAGCUCUCUAUAUAUUUUACUAUAUUCUUUGUAUAUUUUAGUAAUUAUUUUAGUGAGAUUUUGCUACUUUGAUUUACAUUUUCAAUGUAAGAUAUGCGACUUCUUCUUGAGCAAAAGGUGAUCAAACGGAUGAAUUUUGAAAUGAUUCCAAUUGAACGAUGUUCGUGAGCCUCUCAGCUUGUUCGUAGCAAAUUUUCAGAUUUUUCUACCAAGUGAAUAAUUUACAACGAAUAAGGUGUUUGGGCUUUUUGGUAUCCAAGAAGAUGUCUUUUGACAACGAGCCCCUCUGUAAAUAUGUUUAGGACAUUUUAAGUUUUAAAAAGAGUCAUCUUGGGUCUGUUUUGAAAGUGUCUAAGGCCUAGAAUGUGGAUGCUUUUGUGGCUGGGCCGAUUUCCCAUUAUUGAUUAGGAUUAUAUUUCCUAGUUUAUCUUAAGUUAUUAUGUUUCCUAGUUUUGUUCUAAGACCUUUUCAAGGAAAGAUUUUAUUUUGUACUAGUAUAAAUAAGGCUAUUUAGCCAUUAAGUGUGACGACCCGUCCCAAAUUUAUAUUUAUUUAUUCCCGAUGGCAUGGAAAUGACUAUUUUUCCCUUGAGCGUUGGGUUGUGAUAGUAUUAAUGGAUGAAGAAAAUGGGAAAAAAUAGGGCCCAAAGAAUGGACCAAUUAUCUAAUUUCCUAAGUUUUGGGAUCCAAUUGAAAUUGUAGGGUUGUUAGGACCAAGUUUGAAUAUCCCAAUUAGAACUUAGGGAUAUUAGGUGGGUGCCCAAUCCGGAUCAACACACACACACUCACACGUGCAACCUUUCCCUAUACUCUCUCUCUCGUUCUCGAACCCUCUCCCUUUCCGUACACCGGUAACCAGCCCAAAUCCCUUCAAACCAUUGUAGAUCGAGCUGGUGGAAGUUACCUUCGAGUUCCUUGCAAGCUCAGAAAUCUAACUAUACCAUUAGUUUGAUGUGAGGACAUCGGGAACCUGAGAACCUGUGAGCUCCGACGAGGUGCCCUGUUGCUCGAGCUUGAUCAUGAGUGUUUCAUGGGGUUCUAAGGUACAAGAAAGUCUUAAAACAACUUUACAAAGUUGUUAGAGGAAUUUUGGAAGGUUUUGGACGUCGGGAUACUCGAGUUCAUCAAGUUGCAGACUUAGCCGGUUUCCACGAAAUUAUUCCGGCUAAAUUCCGUUAGUUUUAGGACUCCAAAGUGGUAAGAUCAUGUUCUCCUAGUUCAGAACUUCAUUUUGGUACAAAUUUCAUGAAUUUUGUUGUUGAAAUGGAAGAGAUAUUGAAGUUUUUCAGUUUUCUAGUUUCCGGCGAGUGUAGCGGUGACCGGUGUCGGACUUCGGCGAACCAAGGAAGGAGAAAUGGAAUAUUCUGUCAACUUUGACGAAAUAUGCUAACGGCGUCAGGUAAUUUAAACGGUAUAUUCCAUUAUUUAACUGAAUAUUCCCUAACACCGUUAGGGAAUCCGUCAGUGUGCUAGGCAUGUGCUUGUGCAUGGGCGGCGUGUGGGAACUUAGAAAUUUUUUCUAAAAUUAUGGGGAUGUUUGUGGGGUUGAGUAAGCCACGAUGGUAUAUUCAAAUACCCCAAUUGAGCAACGUAUACGAAGUUAUUUCCUAGUUUUGAUUAUGUGCUUAAAAUAACGUUAUAAUAGUUGUUUCACAUAUAGGUGAGACAUUUCCAAAAGACGAGCGCAGUCAAGCAAGACUCGGGGUUACGACCCUACAACGUACCAGUGAGUGGGCUUUUGGUUUUCAGUAUAUAUAUAUAUAUAUACAUAUACAUAUAUAUAUGCUUGGUAUUUUUCCAAGAAAACUUAUUUAAAUGGGUUAUGUUUUGAAUGCCAUGCCAAAUGUUUUAUAUUUAGAAUAUGCAUUUAGUAGUUGCAUAUUUUAUUGUUGGUGCUGCGAGCACUCAGGUAAGUUCUAGGCAAGUUUAUAGAUGGUGGAUGUGAGUUGCUCGGUUACGAUUAUAUUUGAUGUGUUUAGAGCUCAUAAACCUACACCCUGGUGUUAGUGCUCCCGCCUGUGGUUAGGGCACAGUCCUUCACUUGAUGUUCACCUUCCGCACCGCACGCUCAUCUUGGAUCCAAGUUUGGUGCACAGUUAUGUCGUACAAACCACAAUAAGUGGUUCUGACUCGUAGGUGACCAGUGAUUAUUCACACAGUCUUCACGUAAUCGUAGCACUUGAGUGUAUUUAUUUACACUCAGUCUUGUCGUAUAGACCAUUCUAGGUGGUUCCGACUCGUGUGCAGGCAUACUUGAUGAGCUAUGGAUUCAGCCAUACAUGCCACCACUAAGUGGAUCCGGCUGACAUACUACUUUUCAUUGAUUUGCUUCACCUGGUUUACUUAUUUAUAUUGCUAAGAUAUUUGGCAUGGCGUAUAUGUAGAUUUUGUUAUUUCGAGUAUAGUUUCGAUAUACGUAUGUAUUCUAUUUGGCAUGGCGUAUAUGUGGAUUUUGAUAAGAUUUGUUUUUGCCCACUCACACUUUCUGUUUUAUGCCCCUCCAGGUUCUAGGUAGAAGCGUUCUUGUUGGUGGCUUGCGAGGAGUCUUUGGCGGUUUUGACAGUCUAUCUCUAAUGUAGGACCAUCUUUGGUAUUGUAUAAUUAAUAUUUGUCCAGCUGGACUGCACUUAGGUUACCUAUGCUAUGAUUAUGUGUAGUCACUCUUAAAUCACGUCAUGCUAGUCUAGUGUAAAUUAAUUAGCGUGGUUUUUAUUUACUUGCUUUUUUUUAUAUCAUUAUCACUUCCGCACUUAGCACAUGGCUACAUCACCCUCACAUGACAGCCAGCAUGCCUUGAUUUAGGUCGGGGCAUGUCAGUUUGGUAUCAGAGCCUAGGUCUGGCAGUCCUGCAAAUCUUGUGAAUAUUCUAAUUAUUUUGAUGUCUUCUGUCAGAACUAUGCCGCCCCGUAGAGAGCCAUGUUCUUCAGCUGAGUCUAGUUUCCUUGAUAUUGCUCAAUUAGGGGAGGAUAUUGCCAAUGCUAUUCAGUCUUCAUUUCAUCCACCCCAGAGGACAUCUCUGGAGACUGUGUAUAAUCUGAAGUUAAAUAAUUUUAUGGGUAAUGAAGGGAAUGAAGGAGCGAGCGGUGGCUCAAUCAUUUUGAGAAAACUUUCUGAUUGAUGAUGAGACAAGGAAAUCUUCCUAAGGAUAGAUGAGUUGAGACAACCACCUGGUUUUUAGGUGAGGAGCUUGCAUCCUGGUGGAGGCAGGAAUCUUAUCAGUUAUCACUGGAAGAAGCUGCUGAUUGGGAGAUUUUUAAAUGGUUAUUUCAGAAGAGAUUCAUUCCUCCAGAGUAUAUAGAUCUUAAAAAGCAAGAAUUCACGCACCUAAAAUAGGGGAAUAUGUCAGCUAAUGAGUACUACAGGAAGUUUGCUAAUUUGUCUCGUUAUUGCCCUAAGAUUGCUUAUAAUCCUGUAGAGAUACUUCAUCGCUUUAGGUUGGGUACUCAAAAGAAGUAGCGUUCUAUGGCGACCAUGACUCUAUGUGCUACUUAUAAGGAGUUUUAUGAGAUUCUACUGCGGGUUAAGGAUUCUAAAAAUAUGCCCAGUGACAGUGAAGAAGAGGAAGAAAAAGAUGGUAAUCCGAAGAAAAGUAAUAAUAAUAAAGAUAAGGGUCAGUCGUCUCAGGGACCUCGCAAGACUCAAAGUUUUAAGAGAAGUGGUGCCAGUUCCAAUUCUUCUAGCGGGGGUUUGAGUUCUACUGCGCAGAGGAGAGGUGGCAGAUUUUCGGGAUGUCCUCGAUUCCAGAGACAGAGAGAUUCUGGUAGCCCAAGUACUCCUUUAUGUCGUAGGUGUAAUAAUCGGCACUUUGGGAAGUGUAGGCGAGGCAGUAGCGGAUGUUAUAGUUACGGCCAGAUGGGGCAUCAAGCUAUUCAGUGCCUGCAGAACCAGCAGAAGUCCCAGCCAUCUACUUUACCACCGCUAGUUCCAAUUCAGCAGGUUCCAGGGCCUAGUGGUUAUACCCAGAUGGGUUACAGAGGUGUUUUUCACUAUUAAGGUGAUAUAGCUCCAUAUUAUGGAGGACAUUAUCAGUGUCCACAAGAUCCAUAUCAGUAGGAUGGUUAUGCUCAGUAUUCAGUAGGUAUAUGCCGUAUCAGCCAUAUUUAGCUGGGGGAUCACAAUGGCGUCCCGAUGGUCACUCUCAGAAUGUGGAGGUUGCUUCUAGUAGUGCAGGAUCAUCAAGGCAGCCUAAUCAGCUUGGUCAGGGACGUGGUGUGCAAGGACGUGGUAAUCAGGCUAGCAUAGGUCGUAGGGGAUGACAGCAGAUGCAUGGGUCUAUUCAUCAUAUUACGUUGCAAGAUGCUCAAAAUAAUCCUGAUUUAAUCAUGGGUACGUUGAAUAUUCUUGGUCAUUUUGCUAGAGUAUUGAUUGAUUGUGGUGCUACGCAUUCUGUUAUUUCUCAUACGUUUGCUCAGACAAUGCAACCUCAUUCCACACCUCUUGGGUAUGAGUUAGAAUUUUCAAUGCCUAGAGGGGAGACAUGUUAUGUUAGCUGGGUGUAUCCUGGAUGUCCCGUGUUGGUGGAGGAUGUUGUUAUGCCAGCUAACUUGAUUUCGUUAGAUAUUGUUGAUUUUGAUGUUAUUUUGGGCACAGAUUGAUUACAUUACAAUCAUGCCAAGAUAGAUUGCUAUGGGAAGACAAUCAAUUUUCAUCAUCCAGGAGUGCCUAUGGUUACAUUUGUGGGCGAGCGUAGUGGAGUGAGGCACGGCGUCAUAUCUGCUGUGAGGGCUAAAAGAUUGUUAAAGAAAGGUUGUCAGGAAUAUUUGGCUUAUGUACAAGUAGUCAAGCAUUUUCCUGAUGUAUUCCCUGAUGAUUUACCUGGAUUGCCGUUAGAUUGAGAUAUGGAGUUCACUAUUGAUUUACUUCCAGGUACAGAUCCUAUAUCUUUAACUCCUUAUCGAAUGGCUCCUGCUGAAUUGAGAGAAUUGAAAAUCCAGUUGCAGGAAUUAGUUGAUAAGGGUUUUAUUCGGAAGAAAGACGGAACUUUGAGACAAUGUAUUGAUUAUCGGCAGUUGAAACGGGUAACGAUUAAAAAUCGUUAUCCGUUGCCGCAUAUAGAUGAUUUAUUUGAUCAGCUUCGAGGUGCUUAUGUGUUUUCCAAGAUUAAUUUAAGGUUUGGUUAUUAUCAAUUGAAGAUCACAAGUGAGGAUGAUCGUAGGACAACUUUUAGAACUCAUUAUGGUCAUUACGAAUUUCUUGUGAUGUCAUUCGGGUUAACUAAUGCACUUGCAACUUUUAUGGGCUUGAUGAAUCGAGUAUUCCAGCCAUAUUUAGACAGGUUUGUCAUUGUCUUUAUUGACGAUAUUCUGGUACUCUAAAUCUAAAGCAGAGCAUGUUCGACAUCUCACUUUAGUGUUGAAGAAAUUGAGGGAACACCAAUUAUAUGCUAAGUUUAGUAAAUGCCAAUUUUGGCUAGAUCAAGUGGCAUUUUUGGGAUAUGUUAUAUCAGCCCAAGGUAUUCAGGUGGACCCUCAGAAAGUAGCGGCCGUUGAGAAUUUGGAGCAGCCACAAACCAUUACUGAGGUACAUAGUUUUCUUGGCCUAGUAGAUUAUUAUAGAUGAUUUUUUAAAGAUUUUUCAGUGAUUGCAUUACCACUAACGAGGUUGACUAGAAAAGAUGUUAAAUUUGAGUGGGACGAUAAUUGUGAGUAGAGUUUCCAGCAGUUAAAGUAUUGUCUCACUCAUGCACCUAUUUUAGCGCUUCCAAAUGAUAGUGGUAACUAUGAGAUUUACAGUGAUGCUUCCUUGAAUGGCAUAGGAUGUGUGUUGAUGUAGCAUGGUAGGGUGAUUACUUAUGCUUCGCGACAAUUGAAGCGUCAUGAGAUGAAUUAUCCUACGCAUGAUCUUGAAUUAACAGCCAUUGUUUUUGUCUUGAAGAUUUGAAGACAUUAUCUCUAUGGAGAAAAAUGUAAGAUUUUUAUGGAUCAUAAAAGUCUUCAGUAUCUUUUCACCCAGAGAGAUCUUAAUCUUCGUCAGCGAAGGUGGAUAGAAUUGCUCAGCGAUUAUGAUUGCACGAUUAAGUAUCACCCUGGUCGUGCAAAUGUGGUGGUAGACGCACUUAGUAGGAAAACUCAAGGAAGAAUUAAUGCUUUAUACUCUUACCGUAUCCCUCUUCUUGCAUAUUUGAGAUCUACUGAAGUGAAGUUAGAGGUGGAAGAGCAAGAUGAAGCUUUACUGGCUAGUUUCCAAGUCAGAGCAAUUUUAAUUUAUCGGGUGCUCGAGGCUCAAAUGAAUGAUGAAGAAACCUAGGAGUUAAUUCAAGCAAGAAAUCAGGGAAAAAAGAAAGAUCUCAGAAUUAGAGGAUCGGAUGGCAUCCUUAUGCAGGAGAAUAAAAUGUACGUGCCAAGUAAUGCAGAAUUAAAGAAAGAAAUUCUUGAUGAAGCACAUGUAUCGGCUUAUGCAAUGCAUCCUGGGGGUACUAAAAUGUAUCAUACCAUUCGACCAUUUUAUUAUUGGCCGGGUAUGAAAAGAGAAAUUGUUGAAUAUGUGAGUAGGUGUGCCAUUUGUCAACAGGUUAAAGCUGAUAGGAAAAAGCCAUUUGGAUUGAUGCAACCACUUCCCAUUCCACAGUGGAAAUAGGAAGAUGUUACUAUGGACUUUGUGUACAAGCUUCCCCGUACGCGAAAAGGUUAUGAUGGAAUUUGGGUGAUCGUGGAUCGGCUUACUAAAUCAGCACACUUUAUUCCAGUAAGGGAGAAAUAUUCUUUAAGCCGAUUAGCUAAAUUAUUUAUAUCUAAGAUUGUUAAAUAUCACAGGGUUCUGGUUAGUAUCAUUUCGGAUCGGGAUCCUAGGUUUACUUCUAAGUUCUCGGUGGCAUUCCAGGAGACUCUUGGUUCGAGAUUACUCUAUAGUACAGCGUAUCAUCCUCAGACAGAUGGGCAAUCUGAGAGAACUAUUUAGACGAUGGACGAUAUGUUAAGAUCUUCUGUAUUGCAGUUUGGCGACGCUUGGCAUAAGCGUUUGGAUUUGAUGGAGUUUGCCUACAAUAAUAGUUAUCACUCUAGCCUUGGUAUGUCACCUUUUGAGGCACUUUAUGGUAAGUCUUGUCGGACUCCUCUAUGCUAGUCAGAGGUUGGUGAAAGAGUUUUUGUGGGGCCUGAGAUUGUAGACAAGACUACACAAAAUAUUCAGGUAAUUAAAUCUAAUCUGAAAGCGGCCCAAGAUCGUCAGAAGAGUCUAGUGGAUAAACAUGCCACUGAUAGAGUGUAUAAAGUUGGUGAUUGAGUAUUUCUGAAGCUAUCACCGUGGAGAGGUGUAGUACGGUUCGAAAAAAAAGGUAAGUUAAGUCCUAGGUAUAUCGGACCAUACCAGAUCACCGAACAAGUCAGUGAAGUCGCUUAUAGGCUUGAGUUGCCUUCUGAAUUAUCUAAAGUGCGCAAUGUUUUUCAUGUUUCUAUGCUUCACCAUUAUAUCUCAGAUCCAUCACAUGUGAUACCUCCUCAACCACUGGAAAUUAAUCUGGAUUUGACUUAUGACGAGGAGCCGUUGACGAUUUUGGAUUGGAAGGAUAAGGUUCUGAGGAAUAAAACCAUGCGCUUAGUGAAAGUUUUGUGGAGAAAUCAUUAGAUGGAGGAAGCCACCUGAGAAACGAAAGAUCGUAUGAGAGAUAUGUAUCCACGCUUGUUUUACGAAUAUUAGCGGUUUGUAUAUUAUUGUAUGAAAUUUCGGGGACAAAAUUUUCUUAAGGGGAGUAGGUUGUGACGACCCGUCCUGAAUUUAUAUUUAUUUAUUCCCGAUGGCGUGGAAAUGACUAUUUUGCCUUUGAGCAUUGGGUUGUGAUAGCAUUAAUGGAUUAAGAAAAUGGGAAAAAAAUAGGGCUAAAAGAAUGGACCAAUUAUCUAAUUUCCUAAGUUUUGGGAUCCAAUUGAAAUUGUGGUGUUGUUAGGACCAAGUUUGAAUAGCCCAAUUAGAACUUAGGGAUAUUAGGUGGGUGCCCAAUCCGAAUCAACAUACACACACUCACACGUGCAACCUUUCCCCGUACUCUCUCUCUCAUUCUCGAACCCUCUCCAUUUCCAUACACCGGUAACUAGCCCAAAUCCCUUCAAACCAUUGUAGAUCGAGCUGGUGGAAGUUACCUUCGAGUUCCUUGCAAGCUCAAGAGUCUAAUUAUACCAUUAGUUUGAUGUGAAGACUUCGGGAACCUGAGAACCUGUGAGCUCCGACGAGGUGCCCUGUUGCUCGAGCUUGAUCGCGAGUGUUUCACGGGGUUCUAAGGUAGGAGAAAGUCUUAAAACGACUUUACGAAGUUGUUAGAGGAGUUUUGGAAGGUUUUGGACGUCGGGACACUCGAGUUCAUCGAGUUGCAGACUUAGCCGGUUUCCAUGAAAUUAUUCUGGCUAAAUUCUGUUGGUUUUAGGACUCCAAAGUGGUAAGAUCAUGUUCUCCUAGUUGAGAACUUCAUUUUGGUACAAAUUUCAUGAAUUUUGGUGUUGAAAUGGAAGAGAUAUUGAAGUUUUUCAGUUUUCUAGUUUCCGGCAAGUGCAACAGUGACCGGCGCUGGACUCCAGUGAACCAAGGAAGGAAAAUAGGAAUAUUCCGUCAACUUUGACGAAAUAUGCUAACGGCAUUAGGUAAUUUAAACGGUAUAUUCCAUAAAGCCGUUAGGGAAUCCGUCAGUGUUCCAAGCACGUGCUUGGCGUAGGCGGCGCUUGUGGCCGGUACCUUGGUCGGCGCAUGAGGGGGUGUGGGAACUUAGAAAUUUUUUCUAAAAAUAUGGGAAUAUUCGUGGGGUUGAGUAGGCCACGAUAGUAUAUUCAAAUACCCCAAUUGAGCAACGUAUGAGAAGUUAUUACCUAGUUUUGAUUAUGUGCUUAAAAUAACGUUAUAAUAGUUGUUUCACAUAUAGGUGAGACGUUUCCAGAGGAUGAACGCAAUCAAGCGAGACUCGAGGGUUACGACCCUACAACAUACCAGUGAGUGGGUUUUUGGUUUUCAGUAUAUAUAUGCUUGGUAUUUUUCCAAGAAAACUUAUUUAAAUAGGUUAUGUUUUGAAUGCCAUGCCAAAUGUUUUAUAUUUAGAAUAUGCAUUUAGUAGUUGCAUAUUUUAUUGUUGGUGCUGCGAGCACUCAGGUAAGUUCUAGGCAAGUUUAUAGAUGGUGGAUGUGAGUUGCUCGGUUACGAUUAUAUUUGAUGUGUUUAGAGCUCAUAAACCUACACCCCGGUGUUAGUGCUCCCGCCUGUGGUUAGGGCACAUUCCUUCACUUGAUGUUCAUCUUCCGCACCGCACGCUUAUCUUGGAUCCAAGUUUGGUGCACAGUCAUGUCGUACAAACCACAAUAAGUGGUUCUGACUCGUAGGUGACCAGUGAUUAUUCACACAGUCUUCACGUAAUCGUAGCACUUGAGUGUAUUUAUUUACACUCAGUCUUGUCGUAUAGACCAUUCUAGGUGGUUCCGACUAGUGUUCAGGCAUACUUGAUGAGCUAUGGAUUCAGCCAUACAUGCCACACUAAGUGGAUCCGGCUGACAUACUACUUUUCAUUGAUUUGCUUCACCUGGUUUACUUAUUUAUAUUGCUAAGAUAUUUGGCAUGGCGUAUAUGUGGAUUUUGUUAUUUCGAGUAUAGUUUCGAUAUACGUAUGUAUUCUAUUUUAUGGGAAAUUAUACAGGUUUUACGGCAAGGGGUUACUACUUUUAAUGAUUGAAAUUGUUUUGAUAAGAUUUGUUUUUGCCCACUCACACUUUCUGUUUUGCGCCCUUCCAGGUUCUAGGUAGAAGUGUUCUUGUUUGUGGCUUACAAGGAGUCUUUGGCGAUUUUGACAAACUAUCUCUAAUGUAGGACCAUCUCUGGUAUUGUAUAAUUAGUAUUUGUCCUGCUGGACUGCACUUAGGUUACAUAUGCUCUGAUUAUGUGUAGUCACUCUUUAAUCUCGUCACUUGCACCUAUAUGCUAGUCUAGUGUAAAUUAGUUAGUGUGGUUUUUAUUUACUCGCAUUUUUAUAUCAUUAUCACUUCCGCACUGCGCACAUGGCUACGUCAGCCUCAUGUAACGGCCAUCAUGCCUUGAUUUAAGUCGGGGCGUGUCAUUAAGGUUCUUAACGCAUUAUUUUGGAGAAUUCAACUUAGUGUGCUUUUGAAGAUUCAAGUUUAUUUACAAGGUGUUUUUUACCCAUGUUCUUAAUAAUAUUUUGCUCUAUGGUUGUGUAACUAAUCUCUUUUGUUAGGACGAGGCCACGAGCCUUAGUAAGAAUAUGUAGUUUCUUUUCAGUUUACUUAUGAUAUUAUGCAUGCAUAUUUUAAAUUAUUAAUCAUCGUGUUUGAAAACUAUCUAUUUGUCUUAAUGCUUAGCUACCAUAUGAUAUUGAUAAAAGUAAUUUGAUGCAAUUUUGGUCGGAGGUUUGUCCCUGAAAUUGACUAAAGCUUCAUGUGGUUAAUAAUUAUAAUUUCACUUAGGAUGAAUACCACGUCUUAAAAGUUGCAUGGUUUUUCAAAGGGUUUUCAUAAAGCUUAAUGAGUUUUGCAUAUUUAGAUUUGAUCUAAACACCAUAGACGGAUUGUAUGUUUGAUAUACGUUCUAUAUUGAGGGUCUAAGUAAAGCAUACUUUAGGAAAACCUAACCUUCAAAAUAUGCAUGUGUAAGUUAUAAAUAAUUGGAAGAACUACGUAGGAUUGUUAAGGUAACGGCGGAAUCCUAGUAUUUUUACAACUUUAUUUUCUUGACUAUUUUAUUUUGUUUUCCUUACUUUACGAUACCUUUAAUUGUUUUAAUUAAAAUUCGCUUUUAUUAUUUUUAAAAUGCCAAAAUGAACCUUUUCAAAACUUUUUUUAAAAUAAUUAAUUAAUAUUUGGUUUUAAUAUAAAUUGUUUUAAUUAAUCCAUGUGGAGAACAAUCUUGGAUGAGCAUUCUUACUACAACUACCUUAUUCUAUUGUAAGUAUUUUUAAGUGUUUUUUAUCUUUACUUUCGCAGGUGGUAAAAAUUCUAUCAAUAACAAAGAAUAUUUAUAGCCUUUUAGCCUCUCUGACAAUAGUUUGUAAAAUACAUAUCGGGUAUAAUAUGUGAAAAAUAUGUUCGUGUAUUAUUCAACUUUGAAAAAUUAGGACAUUUUUUUAUUUUAAUAUUUAUUUAUCUAAACAAAUAAAUAAUUUUAAUUUAUCAAAAAUAUGUAUUGACUACGUGAAUUUUAUAUGUAUUAUUGAAAAUUACAUUGACAAUAACUUGUAUUAAACGUGAAACGUAGGUACGUACAUGUUUAAAACAUGUAUUGUGCCUAAGACUUUUUUUUUUUUUUUAACAAAUGAUAUUAUUUACACUAUGAGAGAGGGGAUGUGCUUAGCCUCACUAUGACAUCCCACAUCGCCCAGGGGAGUGGAUCCUGUAAGCCUUAUAUGUAUAUUCCCAUCUUUACCUAGCACGAGACCUUUUGGGAGCUCACUAGCUUCGGAUUCCAUCGGAACUCCGAAGUUAAGUAAGUUCGCUCGAGAGCAAUCCCAUGAUGGGUGACCCACUGGGAAGUUCUCGUAUGAGUUCCUAAAAACAAAACCGUGAGGGCAUGGUCGAGGCCCAAAGCGAACAAUAUCGUGCUACGGCAGAGUCGAGCCUAGAUGUGGUGGGGGCCCGGGCAGGGAUGUGACACUCACAAUAGACUAGACUUUUUAAAAAAAAAAGGUGCAAUUUAACGAAUCAUCAAAACGUUUACGAAAAAAUAAAUUAUUUUGAAAAAAUAAGUACGUGCAUAAUGCGCGGAUUUGCUAACUAUCUUGUGACCUCUUACCAAUAAAACAACAAAAAUUAUAAAAAGAUAGAUUUGAUGAAUAAUAAUAAUUCUGUUUGCUCCUUAAAUCCGCCAUGGGCCUUGCGGGCAAGCCGGGAUUUACUUCACAUACGAGAUUGGUGGGUGCGGGCGUGCCACUACUAGAUUCCGCUAGUAGACGGGAUUUGAAUGAUUGAGGUUGCGCCUGAGUUUGACUUCGAACCAAGAGAUUGUGACAUUGAGUGGGAGUUACUCAAAUUAAGGUUCUUUGUUUCCCUUAAAAAUAAGGACUUUACUUAUAUGGAGAGAUAGAACAAUAUGUAAAUGACAAGGUUGCUUGGAAAUAUAAAUGACAGAGGAAAGUGACUAAUAUAUUGCAAAUCCUAUCUACUAGCGGAAUCUAGUAGUGGCACGCCCGCACCCACCAAUCUCGUAUGUGAAGUAAAUCACUGGCUUGCCCGCAAGGCCCAUGGCGGAUUUAGGGAGCAAAUAAAUUCAGCAGCAAAAAAUGACACGCAUUUCAUGAGGUCAUUAAUUUAAAAUCAUCAAGCAAAAGAAUGAGUGUAUCCACCAUCUAGUAUUACUACAUUAAGAUGUGAGAAUGCGAAGAAAUGGGGAAAUUUGGAAAUUUGGAAAAAUAACCAAAUUUCGGAUCCCAAAUAAAAUUCUAACCACCAUUUUAAAAUUUUAAUAAUUAUAAUCAAAAGUUGAUAUGAAAAUACUAAUACACUCUUAAAAUAAAGUUUUCUAUAAAAAAAAUACCAAAAAACUAAAGGCUCAGCUGUCUUACCGCCAUCUCUGUCCUUUCUAGACGAUAAUCCAAAACCACAUAAACUUAACCCAAGCACAGCCAGCCAUGGCGUGCAGCACGAUCCCUCUCUCUUCCUCCUCCUCUUCCUCUUUUAUACUCUCACACAUAACCUUCGUUUAGUUCCAAACCCCCAAAAAAAAUUUUGAUUUUCACUCUCAGUCUCGGUCAACUUCCUCUUUGCUCUCUAAUUUCUGAUUUUCAACUACGACGAUGUAAUCCUUGAGUUCGAGUACUUGCACCACCAAGCUUACAACGAGGCCUUCGCUCACUUCAGUGUCCACUGCCUUUCCUCAACAUCUCAGCCCCUCAAUUGGGACCUCCACUUCUAGGAUCAGCUUCAAAACCAAAUCGUUGGUGAAAAACAUAAAAUGCGAUGGUCCCUUCUCUUUUUCUCUCAUUUUCUCCAAAGGUUGAACUUUGGAUUUUGUUUUCUUCUAUGAUUGAAUUGGGUUUUGGGUUGUUUAAUGAACUUCAAGGAGCACGGGUGGCUUUGAACUUAUUCAAUUCUACUUCGAAUCUCUUGAUCUUAAUUGAAUCUUGCUUUGUUUAAUUUCCAUGGAUGACAUUUUUUUUUUUUUUUUUUUUGAGAAAACUUUAUUUGAAGGGUGUAUUAGUACUUUCAUAUCAACUUUUGGUUAUAAUUAUCAUAAAUUUCAAAAAAGGUGGCUAGAAUUCUAUUUUGGGUCCAAAAUUUGGUUAGUUUUCCAAGUUUCCCGAAGAAAUGACCCACUUAUAAUGUUAGCAAUGGGCUAGUGCGCUCCUAUAUCUAAUUGGUUUUUAGAUCAAUACACAACCCAUACGAAAGGGUUGUUGGAAACAUAAAUAGUUGUGAAUUGGCUUUUUGGCUUUUUAGCAAAAAUAGUUUAUAAGAUUUGUAUAACUCCUCAAUUUGUUACUUGACAAUGAAAAUCAAUAGAUGUGGUCCCUAAGUUUGUACACCGAAAGUCAUUUUGGUCCUUAUGGGAAAAAUCUAUCAGUAUCCUCCUCGUUAAUUGUCACGUUAAUGGCCACAUGACCACAUUUUUAAGGUACUUUUGCCAAAUAAAACCCUCAAAUUAAUGAGGAUAUUAAUAGUCUUUUUUCAUGAAAUUAAAGUUGUACAUCAAGAAAAUAAAAAAUGAAGAUGAUUUUCACACAUCAUUCUUAACCUUUCACACACCCUUUUUUUUAAAUUUUGGUUACAGAAUUGAAGAAAUCAAAUAAACAAUUGACCUUUUUUUUUCAAUUUUCACACAUCAUUCAUAACAACUCACUCUACCAACAUUUUUUCAAGUCUCAGAUUCCAAGCUAGCUGGAAUAUUACGCCAUAGGAUAAUUUUUUAAGACAUCGUUGUAAAGUUAGAAAGAUAAGAUGAUUUUUCCAAUUUCUUCUACUCUUCCUCGUCAACAUUAUUCCAACAUAUAUGCUGGCUGGAAGCUACAAGGAAUGCAUAUUUCCAACAAAUUAAAUUAUUAACAUGCAUAAAAAACAAACAAACGCAUUAGAGAUUAUAUAAAACCCAAAAGUUCAUAAAGACCUAAUAAAUAAUUAUAUAUACACAAGAACAUGAAAUAAUUCACAAGAAAUUCAAGUUCAGAUGCAAGUAUAGUUCUCAAAUUCAAACAGCUUUUUAGUCAAAAUGAUCACUAAAAUUAGCAUAAAUCUUUACUUUGGUCCUUAGAAUUUAAAAUCGACAUAAGUGGUCCCUGAGUUUGUCCGCCAUCACUCAGGGACCACUUCUCUCGAUUUGAAAUCUUAAGGACCAAAGUCAGGAGUUAUGUUAAUCUCAGAAACCAUUUUAGUUAAAAAGCCAAUUCAAACGUAGCGGCAGCGGUCCCAUAACAUAUUUAGGGAAGGGUUUGCUUUUAAUAAUAUUUCUGGAUUAUAAAUCUAAAAAAUUUAUCGUCUUUGUCAAAAGUUACUACAUGAAAAGAAAGAAAGAAAACAGACUUUAACACCCUAGUGAUUUACAACUUCAUCAAACAUACAGAACUCAUGAAAACAACGAAAUCAAUUUUGUAUAGCAAAAAAGAGAAGAAAUAAAUCGGGUACAUCCUUCGUGGACCAAAAGGCCGAACACAACACAUUGAAAUAAAUUCGGCCUAAAAAGUCCAAAACAAUAAAUUUAAGUAUCCUUGUGCGACAUGUAGAAAACUCAGACAAGGGAGCCACUGUUCUUGCUAUAAAAAGGAUAACAAGGGUUACAAAACAACAAUGCAAGGAUGUUGAAUUUUAAGUUUUGUUUAAAUUGUAUAUUUCAUAGAUUGAUGAAUGAAAGUACACGGCGUACACGGCAGGAUAUAUAGGAAAGGAAAGAAAGGGAACCAGUUACAAGCAACCUUUCCCUAAACAACUCUAACAACUAGGUAAACCCUAAAGCUAUCAACAUCCUUAAAUCAAGGGAUUUCAUCAAACAACUAAAAACCAUGUCAACAAGUCAACUAAUCCUUAAUUUGAGGGAGCCAUUACGGGGACCAUACUCAUGACAACUAGGUCCAUCAGUCCAGUUACUCCAUAGAGUCCCAUGCAUAUCUUCCCAUCACUCCAAUAUCUUCCAAUAAUUAUACUUCAACACCCCCUUUUAAGCUAGAUCGAGGGGAUUGAUCGAGCCAAGCUUGCCCAAAAGACGAUGAAAUUGAGCAGAUGGCAGAGAUUUAGUGAAUAGGUUAGCCAAUUGAUCAUAACUGCGAGUGAACACAGUAUGAAUGACCUGAGAUUGAACCUAAGAUCGAAAAAAAUGACAAUCCAACUCUAUAUGCUUCGUUCUUUCAUGGAAGACAGGAUUAGCAGCAAUGUUCAUGGCUGCCUAAUUGUCACACAUGAGAGGCAUAAAGUUGGAACAAUGAAACCCUAGAUCAAAUAGAAGUCCUUUGAGCCAAAUAAGCUCACAUGCAGUGGCUGCCAAUGCACGAUACUCAGCUUCUGCACUUGAUCGAGCAAUGACAUGUUGCUUAUUGCUUUUCCAGGUUACAAUAUUGCCUCCCAUAAACAUGCAAUAACCUGUAGUGGACCUUCUAUCAAUGGCAUUGUCUGCCCAAUCAGCAUCAGUGUAACCACUUAUGCUUGUAGAUUGGUUAUUUUGCAUGAGAAUUCCUUUCCCAAUGGACCCUUUAAGAUAACGAAGAAUCCGUUUAACAACGUUGAGAUGAUCAACGGUGGGAGAAUGCAUAAACUGACUAAUUAUCUCCACUGCAUAGGUGAUAUCAAGACGAGUGAUAGUGAGGUAAAUUAGCUUACCAACCAGUCUUUGAUAAUAACUAACAUUAUGAAGAGCUUCCCCAUCCAUGGUGAGCUUGCGUUUGCUGUCAAUUGGAAAGGUUGCAAGUUUGCAAUCAAGUAGAUUUGUCUCCUUGAGAAGAUCAGCUACAUAUUUUCUUUGAUUUAGGAAUAAUCCUUUGGAAGAAGUAGCCAUUUCUAUGCCAAGAAAAUACUUCAGCCUCCCAAGGUCUUUGAUGGCAAAGGUCAUGUGUAGAGAUUGCUUUAAGGCUGCAAUCUUAUUUGCAUUGUCACCUGUGAUUACGAGAUCGUCCACAUAGAUAAGAAUCAUUAACCUUCCUCUUGUGCCAGUUGGAACAAAUAGAGAGGAAUCUGCAUUACUUCUGAGAAAACCAGCCAUUUCCAAAACUUAGCUAAGCUUGGCAUACCAAGCUCUUAGAGAUUGCUUUAGACGUAAAUAGCCUUGUGAAGCUUGCAUACCAUACCAUUUUGAGCUUGACCAUAACCUGGUGGUGGUUGCAUGUACAGUUCCUCUUGCAAUUCUCCAUGGAGAAAUGCAUUUUUUACAUCCAUUUGAUAUAAUGACCAUCGACAAUUAACUACCACAGAUAAAAGAACUCUGACAGUGUUCAUCUUGGCUACUAGAGCAAAGGUUUCUUUGUAAUCCACUCUAAAGGUGUGAGUGAAUCCAUGUGCAACCAGUCUGGCUUUGUGCCUUUCGAUCGAGCCAUCAGCCUUGAAUUUCACUUUGAAUAUCCACAUGCUGCCAACAACUUUCUUACCAAGGGGUAAAUGAACAAGAUUCUAGGUUUUGUUGUCAUUAAAGGCUUGUAAUUCCUCUGACAUUACCUUCCUCCACUGAGAGGAUUGAUUAGCUUCCUGAAAAGUGCUAAGUUCAACAUUAUUGGCAUCUUCAGUGAGAAACGCAGUGUGAGAAUUUGAAAAACAAUUCUAAUUCAAAGUCUUAGUGAGGGGAUGCCUUGAGGCAUAAGUAACAUAGUCCACCAACUUGAUUGGUGGCUUUCUUGUUCGAACAUGAUAUCUCCUGGCCUCUUAAGGUGUGGUUGAUUGUGAAGGGGUUGAGCUUGCUUGCACUUCACUUGCAUGCUUACUAAUGGAUGGAGAAUGUAAUUGGCCGGCACUUGGAAUCAAGUCAACUUGAACUUAUUCAAUGUUUUGACAAUCAGAAAGGUGAUCUUCUUCUAGUGUAUCGUGAUCAGUCACUCUUGGUAAAGGAAACAAAUCACUCAAGGUUUCACUUUCAUCAUCAUGAGUCCCUUUUCUUUUAUAGUAGGGUACCGUUUCAUCAAAACGAACAUCCCUAGACACAAUACAUUUCUUUAUGAUAGGAUCAACACAUUUGUAUCCCUUUUGAGUUGGUGAGUAUCCAACAAAGAUACACUUCACUACUCUAGCUUCCAACUUGUCACAAUUAUGCGCUUGCACAUGAACAAAGCAGCUGCAACAAAAGGUUUUAAAAUGUGCCAAGUUGACAACCUUAUUGUGUAGGGUUUCAUGUUGGGUUUUGAACCCUAAUACUCUACUUAGAAGUCUGUUGAUUAUAUAGGCAGCAGUGAGAACAACAUGUGACCAAUAUCUCUUAGGAACAUUCAUAUGCAACAUUAAUGCUCGAGUUUUUUCAAGUAGGUCUCUAUUCUUUCUUUCUGAUACCCCAUUUUGUUGAGGUGUUCCUACACAAUUGGUUUGGUGAAUGAUCCCUUGUGAACUCAAGUACUGAACCAUGUUAUUGAAUAGAAACUCAGUGCCAUUGUCCGACCUAAGUACCUUAAUGGUUGAGUUGUGUUGAGUUUGUACAAGGUUAUGGAAAUCUUUGAAUAUGCAGAAAACCUCACUUUUUUUAUUUCAUAAGGUAUAGAAAGGUGGUAUGAGUGACAUCAUCAACGAAUAUGACAAAAAAAUUAUAACCAUCCAUUAAUUAAAUUGUAGGUCCUCAAACAUGAGUGUGUACCAUCUCAAAUGGUUUACAUGUCUUAAAAGUAGAAAUGCCAAAAGGUAGUCUAACUGACUUUGAAAAAUGACAUGUUUCACAUUAAGUGGUGACUGACAAAACAUGAGAAACAACUUUGACAACACAAGUUGAGAUAGGUGAGCAAGUCUUUGGUGCCAUAAUUGUUGAUGUUCAAAAUACUUGGGGUCCGACUUGAAAGGCUCUAGGCAUGACAAAAAUUUUGCACUGGUAGUAGAGACCAUUAAGAAGGAAUCCUUCACCAAUCAUCUUCUUGGUGAUGAUAUCCUAAAAAAUAACCUUGUUUGGUGAGAAAAUGGCAUAACAAUUUAGGGAGUUUGUAAUCUUUCCUACUGAAAGUAAUUGGAAAGGAAAUGAGGGAACAUAAAGGGUUAAUGACUCAUUAUUAUUUGUGAAUAUACUAGCUUUUCCCUUACCCAAAACUGACACAUUUUUUCCAUUUGCAACCGACACUAGUGAAGGUUUUUUGAAUGCUUGAAAAUCAUGUAAUUUGAAAGUUUGUUUGUCAUGUGGUCAGUGGCACCAAAGUCAACAAUCCAACAAUCAUUUACUUGUUUGUAAUGCAAUGGAUAAAGCUUUGAGUAUACCUGAGGCUCUUCAUGAGUUGUAGAUUUGUUAUUUGUAAGGAAUCCUGCAAAUUGCCAUAGCAUAGCAGUGUGUCCUCAAUGCUCAAUUUGAGAGGUUGAUGUAGGAUUCCCAUGCCCCUUGGUUUGCAGAUACACAACAAACUUGUUUAUGAGAGUCACAGGACUUGCAGUGAAGUUCAUGGAUCCAAUAGAGACCCUAGAGAUGAAGUUUGUUGCAUGUUGACUCUUAAAGUGGCUUGAUGGAAUCAUCUUCCCUUCCUUGGUGAAUUUUGGCUUCAACUCGAGAUGAAGAAUCAAGCACUUUUCUUUCACAUGACCAACACCAUGACAGUAGGUACACCUGAGAUGAGUAUUCUUACCCUUGUAUAUUUUUUGGUUUGUAGAAUAGGCUCGAGCUUCAGUUGACCUUAAACUUGUCUCACCAUUCAUAGCUUUCUUUCUAACUUCUUCACAUUGGACAGUAGCACACACAUUUUUUAAGCUUGGCAAUUCUUGGCUCAUAAGUAUGUGGCUUUUGAGAUCCUCAUACUCAGAACUUAAACUUCCCAGAAGUUGGUAUAUCUUGUCUACCUCGCCUCUUUUUAGUAGGAUAUUUGCAUUUGUGGUGUGUGGAAGAUACACAUCCAGUUCAUUCCACAAAAUUUUGAGGCUGCCAAGAUGUUGCAUGAAGGACUUCCCUUCUUGUUGAACACUUGCAAUGUCUUUCUUUAGUUGAAACACUCUUGCAUAGUUGUUUUGGUUUCCAUACAUGUCCUUCACUGAGUUCCACAAAUCUCGUGAGGACUCUGAGUAACUGAAUAUUUAUGCACCAUGCUUUUCCAUAGUAUUGAGAAGUAAAGACAUGACAAGUUGAUCUUUGCAUAGCCAAGCCUCAUAAGUUGGUGAGGUAAUUUCAGGAGCUUCGAUGCUUCCAUUUACAAAACCAAGCUUUCCUUCUCCUCCUAGGGCAAGUGAAACUACACAGGACCAUGGUAGGUAGUUGUACUCAUUCAGCAAGGCUGAACACAAACACUGAUUUGUGUUAACCUCAAUGUCUGAGAAAUUUGAAAGAAAGGUAUGCGAGUUGUCACCCUCAAUAUAUACUAAAUCUUCCUCAACCAUGGCUUAAGGUUGAAGGAAGGAUGCAUCGGAAAGAAAAAUGGCCAGAGGUAGGUUACAAAACCUGCUCUGAUACCAUGUUGAAUUUUAAGUUUGUUUGAAUUGUAUAUUUCAUAGAUUGAUGAAUGAAAGUACACGGCAGGAUAUAUAGGAAAGGAAAGAAAUGGAACCGGUUACAAGCAACCUUUCCCUAAACAACUCUAACAACUAGGUAAACCCUAAAGCUAUCAACAUCCUUAAAUCAAGGGAUUUCAUCAAACAAUUAAAAACCAUAUCAACAAGUCAACUAAUCCUUAAUUUGAGGGAGCCAUUACAGGGACCAUACCCAUGACAACUAGGUCCAUCAGUCACUCCAUAGAGUCGCAUGCAUAUCUUCCCAUCACUCCAAUAUCUUCCAAUAAUUAUACUUCAACAAAGAACAAGUCGUUUAGGGUUUUAGCGAAAUCUCCCAAAUCCCUAGCGUGGCAUUUCCAAAGGAUCCUACAACCUCUAAUUAACUCACUAUCUUCUUUCACUUUGAGAAUAUUCUCCGCCCUUCACAUUCACAACAACAUUUAAAAUAAAAAUAAAAAUCUAAAUUCCUUUCAAAGAAUGAAUCUUAAACAAUUAGUUAGUAAACUAACCCUGUCGUACUGCAAAUUACCAAACUUCUGCUCACCACUCAAGGUAAGGAGAAGAACAUGGUUUACUUGUCAUUGUCUAUCCAGGAUGUGCUGAGUUUGAUGGGAUCUGGAUCAAAUAGUCCAACCUGAAACUAAUUGAACUUUUUCUUAAAGUCAGGCUCUACAGUCUCCCCUUGAGUCUCCCAGACCAAUUGUCUAGCUUCCUAGGUUCCAUUGCCUUAACAUAUGUCGUAUAGCCCACACUCUCAUGUGCUUAAGGCUUGGCUUCCUUUCUUUGAACAAUUCACAAGGAAUUUGAGGAACACACUCAAGGGAGGGUCUGGACUGUGCAGGACUGCUGGUAAGGGAUAUUGGGGCAUGCGGUGACCGUGUGCGUCUAAAAAUAGGGCCUGAGCUUCCAAGCCAUAAUAACUAGCGCCAAAAUCAGCUUCUUGAUCUUCAAGUAUCUGGUUUAUGCAUCAAGGAAAGCUUUAAAAGUACAAAAUACAAGCAGUUAUGCCACUAGCUUUUCUCGUAUGAGGGCAAAGCUUACUGUUACUUGUGACAUUGCCAAGUAGAUAUAUAAGUAAUCCAAUGCUUCUGGCUUGGAUAGUAAAUGAGCUGAAAAGUAAGGUACUUCUUUAAGUCCUAGAACGUCUUUUCACACUCAUUGUUCCACUUAUCCCUUUAGGUUAUCUUGAUUACCUUGAAGAAAGGUUUCCAUCGAUCGGUUAAUCACGAGAAAAAAUGGUUAACAGAUAUUGCUUUUUUGUUCAGACUCUAGAUCUACUUCAAGGUAGUCGAGGACUUCAUAUCUAGAUCGUUCAGAUCUUCUUUGAAUGUGCUUCGAUUCUUUGAUGGGCCAUAAGGUACCCUUAGAAUUUGCCUGAAGAUACUCUAAAUGUGCAUUUGGAGGGGUUGAGCUUCAUCAUGUACUUUUAGUGAAUGUUAUAUGUCUUCACCAAGUUCUUGAUGUGGUUUGACUGCUGCUUGGGGUUAAGAAUAAUGUAUUCAUCGUCUUUUUCGAGUUUCCAUCCUGACUCGUCUGGUUGCAAAUCAUCCUGGACGCCAUCUUCUUGACCUAUUUACCGUAAUUGUUAUCUGGUAAAGGUAGAAUCAUAUUUCUACACUUCAGCAGCUACUUUUGGGGUGAAAGACUUCUUAUUUAACUCCUUGAAAACUUGUACGGUGCAUCAUCGAUCUAUUGCCUAGUCAGACUUUAUUUCUCUGACUUCUUCCCCGAGAUGCAAAUCAAAUUUUUUGAUACUUGAUUGAGGUCACAAUUCCAAUAUUCACUAGCCAGGGGCGACCCAAAAUCCUAUUGUAGGGAGAGGUCGUUGACAAUCAUGGAGGUUUGUGAUGAGAUAAUAGAACUUCUUACGUUGAGUGUAAUAAUGCUUAUGAAAGUUGACGUAAGACCAUUGCAUUCGAUUAAGACCUCCGUCUUGCGUCUAAUUGUAAUCCCUAGACCUAUAUUCUGGAUUACCGACAGUUGUAGAUGGUUAACUACGAUGUUGUUGUCCACCACAAUUCUAUUGAGUGGCAUGAGUUAGUUGGGGAGAUAUCACCUAGGUGUCGUUGUGGAGAAAAUCUGCUUCUUCGGCAUCAUGCUCGAUGAAGCUGAUGACCAGUCUAGAUACAACAUCUAUGGCUUAAACUUAGAAGACCAAUCCUUCCUGCUGGAUCUUCUGCUUCUUGGAACUGUAGGUGGCCUCCAAAUGCUUGGACUAGGCGAAAAUGUCAUUGAUUUGAAUCACCUUGGUUGGGGUUCGGCAUUGGCUUCUUCAUCUCCCCUGCGUCGUGCAUCUUACUUGUCGAUGCAUUUGUCACAUCUACCUUUAUUCACUAGCUUUUUGAGGUAUUCCUUCCAUUUGAGGUAGCUCUUGUUAUAUGACCUAGACCUCGGUGAAAUGCGCAAUAUUUCAUCUCAUCUAGCUUGGAAGUGUCACAAGGUUCGUUCUUGAAGACGUGGAGGAUCUGUUGAAUUGGGAUUGAGAACUUGGUAUAUGUCAUGGGCGUUGAGCCUCAUUUCGGUAGGGAACAGUCCCUGCACUUGCUUCUUAGAUUGCUUUAGUUAUUGAGCUAUUUAUCGCUCAUCUUUUUCUAAGCUGCCUUCUAGUCUUUCCAUGGUUACUCAAAUACUUUUUAGGCACGCUUGGCUUCAUUUUAGAGUGUGUUUUUUUGCCAAAACAUAAGAAUCGGCCAGGGUCAAGUCCUCUCCCAUGAUUAGCUCUCCAAAAAGAAGGUUACCUAUUGGUAGUCCCUUUUUAAAUACUGACCUGGCUAUGGUAUCGUCACAUCUCACGAUCUUAGCCUUCUUUGCCUUAAAUCUUUUUACAUAUAUACGAAGUGAUUCCUUCAGAUCUUUCUUCAUGUUGAAAAGGCGGGAAUGCUUAUUCUUGACCAUGCGAUAUGAUGAAUAUUCCUUAGUGAAAACCAAGAAAAGUUCAUUGAACCUCCAGGUGGACAGCGGUGGCGGGGUGUGGAACCAAUCUCUCGCGGCCCUGCAAAGUAGUCGCAAAGAUCUUACACAUGAUGGGGUCAUUGUUCCUGUGGAAGGUCAUUGCACUUCGAUACUAUUUUAGGUUCCUCUAUGGAUCUUCAUCUCCCUUGAAAAUGGUGAAAUGUGGCAGGUUGAAACUGCAUGGCAGUUCCGUUUGCUCGAUCUUACUUGUUAAUGGUGACCUGCUCAUGUUGACCAUGUUUCUCUGUGCAGUUUCUCUACUUGAAGAUUGUCAGCAUGAGGCUAUGUCUUGGUUCCCGUCCUCGAGUCCUUAUUCUUUGUUGUAAGGCAUUAUGUUUAUCAUGGUUUCAAAAUUUCCUAUCAUUGUAUUCUUUACCUAAGGACUAAUCUAAGAACUUUUCUAGGAAAAAUUGAGUGUGUGGAAAAUUCAACGUAGUAGAAAAUUCUAAAUGCAAGAACCUUCUUUGAGUAUUUGAAUCAAGCUUUCAUUGAAAGCACCAAUUUAUGGUAGCAAUAAUCCGUCGUUUCUAGUCUUGAUGAAUUUGUACCUACAAGCAAAUAACAACCUUGAUCACGCGCCCAUGAGGGGGUUUUGGCCAAUGAAUCUCCAAUGUCUAAGUCAGUAACUCUAAAAAAGUUAAAGGUUUAGGGCUUGUAUGCUUAGCGUAGAGCUUACUAGGAAUUGGUAGAGAUAAGGUACUUAUAAGAAGAAAGGCCAGCCAUGAUAGAGGUCUGCCAUACACGUGGCGGCAUCCGAUUGGCCAAGAUGAAUCAUCCUUAAGAUGAAUGAGGAAAAAAUAAUUCUAAGAUAUUAAUUAGGAGAUAAUAUCUUAGAAUUAUUAGGUAAGUAUCAUUGAUUGAUGGUGAUGAAAUUUUUAUACUUGUUUGAGUUGUACAUCAAUUAGGAAUGUAUUAAAAAAAUUGAUUUGGUGAUUAAUCCUAUCUUUAAUGUCUUUGACUUUUCCAUGUCACGAGCAGAUGAGUUUGAUGGUGUCGUGACAGCUGCUUUGAGCAAUAUUUUCACUAAAUGUAAAACUCUGAACAUGAUAUCCACGAUCUGAACCAUUCAUCUUUAUACAUCCACUAAAAAAAUCAUGUUUUCUAAUGGUUAAAGUUAUAUCUAUAGUUUAUAGAUUAAAUAUUAAAUUCUAAGCUUUUGUAUAUUUUUGUAUACAUACUUUCACACUUCAAUAUUAAAUUAAAAACUACUUUAUUAUAAUGUACUAAUUGUGGGACCAUGAUUUUUCAAGGUCGAAGUAAGUCCGUUCUGAAUACAAUUACCUCAGAAGUCCGAUCAUGGACUCACCAGCUCCAAGCAAAGCUGUAUUAGACGCAGUAGCGGUGCCACCAUCACUCUUCUUCGGGGCAUUAGGCGAAGUCCUAGUCACUCUGUUGGAUGACCAUGUUUGUUUUGCAAGACACGUGAUAUGAUCCGAAUAUGGACACAAUUAGAUCCUAAGAGGAUUGGUGUUCGCUGCAAGUAAUCACAACUCCUAAGAGGAUGCCAUAUCUACUUCUAGAUAUUCCUCUAGAAUUCUCUCGGCUUAGAACGAUGACUUCCUAAAAAAGUCUCUCUCCUCAUGGUAUAAAUGCACCCACAUAGGGUUCAUUUAUGGUAAUGCAACUUAAACAUUUGGAUUCUCUUGCCUACUUCUUAAGUCUAAAAUCCUUCACUAACUUGACCGUCGGAGAGUCUUUGGCUAAUACACCCCCUCCCCGUGGUCUUAGGCUUGCUCACAAUUGUUUUAUUAUGUUGCAGGUUGCUUAAGUUUAUUCGGAUUUGCACUAGACCACCGCUCAAAUAAUUGGUGUCUUCACUGAGAAAAGACUCACAUUACUCUUGCCUAGAUCACUCUAUCUCAUGGAAGCUGUGUCCAAAAAAAAUCCCAUGGUGAGGACAGAGGCACGAGGGACGAAGAUGCCUCUUUAUAAAUCAAAUAUGGGAAGAUGCCUUAAAAAUACGCACAUCAAUUAGAGAUCUUAAAAAGAACCUACGAACCAUGGAACAAGCUAGCCUUUCUAGACUAGAUAAAAGGUUGAAAGUUGUCGAAGACAUCAUCACCUGUCUUAAAAUCUCUGCCCUUCAGGUCCCUCUAGAGACAGCAAACCUAAAACUUGUCCCAACAAGGGGCAUUGAAAGACUAUCAGAAACCCUAGGUCUAUUGCCACCCCACCAUAUGGGGAAGAGUUCUUUCCCUAACAAUAACCAUAAAGGAAGAAACCGAAACUACUUCAAAAGGGCUCAGAACUGAAAAAGACGAUGCAAAUGACACAUCAUCCCAGAAACCACGUCACCAGGCCAGAAGACAUAUGAUCUCCUACUCAUGGCACCCUUGUGGUCAAGCUACAAAUGUCUGACGCAAUGGAAGGUAGGGUUUUGAUUGACAACGAGUUAAAGGACAACUUCCUCUUCAUGGGCGUAACUAGAAUGAUGGAUGUCGUUAACAAAAUCAACUUCAAAAGAUCCAUCAUUCAAGCUUUUAAUAGGGUCCCACACAACACUAUGGGAACUAUGCAACUCAAGGUACAAGCAAAGUCGUCUGAAUAUCUGAUGGCUUUCCAUGUGAUAGAUAGCUCAUCCCCUUACAACGUUAUCAUCGGUCAAGAAUGAUUGCACGUUAUGGGCAUUAUCCCAUCAAUAAGUAGUAUACUUCCUCGCUGCCCAAGAAUAAUGACGAACAUAAGAGCCAGAGAAAGAGAAGAAUUUGUGCUAAAAGACAGGAUCCCUCUUUGAAAAAAAUUAAACCCCUUGUUGAUUAUUCUAGGUAGCUUAAACAGGUGCAUCACCACACGAACUACACCUGGUUUGAUUUCCUUCCCAGGAUAUGUAGGCAAUCCUCUCCAGAUGCAAUCGCAACUCCGCCUUUUGUGUGAAGACAAGUCCAUGGAGAACUCAUCUCUUUAUGCCCCACCAUAGGCUUAUCGUCAAAAGUGAUCCCUGGUGUAAUUUUUACAUCACAUCAUCUUUUUCUUAGAACUACAUUAGUGAUUUGAUUCUCCAUCCCGGAGAUAUGUAGGCAAUCCUUUUCGGAUUCAAUCACACCCUUUUUAUCAAUCCAAUUCUACUUUGAGUCAUGAAUAAAGAAAAUUUAUUUGUUUCAAGCAUCCAUUCGUUUUUCUCUUCUUCUUUUUUUGGGUAAUGCUGGGAGUCCCUAUUCAUUUAAAACAGGCCUAAACUUUGAAUACUUCACAUAUACGUAAGUCUAAAACAAGUUCAAAGUUACAAUGUUAGAAGAGCCUCAUUUAGCCCAAUAUGUCUUGAACGAUUAGCACCUUGGAAGAUUUGAAUUGUAAUAAGCAUGGUAAAGAUUCGCGGGCUACGAGCACAAGCACAUGACGCCUUGACCCGGAAGUCUAGUGUACCAUCCAGCCUCUGGAAAAUUUAUACAACCAGCGAGGUUGUGGGUUAUAACAGUCAAAAUUGGGCUCAACACCAUUCAAGGGAAUAGUCGAAAGGGUGAUCAAGAAAUCAUCUGAGGGUGACUGUAAACUCUGACCCUGAGUAUGACUACUUCCAUCCCAAAUCAGCAUAUUAAGCCACAUAUGUUCUGCAACACCGUAUGUUACCAGGUUCGAAUAAGGCAUCCAAACUAGGUAAUCCCUAAGAGGAAUCUUAUUCCAACAGAGCUCAGAUACACGGAAAUGCUUUCGUCAAGCCAGCCAAGGUAGUUCGAUCAGAAAUGCUCAAGUCCGAUGUGUAAGGUCUGACAAAAGGAUUUAAAAAGUAUCGUCGACCCACAUACGGGCAACCAAGUCUCCCAAGAACUUUUGUUUAAGGUUCGCUAGAGAUGGUCAUCCAAUUCGGGCUAGGGGGAUUCGCGUCCUUAAGCAUCACGUUGGAAUCAUGAAGGCCAUGGGCCUAAGAACUACGACAAGGCGUAAAGCGAUCAACAUCUACUUACAGAAUAUUCUUAAGCUUUCUAAAUCUGAUAAAUUUGUUUUGACGUGUGUAAAAGCAAAAGUUUCUCAUGGAUCUAAUGUCUAAUUCCUGGUGCCGGAGUAAGGUGGCAUUCCGGAUAUCACCAUGAGAAUACUUUACUAAUACUAAGUUUGGGAGGCAACAUUUUCCUGAAUCAACGUUGCCAAGGGGGCCGUUUUAGCUCUGUCUCAGGCCCAUAAACUUAUUUGUAUUCCUCUUUGUUGCCUAUCUCUCAUACAAAGUACGUUUACUUUAGAGAAAGUUUAUCGAAUUGAGAUUCCCUUAUGAAACAAAGAAAGAUCAAAGAAGGGUUCACAUUAUAAAAAGUUUGAAGACAUAGAAAGGACAAUCCCUCUUCUUAGCCAGGAAGGUAUUAAAAUCAACUUUAUUCCAUGACUCAUUUCCCCAUCAAAGUGGCAGAAUAGUCUCAGGGAACUUCAAGUUCCAGAUCUUGUUUGACAAGUUGUCCUUGCUCCACUUCCAAAUCUAAAAUCUUGUCCAACAAGUGUUGAAGAGGAGAAAAGUCUGUACAAGAGAUCUCUUCAUAGAUCCUAUGAACGUCCCAACCUCUAGCAUGAUCUCUCCGGGAGUAACCAGUGUGAUAUCUGAAAUCGCACGUCUUUCCAAGGUCCUCGUCAAUUAACUUCUUGUGCUUAUCCCGAAGCAUUGACAUCUCUGAAGCGUGCCUAUCGGAAAGCUGUUGGAGGUCCACUAUGUGCUCAUUCUCUUAGUGAUCUACUCUUGACGAAGUUGUUCGACCUCUCGCUAAAGGACCGACUGUUCUGUCAUCCAACAUCACGCUCCGAAGUCAGUGUACGGAACACUCUUCUCUCAAGACCACCAGGGCCCGAUUCUUUUGGACUUUCGCCUGGUGUUCCGAUUUCAAAUCCUCUAAGGCCUGCUAAAUGUCUUCUCGAUAACCCUUAGCCCUUCAUCUCCUCCAGCGUGGCCACAUCAAUAUAUAGUGAAGAGAAAGUUACUCAGGUAACUCAACAUAAUAGUAAUAACAAACAGUUAAAAGUUAGUUAGGAAAAUUACCACACUUGUAACUUUCCUUUACUCUGUUAGUCUGUUGUAUUUAGCUUCCAUAUAAAUACUCUUGUAACUUAUCCUUUGGAGUAAUGAAAAUCAUUUCUCAAUAUGGUAUCACUCGCCUAAAGUCUACCGACUAAGAUCCUUCGUACGUUUCCUCUCAUUUUCUUAGUCACCAAACAGGUCUCAUUCCUGUCAUUUUCUCUCUGCAAUCAACAAUCUAUGGCGGCCAAUUCUUCGACUUCUUCUUCCCCAGUGAUCGCGCACCAUCAUUCUCCUCCUAUGCUUGCUGAUCCUCCUUCUUCUUCUCCAAAUCCUCAUCCUUCGGUUCCGCUGCCCACAAACCCUAAUUCUUCAAUUCAGGCCUCGAUCAACUCGAUUACGAUACACAAUAUCGGCAGCAUGAUUCAGACUAAGCUCAAGCGCCAUAACUAUCUUGUGUGGCGAUCUCUCUUCAAGCCGAUCUUUCGUCGCUACAAACUUACCGGUAUUGUUGACGGAUCUGAACCUCCACCGCCUCAGUUUCUUGCUGAUGAUUCUGGUCGAUUCACCUCUGUUCCUAAUCCAGACUAUGAAUUGUGGUAUGAGAAGGAUCAGAACAUCAUUAUCUGGAUCAAUUCUACCCUUUCGGAAUAUCUGAUUCCUUUCACUGUUGGCGUUCAAUCUGCGCGAGAACUCUGGCAAAAUCUUGAACGGCGGUUUGGCGGUGUAUCUCGUUCUCACAUUCAUCAACUCCGUUCAACCUUGCAAUCUGCCAAGAAAGGUUCAUCUUCUAUUUCGGAGUAUCUCCAACGCAUCAAAGAGGCUACUGAUGCUCUUGCCGCCGCUGGUGCUCCUGUGGAUGAUCAUGAUCUACUUCUCAUCAUUCUCAAUGGCUUACCUGAUGAGUAUGAUUCUUUUGUGGAUUCUGUUCAGUUUCGACUUGCUGAUAUUACUGUUGAUGAUCUUCACGGAUUUUUGUUAAGUAAAGAAAUGGCUCUUACUCGCAAGCAUUCCACUCAAGGAACAAAUUCUGCACCCUAUCAAGCUUUUCAGUCUGUUUCAGCGUCUUCACCUUCACUCCUUCCUACACCUCAGGCGUAUAUUGCUCAGCCUCCUCCUUCCUCUAAUUUCAACAGAGGCAAUUUUCAGCGCAAUAAUUCUCAAAGGAAUUAUAAUAAUCGCAAUCGAUACACUCGUAACCACAUCAACAAGAAUGCUUCUAAUCGUGAAGGAAAUCGUAGUGUGAAGGAUUUCGUAAUGGUGCUCGGUUCUUUAACAAUAAUUCCAGGAAUGUUCCUUGUCAAAUCUGUGAAGACACUGGUCAUCAAGCGAUUGACUGCUCCAAUCGUAUGAAUCCCAAUUUUCAAGGCCGUAUUCCACCAGCUAAGCUUGCUAUGUAUGCUCGCUCAAAUGCAUCUUCUUCUCCUCUGUGGCUACUUGACUCUGGAGCAAGCUCUCAUAUGACCAACAACCUCCAAAAUCUUCAGAAUCCACAACCUUACAGUGGCCCCGAUAAAGUCUACAUUGGAGACGGCCAAGGUUUGCCGAUUCUCCACUCUGGUUCCUCGUUACUUCAUACUCCUUCUGCUACUUUUAAAUUACAAAAUGUGUUGCAUGUUCCACACUUGAAGCAUGAUCUUGUUUCUGCAAAUAUGUUUCUUAGAGACAAUUGGUGUUCCUUAACUCUAAAUCCUUUUGACUUUCAUGUCAAGGAUCUUACUACGGGGAUGAUGCUUUUUAGAGCUCCUAUUCGCUGUGGUCUCUAUCCUUUUUCUGCAUCUUCUCAGUCUUCAUCAAAGCAUCAUGGUCUUACUGCACUCAAGGCAUCACAACACACUUGGCAUCAACGUUUGGGGCAUCCAACGUUCAAGACUUUGCAAUCUGUGAUCUCAAAGUCUUCUUUGCCUUUAUCUACUAUUGUCAAACAAUCUUUCUGUUUGAAUUGUGUUUUAGGCAAAUGUGCCAAGUUACCUUUUCAGAAUUCUAUUUGUCAUUCUUCUAGAUCUUUAGAGUUGGUUCAUGCGGAUGUUUGGGGUCCCGCUCCCCUGUCUUCUAUCAGUGGAUAUCGAUUCUAUGUCAUAUUUCUUGAUGACUUUACUAAGUACACUUGGUUGUAUCCUCUCAAACAUAAAUAAGAAGUAUUUCAAGUUUUUGUUCACUUUCAAGCUCUUGUUGAAAAUCUGUCUGGUCACAAAAUUGGAACUUUGAGAUGUGACUCAGGGGGUGAGUUUAUUAGUACUCAGUUCAAACAGCAUUUGUCCAAUCAUGGCAUUCAUCAACAUUUUAGCUGUCCAUACACUCCUCAGCAGAACGGGUGUGCAGAACGGAAACACCGACACAUUAUGGAAACAGCCAGGACACUACUUAUUGCAUCUCAUGUUCCUCAUCAAUUUUGGGUAGAAGCAUUUCUCACUGCAGUUUAUCUCAUUAGUCGGCUUCCUCCAACUGCUAAAUCUUCACCCUGGGAGCAAUUUUUCAAGAAGAAACCAGAUUAUACUCAACUGAAAAUCUUUGGUUGCAGCUGCUAUCCUUGGCUCAAGCCAUAUACACAGUCCAAACUUGACCCCAAGAGCAAGUUAUAUGCUUUUAUUGGCUACAGUUUGGUUCACAAAGGUUACAGAUGCUUAGACCCCUUCACCAAUAGAGUGUAUGUCUCCCGGCAUGUCUACUUUGAUGAAACCACAUUCCCAUUUCAUAAUCCCUCUCUUGUUUCACAGCUACCCUCUUGUGCUUCCUCCUCAGUCAAUCCUUCCUCAUUUUCCCUUACCUUUCCCAACCUUUAUUCUUCAUCCCCUCUUAUUCCUUCUAUUACACGUUCACAAUCCCUUACCUCUCCCCCUGUCUUUCAACCUCCACCAUCUGUAGGUCCUACUGAAUUUGCAUCUGAAUCAGUUUAUGUACCUGCACCUGUCUUAGUUCCUAAUAUUGUCCCAGUUCCUGAUAUUGUCCCUGUCGCACCUCCAACCCUUCCUGUCUCUACUCAUCCUAUGCAAACCAAGUCCAAAUCUGGAAUUUUUAAACCCAAGGCCUUUACUGCUACCAAACAUCCUCUUCCUUCCAACUUAAACACUGAAUUUGUUCCAACUACAUACAUUCAGGCAUCCAAAUAUCCCCAUUGGAGAACUGCAAUGCAGGAUGAGUUUAAUGCUUUGCAAAAUACAAGAACUUGGACAUUGGUUCCUUCUGAUCCUUCUUACAAUCUCGUUGGGUGCAAAUGGGUCUUCCGGAUUAAAAGGAACCCUGAUGGUUCUGUGGACCGUUAUAAAGCCCGGUUAGUAGCUAAGGGCUACAAUCAGCAGGAGGGUAUUGAUUACAGUGAUACGUUUAGCCCAGUGGCUAAACCAGUUACAAUUCGACUUCUUCUCACUCUUGCAGUUCAGUCAAAUUGGUUUCUGCAUCAAUUGGAUGUCAGUAAUGCAUUCUUGCACGGCUCUCUCAAGGAAAAUGUGUAUAUGUCUCAGCCUCCAGGUUUCAUUGAUCAGGACAAAUCUUCUUAUGUUUGUCACUUGCAAAAAUCCCUCUAUGGCUUGAAACAAGCUCCUCGGGCUUGGUUUGAAAAACUGCAAUCUGCUCUAUUCUCUAUGGGAUUUAAGGCCUCACAAUCUGAUCACAGCUUGUUUGUGUUGCAACAACCUGUCUUGGUGGUUGUUUUGGUUUAUGUUGACGACAUUCUUGUCACCGGACCUUCUUCCACAGCCUGCACUAAUGUUAUCUCUCAACUUAGUGAUCAGUUUCCCAUUAAGGAUUUAGGCGAUUUGCAUUUUUUCCUUGGUUUGGAGGUUACCCAAGCUUCUACAGGAAUCUUUAUUCAUCAAUCUAAGUACAUCUUAGAUCUUCUCAAACGCACUAAAAUGGAUGGAGCAAAGCCCUGCACCACUCCUCUUGGUUCUACUAAGCUUGAUCUCACUGGUUCUCCAUUGGAUAAUCCAGAGGAAUAUCGCUCUAUUGUUGGUGCUCUUCAGUAUCUUACAUGGACUCGUCCGGAUCUCUCCUUUUCAGUAAACUUGGUCUGCCAGUUUAUGCAUUCUCCUCGGGCACCCCAUUUUCAAGCAGUGAAGCGCAUACUUCACUAUCUUAAGGGAACACUUGGCUAUGGUCUCUGGUUUCCUAAAAACUCGGCUCCUCUUACUCUCAAAGCAUAUUCUGAUGCUGAUUGGGCAGGCUGUUCCUGGGAUAGACGUUCUACUGGGGGAUUUUGCAUCUUUCUUGGAUCCUCUCUCAUCAGUUGGAGUGCCAAGAAGCAACACACCGUUGCUCGUUCCUCCACCGAAGCUGAAUAUAAGUCCUUGGCACACACUGCUGCUGAAUUAACAUGGAUCUGCAAAUUGUUCACUGAUAUUGGUUUCAAGCUGCCUUCUCUUCCUCAAAUUUGGUGUGAUAAUGUUUAUGCGAUUGCCCUUGCUUCCAACCCUGUUUUCCAUGCUCGUACCAAGCAUGUGGAAAUAGAUUACCAUUACAUAAGGGAACUUGUUCUUGCCAAGUUGCUGACUGUCCAAUUUGUAUGCAGUCAGGAUCAACUUGCUGACAUUCAUACCAAAUCCCUUCCCAGGCAAUGCUUUCUUUUUCUCCGGUCCAAGCUAUCACUUCAACCUUCUCCGUUUAGCUUGAGGGCGUGCGAAGAGAAAGUUACUCAAGUAACUCAACAUAAUAGUAAUAACAAACAGUUAAAAGUUAGUUAGGAAAAUUACCACACUUGUAACUUUCCUUUACUCUGUUAGUCUGUUGUAUUUAGCUUCCAUAUAAAUACUCUUGUAACUUAUCCUUUGGAGUAAUGAAAAUCAUUUCUCAAUAUAUAGGUGUAUCUCCGCUUCGUGAGCAUUCUUCAAAGCAUGUUGCUUGGACUGCACCAGUUGGGACAUCAUUCUUUGUUCGGCCAAUAGUCUCACCUCAAUCUCCAGAUCGUGGGACUGGUCGAGCUCUCGGAUUCAUCCCACUUGUUGCAAAAGAGCCACUUCAGUCCACGCAUUAGCUUGAGUAGCGUAGAACUUGAGGAACAAGUUUCAACAACACAUGUGAAUGAGAUGAAGGAAACAUGAGGAUAGAAAUUACCUAUAACAGAUCGCAUAACUCCGCAUCAUGAUGUCUUUGAGGGAUGUACAUAUUUCUUUGAAAUCGGUAGGGGCAAUCAUGGCUCUAAGAGGGGCACGAGUAGAAUCAGCGUCUUAGAGUCCAAUGAAUCUAUAGGAAAAGCCACAUGGUUUACCGAAGAACGUAUCACGAAAAGGGGACACAUAAUUCUUUCGGACUGCGUAAGAAUGGUCGAAUGAGCCAAGUCCAUUUGAGGAGGCGAAGUAGCAUGUGUUUGCAAAGGAAGAGGCGAAACAAAAGUUGGUGCGGAACGAAGAAUAAUUGCCUUACUUGAAGAAGGAAGAAGUUCCGACUUAAACUCGAUCGACAGAAACAAAAGGGGUGAAAUAGGGGAUCUAUUUACCAAAGACAAUGGGGCAUGCGCCUCGGAGAUUGGAGUAGCUAGAGGGACUAUGCGUCGCUUUCUUAAAAAGUGGAUGUCUUCCUCUUCCCCCAGAAUUUUGGACGGAACAUCUCUUAUUAGCAAUUGAGGUUAUGGGGAACAACCAAUGGUUGUGAGGAAGAGCUAUUAGGUCGUUUUUGCUUUUUAGAAACUGAAGACUAAGCUGCUUGGAGCUUGGAAGAACGAAUCUUUUUGUGAGCAAACUAGGCUUCAACCCAUUUUGGCUCUGAUAUGGGAAACCUCGAGCAAUGAUGUUUAACAAGACGUUCUCCACAAUUGGUGAAAAGAAGAGAGGAAUCACUUCCAGUUGCCGUAUACGAUCAAAAUUUGCAUUGCGCGAUGAAUGAACUUAGGGCGACAUACCCCAAGAUCAUGCAAUUCAUCUUUAAAAUGUGGGUUACGAGGAGGAUGUGAUCUAACUCGGAGUCCCUCGAUAUCGUCAUCCCAUUCUCUGUCAACCACUAGGAUAUCGUUCUACUAAUCCCAAUCAUUACAAGGGACAUCUUGAAUAUACGCCCCAUGGCAAGGCUUGGCCUGAUUGUAAAGUAAUAAUGACCAUCAAAACCCAUCCUGAUGCAAUGCAACCUCAUGAACUCGGGAAUAUCCAACUCAGCUCUGUACGAUUAGUUUAACAACUCGAAGCACGUGAUGAGACUGAAGGUGGCAGGGGAAAGAUUGCAUAUGGAAAUGUCGUAACAUAGCAAGACACUUUUCAUGAAGGUGAAAAGAGGGAAACGAAGACCCAACUCUAAAAAACAGGGAUAGACUUUGGUACAUGGACAUUGAGGAUUAGAUGGCACUAGAAGAUUAGCAUAAAUAUCAUUGCCAGGUUCUCACCAAACAUUGCAAUCAUUCAAGAUGUCUUGGUGGUAUUUGGCAAAAGCUUCACUAUGAUGAUCUAGGUUACCAUGACUUCAGACAUGAUACUACAUGCAUAAUGUUUGAUUUUGUGUGUGACAUUGCUUAUGUGUGUUAUUGUUGUUAUCAUAUCCUGAUAUGAUUCAUUGCUCACAUGAAUUUGAUUGACAAAAUUUGAUUGGAUAACAAGUGCUUUAUGGUUGUUGUAAUUUGUUUAGAGACCAAACCAGCUAUAUGAGUGCUUUAGUUUUGAGCCCUCUAGUUCCUUAUAAAAUAAAGUUGAAAGCAAGAAGUGUGAAACACAACUUAACCUAGUCAGCUGCUCGAAUAAGUGUCAUGUUUAUACCCACUCCAGGUUUCUACUUUCUUCUGCUAGGCAGCUAGCUUUGAAAAGGUGGGAUGAAAUUUUGAAACUCUUUGUUAUUAUUUCUUGCUAGGUCAUUUCUUUUUCUUUUCCAUAAUUCUCUUUCACACCACAAAAUAUGUCAUCCUCCAGCUCUUAUUUCUUUCAUCUUCUAGUUCAACAAAACUAUUUUCCCACUCAAGACCUUGAUUACUCAUAAGCUAUCUUCUCUUAGCAACAAGUUCUCUGGCUGGUUUGGAAAGUGAACAAGUUUGGGUUGUUUGAAACUGAUUUGUGUUUUGGUGGUCUUAGUUGCUACUUGCUAAGGUUUGAGGUAGGGAAACCAAAAUAUUUUUGACAGUCUUGAAUCUAAUUUAGUUAUGUAUUUGGUGUGACUCUUAUAUGAAAGUUGAACUUUUUCAAGAUGUUUCGGUAUUUAUGUAUGUUUUCAACACUAUGGCAAGUGUUUGAAAAAGGGAGAAUUUAUUUAAGAGCUAGUGUUACAAGUUAAAGAGUUUGGUUAAGUAGUUCCAAGGAUUUCAAUAAGUAGGGAUUGUGUCUCCCUAGGGUGGAAGACCCCAAACCUGAUCAAGAUGCAUCCAUUUAUGCGUAUUUUAUGUCGUUAGAAAGAUCAGAUUACCAUCUACAAUUAAGUCUUCUUUGGCGAAAUCCAAAAACAACUUUAACCUCACGAAAAAAGGGUCACAAAAACCUUGAAAAAAAAUUGUGUUUCAUGCUAUUACAAAACUAGGGUUUCAAUUAUCUCUCUAACCACUUGGUUUUUCUUUACCAAAUUUUAAACAUAGUCUCAUAUGAUUGUAAAGAACAUAAACCAAGUGUUAAAACCCAGAAAAAAUAAGCAUGGCAAACACAAAAACGUGUAAAGACAAGCAUUCAUGGCAUAUUCAUAUAUAUCUCAUGCUUUCAAGGUUUUCAUACAUGGCAUAUUUAUAUAUAUCUCAUAUUUUCAUGCGAGGAGUGUGUGAGUGGCUCUAAUACCAUUGUUAGAAGACUGUGAGUAAAUUCGAAAGGAUGUGAACCUUUUAUGCGGAAACUUGAAUCUCAACAUACUCCUACAAACACGAACAACUGCUCUGACCCUCCGUGCACGUCUAGAAACUCACAAGUCAUCGUAGGUAUGUCUAGUUGCCCGUUGGUUUUCGUCUCCCAAGACCUAAAGCCUAAAGUGAUAGCUCUAAAGACCUAACUAGAAUAUUUGAAUUGUGGAAAAGCUUGUGUUUCUUGUGUUUUCUAUCUUCCCUAAAGUCUUCCUAUAUAGUGGUUGGGAAGAGUGUACAAAGACUGAAAAACCCAUGAAAAUCCCAAGUAUAUUCUAAUAUGAAUAUCUCUUGAUUUUCAUCUAAUUAUCACAUAGAUAAUUAGGAGGUUAAUAUCCUCAUGUAGAUAGAAUAUCCUUUGAUAUUUAUUUAUCCCAUAAGAUAAAUCCUACAUAUCUCUUUAACAUUUUCCAAAAAAUAUACACCGAACCAUUUAGUUUUAUCCUUUUGCACGCAUCUCAUCCCAUCUGUCACAUCUCGGCCCGAGCCCCCACCACAUCCCGAGCUCGACUCCACCGUAGCACGAUAUUGUCCGCUUUGAGCCUCGACCACACCCUUACAGUUUUGUUUCUAGAAACUCACACGAGAACUUCCCAGUGGGUCACCCAUCUUGGGAUUGCUCUCGCGCAAAAUGUCUUAACUUCGAAGUUCCUACAGAACCCAAAGCCAAUGAGCUCCCAAAAAGCUUCGUGCUAGAUGAUAGGAGCAUAUUUAUGCGACUUAGUUAACAUGUUUUCUUGCACUUAGUUAGUUAUUGCUUAUAAGAGUGUUUUAAGCCAUUUUCGUAUAUUGGUAGGUCCUAAUAACAAAGUUGGCAAGAAAAGUGCAUUUUGGUGCAUUUUGGAGCAAUUUUGGGCUGAAAUGGAUUGCAUGCACUUGGAGACAUGAGGAUGGACGUUUUGGGAAGAUUAGAAUUUAGCAUAUGUGUGUGCAAGUGUGUGACCUACAACUAACAAACAUCAUAGCUGCCAUGUGAUGGAGAAAAUGUGUUGUUUGUGGCUGAAAUAAUGAAGAGCAUGUGUGUGUGCAAGUGUGACAGCUUGUGGAUGUGGAAAUAAUGAUAACAUGACAACAAAGACACAUGCAAAGAGGCCUUGAGCACCAUCCUUCACAGUUGUGCAGCAGCAACCCUUCAUCAUUACUUAACAUUUCUGCCACAAGAACAUGGAGACAACAUUAUACAAGGCAUGUGCAAAAGAGAAACAUGGACAACCAACAAAUUCGUCAAAACUGCCUGCGCAGAUUAGCUGACUUUGGAAGCAUGUUACGAACAGCUCCGAAUGAAUAAGAGAAUCAGCCUUAUAUGCUUGGAAAGCUACAGAUGUCUAUUUUCUGGAGCAAUUUACGGAUUGUUAAUAUCAUUUUUCUAGAAGAAGUUAUGGGCAUUGUAACACUGAAAGGUUCAGAAAAGGGCUAAGCAGAUUUGACUAAUAAAAUGAGAAAGUAAAGGCACUUGUUUUGUGUUUUGCUUUGUCAUCAACACUCAGCAGCAAAUGGGGUUAUGAUUGCACUCAUUUGGCUUUGGAGCAAGUGGAAAUGCACAGCUAGAAAGAGAAGACACACCCACAUGCAAAGGAAAGGAGAAACAUGGGCAGAAAAUGGGUGGAUUGGUGGCUGAAAUGAUGAAGCAUGUGUGUGCAAAAGAAAAGGAGAAACAUGGACAACACACACCCAUGCAAUCUGCACAUGCAAAGGAAAUGGAGUGGUCCUCUCCCUAGCCUAUAAAUACAUCCACCACCCACCUUCCAAAGGAGUACAAUCUUGAUCCAUCAAAAGAGCUUCAUUCACAAACACAUUUUCCUUGUAGUGACCUCCAUCCAUUCAUCUAGCCAUACUACAUCUCACCAAUCCAUACACUUUCAUCUCUUAGCCAUGCAAAUCCAUUCCAUCCAUAUAUCCAUACACAUCCUAGACACUUGUGCUACAACAAGGUGGUGAAAACAAAUGUCCUUAGCGUUUCAAGCUUGGAAGUUUGGAGCGUUUUAGGUGUACUUCGUUCUUGCUUUCAAUGUCUACUUUAUUAUUUUCUAAUUUUGUUGCAAUUAUGAGUGGCUAAACCCCUAUUUAGUUAGGGAGAAGUUUGAAGCCAUGAACAUGCUUGAGAUUUUAAUUGAUUUCCUCCAAUUGUGAUUUGAUAAGUUGUGAUUGCAAUUCAAUUAUCUAUUUUAUUCAUAACUAAUUCUUGUAUGUUUAUUAAGGAUGCAUACUUAGUUUUCAUGCAUGAAUUAGAUACUAGAAUAUAAAUGAGUUUCACCUAAUAGUUACAAGUUUAUAUUCAUGAGUAGUGAUGGUUGUUUCUCACAAUCGCGUUAAUUGAAUUCUUGGCAAAUGUAUUAUGCAUUCAUAGUUAUAAUUGUCUCGUCAACACUUAUGAUUUUCAUUGAACGUAAUGAUCUCUGAUUGUAUCUCUAUUAUGCAUUCAUAUAGGGGACUUUUAGAGAAUGAUUUGGGUUGUUGCAUGCAUUCAUCCAACUCAAUGUUGCAUGCAUUCAUCCAACUCAAUGAGUAAAGGAAAAUCUGAGAGUUAAUUUGUGCAUCACGGUUAAUUUGGUGUGUUGAGCAUCAUAGUUAAUUGAAAAGCAAUUGGAAAUCGAUUCAUAUACAAGUGUGGUAUGUGUGAAGAAUGGACCUCUAACUAAUCCAUCCAUCAUCUCAUUUCUUAAAUUCAUUUUACAAUCUGUCUAAUUUUAUAAGUUGUUUGUUUGUUUCAAAUUCAUCAAAACUAAAAUCCCCCUUUUACUUUCUUGUUUCAAAGUGUUUAAAAUCUGUUUUGUUUGUGUUUUAGAGUGUUUUGAGUCAAGUCAAAACCCAAAUUUCGUCCAAAAUUGUGUUAGAGUAAAAAACUGCCUAAUUUGUGUUUUUAGGCAAUUUUGAGCGUCUUUAUGUUAUUUUGAGUCUUGUGAACCUGUUUUGAGAUCUUUAAGUCUAUUCAAAUGUUUUUAACUUUGUUUUUAUGUCUUUGAGUUAGUUUAGAGGUUUUAGCAAGCCCUCCUAAUCCCCGGUUUAGAACGAUCCCUACUUGCAUUAUUACUACAAUUUGACAACAAGAGGGUUUAAUUUGAGUGCUUAACUUUCAUCGCAUCACUAGAUAGAGAUAAGAAUAUACAUACAAAGCUUAGAGGAUCCAUUCCCUUGGACGAUGUGGGAUGUUACACCAUCCCAUCCCGUAACCCGUUCACUAAGCCAAUUUCGAGGUACAACGUCCAAACUAGGAAGGCAACGGAACGGAUUAGGUAAUAGAUUCCCCAUCAAGUAAUGGUUUUUCCAUUAAGAAAGUUAACCUUCAAUUAGAUAUUCCCCAAUGUGCCUUCGCUGUUCGUAGCGAGCAGAUUGAUCGGUUCUUCUGGGAAACUCUUGACAUCAACUUGCCGCACAUAAAAAUCCCAAAAUUCAAUAAAAAUGCAAGCUUUAUUAGUUGAGGUAGUUCAUCAAACAGGUUGUGUGCAUAAGAAAGGAGGUGAUCUUACCUUGGACCAGAACCAGUACUAGUCAGAGCCAAAGGAGGCAGAAGGCUCGCAGAGCUGAGAGGAGGCGAGGAACCAUUCACCGACGUAGAUGAAGCCAAGGUUGAAGGCUUGAAGCAAUAUCUACUACUGAUAAUUUGUAAGAGAAAACAAAUAGGUUUUUCUUCCUAAACUUGAAGUAUUGAACCAUCUUUUCUGAUCUUAGGAGUUCUUCCAUGAUUGAUUGAAAGCAUUAAAAUAUUUAGAAUAAAGAUAGAGACCUUUGAAGUGUGAAGUCUGCACUGCACAAUCUGCACGCUGAAAAGGUAUGUUUUCUGGAAGAACUCAAAGGCUUUGAAGUGUGCACUGCAUGCUCAAGACCUUUGUAGUCUCCCAUAGAGUAUUAAAGUUGCUGAAGAAAAAAAAUAAGGAUUUUAUUAUUUUAUAAAAAAAUAUAAAUAAUAAAUAUUACGAUUUUUUUUUAAAGAACGAAAACCAGGCAGGUUUGGGUAUGAGUUUAGAGCGGAUACCCCUAACCAAACCCGAAACCGAAUAGUUUAUUCAACGGUUAUUCAUAACCGUAAAAAACUCAAAAUUUGAUCCCCAAAACUGAACUGUUCGGGUCGGUUACUUGUGGGAAUUGGAUUUGACGAUUAAAUUGUCAUCCCUAGUCCAAACCCAAGAUCCACAACCCAAACCCAAAAGUCCACCAGAACAACUCCACGUUUGAUCAGGUCGAUUCUUCAUUAGUCUUUCAGUCACACAGUCCAUCUCUCUCCCAUUGUGACCAUUUCUCUCCCAUUGUUUGUUCAGCAAUGGCAGGAUUUCGAUUGGGGCAAGAUGACUCGGAGAUAUCGCAGCAGAGCCGAGCAGCACCGCCCGAUCUCGUCUCUGACGAUGAACGCUCCGUCGCCGCCGAUUCAUGGUCCAUCAAGAGUGAUUAUGGAAGCACUCUCGACGACGACCAGCGCCAUGCCGACGCCGCCGAGGACCUCUCUGCUGCUAACCUCCGUGCCCCCUCCGAUUACAGGUUUGCUUCCCUCCCCUCCACUUCCUGUUUGGUUUUCAGCAAAAUCUCUGUAAAUAAAAUAUUAAUUAAUUAAUUAGUUAGUGCAAAAUUAAGUUAUUAAGAUUGAAUCUUUGCAAUGGUUGUUGUAUUUAUGCUUUUGCAGUUCUGAAUUUUGAGGAAGAAUUAAUACACUAUUAGUUUAGGAACAAAUAUUUAUUUAUUUAUUUAUUUUGAUUGAUGUCUUCGCCUAAGCCGAUCAAAGACAGAAUAUAUGGAGUGCAAGUUCAGUGCAAAUGGAGGCCAAAACGAGUUAGGGGUGAGGAUCGGAGAUCAAGAAAUACCAAAGAGCGACCGUUUUCGUUACCUAGGAUCUAUCUUGCAAAAGAACGGAGAAUUAGAUGGAGAUCUCAACCAUAGAAUACAAGCUGGAUGGAUGAAGUGGAAGAGUGCAUCCGGCGUGUUAUGUGACCGCCGUAUGCCACUGAAGCUCAAGGGAAAAUUUUAUAGGACGGCAAUAAGGCCGGCGAUGCUGUAUGGCACAGAAUGUUGGGCGGUGAAACAUCAACACGUACACAAAAUGGGUGUAGCGGAGAUGAGGAUGCUUCGUUGGAUGUGUGGGCACACGAGAAAGGAUAAGAUUAGGAAUGAGGAUAUCCGGGGUAAAGUAGGAGUAGCCGAAAUUGAAGGAAAGAUGAGAGAAAAUCGGUUACGGUGGUUUGGACAUGUGCAAAGAAGGCCUACUGACGCUCCGAUUAGAAGAUGCGACUAUGGGACAGAGGUUCAGGGCCGAAGGGGUAGAGGAAGACCUAGGAAAACUUUGGAAGAGACUCUAAGAAAAGACUUAGAGUACUUGGAUCUAACGAAGGACAUGACACAGGAUCGAGCACAAUGGCGUUCUAAGAUUCAUAUAGCCGAUCCCACUCAGUGACUUGGAUUUUCCAAGUCUCCAACCGAGAAGUUUUCCUCACUCGGGAAAUUAAGGGAACACUACCCCAACCUACAUGCUCCACUCAGAAAGCUUCAACAUACAAGCUUCAACAAAAGAAAAUUCAAAGAACUUAGCGAAGAAGGCUUUGGUGUAUUUAACACAAUACGUUGAAAUGAAGGAAAGCUUAUUUAUUGAUAUCCCCGAUAAGCUACAAAUAUGUACAUAUACAUGAGUCAAAAUAAAACACACAAGAGGGAGCCUUCACAAAGGUUGCUUAGGAGAAGUCUCAGCAGUCGGUAGAGCCCCAGAAAGAGAAGGCACCGGAGGGGGAUCAUUUGGAGCCUCAGUACUGGACAGAACCCUAGAAGGAGGAGGCAUCAGAGGUUGAUCAUUUGGAGCUUCAUUACGCGGUACAGCCCCAGAAGACGAAGGCAAUAAAUGCCUUUGGAACAAACCCACAAAUCUCUGAUGAUCAAGUAAAACCUGACCAUCAGUUUCCUUCAUCUGGUCAAGCUUCCUCUUCAUGUUUGUAGCAUAGUCAUGUGCGAGCCGGUGCAACUGUUUAUUCUCAUGCUUGAGCCCUCUAAUCUCCUGUUUGAGACUCAUCACUUCAGCCGCCAAUGAUUCAACUUGGCGGGUUCGAGCAAAUAGGCGUUGGGCCAUAUUAGACACAGAACCUGCACACUGAACACUGAGAGCCAGCGAAUCCUUAACAGCUAACUCAUCAGACCGUUUGGAAAGUAGUCUGUUAUCUUUGGGAGUGAGAAGGUUCCUGGCCACCACCGCAGCGGUCAUAUCAUUCUUCAUCACGGAAUCCCCAACGGUAAGAGGACCAGUAGGGGAGACGAAGGAUGGGCGCCAUAUGUUGUCUGGAGAAGGCGGGGCUGCCUCUUCAACAAGGUUCAAGUCAAAACGACGGUCGGAGGGGCCAGACAUUUUCAAAGGUGUUGAAGAGAGAAGAGGUCGGACAAAUCAAGAUCUUAGAAGUGCAAGAAUGAAGCUUCUACUGGUGGAGAUUCAAGUGUGCUUUGGAACUUAAUGCCAGCCCCUAUAAAAAUCUGCACUCGACGGAGCUUCAGAAAUCGAAGAGGCGCCUGCUCAGAAAUCGAAGAGGCGUUUGCUUUCUCAAAAGCUGGGCUGCUUAGAGAUCACGAGGGUUGAUCUCAGAAAUCGAAGAGGCGUUUGCUUUCUCAAAAGUUGGGCUGCUCAAAGACCACGAAGGCCGAUCUCAGAAAUCGAAGAGGCGCUCGCUUUCUCAAAAGCUGGGCUCCCCAGAGACCACGAGGGCCGAUCUCAGAAAUCGAAGAGGCACCUACUUUUCCAGCCUUGUCAGCACCUGUCACACGCACACUCAGCUUUGCGGAAAUUAUGGGCAUUCUGUCGAAGACUUCUGGGGAAGUAGAAAACACAUGAAUCUUACUGUUCAAUCACCCACUUCCCACACGCAACAAUAGCUCAUGGGUACCACAGAUAACUUUGCCAAAGUUCUCUGCCAAAGUUGAGCACGUGAAGCUUGCAGCUCCCACUACAUCGCUCUGACCAAGAAGGGUAAAAGAAUAGCAAAGAAACAGCACUAACAAAGUUUAGACCCAUAAAUUUUGAAGGUCUAGCUACCAUAUUAUUACCCACAAGGGUAAAGGAACAGUACCACUGCUGGAUAAUUGGAAAGUCCCUGUGUGUCAACCUCUGUGCUUCGUGGCAAGGUAGACUAGCAAACAUGCCCAACCUUUACUCACAUUCGAGAAAACACUCCCAAUAAGAUUGCUUGCUCCAAAAUCGAAGAGGCACCGUCCUCCGAAUCUCGAGAGCCAGACUCCCAACAUGACUAAAGGUCUACAUGCACAAGACUCCCAACUACUUUCUUAAAAAUCGAAGAGAGGGUAAAGGAACAGUACCAUUGCUGGAUAAUUGGAAAGUCCCUGUGUGUCAACCUCUGUGCUUCGUGGCAAGGUAGACUAGCAAACAUGCCCAACCUUUACUCACAUUCGAGAAAACACUCCCAACAAGAUUGCUUGCUCCAAAAUCGAAGAGGCACCGCCCUCCGAAUCUCGAGAGCCAGACUCCCAACAUGAUUACUUUCUCAAAAAUCGAAGAGACACUGCUCCCCGAAUCUUCGAGAGCCAGACCCCCAGCAUGAUUGCUUUCUCAAAAAUCGAUGAGGCAUCGUUCUCCGAAUCAAUCGAAGAGGCGCUCGCUUUCUCAAAAGCUGGGCUGCUCAGAGACCACGAGGGCCGAUCUCAGAAAUCGAAGAGGCACCUACUUUUCUAGCCUUGUCAGCACCUGUCACACGCACACUCAGCUUUGCAGAAAUUAUGGGCAUUCUGUCGAAGACUUCUGGUGAAGUAGAAAGCACAUGAAUCUUACUGUUCAAUCACCCACUUCCCACACGCAACAAUAGCUCAUGGGUACCACAGAUAACUUUGCCAAAGUUCUCUGCCAAAGUUGAGCACGUGAAGCUUGCAGCUCCCACUACAUCGCUCUGACCAAGAAAGGUAAAAGAAUAGCAAAGAAACAGCACUAACAAAGUUUAGACACAUAAAUUUUGAAGGUCUAGCUACCAUAUUAUUACCCACAAGGGUAAAGGAACAGUACCACUGCUGGAUAAUUGGAAAGUCCCUGUGUGUCAACCUCUGUGCUUCGUGGCAAGGUAGACUAGCAAACAUGCCCAACCUUUACUCACAUUCGAGAAAACACUCCCAACAAGAUUGCUUGCUCCAAAAUCGAAGAGGCACCGUCCUCCGAAUCUCGAGAGCCAGACUCCCAACAUGACUACUUUCUCAAAAUCGAAGAGAGGGUAAAGGAACAGUACCAUUGCUGGAUAAUUGGAAAGUCCCUGUGUGUGUCAACCUUUGUGCUUCGUGGCAAGGUAGACUAGCAAACAUGCCCAACCUUUACUCACAUUCGAGACAACACUCCCAACAAGAUUGCUUGCUCCAAAAUCGAAGAGGCACCGCCCUCCGAAUCUCGAGAGCCAGACUCCCAACAUGAUUACUUCCUCAAAAAUCGAAGAGACACUGCUCUCCGAAUCUCGAGAGCCAGACCCCCAGCAUGAUUGCUUUCUCAAAAAUCGAAGAGGCAUCGUUCUCCGAAUCUCGAGAGCCAGAUACCACAGACCACUUUUUCAAAGUGCUCUGACAGAGUUAAAACAUGUGAAACUGGCAGCUCCCACUACCGUGCUAUGACCAAGCAGGGUAAAGGAAUAGCAUUACUACUUGUUGUUAGGGAGACUCCUAUAUAUGUCGACCUCCAUCCCCAACGGACAGGCAGACCUGCAAAAAUGCUCAACCCUUCAUCAUAUCUGAGAGGGCACUCCCAACGAAGCCUUUCGAAAUAUUCAGCUUUCUUUCCCCCCGAUAAUACCUCUGCAAACAAGCUAUACUAGAGCAAGAAUAUCUCAUAUCAUCAGGGUUAAAAGCAAGAGUAUCCCAUAUCAUGCUUUUUCCCUGUCUUUUCCUUUGGCCUUGUUUUUACCUGCAAGACAAGGAGAAAGAGAGCAAUCAGUCAGCACUUGGAAUCAAGCUUCCAGCCAGGAACUGACUGCCUGGAACCCCUUACCUGAUUACUUACCUGGCAUUGCUCUCGAGUACUCAUCUUCAACAUCUUAUGUUUCCAGGGAAGAUUCCGCAUCUGCUUGAGGAACAGAUAGGGCAAGUGCGAAGGAUACAAGGAAGCAUGUGGAGACAAGCGUAACAGCACACGUGCCGAUACAUCCAUUACUCUGUCAAAAGCAAAAGUAUCCCAUAUCAGCAGGGUGGAACGUACUCUAGAUUUGAUGGACUUGUUUUGACCCUCAAAUUCUUCAGUCGGCCUUAUACUCUGGAGGAAACCAGAAAACCCUCCAGCUCAGUUCAAGAAUAAGCCUGUGGAAAGUUACUUCUUCAAAAGCAAAAGUAUCUCAUAUCAUCUCUUCUCAUUUUUCUUCUCUUUAUCCUUCAUGCUGCUGCAAGAUGGGGAGAAGGUGAACAAUCAGUCGGAGCUCUGAUUGCUUACCUUGUCUGUCACCUCUUUCAGCAGACCCCCUAGCUCGGCGACUUGGGGGACUCCUACUACAUGGUUUGUAUCGCGCUUGACCAAGCCUGAAACUACAAGUAAGCUUCAAGUGAAAUUGAUACAUUACCUUGUGCAUCUCCACCAGUUAAAGAUACCACCCCUGGAUGGAGGAAGAGUACUUCCAGAGAAGAUGCCACAUCUACCUAUGAGACAGAUAAGGCAAGUCAAGACGACACCACACUCCGAUACUUAGAAGUUUCGUGAUUACGAGAUCAUUCUCCCACAAUAUUUCCUAAUGUCAUUUGUACUAAAUCAUUCACUUGUACUCACUAAAGGAGAGCUUGAACCUAUGUACUUGUGUAAACCCUUCACAAUUAAUGAGAACUCUUCUAUUCCGUGGACGUAGCCAAUCUGGGUGAACCACGUACAUCUUGUGUUUGCUUUCCUAUCUCUAUCCAUUUUAUAUACUUAUCCACACUAAUGACCGGAGCAAUCUAGCGAAGAUCACAAAAAGCGACCGUUUUCGCUACCUAGGAUCUAUCUUGCAAGAGAACGGAGAAUUAGAUGGAGAUCUCAACCAUAGAAUACGAGCUGGAUGGAAUGAAGUGUAAGAAUGCAUCCGGCGUGUUGUGUGACCGUCGUAGGCCACUGAAGCUCAAGGGAAAAUUUUAUAGGACGGCAAUAAGGCCAGCGAUGUUGUAUGGCACAGAAUGUUGGGCGGUGAAGCAUCAACACGUACACAAAAUGGGUGUAGCGGAGAUGAGGAUGCUUCGUGGGAUGUGUGGGCACACGAGAAAGGAUAAGAUUGGGAAUGAGGAUAUCCGAGGUAAAGUAGGAGUAGCCGAAAUUGUAGGAAAGAUGAGAGAAAAUCGGCUCCGGUGAUUUGGACAUGUGCAAAGAAGGCCGAAUGACGCUCCGGUUCGAAGAUGUGACUACGGGACAGAGGUUCAGGGCCGAAGGGGUAGAGGAAGACCUAGGAAAACUUUGGAAGAGACUCUAAGAAAAGACUUAGAGUACUUGGAUCUAACGGAGGACAUGACACAAAACCGAGCGCAAUGGCGUUCUAGGAUUCAUAUAGCCGACCCCACUUAGUGGGAAAAGGCUUUGUUGUUGUUGUUGUUGAUAUUGUGGUACUUGCAGUUCUGACAAGGAGGAACCAGAUGCUGAAGGGGUGACAUCAAUGCUAGGUCUUCAGAGUUAUUGGGAUGCUGCAUAUGCAGAUGAGUUGGCAAAUUUUCGGGGAACAUGGUCAUAUCGGUGAUGUUUGGUAAGCUUUUCGCAACUGUGCAAAUUAACUUGUGAUGCAUUUCUUGUGGCUUUGGGGCACAGUAGAAACAGCUAAGUGGUAACAUCAAAGAAAUAUCCGGAAUCGAAGAAAACUCUUGAAGGUAGAGAGAGAAAUUAGAGGGAGAAAGUUUUUGUGUUGUUUGAGAAGAUGAAUCGUACAAAGUCUGAUAUGGAGGAAUUAUUAUGAGCUUGUAUAUAUUUAAGCUAACCGUUGCUAACUAGCUAACAACCACAAUUGCAAAACUGUUAAGAAUUAGCUAAACGUCAUCAUGUGAAGAUCACAUGGGUUAAUUUUUACUACGUACUAAUUACGUUUAAGCAUUUGUCGCUCCUUUUCAAAGAGCCUUAGGAAAAAGAUAUUCAUAUUAGUGUGGGGAGAUUGAAGAAAACCUUCCUUAACAAUCAUGAUAUCCUUUUCAUAUCAGCUAUAUAAAAUCAAAAGGAGUGAUGUUAUACUAUUACCGGCCCUGCAAGUCAAUUUUGUCAUGAUUUACCAGAGUUUUUCAACCUUUACUCCUUACUUUUAUAAAUCCAUAGUAGGGAGGGAUUCGUAUUUAAGUUCCCCUUUGUGUUAAAGUGAGUAGCUAUUGUAAGGCAUGGAGGGUUUGAUGGUUUCAACCCUCUGUUUCUGUAGGUUUGGAGCUGAUGUCAUGGAAGUGGUCGCCUCUUGGACCAAAAGCUUAUGCAUUGAUAUUUCUAAAGGUCGCACACCAAAUCAUGUUGAUAAUAAUAAGUCUGAUCCUGUGGAACAAGAUGAUAAGUAUCUUUCAGGCUGGAGUGUACUUGACAUGGGGACUGGCAAUGGAUUGCUUCUUCAAGAACUUUCCAAGCAGGGGUAUGCUUUUAGUCAUUGAACUUUGUCUGGUAUUAUAUGCUGAAUUAGAUUGAAUUCCUGUAUGGAAGCAAAUAAAAUGCAAACUAGGUGAAUCAUAUAUCAGAUUGGAAUGUCUAGGCUGGAGACUAUAAGGCUUUGACAGGUCUUGUUUUAAGGUUAACAAGUUGCCCAUACAUGCGAGUCUCAGUAUGUAUAUGCCAUAUGGUUAAAGUGAUAAAUGCAUUUAGAUUCUAUAGAAUGAUGUAGCAGCGAAGAAAGUUAACUAUCAAAGAUAAAUAGGUAACAAACUUGAUGGAAGUGUGCAAAUGUCCUUAAAUAUUUAUUUGUAGUUUAUAAUAAGUCAUAAGAUUUCAAUGUAGAAACUUGAAGAAGGAUCAGGAGGUGGACAGAAUGUUGACUUAACCAAUAUUUUUUUUUUACCUCAAUCAAAUCAUCCCUUUAUUUAUUUAGAACAAUUUAGGUUAGGGUUCAAUUAGGGAAUUGUUAUUGGCACUCCAGACUUUCUAUAAUUGGAAAGAAAAAUACACUUGUGAGGAGCGUAGAAUGAGAUUUUUGGAGUGCUAAUCAAUUAAUAAAUUAAUUAUGAACUUGAUUUAUAUAUCAUUAUUAUUCUUAUUUUUGAAUUAUGGUUGUGCUAGUUAUUUUAUUAUCAUGAGAUUGGAUAUAUUACAUAGGCCUUAAUGUAAUUGUUAUAGUCUUUUUUUAUUUUUUAUUUUUUAUUUUUAAUCAAAAUACUGCCCUUGGAUGAAUGAAGUGAAAGAGUGCAUCCGGUAUGCUGUGUGACCGUCGUAUGCCACUGAAGUUUAAGGGAAAAUUUUAUAGGACGACAAUAAGGCUAUCAAUGCUUUAUGGCACAUAAUGUUGGGCGGUGAAGCAUCAACACGUACAUAAAAUGGGUGUAGCGGAGAUGAGAAUGCUUCGUUGAAUGUGUGGGCACAUGAGAAAGGAUAAGAUUAGGAAUGAGGAUAUCCGAGGUAAAGUAAGAGUAGCCGAAAUUGAAGGAAAGAUGAGAGAAAAUCAGCGACGGUGGUUUGGACAUGUGAAACAAAGGCCUACUGAUGCUCCGGUUAGAAGAUGCGCUUAUGGGACAGAGGUUCAAGGCCAAAGGGGUAGAGGAAGACCUAAAAAGACUUUGGAAGAGACUCUAAAAAAAGACAAGUACUUGGACCUAACAGAAGACGUGAGACAUAAUCGAGCGCAAUGGCCUUCUAAAAGGCUUUGUUGUUGAUGUUGUAUCAUAAUACUGCCCUUGAGAAUCCAAUCAACACAACAAGUCUGCUAUCAGUUUUUCACCAACCUACUUACUCUCAAGUACCAUCAAUGUCACCACUGCACAUACGACACCUUUGCCGCUGUUAAAUCAGGCUUCCUUUACUCAUGGUUGGGUAUGUUGAUGAAGCUAUUUUGAUGUGCUUCAUCCUCCAAGAAUCAAUUCCGUCCUAAAGGGGGCAUGAUAUUUUGAGAAUGUGCAUUUGGCCUUUUUAUUUGUGUUCAGUACAUUUGUUAAUAAGUUACAUACUGGCUAAAGUCAAUUAAAAAAACCUUCCAAUAUUUAAUCUAAAAAUAUCAUAACCCUUCUUUCUAGGAUGUUGGGCCCCAAUUCACCCCCCCCCCCCCCCCAAAAAAAAAAAAAAAAAAUUUCAAUGCUGAAUGUCCUUUUUUGCCUCCCUUGUUGGAGGGUUGGUGAGAAGGACUGAGAUGGGAGCCAGAGAGUUGUAAAUAAAAUUGAGUUCCAAGAUUUCAUGAAAGCUAUUUGGUGACUGAAUUUCCAUUGUUUCUCUAAAUGUCAGAGACACCAUAAUGAAUGAAAUUCUGGUGUUUUGGGUUUAGGUUCUCUGAUUUAACAGGAACUGAUUAUAGUGAAGGGGCGAUUGACCUUGCUCGAAGCCGUGCUGAUCGUGAAGGAUUGCCAAACAUUAAAUUUUUGGUAGGCUUCGGAAAAAAAUUAUUAGAUUACAACCUGGUGUCUUCUAUAAUUCUUAUGCCUGCAUAUUUCCAGUGAACGAAGUUGUAUGAAGCGAGUUUCUCUUCUUUAGUGUUAAAUUGUUAAUGUCUUCUGAACCGUUGCUUGUAGUUAAGCUAUUAUUUUGAUACUUCCUUUCUACAAUAUUGUAAAAUGAAUUGUGUCACUAUUUUUUAGGUUGAUGAUAUUCUAGAGACCAAGUUGGAAAGGCAGUUCCAACUAGUUGUGGACAAAGGAACCUUGGAUGCCAUUGGAUUGCAUCCAGAUGGUUCUAUCAAAAGGUAAAAGCCAGCAUAGUAUGCUAUGCUGCAUGUAUUCUGUUACGAUUAUUAGUCAUCUAUUUUCUGAUUGAUAAUUCCUUUGUUUCUGUAUGAAUGAUUUGUCUAGUAACUUUAGUCUAUCUAAUUGCUCGGGGUUAUUAAAUAGAAGGAAACUGGAGUUUGGAAUUGCUAAUUCAUAUUUUUUUAUACAGGCUAAUUUAUUGGGAUUCAGUUUCACGGUUGGUGGCUUCUGGUGGAUUAGUAGUAAGCAUCUUCACUUUGGCUAAUACUUGUUACUUAAAACUGCAGUUACCUUCAUUUAGGGUGUGGUUUCAGGUGCUAAAAGGAAGAGUAGAGAUAAUAUAUUUCGUUAUGAACCCUAGCACUUCUUGCCUGUUCACUUUGAAAGUGCUUGGUUUUGUUUUCGGCCACUAUGAAUAGCACUGCUCCUACCAGAAUCAUGCACUCUUUCUUUUCUCUUUAAAUUUCUCUUUGAAAAGUUUUUGUUUCUUUCGACACUACCUGAUGUUUCAAUUGCUGUUGGGGAACACCAUUGCAGGUGAUCACAUCAUGUAACAACACAAAGGAUGAAUUGGUGCAAGAAGUGGAAAGUUUCAAUCAAAGAAGUGCGACGCAGGAACAUGAAACACUACCUAAUCUUGGUCAUGUCCGCACAUAUCCAACAUUCAUGUUUCGUGGAUCCGUAGGGUCACGUGUUGCCACUGUGGCUUUUCUCCGGAACUAGAACACUAAUCGUUGCAAGUUAUAGUUAUGUGGCUGUAUACAGCCAAUGAAUUUAUGUUUCCGCAUCCAGAAGGUGCCUGUCUAACUUUGCAAGUUCUUUUGUUUGUUUGAACACCGUGAAACACUGAUUGAUUUUAAGAUGUUUCUUCUGUCGGGUUUUCUGCGAGUUACGCAAAAUUUAUACAGAAAAUGUACUUUUCGUUGUUACUUUCUGUAAUGUGUUUUGGUCUAAUAGUUACAAACUAGGUUCUCGUUUCCUCUGUUCUUUGCAAUUCAAGUACCCUGUAAGCAGGGGCGCGGUUGAUGAAGGGCCUUUGUGGGGGGGGGGGGGGGGGGGUGCGGGGGGACAUGCCCCCUCUCAGUUUUCUUUUGGGUUAAAAAGAAUAGGAGGCAGAUUGUCUGCCCUCCUUUUUGGAUGCCCUUGUCAUCCCCUCUUAUUUUGUGCGGUCACGGUUAAGUCACGUUAAUAUUUUUAUAGAGAUAAUAAGACAAAAAACAAUAAGAAUAUAAAACCGUGACCGCACAAAUAGGAGGGGAUGAGAAAGGGACCCAAACAGGAGGGCAAACAAUCUGCCUCCAAAGAAAUAUAUAGUUUUUGGUAAUUUGACAAACCUACCUCAAAUGUAUUUUCCUCAAUCCUUCGUGAAACAACACAAACGCUAAAUCACAUUGACCUCUCAUACGCCUCGUUCAAUCCAACAAGUAGGAAUAAUUAAGGGCAUGUCGAAUGCUACAAGGGAUGCGAAAAUUACUUUCCAGACAGGUCAGCAUAUUUCGAAAAAGUUUAAAGUUGAUAAUUUUUCUUAAAUAGUAAAGGGCUCAUUAAUUCUUCCUCUUCCUAAUCAUCUUAUAAAUUUGAGUCACACUGUUGUACAUAUGAUUUAACCUUGUAUUAUUCAUUAUAAUAAUAUUGAUCUAAAGACACAAUUAAAAGAACGCUAGAUGAUGAAGAUGUACACUAAACAGACAAUGGUAUGGGUAGACCAAGUAUUAGACGAAAUGUCUCACUUAAAAAGCUAGAAAAAGAUUUUUGACGAUGUACGCGCCGUUGUUGGAAUGCAACGAGAAUAUAGUCUUGCAUCCAUCACUACUUAAUUGUGUCGCUGUUGAACUAACUUAUGUUCCCCUAAUGUUAUUAGGAUUUUUCUAUUGCACUCAAUUUGUUUUACUUGUAACAAUUUAGUGUUAAUCAUGAUUAAAACAGAAUGAUGGUGUUAAUCAUGAUUAAAACAGAAUGAUGGUGAGAAGUCGCUCAGCGACUUUAAACACCAAAAUCAUGGUAAACAAAUCAGAAGUUGCUCUGCACACAUCGCUUCACCCUUUGCACACUUUUGGUUAUUUUAUCUAUUGAUUUUCCUUUUAAUUUUUUAAUUCAAAAUUUUAGUUGUGUCUUUAUUUAUAAUUUUUUUUUAUCAAUGGGUCGAAAAUAAAAAAUAAAAACAUUUCCAUGUUCUGGAAUGCUUAUUCCACCUCCAUUUCAACAAUUCCAUCACUAUGCACACACGAGUAGUGUUUGCAAAAAUGCUAGGAAUAUGAUUAUUUCUGUUCUUAUUUGGAUAAGCAAAUUAGCUAGUCGAAUGUAUAAAUGUUGAAGUGCAUAUUGAAUGGAGGUUAGAUUUCAGCCUUACAUGUUUUUUCUUAAAAGUUUUUUCCAGAGCUUUUAGCCUUACAUAAUGGAUUCUGUACCACUAAUAGAUGGAAAAGGAUCAUAACUGGAUCCUUUUCUUGGGGAUUUGAAGGAUCCCGUGAUCGUGGCCGUUUAUCGUACAUCAUGCGAUCAGUUUUCAUUAAGUAUUAUUUAUAUUUAAUUUUAAAAUUUGAAUUUUAAAUGAUUUCUGAUCGCAUAAUUUACGAUGAACGGACACGAUCACGGGAUCCCUCGGAUCCCCAAGAAAAGGAUUCCCUAAUAGAUUGUUUGCAAUUACUUUUUUAAACAAAACAAGUGUUUUUUAAUUCUAAAAGUGUUUUUUUAAUUCUAAAAACAUUUGAAGUGCAUUUUGAAAGAAAUAUCAAUUAUGUGUUUCUUGAACGAAGUACUUCAAAUGUUUUUCUUAGAAUUCAGUUGCAUUUUUAUCAAAAAUAUUUAGAUUGCAGAAAAUGAAUCCGAAGAGCAUCUUAAAAAAUGAUGUCAAAUUUAAAUUUGAAAACUUAUGUGGCACUUUGAUCCUUUUUUAAGUUUUGUACUUCACUCAUGUCAAAUUUAAACUAUUAUUUACUUUUCAUAAUUGUAAUAAAUAUUUUUAGAACAAAAUACAAUAAUCUCGAUAAAAAAAAAUCAAUAAUAAAAAUGAUAAGAAAAUAUUUAUUAAUCAAUUAAAAAUGUAUUCAAAAUUAUUUUUUAUGCCAAUCCACAUUAUAGUACAUAAGAAUUGACGCUUCGGUUGAAAAACACUAAUAUCAUUUUUUAUUACUAUUAUUGUAGACGUUGACCUGUUAACAUCUCUUGAAAAUGAUUUAAAUAACUUCAGUAUCACCUCAAACGUUACAAUAUUUUAUUUGUUCAUAACUUCUCUGCUUAAAUUAUACCUGAGUUAACAUCAGUUUAAAUUAUUACAGUUUUACCAGUCAUUCAAGUAACCCAACAAAUAUAAUGUACUAAACUAAACUGGUGAAUCAAACCACCAUAAAAGCACUUUCCGUAAAAUUUCAUUUUACCCUACUUACGGCGGGCGCCCAUCUUAUAAAAUUCAGGAGGUGCCCAAACUAAGUUUCCAGUUGCUAUAAAAGCUCACAUAGUCUAUCUGACUUGUCUUCUUUACCCCUCUCCCUCUCCUCUCCUCUCCUCUCUCAACAACUCCUAUUCUACUGUUGAAUGAAGACUGACUAUAAAUUCAGUCAUUGUCUGGCUGACCAAGCUCCGACGACUCUCAGUCGUCUCACCGCCGGAUCGGAGAGAGCUGAGCUGCCGCCGUUGCCUCCACUCAUAAACAUUUUGCUAUUUCUGUAAGCCUUUUCAUUUUUCAGAAAAUCGAAUAUUCUCUCUGUAAUUAGCAUGUUAGGUGGGAGACUUGGUCUCUGAAAAUUUUCCGGUUGUGUUUCUUGCCGGAAUUUGAAUGCCCAUACGGUAAUUCGUAGCGAUUUUCAGGUAUAUAUAGGAUACUGAUUGAUUAUGCAUUCAUGGUUUGUGGGAGAGAGUAUUUGGGCGUUUUGGCACCGGGUGUUUCCGGCAGUGCGGAUAAGAAACAGGAAAACCGGACGUUUUCGGUUUUCAGCUGAAGUUAUCUGAUUAGAAGGAGACCAGGAGAGUGUUAAUAGAAAGAUUAAUGUAAGAGACAAGUCAAAAGAGACUUCGAUUUUUUGUGAAUUGUAGGGGUUCAAUCAAAGAUGAAAUUUGGAGGGGGAUUUUUUUAUUCCCCGGGAUGACGAUUUAUGGGUCAUGGAUUCUUGGGUUCCAGUGACUCCAGCGAAGCCUCAUCCGGUCCCAGUCAACCUUUAUGGGAACCUCCAUCAAGGAGGAAAUUGGCAACAACAAUUGACUGGAAUUACGAGGGAGCAUGUACCGGUGGGGGCUAGUUACAAUGGCAUGGCUCAAGCUGUUAGCCCGAAUGGUCAGCUACAUAGAUGUGGUUAUGAUGGUAGUCUGGGGGAGAACAUUCAAAUGAUCAAUCACAUUUCGGACUCCUACAAUGCAGGAUCCUUCACACAGUUGCUCUCUGAUGAAGGCUCAAGUUGGAAAGAUAAUCCAUUGACACAACAGCUGUUACAUGAUAAUGCUGCUUAUAUUGCCACUGCAAACAGGCCCCCGAGCAGAAGUGUGGGCAUAGCAGCAAACACACCUCUAAUUCCUAAGUUGCAUCCUCAAUUGAGAAACCAAGGCAUUGACUCGGAUGGUUUCUUGCUAACCAACCAAAAUUUCAACAAUGGUUCAUAUCCUUCAGGUGGCAUGGACAUAGCAGCGAACACACAUCUAUAUCCCAAGUUGCAUCCUCAAUUGAGAAACCAAGGAAUCGAUUCGGGUAGUUUCUUGCUAACCAAUCUAAAUUGCAACAAUUUUUCAUAUCCUUCAAGUAAGGUGAUGAGCACAUCGUUGGUUAUGGAUUUUCCUUCUCAAGUUGACAACAGUCCGAGAGAUUCCAACUCAGUUCAUUGGUUAUUUGGCGACCAAAAUUACUGCUCAAGUUCCAAUUCAAACCCAUUGAGUUAUGGUGACAGCUCGUCCCAGAUGUGCCAGAGUAAGUAUUUUUAUUCAGUUCUCAUAUCUGUGCCAUACACUGCAAACAAAGAUUUCCUUGAAAUGUGCCACAAAUCUAUUUCAAGUCACAACAGUCAAAAGUCUUACGUGACAAAUAACUGAUUCAAACAUUUGGAAUAUUGUCAUAGAUGAGAUCACUUCCAAGCUGAACAUUCAUGUCUUGAAAUUUCAACUUAAUUGCAAGUACUUUUUACAUUUAACCGAUGAUCUAUAUGCACUAUAACUUGUUUGUACCUUGCCUUUAUUUUUCACUCAACCAACUUCAUUUUGACACCCAAACACUAACUAAAAGUAAAGACUUGAAGUUGUUGGAUGAUGUUAACCAAAAACAAAAGAAAAGCAGGGGAAAGAGGGGCAAAACAAAGCAAGAACGUAACACUAUUUGAAUGCCAUUAGAUAAUAGUGAUUCUUGGGAUUAACCUCUAUAAAGUUUACCUACUUUAACUUAGAUGUGGUGGUUGGCUCUCAAAAUCCAGUGGCUUGUUGCACUUGAAAGCGUAAAACAUUUACCUUUGCACCAUACAGCGGCUUAAGGCAAUAGACCAAUAAAUGUAAGCGAUCCAUAAAAUAUUUCAAUUUCAAUUGGAAAAUCACAAAUUGAUGGAGAUUAAACAUUUAUAACUUAAGUGUGUUAUACUGCAUCUAAAUGGUCUUGAAAUCAUUAUGAAUUUCACUCCGAGGGACAAUUUCUUAAUGACCAUAUAAUUCCAAAAAUCCCUUCACCGUUAAAAUUAUUUGACAGAAAAACUGCUUUCUGCACAGAUGAUUUCCCUGUACCAUUCAUGUCAAGCUGUGAUCUAAACUCCUUACCAACAAUAGAAGCUGAUGCUGCCUCAUGUGUUGCUAGCCAACACCAAUUCACAACAGACCAGGAGAAGAAUUUGGAGAAUGACCAGCCUUCUGCAUUACUGAAAUUCUUGAUGAAGGAAGGUUCUAGCAAGGAAAAAGACGAGCAGGUGAAACUAACCAUGUCUAUAGGAGAUGAAGCAACAACAACAACAACAACAAAGCCUUUUCCCACUAAGUGGGGUCGGCUAUAUGAAUCCUAGAACAUCAUUGAGCUCGGUUUUGUGUCAUGUUCUCCGUUAGAUCCAAGUACUCUAAGUCUUUUCUUAGGGUCUCUUCCAAAGUUUUCCUAGGUCUUCCUCUACCCCUUCGGCCCUGAACCUCUGUUCCGUAGUCACAUCUUCGAACCGGAGCGUUAGUAGGCCUUCUUUGCACAUGUCCAAACCACCGUAACCGAUUUUCUCUCAUCUUUCCUUCAACUUCGGCUACUCCUACUUUACCUCGGAUAUCCUCAUUCACAAUCUUAUCCUUUCUCGUGUGCCCACACAUCCCACGAAGCUUCCUUAUCUCCGCUACACCCAUUUUGUGUACGUGUUGAUGCUUCACCGCCCAACAUUCUGUGCCAUACAACAUCGCUGGCCUUAUUGCCGUCCUAUAAAAUUUUCCCUUGAGCUUCAGUGGACCUACGACGGUCACACAACACGCCGGAUGCACUCUUACACUUCAUCCAUCCAGCUUGUAUUCUAUGGUUGAGAUCUCCAUCUAAUUCUCCGUUCUCUUGCAAGAUAGAUCCUAGGUAGCGAAAACGGUCACGUUUUUUGUGAUCUUCGCUAGAUUGCUCCGGUCAUUAGUGUGGAUAAGUAUAUAAAUGGAUAGAGAUAGGAAAGCAAACACCAAGAUGUACGUGGUUCACCCAGAUUGGCUACGUCCACGGAAAUAGAGGAGUUCUCAUUAAUUGUGAAGGGUUUACACAAGUACAUAGGUUCAAGCUCUCCUUUAGUGAGUACAAGUGAAUGAUUUAGUACAAAUGACAUUAGGAAAUAUUGUGGGAGAAUGAUCUCGUAAUCACGAAACUUCUAAGUAUCCGGAGUGUGGUAUCGUCUUGACUUGCCUUAUCUGUCUCAUAGGUAGAUGUGGCAUCUUCUCUGGAAGUACUCUUCCUCCAUCCAGGGGUGGUAUCUUUAACUGGUGGAGAUGCACAAGGUAAUGUAUCAAUUUCACUUGAAGCUUACUUGUAGUUUCAGGCUUGGUCAAGCGCGAUACAAACCAUGUAGUAGGAGUCCCCCAAGUCGCCGAGCUAGGGGAUCUGCUGAAAGAGGUGACAGACAAGGUAAGCAAUCAGAGCUCCAAGCAAUCAGUCCCAGAUCAGAACUUUGAUUUCGAGUUCCGGCUGAUUGUUCACAUUCUCCCUAUCUUGCAGGCAGCAUGAAGGAUAAAGAGAAGAAAAAUGAGAAGAGAUGAUAUGGGAUACUUUUGCUUUUGAAGAAGUAACUUUCCACAGGCUUAUUCUUGAACUGGGCUGGAGGGUUUUCUGGUUUCCUCCAGAGUAUAAGGCCGACUGAAGAAUUUGAGGGUCAAAACAAGUCCAUCAAAUCUAGAGUACGUUCGACCCUGCUGAUAUGGGAUACUUUUGCUUUUGACAGAGUAGUGGAUGUAUCGGCACGUGUGCUGUUACGCUUGUCUCCACAUGCUUCCUUGUAUCCUUCUCACUUGCCCUAUCUGUUCCUCAGGCAGAUGCGGUAUCUUCCCUGGAAGCAUAAGAUGUUGAAGAUGAGUACUCGAGAGCAAUGCCAGGUAAGUAAUCAAGUAAGGGGUUCCAGGCAGUCAGUUCCUGGACUGGAAGCUUGAUUCCAAGUGCUGACUGAUUGCUCUCUUUCUCCUUGUCUUGCAGGUAAGAACAAGGCCAAAGGAAAAGACAGGGAAAAAGCAUGAUAUGGGAUACUCUUGCUUUUAACCCUGAUGAUAUGAGAUAUUCUUGCUCUAGUAUAGCUUGUUUGCAGAGGUAUUAUCGGGGGGAAAGAAAGCUGAAUAUUUCGAAAGGCUUCGUUGGGAGUGCCCUCUCAGAUAUGAGGAAGGGUUGAGCAUUUUUGCAGGUCUGCCUGUCCGUUGGGGAUGGAGGUCGACAUAUAUAUAGGAGUCUCCCUAACAACAAGUAGUAAUGCUAUUCCUUUACCCUGCUUGGUCAUAGCACGGUAGUGGGAGCUGCCAGCUUCACAUGUUUUAACUCUGUCAGAGCACUUUGAAAAAGUGGUCUGUGGUAUCUGGAAAGCUGAUGUUGCGUGUAAAGAUUACAGACAAGCUUUAUCCAAGGAGAUCCGGCUCUUGAAGUUGGGAAAGUGGUGCCUCUUCGGUUUUCGAACAAGCAAUCCUGUCGGAGAUCUGGCUCUCGAGAUUCGGAAGAACGAUGCCUUUUCGAUUUUUGAGAAAGCAAUCCUGUUAGGGGUCUGGCUCUCGAGAUUCGAAGAGCGGUGUCUUUUCGAUUUUUGAGAAAGUAAUCAUGUUGGGAGUCUGGCUCUCGAGAUUCGGAGGGCGGUGCCUCUUCGAUUUUGGAGCAAGCAAUCUUGUUGGGAGUGUUUUUUUCUCGAAUGUGAGAAAAGGUUGGGCAUGUUUGCUAGUCUACCUUGCCACGAAGCACAGAGGUUGACACACACAGGGACUUUCCAAUUAUCCAGCAGUGAUACUGUUCCUUUACCCUUGUGGGUAAUAAUAUGGUAGCUAGACCUUCAAAAUUUAUGUGUCUAAACUUUGUUAGUGCUGUUUCUUUGCUAUUCUUUUACCCUUCUUGGUCAGAGCGAUGUAGUGGGAGCUGCAAGCUUCACGUGUCUCAACUUUGUCAGAGAACUUUGGCAAAGUUAUCUGUGGUACCCAUGAGCUAAUGUUGCGUGUGGGAAGUGGGUGAUUGAACAGUAAGAUUCAUGUGCUUUCUACUUCACCAGAAAUCUUCGACAGAAUGCCCAUAAUUUCCGCAAAGCUGACAGGUGCUGACAAGGCUGGAAAAGUAGGUGCCUCUUCGAUUUCUGAGAUCGGCCCUCGUGGUCUCUGAGCAGCCCAGCUUUUGAGAAAGCAAGCGCCUCUUCGAUUUCUGAGAUCGGCCUUCGUGGUCUUUGAGCAGCCCAACUUUUGAGAAAGCAAACGUCUCGUGGUCUCUGAGCAGCCCAGCUUUUGAGAAAGCAAACGCCUCUUCGAUUUCUGAAGCUCCGUCGAGUGCAGAUUUUUAUAGAGGCUGGCAUUAAGUUCCAAAGCACACUUGAAUCUCCACCAGUAGAAGCUCCAUUCUUGCACUUCUAAGAUCUUGAUUUGUCCGACCUCUUCUCUCUUCAACACCUUUGAAAAUGUCUGGCCCCUCCGACCGUCGUUUUGACUUGAACCUUGUUGAAGAGGCAGCCACGCCUUCUCCAGACAACAUAUGGCGCCCAUCCUUCGUCUCCCCUACUGGUCCUCUUACCGUUGGGGAUUCCGUGAUGAAGAAUGAUAUGACCGCUGCGGUAGUGGCCAGGAACCUUCUCACUCCCAAAGAUAACAGACUACUUUCCAAACGGUCUGAUGAGUUGGCUGUUAAGGAUUCUCUGGCUCUCAGUGUUCAGUGUGCAGGUUCUGUGUCUAAUAUGGCCCAACGCCUAUUUGCUCGAACCCGCCAAGUUGAAUCAUUGGCGGCUGAAGUGAUGAGUCUCAAACAGGAGAUUAGAGGGCUCAAGCAUGAGAAUAAACAGUUGCACCGGCUCGCACAUGACUAUGCUACAAACAUGAAGAGGAAGCUUGACCAGAUGAAGGAAUCUGAUGGUCAGGUUUUACUUGAUCAUCAGAGAUUUGUGGGUUUGUUCCAAAGGCAUUUAUUGCCUUCGUCUUCUGGGGCUGUACCGCGUAAUGAAGCUCCAAAUGAUCAACCUCUGAUGCCUCCUCCUUCUAGGGUUCUGUCCAGUACUGAGGCUCCGAAUGAUCCCCUCCGGUGCCUUCUCUUUCUGGGGCUCUACCGACUGCUGAGACUUCUCCUAAGCAACCUUUGUGAAGGCUCCCUCUUGUUUGUUUAUUUUGACUCAUGUAUAUGUACAUAUUUGUAACUUAUCGGGGAUAUCAAUAAAUAAGCUUUCCUUCAUUUCAACGUAUUGUGUUAAAUACACCAAAGCCUUCUUCGCUAAGUUCUUUGAAUUUUCUUUUGUUGAAGCUUGUAUGUUGAAGCUUUGUGAGUGGAGCAUGUAGGUUGAGGUAGUGUUCCCUUAAUUUUCCGAGUGAGGAAAACUUCUCGGUUGGAGACUUGGAAAAUCCAAGUCACUGAGUGGGAUCGGCUAUAUGAAUCUUAGAACGCCAUUGUGCUCGAUCCUGUGUCAUGUCCUCCGUUAGAUCCAAGUACUCUAAGUCUUUUCUUAGUCUCUUCCAAAGUUUUCCUAGGUCUUCCUCUACCCCUUCGGCCCUGAACCUCUGUCCCAUAGUCGCAUCUUCUAAUCGGAGCGUCAGUAGGCCUUCUUUGCACAUGUCCAAACCACCGUAACCGAUUUUCUCUCAUCUUUCCUUCAAUUUCGGCUACUCCUACUUUACCCCGAAUAUCCUCAUUCCUAAUCUUAUCCUUUCUCGUGUGCCCACACAUCCAACGAAGCAUCCUCAUCUCCACUACACCCAUUUUGUGUACGUGUUGAUGCUUCACCGCCCAACAUUCUGUGCUAUACAGCAUCGCCGGCCUUAUUGCCGUCCUAUAAAAUUUUCCCUUGAGCUUCAGUGGCAUACGGCGGUCACACAACACGCCGGAUGCACUCUUCCACUUCAUCCAUCCAGCUUGUAUUCUAUGGUUGAGAUCUCCAUCUAAUUCUCCGUUCUUUUGCAAGAUAGAUCCUAGGUAACGAAAACGGAUCGCUCUUUGGUAUUUCUUGAUCUCCGAUCCUCACCCCUAACUCGUUUUGGCCUCCAUUUGCACUGAACUUGCACUCCAUAUAUUCUGUCUUUGAUCGGCUUAGGCGAAGACCUUUAGAUUCCAACACUUCUCUCCAAAGGUUAAGCUUUGCAUUUACCCCUUCCUGAGUUUCAUCUAUCAACACUAUAUCGUCUGCGAAAAGCAUACACCAAGGAAUAUCAUCUUGAAUAUGUCCUGUUAACUCAUCCAUUACCAACGCAAAAAGGUAAGGACUUAAGGAUGAGCCUUGAUGUAAUCCUACAGUUAUGGGAAAGCUUUCGGUUUGUCCUUCAUGAGUUCUUACGGCAGUCUUUGCUCCUUCAUACAUAUCCUUUAUAGCUUGGAUAUAUGCUACUCGUACUCCUUUCUUCUCUAAAAUCCUCCAAAGAAUGUCUCUUGGGACCCUAUCAUACGCUUUUUCCAAAUCUAUAAAGACCAUGUGUAAAUCCUUUUUCCCAUCUCUAUAUCUUCCAUCAAUCUUCGUAAGAGAUAGAUUGCCUCCAUGGUUGAGCGCCCUGGCAUGAACCCGAAUUGGUUGUCCGAAACCCGUGUCUCUUGCCUCAAUCUAUGCUCAAUGACUCUCUCCCAGAGCUUCAUUGUAUGACUCAUUAGCUUAAUACCCCUAUAGUUCAUGCAAUUUUGUACGUCGCCCUUAUUCUUGUAGAUAGGCACCAAAGUGCUCGUUCGCCACUCAUUUGGCAUCUUCUUCGUUUUCAAAAUCUUAUUGAAAAGGUCAGUGAGCCAUGUUAUACCUGUCUCUCCCAAAACUUUCCACACUUCGAUUGGUAUAUCGUCUGGGCCUACUGCUUUUCUAUGCUUCAUCUUCUUCAAAGCUACAACCACUUCUUCCUUCCGGAUUCGACGAUAAAAAGAGUAGUUUCUACACUCUUCUGAGUUACUCAACUCCCCUAAAGAAACACUCCUUUCAUGUCCUUCAUUGAAAAGAUUAUGAAAAUAACCUCUCCAUCUAUCUUUAACCGCGUUCUCUGUAGCAAGAACCUUUCCAUCCUCAUCCUUGAUGCACCUCACUUGGUUUAGGUCCCUUGUCUUCUUUUCCCUUGCUCUAGCUAGUUUAUAGAUAUCCAACUCUCCUUCUUUGGUAUCUAGUUUAUAGAUAUCCAACUCUCCUUCUUUUCCCUUGCUAUAGGAGAUGAAGCAAUUCAAAAAAAUGGUGACGAACUCUUGGAGAACAUUGUGGAGUCAUCAUCAGCAGCCAUUUCUAUACCCUACAAGGGAAACAAAGAUUCUGACAGGGAAGGUGACAGAGUGACUGAUCUAAACAAGACACCGCAGCAGAAACCAUCGAAGCGAAGAAAACACAGGCCCAAGGUAAUCAGAGAAGGCAAACCCAAAGGGAAACCAAAGCCUACAACUCCAAGCAAUACAGAGUCUAGGGAGAACCAACCAGCAAAGAGGAAGUACGUAAGAAAGAAUGUUCAAAAGGAAUCCCCAAGUCCACUGGCAAAUCGUAUAAGGGAGACAAUAGACCCUAAAACUGGAAAAGGUGCAAAAUCAUGCAGAAGAGCUCUAAAUUUUGAUUCGGAAAAUACCAUGGAUGAAAACCAAUGCAAAGCAGUUGGUCAACAAGAGGAGAUGCAGCAAGGGAUCAAGAUGAAUUUUGAUUCUCAAGGGACACCUAUGGUCCCUGUAACUAACCAGGGAUUUAAAGCCAGGCCAGCAAAGCAAAGUGUCCUACAGAACGAAUUGAUGGUACAGAACCAGAUUCCAGGAACUAUGAGUAACUUUACCUCUUCCAUGAAUCUUAUGCCAAAUAACUUUGUAUUCCUCCCAGAAAGGCGACCAUUGGCAUUCCUACUUACUACAACAAAAGACAUGCAUCCGAAAAAUUUGCAUGUUAUGGGGAGACAUGUAGAAUAUGGGAAUUAUGAUUUAUGCCAGAGAAGAUGCAGAGAUGGAUACACUCCCUUGCAGCAACAUAGCCAUAAUGAAGGAAUGUGUCAAGAUAUCAUUCAAGCAAAAACUAGCAGUGAGAGCCUUCAGAUAAAAGAAAAUAAUACAAUAGACCCUAAUACUGGAAAGGGUGACUCUCACUCGGUACUAAAUAUCUUCUCCCUCUCCCUUCCAAGUGAAGUAAAGGGAUCCAAGAGGGAGUAUUGUCGAACCGUUGAGCAUACACAUCUUUCUACCAAUCUUCCACCUAGUUCAUUGUCUUGCCAAGAGAUACAUCAAAUGGAUGGCCAUCAGAGAGUGCUAAGCCAGGAUUUUUCACAUAAGAAACAGAAAUUCGAGAAUGGGUACUUGGGCAUCUAUAAUAUGCCUUGUGAAGUUACACCAAUUGAGGAGCGUCUGGGGAAAUUUGAAAGAACAGGGCAAAAUAAAGUCAACUCAAAUGGAUUUGCAUCAAAGAAACAUACAAUAUUGAGUUCUUCCAUUGAAAGCAACAAAAGGAUGGACAGACAGAACAAAGGGAUGGGCAAGUUUACAAGUGACAGAUACACUUACUUAAUCACUUCUGGGAAUAAUUUUCUAAAUCCCCAGAUUUCAUCCAAUUCACAUUCGUGCCAUGAUUUCACUCAAGGUCUUUGUUUUUCCACCCAUUCCACGAUUGAAACCUGUAACCAGCUAGCCUCAUCAUAUCCCAAAAAAUCCUUUCAACCAGGAAACAAGCAGGUAUCUCAAACUCGCCAUGAUAACAUGUUAAAAAUGAAGCAGACUGUGGGACCCACAAAGGCGGGUAUAGAUAAUGUCCUGCAAGAGAAGGAUGCCUCAUACAAUUAUCAGCAGCCUUCUUCAAAAGCAAUCGGUACUUCUAACUUAAAAAACCUCUUAAAAAAUGUAUCAUCACAAUGGUUAUUUUCAACUCACAAAUAAUGACAUACUCUUCAUUUUGAUGCAGGGUUUCAAGUAAGAGGACAUACCAUAUCAAUAGAUAACAUCAUACAUGAGUUUAAUAAUCUGAACCUCAAUGGAAGAUGCAGCAAAAUGUUAGAGCAUAAGCAAAAUGCCCUUGUUCCAUACAAAGGAAACAGUGCAGUUGUUCCCUAUGAAAGAUUUAUCAAGAAACAUAAGCCACGGCCUAAAGUAGAGCUUGACCCAGAAACAAAUAGGAUAUGGAAUCUUUUGAUGGGCAAGGAAGGAAGCGGAGGCAUUGAAGGAAAUGAUAAGAAAAAGGAAAAGUAUUGGGAAGAGGAAAGAAAGGUUGUCCAAUGCCGAGUUGAAUCAUUCAUUGCACGCAUGCAUCUUGUUCAAGGUACAAUAUCUUAUAUUUUAUUCCUAAAUUGUAUUGUCAUGAACUACCAUGUUGUAUAUGUCAAAAAUUAUAACGUCAACAUUGCCGUCUAUACGCUUUAAAGCUCUUUAACGGAUUUAAUUGCAAAGUUUUAUUAAAUAUUGAAGCUCUGAACUAAAGAAGACAAUCAUCCUUAGAUUCAUUAAUAUACUGUACUGCCCGUCCAACUGUGAAACUGUGAACUGCAAUUUAAGCCACCCACCUACUAAGCUAGAAAAAUAACAUGUACUUCCUUCUUUUUAUUUUUCUUUUUUUGUGGUAAAAAAAGAAGGGGUUUGUCACACAAUCACACCUGAAAUAAUGAGAAGGUAAUAGAAUGAAACAUUUUAGGGGUUAAAAGGUCUUUUGAUUACGUAGAUAUCUUGAGAAACAAUAGCUUUAGAGAAGAUACAAUACUUUUCAACACAAUAGUAACAAACAAUUGCGUAAGUCUAGGCCCUUAUUUUGUCAUUGAUAAUAUGUAGACUGUAAAUCAGCUUUAAGCACUUGAUGUAAUCCUUUCUUAAUCUAUACUCCAUUAUAAACAAUGAUUAAUACAAAAGCCUUUUCAUUACAUAAAAAUGACUGACUAGGAAGAAUUCAAGUGCGAAAUGACCAAAAUACGAAUAAAAAGAAUUAGCGUUGUUAUGUUGGCAAAUACAUAUUUUUCCAAGUCAAUUUUAAAAUCUACGAAAAAAAAUAAAGUUUAGCAAAUUAUCUAGAAGACCAGCGCAGCCUUGACCAAAUGGUUAAACCAUUGAACCAUGACCUAUUUAUCAGAGUUCAGGUUCAGUAAAACUUUGAUAAUUAUGCAGUGAGGUUCUAUCUAGCAGAAAAUCUAAAUGAUCACAGCAAUGGUGAUAUAUAUAUAUAUAUAUAUAUAUUAUAUUUGUAUGAAAACAAAGAUAUGAAUGUUUUAAAUUUCAUACCACUUGCUAGGCUGACCCACGUUUCCUUUUUUCCUUUAGCAGCAAAUUUUCUGGCUCACAUAAACUACUUUAGUGGCGAUCUGCAGCACAAAAUACGUUUUCACCUAUGUCAAUAAUCCACAAAGUUUCGCAAAGAAGUUUUUCAUUGUUAAAGAUUGCACAAUUUGUAUUUCUCUCAUAAGAAGUACUUUUGCUUCUCAUGUACCGAUAAGACAUAAAUUCAUUAUAAUUUUCUCCAAUUAGUUGAUAGGCUUCAAGAUAGCAUACAGAACCCUUGAUCAAAUAUUAGUCUAUACAGGAGACAGACGUUUUUCAAAAUGGAAAGGAUCGGUUGUUGACUCAGUGAUUGGAGUUUUCCUUACUCAGAAUGUUUCAGACCAUCUAUCAAGGUACGUUCACAAUUUUAGCAUGUAUAUUAUACAACCAGCUUUCCCAUAUGUGAAUGUCUUGAAGUGAACAGUAUUCUUUUUGUUCCUUUAACCUUUUGUAGCUCUGCCUUCAUGUCUUUGGCUGCACGAUUUCCGCUUAAGUCAAGCAAUCACCAAGCUCAACAGAAGGUUGGGACAAACAUAUUGGUAAAAGAACCCGCAGUUCACAUGACAAGUCCAGAUGAUGUCACCAAAUGGCAUAAAUAUAUGUCAAGUCGGCCAAUCUAUCACCUGAUUUCUAGGACACUCUGUGAAUCUGAAGAUAACCAGAUGGAGAAAGAAACCAAGAAGGUUCAUGUUUCCCUUUCAGCACGUCAACAGAUGGAGAAAGCAACCAAGUUUCGUGACGUUUACAAUCAAGUAAAUGGAAUUUCACUGUCAGAUGACAGAUCCAAGAAUGGGCAUAUUAGAUAUGCACAGCUAAAGAGACGAUCAGACAGAGCCUAGGCACUUCCUUCAAGGAUUCAAUCAAUCUUGACAAUAAAAAAAUGCAACUACAAGUUGCUCCGUCCAGCAGCAAUCAGUUUCACAUGUACCCAGAUUCUGGAGAACCAGAGCUAUGGAGGUUUGGAAAUUUCAGUGAGGAAAGCAUAUCCUCUUGGCCUUCAACUGCUUCCAGGUUUAAUAUUGAACACGAAGAAAAUUGCAAGAGCUUAAGAACUGAAGAACUGUCAGGAAGCGUCAUUAAUUCCUCCAUGCAACAGAAUAUUUUGUGGAGUUCUCAAGAAAAACCAACAAAGGACCUGUAUCCAUCUUUGAAAGAGCACUCGACAGACCAGCAAGGGUAUUCUGAAUUAAUGUCAAGCAUGGGAGAUAAUCAACCUUCCCACUACAGUCACCAAUGUGAGGGAAACCUAACCUUCAAAUCAGAAAAUACAUCAGUCACAGAGCCUGUAAAACAUACUGAACCACUUUUGCGAAAUAAGACUGGUAGCAUGCAGCAUGUCCAAAAUGUCAGUGAGCUCAAUAGAAAAUCUUUCAAUGUUGUUGAUAGCAUCUCUGUAGCAAAUAACCCAAUAUACAUUGAAAAUCAAUCGGUUCAUUCCAAUUUACAGGUACAAAAACUCCAAAAGGAAGAAAAGGAAAGUAGAAAAACUCCAAACGAAAAAAAAGGAAAGGCUGAGGGCGAGAAAAAGAAUGCAGUUGACUGGGACAUUUUGAGAAAGCAGGCACAAGCCAAUGGUAGGAAAACAGAAAGAAAUAGAGGUACAAUGGACUCUGUGCACUAUGAAGCACUCAUAAAUGCUAAUGUCAAAGAAAUAUCUGAUGCAAUCAAGGAGCGAGGGAUGAACAACUUGCUAGCAGAACGAAAGCAGGUUCUCUUCUAUUAGUGUUCAGUCUGAAGCCCUCAUGUUUGUUAAGAGCACCGUUAAUUUGCCCCAAGAUAACAUCACUGGAUAGGUUAACAGUGAUUGCAAAAUGUUUGUAGGAAUUCCUAAAGCGACUGGUUAGAGAACAUGAAAGCAUCGAUCUGGAAUGGUUAAGAGAUGUUCCCCCUGAUAAAGCAAAGUCAGUCAUUCCAAAUAAUUCAUUUUCUUUUAUAACAUUACAACUGCCCCUUUUAUGCACAAGGCUAUCCAAAUGAUGAAUAAUGGACUGCAGUGCAUCUGUAUAUUUUGUAUAUAGUUAAUUAGUUAUCAGAUAUGCUUAUUCUGCAGGGAUUAUCUAUUAAGCAUACGGGGAUUGGGCUUGAAAAGUGUGGAGUGUAUCCGGCUUUUAACACUUCACCACCUUGCUUUCCCGGUAAGAAUUGUGUGGCACUAUUUAGUAAUUUUCCUAUGAUAGGUCGGGAACAUCUUACAAUAUAAGAAAUAUUGUUUCUUUUUGCUCCAUAAAGGUUGACACAAAUGUUGGAAGGAUAGCAGUAAGACUGGGAUGGGUCCCCCUCCAACCAUUACCUGAAUCACUGCAGUUACACCUCUUAGAACUGUAAGAAAAUAAUAUCUCAACAAAUGGAUGAUUAACUUUUCCAUACUUGCAAGUGCUAACCGUUUAUUCUAUAGGUACCCAAUGCUGGAGUCGAUUCAAAAGUAUUUAUGGCCAAGAUUAUGCAAACUUGAUCAACUAACCUUGUAAUCUCAUACUUCCCUAGAACCAUUCAUAUUAAUUUGUAGGCACUUUCUUUUUUACUUGCUCUUUUGCUAAUUAGCUGACUAUUGAUUGACAGUUACGAGCUGCACUACCAGAUGAUUACAUUUGGAAAGGUAUGCAUGGCGCUUCUUUGAUUAGAAACAUGAUUUGUGAUUAAGCAAAAAUAGGGUAAGUCCCUCAUGUUUUCGCAUGUAUGCAGGUAUUUUGUACAAAGAGUAAACCGAAUUGCAAUGCAUGUCCAAUGAGAGGAGAAUGUAGACACUUCGCAAGUGCUUGUGCAAGGUUCGAGCAAUAAUCCCUGGAAAAUUAUGUGUAUUGAUGUCACUGUGCAGGAAAAUAAACACUGAAGCGUGUCACGAGAAUCUUUACAUAUUUUGGGGCAUGAGAUUCUGGCCUUAUUAAUAAGUAAUCAGAAAGUGUUUCAAAAACUUAAACUAGUAGAUAGUUUCACGUAGAAUCUGUAGAAGUAAAAAGUACUCUAUGUUUCACUAAUCACAUGGAACAAGAAAGAGAAGUAAAAAAUAAAAAUAAAAAAAACAACACAAUACAUUAUUAUAAGACUCAGAAGAAGACAGUCUUAAUCAAAUUCAGACCAACCUUGUUGGUGCAGUGCAAGACUUGCCCUGCCAGGGCCAGAAGAGAAGAGAAUUGUCAGUUCAAAUGUUUCCAUUGAAGCCGAGAUAAAUCCCGCAAUAGCUGUCACUCCUAUGUCACUGCCUCCACCUGAGAACAACUCACUCCAGAUAGCAGGUACUGUAAUUAAAGAGUGUGAACCAAUAAUCGAAGAGCCAGCAACGCCAGAACAAGAGUUGACUGAGCUAUCGGAAAGUGAAAUUGAGGACUUCUUCUAUGAAGAUCCUGAUCAGAUUCCUACCACCAAACUCAACAUGGAAGCGUUCACAUCAACAUUACAAAACUAUAUGCAAGAGAAGAAGCUCCAAGAAGGUGACAUGUCCAAAGCCUUAGUUGCCUUGAAUUCAGAAGCUACUUCUAUCCCUACGCCCAAGUUGAAGAAUGUCAGUAGACUACGAACAGAGCACCAAGUGUAAGUCCCUGUCUUCCCAAUAAAACCGCAUAUGCUUACCAAUACAGUGGACGCAGUAACAACAUACCCAUAGCAUGUGCAAUCAAACAAAACAAUUUUUGGUGUCUAAAUACUGAAUUCGCUACCAUCAGAAUUCUAACUGCAUUUUAAAUAACUCUCUGCCUACGAUAUAUUAUGAGUUUCGACAUACAUACCUGUAUAUAAACAUAUGUACAUAGACAUAACUAUAAUUCUCCAUCACAAACUUAUAUAUCUGUGUGGAUACAAUGCAGGUAUGAACUACCUGAUUCGCAUCCACUCUUGGAAGGGGUAGGUUAAUAUGUUAAUUGUCUGGAAUAUAACAGGCAUUCUUAAUCUCAGUUAAUCACUAUUCAACUUUGCAGAUGGAUAGACGGGAACCAGAUGAUCCAAGCUCAUACCUUCUAGCUAUAUGGACACCAGGUAAGCUCAAGAAAUCACAGAGAACUGAGAUACAUUGUUGAGAAUUGAGUAUCUUGUACAUUUUGCUAAGUGAUGCAUUUAUUAUGCAUCACUGUAUACCAGGGGAAACUGCAAAUUCAAUUCAACAACCAGAAAGCAGGUGUGGCUUCCAAGAUCAAAACAAAUUGUGCAAUGAGAAGACAUGCUUUUCAUGCAAUAGUAUAAGAGAAGAAAAUUUGCAAACAGUCAGAGGGACGAUUUUGGUGAGGAAAAUUUAAAAUGUGAUAAUAUGUAAACAAAAUAGACCACCUGCAGUUGUUACUAAAAUUUAAUUCAUCUUGUCACAGAUACCUUGUAGAACAGCAAUGAGAGGGAGCUUCCCCCUCAAUGGCACAUGCUUUCAAGUUAACGAGGCAAGUCUUCUUCAAACAAAUCUCCUUCAACUUUAUCCACUGUGUACAGUCUGGACUAAGUUAUAGCAGUCCAGAAAUUACACCUUAUCUAAAUUAGAGGCACUCCUCCAACCCAAUAGGUCAAAAAGAGUCUGCUAUCUGCCUAUUCUCAUUUAUAAACAAAACUCUAUCACGAUGCAGAUGUUCGCAGAUCAUGAAUCUAGUCAUAACCCAAUUGAUGUUCCAAGGGGGUGGAUAUGGAAUUUGCCAAGACGGACUGUAUACUUUGGAACUUCAGUAUCAACAAUUUUCAAAGGUAAUAGAAAUUGAGAUACCAGGGUUGCUUUACAAGGAUCCCAAUUAGAAAUGUAAAGUUACUCACAAUGAAAUACCUUCUACCAGGUCUAUCAACAGAGGGAAUUCAAUACUGCUUUUGGAGAGGUAUGUGAUAUGCUGACUUCAGUUCUUCAUAUUAGUUAUGAGGAUAACGAUUUAGGAACAUAAGACACCGACUUCAGCUCUGUAUAUUCUUUUGAGGAUAACUAUUUAGGAACAUAGUACAUAAAUGAGAAGAUAACACAAGAUCAUGAAAUUAAAUUCCGACACAACCUACUUGGAUGUUUGCAACUAUAUCUUGUUUAAGAACUUCAUCUAGUCGAUAGGAUAUUAGAUUAUCCUAGAGUAAGUCAAUCAAAAGCCAAUUGUAUUUGAUCAUUUUAGUAACUACAUCAUGUCGGCAUAAGAUUAUACUCUUUAAGCACCUGCAAAAUUUAGACAUGGAUAACAAGGUUGUUAAUUCACACAACUCUAUAGCAGAAGUUCUGAACGUGGGUGUGACUGUUGAAAAAAAGAAAAACAUUCCAUUGCAGAACUGAUGUCUUUACAUUUAGCAGUCAACUGACGAGAUGGCGAACAAGUUUCCUUGUAGACUGAUUGAUUUAUUUCCAGGAUAUGUUUGUGUGAGGGGAUUCGAAAGGAAAACAAGAGCACCACGGCCCUUAAUGGCCAGAUUGCACUUCCCAGCGAGUAAGAUGACCAAGACAAAAAAUGAAGAGAAGAAAUAAAACUGACCGUGAUGGCACAGAGAAGAUUAUUCAUCAGAUAUACAGAAGACUACUGACUGUGAGAAGAACAAUGACUAACAAAUUCUAGCACAUUUAAUUAUUCUUCCUCUAGCAUGAGAUGCACACAUUAUAUGAUGGGCGGGCAGCGGAAAGCCAGCACCAUUCAGGAAAUGUGAGUUCUCGUGACGAGUUGAUUGUAUUCUGUACAGAAUAGUUCAAUAAAUUCUGAGAAAUGAGUAAUCCAUUCAAUAACUUCCCAGAAUGUCCAAAACAUUCAUAACGUUUUUUUUUUUUUUUUCCCCCAAAGAAACAGGAAUGAAGAAGGUGAGAAAUCAAAUCGUUUAACAAGUAACAUUGUAAAUGAUGCUUACCUGCAAUAACUGGUUGCUGAUGAAAAAUAAACCCUUUCAAGCUUCUACAUUAUUGACAAGAGAGCAUUUGGAGAAGAUAAUCGUCAAAACACGAAUCAACAGAACAUAUCUAAAUAAGGGGGACUGACAACCAUACUCACAUGUAUUUAAUACAAUCAUCAUCUUACGUUCAGAUUUUAUGCGAAUAUAUCUAUUUAAUACAAUCACCUAUCCAUCAAGAUGGUGAUUGUAUUAAAUAGAUGUAAAUAUUGUAGCCGAAUCCCUAAAUAGGUAUUGUCAAAAUCAAUUAAAUCUCGUCAACAAACAUUCUGUCACAAAGAUCCAACUACAAAAAAGCAAGACACAAUCUAACAAGAACUAGAGAAAUCAAUGACAAUAGAAGAGAGGUGAUGCAACCAUCUACAACACAUAGCAAACACAUUUUCUAUUUUUAUUUUGUUUAUGCUAAUACAGAACCGAAACAGAUAAGAUGUUACCUUCCACCCUAAGAAUAAUCGUUCUACGAUUUAACAUUCAGAGGCCAGAGUAAGGUUAAAAGCACAACAAUGUACCGUAAGAUCAUGUUUAAACGAGCUAUAUGUACGCUAUGAUUCCAAAUUUUGAGAAUGAUUUCUAUUAAAUCAUAAAUUUCGGGGAUAAUUUGUGGCAUUACUGAAAGAAUGUGCACAAAUAUCCCUACAAUACAAAUUUCAACAAUAUUAAAUCAUAAAUUGAAGUGCCCAUUGUUUGGGUUAAACUUAAACUUUGGGCUUAGAAGGGAGUUGGCCCAAAAAGAGAAGGAGAAGCUCGAAGCACAGCCCAAGUCCAGAAGGCAGAAAAGGGCUUUCCCGACUAGGUGCAGAUCAUUUGCAUCACUUGCUCACCUACCCAAGGACCAAGUGGUAUAGACCAGCCAGCUAAUCAGCCCAAAAGUACUUUAUGGUGGCAGUACAAGUAAAUAGCUGAUGAGUCACUAUCCUUCAAAUUGCAUUCGGGCAAGAUUAUUGCUACAGGAGGCCAAGCCAAGGUGUCUAUAAAAGGAGAAAGAGAAGUCAGAAUCAAGGACACUCAAACAAACAAAUACAAGCACAAACUCUGCUCAAAGCCAGAUUUGCCUUUAAAACGAAGCUGUAGUCAGCCCAAGCCUUCAUCCCUUUCGGGAUAAACCUUUUGUAAUAGCUCUGCUACACUGUUCAACUUUUGUUGUAGUAUCGAUUUCUUUCUGUAAACUCACCUCCCAACCCCUUUCCUAAGCUUUCAAAUCUUCUGAUAAACCACAAAGAUAGGAAGUUGCAAGACGAUCAGCCUUGCCCGACCCUCUUUGUUUUUGUCUUUUCAUUCAUUAGCCUAGCAAUAUGUUGUAUACUACAAGUUGUAUCCAAGUUAUUUCUAGUAAUAUGGCUAUUAAAAGACUCUCUCUCAGCGCUUGAAUCUGAUUUGAAUAUGUCUUCACAGUUCAAGCCAGAUCUAAGUUCUAAGCCCUCGGGCAUAUAAGAUUUGAUCACUCUAAAAAGUCCUUGGCCUCAAGGCAUAAAAAGAACCUGAUGUGGACUUAACCCAUCCACGACAAGCUUUGAUAACAAGAAGUCCGAAGUUACUUGAGGCGCAAGUAAUCGACCUGUCACUUAGUUUUAUUUCGGUUAUAUUAUGAUUACCAUAUAACGUUCGAGUACAGGAUGAAUUCUAAUGGGAAGCCUCAAGGCCUAUUCAAGGCCCCACAAAGGCACCUAUUUGGAUUCAUCCUAUUUCUCGGGCGAGAACAUUGAGUAUAGAAGGAGUUCUGAUGGGAAGCCUCAAGGCCUAUUCAAGGCCCCACAAAGGCACCUAUUUGGAUUCAUUCUGCUCUUUGGGCUCAGGUAAUCAGAAGUAUGAUAGUUAUAAGACUCAUAUAACCAAGAAAAGGAACCUAUGUGUUCGAGUCCUAAGUUAGUUAUUUAUGGGAAGCCUCAAGGCCUACACCUAAGGCCCCACAAAGGCACCUUUCAAAAACUAACAUAGUCUCUCGAAUAUAUAUAAUUAAAACUCAAACAUCCGUUCUACAUCUGCCAUGCUGAAGAUGGCAGUGGCACGUUUGAGCACUUAAAAGUUAAUCUUGAUUGUGAGCCUCAAGGCCUACACCUAAGGCCCCACAAAGUCACCUUUCAAAGUUAACUCUAUCAUUCUCUUUUAGCCUUGCCCGACAGGCUUUGCCCGACAAGCCCGCCAGUAAAGCAGAAGCCCGACAGAAAGCAUCAACCGGCGCCGACCUCUUGGGGAGCUGUGUGCUCGUCGGCAAGGAAGCAUCCCCCACGGAAAUUCCUGCCAUGAACACCCAUCACAAUUCAUACCACUAUUUCCCUUUAACAUUCCUCUGUUUUCUCACCAACCAAACACCAAAUAGAAAGAGAAAAAAGAAAAGAAAAAAGAAAAAAGAAAAACGAAUAGCGAAAAGAAAGCUAGGGUUUGAGAUAAUGAACCCGCUGGGCGAGUUGAGAGACGGCAUUGAAGCUGCGGAAAUCGGAAAAGAGAUGGAGUUGUAUUGAAAUUGCGGGAUCCCGAUCCAGUCUAGGUUUAAGUGAACUGGGAAGAGUUUCUAAUUGAAAUAUUGCCGCCUUUUGCUCUUUCCCUCCAUAAAUGGAAACUUUUGCGAGCGCACGGGUGGGAUUAUACAACUUCACUCUGACAUUCAGCUUAUGACAACACUGCCUAAAAAUCUAGGCAGUUGGUGUUAGGAUAUAGCUAUUGAAGGAUAAAUUUUGUCCUAGCUAAGAACAUGUGAGAAUAUUUGAACACAUAUGCAAACUAUUAACACAUUAAAGUAGGCAUGCUUUCAAAAACAAUUCUAAAACCCAUGACUUUCAAAGCCUAGUGAAUGGUGAACCAAGAGACUCUUUAACAACAUUAAAGAGAAAGAAGGUUUUAGAGAUUCAUUACCCUUGAAGCUCAUCCUUGUUUACACAAGGGAUUCACCCAAGUGGAGGGCCUUCAAGUCACCUCAUAGCUCCUUGGAUCUUCCUUGUGAUUUCCUUCCUUUUGAUGCUCCUUUGCUCCUUGAGGAUGUGAGGAAAGGAUCUCCAAAAUACCAAAGGUUUGGUGUCUCUAAGUCUCCACACCAAGGAUGAGGUGUGAAGAUGAAAUGGAUGACUUAGAGAAGAAAAGAUUGCUAGCUAUUUCUUCACUAUGUGGCCGACCUCCUUGUAGAAAAGAGAGAAUAAUGUUUCACCUCCUUUCCUCAAAGAAAACCCUAAUGAGAAAAUAGCUAUAAAGUUGACUUUAUACUACAUCACAUUUGAGUGGCAAACUUGUAAUUAAUUCAAGUUUGCAUCCACUCUCCCUUGUGGCCGGCCUUGUCUUUGUUUUUGGGCUAAUUGCCCAUUUUGUUUUAGUUGUCAUACAACUUAAACAUAAUGGGCCUUGUGGACCAAAACACUUUUGGGCCCCGAAACCCAAAACCAACUUAAAAGCCCAAAACGAACCUUUCGUAAAAUUAAUUAACUAAUUAAUUAAUCUUGACCAUUUUUUUCAAUUAAACCAUUUAAUUGCAUAUCCAUUUCAUUUAUAUUUCUUCACUUUCAUCCUUACUUGGUGUACGAUCCAUUAGGUUCCAAUCAGCGAGGCAUUAGGCGAUUGUUACUCUUAACGAUUGAUUAUGAAUUGAAACUACAUUUCAAUUCUCCCUUUGAUUAAGAUUAGUGUUUGCUAAUCUUCAGGGCUUCCACAAACCAUGAGUGACACCUAGUAGCAUGUCAUGGUUACCCAAGCUAAGUAGAAGUGGUUGGAGAACCUAUCCAGUUACAACUACAACGCAAUACGAUCAUUCUUUAAUACAAUACUCUUAAUCACAUUGUUUGAGUGAUAGUUUGUUUCAUGUCUACUAUCCAAUGUGAUACUUCUUUAUAUGAUUCAAUUGAAUAUGAUUUGGAAUAAACUUCCUAAGUCAUAUUCAUAUGCUUUGGCCAAAGACUCUCGAAUCAUAUCUUAGAGUAUUCUCCUUCUUUCAUGGAAGGUUAGAGAUCCCUUCUUGUGCAUUCAUAUGCCUACAUGACUAGAUAGCUUGACCCCAACAAUGUUGUGGACACUCUCAAUGGAAUGCCUUUGACAUGAUCAAGGAUCAAGGACCUAACCAUUAGACAUCUAUGAUGACUCAAGUCAAAGGACUACUUUGCAUAUUGCAACUAUCGAGUUCUUACAUGACAUGUAUGUUCGAACUCUCUUUUGAUCGUUGUUUAGUGUACUCGAUUACUCUUUCGAGCACCUAUGUGUUUUUCUUAGUGUCCAACAAUAAAUGACUUGAGACAAGUCAUACUCAUGCUUGAGUUGACAUAACACAUACUAACCUUAGCGGAUUGUCAAUGCCCAAUUGGCGAUCCUACGGCUAGGAACGUUUUAGGAAUGAACAUAAGAGAAAGGUCUCAUUAAUCUAACUUACUUAAAUCACUUCUCUCUUAGAUCAAAUACAUUCCUUGGAUUCCCUUAUUGCUUAAACACAUGAUACAAUAAAUAGUGAUUAACAAUAAGCUUUGCCCUUCAUUAAACAUAUAAUAGUUUAAUACAAUAAGUAUUCCAAAAGCUAUUACAUCAAAUGAGUGGCUUUGUGGGCAUACUUCCAACAAUCUCCCACUUGCACUCAAAGUCACCUUCCCAUGUAUCUAAUACCCAUCUUUUCCAUAUGGCGGUCAAGUUGGAUUUGAGACAUUGGCUUUGUCAGUGGAUCUGCUACGUUAUCUGCUGAGGCAACUUUGAGGAUGUUGACUUUCCCCUCGGCAGCAUAUCUUCUAAUGAUAUUAAAGCGCCUGUCAAAAUGCUUGUUCUUUUGAUGAGCCCUGGGUUCUUUGGCUUGAGCUAUCGUCCCACUAUUAUCACAGUACAAAGUUACUGGUGAUGUAAUGGUUGGAACCACUCCAAGUUCAGUAAUGAACUUCUUCAUCCAGAACGUUUCUUUGCCGGCUUCAGCUGCAGCGACAUAUUCUGCCUCCAUCGUGGAAUCAACAAUUACAUCUUGUUUCUUGCUUUUCCAGCUAACAGCCCCACCAUUCAGAGUGAAUACAUAUCAGGAGUUGGAACUUCUAUCAUCGAUGUCAGAUUGGAAAUCUGCGUCUAUAUAGGCUUCCACUCGCAACUCUGUUGCUCCUCCAUAAAUGAGGAACAUGUCCUUAGUUCUUCUUAAGUACUUAAGGACCGUCUUAACAGCUGCCCAGUGUUUUGAACCUGGGUUAGAUUGAUAUCGACUAGUAAUGCUCACAGCAUAUGCAAUAUCAGGCCUUGUGCAUAUCAUGGCAUACAUGAGACUUCCUAUGGCGAAAGCAUAAGGAAUAUCACUCAUCUGCCGUAUCUCUUCAAGAGUCUUAGGUCCCAUGGACUUAGAAAGGUGAAUUCCAUGUCUCACAGGAAGAAGACCUUUCUUAGAUUGUUCCAUAUGGAACCUACUCAGCACCUUAUCUAUGUACAUAGAUUGGGAUAAUCCAAUUAAUUUUCUAGAUCUAUCACGAUAGAGCUUUAUCCCAAGUACAUAAGAUGCAUCUCCCAAAUCUUUCAUGUGGAAGGUUUUGGACAACCACACUUUUACAGAAGAAAGUACUGCAGUGUCAUUCCCGAAUAGUAAUAUGUCAUCUACAUAUAACACUAGGAAUACAACUGCAUCCCCAACGACUUUUUGAUAAACACAAUUGUCGUCUUCGUUUUGAGUAAAACCAAACGUUUUGAUUUCAGUAUCGAAACAAAUGUUCCAGCUCCUGGAGGCUUGCUUAAGUCCAUAAAUGGACUUCUGAAGCUUGCAUACUUUAGUCUCUUCAGACUUGGACACGAAACCUUCGGGUUGAGUCAUAUAGAGCUCUUCCUCUAGGUAGCCGUUCAGAAAGGCCGUCUUCACGUCCAUUUGCCAUAUCUCAUAAUCAUCGUACGCAGCUAUAGCAAGCAAAAUCCGAAUGGACUUAAUCAUGGCUACAGGAGAGAAGGUUUCUUCAUAGUCAAUCCCUUCUCGUUGCCUGUAACCCUUGGCUACUAGUCUAACCUUAUAAGUCUCCACGUUCCCAUCAACACCUAUCUUCCUCUUGAAGACCCAUUUGUUUCCAACAGGUACUAUACCUUCUGGAGGGUCUACAAGAGUCCAGACUUGAUUUUGAUACAUGGAAUCCAUCUCGGAUUUCAUGGCCUCUUGCCAUCUCUUUGAAUCAAUGUCGGACAUUGAUUCAGUGUAGUCUCUAGGGUAUUCCUUUGUGUCAUUGUCACCUAGAAGGUGCAAUUCCCCAAAGUUAUUAUCUAAGCCAUACCUCUUAGGUGGCUUGCUAAUCCUUUCAGAUCUACGUGGAGCUAGGGGUUCAGGAACAGGGUUGUCAACUUGUCGAGUUCUUGUUUGUGGUUCAUCAUUAAUCUCAUUAAUUUCCAUCGUUCUACUUAAAGUUCCUUUGAGAACAAAUUCGUCCUCUAGAAACUUAGCAGUUCUGGCGACAAAAACCUUUUGGUCGUCAGGAUGGUAGAACUCAUAUCCCAUAGUUUCUCUAGGAUAUCCCACAAAAUAGCACCUAACUGAUCUUGCUUCAAGCUUAGUAGCUUCAAGCUUCUUGACAUAUGCUUCAUAACCCCAAAUCUUAAUGUGAUUAAGACUUGGCUUUCUUUCAUGCCAUAUCUCAUAGGGCGUCUGUGAAACUGACUUGGAAGGUACUCUAUUAAGCAAGUAAGCUGCUGUAUAUAGAGCGUAUCCCCAGAAUGUUACUGGUAGAUCUGCGGAACUCAUUAUAGAACGAACCAUGUUCAUCAAGGUUCAAUUUCUCCUUUCAGAAACUCCAUUAAGUUGUGGAGUUCCCGGUGGAGUCCACUGUGAUAUUAUUCCACACUCUUUGAGAUAAUCUAGGAACUCGGUGCUUAGAUACUCUCCCCCUCGAUCUGAUCUUAGGAUCUUUAUCUGUUUCCCAGUUUGCUUCUCAACUUCAUUCUUGAAUUCUUUGAACCUUUCAAAGGAUUCUGACUUGUACUUCAUAAGAUACACAUAGCCAAACCGAGAGUGAUCGUCGGUGAAUGUGAUAUAGUAGGAGAAGCCUCCUCUCGACGUAGUAGACAUAGGUCCACAUACAUCAGUGUGGAUUAACCCUAGAAUUUCAGUGGCGCGCUUUCCUUUCCCAGUGAAUGGAGAUUUGGUCAUCUUCCCUUUUAAGCAACAUUCACAAGUACCCAUUUGGUCAUUACCUAAUAGGCGGAAAUAUCCGUCUUUCGACAUCUUGCGAAUCUUAUCAAGGUUCACAUGUCCAAGUUUAAGAUGCCAUAUCUUUUCUUGGUUAACUUCUUCUCUAGCCCUUUUGGGUUUUGAGGUAUUCCCACUUUCAAUACAGUGCAUUCCACUACUUGUCUCUAGGUGAAAAAGUCCCUCUAUCAUAUUACCAUGAGGGAUAAUACGACUGUUCAAGUAUAAAGUGCAACUCAUUUUGUCAAACAAUACUGAGUGCCCAUCUCGUAAAAGCUUAGAGAUAGAAAUCAAAUUCUUUAUACAUGAAGGAAAAUAUAAACAAUUUUCAAGUUCCAAGACUUCCCCAGAUGGCAGUUUAAGCAUGUAGGUGCCUAUUGCGUUAGUAGAGAUCUUAGUGCCGUUCCCAACUCGCACAAUUAUCUCCUCAUUAAGCAAUGUCCUGCUCCCUAUUAGUCCCUGCAACGAAUUGCAGAUAUGUUGACUAGCGCCUGAAUCAAAUAUCCAGGAAUUGGAGCUCAUUGUAAAAGCACUAUCUAUGAGAUAAAUAGUCCCUUCAAAAGUUCGUGUCAUAAGGCUCGCAAUGCGCACCCUGUAUUUCUUCUUCCAACGUCCAUCCUUUCCACAAUGAAAGAAUGUUCCUUUGGAUUUUCUUGCCUUCUUCUUAUGCAACAUUUUCCUUGUGAUUGCAUUCUCACUCCCACUGUCCUUUUUGAAACCUUGUUCAAACUUACAGCACAUGUCAAUCAUCUCGGUAAAAGUAUGAUUGAAUCUAUUCACUUUAUAGUUUACAAUAAACUUGGUGAAAUCAUCCAAGAGAGAUGCAAGGAAAAAGUCUUGGGCCAUUUUCCCAUCGAUGGAAGUUCCUAAACUUUCAAGAUCUUGAAAGAUCCUUUCCAUCUUUUGUCCAUGUUUAUGAACCGAUGCCCCCUUAGCCAUUUUGGCAUUCAAUAGACUACAAACAUUUGAGAAUCGUACAUUACUAGUCUCAAUGUCAUGCAUCUUAUGCAAACUAUCAACCAUGGCACAAGAAGUGUCCAUGUGCUCAUGUUGCUUCUUAAGCUCCUCACUAAGUGAAGUGAGGAUUAAGCAUUUGGCUUGUAAGUUAUCCUCAUGGUGUCUAUCAUAAUUUUGACACUCCUCCUUUGAAGCUAGUUUCGUAGGAGGUACAUGAGGAGGGGAUUGCUUAAGCACAUACAAUAUGUCUUUCACCUUUGAGACAUUCUCAAUGUGGCGAUACCAAGCAAGGAAACGUUGGCCCCUAAGGCCCUUUUUGUCAAGUAUAAUGGUGGGUGUAAUUUUAGGCAUGUCGUUAACUACAUAACAUAACAGAAAUCGUAUUAGAUUGUUGAUUUUAAAACUACUUGAUUGGGUCAUAAAUCAAAUAGUACCACCCACUAUUUUUGGCAAAUUCCACAUCCCUCAAUGGAAUUCGAGAGUUAUGUUGAACUCUUAGCGGGGUAUGGGAGGCUCACCAUUACCAAGCCCACCUCACGAUGAUACGAUGUUGGUUAGCAAAAAUAAUGAUGAGAGAAUAACGCUUUAGUCAUUUACAACUCUUGUAAUUACCCAUCUAGUUUGGCCUCUACAGAAUGAUGCCUCACAAUGAUAUGAUGUUGGCACCAUUGCACUUAGUUAAGUUAUUCCCACCUUGCUAGUUCGUGCAGGGGGUUCAAGAAUAGCCUCACAAUGAUAUGAUGUCGACCAUCCUCGUUGCCUACCUCACUACAUCAUGUAUGUAUAUAUGGUUUCCUCCUGAAUGUAAGCACAUACUUUGAACUCCCCCAUGAUAGGGUGAAGCCGUUGUAGGAGUCACAAACGAUUGGAGCCCAUCAUGGUGGAAGGCCUACGAAGAGAUGUUCAAAACAUCUCUCGCUUAUCAACUUAAUAUUCGUUUUUGUUGAGGGAGUAGUGUUGGGCUACAUCAAUUUUAUUUUAAUCUUAUUAAAAGAACUUGGGCCUAUCACAACCAUUGGUCCAAGUUAAUAUGAUUUAGUAGUAUAUAAUACUCCCACUAUUUCGAUGAAACAAGCGAGACUAUAUGGAACUACUAACGAAUUCUUUGCAUCCUCAUAUGGACUAUAUAGUCAUAUUAGGUCUUAGGAUGAUUAUGAACCGUUGGAUUUGAUCCAACACGAGCCUUGUGUUGGACCUUGGGUUUAAGGUAGAUAGUUGUUGAUCUUAGUUACACGUUUAAUCUAAUUAAACCCUUAUUUCCUAUUGGGCGUUGGACCCAACUAUUCCAAUUUGCAUACAUAUAAACAAAAAGGAAUACUUGAAAUAAAGAGAAGGGCUUAUGCCCUUUUACAACACAUUUGAUGGACUUAUGUCCAUUUACAACAAAUUUGAACUAAUCAAAUUACAUUCAAAUCUAAGCUACUUAACCCAAACAUUCAUAAUGUAAAGCGGCCAAUCACAUAGCUCAAUUAUCGAGGCCUUUGGUUCAUAAUCACCAUUUUCUUAAUCAAUCACAUUAACUAAGAAAGCAACUUAAACAAUUGGUUUUCGGAUUCAUAGAAUUGAUUUAAAUGGAACUAAAUGAAAUGAAAAUCCAAUUCUCAUUAAAGAGACAAAACCAUUUUGUUCUCAUCUUAUUUGGGCCAAAAAACAAUGACCUCAACAAUUGGGCCAUUAUUCAAUAAACAUAAACUUUUGGGGUUACUUUGUAAAAACACAAGAGUCCACAACUUCAUGUAAUUACAACUAGAACCCAAAAUUUUAACAAUAAUAAAAACAUCAUUAAAGGAGCAAAACAAUUUGUCCUUUAGAGUUUUUGGGCCUUAACGUAAAAACGUAAACUUUUGGGCCAAAAUACAAAUACACAAAAGUAUCAAAACUUUAUGUAAUUGCAUAAAAGGCCCAAAAUUACCCCCACUAGGGGGUGGCCGGUUUUAGAAGUGAAAAAGGAGGGGAAAGAGGUUUUGGUGAUAAAUUCAAAGUUUGAAAGUGUUUUAUGCAAGUGGAACAUGCAAGUGGAAUAUGCAAGUGGAAUAGGUAGGUGAGGAUAAAGGUGAUGGGUAUAGGUUGUAAGAAAACGUUUUGUGAAACAUUAAUAGCAUUGAUCAUCCCUCACCAAUAAUCCAUCACCCAUCAAAAUAAACCAAAACUUUAUGAAAAACACCAAACACUUUGAAUCAAAAUUCCAAACCUUUUUGUUCUUGGUAAGAAACUCAAGAACAUUGAAGAACACACAUGAAAACUCAUAAGAGCUCCAUGAAUGUUUUCACACAAUAAAACUCAAAUUUUCACUACACAAAAGAGGGUUAACAUCCUAGGGUACUUAGGGGUUCCAAAAGUCACUUUAAAACUCUUUUAACAAGACAAACAUGAACCCAAAAAUCCACCCUUUGGAUUUGGCCGAAUUUCCCAACAUACAUGGCACCAAAUUUUAGUUCCAAUAUUCAUCCUUAAAUGAACUACAUCUACAACAUUUGAGAUGCUAAAUUUUCAAGUAAAAUUUAUAUUCAAAAGCAAGAACAAAGCUUGUAACAUUUACAACAUUUAAAUCACAAAGCAUGAAAAUCACAAAACCCAAAAGGAUUCACCGUAAACUAGACCUAGGCUCUGAUACCACUUGAAGGAUAAAUUUUGUUCUAGCUAAGAGCAUGUGAGAAUAUUUGAACACAUAUGCAAACUAUUAACACAUUAAAGUAGGCAGGCAUUAAAAAACAAUUCUAAAACCCAUGACUUUCAAAGCCUAGUGAAUGGUGAACCAAGAGACUCUUUAACAACAUUAAAGAGAAAGAAGGUUUUAGAGAUUCAUUACCCUUGAAGCUCAUCCUUGUUUACACAAGGGAUUCACCCAAGUGGAAGGCCUUCAAGUCACCUCCUAGCUCCUUGGAUCUUCCUUGUGAUUUCCUUCCUUUUGAUGCUCCUUUGCUCCUUGAGGAUGUGAGAAAAGGAUCUCCAAAACACCAAAGGUUUGGUGUCUCUAAGUCUCCACACCAAGGAUGAGGUGUGAAGAUGAAAUGGAUGACUUAGAGAAGAAAAGAUUGCUAGCUAUUUCUUCACUAUGUGGCCGGCCUCCUUGUAGAAAAGAGAGAAUAAUGUUUCACCUCCUUUCCUCAAAGAAAACCCUAAUGAGAAAAUAGCUAUAAAGUUGACUUUAUACUACAUCACAUUUGAGUGGCAAACUUGUAAUUAACUCAAGUUUGCAUCCACUCUCCCUUAUGGCCGGCCUUGUCUUUGUUUUUGGGCUAAUUGCCCAUUUUGUUUUAGUUGUCAUACAACUUAAACAUAAUGGGCCUUGUGGACCAAAACACUUUUGGGCCCCGAAACCCAAAACCAACUUAAAAGCCCAAUACGAACCUUUCGUAAAAUUAAUUAAUCUUGACCAUUUUUUUCAAUUAAACCAUUUAAUUGCAUAUCCAUUUCAUUUAUAUUUCUUCACUUUCAUCCUUACUCGGUGUACGAUCCAUUAGGUUCCAAUCAGCGAGGCAGUGGGCGAUAACAAUCUUAACGAUCGAUUAUGAAUUGAAACUACAUUUCAGUUCUCCCUUUGAUUAAGAUUGGUGUUUGCUAAUCUUCAGGGCUUCUACAAACCAUGAGUGACACCUAGUAGCAUGUCAUGGUUACCCAAGCUAAGUAGAAGUGGUUGGAGAACCUAUCCAGUUACAACUACAACGCAAUACGGUCAUUCUCUAAUAUAAUACUCUUAAUCACAUUGUUUGAGUGAUAGUUUGUUUCAUGUCUACUAUCCAAUGUGAUACUUCUUUAUAUGAUUCCAUUGAAUAUGAUUUGGAACAAACUUCCUAAGUCAUAUUCAUAUGCUUUGGCCAAAGACUCUCGAAUCAUAUCUUAGAGUAUUCUCCUUCUUUCAUGGAAGGUUAGAGAUCCCUUGUUGUGCAUUCAUAUGCCUACAUGACUAGAUAGCUUGACCUCAACAAUGCCGUGGACACUCUCAAUGGAAUGCCUUUGACAUGAUCAAAGAUCAAGGACCUAACCAUUAGAUAUCUAUGAUGCCUCAGAUCAAAGGACUACUUUGCAUAUUGCAACUAUCGAGUUCUUACAUGACAUGUAUGUUCGAACUCUCUUUGAUCGUUGUUCAGUGUACUCGAUUACUCUUUGAAGCACAUAUGUGUUUGUCUUAGUGUCCAACACUAAAUGACUUGAGACAAGUCAUACUCAUGCUUGAGUUGACAUAACACAUACUAACCUUAGCAGAUUGUCAAUGCCCAAUUGGCGAUCCUACGGCUAGGAACAUUUUAGGAAUGAACAUAAGAGAAAGGUCUCGUUAAUCUAACUUACUUAAAUCACUUCUCUCUUAGAUCAAAUACAUUCCUUGGACACAUGAUACAAUAAAUAGUGAUUAACAAUAAGCUUUGCCCUUCAUUAAACAUAUAAUAGUUUAAUACAAUAAGUAUUCCAAAAGCUAUUACAUCAAAUGAGUGGCUUUGUGGACAUACUUCCAACAGCUAUGCCAUGUGUCAUAAUUGUAUUGGGGUUGUGAAUGUUAGUCAUAAGGUGUGUUGUAUUUAUAAGAGAUUAGUAUUGUCAUAAACAUAAGAAAAUAUAACAAGAUUAUUUUCCCCCUCUACUUUCUCUCUCUAUUUCUCUGUGUUCGAUAUCUUCUUCUCUAAGUUUCUUCCACAUAGUUGGUUUGUUAACAUGGUAUCAUCGCCGGCAAUGGCUAACCCCGUCGCCUGACGAUCCUGGUGCUUCCGCGUCUCUUCGUUUUUGCUCCGGUGGUUUUUGCUUGUUCGCUGGAAGUCGAUUGGUCGUUGUUUCAAGGUCUCUGGUGAAUCUUGGUUUCUGCAACCCUAGAAUUUUGGAGUUUUCUUGCCUGGGUUGGUCGAAGUCGGUUGUUCUUCGUGCAACAAUUGUCGUUGUUGAUCGUCGUCUUGGCUGAAGGUAUUGGUCGAAUUCCUUAUCGUCUUGUUCAGAUUCGUGUGGUGAUUUUGUUGAAUUUCUUGUUGUUCUUCAGAAUUGAAUUGAGUUGGAGAUUUCUGUUAAUCGUUGGUUCUUGAUUACUUUUUAUUGAUGCACGGAUUGUUGUAUGGUGAUUAAGAAGUCCUUGAUUACUUCUAUAUUGCUAUAAAGAUUGUUGUUUCUUGAUUAAACAUGGUGACCACAAUCCAAUUAGCUCUUACACAGUCUCCUAUUUCUUCCCUAAUACCAAGUGUUGGCAAUACAGUCACAGUCAAGUUAGAUGAUUCUAACUAUAUCACAUGGAAUUUUCAACUCGAUUUACUGUUUGAAGGUAAUGGUAUUAUGGGAUUUUUUGAUGGCUCUAUUCCCUGUCCUGAGAAAUAUAUGACUACUGAAGAUGGCCUUGUGAUUAAUCGUGCUUUCAUAACUGAUGCCUAUAAAGUUUGGAAGAUUGAUGAUAAAGCCUUGAUGACUCUUAUCACUGCUACUUUGUCUCCUGCUGCCCUAUCGAGUGUCAUUGAGUGUCAAAGCUCCAAGGAAAUGUGGAUUAACUUGAAAAAGAGGUUCUCGAGUAUGACUAGAACAAGUAUUGUCUAGAUGAAAAUUGAUCUGCAGAAUAUUAAGAAAUGGGUUGAAUCUAUUGAUCUUUAUCUUCAACCAUCAAAGAUUGUGGAAACCAGUUAGCUACAGUAGGUGUUGCUAUUCCCGAUAAAGAUAUUGUCAUAGUUGCUCUCAGAGGCUUACCAAUUGAAUACAACACUAUUAAGGCUGUUAUUCAAGGAAGAGAAAAUCUUGUGUCCCUGCAGGAGCUUAGGUCUCAGUUGAAGGCAAAAAAAGCAACAUUUGAAGAAAGUCUUAAACAACCUCUAAUGGCUGCAAUGUAUGCUAAAUCUAGUGCGGGUAACUAUGAUACUGGCUCAUCAUUCUGUUAUGUUCCUCAAAUGCCUAACAUGGCUCCGGUGCAUCAACUACCUCCACUUCCACAGUUUCAGUCAUUCUCACUUCAAGCUCCACAUGGUCCUUAUGCAUUUGUGUCCCAAGCAGGAUCUGGCACUUAUAAUAAUUUCAGGGGGCAAAAUUUCAAGUACAAAGGAAAAGGGAAGAAAUUUCACUCAGGUUAUCAGGGGUCUGUUCAAACCAAUGCUCAGUCUCAACCAAAAUCUAGUUUUCAAACUCCACAACCUUAUAAUCCUAUGUUGGUCUGUUAAAUUUGUGAUAAAAAUGGACACUCUGCACUCCAUUGUUUUCAGCGUGGGUGCUAAAUCUGCAAUAGGGUUGGUCACACUGCAGCUACAUGUUUCGACAGGGGUACUUCUCCUAUGCCCAUGUCUCAGCCUAUUGGUGCGAGAAUUACUUGACACACAAAUUAAACCCUCUUUUUGACAAUUGUAGUAUAGAUGUAAGUAGGGUAUCGUUCUAGGCCGGGGAUUAGGAGGGAUUGCUAAUCUAUUCUAAAUUAAUUUAAAAAUAUUAAACAAGACUCAAGGACACAAAACUAGACUAAAAACUCUAAUAACUCGAAACACACUUAGAAUGACUCAAAAUAAUGAAAACAAUCAAAUUAGACACUAGGAACUGCAAUGGACGGAAAUUGAAUUAAAAGACUAACAACAAUGAAAACUAACUAAAUAAUAUAAUUUAAUAAUGAGGGGGGUUUGGUUUUGACGAGACGUAAAUUAAACUUAAAUAAAUUACAGAAUUGACAAAAGCAUGAAAUUAAGGUGAAAAUGAUAAGUGACGGAUUAGCUAGAGGGUUCUUCUCCACACAUGACACAUAUGCAACCUAAAUUGAUUUUCAGUUGUUCUUUCAAUAAAUUGUAAAUCUCAACGCCCCAAAUUAACCGUGAAUUGCACUAAUUAACCCUCAGUUUUUCCACAAUGUUAUUGGGUUGGAUGAUUGCAUACGACAACCCAAAACAUUCCCUACAAGUUCCCUACAUGAAUUGCAUAAUAGAGAUACAAGCAAGAAUCAUUAAGUUCUAUGAAAAACAUAAGCAUUGACGAGGCACUCGUUACUAUGAUUUGCAUGAAACUUAUGCCAAGAAUUUACUUAACGUGAUUGUGACAAGCAACCUUCACUACUUGUGAAUAUAAGUUCAUAACGAUUAGGUGAAAUUCACUUAUAUUCUAGCAUCAAAUUCAUGCAUGUAAAUUAAGUAUGCAUCCUUAAUCGACAUACAAAAAUAAGUUAUAAAUCAAGCAGUUAAGCAAAUUAAAUCACAACUCAGAAAUCACAACUGAAGGUAAUCAAUUCAUAUUACAAAUAUAUUCAUGGCUUUGAAUUAACCUCUAGCCAAAAUAAAAUUAGUUACACAUUAUUAAAAACAGAAAUAAAAUAUAAAUUUAGAAAGAUUUAACCGAAAGAAGGUGAUCUGCUGCGUUCGUGCCCGUGUGAACUGCGCCUCGCUGGCGCCCUCUCCUUUCCUGCAGCUUCCCCUCUGAGCUUCUUUCCUUUCUCGUUUCUGCCUGGCAAGUCCCUGACUUGCUUCCCUUCUUUUCUUCUCCGCACGCUGCCCCGUGGCAGCCCGUGUCUCUCCCCAGUUCCCGUCAGUCAAGGCUCAAGCUGCCAAAUGGCAGCCUCUGCUCUCCUCUUGGUUUCUCACGCUGCCAAAGCAGCGUCCUCCCUUCUAUCUCUCCCCAUUCUCUCUGCUAUCUGCUGCCAAAGGCAGCUUAUUUCGUUCCCCCACUGCCAAGGCUGCAAGGUCUUGUUUAUUCUUUUCUCUCCCGAGGCUAAUGCCUCACCCACCACACUAAUGCUGCAAGUGCAGUUUUUUUAUUCCUUCUGUGCCUUUCACCUACCACACUCUGCAAAGCUUUUUAUUAUUUUUCUCUUUUCUGAUCCCCAAGUGCUCCUUUUCUUCCUCACACCUCCAGCUCGAAAAGCACCUGCAUGCGUAUUUACUAUAUCAAAAGUAGAGAACAACGUGUGUGUGUCUAUUUAUAUGUGUGUGUAUGCAUAACAAAAUAUAAAACUUGGAUCAAUUACUUAUUUUAAACUAAAGGUGGAAGGGAUAAGAAUUAAUACUUAAACUAAAACAAAUCUUACUUUUUGACGAAUUUAUUAUUUAAAACUCAUUUGUGCCAUUUUUAUUUUCUUUGCAUAACAAAUCCUAUAAACACAAAAAUAACGUAAAUAGCUCAAAAAUAUAAGGAAUUAACUAAGAAAAGACGAGUGAAUUUGAAGUAAAAAUAUAUAUAAAUAUGAUCCGAUCAAAUACCCCCAUACUUAGCUUUUGCUAGUCCUCGAGCAAAACAAAGAAAACAUGAAAAAGUACUAACAUGAAAAACAUUAGUUUCCCCCUAUGUGACCCUCAUAGAAUUUCAUUCGAGAAAACAAAUCAUCAAGAACCAUAGCUAACACCAACAAACUAAUCCAAGUUCAUCUUCCUCAUUCAAAUAUUAGCAGUAAUCUUUAAAUCAUCCUUGAAGUGUAGUGUGUGAGAUAGCCAUGCUAAUGCAAUUUCAAGUUUUUAUUUUUAAAAUCAUCAUAUGCAAACUAGCGACCUUCUCACGGGAUAUGCACUCAAUCACACAUGUGUUUAGUUUUAAUGUGUUUCGCUCAAAGAAACAAAUGUGAAAUAUCUACCAUAAGCUUGCAUAAAGAUCACUUCUCCACAGUCAUAAAUGCAAAACUUAAAUCAAGAGGACUUUUAUUGGAUGUAAUGAGGCUUAGGGAUAGGGUUAUUGAAACGAAAGAAUAGGAAAACACAAGUUCCAAGCUACAUUGCAAGCAAUUCUUUUGUUUAGAUUUAUAAGAACUCAAUCUUUCCAGCGAUUCUUCUAGCACCUCCAACCACACCCUUAAACUGAAACUUUAAAAACUUUUUAUUUUCUUUGUAUACAAUCUUCUUCUUUUUUUUUUUUUUUUUUUUUUUUUUUUUAACACAUAACUAAAUACAAACAUGAAAUACCCCCACACUUAUUCUUUUGCCAACACCUUCAAAAUACUUCACAAACGUUUCUCAUAAGACAUUCUCGCAUUGCUCACUAGCUUGCUUGGAAAGGGUAAGGAAAAAUGUUUCAGGUAUAAGGGUAGACAUAUCUGGUGAUAAGAAAUAAAAGGCUCAACAUACACGGCUCAAAUUGGCAAUCUAAUGAUAUCAUUUUUCUUUGGGAAACAUGGUUAUUUGGGCCAUAGUGGUAAACCUAAUGCCUCUAUCAUUUCCAAAUUCAUGCAAUCAAUGACAAACAUUUCGAAAGAUCGUUACGCAAGUUCUAGAGAUGUAUCUCACAUAAGUUCAUCACACAUAAAAAAAAUAGGAGUGUAUGAAAAAUGCACACACUUUCAAUAGGCUCAAAAACUCACAUAGGAUGUAUAUGGUCACUAAAUUCACAUAUGAAGCUUUAAGUCAUGCUUUAGUUUCACAUCAACAAGGCUAUGUGCAUUUGGUUUUUCAAAGAUGAUCAAACAUGUACAAAACUAACAAGAGAAUUAGGAAUUUCACAAAACACAUGUUAACUAAGUUCUUUGAUGAUCAUGGUUCAAAUUUGAUCCAAUUAUAUCAUUGGGUCGGGAAACUAACAAAAAUCUAAUUCAUAACAAUAAGGGGAACAAGACAAUAUUUUUGGAUUUUUAAAUUUUCCGAUUUUUUUUUUUUUUUUUUUUUUUAAAGAAAACAAAACUAAUUAAGAAAACAAAAAACAACAACACGUCCUCAAAUGAAAUUCUAGAGAUGUCUACCCCCACACUUAAACUGGACAUUGUCCCCAAUGUCAGAAAACACUAUAAUGCAAUUAAAAAUAAAUAAAUAAAAUAAAUAAAUAAUAAGAAACAACAUAAAGCAAUUGGACUGAAAACUUCCCUAGUUUGCAGUAAAAUCAAGCGAUGACCCCCCCAAGCUAAAAUUCUGCAAUCAACUCCAAGGGUGGAAAUAACCAAAAAUUCCUGCAAAGAAAAGAAAUAAUUCAGUUAAGCAACGCAAUAAAAUGAAAAAAAAAAAUUGCAAACGAAAAAUUGAAAAUCACGAUAAAAGACAAUGAAUAGAACUAAUAAGUGAUCAUUGGUCGUGCUUGUUGACUUUCCACAGCUUUCCUCUUGAACGGGGUGACACUUAGCUUUUUACUUGCAAGUGAUGAUUUGAUGAUAUUGUACGGCGAAGCUUUGCUCUUUGGUGAUGUUGCAGUUCCUUAUUUGUUCUCCAAGCAGUGGCAGCUUCUCUAGUUCUUCAGCUCGGACUCCUUGUGCUGGGUUGAUUGUACGAGCUGCAUUCUUCUCUGCUUGUUUCCUCUGCAUGGCGGGCAGGCACGAGGUAAAGGUGUUGGUCUGUUUCUUUCUUCAAUCUUUCCAAGUGUCCACCUUUUGCUCUCUUUCUCCUUGUCCCUAGCUGAAUUGUCUCCACAUGCUUCGAGGUAUCAUUUUCACUUCCCUUACUGUCCCCCAGGCAGAUGUGGUAGACGAAGAGAAAGCAUAAAAUGAUGAAGAUGAGUACUCGAGAGCAAGGCUAGGUAAGCAAUCAGGAAGGGGUUCCAGGCAGUUGGCUCCAGAUCGGAAGAUUGAUACCAAAUGCUGGCUGAUUGCUCUCUUUCUCCUUGUCGUAAAACAAAGACAAGGAAAAGGACAGGGAGAAAGCAUGAUAUGAGAUACUCUUGCUUUCAACCUUCAUGAUAUGAAAUACUUUUGCUCUGGAUGGGUUGUUUGCAGGGGUAUCCCAGGGAAUGAAAAAUACAGAGUGACUUGAGAGGGUUUGUUGGAAAGCCAUUUCAGAGAGGAAGAAGUGCUGAGAGGGUGUGCCUUUGCUGUGGAAGGCGAAGGUAGAUACUUAUGGGACUUUUCUUCACAACCGGAACUAUUCCCUCACUCAUUGUCGGCAGCCGGUGGAUGGAUGAAUAGUACAAAUUACGCGCUCUGACAAAGCUGCCCGUAAUUUCCGCAAAGCAGAUUCCUCAUUGAUAUCUGGAAUCGGCGCUUCGAGCUCUGAGCAUCGUCGAUUGUAGAGGUAGCAUGUGACACGUGCGGAUAAAUCUGGAAAAGAAGAUUUGCCCGUGGGUUGAAGCCCAGCUUUUGAGAAAGCUAGCGUGUCUUUGACUGUUGAAUUUCCCUCUUCGAUUUCUGAAUUGGUGCUUCGACAAACUGCCCGAGAUUUCCGCAAAGCAAUUUGCGUGUGACAAGUGACGACACGUCUGGACAAAUUGAUCUUUUGAAAUCCGGGGUUCGGCUCGUGGUUUCUGAGCAAGCCCAGCCUUUAAGAAAUGAAACGCCUCUUUUGAGAAAAGAAUCCGGCUUUUGAGAACGGAGCCCCGACUCUUCGAUUUGCGAGAGGACGCCUCUUCAAUUUCUGAGGAGCGCCUCUUUGAUUUCUUCUUUUUAUAGAGGCGCUAAUUUUUUUCCACAACACACUUGAGCUCCCUCCUGUAAACACUCCCUUCUUGCACUUGUUUAAUCUUGAUCAGUCCGACUCUCUUCUUUCUUCACCACCUCUGAAAAAUGUCUGGCCAUUCCGAUCGUCGUUUUGACUUGAACCUUGGUGAAAAGGCAGCUCCGCCUUCACCAGACAACAUAUGGCGCCCAUCUUUCAUAUCCCCUACCGGUCCCCUUACCGUGGGGGAUUCGGUGAUGAAAAAUGACAUGACCGCUGCGGUGGUGACCCGGAACCUUGUCACCCCCAGAGAUAACAGACUGCUCGCUAGACGGUCUGAUGAAUUGGCGGUUAAGGAGUCUCUGGCUCUUAGCGUGCAGUGUGCGGGUUCUGUGUCCAACAUGGCCCAACGCCUAUAUACUCGAACCCGUCACGUUGAAUCGUUGGUGGCUGAAAUACAGAGUCUCAAAGAGGAGAUUAAAGGACUCAAGCAUGAAAAUAAACAAUUGCACAAGCUUGCACACAGUUAUGCCACAAACAUGAAGAGGAAAAUUGACCAGCUGCAGGAAAAUGAUGGUCAGAUUUUACUUGAUCACCGGAGGUUUGUGGGUUUGUUCCAACCGCAUCUGCCUUCGUCUUCAGGAGCGGCACCGCGUAGUGAAGCUCCAAUUGAUCAACCUAUGUUGCCUCCUCCUUAUGUUGCCCCGCCGACUGCUGAAGCACCGCCGACUACUGAAGUACCACCUGACCAAUGAAUGCUAUUAGUUUACACAUCAUUGUAAAAUAUUUUUAUUUUUUCUUUUAUUUUAUUUUAUUUUAUUUUAUUUUUAUUUUUUUUAUCAAUGUAAAAUAAGUAAAUCAAUGUAAAAAGACUUUUGUUUAAACCUGCCCCUACACUUAAAACUAAAUAACACAAACUCACAAAAAUCAACCAAAUAAACACAACUAAACUAAACAAAAACAAAAUGAAAGCAGUAAAGAUAAGGGUGUAAGAAUUCAAAAAUUAAUCAAAAAAAAAAUUGUAAGAAUUGUAAAAAAUUUAAUUUUGAAAAAAAAUUUGUUGAGCAAUUUUCAAAAUCUCCCUUCGUUGAAUGCUUAGGUUGCCUCCCAAGAAGCGCUUGAUUUAACGUCUUUAGCUUUUAACGGUCUUUAGCCGAAUCUUUUUCUUUUAAACUCCCCUCGGCUCCAAAGCAUGGAAUUUAUCUUUUAAUGGGAGGUGAUACUUGAAAAUGAUUCGGCAAUGGUUUUAAAUUCAAGAGUGGGUGCCUGAAUCAUCAAAAUCAGAAAAAUGUUAGUAUAAAUAAAAAUUAAAAUUGGAGAAGAUGGCUUACUUUCUUUUUCUGACACAAACUCAAUGACAAACACCACAUUUUUGAACAUUUCCGGGACUUUGAACUUGGCCAAGUUUACUAUGAUGGUUGUGGCUUGUCCCGGGUCAUCAAACUCAACUGCUUUGGGCUUGAUUGUCUCAUGCACAACCUCUUGGAUGUAUUCUUGAUAUGCUUCAACCACUUCAUUCUCUUGAAUCCCUUUUCUUGGUGUGCAAGGUUCUUUGAACGUUUCAAUACCAUCGGGAACUUGUUUUGGUGCACCAAGAAUUUGGAUAUCACUUUGCACCUUUGGAAGAGCUUCCACAAUGUCUUUUUCACUCUCUUUGAUAUUUGGAAUCAAAAACCUGCAAGGACAAAGGACAUUCGGUGGAAUAAUGUUAGAAUGAAGUGAAUUUAGAACUUCCUCACCUGAGUUGGAUGACAUAGGGAUUUGAGGAGCUUGCAGCAAGAAUUCUUCUAAACUGCCCAGGUCGUCCUCCUCCUCUUCUGCUUGCAGCAGCAGCAGCAAUUCAUCCAUGUUCGGGCUGUGUUUGGAUGGUUCUGGGACAGCUUCAUCCUUCAUAGCACUUCCCAAAGUGAUAGCAUCGUGGAUUUCAAAAUCUCUUCCUUCGAAUUUUCAACAUUUGAGUUGGAGAGUUCACUUUGCUCUUGAAUUUGAAUUUGUACCAUGAAUUCCAUAAUCUCUCCCAUUUGACUCUUCAAUUUAUCCAACUUCUUGUCUUUUUUGUUGGUCCUGCGUCAAAGAGGUUAGUACUUGAAGAAUUUGAUCACUAUCCAUGGACAUACUUGAAUUUGAUUGGAAUUGUUGUGGGGUAUGCGGUGGUGGCUGUAUAGGUGUGGUGUAGAACUCCUCAUAUGGCUGCCAAUAUGCAUCUUGUUGAGCCUCCUUGGCUUGAUUUUGUGAGCCCUGCACCAAACAAUUUAAUUCAUUAAGAAUUUGAUUAUAAUUUAUUGACGAACCUGAGUUUGAUUGAGCAUAUUGCAUAGGUUUUGAAUAGAACUCCUCCUCUUGCUGCCAAUAUCCCUCUUGUUGGAAUUGUUGAGGUUCCCCCCACAUAUAAUUUGAAUGAUCUCUCCAAGCCGAAUUGUAAGCGUUGGAAAAACAUGUUGUUGCUUGGUUGAUCAUAGCCUUGAUAACCCCAAGCAUCUUCGUUCACAGUGAAUUGAGGAUGUUGAUAUCCUUGCCCAUAGGGCACAUCAAAUGUAGGGACACUUGGCAUUGUGGUCCGUUCGGCAUUAUGAGUCAAUUGAGCAGUGAGCUGUGCCAAUUGAGCUUGAAUGGUCGCAAGUGCCAUGUCUUGCUCCAUUUGUACCUAAAAUCAAAGAAAGAAAAAUAACUCAAAUAUCAAAAGUAACACAAAACAAGGAAAACAAAACUAAGUCAGAAACUAAAACAAAAACAAACUAAACAAAAAGAAAAGAACCAAGGGAUUAGCAAAGUUGCUAAUCCCCGGCAACGGCGCCAAAAUUUGGUGCGAGAAUUACUUGACACACAAAUUAAACCCUCUUUUUGACAAUUGUAGUAUAGAUGUAAUUAGGGUAUCGUUCUAGGCCGGGGAUUAGGAGGGAUUGCUAAUCUAUUCUAAAUUAAUUUAAAAAUAUUAAACAAGACUCAAGGACACAAAACUAGACUAAAAACUCUAAUAACUCGAAACACACUUAGAAUGACUCAAAAUAAUGAAAACAAUCAAAUUAGACACUAGGAACUGCAAUGGACGGAAAUUGAAUUAAAAGACUAACAACAAUGAAAACUAACUAAAUAAUAUAAUUUAAUAAUGAGGGGGGUUUGGUUUUGACGAGACGUAAAUUAAACUUAAAUAAAUUACAGAAUUGACAAAAGCAUGAAAUUAAGGUGAAAUGAUAAGUGACGGAUUAGCUAGAGGGUUCUUCUCCACACAUGACACAUAUGCAACCUAAAUUGAUUUUCAGUUGUUCUUUCAAUAAAUUGUAAAUCUCAACGCCCCAAAUUAACCGUGAAUUGCACUAAUUAACCCUCAGUUUUUCCACAAUGUUAUUGGGUUGGAUGAUUGCAUACGACAACCCAAAACAUUCCCUACAAGUUCCCUACAUGAAUUGCAUAAUAGAGAUACAAGCAAGAAUCAUUAAGUUCUAUGAAAAACAUAAGCAUUGACGAGGCACUCGUUACUAUGAUUUGCAUGAAACUUAUGCCAAGAAUUUACUUAACGUGAUUGUGACAAGCAACCUUCACUACUUGUGAAUAUAAGUUCAUAACGAUUAGGUGAAAUUCACUUAUAUUCUAGCAUCAAAUUCAUGCAUGUAAAUUAAGUAUGCAUCCUUAAUCGACAUACAAAAAUAAGUUAUAAAUCAAGCAGUUAAGCAAAUUAAAUCACAACUCAGAAAUCACAACUGAAGGUAAUCAAUUCAUAUUACAAAUAUAUUCAUGGCUUUGAAUUAACCUCUAGCCAAAAUAAAAUUAGUUACACAUUAUUAAAAACAGAAAUAAAAUAUAAAUUUAGAAAGAUUUAACCGAAAGAAGGUGAUCUGCUGCGUUCGUGCCCGUGUGAACUGCGCCUCGCUGGCGCCCUCUCCUUUCCUGCAGCUUCCCCUCUGAGCUUCUUUCCUUUCUCGUUUCUGCCUGGCAAGUCCCUGACUUGCUUCCCUUCUUUUCUUCUCCGCACGCUGCCCCGUGGCAGCCCGUGUCUCUCCCCAGUUCCCGUCAGUCAAGGCUCAAGCUGCCAAAUGGCAGCCUCUGCUCUCCUCUUGGUUUCUCACGCUGCCAAAGCAGCGUCCUCCCUUCUAUCUCUCCCCAUUCUCUCUGCUAUCUGCUGCCAAAGGCAGCUUAUUUCGUUCCCCCCACUGCCAAGGCUGCAAGGUCUUGUUUAUUCUUUUCUCUCCCGAGGCUAAUGCCUCACCCACCACACUAAUGCUGCAAGUGCAGUUUUUUUAUUCCUUCUGUGCCUUUCACCUACCACACUCUGCAAAGCUUUUUAUUAUUUUUCUCUUUUCUGAUCCCCAAGUGCUCAUUUUCUUCCUCACACCUCCAGCUCGAAAAGCACCUGCAUGCGUAUUUACUAUAUCAAAAGUAGAGAACAACGUGUGUGUGUCUAUUUAUAUGUGUGUGUAUGCAUAACAAAAUAUAAAACUUGGAUCAAUUACUUAUUUUAAACUAAAGGUGGAAGGGAUAAGAAUUAAUACUUAAACUAAAACAAAUCUUACUUUUUGACGAAUUUAUUAUUUAAAACUCAUUUGUGCCAUUUUUAUUUUCUUUGCAUAACAAAUCCUAUAAACACAAAAAUAACGUAAAUAGCUCAAAAAUAUAAGGAAUUAACUAAGAAAAGACGAGUGAAUUUGAAGUAAAAAUAUAUAUAAAUAUGAUCCGAUCACCUAUGUAUCAGUCUCACCAGUUUCAGGCUCCUGCUCCGGUUCAACAAUAUCAGUCUCAACAAUUUCAAGCUCCUUCUCCGGUAAACAAAUGCAUCCACCCUAUGUGCAGCAUCAAAACAUAUCACAACAAGCUACUUCUCCCGUUGCUUUCACUGCAAGAACCAACUUCUCACCUUCUGCACCUCCGCAAGAGUAUUGGCUGCUUGAUUCUGGUGCUACCAAUCAUAUGACCUCUGAUCUGUCCUGUCUACAUGCUCCUACCCCAUAUCCAUCCACUGAAACUGUAAUUGGGGCUAAUGGUGAAGGUUUACACAUUUCAUAUAUUGGACAGUCUUCUCUUAUUACUCAUUCUCAUAAACUUCAGUUAAAAACAGUGCUUCAUGUUCCACAAUUAUCUCAACAUUUACUUUCCAUGCAUCAAUUAUGUUAGGACAAUAAUUGUCGAUGCAUUAUUGAUGAGUUUUAUGUGUGCAUACAGGACAAGGUCACCAACAAGGUUCUCUUUCAAGGACUGAGUAACAAUGCUAUUUACCCACUUCCUUUGCUCAAACAACCACAGAUCAAACCUGCUGCUUGUCUUGGCCAAAAGGUUAAUACUACCCUGUGGCAUUGUAGAUUGGGUCAUCCCACCAAUUAUGUAGUUCAAUCUGCUCUUAGUAAGGCAGAUAUUUCUUUCCAUUGUCAUUUUGUUCCUCAACCAUGUACCUCUUGCUUACAAGGCAAGUUUACCAAAUUACCAUUCCCAUUAGCAGCAUCUAAGUCCAAUGUACCAUUUGAAGUCAUUCACACAGAUGUGUGGGGCCUUGCACCUAUCAUGUCUAUAGAGGGUUAUAGGUACUAUGUGUCUUUCAUCGAUGAAUGUACAAGAUAUACAUGGAUUUUUCCAAUCAUGAAUAAAGCUGCAGUUUGUGAAACCUUUAUUCAGUUUCAUGCUUUCAUUCAAAAUUCAUUUUCUGUUACUAUCAAAGUCUUACAAAGUGAUGGUGGUGGAGAGUUUGUUGGAUCUAUGUUUCAGAAGUUUCUUAGAACCAAAGGUAUAUUGCAUCAAAAGUCUUGUCCCUAUACUCCUGAACAAAAUGGGUUGGUUGAGAGAAAAAAUCGUCACAUAGUUGAAACUGCCCUUACUUUACUACAAAAAGCCUCUCUUCCUUCACAGUUUUGGUUUCAUGCUUAUGCCACAGCCACCUUUCUUAUCAAUCGAAUGCCUACACCUGUUUUACAUAUGCAUUCCCCAUUUGAAAAGUUAUAUCACUCUCCACCUUGAUCAUUUAAGAGUCUUUGGAUGUGCAUGUUACCCUACUUUAAAACCCUAUAGACACAACAAGUUGGAACCAAAAACUACACAGUGCAUAUUUCUAGGUUAUGCAGCUCAGUACAAAGGAUAUAUUUGCUAUGCUAUCCGAGACCAUAAACUAAUUGUCUCUAGGCAUGUUGUGUUUGAUGAAGAUACAUUUCCUAGCUUACCAGGUUCUGUUUCUAGUUCACCAUCAUUGGCACCAUCGAUUAUACCUCAUCCCAAUACAUUUCAACAUCCAUCUUUUAUUCCCAUUCCUUUUCCCCAUAGUCCAUUUCCUUCUUCUUCUUCCCAUACCACAGAUUCUCCUUCUGUUACUCAGUCCUCUUCCUCCAUACCUGGUGAUCUUGUCUCUUCUCAAUGCUUACCUACUAAGGCCACAGUUGCACAGUCUGUGGAGCAUGCUGAUAUUAAUCCUGAUGUUACUACUUCUCAAGUUCAAGCACUGCAUCAUGUUUCAGUGUCUCAAAUCAAUACACAUCCAAUGCAAACAAGGUCGAAAUCUGGCAUAUUAAAAAAGAAGGCUCUUCUUGCUCAGGUACAAUCUUCUUCUAUCACUGAGCCAUAGUCUUUCAAGGUUGCUGUUCAGUCCUCUAAGUGGAGACAAGCUAUGGAAGAUGAAAUGGCAGCUCUUGUGAAGCAGAAAACCUGGAGAUUAGUUCCUCUUCCACCUAACAAGAACUUGGUUGGUUGUAAAUGGAUCUAUAAGAUCAAACGUAAUUCGGAUGGUUCAGUUGCUCGAUACAAGGCCAGGUUGGUGGCCAAGGGUUUUUCCCAAGAAGCCGGUCUUGACUAUCAUGAAACUUUCAGUCCUAUCGUCAAGCCAACCACAGUGAGACUUCUGUUGUCCCUAGCUGCUACAAAGCGUUGGAAAUUAAAACAGUUAGAUGUCAAGAAUGCUUUUCUUCAUGGUUUUCUUGAUCAAGAGGUGUAUAUGUCUCAGCCACAGAGCUUCAUUGAUCCUGAUCAUCCUGAGUUUGUGUGCAAAUUGGACCGGUCUCUCUAUGGCCUUAAACAAGCUCCUCGAGCUUGGAAUGACAGAUUUUCCAGGUUUAUUCUUACCUUGGGUUUUAUAUCCUCAUAUGCUGAUCUAUCGUUAUAUGUGAAGCAAAAUGGUCAGUCUAUUGUUGUACUGUUAUUAUAUGUUGAUGAUAUAAUUCUCAGUGGUGAUUGUGAUACUCAAGUUCAAGCUGUCAUAGAUCAGUUAACAGCUGAAUUUGACAUGAAGGACCUCGGGAUUUUACACUAUUUCCUUGGUCUUCAGAUUGAUUAUCGACCUACAGGUUUCCUGGUGCAUCAAACCAAGUAUGUUACUGAUCUUCUUACUAAGAUAAACAUGCUGGAUUGCAAACCGUGUACAACUCCUUGUCAUCCAACUCAGAAGCUGCUGAAUCAUGGUAGUCCUCCUUUCCAUGAUCCGAGUAUCUAUCGCAGCAUUGUUAGUGCUCUCUAAUAUUUGACAUUUACACGACCGGAUAUUGCAUACUCGGUUAAUCAAGUUUGUCAAUUCAUGCACUCACCUCUGGAUAGUCAUUUCAUUGCUGUUAAACAGAUCUUGCGGUACCACCGAGGGUCCAUGAAUCUUGGCUCGUGUUUUCAACCUGGAAAUAUGGAUCUUAAAGCAUAUACGGAUGCUGAUUGGGCUGGGGAUCCUAAUGACAGGAGAUCCACCACAGGGUUUGUUGUAUUCCUAGGCAAUAAUCCUUUAUCUUGGAGUUCUAAGAAGCAGCACACGGUUAGUCGUUCAUCGACCGAGGCUGAGUAUCGUGCUAUGGCGAUAACCACUGCUGAGGUGGUUUGGUUACAACAAAUACUCAAGGACUUGCAUCUUCCUUGUUCAGACGUUCCUCUUCUACACUGUGACAAUAUUUCUGCUAUGGCACUGGCAACAAAUCCGGUCUUACAUUCUAAAGCUAAACAUAUUGAAAUCGAUUGUCAUUUUGUUUGAGAACGUGUUCAACAAGGUUCCAUUAUCUUGCAGUUUGUUGCAUCCUCAGAGCAGCAUGUUGACAUCUUUACCAAGGGCUUAUGUUAUCCUAUGUUUAGCUCACAUUGUAACAAUCUUAUGCUUGGUUCUUCCAAGCAUAAGCUUGAGGGGGAAUGUUAGGAUAUAGCUAUGCCAUGUGUCAUAAUUGUAUUGGGGUUGUGAAUGUUAGUCAUAAGGUGUGUUGUAUUUAUAAGAGAUUAGUGUUGUCAUAAACAUAAGAAAAUAUAACAAGAUUAUUUUUUUCCUCUCUACUUUCUCUCUCUAUUUCUCUGUGUUCGAUAUCUUCUUCUCUAAGUUUCUUCCAUAUAGUUGGUUUGUUAACAGUUGGUUAUUGUCUCAAUUAAUAUUUAGGCGUUUGAAAAUUAAGAAAUGAUGCCUAAAUCUACUGAGGCACCCGCUAGACCGCCUAGACCCACCUAGGUUGCAACUCACUUAAACAGAAAAUAGAUAACUUUCAUUUUGAAUUUUUUUUUAAUAAAUUGUAAGAGACUUGUUGAAUACUUAAAUGAACACACAUUAUAGGCUUGCUCCUCAUGUUUUCAUUAUGUUCCAAUACUUCAUAAUAUAUAUGUCAUUCUAUUUUGUAGUUUUAUGAUGAAAUUAUAUAUAUAUAUAUAGUAAGUAUAAACAUACAUUUAUUUACAUAAAAUAUAAUAGAUUUACUUAAAUCCGCCUAGACCUCAUCUCGUCGCCCGAACCUUGAUAGCAACACAUGGAGGAAUACAAUUUAACAGCCCAAGUAAAUGAAACUUUUUCUUUGAAGAGCAAGAAAAAAAAUAAAAAUAAUUUCCGGGAUAUAAAAUCUCAAGAUUUCAUAGUUAGGUUAGCGGUACAUUGAUAUUAUUGUUGUAAAAUCGGCAGUGUGUAUGCAGUGGAAUAAAUGAAAUAAGACCCAAUAUUUACGAAGUUCCUCUAACGUUAGUAUGACUAGAGUACGCCUUCGAGGCAGCAGUGGUGCGUGCUUUCAUUCAUUAUCUCGAAUAAUAGGAGUAAAAAUAUAACAGUAUGACUAGAGUACGCCCUCGAGGCAGUAGUGGUGCUUUCAUUCAUUAUCUCGAAUAAUAGGAGUAAAAAUAUAACUAUCUCCAUUCUCUUAUCUCUUCUUUCUCUCUUUGAUGUUGUUUCAUAAUUCCCUCUCUUCUUGAUGUGUGUUCUCUUCUUAAACUUCGGCCUUCCUUAUAUAGGCAAGAUGUUAAAUCAAAACCUACCACACUCACUUAAUAUCUUCACCUUCUACACCCAUUAAUCCUUUACAUAUUACACCAACCACACUAACAAAACCUACUACUCCCACUACAUAAUGGACAUUCAAUAUUUACAACAAUUACCUAUUUUUUUCCUUGACAACCUGCAAAAUCGAUAGACAUGAUGCUCAAGAGCAGAUGAGAAAAAGUGAAUUCUAGCAUGAAUAGUGUUUUCUACAAGUUACUAGUGAUUUUGAGUUUUUGUUAUCUAUUCUAUCUCAUGAUAUUUUUUAGCGUUUUACUAUCUUUAGUAGGCUAAACAAUGAACUAAAAAUAGCUUUCAAGUUUUAAGGUUAUUUUUUCAAUUUUCAUAAUUUCAUGUUUUGCUUUCCUUUCGAUACGAGAGGCUCUUCUCAAACUUCUAGUGUUACAUAUAACUAUCAUAAGGUGGUAGUUUGUGUUCUCUCUAAACUUUAACUUCCGUUAUUUUAAGAACAUAAUUAGUUAUCAAUUAUAAUCCAAUCAUAGGCAUCAAAUAAGACUUUUAUUAACAACUUAACUUUAAUCCCUUGUGGAAUAAAGUAAUGAUUCGGGUAAUUAAUUUCAAUUUGCUAGCUCCGGCAGUUUUUAGCUUCACCGCAUCCAAAUUGUCUGGCUUAACUGGCUUUUGCUUUACAAAAUAGCGUGCAUCCCAGCCUACAAGUCAAUCUUUCUUUCAUGAUGUGCGAUUUUAUUUUAUUUUUCCCUAAUAUUUUGUGUUUUGCUGUUUCAAAGCUUGUUUUCAGAUUUUUAUAUUUUAGGCUUUGUUUUAGAGGGGUUAGGUUAUAUGUGUGAGAAUGUGAAUGUAAAAGAGUUUCUCCUUGUUGAAAGGACAAAACCUUGUAAUAGCUUAUAAGAGGUUGGGCUACUCUCAUAUUGCCAAUUGGUUUUAUAGUGGAACCUCAACUUUCAUGGUAUCAGAGAAAGUUGACUAAGUGUAAAGCCUAAUAGCCACACGUACUCUGCAUCACCUAAUUUGUGUUGGCCGCAUGUUUUCUUUCCACAGUCAAAAUGUGUAUUGCAAAUUUGUUUUUGUCCCUAUAUUAUAUACAACAUAUGGACCUGUUUUCUUUAUAGGGGUGUGAUAUCCACACACCCCAUUUUACUUCUCACAUACCAUUUUAAAUUUCGGCCGUCGGAUUAGAUGAAUUGAAGAAGAUCAACAGACAGAAAUUAUCAAGGGGUGUGUGAGAAGUAAAAUAGGGUGUGUGGAUAGCACACCCCUUCUUUAUAUAUACAUAUAUAUAGGCUAUUCUAAAUUUCCUAUCAACGGAUUACUAUGUUGUUGCUAGCUCUAGUUUGAUUAGGUUGUUCUAAGUUUCCAAUGACAAGUGAAUUAAUUAAGUAUACGUGUGGUGGGAUCAUGAGAAACAUUUUUUCUUUUGUUUGGUAAACUGGACUUCAUUAAACCAGGGCAAAGAUGCCAGAAUACACAGAAAGCCUACAGCGAGGCAAACAGUUGGAAAACAGCAUGAACAAUUAGUAGUGUGAGUGGUCCAAAAGUCGACGAUGCCGCAUCAAAUGCUAAAAACAUCACCACUCACACUACCGUGGGGGUUUAGGGAGGGCAUGGGAGUCCAUCAUUACAAAGUACAUGAAUAAGGGAAGAUGGAGGUCGAUCGACCCAAAUUAUAUCGCACAUCUCCCUUCACUGUCUCGAUGCUAAGAAGUCCACCGCAUGAUUGGCUGAUCUUGGAGUCCAAAAUCAGCGACAGGCUUGGAAAGUGUCCCCCAAUCUUUUACAUUUCAUGAGAAUGGGGAAGGCUUCCCAACUGCCCAGAGUUGGCAUAUUCCUGAGGCUGGCAAUAGAUUCCGACAAAUCGAACUCAAUAAUCACAGAGUUCCAACCCUGAGAAAUACCAACUCACAUCCAUGGAGAAUCGCCUUUGCCUCCGCCAUAGCUACAUUAGUUACAGUGAUCAUGUAUCUACAUGCUAUCAAGAGACUCCCUUCAGUGUUCCGCGCAACCACACUUGUAAAACCAAAUCGCAAACUUGGCAUCCAACUGGCAUCAACAUUGAUUUUAAUGAACUCUGGACAAGGCGAAGUUCACAGAACCACAUUAGCUGUUAAGUUAUCGAGUGAAGGUGUGUUGAGCAAUAAGCUCGAUGCUUCAAUGAAGGCUCCAGCCAUAUUGGAAAUUAAGAUGACCACCUGUCUUAGAUUAAUUGGAGCAUGAUUGAAUAUCGCAUUGCAUCUGGCCUUCCAAAAUGCCUAACAUGUGAAACCGAUAUACGAUAGCUUUCUAAUUACCUCUAACUUUAAACCUUUAGCAAUCCCAGAUAUGUCCAUUAGCCAAUAUGCCCAAGUAGUAAUCUGAUCCCUGUUGAUUUUCAAAUUAAGAGCAUCGCCAAACCAAAUCAACUCAACCCAAGGACAUAGGAUGAAUAGAUGCUCAACCAACUCCUCGUGACUUUUACAUACUAGGCAAAUAGGUGAUUACGCUGAUCUCUUCUUGAAUAGAUUCUCUAUGUUUGCAAUUUCUAGAUUACCUUCCAAAGAGAGCUGGGAAUAGAAGUAGAGGAUGAUAGGCCGGGGCUUCCACGAGUUGGUCUCUUUGAAACAGCUUAGUGGUAUCCCGAUUUGACGGAAAAAAAUCCCUUUUUAUCGAAUGGCCACACCAACUUGUCUCGGAGUUCCGGGUCCCCUACUGGAGUUUCCAACAUCACACCAUAGUCCUUAUUCGAUACAAACGGUUUUAGAAAUUCAAUUUCCUAUUCACCAUUCUCCGAACCAAUAAGUGAAUUCACCCUAGUGUUGUGACUAACUCUUACCUCACCCCUCGAUGGAUAUCAUCCCAAAUGAAUGGAUGGAAUCCAUAUGUCAAUCCAAACUCUCACAUCUCUACCAUUCAUAAUUGCCAAUGUGCUCCCCCAAACAAUAAAUCAUGUCUAGCUAGGAGGCUGGACCAAGCCCACGACGCUCUUCCACCCAAUUCCGCAUCCAAGAAUGAACAAUUGGGAUAAUACCAUGAUUUAAAGACCUCCACCCAUUUGGAGUUUGGCUUGGAAAUUAACCUUCAACAUUGCUUUGCCAAAAGGGCAUCAUUAAAACCCACAAAAUUUUUGAACCCAAGCCCUUCAUCUGCUUUUGACCUACACAGAUUCUCUUUUGAAACCCAAUGUAUCCGACAUUCUCCUUCUUUUUGGCCCCACCAAAAAUCAGCUAUCAUAGCAUCCAACUCUUUGCAGAAUGUUGUGGGGAACUUAAACAGGUUCAUGGGAUAUGCUAGAAUAGCUUGUGCCACAACCUUGAUCAAUACCUUUCUUUCAGCAGUUGAUAGAGUAGAUUUCUUCCACCCUUGAAUUUUCCCCAAGAGUCGCCCCUUUACAUAGGCCAAACCAUUUCUUUGACCAACCCCAAAUAACCGGAACUCCCAGGUACACCCCCGGGUCUUCCACCUUCUCCAUUCCCAGAAUAUCAGUUAAUUCCUCCACUAAAACCAUUGGCACAUUUUUUCCGAAUAACACAUUUGAUUUAUGCAAGUUAAUUUUCUAGCCCAACGUAGAGCAAUACUCAUCAAGUAAUCGGGACAAGAUUUCUGCAAUUAUCUUUCUCCGCCUUCAAGAAAAUUAGAGUAUCAUCUGCAAAAAAUAAAUACGAUAUGAUCAGACCAUUGUGGCUCAUUUGCACUCCUUUUAUUUCCUCUGUCUCACUUGCCUGCUGCAUAAGUUGUGAUAAUACCUCACUUACCAAUAAAAAUAAGUAAGGGGACAAAGGGUCUCCUUGUCGAAGGCCUCCUGAAGAAGCAAAUUUGGAGCCGGGUUGACCAUUGAGGAGAAUGGCAAAGUUCACUGAAGAUAUACAUCCCAUAAUGAGAUUUCUCCAUCAACUAUCAAAACCCAUUUUCUCUAUUACUGCCAUUAGGAAAUCCCAUUCAACACGGUCAUAAGCUUUGUGCAUAUCCAGCUUGAUUCCGAGUUCAAAUUUCCUUUUUGUUUUCCUGAGCUUGAGAAAGUGGAAAAUCUCACGCAUGAUACCAAUAUUAUCUUGAAUUUGCCUUCCUGCUACAAAAGCAUUUUGAGAUGUGGAAAUCAAAGUCAGUUUGCCAUCACCUUUGAAAGAAUCUUGUAGGAAUAGUUACACAAGCUAAUCGGGCGAAAUUGAUUUACAUUUUCCAGGUUUUGCACCUUGGGGAUCAACACCACAUGAGUAGCAUUUAGGCGGAUGAGGUUUUGUCUACCAUUCAUCAAGUCUUCAAUUAAUUCAUUCAUAUUUUUUACAAUAAUGUCCCAGUAAGAGUGAUAGAAUAUGCCCUGAAAGCCAUCAGGACCCGGGGCCUUCAUAGCCCCCAUCUGUAAAGCCACUUCCUUAAUUUCCUCCAACGAAACCGGAGCAAUAAGGGUCUCGUUCAUUUCCACAGUAACUUUGUGGGUGAUGCAUUCUAUACCAAACCCCAUUCCCUAUGCCCCAUUGAGGUAAACAGAUUAGUGAAAUGACUGUCAAUGAUACUUCGGACCACUUGUGGAUUGUCCACCCACUCCCCACUAUCAGCCUUAACAGAGACAACUUUAUUUCGCCUUCGUCUUUGCAUGGUGGAUUGAUGGAAGAACGACGUAUUAGCCUCUUGUAGCCAUUUUAUUCUCGACCUUUGUUGCCAAAAACUCUCUUCUUGACUCCAUAGCCGAUCCACCCUCUUCAUAAGCACUUCGAUCUCUUAAGCAUUGCCCCCCCCCCCCGAAUCUUCUUGAAGAGACCAAAGUUGGCAAUCAUUGAUCUUUCGAUGCUAGCUGUCUAUACUAUCUCCAUUCCGCCUCACCUUCCAGCUCCCUUUAACCACCUUAUGUGAUAGGAGCAUAUUUAUGCACCUUAGUUAACUAGUUCUUAUGCAUUUUCGUUAUGUUUUCUUAGUUUAAAGUAGUCUUUUAAGCUAGUUUCAUAUGUUUUCAGGUUUAAGGGCAUAUUACAUAAAAGGAUGCAAAAUGGAGCCUUUUGGAGCAAAAUGGAGCUUAGAUUGGAAAGUACAUGCUUGGAGCACAAGGAAUGGACGAGUUUGAAGGUCAAAGGAGCUUAAGAAAUGAAGAAAUGAAAGUGAAGAACAAAGAAUUCAGAAUUGGAAACCAAAGUUUCUAAAGUUGGAAGUUUCUAUUCUUGGAGGUUUCCAUUUUCGAGAGUUUCUAUUCGUGGCUUUGGGCUUUUAGAUGACCUAUCUUUUUCCCCUAACCCUAGCCGCACCUAGGCCUCUAGAAUAUCUGAUUUCCUUGCCUUGCAAGGCAUUCUAGAAGGCCCAUCUUUAACCAUAACCCUAGCCGCACCUUAGGCCUUAUUCCCACUAAAAAUCUGAUUGUUUUAACCUAAUUUCUGAUGGAUUUGGGUUUUAGAGGCCCUAAUCUAAUUGCCCUAGGGUUUUGGAUGCCUAUUUAUACACAUUCUAAACCCUUGGCCAAACACCAUCUCCCAUUCACAUCAUUCACGCCAGAAUUUGUUCCUUGCUCUCUGCCGCACCUUUUCAUCACCAUAGUCCAUAAUUUCUGCCCAAAAACAACCCUAGCCGCACCACUCAUCAACCCUAAACCGUUCCCUACCAUUCCCCAUCCAUUCUAGACCCUAAAUACCACCUAAAACCUGUUCUAAACUUCUCUGCCGCAGCAAGGAGGAAGGAGAAAUCGUUGAUGAUCUUGCUGCCAAGUUGGAGCCUUCUAGGUGUUUUCUUUCUUUGGAUUUUAAUUUCUAAUUUUAUGUAUCUUUGCUUUGCGAGUAUGAGGAACUAAAACCCCCUUGGCUAGGGGGGGAUUCAAAACCAUGAUUAUAUAUGUGAAAUAAGUUGAUUACUUCCAGUUAUCGUUGCAUAAGUCGUGAUUACAAUUUGCUUAACCGUUUGAUUUAGAACUUAUUCUUGUAUGUUGAUUGAGAGUGCACGCUUAAUUUGCAUGCUUGAAUUUGGUGCUAGGAUAUAAGUUUGUUUCACCUAAUCGUUAUGAAUUUAUAUUCGCAAGUAGUGAAGGUCGCUAGUCACGAUCAUGUUAAGUAGAUUCCUGGCAAGAGUAUCAUGUUUUUCAUAGUUACGAAUGCCUUGUCGAUGCUUAUGAUUUCCAAAGAACGUAAUGAUUCUAACUUGUAUCUUUAUCAUGCUGUUCAUAUAGAGAACUUGUUAGGAAUAAUUUGUUUGCGAUGCAUAUUCAUCCAAUUCAAUGAUUGUAGGGAAAUCUGAAGGUUAAUUUAAGCGGACCUAAUUAACUUGGAGUGUCGAGGUUUCAUAACUUGUUAAAUUUGAUAACUGGAAAUCGAUUUAGAUUGCAUAUAUUUCAUGUGUGGAGAAGAACCCCUUAGCUAUUCCAUCAUUCAUUGAUUCAUCAUAAGUUUGUCUUACAAUCUGUUUUGUUUACAAUCUGCCCAUUUAGUUUAUUUUCGUCCAAACACAAUCCCCCCAUAUUUUGUUGAGUCUUAGUCAUUAAAAUCUGUUCUAUUUUGUGUUUUUAAGCAUUUGGAGUCAUAAACACUUUCAAAUUCGUCCAAAUCAAGUUCUAGUUUCUGUUUGAGUCAAUUUGAUUGUUUUAGGCAGUUUUGAGUGUUUCAAAUCUGUUUUGAGUCAUAGUAGUCUUGUUAGAGUCUUUAAGUUUAGUUUUUGUGUUUUUUCAAUCAAUUUAUGUUAGAUUAGCACCCCUAGUUAAUCCCCGGUUAGAACGAUCCCUACUUACAUCAUUACUACAAUUGUCACAAAUAGGGUUUAAUUUGUGUGUUAACAUAAUUUUCACAUCAUUAUGGCACUCAGAUUCCUUUACCCAAAAAGCCUUAAAGCGAAAGAUUUUUUUCUUUCUUACCUUAUUUGGAUCACAGUGGACCAAAACUGGGCAAUGGUCAGAUCCCAGCACCGUGCCAUGAGUGGCUAUGGUAUUUCGCCAUAAUGACUGCCAGUGUCUGUUAAUUAGACCUCGAUCAAGACAGGUCUUCCACAAAUUGCCCAUUUCUUGUCCCUCUCCACGUAAAAAUCGAUCAAUUGAAACCCAAAUCCAUGACCUCCAUUUUACUCAUGAAGUCCUCUAAGUACCGAGUUAUAUUGUAUCGCACUUUCACUCCAUCCGAUUUUUCCCAAUCCCAUAAAAACUCAUUGAAAUCACCACCACAUAACCAGAGGAUACUCUUAGGGUGAAAUUUAUGAAUCAUCCCUCGCCAAAACUCAUCUUUUUUUGCUCGGUACAAAGUUCCAUAAACUCUCGUAAACCUAAACACACCAUGAGAGUUGAUGAAGUUGCAUCUGGCAUCAAUAAAGUGUUUCAAGGAUUCCAUUACAUCCACUGUGAUCGAAUCAUUCCACCAUAGACUCAAGCCACCCGCUCUUCCAAUUAGAGCUACAUUAAAGCCGUUUGAGUACCCCAUAUGUCGCCUCACACCUUCGAUUCUAUGAUCUUUCAUUUUCGUUUUCGAUAGAAAGAUCAUAGAGGGCCUAUAUUUUCUAAUUAGCCCAUGGAGGGCCCGAACUAUCUUGUCCGACCCAAGAUCACGACAGUUCCAAAAUAGAUGUAUCAUGGUGACCUUUCGGUUGUUGAAGGCCAACCGCCACCGCCCCGGGAUUGACUUCCCACUUUCCUUUCUUCAGAAGACCUCUUUAUUGCCGCUAAAAUAUCUUUCGUGUAGUCCCACAAAUCCUGGUACUCGAUCGGGAUUUCCUGCAACUCUUCUUCCGCAUAGAUUGCUCUCUCCAUCUUCAAACAUCGCUCCCUUAUGCUCAUCCUUCUCAGCUUUUUUGCGGCUCUCUCUUUUCUCUCCAUUGUACUCCUACUCCCUCCUCAAUUUUAGCUUUCUUCGUUGGGGAUUGCAUCAUCUCAUGCUCUUCUAUAUCCAUCCCUAUUAUAGAGCUACUGCCACUCCCCUUCCCCUGCCGACCCACAUAGCUCUCCUCAAAUAUCCCAUCCAUGCCUAGCUUCGCCCUUCGCUUGGUAAGUUGAGUGAGUUUGUGUUGAUGGAGCCAUCACCAUGGUUCCGCCUAGAUUCGUAUUCUCUUCCUGUAUUUCUUCAAUCGUUACAGCUGGCUUUUUUAUGAACUCCCCUAGAAACACCCCUUGCUCAAAGCCACUCAACACACACCCAUGCAACUGAGGCAUAAAUCCCUUUCUGAUCCACGGAGUAGGGUGAGUGCCACUGCCCUCUCCUCUGAUCUUGAGCCUAUGCCAUCUUUUCCCUUUGCGUUUUUCCUUCAUGAUCACUACUGAUUCUUGAGUUUCAUUGGCCCUGGUCCUGUCCACGCUUUCAUUCCCCUAGGCACUCUCCUCCCGUUCCUGUUGCUGCAAUCUUGGGCCUGCCCUUGCCGCACCAGCCCAUCUUCUAUCCCCCGAAGUAAUGGACAAAGGUCUAGGUGUCCCCACACACACAAAUUGGGGGCGCUUUCGUCCAGUCCCCAUAGCCGGCUGCACCUCCUUUCAUUGGUUCAAAUGAGUAUUCGUUAUUAGAGUGGCCAAUCCUUCCACACCUAUAACAAAAAUCCUGAAGCUCCAUGUAUCGCUAUGGUUAUCUCUUGGAAGCCAACAUCCAUUAAUGAGGGGGUUGGCCGUGUUAACGGUUACCUUCACCCUUAGGAACUCUCUGGCUUUUCUCGGAUCCUCUACCUCCUCGACCUCUCUAAUUUUUUUAGCCAACCUCCUAACAUUCUUCUCCGAACUUAGGUAUAGUGGGACCCGUCUUAUUUGGACCCAGAAUGGCACCAACUCUGUCCGAACUUCCUCCACCGCAAGCUCCUGUGGCCUUUUUUUUUACAGAGAAAUUCUGUUUCAUAACUCGCAAUUGUACCUGGUUCAGAAUUCUUGUAGCCGUGUCUUCAUCUUGAACAGUGAUAAUAUAGGUGUUGUCCCUGACCCACUUCACUUCCACCUCACCUAGAUCCUUCCAAGCAGAUCUUAGAAUGUUUCGAACCCCGCAUUUAUUGAGGGUUUUGUUGACCAAAACAGUGCCCACAAGCUUCACCCCUUGCUUCAUUGUCGACAAGUCCAUAGUCCUCUCAAGGUGAACCACCAAUUCCUCCACCUCAGCACCAGCCAUCGGUCCCUUUGAGUGUUUUCCAACAGUACUGCCUUUCCAACCCGUAUUCACAGUGGAAUUAGUGUAUAAAUUCCCAGGAUCUUUGCUCAAUUUUUUGUUUUGUCUCUUUUUCCCCUCACACUUCUCAGAAACCAGUUGAGCGUACAGAAGGACCACCAAGACCAAAGUAUUUUGAAAAUUUCUACUAAUUCCAGAUCUAAAACAACAAAAGCCUUUAAUGCCUAUAUUCCUGUUAGUUGAGUAAAGCAAAUUUACCUUGGGAGAGCUGGGUAGUUGCAGGUUAUUAAUUCCCCCCCCCCCCACUGCUCAGAUCUUGUUGGGGGUAGUUAUUGCUAUUCCUUUUACUUUUACUUCCACCUCCUGCAUCUCACUCUGUUGUUCCUCUGCAAAUCCAUCUGAGAGGGCGCGACUCGAUUUACUUUCCACCCACCAAACUUACCACCACGAACCUUAAAUUCGAAUGGUAGUUCUGGAGAGAGAAGGACAGACGCGGAAGGUAAGACAGGACAGAAGUAAGUGGGACAAGGUUACGGCGGGCGGGAAACCACGAUUAUUUACUCAUAACCGUUAAAGUUUUUACCCGGAUAUCCGUUUACCUGCUAGAUAUUUACAUAAACACUCUCACGGAGGCUCUAUAUUCCUACCGCAUGAUAACAAAUGUUUGUUUAAAAAAUAAAAGAAAUUCUAGCACUGGUUAAGCAACCAUUCAUAAUAAUCACUUGGUAUUAUGGUUUAGGUAGCGAACUUAGUAUUACAGGUUUACUGAUAUUCCUUUUACUUUUAAAUGAGAUAUCUUAUAUUCAAAAUCUCGAGAAUUGUGAGUUUAAUAUCAACUUUUUCUCUAUUUUUAAUGUAAAUAUAUUGUUAUAUCAAAGAUAAACUAAAAUUCAUAGCAUGCAUAUCUUUUGUUUUUCAAAAACAAUAGGACAUGUAGUAUUAUUGUAAGCUCAUGUCGUUCAAAAAUAUGAUCCCUCCGUCACUCCAGAAUAAAAGGAGCAAUCUUGUAGUUCUUUAUCUAUGAAGAUAUGUUGUUAGGUGCUUUGUUUUAUUUUACCAUUGGAAAUAUGGUGCUAACUAAUAUACUGGAUGAUAUAAAUGAUGGUUGAUUCACCCUAACCCUUCAUUAUUUCAGUGAAAAGAUCAUGUAUAAUUGUGAUGGGUAGCAAAUCACCUUCAAAUUACUUGUUCAUUGGUUAAUUAACAACUUGGUAAUUGAGAUGGGCAAACAAAUUUGCAAUACACAUUUCGACUGUCGGUAAAUUAAAUUACCCUAUAUUAACUCAUUACUGAAAUGAGUGAGAUACCCACACCUCUUUUUACUUAUUAUACACCCUUCUAAUUUUCGACCGUCAGAUCAGAUAAAUUGAAGAAGAUCAAAUGAUAGAAAUUAGCAAAGGAUGUGCUCCAUGUCACAUGACUUAUGUUGUCCACGUGUUAGGCAUGUGUGGGGGCGUGUUGAAAUAAAUCCCACAUUGAUGAGGAAGGACGUUGCAUGUGCUUAUAAGUAGUUAGGCUACUCCUUAAAUUGCCAUUCGGUUUUAUGCUGGAACCUCAAAUUUCUUCAUGGUAUCACAUCAGGUUGUCCCAUGUGUGAAGCCCAACCACAUGUGCUCCACGUCAUACGAGUUAUGUUUGUCUACGCAUUAGGCAUAUGUGGCCGCAUGUUGAGAAUGAAUCCCGCAUUGAUGAAGAAUGACCUUAUAUGUGUUUAUAAGAAGUUGGGCUACUCCCCAUAUUGCGAAUUGGUUUUAUGGUGGAACUUCACCUUUCUUCAUGGUAUCAGAGCAGGUUGCCCCACGUGUGAAGCCCAACAGCCACACGUGCUUCACGCCAGUUAAGUUAUGUUGUCCAUGUGUUUGGCACGUGUGGGGGCGUGUUGAGAAUUAGUCAUAUAUUGAUGAGGAAGGACCUUGCAUGUGCUUAUAAGUAGUUGGGCUACUCCUCAUAUUGCCAAUUGGUUUUAUGGUGGAACCACAACUUUCUUCAUGGUAUUAAAGCAGGUUGUCCCAUGUGUGAAGCCCAACGGCCACACGUGCUCUAAGUCAUAAGAGUUAUGUUGUCUACGUGUUAGGCAUGUGUGGGGGCGUUUUGAGAAUGAAUCCCACAUUGAUGAGGAUGGACCUUGCAUGUGCUUAUAAGUAGUUGGGCUACUCUCUAUAUUGCCAAUUGGUUUUAUAGUGAAACCUCACAUUUCUUCAUGGUAUCAGAGCAGGUUGUCCCACGUCACACAAGUUAUGUUGUCCACGUGUUUGGCACAUGUUGGGACGUGUUGAGAAUUAGUCCCACAUUGAUGAGGAAUGACCUUGCAUGUGCUUAUAAGUAGUUAGGCUACUCCUCAUAUUGCCAAUUGGUUUUAUGGUGGAACCACAACUUUCUUCAUGGUAUCAAAGCAGGUUGUCCCAUGUGUGAAGCACAACAGCCACGCGUGCUCCAUGUCACACGAGUUAUGUUGUCCUCGUGUUAGGCACGUGUGGGGGCGUGUUGAGAAUGAAUCUUACAUUGAUGAGGAGGGACCUUGCUUAUGCUUAUAAGUAGUUUGGUUACUCCCCAUAUUGCCAAUUGGUUUUAUGGUGGAACCUCAACUUUCUUCAUGGUAUUAGAGUAGGUUGUCCCAUGUGUCAAGCACAACGGCCACACAUGCUUCACGUCACAUGAGUUAUGUUUUCCACGUGUUAGGCACAUGUGGGGGCAUGUUGAGAAUAAAUCCCACAUUGGUGAGGAAGGACCUUGCAUGUGCUUUUAAAUAAUUAGGUUACUCCUCAUAUUGCCAAUUGGUUUUAUGAUGGAACCUCAACUUUCUUCAUGGUAUCAAAGCAUGUUGUCCCACGUGUGAAGCCCAACGGCCGCACAUACUCCAGCCAUACGAGUUAUGUUAUCCACGUGUUAGGCACGUGUGGGGGCGUGUUGAGAAUGAAUCUCACAUUGAUGAAACUGGACCUUGCAUGUGCUUAUAAGUAGUUGGGCUACUCCUCAUAUUGCCAAUUGGUUUUAUGGUGGAACCUCAACUUUCUUCAUAGAUUGUUCUCGUACUUAAGUGGGAGAAUGUUGGAAUAUGAGUAUGUGAUUAAUGAGUUUUAGGCGGGCUAUAUUGUAUUCGAUCUUGUAUAGGAAAGUCUUAUUGAAAGUGGAAUGCCAAUCCAUAUUACAAAUGGAUUAUUUAUUGGCAUUGAAAUCGAUUUCUUAUUGAACAAGGAAACACAUUUAGUUUCUUAUGUGGAUUUUAAUAGGGAAUCCUAAUUGGUUUUGACAAAGAUUGAUAUCUAUAUAUAGUAGCCUCUACUCUUACGGAGAUUAUGCUCAUUCUUGGACUUAAACCUAUUGUGAGUUGAUCAUUCUAUUUUCUAUAAGAGAGGAGAACGUUCACUAAGAGUUUUGGUGAUAUGGCUUCAAGUUCUGGAACUUCUGCAGGUGAGUUUUUGUCCUAUACUUGUUAUACAAGUGGUUUAGUGUCUUGGUAAAUUAUGAUUCAUGUUAACCUUAUUCUACAUACUCUAAAAAUAAAAAAAAUCAUUGCCCGCAAGACUUGCCUUGGAACUAAGGUCAUUUCCAACCAAAGGGUCCAGAGGGCAAGAUGACCGAAAAUAGCCCGAAAACUGUUUCCAACCGAGGGCUAGGCCAGAGGGCUCGUGGGCCCCACAGAAUUUGAAAAGGCCAAAGGGCUAGCCCAAUCCAGUCAGCCAGCCAGCCCCAGGCUAGCCAAAAUUUUGAUUAAUCCUGUCGGAUAUAACCGACAGUAAUAGUAUUAUUCUUGUCGGAUAUAACAGACAAGAAUGGUUGCCAAAAUUUGAAGUUCAACGGCUAGUUACCGUUGGAUUCAAAUGUUUUUUUUUUUUGGGCUAAAUUUUUGUUUAUGAAAUUUAAAAAUUCCCUUUUUUUUUCCCUAAGCCAUUCAUAAACACUUAAGCCAUUCCUACAUCAUUUAUAUUUUUAAUUAUGACUUGGUUUAUGAAAUUUAAAAAUUCCCUUUUUUUUUUCAAGCAAUACCUAAGUCAUUCCUACAUCAUUACUUACAUAAUCUUCACCAUUCUAUACUAUCUCGCUUCAUUCUAUUUCAAUUCUUCAGAUUAUACUUUCUUACCUCUUCCAAUAAUCUUUCCUUCAAUUUUUCCAAUAACAUUAAAUAACAUUAAACAACAUAAAAAUUAUACAACAUUAAAAAAAAACAUUUAACAACAUGAAACUUAAACAACAUUUUGAAAAACAUUUAACAAAAUAAAACCUAAACUCCUACUCCAUGCUAUUUUUGGCCCAAAGAUGUGCAACAAGAUCUUGUUGUAGGUACUUUUUUGUGGCACAUGAAUGUAUCAUUCUAUAGCGCCUCAAGCAACAAGAUCUUGUUGGAUUUGAAUUUAAGUUGUAGUUUUUAAAUAAUAAAUUAUGUUUGGCCUUAUGGCCAUUUGGUCCUCGCGGUUGGAGACGGUUUUUUAUGACAGGGUUAAAACGAGCUCUAUGGCCCUUUGGCCCUCGGUUGGAGAUAAAAGCAAAUAUGACUCUGUAUUGUUCAUUAAAAUAUUAAUAUCUUGGAGAGUCAGAGGAUUAAAACGAGCCAUUUUGUCAGUCUUUGGUUGGAGAUGGCCUAAGUUGGGUAUAGUAAGGCCUACUGAUUGGCCUUCAAUUUUUGGGCUGGUGGAGCAAUGUUUUUGAGUUUUGGGCAAUAUUUGUGCCCGUGCCCGCAUUAGGGUAUUUGAUGGUUUUUUUCGAAGAAAUGUGGUGAACAAGAAAAAGUUGUAAUUUUUAAUGGGCGUAGAUAGAAAUUGGGGUAAAAUUGAAUGAGAAGUGGUGUCUAAAUAGAAAAACUCUUAGUUGUAAUAAGGAUGCAGUUAUGUGAUUGUAUUUCUAAUGAAAAAAAUUCUCUUAAUUAAAACAUUUACUUAAUUAAUUAAAAAUUGUGUGAAUAUGGAAAAUUUCCUUUUCAUUAGGUGAAGCUAGCCCACAUACAGAUAUUACACUCACUUUAUUUUCAAUUUAAUGUAGACUUAAAAGGUAAAAUUUGAACUGUUAUUUUGUAUCAAUUAAAAAAUAAUAAAAAAGUAAAAUUUGAAAGUACGAUCCUCCAUAAAAUUCUAAAUUGACUGGAUCGCCCUUGUUUUCUUUGGAAAAUUCGCUAACUCUGGAUCGCCCUUGUUUUCUUUGAUAGCUAAAUAUGUUGUGGUUGUGGAACUCCAAGUUUAUUUAGUAAUGUUGAAUUUUGGCAUCAUAUGUGGUAAUAUGUUUAUAAUUGAACCUCGAUCUACCAAGCCCUAGGGACUUAGAGUUUUGGUUUAAAUUGUCUCUCAAACUGGUAGUGUUUCCUGUGUACAUGAGAAGAUUUCUUGUGGAACAAAAUUGCCGAAAUGUCCCAGGUGCGUAAAAGCGAAACUCUUAAAGAUAGGGUGACUGAAAUGACCCAGGUACGUGAAAGUGAAACUCCUGAAGUUAGAGUGGCCGAAAUCCUGUCUAGGUUGCCGCCGAAGUCUCUGAUGCGGUUCAAAUGUAUACGCAAGUCUUGGUGCACGGCCAUCAACAAUCCAAGUUUUACGGCCAAACACCUCAGCAAUUCCGUUGACAACAAAUUCUCAUCCUCUACUUGUAUCCUUCUCCAUCGUUCUCAUAUGCCUGUUUUCCCGGACAGAAGUUGGAAACGAGAAUAUUUCUGGUCCAUGAUUAAUCUUUCCCAUGAUAGUGAUGAGCACAACCUUUAUUAUGACGUUGAGGACCUAAAUAUACAAUUUCCAUUGGAAGAUCAUGAUCUUGUAUCAGUUCAUGGCUAUUGCAAUGGGAUUGUCUGUCUAAUAGUAGGGAAACAUGCUGUUUUAUACAAUCCUGCAACGAGAGAACUGAAGCAACUACCUGAUUCAUGCCUUCUUCUACCUUCCCCCCCGAAGGGAAAAUUCGAAUUGGAAUCGUCCUUUCAAGGAAUGGGAUUUGGCUAUGAUAGCAAAGCUAAGGAAUACAAGGUUGUGAAAAUUAUAGAAAAUUGUGAGUAUUCAGAUUAUGAGCGAACAUUUUCUCAUCGUAUUGCUCUUCCUCACACGGCUGAGGUAUAUGUUACGACUACUAACUCUUGGAGAGUGAUCAAGAUUGAAAUAUCAAGUGAUACCUAUAACUGUUCUUGUUCAGUAUACUUGAAGGGAUUUUGUUAUUGGUUUGCAAGCGAUGACGAGGAAUACAUACUUUCAUUUGAUUUAGGUGAUGAGAUAUUUCAUAGAAUACAAUUGCCUCGUAGGAAAGAAUCCGGUUUUUUGUUUUAUGAUCUUUUUCUGUUUAAUGAAUCCAUCGCUUCUUUUUGCUCUCAUUAUGAUAAAAGUGACAAUUCUAGAAUAUUGGAAAUACUUGAAAUAUGGGUAAUGGACGAUUGUGACGGAGUCAAGAGUUCAUGGACAAAACUGCAAACCCUUGGACCCUUUAAAGACAAUGAGAAUUUAUUGACAUUUUGGAAAAGUGACGAGCUUCUUAUGGUUACCUCCGAUAACAGAGUCAUCUCUUAUAAUUCUAGUACCGGAAAUCUCAAGUAUAUUCAUAUUCCUCCUAUUAUCAAUAAGAUUACGGGUUUUGAAGCUCUUAUUUAUGUGGAAAGUAUUGUUUCAGUCAAGCGAGUUGAGGGCAAAGUUCCAUUUUCUCCUAUUUAAUUUGUAUGCGUGGUAUAAUGCUUGAGUUUGCAUUUUUUAAUUUUGCUUUGUAGCCUUUGGAUUAUAUUUGCUUAUCAUGGGCUGCCUUCAGUUUUGGGCUUUCCACAUUUUGUAAUUUUAUUCUAUUUGAAAGUAUUUUACUAGUUUUCUAGAGUUAAUUAACACUUACAGUUCCCUAUGUUUUCUUUUGUUCUUCAAAAUUCCCUUCCUAAAAACCUUAAUAGCUUUCAAGUUUUAAGGUUAUUUGCAAUUUUCAGAAUUUUCAGAAUUUCAAUAUUCUUAUCUUGUUUCUUUUCAUAAGAAAGAAUUUCAUGCCUUUUUGCCUUAAGGAAUGGACGGAAUAAUCCCAAAACAGUCAUCUCCUUUAUCUUCUGCCAAGUCCUCCUCCAUUUGUUGCUAAGGGGAAGUGGACGCUGAUGCCAUUUCUGUUAACUAUAUUGAACAAGUAGCAGAGAUGAACAAUUAUGAAAUCAAGAAAUGAAGGUUUACAGAGAGGAGAGAUGUGAGAACGAAAUGAAUGAUGCUUUUGUAUUAAACUCAAUGAACUGACUUUACUAUCUGUUUACAAUAGCUAUAUAUAACUAACUAGACAACUAACUCUUUCAACUAACUAUUACAUCAUCCAAUCCUUUACAACUGUUUUGAUGAGCUGGUAGUGAUAUAUUCAACAUCCCCAUCAAUCUCAACUGGGAUUUCCAAUUUGAGAUUGUAUGAGUGCUUGAGAAAUGGGCAAUCUCUUCAUCAAGACUAUUUGGAUGUCCAAAUUAACCAAGGGGCAUCGCCUGAUUCUGUCUUGUCAUCAUCCACCGGGGAAGCACAGGUUCUCGAGUCAAUUGAUAGUCGAGGUUAUUUGGUCUCAUCCCAACUUGAUCAAAGCUUGCAACAAAUUUCCUCCCAAUUCCACAACGCUUUAAGAUUGGAUUCUCUUGAGAAAUGCAGAACAAUGACAUCCUUCUUGUCGAUGUACUCCUAGCCAUGCUUCUAUUAGCAAUGAAUCCUCUGUUCUUGGUGUUUAAAGGUGUCAUUUCAUACUUAUCAAUCAACAUCCCAAAGAAUUUCAGCCCCUCAAACUGAUUUCUACACCGUUGUAGCUACUGUUUCCUUUGCGAUAAGGUUUUCAAUAUUUCACAGUCAACAAGCUUUACAAUCACAGAAAUCAACAAACACAAUCCUCUUCGGCAAUCGGCCUUCAAUGAAGAAAGGGAACAAGAACUGCACUCCGGCAAUCGGUGGAGUUGCACACAAUAAGAACAAACAAAAACCUUUCAAGAACGUUACUCCGGCUAUCAGCCUUUAAGGAGUAACACACAAUAUUUGAGACAGAACUUUUCAAUCCGGCUAUCGGCUUUAUGGAGGAAACAAAUUGCAUUCAACACACUUUUGGCAAUCGGCCUUUUUCGAGUGCACAAAUCUCAAACAACCAAGAACUAAUCACGCAACAAAAAAGGAAUGGCUAUCGGCCUUUGUAUUCCUUUAACAAGCUUGCAGAAAAUGGCUAUCGGCUUUAAUAGAUAAACUGACAUACAAGAAACCCUAUCGAGGAAACUUAUUUUUUUUUUUCACUGCGACUAUCUGAAAACCCCAUCGAAGAACCUCCACCAAACCACCAGCUACCAGAAAAGAUUCAUUCUAAUUGUUCAAGAAUUUGGAGAAAAGGAUUGAAAAACAUAACCUGCACAUGAAACUUUUGAGUUGGGCAUUUCGACAAACACCUGGACUGCAGCCAUGUCUGAUCUCACCUUCCUCUCCUUUCUCACGCUGGAAUUGUGGAAUCUCACUGUAAUUGCAAUAUGUCGUUGAAAAGAAACCUUCAAACUUCUCAGUCUUAGCUUAGAUCACCAUGCCCUAAUAUAAAGGUAUCAGUCCCCUUUUCAUUCUUCUCGACAACAUCCAAAUCCCACUUAUACUUUUCAUGCAUCAUAUACUGACUCACAACAGACUGAACCAACUCAACGUCAUAUGUAGUAAUUUGAGGAGAUCGUGCGGGGAUCAAUAAGUCACCUAGAGAGCCAUAUUUCUUCUCUCCGAGUAUUGUUGCCGAUGGAAGGCAGAGCCAAGAAACCAAGAAAUCACUCUUGACCUUUCGUCGAACAUAUAAUGUGCAAGAAUGCACUAUAUACUGCUUCCAAUUCAUCGCUUCAUCUUGAAACCCAGAGCCAGAGGAAAACCCCAGAAACAAUUCAAUUCUUGAAGAUCCAGAUGAUUGAUCCAUGGCGUGAAUCAGAACCUGAAGAAACCAAGAGAACCCCAUUUCAGAAAAACCUCCCGGAAACGAUUGCAGUUGGGUUUUGGCGAUUUUGUAGCAAGGUCAAACUUCGGAGUAAACACCAAAAGCCAGCAGCGUGAAUGGCCUCUUUGUCUAUGAUCUGCAAUGCGACUUCGGAAGGAAAGAGGAUUCAUUGAGAUCAGUGGAGAAAUCUCUGAUCACAAAAGUAAAAUCAAGAAGUAAAAUCAACCCAGAAGUAAAAGAACCAUCAUGGAAGCACCCAGAAACUUAUCCUAACAUCUAAUGAAAAUUUGGAAAGAAACUAAGCUAGAAACAAAUGAAAAAUAAUAGAAAGUUGAACCACCAGAAUCUAUGGCGUGAGCUUGGUGGCUCUGAUACUAUGUUAACUAUAUUGAAGAAUUAGCAGAGAUGAACAAUUAUGAAAUAAAAAAAUGAAGAUUUACAGAGAGGACAGAUGUGAGAACGAAAUGAAUGAAGCUUUUGUAUUAAACUCAAUGAACUGACUUUACUAUCUGUUUACAAUAGCUAUAUAUAACUGACUAGACAACUAACUCUUUCAACUAACUAUUACAUCAUCCAAUCCUUUACAACUGUUUUGAUGAGCUGGUGAGCUGGCAGUGAUAUAUUCAACAAUUUCUUCGUCCAAGCCCUGGAGGUCAAGAAUCUGCAAAACCUUAUUUUUAAGGUCUACUUUAGAUAUCUCAUUCAUGAUUCUUUUUGCUUGAAAAGGAUGAGGCUUAAGGUGAUCUAAAUAAAUUUGUCCCACCAACAAAUAUAAAUCUGUCUUUCUAGCUGGGGAAUAUGGCUCCAAGAAUUGUCACCGUCACCCUCUCCAUCAAAAUCAUAGGUCCAUCCAAUGGAGUUCAUAGAUCAUCAUGAACCAUAAAAAAAAAAUUAUUUUUAUUAUUUUUUUAUUUUUAUCAGGAUAAUCAUAAUUGGCUUUUCUGAACCAUUCUAAAAAUUAUUCAUGUACUGGCUGAGGAAGAUACUUUGCGCUGGUCCCUAGAUAAGAAACCAGGUCCUGAACGAGUUUGGUAACUCUUUCAGAGUAUGAAGGCACAUAGAGUCGGGGUUAUUUCCCCAUUCUUCAAGUGCUCAUUUUCAAGAUUAGAAUUUUAGAAAAAGACAUCAUAUUAUUAUUUUCGCUUCUACAAUGAUGCACCAUUUCUACUAAUUCCAUUUUACCCUUUCAUGCCAAUAUAUUUGCUUGAAGAGGGGUCUCACAUGAUCUUUAUGAUAUUUUUAGCCACUUCCCUAGGAGUUUUCAGGCAACUUGAGUCCUCUAUAGUCAUCAAGGGAAUAAUAUUUGUCUACAGGAAAUGAUUAUUGCGAUGGCUUUCUCCCCGCAUUUAUUAUAAAGGAGAGCGGUAGAAAGGAGAUUUUGAUUUUCAUGGAAGGAAGAACCAUUCGAUUCUCUUGUAAGGACCUAGCUCUCAAUCCUUUUUCCUUGAGUGUGACCUUGCAAAAAUUCAGGAGUCAAGAAAUCAAAUAAAUAAUUAUUUUCAUCCUUAAUAUAUGCAAUAUCUAAAUCAAAAGUAGAUAAAAUGCCUUGCCAUCUAGCAAAAAUUUGCUUAGCGGCUAGGUUUUUAAUACCUUUAAGUAGAAUAUCCUUGACGGCCUUACAAUCUAGCCUAAUCAGGAAUCGUCUAUUAAGAACGUCACUUUCGAAUUUAGUGCCUGCAUGAACUAUUGAUAGAAGUUCAUAUUUUAUAGUACAGUAAUUUCUUUGUGCUGGUUUCCAGGCACCUAAUGUAAAACAAACCAAUAUUUUUUUUUUUUUUUUUCAUCUUGAGUUCUUUGUUUCAGGACUCCUUCAUACCAUCAUGAGAGGCAUUUGUUUCUAUUAAAGGCUUCUGGGUGGCCUAAGGCUAGACAUGAUAAUUCUUUGACCUUCUUUUUUUUUUUUUUUUUUUUUUUUUUUUUUUUUCAAAAGUCUCAUUGCGUGAGUUUGUUCAUCCGUCCAAGGAACAAGGAUUUCCUUUUCAGCCAUUCUUAGGCUUACGUUUUCCCAGACAAGCUCAGUUUGAAACAAGAAGUUUUCUGGUCCAUGAUUAAUCUUUCCAUUGGUAGGGAUAAGCACAAUCUUCAUUAUGAUGCCGAAGUGUUAUAACCCAUAUUUUAAAAUGGGAAGUGUUAUUGACACUCCAAAAAUUUCAUUCUACACUCCUCACAAGUGUAUUUUUCUUUCCAAAUUUACAAAGUUUGGAGUGUAGAAUGAGAUUUUUGAAAUGCCGAUAACAAUUCUUUUUAAAAUAAUGUAUUUUAUUCUUAAGAUGUGUGAAAUGACCAAAAUACACCUAUUGAGUGUCUUGAGUAAUUAUGGACCUCUGAGUAAGAUUUCGAAUUCUCAUAUUUUUCUAUUUAUUUAAAUUAUUUUUCAAACCCGCAAGUGCGUGGGCGAAAGUGGAAUCGAAUGCAGGUUACAAGAGUCGAGUUAUGAAAUUAAAUUAGUGAAGGGCACAAAUGUAAUUUCGUGUGGGAGGAAUUUUAGUGGGACUUAACCCACUCCUGCUUCCUUCCUUCCCAUUUUCUGAAACAUUCUCCCUCUCUAACUCUCGGUCUCUCUCUUCCUCUCUUUAUCACCACCGUGCACCACCACCCCAGACCUCAAAACCACCAAAUUUAGAAUCAGUGUAACCUGGGGAACUCAAAUAUGUCCUUGCAUGUGUGUGGGGAAGGGAGAACUCGAGUUUGAGUUCUCGGUGGAAUUUUUUUCGACGAGUUUGACCAUAGUUGUGCAGUAUUCUUGGUCCACGAGUCGAACUACACAAAGAAGGUGUUGCCUUUGAGUAUACCCCGGCCUAGAUGCAAAUGAGACAUUUGAGAAGGUAAUAGAGCCUAAAGUUCCAUAUCUUGCUGCGACUGGAGUUUUUGUACUUAACUAAAAGCACUAGAUCAGACAUCUCAAUUACUAAUAAUAUUUUGGCAUAAAGCAACACUGCCUACAUGCUACCAUCAAAUUGGUGUUAAAGACGUUGUUCCAUUACUACGAAUUUGGACUUAUUCUAUUAUGCAUCAUAGAAUGAAUCACACCCAUUAUUUCUUAGAAAGAUGCCUACCUUGUGCGAUAUGCUGACAUAGACGAUAUGUCUAAUCCGCACAAGACACUUUUCCAAACGGGUUAUGUCUUUACUGUUAGGGACACCACAAUAUCUUGGUGGUCAACUGAAUAGUCCUUAGUUACUAAACCACUCCAUACUACACCACACGAGAGAAACAUGGUUAAGAGUUCUUGUUGAACAUAUUUGAAGUACCUGCAAUUUUCAUUCAUCGUUGAGUCCCAAAAACGAUCUUUGAAGACAAUGCCACAUGUAUCGACCUAAUCAUAACAUGCUGCAUCCAAGAAGCAAAUGCCAAGCAUACUACGCCUACAUCAGCAUGAGCACCAGAAGAUUGAAAUCAAGCAAAUUCGAUCCCAAGACAGCUUUGCCAACCUCUUCACGAAGUCGCUGUCAAUGUUCACCUUCCAAAAGCUUGUCUGAGGAAUUAGUAUAAGUAACUAUCUCAUUUGCAAUGCUUGGAGUUUUCAUUUGGAAGUUUUCUCAAACUCAAUGGAGUAUCUAGAAGUGUACUCACUUGACCAUAAUGUACUAUUUCUCCCUAUGAUUAGGAGCAUUUUCCUCACUAGGUCAUUGCUACUUGGCUAGGUUUUAACGAGGCGCACCCUUCCUGGCGUGGUCAUACCCUUGUGAGCAUUCUACUUACAUUUUACCAUAACAAGGUUUUGUGAGUUUUAUUACCUAUGCAUUCUUUCGUUUGUUUUGAGAUUCACAUUUGCUCUUGGGCGUACGAGACAAUACUAAUUCCAUAUUUUUCUGAAGACUGAUGUGUCGACUGGUUGAGUAUUUUUUUUUGCAUACUCGAGGGGAGUGUUGAGAACAUUAUUAGCACAUAUGUGAUUGUGUAAAUCCUAAGUACAUAUCAAUUAGGAAUCAUUUGGGAUCUAGAAAAUCUUUCCUAUUAUACUUGUAUUACUUUGAGAGAAAGUUAUUUUGUCAUCCUUAUUACUAUAAAUAAAGGCACAAGGCAUGAGGAAUAACAUACACAAUUGUUCAAGCCUUUUCUCCAACCGUAGCUUCUCUUUCUCCCGUUAAAUUUAAGUCACAACAUAAACAGAAAUUUUCGUUUUUAUAAUUUAAUAAUGCUUUUGGAUAUUUAGUCUCAAAAUGAUUUCUGAGAAAGAAAAAUAUUGAAAAUUCGUCUACUACCAAUAUCUAAAAGGAGAAACUAGGUUCCGUUCAUUAAUUUAAUAUAGAAUUAAAAAGUAAAAUUUGAAUGGUUAUUUUGGUAAUCAAUAAAUAAAUUUAAAAUAGUUAAUUUUGAACGUAUGAUCCUCCAUAACACUCGAAAUUGACUGGCUCGCCCUUGUUUUCAUCCGAAAAAUAAAAAAAGUCAAAUCUGGAUCACCCCUAUUUUCUUUGAUAGCUAUAUAUGUUGCAGUUGUGGAACUCCAAGUUUAUUUAGUGUUGUUGGAUUUUGGCAUCUUAUGUGGUAAGUAAUAAGUUUAGUAAUUGAACCUCAAUCUAUCAGGCCUUAGGGACUUGGAGUUUGAUUUAGUUUGUCUCUCAAACUGGUGGUGUUCUUUCCUGUGUAUACAUAAAUGUGAAGAAUUCCUGUGGAAAAAAACUGCCAAAAUGUCCCAGGUGAGUGAAACUGAAACUCCUGAAGAUAGGGUGGUCGCAAUCAUGUCCAAGUUGCCGCCCAAGUCUCUGAUGCGAUUCAAAUGCAUACGCAAGUCUUGGUGCACUGUCAUCAAUAGUCCAAGUUUUGUGGCCAAACACCUCAGCAAUUCUGUGGACAACAAAUUCUCAUCAUCCACUUGUAUCCUCCUCAACCGUUCUCAGGUUCACGUUUUCCCGGACAAGAGUUGGAAACAUGAAGUUCUAUGGUCCAUGAUUAAUCUUUUUAAUGAAAGAGUUGCACGCACCCUUUAUUAUGAUGUUGAGGACCUAAAUAUACCGUUUCCAAGGGAUGACCAUCAACAUGUAUUGAUUCAUGGUUAUUGCAAUGGAAUUGUUUGUGUAAUAUCAGGGAAAAAUAUUCUUUUAUGCAAUCCUGCAACGAGGGAAUUCAGGCAACUUCCUGAUUCAUUCCUUCUCCUACCUUCCCCUCUCGGCGGAAAAUUCGAAUUGGAGACCGACUUUGGAGGAUUGGGAUUUGGCUAUGAUUGCAGAGCUAAAGAUUACAAGAUUGUGCGAAUUAUAGAAAAUUGUGAGUAUUCAGAUGAUGAGCGAACAUAUUAUCAUCGUAUUCCUAUGCCUCACACGGCUGAGGUAUUCACCAUGGCUACUAACUAUUGGAAAGAGAUCAAGAUUGAUAUAUCAAGUAAAACUUAUCCCUGUUCUUGUUCAGUGUACUUGAAGGGAUUUUGUUAUUGGUUUACAAGGGAUGGUGAGGAAUUCAUACUUUCAUUUGAUUUAGGCGAUGAGAGAUUUAAUAGAAUACAAUUGCCUUCUAGGAGAGAAUCUGGUUUGGAGUUUUAUUAUAUUUUCUGUGUAAUGAAUCCAUUGCUUCUUUUUGCUCUCGUUAUGAUCGAAGUGAAGAUUCUAAAUCAUGUGAAAUAUGGGUAAUGGAUGAUUAUGAUGGAGUUAAGAGUUCAUGGACAAAACUCCUAGUCGCUGGACCCUUUAAAGGCAUUGAGAAGCCAUUGACACUUUGGAAAUGUGACGAGCUUUUUAUGAUUGACACCGAUGGAAGAGUCAUCUCUUAUAAUUCUAGUAUUGGAUAUCUCAGCUAUCUUCAUAUUCCUCCGAUUAUCAACAGGGUUAUAGAUUCUCAAGCUCUUAUUUAUGUAGAAAGUAUUGUUCCAAUCAAGUGAGUUGAGGGCUCAUUUUCUCCUAUUUAAUUUGUAUGCAUGAUAUAAGGCUUGAGUUUGCAUCUUUUAAUUUAAUUUGCUUUGUGUCCUUUGUACUAUGUUUGCUUAUCAUGGAAUGCCUUUAGCUUUUGUGCAUUCCACAUUUUGCAAUAUUAUUCCAUUCGAAAGUUUAUGCUAACUAAUUUUUUUUAGAGUUACUUAAUGAUAAUAAUUCUCUUAUGUUUUUCCUUUUUUUUUUCUUCCUUCAGAGUUUCCUUCUUAAAAAUCUAAUAAAUAUUUACUCAUUUAACAAAAUCAAGUUAAACCUUCUACUAUAGGAGUAGAAGUGCUUAAAACAUUUAGGCAACAAAGAAUAUUGGGUAAAUUACAUAGUAGCCCAUCAGGUUUGAGGUCUAUUGCAAUCUUAUACAACAUCUUUAAAACAUUUCACUUUCAUACCUCAAGUACCAUUUUAUUUCAAAAUAAUACAUCCGUUAGAUUUUCCGUCCAUUAAUCCGUUAAAUGCUGACGUGGCUACCACAUUUGUGCCACGUGGCUGCCAAAUGUGAGCCACAUGGCAAAAAUAAUAAUUUUUUAAUUUUUUUUAGAAACCUGUCUGCCACAUAUCUUCUUUUUUUUUUUUUUCCUUCUUCUCCUCUUUCUUCUUCUCUUCUUCUUCUUCCUCAUUCUUCUUCCUCCCAUCUCCUUGCCCCCAUACCUGCACCUUCAACCCAAAACCCAUACCUGCACCUUCAACCCAAAACCCAGAAAAAAAGAAAAAGAAGAAGAACCCCAAUCCCAUAUCCCCCCCACACCCAGAUCCCAUUAACCCCCCUCAUUAUCCUCCCCCCGUGAAACCCAGAAUCCGCCCCUCCCCGCGCGAACCCAGAUCCCCCCCUUCUCCCCCUGCGUGAACCAAGAUCUCAUGCAUCGUCUACCAUCCUCCACCCCCGUGAACCCCCCAACCCAGAAAGAAAAAAUCCACCCCCUGCCCCCGCGAACCCCCCCAAACCCAGAAAGAAAAAACCCCCUCCCUCCCCCGCGACUCAACCCCCUCCGCACCCACCCUCUUCCCUCCUCUAUACACCCCCCACUCCUUAAAUCCACACCCAUUCCUCCCACCUCACGAACCCGGCGAUGAAGGGAUCUGAGUUUUUUUUUUUUUCCUGGGUUGCAGGUAGGGGGUCGGGGGAAGAAUAUGAAAAUGGGGGAGAAGACAGGAGGAGGAUGAGGGGUGGGGAAGACAAACUGAAGGGCUUUUUUUCUUUCUUUCUUUCUCUCUCUCCUGGGUUGCAGGGAAGAAGAUGAAGAUGGUGGGGUUGAGGGGAAAAGAGAGUAGGAAGAGGAGGGAUAAAGUUUCAGUUUUUUUUUUUUUUUUUUUUAAUUUAGAAGAUUUAGGUUUAAAAAAAAAAUUAAAAAAUUAUUAUUUUUCCACGUGGCUCACAUUUGGCAACCACGUGGCACAAAUGUGGCAGCCACGUCAGCAUUUAACAGAUUAAUGGACGGAAAAUCUAACGGAUGUAUUAUUUUGUAAUAAAAUGGUACUUGAGGUAUGAAAGUGAAAUGUUUUAAAGAUGUUGUAUAAGAUUGCAAUAGACCUCAAACCUGAGGGGCUACUAUGUAAUUUACCCAAGAAUAUUUAUAGCCUUAUAACCCCUAACUAUAGUUUGUGAAAUGCGAAACAAGGAUAGUAUGUGAAAAAUACGUACGAGUACUAUUCGACAACUUUGCUAAAACUCUAAUUUGAAAAAUUCAAUCACUUUUUUUUUUAAUUUUUUAAUUUUUUAAUUUUUAUAUAUAUAUAUAAUUUCUCCGCCUGCAGCAGCGACAUAUCGAGAGAAUUAAAACAGCUCGCAAGCUUGCCACCGCCUGAAAACGCGCUGACCUCUGAAUUAUCUGAGGCUGCGCCAGAACCGAAGCCAUGCCAAGGGUUUUUGCAGAGGGAGAACUUCUCGACCGAGAUCAUCGAGAGCAUUUCGCCGGAGGAUCUUCAGUCAACGAUCAAGAUCUGCGUCGACGGCCUCCAAUCGCAGUCACUUGCCGUGAAGCAAUCUGCAGCGGCCAAGCUCAGGCUUUUAGCGAAUAAUCGGGUUGAUAAUCGUGCCUUGAUCGGUGAGUCCGGCGCCUUUCCCGCUCUAAUUCCUCUACUGCGGUGCAGCGAUCCAUGGACGCAGGAGCACGCCGUCACGGCGCACACCCAGUUUGCGAAAUUCCAAUUGGGAUUUGAACAGGGGAGAACGAAAAGGAUGGAUGCACAAGGCAAAGGUGUCAAAGGGGUAGCAACAGAGCACACCCAAUUUGCGAAAUUCCAAUUGGGAUUUAAUUUGUUUGAGUAAUUAAAAAUUGGGGACUGAAAUGGUGAAGAAGGGUGAGGGUGAUGAGUUCGGGGGAGACAGGUGGGGAAGAAGGUUGAGGGUGAUGAGUUUGGGGGGUGGGUUAAAGGAAGACGGGAGCGGGUGGGAUCUCGGUUUGGGGUGGGGGAAGACGGGAGAAGGGAAGAAAGGUACGGGGGAUAAGGGGUGGGUCCCCAUGUUUAAAUGAUUUUAUAAUUUUACUUUUUAAUAUUUAAUUAAUUUUUUAAACUACAUCAGCAUUUAACAGAGAAAUUAACGGAGGUCUGACAUUGGCACAAAUUCGUAAGAUGAGAUAUGACAUUGUCAAUAAGAUAAGGUAUGAAAGUGUCGUAACACUAAUAAUUAAGGUAGUUCGUUGAUGCACAAAAUCGGAGGUCUUGGAACAACGUAAAUCUAACCGUGAAUCUGCAAGAAAGUAAAUAACACAAGAUGUAUCGUGGUUCACCCCAAUGUUUGGGCUACGUCCACACUGAUUAUUGUAUUUCUCUGAGAUGUUGAAGAGGGAAAGUGAGAGUUUCUGAGGGUGAGAGAGCUCUUCUCAAUCUGAGAGGUUUGAGGGGAUGAGGACACCCUCCAAUUGUGAAGGUGAGAAUGCCCUUUUAUAUACUAAAAGCUCCUCCUCUUUUUACAUAUUUGCCCCUUCUUUUAUUACAUAAUUACAUUUAAGUCAUUCGAGUAUUUAUACAAGAUCUAAAUACGAAUGCCCUAAGUAUGGUACAAACAGUAGUCCCCUAAGUCUUCAGUCAAGAGAGUCUUUUGGCUGGAGACUUGAAAUUCAGUCCAUGUAUGGGCCGAAGUAACUAGAUGUCGUCUAGAACUGAUACUCGAUAUGAAGCGGUGCUCAAUCUGAAAUGAUGCUCAACUAGAAGUAGCACAUGUUGCGAGGCUGCUCUGUUUGUGGCUUAUGUUGCCUUGGUUGACUCGGCUUGUGGUGUUGAAGGUGAGGGAGUCCUUUUUAUAUAAUAAGGGUUUGCUACUCAAUACAAAAAUGUGGGUCAGAGUUGAUGCUCGCGGCGAGACGGUUGCUCAGUAGGCGGUGAUACUCUCUAAUGAUGGUGAAGGAGUCCCUUUUAUAGAAUAAGAGCUCCCUUCUCAAUACAUAAGUGAUGGGUUAGGCGUGAUGCUCGCGGCGACGCGGUUGCUCAGCUGGCGACGUUGCUUUCUAAUGAAGGUGAGGAAGUCCCUUUUAUAAAAUAAGUAUAUGGUACCUAAUGUAGUCCCCCAAGUCUUCGGUCAAUAGAGUCUGUUGGCUGGAGACUUCAAAUUGAAUCCAUGUAUGGGCCGAAGUAGCGAUUGUUCGGAGGCGGUAUUUGUAUACCCUGCACUGAAACUUUGUAGGUGAAGCUUUGUAAAUGAAGCUUUUGAAGCUGGAGCUUUGUAACUCAAGAUUUUGAAGCUGGAGCUUUUGUAAUGAAGCUUUUGAAGCUAGAGCUUUUGUAAAUGAAGCUUUCGAAGCUAGAGUUCUGUAAAUAAAGCUUUUGAAGCUCGAGCUUUUGUAAAUGAAGCUUUUAAAGCUGAUUAACAUGAGUGAUGCUGAUGAAUGUUUAUGUUGAUUGACAUGAGUGAUGCUCAUGAAUGUUAACAUGAGUGAUGCUCAUGAAUGUUGACAUGAGUGAUGCUCAUGAAUGUUGACAUGAAUGAUGGUCAUGAAUGUUUAUGUGUGAUUGACAUGAGUGAUGCUCAUGAAUAUUUAUGUGUGAUUGACAUGAGUAAUGCUCAUGUAUAGUUUUGAAGUACUAGACGUACUUUUGAUCACCUAGUUGGUGAUAAUAGCGGCAAGUUGCCCAAUAAUUUUGGAGUACUAGGCGUACUUUUGAUCACCUGGUUGGUGGUAAUAGCGGCAGGUUGCCGAAUAAUUUUUGGGGUACUGAGCGUACUUUUGAUCACUUGGUUGGUGGUAAUAGCGGCAGGUUGCCGAAUAAUUUUAGGGCCAUAGGGCCUGGCUCUUUUGGGCAUAUGGACCUUGGUUCUCUAUAUAACAUUUCAGCCCAUUAUUUUGGGCUUGCCGUUCUUUUUUUUUUAUUUUUUAUUUUUUUUACCCUCUGAUGGAGUAUACAAAUGUCUCCGAAAGAUAAGAAAAAUAAAUUACAUCAUUUUGCCUGAUAAAGAUAAUAGAGUUCUUUAUCUUCUUCCAGUGGUUGACACCUUCUAGUUUUUCUCCCCAGACAUCUUUUUCCUUUUUAUAUUCCUUUUCUUCCCAUUGCAGGUUUACAUCAUGGGGUUUGGUCAGCAUGAUCUGCUCCCUUUAUUCCAUGCUUUUGCAGAUUUACGUGCCUGUUAUCCAUAGCUUUUUUGUGGGUGGUCAACAAAAUAAAGAAAGCACCAACCAUUAUUAUCGAAUUGGUUCAGCUUUCAACUAAAGAAAGCAUAAUUCUUUCUUUUCUCUUUUCCUUUUUGCUUUCCACUACGUCUCUCUCUGUCUCUCCACCUCCACCCUCUCUGGCAGACUUGCUUUUGCUUUUGCAAACUUGCUUUACAGCAAACAUAUCCAUACCAGAGCUUACUGAACUAUUGAUUUGAGGACCGAGUUCGACUCUGGUGCCGUUUGAUGAUUACAGCGCCUUUCUCAUCGUUGGUUGAGUAGUAGGAAUUUACCGGUUUCUUCCCAAAGUGUUCAAGUGAAGCAGCUCUCAGUAAGUCUUGCCUUCGAAUUCUCCGAAUAGGAAUGGUUCCAUCUGGACAGCUUCCACUCUUCUGCCAUAUUUGAGACAAAAUCUGCUGACUGUACGGGAAACACAAAUUUCAGAUGAUACCGACAAUUCACAUCAGAGGCUCCUAGUAACUGUACGGGAUUUCCAGCGCCUUCUCCCAAUCCUUCUACUUGGGCUCGCUCUGCACCUCGCAUGCCAACUCCGGCGACACCACAUGUUUCGAGCAGCUCGAGUCCGUGUGCAGAUUUUCGCUCAUGUGACGAUUGGGGACCAUCGAAGCCGGCGGCGGCGGGUACCUCAGAUUAUCUAGCUUCCUGUCCUCGAACUCCGAGCAACUGCUGGCGUUACGACUAGUGUUCGCUAUUGUUCUUGCUGCUGCUGAGGCUGUUGCUGGAGGAUUUGCUGGUGGUCUGCAGCUUUCCAUAGGGCGGCUUGCUGGUUGUCUAGGUAAACAUUCAGGGCUGCUGGGGUGUUAUUAUUUCAUAUAGAACAAGGGGAGAGACAGAAGCGAACAAAAGAGAGAUUGAAAAAGACAGGGAUUUGAGGAGAGAGAGAAAUGAAGCUGGUUUCCUUGGUGUUGACAAAUUAUAAGAACAGAGAGGGAGGGAAGAUCACAUGUGUCGGAUGUUGGUUUGGAUUCGGUAAUUGCAAUUUGGAUGUUGCUUUUGUCUCUGUCGUUUUCUUUUUCUUCAAAACAAAGAUAUAGGCUUUUCUGGGUAUCUCAGGAUUUUUAGAGAGACAAAGUGGUGUUCUUGGUUUUUUGUGAUUUUUUGUAAGAGGAUAGCAGAGUGAGAGAUAGAGUAUUUGGUUUCCUGGGUUUUUGCAGAUUCACGACGGAGGUGAAAAAUUGAGAGAGAACCGACAUAACUUUUCGUGUCGAUUCUCAUAGACGGUGCCAAAUGUUGUUGCACAAAACCGGAGGUCUUGGAACAACAUAAAUCCGACCGUGAAUUUGCAAGAAAGUAAAUAACACAAGAUGUAUUGUGGUUCAUCCCAAUGUUUGAGCUACGUCCACACUGAUUAUUGUAUUUCUCUGAGAUGUUGAAGAGGGAGAGAGAGAGCUUCUGAGGGUGAGAGAACUCUUCUCAAUCUGAUAGGUUUGAGGGGAUGAGGAGACUCUCCAAUUGUGAGGGUGAGGAGGCCAUUUUAUAGACUAAGGGCUCCUCCCCUUUUUACAUAUUUGCCCAUUCCUUUAUUAUAUAAUUACAUUUAAGUUCUUCGAGUAUUUAUACGAGAUCUAAAUACGGAGGCCCUAAGUAUGGUACAAACAUAGUUUUUUGCACUUUACCCUAAUUAUUUUAUGUUGAAAAUACGUGAAUUUUACAUGUAUUAUUGAAAAAUGGGUGACAAUAGCAUGUAUUAAACAUGAAAGUAUGUACAUAUUAUGUUUAAAACGUGUAUUCUAUGUUGGACUUAUAAAAAAACAUGCAAUUUAACCAAUCAUUAAAAUGUGUGUAAAAACAAAAGUAUAUUUUUAGAAUACGUAAAUACUUAUAUAAUACACGAAUUUACUAACUAUAUAUGUAACCUCUCAUCAAUAUAAUGGUAAAAAUUAUAAGAAACUAGAUUUGAUGGAAAUAAAUUUGUGAAAAAUCUAUCAAUAUCUUUGUUAAAUUAUCACGUGACCAACUUUUUAAGGUUUUUUUGUCAAAUCAACUCGUCCAUUUAACGAGAAUAUUGAAAGAUUUUUCAUAGAACUUAGGUGAAUAAAUUCAGGACUACUUCCAUAAAUUUUCAUUAUCAAGGACUAAAGUGGAGAUAUGUCAAUCCCAAGACUAUUUGACUAAACAUACAAUUUGACUAAAAAGCUUGUGAAUUUCAAAAGAUCGUAUUAGUUAUCGCAAUUAAGCACAUAGUAUCAUGAGAGAGAGUGUAUAUUGUUCCCAACAGGAUCCUUUUCGGAUCCUAGAGAUUUGUGAAUCGUGUCCGUUCAUCGUACAUCAUGCGGUUAGUUUUUGUGAAGUGCUGUUUAUGUUUAUUUUUAAAUAAAAAUACUUAAAAUGAUUUCUGGCCACAUGAUGUACGAUGAACGAACAUGAUUCACGGAUUCUUAGGAUCCUCACAAAGAGGAUCUAGACUCAUAUUGUUCGAUGCCUACCAAAAGUUGUCAUGUCUUUGAGCAUGGUCAAAUCAAACUUUACAAAAACAUGAUACCUCACAACCCUACUACAUUUAACAGUUUUUGCGAUGAAGUUUGUCGCACAAAGAUAAAUUUCGUCACGCAAAGAUAGACUCUUUUAUUCUAUCCAAGUAUUCAUCUGCACAUCUGUUUAGAUUCUAUCCACUGCCAUCCAUUAUGUCAACAACCACAAUAAAAAUACAAUGUUUACAACAAUUUCAACAAGAUCUUGUCAUCUUAUGCCUCUUGUAAGGGCCAUAUCCCAUUCGGGAAUGCACAUUUAUGUGACGUAAUUUAUGGCUUUAUCAGAUUAGAUAUCAAUGUGGAAAAGUUCCAGCAACAUCUCCCUGCAGUUUUUCAAGUAUAUGAUGUAGAUUUAUAAAUACCUAUCUUGUACUUGAAGAACGAGAAAGAUGUUACUGAACUUCCCAUGGUUGAAACCUAAUCUAUGAACCGCAAACUACGACACAUAACUAUGCAUUCCCAACUGUCAAAAGAAUAGGACAAUUCAAGAAUCAAUUGGACCGUAGUCAUGCUUUAGCAUCCAUGCGUGAAAUUCAACUAAAUCUCAAAUGGGAAACUAAGCUUUUUUUAAACAAAAGCGUACGAAGUUAAGCACUAUUAACUAUGUACAACCAAGAUUCUAAAAAUGUUAGGCGUUAGGCAGGCGACGAGUUGGAGCCAAGCACCUAGACGACUAGGCAGGGCUUAGGUGGACUAGCGAAUUAAGUAUAUUUAUAAUAUAUUGUAUAAAUAAGUGAACAUCUAUACUUAAGGGAACACAUAAUUGUAUUUGGAUACAUAAAUUGCAAAAUAAAUUGACUAGAGAUUACCAAGUAUUAGAACAUAUUGAAAACAUAAGGAAAAAGCUUAUAAUGAGUGUUUAUCUAAUUAUUCAAAAAAAAAAAAUUACAUUUUAUUCAAAAAAAUUAAAAUACAAAAUGAGAGUUAUUGAUUUUCUGUCUAAAUGAAAGUCGCGGUCUAGCGGGGUUUAGGGGGGUUAGGCGGAUGCCUAAGCGGGUGUAGGCGUACUUUCUUAAUUUUAAAAUGCCUAGGGACUAAACAUUUGCAAACAAAUAAAUUAAAUCACAACAAUUAUGUCACCCGAACUCAAGGUCGGUAUAAAAAACUCGAACCCGAAUCCGAAACGUGAGUUAAAAACUCAAUAAAUAAAAGAAAAUUGAAACUGGUUGGGUUGGAAAAUGAAUUCGUCUUAUAAAAAUAACUCAUGAUUCUUAAAAACAAUAAAUAAUUUUUUACAAUUUUACAGUAUACAGAUGAAUAACUUUCUAUUCUCACAUCUAAUCCGAUCUCAUCAUGAUUAUCCUUUUGGAUGUCUAGUUCAUAAAUCUGCAUAACAAUAGAGGGACAAGCUUCUAUAGCUUAGUUGGGACAUAACCUUACUCUAGUAAAUUGACAAUAUUAAAUUAAGUGUCAUGGCAUCAUCAAUAAUCAAACAACAAAUCAUUAUUGAUAACAAUGCAUGAAUGCAACGCAACCUUUUCUGCUACACCCAUUAAUUUAUAAAAUAAAACACGCGGACUUGCACGUCCUAUAUUGUGCAUUUUACCAUUUUCACUGGUAGUUCGAAUAUUCUAUUAUGCAAACUAACCCCCAUAAGGUAUCACAAGUUCAUAUACCUCUUUUGUUAGUCACCUUAUAUAAUUCAUUGAUCUCCAGCCCAAAUCACCCACAUCGAUAAGUUAUCUCGCCGAUACCCUAUUCUAAUGUGCACACUGGCUCACCUAGAACUGGUUUCACAAUGAAUAGAUUCAACUACAUAAAAAAUCCUUUCCAACUACCCUCAUUUCCAGAAUUGCAAUCUCAACACUGAAGGUCCAACCAUAUCUCACAACAUGAGUGAUGCACAAAUAAUGUCAUUUCAUCUUUCACAUGUAUUAUAGUAUAUUCUCAACGAAUAGCAUUUCAGCAAUAAUUCCAUAACCAACAACAAGUAAACACACAAGAGAAUCAUUUAUCCAAUUAGUAUCAGAUCAUAUGAAUCAACCAAUAAGAUCAAUAAUAAUAAUAUAAACAUUUCACGAUAUUUAAUAAAAUCAAUUUUUGCAAAGUCUACUAUAUUUCCCCUACAUGGAUUCCAAAGCUAAAUUGAAGAUUUAUUUCACUACCAUAAUAGCUAAGUUCCACAUACUUGAGCAAGGUCCUUGAUCACUCCUAAGUACCAUGUAUUUCUUCCACUCUUAUCUUUUCUAAUCUCUCUCACUAUAUAUAAAUAUAUAAAAAUAUGGACAUAUAUCUAUAUACACACACAUAUUUUUGCAUGGCUUCUUGAAUUGUACAUCCAGCAGUUGCGGAGCCAGGAUUUCAUGUGAGGAGGAGGGCCCCUUCACAAAUGCACAAAAAUAUGACGAAUAACAGUUACAAAACUACUAAUCAAAUUGCAUGAUAACCUUGUUAUCUAUACAGUUAAAUUUAAUAAGAAAAAUUAAUCAAAAGGUCCAAACUAUGACAUCUCGUCCCAAAUUUUAAGUUUUAUAAAUUUUAAAGUAGUGAUUUUACGAAAAGCCCUUAGAGGCGAGGAUGUUUGACUUUCGUUGGCUGUUCGAAGUCACAAUUAAUGUUUUCGAAUAGAUUUUGAAGCUAAGAAUGUGUAGGCGAAAGCCGUUUGUGAGUCCGGAUUAUAACGGUAUAGUUACAGAUGUUUGAAAUUGAUUAUUUAAAGUUAGUUAAAUAAUUUGAGCUCCCAUCUUGUGGGAAGGAAGCCAAUCAAAAUUUUAACAAGGGAAUAAAGGACCCAUCAAUUUAAAUGGAACUAAGGACCAAUUAGAAAAGAGGAGAAAAGAAAGGACCAAUCAGGAAGGAGAGGGAAGAACUUCAUCUCCCUUCCCGUUAAACCACAAACUCGGCGAUGACCCGGUUUGAUUUCGACGAUCCUCCCCCAUUUUUCAGGCGAUUCUCACCCAUCCAUCACCUACAACCUCUUCCAUAACCUCCCAUCUACCAUCUCCACCCAUAUUUGAGGGUUUUUAUUUCCAAAACCGUGAGGAACUCCACUGGAGCACCGGAGGUGCUCGACAGUGAUUCCUCCAAUCCUGCGAGUUCCACCAUCUAAAACUACCCUUAAUCAACUUCCCUUGGACCUAGGAACAAGACCCAAUUAGUGGUAGAUGCACUGGAACACCGAGGUAGGAGAAUCGAAGUUCACCUAUUUUAGGGUUCCGGCGGGUUUGAGUGAAAUUGGAGCAUUUUCCGGCCAAAUUGGACUUGGUCAUAGGUAUAAAACUUACUCUACUCUUUGAGAUCUUCAUUUUUGUAAAAUUUGAGAAUUUUUGGAGAUAGUUGAAUUUUUCAACGAAUCAGGACGGUUGACAACCGUGUACGGCGGCACGUCAGUCGAGUCACCCCCUGACCUUCCUAAGCUAAGUUUGACACCCCAAUUCCAUAGGUGAAAUCCGAUUGAUGAAAAGGUAAUUUUAUUUAGACCCAAUAGUACUCUUUCUACACCCAGCUACAAAAAACUUUUUAUGUAAUUCCUAUAUUACCCCUUAUACAAAAUAAAAUAAGAAAUUGAAAAUUAAAUAUCUUUGUAAACUCAUUCAACCGAGAUAGAACCCACAUACAUCGCCACCACUCAACCACCACUUCAGACCUCCCUCCCUCUUCUUUCUCCUGCAUAUAGAAGGCGGGAUUGCUAAAUCAGCCAUCGCCUUCAACAACCCGACCCAAUACAAAAUUCAUUUGACUCCAUUUUGAACUUCUGCAACAAGUCGCUUACGCAGUUGACGAUGUUGUUUAGUUUUGGCUAUUAACAACAUAGGCCUUAUCAUGCGUAAUAGAAGAAAAAUGGAAAGAUUCACUGGACGUUUGGUGGAGUAGCCACCGCAAAGAAUUGGUGGGUGUGGGAGAGGUGGGGGAACACACCAAGAAUAUCAGGGAAAAAAACAGUCGGGAGGGAGACAGACCCAACAAAUACAGGGAGGAGACGCCAGAAGGUGAGAUAACAGUCGGGAAAUGGGUUUGAUGAGUUUUUCUUUUUCCAAUUUAUUUAUGUUUAUAAUUUAUGAGGGUAAACUAGAGAGUUUAGGUAACAAAAUAUUAAAGUUGGGUUUAGAGAGAGGAAAAUUGGGUCCAAAUAAAAUUACAUACUAUAAUUAUAUGAAUUAACGAUCUGACCGUUGGAUCGUCACCAAACUUUACUACAUUAUAUUAUGUAAUAUUUGAGGAUAUUAGAAACUUACGGAUUGAGAAUCUGACGUAUGGAUCUUCCCAAAUUGGAUUUGUAAGUUCGUAAAAUAAAACGUUGACCGCAACUUGAAUUGGCAAUUGGCGGAGAUCCAACCGUUGGAUCAUAAUGAAACUUUAGUAUAAUGUCCUAGAAGUAUAAUGUGUAUCUUCAGAAGUUACGGAUUAGAAAUCCGAGAUGCAGAUCUUUCAGAUUGAGUUACCUAGGGUUAUGGACCCUACCGUUGAUAUUUGACGGACGGUUGACUUUUGGUCAAUGGGUCUCAAACCAUUCUAGAACGUCCUUGGGAUGUGUUUUAUGAAAGUUAUGUGUUCUAUUGAUAAGAGUUUUGAGACGUGACUAAAUAUUUGUUCUAGGUGAUGAUCGUUCGUGACGUCUCGAUAUUCGUGUUAGGGAGUCGUAGCGCGGACCUCAGGUGAGUGGGUCUUUUUCUUUUUAUCGUACAUAUAUAAUUGAUAGUUCAACAAACGCUUUUAAAUUGAUUUAUAUAUUUUAUGCCAUGUCAUAUAUAUAUAUUUAUAUAUUCUAAAAUAAUAUGAUAUGGUUGAGUUUUAGAUUGCCUCAUGGCAUAUCCAUAUGUAUAUUACCUACACAUAAUUGUUGUGAAUGUUUUGAAGUGCUAAGGUGAACGUGGGGUGUGCAGGUAAGUUCAGGUGAGUGUAUGGUGUUAUUUGAAAUGAUUGAGUUAUGGCAUGACUAUAUUUGUGUUUUAUGCAACUCUGACAUUGUUGUACAAGUUGCAAUAAUAGGCAACUCUGACAUUAUCGUACAUGUUGCAAUAAUAGGCAACUCUGACACUAUCGUACAGGUAGCAUUAGGCAACUCUGACUCAUGUGUUAUCAUAGAUUGAUUUAUGAGUCGUAUAGGUUGCGUUAGGCAACUUCGACUCAUGUGUUAUCAUAGAUUGAUUUAAGAGUCGUACAUGUUGCUUUAGGCAAAUCUGACUCCUGUGUUAUCAUAGAUUGAUGAGCACCUAAUUUUAUUAUGUUGCUGCCGAUAUGUAAUGAUUUGGAAUGAUUUUCAAUCCACUCUAAUGUACGUUACUUAUGCUCUGACGUUACGUGUGAAAUGAGUUCAUUCCCGCUCACAGUGCACUCUCGUCUUUAGGCACUUUAGGUUUAAAUUUAUUCACAUAUUCCACAUCACUACACUUUAUGGCUUCGUCACCUUUUUGGUGUCUGCUAGCACAACUCGAUUCGGAGUCCUAGUGGACAAUCCAGGUCGGGAUGUGUCACAAACUCUAACACUUAAAUAAGAUGAAAGAUAGACUAUAAACAAUAAAAAAAAAUUAUAGAAGGUAAGAUAGAUUUUACAAAUAGUAUUGUUUUUAUUGAAUUAAUUUGAAUUUUAUAUGAAAAUAUGAAAUUUCAAGAUGAGAAGAAUAAUAGCUUUAAGUGUUGGACUCUUGCUCCUCCUGGGUUGACUGUGAACAGGGGCGGAGGGAAGAAGAGAAUAUGGUAGGCCUAGGCCUAUCCCCACAUUUUUAUGCAAGCCUUCCCCAUAAACAUCUUUCAUUAUUCUUUAACCCUUCUCCUAUUAGUCAAUAAUACAAAGGUAAAUUUUAUUUAAACCCAUUUAACCUCUUUUUACACCCAACUUAAAUUUUAAAUAUUAAUUGUCUAUUUUACCCUAUUGCAUAAUUACUAUUAAGUACAAAAUGAAAUUAAUAAUAAAACUCAAAUUUAUCAAUAAACCCAAACACUAUAAUUAAACCCUACGAUUACUCUUUGUUUAUCCUACGUUUAUUCUGGCUAAAACCCUAAUAGCUCUCAUAGAGAAAAAUAAGUUUUUUUUAUUGAUAAAUGGUGAUUUUGAAGUUUUGAAUCCUCCAACCAAUGUAUGAUUCAAUUUAUGAAUUUUUUGUUCGUUUCAUUUCAAACUGGCUCUCAAAUCAGUUGAGCACAGUUUGAGGAUUGGUCACUUAAACCAGGCACUGUAAACCUUUGCACAUUUCUCUCUAGCACUCUGAACCAUCCAAUUCACAAACUGGCUCUCGUAAUCAAACAUAGUCAACAAUUUUUUGUUCGUUUGGAAAGGGUAUGAUUCGGCCGACAAUUUAAAUGCAGAAUCUCUACUCACAGUAAACACAAGACCAUACUCAUUCUCAGGAAUGUUCAAAUAAUCCAUAAUCCUAGCCUUUAUAUCAUGUUCCAAUAGUGCCUUUCUCAGCACCGCCAUAAAGCGCAUGAUUAUUCAAAUUUAGCUUCUAAAAAUCAAAUGGGUGUAAAAAUAAAUCCACAUAUUGAAUUGGGUUUAUGAGUGUAUAUUAGGUAUUAAAUUUGGGUUUAAAGAGAUAUUAAUAGUUUAGUUAAAAAUCAAAUGGGUGCAAAGAGUAAGUUGGGUGUAGAAAUAGGUUAGAUGGGUUUAAAUAAAAUUUCCCUAAUACAAAACACAUUAUAAAUGAUCUUCUAUUUAAAAUUCGAACUCCCAUAAUUGAUUCCAUCCCAACACUAAUUAAUAUGUACUUAUUGGACAUAAAAUCAAUAACCUUUAACAUUUUGAUAAAAAAAAAAAAUCUCUAAACAUUAAACUCGUUCACUUUUAAUUAAAACAAAAAAUUUCUCUCGUCUUUCUUUCACAGUCAACCCGGGAACAAGAGUCCAAGACUAAAUGCUAUUAUUCUUCUCGUUUCUUGAAAUUUCACAUCUCUUUUCAUAUAAAAUUCAAAUUAAUUUAACAAAAAUAAUACUAUUUGUAAAAUCUAUCUUACUUUCUAUAUUGUUUUUAUUGUUUCUCGUCUAUCUUACAUUUUAGGUGUUAGAGUUUGGACCUUUUGAUUAAUUGUUCUUAUUAAAUUAACAGUAUAGAUAACGAGGUUAUCAUGCAAUGGGUUCAAAAUAUGAAAAUUCUUGAGAGACAAUUAUGAUUAUUGAAAAUAUAAAAUAUUAUACAUGCAUAUGUUAUUAUGGCGUUUUGAUUAGUAGUUUUGUAACUGUUAUUCGUCAUAUUUUUUUGCAUUUGUGAAAGGCCCCUUCUCACACUUCUCACAUGAAAUCCUAACUCCACCACUGACUGUGAAAGAAAGACCAAAGAUGUUUUUUGUUUUAAUUAAAAGUGAACAGGUUAAUGUUAAGAGAUAUUUUUUUUUUUAUCAAAAUGUUAAAGGUUAUUGAUUUUAUGUCCAAUAAAUAAAUAUUAAAUUAGUGUUGGGAUGGAAUCAAAUAUGGAAGUUGGAAUUUUAAAUAUGAGAUCAUUUAUAAUGUGUUUUGUAUUAUUGACUAAGAGGAGAAGGGUUGUGAAGAAGAAUAAUGAAAGAUGUUUAUGGGGGAAGCCUCGGCCUAUCCUAUUCUCUUCUUCCCUCCGCCCCUGACAGCCACUGCACUUCCCUUUGAAAACUUUCAAACAAAGUAAAACUUUAGUAAAAUAUAAAUAUAGGAAUAAGAUUAACUUGACAACUAUCCAGAAUGGGAUAAAGAAAACAGGUGGAACACUUGGUAUACAAGUGUUAUCAUAAUACGAAUGUUGGGCGCUUAUCACAAUGUUUGCAGGACGUGUACUAACCUAAUGCAAAUGCAUGAAACUAUAGAUAUUUAUACCACUAGGGUUUAACAUACACACACACACACACAUAUAAAUUGGCACAAAUCAAAUUGGCUAUUCAAACUUGUAAGUAUCCAUUACAUGUAAAGAAAGGCCACCUCCUACUUAUAUUUGUGUAGCAAUUUGGCUACCUUAUCUAAUCACUUUCCACCUAUUACACUACUAACAUGACGAAUGUCUUUGUACUGGCAUGUUGGCUAAUCCUACGUGGCAAACUUAGCCACUCAGUUGCUGCCAUGUGUUAUCAAUUCAUUGGUCCAAAUAUAAAUUUUAAAUUUAUAUGAAACUCCGAAAUGUAUUUUAAAAAUGCUACGAGGUCAUAGUAAUUCCUACUAUCUUCAUAUACAAAGGCCUUUUCGAUAAAUAGUUUCCAAAUACCCCUUUUCUUUGGUAAUAAAUUCUAGGGGUCUCACAAAUUAAAAAAAAAUAAAAAUAAAUUAAACAACAAGUUAGUGUAAAAUGUAUUAGCUUUGAAAAUACCUUCAAAUUCGUUGUUCCCCAAUAAUCGUAUACAACAACCCUAUAGAAAACAAAUUUAAUUUUGUUAUAUGAAUUCACAAUGAAAAAUUUAACUACAAAAUCAAAUCGCUUACCAAAUAGAGAGGGAUAGAUCGAGGACAAUGAAGGGAGUCAAGGUGGAGAUCGAGGUGGAGUUGGAGAUUGAAAUAGAUUAGUAUUAGAAGAUGAAUUUGACAGAAAUGGGACGGGUUUGAAGAGAGAUGGGAUGGGAUUUUUUGGGGGGGGGGGGGGGGUGGGGAACGUAGAGGCAGCAACUGCAAAAAUUGAAAUAGAUUAGUAUUAGGGGAACGUAGAGGCAGCAACUGCAAAAAAUGUUUUGCAGUUCUGCGUGUCGCAACUGAGGCUUUGUUGCGUGUCGCAACUGAGGCUUUGUUGCAAAACUUAUAUCGUUGAUAAACCUAAUUCACAUUAUUCGACGAAUAGUUCGUCCCGCGAAGAAGCUCUGAGCGACGAAUGUCUAGCUCGUCUUGCGAAGAUACUAUGUGCGACCAGCAGAGAUACUUGUUAUUAAUUAUUUUUUAAAGUAUUUUAGUAUGGCCUAAUUUUUUUUACUAAAUUAACGAAAAUAAAAUAUGUUAUAUAAGCUAUACAAAUCCUUCAUUUAUGGUAAAUCAAAUUAAAUAAAUAAAUAUUUAAUCCAAAUCCAAUACUUAAAGUAAAUAUUAUAAUAUUUAAAAAAACUUAAAAGCUACAGUCCACGAUUACAUACAAAAAAAAUUAUGGGUAAAAGAUUGUUUACUACCCUCAAGUUUCGUGAUUUUCAACAUUUAGUACAUCAAAUUUUUUUCGUCUCAAAGUCAUAGCUAAAGUGUAAAUUUUGGGACAGUCUCAUACAUCCGUUAGUCAAACUGUUAAGUCUCCCGUUAACUGUGACGUGGCGCCCAUGUGGACAAUGACUGGGCGCCACGUAAUUUUUUUUUUAUUAUAAUUUUUAGAGAAGGGGUUUCAAUGAAAAAAAUUAAUUCAAAAUUCAAAAUUCGCGACCUCCCAUCUCACCCAGAAAAAGUGAAAAAGUGAAAACUGAAACCACUUUUCACUCCCUCAGAAAAUCGCGACCCCCCAUCUCUGUCCAAAUCCUUACCCAUGGGCCGUCACUCGACCUCGCCGUUGCUUCACCUUGCACGCCAUCACUCCACCACGCACACCGUCGUACGUUGCACACACGUUUCUGGGAAAGAUUGUCGUGAAGCCAUCGCUAGCGAUGGGGUGGGAAAAAAGGAGGAUCGAAGUGGGUGAAACACCACUUUAUCGUAAGUAACCUACCUUUUUCGAAGUGUAGAUAAUAUGGGUUUAGGCUUUCCGAUUUUUCAAUUUUGAAUUUUAGGGAUUAGGGAUUUGUGAGUUCGAAUCCCUUUUUUUUUCCUAUAGUUUAUGGAAUUGUGUUUUGUAGUGGGUUGAGCAUGUGGUUUUGUCUUCAAUCGUGGUCCCCAUUGGUUUUGUUUUCACCUUUUUUUCUAUGGUUUUAGUAAAAAAAGGUGGAAUUGUAUUCAUGGUCCCCAUGGUUGUUUUCACCUUUUUUCCUCAUGGUCCUACUAGUGUUUUCACCUUUUUCCCCAUGUACCUCUAGGAUUUUAUGUUGUUUUCAUCUUUCUCCUUGACUUUGCAGGCAUUUCCGAAUUAUUUAGCCUUAAAAUUAACCACGAUGGGAAGUGGUAUGAAAGUGCAUAUACGGGAGGGUUUGAAGCUUGGUUUGAUUACGUAGACAAAGGCUUCAUGUCUUUUUUCGAGAUUGAUGAAAUGGUUAAGGAGUAAGGAUAUGAUGGGUUUAUGUUGUAUCACUAUAGGAUUCCUGGGAUGUCUUAAUGUGAGGGAUUAAGGCUUAUUGAAUAGAACCAAGAUGUGGGUGAAAUGUGCAAGUAUGUUCUAGGGGUUAGGGAAAUAGAAAUUUACCUAGAAUAUCUAAGUUUAAAGCAAGCUGCCUUGAAACAUAAGCUUUUGAUGAAUCUAGAUGAGAGUGCCAUAUUAAAAAAAGGUGUCAUUAUAGAAGAUAUUGAGGAAUCGAGGGUGGUGAUUUCGAUUACAAAGGGAAGUGGAUCAAAACUGAAGAAGGUUAGAGCAAAAAGGGGUGCAAAUGACUUAGAAAAACGGUUAUGUCUUUUGAAUGACAUAGCCUACAAUGGUGAUGAUGAACAUAAGGCUAAAGCAACUUAGGGAGGACAAGGAAGUGGAGAUGAGGCUGAAGAUGGUUCUCUCAAUGCUGAUGAUGAAGGUGAUGAAACUAAAGAAGGUCACGAAGCUGAAGAAGUUAAUGAAGGGACCAAAGUAGAAGCUAAUGAAGGUAAAAUUUUUGAAACAUUUAUUUUUACAAUUUUAAUUUCAGUAGGUUCUUAACAAAUAUGCAUUGUUUAUGGCAGUAAAUGCAGAGGAUGACACUACAGAUAGUGAGUUUGUGGACAGUGACUACAAUUUGGAAGAUGAUGAUUGUCGUGCAGUAGAUGAUACAGCUGUAUAAAGUGUCGUUGGAGAUGCUGAAAGAGGUGAAGGGGUUGGGAACCAACUUCCAGAAGAUGUUAUUGAUGCAAAUGAUGUAGAAGAUGUUCCCCUUGAUGAUGAGAGACAAGACUCAGAUGGCCUGCACAGUGUUGACGAUUCAGGUUCAGAAUGUGAUGAGAAGGUCAUCUACCAUGAGUUUAAUGAAGAAGCCGAUAGGGAUGAUCCAAAGUUUGAAAAGGGAUUAAAGUUCAGAGAUGAUGCACAGUUGAGAGAGGCAGUGUGGUCUCACUCCAUUAAGCAUGGUGCACAUUUUAUUAAGCUAAAAAUGAAUGAGAAAUGGAAGAUUAGUUCAAGAUGUGAGAACAACUGUCCAUGGAGAUUGUAUGCUUCUAGGAUGUACAAUGAAGAUUCAAUGCAAGUGAAAACCUAUGUUGGGAAACAUGAAUGUCCGAGGAUUUGAAGGGAAAAUCCUAACUGCAAAGUGGCAUGGCUUAUGAAGAGGUAUGUGGACAAGUUCAGUCUCAACCCAAGCAUGCCCAUCACUACAUUUGUGGAGACAGUGAAAGAGGAAAGAAUGGUUGAGAUCCACAUCAAGACAGCCUACAGAGUGAGAGCACAGUGUUUGAAAAUUCUUGAGGGGAGUAACUUGGAUCAGUACACAAAGUUGUGGGAGUACUAUGAUGCGCUUAGGAGGACAAACCCGGGUAGUACAAUUCAUAUAAAGGUGCUGCCCUAUGAUGAUGCUUAUGUGAUAUUUCAGAGGAUUUAUAUUUGUUUGGGUGCUUGCAAAAAUGGAUUUAAGAAUGGAUGUAGGCAGCUUGUAGGGUUGGAUGGUUGUCACUUGAAGGGAGUGUUUAAGGGCCCGUUACUGUUUGCAGUGGGAAUGAAUGCAAAUAACCAAACCCCUUGCAUAUGCUAUAGUAGAGCUCGAGAACAAGGAUAGUUGGGCUUGGUUUCUGGAACUGCUAGCUGCUGACUUGGGAAUUGUGAACCAAUGUGCUUGGACUUUCAUUUCUGACAAACAAAAGGGUUUAAUACCAACUUUUGAGAAGGUGCUGCCUAAUUAUAAUCAUUGGUUCUGUGUUAGGCACUUAUAUACCAACUACAAAGUAGAAGGGUUUAAAGGGAAAUGAUUAAAUGAUGCUUUGUGGAAUGCUGUCAAGGCAACAACCAUCGCUGAUUUUAGGGAGAGUAUGGCUGAGGUGAAUAGGCUGAAUGAAAAAGCUUAUAAAUGGUUGGAAAGAGACCAGCCUUGCAUUGGAGUAGGUCACACUUUGAGACACACUCAGUGUGGCAUUCUUUUAAAUAACCUCUGUGAGAGCUUCAAUUCUUUUAUCCUAAGGUCUAGGGACAAGCUUAUUAUUACCAUGUUGGAAACUAUAAGAGUUUUAUUGAUGAAGAGGAUAUGGUUGAGAAGAGAUGCAAUGAGGAAGGAUAAAUGAGCUAUUUGCCCAAAAAUCUAGAAGAAGUUGAAGAAGUACAAACUGAAAAGCUCACACACUAUAACUACAUGGUCUGGAGGAGAAAAAUUUGAAGUGGAAGAAGGCAGAGGCAAUGUAUUUAUGGUGGAUUUGAAUGGGUGCACUUGCUCAUGCAAAAGAUAGGAUUUGAUAGGCUUUCCUUGCAUAAAUGGUUGCUCGGCCAUCUAUUAUGCAAGGAGACAGCCUGAGGAAUUUGUUUCCUCUUGGUACAAGAAGGAGAAGUACUUUGAAGCUUACGAAAACUUGAUUCAACCUGUCCAAGGCAUGAAAUUUUAGGAGCCAUCUAAAAACAAAUGCAUUAUUCCACCAACUUUUAAAAGGCAGCCGGGAAGACCAAAAAAGAAGAGACAUAAAGAGGGUGAUGAAAAUGAAUUCAAGUUAAGCAAGAGAGGUCAAAAUGGUGUGAAAUGUAGUGUUUGCAAGGCCUCGGGACACAACAAGGCCAGAUGCCCUACCAUUCCUCCUCCUCCAGCUGCUAGAAAAGGAAGAAAAGCAAGAAAAAUGAGGUAUAAUUUUGAUAUUUUUUGUUGAUUUUUCAUUUCUUAAGUGAAUUUGUUAUUUGUGAAGUGUACUUGUUGAUGCACAAAAUCGGUGAGGACUACAAUAGAAAAUGUUAAGUUUGUGACCUUCCCUAGAUUGCUCCGGUCACUAGUGUGGAUAAGUAUGUAAAUGGAUAGAGACAGGGAAGCAAAUACAAGAUGUACGUGGUUCACCUAGAUUGGCUACGUCCACGGAGUAGAAGAGUUCUCUUUAAUUGUGAAGGGUUUACACAAGUACAUAGGUUCAAGCUCUUCUUUAGUGAGUACUAGUGAAUGAUUUAGUACAAAUGACAUUCGAAAAUAUUGUGAGAGAAUGAUCUCUAUUUAUAGAAGAGAGUUUCUAGUUUCAUUCUGACAUUGACAUGUGUCGUGUUGUGAUUGGCUUCUGAUGUUGACACGUGUAGCGCUAUGAUUAGCUUCUUAUGUCAACACGUGUCGCGCUGUGAUUGGCCUCCUGGUUAGAGGGAAACUCUUCUGGGUCUUUGACGGUAUAACGUUGAUCGGUGCUCAGUAGUUUCGGGAUUGGUCAAGUAUGGUACACACAGUGCUCCCCUAAGUUCCCGAGUGAGGGAAGCUCCUCGGUUAAGGACUUGCAAGAUCCAAGCCAUUCAGUAAUCACGAAACUUCGAAGUACCGAAGUGUGGUAUCAUUUUCACUUGCCUUAUCUGUCUCAUAUGUAGAUGUGGCAUCUUCUCUAGAAGUACUUUUCCUUCAUCCAGGAGUGGUAUCUUUAACUGAUGAAGAUGCACAAGGUAAUGUAUCAAUUUUACUUGAAGCUUACUUAUAGUUUCGGGCUUGGUCAAGUGCGAUACAAACCCUAUAGUAAGAGUCCCUCAAGUCGCCAAGCUAGGAGAUUUGCCGAAUGAGGUAACAGACAAGGUAAGCAAUCAGACUUCUAAGCAAGCAACCUGGAUUAGAGGUUCGACUUCGGCUUCCGGUUCAUUGUUCUCCUCCUCUUUGUGUCAUAAACAGUAACAAGUAUAAGGAGAAGCAAAUGGAGAAGAGAUGAUAUGAGAUACUUUUGCUUUUGAAGAAGUAACUUUCCACAAGUUUAUUCUUGAACUGGGCUGUAGGGUUUUCUGGUUUCCUCUGGAGUAUAAGGCCGACUCAAGAAUUUGAGGGUCAAAAUAAGUCCAUCAAAUCUAGAAUACGUUCGACCCUGAUGAUAUGAGAUACUUUUGCUGUUGACAAAGUAGUGGAUGUAUUGGCACGUGUUCUGUUAUGCUUGUCUCCACAUGCUUCCUUGUAUCCUUCUCACUUGCCCUAUAUGUUCCUCAAGCAGAUUUGGUAUCUUUUCCGGAAGCAUAAGAUGUUGAAGAUGAGUACUCGAGAGCAAUGCCAGGUAAGUAAUCAGGCAAGGGGUUCCAGGCAGUCAGUUCCUGACUGGAAGCUUGAUUCCAAGUGUUGACUGAUUGCUCUCUUUCUCUUUAUCUUGCAGGUAAGAACAAGGCCAAAGGAAAAGACAGGGAAAAAGCAUGAUAUGGGAUACUCUUGCUUUUAACCCCGAUGAUAUGAGAUACUCUUGCUCUGGUAUGGCUUGUUUGCAGAGGUAUUAUCGAGGGGAAAAGAAGCUGAGUAUUUCGAGAGACUCUGCUGAGAGUGUCCUCUCGGAUGUGAAGAAAAGUUGAGCAUUUUUUUUAUUUGCAGGUCUGCCUGGCUGUGAAGGAUGGAGGUUGACAUAUAUAGAAGUCUCCCUAACAAUAAGUAGUAGUGCUAUUCAUUUACCCUUCUUGGUCAUAGCAAUAUAGUAGGAGCUACUAGUUUCACGUGUUUUAACUUUGUCAGAGCACUUUGAAAAAAUGGUAUGUGGUAUCUGGAAAGCUGAUGUUGCAUGUAAAGAUUGUAAAAAAGCUUUAUCCAAGGAAAUCUGGCUCUUGAAGUUCGGAGAGCGGUGCUUCUUCGAUUUUCGAACAAGCAUUCCUGUCGGGGAUCUGACUCUCGAGAUUCAGAGAACGGUGCCUCUUCGAUUUUUGAGAAGCAAUCCUGUUGGGAGUCUGACUCUUGAGAUUUGGAAAGUAGUGUCUCUUCGAUUUUUAAGAAAGUAAUCCUGUUGGGAGUCUGGCUUUCGAGAUUCGAAGGGCGAUGCCUCUUCGAUUUUUGAGCACGUAAUCCUGUUGGGAGUCUGGCUCUCGAGAUUCGGAGAGCGGUGCCUCUUCGAUUUUUGAGCAAGUAAUCUUGUUGGGAGUGUUUUCUCGAAUGUGAGUAAAGGUUUGGCAUUUUUGCCAGUCUGUUUUGCCACGGAGCACGGAGGUUGACACACAUUGAGACUUUCUAGUUAUCAAGUAGUGGUGCUGUUCUUUUACCUUUGUGGUUAAUAGUAGGGUAGCUGGACCUUUAAAAUUUAUGUGUCUAAACUUUGUUAGAGAUCUUUGGCAAAGUUAUCUAUGGUACCCGAGGAGCUGAUGUUACGUGUGGAAGUGGUGCCUCUUCGGAAUCCGGAGAGUGGUGCCUCUUCGAUUUUUGAACCAACGACCCUAUUGCCCUUUCUUUUAUAAGGGCACUAAUUGUGUGCAAGAAGUACAUUCAAAGAGUUAUUGCUUGUAGGAAUUUUCCCCUUACUUCAGAGAUUUAUUGCACCUCAUUUCUCCUUCAUCAUUUCUGAGAAUGUCUGGCCCAUCCGAUCGUCAUUUUGACUUGAACUUUGGUGAAGAGGCAGCCAUGCCUUCUUAAGACAACAUAUGGCGCCCAUCUUUCUUAUCCCCUACUAGUCCUCUUACUGUUGGGGACUCUGUGAUGAAGAAUGAUAUGACCGUUGCGGUCGUGGCCAAGAACCUUUUCACUCCCAAAGAUAACAGACUACUUUCCAAACGGUCUGAUGAGUUAGCUGUUAAGGAUUCUCUGGCUCUCAGUGUUCAAUGUGCAGGUUCUGUGUCUAAUAUGGCCCAACGCCUAUUUGCUCGAACCCGCCAAGUUGAAUCAUUGGCGGCUAAAGUGAUGAGUCUCAAACAGGAGAUUGGAGGGCUCAAGCAUGAAAAUAAACAGUUGCACAGGCUCGCACAUGACUAUGCUACAAACAUGAAGAUGAAGCUUGACCAGCUGCAGGAAUCUGAUGGUCAGAUUUUACUUGAUCAUCAGAGGUUUGUGGGUUUGUUCCAAAGGCAUUUAUUGCCUUCGUCUUAUGGGGCUGUACCGUGUAAUGAAGCUCCAAAUGAUCAACUUUCGGUGCCUCAUUCUUCUGAGGUUUUGCCUAGUACUGAGGCUUCUCCUGAGCAACCUUUGUGAAUACUCCCUCUUGUUUGUUUAUUUUGAUUCUUGUAUAAGUACAUAUUUGUAACUUAUCGGAGAUAUCAAUAAACAAGCUUUGCUUCAUUUCAACGUAUUGUGUUAAAUACACCAAGGCCUUCUUAACUAAGUUCUUUGAAUUUUUCCUUUUGUUAAAGCUUGUAUGUUGAAGCUUUGUGAGUGAAGCAUGUAGGUUGAGGUAGUGCUCUCUUAAUUUCCUGAAUGAGGAAAACUUCUCAGUUGGAGACUUGAAAAAAUCCAAGUCACUGAGUGGUCAUGAGACUUCCAAGUAUCAAGGUACAGUAGCAUAUGGUAGGAGUCCCCAAGUCUCCGGUCAAGGGAGUUGACGAAGAAGGUGUCUUGCUAGAAGCCAAGCUUCCAAAGUAACAAAAUUUCACCAUUUUCCUUUCUAAGUGGUAGCCCAAAACUCCUCAUUCAUAUAUAUUUGUUAUGAAAGUUGUUAGGCCUAAAGAAGAGGAGGCCUAGGCAUUUUUUGUUUUUUUGUUUUUUGUUUUUUGUUUUUUUUUGAAUUUUUGAAUUUUCAAAUUUUUAAAAUUUUGAAUUUUCGAAUUUCCGAAUAUAUAUAUAUAUAUAUAUAUAUAUAUAUAUAUAUAUAUAUAUAUAUUUUAAGCUUUAUAGGUGAAGCUAUGCUGGGUACCAUGAAUUGAUUUUGCUUCACACUAUCUUGAUCAAGAUAGUGUGAAGCUUUUGUAGGUGAAGCUUUUGUGUUGAAGCUUUGUAGGUGAAGCUUUUGUAGGUGAAGCUUUUGUGGUGGGUGAAGCUUUUGUUGGUGGGUGAAGCUUUUGUGAUGGGGGAAGCUUUUGUGGGUGAAGCUUUUGUUGGUGAAGCUUUUAUGGGUGAAGCUUUUAUUUGUGAUGGGUGAAGCUUUUGUGGGUGAAGCUUUUGUAGGUGAAGCUAUUGUGGGUGAAACUUUUGUGGGUGAAGCUUUUGUGCUGGGUGAAGCUAUUGUGAGCGAAGCUAUUGUGGGUGAAGCUUUUGUGGGUGAAGCUUUUGUAGAUGAAGCUUUUGUAGAUGAAGCUUUGGAGUUGAAGCUUUGUAGUUGAAACUUUGGAGUUGAAGCUUUGUAGUUGAAACUUUGGAGUUGAAGCUUUUGUUGGGUACCAUGAAUUGAUUUUGCUUCACACUAUUUUGAUCAAGAUAAUGUGAAGAUUUUGAGAAUUUGUAAUUGUCCUCCAUUGAUGAAGCUUUUGUUGGUGAAGCUUUUGUUGGUAAAGCUUUUGUGGUGAAGUUUUGUUGAAUUUCCGAAUUUCUUUUUUUGUUCAUUUUUUUUUGGUAAAGCUUUUGUGGUGAAGUUUUGUUGAAUUUCUGAAUUUCUUUUUUUGUUCAUUUUUUUUUGGGAAAACUAUAAAUUUGAAAAUGUGGGAGAGACAACAUAUACAAAUUUUGCUUCCACACUAUUGAGCAAGAGAUUGUGAUGCAAGCCACACCUUGUAGUAGUUGAAGGUUUGGAUGAACCAUAUAAAUUAAAUUUGCUUCGAACAGUCUUGAUCAAGAGUGUGUGAAGCUUUCUACGAGUUGUAACUGCCUUUCAUUGAUGAAGCUUUUGUUGGCAUCAUAAAUUGGUUUUGCUUCACACAAUCUUGAUCAAGAGUGUGUGAAGCUUUUGAGAAUUGUGGUUGAACUCCUUUGAUGAGGCAUUUUGUUGGCACCAUAAAUUGGUUUUGCUUCACACUGUCUUAAGAAUUGUGGUUGCUCUCUAUUGAUGAAGCUCUUGUUGGCACCAUAAAUGGGUUUUACUUAACACUGUCUUGAUCAAGAGUGUGUGAAGCUUUUGAGAAUUAUGGUUGCCCUCAUUUGAUGAAGCUCUUGUUGGCACCAUAAAUUGGUUUUGCUUCACACUGUCUUGAUCAAGAGUGUGUGAGGCUUUUGAGAAUUGUGGUUGCCCUCAUUUGAUGAAGCUCUUGUUGGCACCAUAAAUUGGUUUUGUUUCACACUGUCUUGAUCAAAAGUGUGUGAAACUUUUGAGAAUUGUGGUUGCCCUCCAUUGAUGAAGCUCUUGUUGGCACCAUAAAUUGGUUUUGCUUCACACUGUCUUGAUCAAGAGUGUGUGAAUCUUUUGAGAAUUGUGGUUACCCUCCAUUGAUGAAGUUCUUGUUUGCACCAUAAAUUGGUUUUGCUUCACAUUAUCUUGAUCAAAAGUGUGUUAAGCUUUUGAGAAUUGUGGUUGCCUUCCAUUGAUGAAGCUCUUGUUGGCACCAUAAAUUGGUUUUGCUUCACUCUGUCUUGAUCAAGAGUGUGUGAAGCUUUUGAGAAUUGUGGUUGAACUCCUUUGAUGAAGCUCUUGUUGGCACCAUAAAUUGGUUUUGCUUCACACUGUCUUGAUCAAGAGUGUGUGAAGCUUUCUACGAGUUGUAGUGUUUGCAUUGUUAGAGAAGGGAAAUGUCUAAAGCAGAUGCAAGAGGGCUGAAUAGCUUGAUCUUCGUAUGACAUGCACUGAAGUUGUUGUUGGCUUGCAAUAAGACUUUGUUGGUGACUAUAACUCUUGUUGGGCAUAAGUGCUCCCCUAGUUGAGUUGUCAAGCUUGAGGGUUUUUUAUUAUUUGUGAAUGCUAGGAGUUCACAUGUACAAGUUGUACCACUCGUAUUUUGGUAGGUGGAAUGAAUGGUGAGUUGCUUUCAUCACUUGGUUGGUGGUACAAAGGUGAGUUCCUUCAUCAUCUUUCAUCACCUGGUUGGUGGCACGAUGAUGAGUUCCUUCUUCACCUGGUUGGUGGCAUGAAUGGCAAGUUGGCAAAUGAUAUUAGAGUACGGGUUGUACAUUUCAUCACUUAGUUGGUGGCAUGAAGGAGAGUACGGGUUGUACAUUUCAUCACCUUGUUGGUGGCAUGAAAAUGAGUUCCUUCUUCACCUAGUUGGUGGCAUGAGUGGCAAGUUGCCAAAUGGUAUUAGAGUACGGGUUGUACAUUUCAUCACCUAGUUGGUGGCAUGAAGAUGAGUUCCUUCUUCACCUGGUUGGUGGCAUGAAGGAGAGUAUGGGUUGUACAUUUCAUCAUUUGGUUGGUGGCAUGAGUGGCAAGUUGCCAAAUGAUAUUAGAGUAUGGGUUAUACAUUUCAUCACCUGGUUGGUGGCAUGAAGAUGAGUUCCUUUUUCACCUGGUUGGUGGCAUGAAGGAGAGUACGGGUUGUACAUUUCAUCACCUGGUUGGUGGCAUGAAGAUGAGUUCCUUCUUCACAUUUCAUCACCUGGUUGGUGAGAAUAAGGGCAAAGUGUCGAGGCACAUUGUAGCAAGUGUUGAAGACACAAAGUAUGUUGAACCUUUUCAAAGCACAGUUGGCUUAUGUAUGGAUGUGUUGGAAUGUAUGAUGUUUAUGUAUGAAUGUGUUGGAAUGUAUGAUGUUUAUGUUGAUUGAUAUGAGUGAUAUUUAUGAAUGUUUUGCUAUGCAUGAAGGGAUCCAUGCGUUUGAUAUGUGAACCAUGUUUGUUGUGACACUUAGUAUCAUAUAUUGUUUGUACUAUACUUGACCAAUCCUGAAACUACUGAGCACCGGUCACCGUUAUACCGUCAAGGACCCAGAAGAGUUUCCCUCAAACCAGGAGGCCAAUCACAGCGUGACACGUGUCGACAUCAGAAGCCAAUCACAGCGUGACAUGUGUCAACAUCAGAAGCCAAUCAUAACACGACACAUGUUAAUGUCAGAAUAAAACUAGAAACUCUCUUCUAUAAAUAGAGAUCAUUCUCUCACAAUAUUUCUGAAUGUCGUUUGUACUAAAUCAUUCACUAGUACUCACUAAAGGAGAGCUUGAACCUAUGUACUUGUAUAAACCCUUCACAAUUAAUGAGAACUCCUCUACUCCGUGGACGUAGCCAAUAUGGGUGAAUCACGUACAUCUUGUGUUUGCUUCCUUGUCUCUAUCCAUUUACAUACUUAUCCACACUAAUGACCGGAGCAAUCUAGCGAAGGUCACAAACUUAACAUUUUCUGUUGUACCAAAGUCCUCACCGAUUUUGUGCAUCAAGAUUUGGCGCCGUCUGUGGGAAUCGAUACGAAAAGUUGUGUCGGUUCUCUCUCAAUUUUUCACCUUCGCCAUGAAUCUGCAAAACCCAAGAGACAACCAAAACUCUCUCUGCUUCUCUCUUGCUUCUGAUCUCUUUCAACUGUCUCUCUCUCUAUGACAACUGACUCCUGAGGCCACCCCCAUAUAAACAUCUCUCUCUCUAAGUUGUCUUCCAAUCAAAUCACGAGCAGAGCAAAAUUCAUUUAGAUCCAUCAACAUCAUUUUCUGUCUUUACAGUACUCUCCCUCUCUAUUUUUCCGUCUUUGUACAUAUAUGAAGGACAAUUGAUCUCUGUUUGGCUGCUGAAAACUGAGGAAAAGAAGUAGUGAUGUCAAUGUCUGAAGAAGCAGAGAUCUCUGUUUGGCUGUUGAAAACUGAAGAAAAAACACUGCUCGCGGCGAGGCUGAGGUUGGAGCAAGAUGGACGGCUCUGUGUGAUUCUAUCACUUGAUUCAUUUAAUCUCUUAAUAGACAUUGCCAUUCUUUCUCUUUGAUCAGAAGAAACCGCAUGCGUAUCAGCCAUUCCUGCCUCCAGCAGUUCAUCGCGAGCAGCCUGAGUGGCAUUGCGAUGCAACUCUCUUGAUUUCCCUUUUCAACUUAUUGAGAUCAGAUUUAUAUUCCCUUAGCUUGGCAAGAAGCACCGCCUUCACACUUGGCUGCAAGCUUUUGGAUUCGAGGUCCAUUUUCCGAAUCAAAGCUUGUGUUAUGGUUUUUUAGAGAGCAAUGGUUGUAGGCGAGCCGGCGCGGCAAAUCCCCUUUCUCUCCUCCUUUUUCCCUCGACACUCUCACUCCAUCACUCUCCUCUCCCUAUGUACUCUUCCUCUCUCUGUCUCUCUCUUCAUCGAUUAAAGCUCUGCGUUGCCCUGACCGAUUUCUCUUUUUUUUGUCGAUUUCCAUCAUCACCCCCAACAUCCAGAAAGUUCGAAUCGAUUCAACCUUCUCUCGAUCCUCCAUCGCCAUUUUCAAGAAAGAGAUAGAGAACUGCAAAAUUGUUAUAAUGGCGGAAGAUAAAGCCGUAGGAGGAGAAGGCGACAAGAAGGACGCUGCGGUGGCGGCAGCGCCUGCGGUUGCGAAGAAAAAACGCCAGGGAAUUUUCACCAGAAUGUUCAGUGGGGUCUUCUGAUUACACCGCGACGAUUUUGAGAAACGGCUUCAGUACAUUUCGAAAUAGGAAGCCACUGUCCUUGCUAGAAUGCAGAGGCGGACCAUUAUUUGGAGGCGCAUGACCAAACAUUUCAUUCUCUUCUCCGUUUUCUUUUAGAGAUCAGGCGCCCGCAACGGAGGAGGAUCAUGCUAUAACCAUCAGAUCCAACCACCUAGGAAAGAGGAGUAGUCAUGUAGUCUCCAAUCAUCAUGAAGCAUCGGCUCCUGAUCAGUACACAUUAUCAUACAGCAAAGUAAAAGAGGUGCAGAGACAGAGAGAAAUGUGCAGUGAACAGAGAGAAAGCAAAAGCAAAAAGAGAAAAAGAAGUGACAACAUAACGUGGAAAGCAUAAAAGCAACUUCGCGACACUUUCACGUUGCCAGGCCUUUGUCUGCCAUCUGCAAAAGGAAAAAGAAAAAGAAGAAACAGAAACAAAAGCAAAAGCAAAAGCAGAAAAAAAGGGGUGUGCUAUCCACACACCCCAAAUUACUUCUCACACACCCCUUGUUAAUUUCUAUCUGUUGAUCUUCUACAAUUCAUCCGAUCCGACGGUCGAAAAUUAGAAAGGUGUGUGAGAAGUAAAAUGGGGUGUGUGGAUAUCACACCCAAAAAAAAAAGGAAAUGGCAUUAUUCCCUUAUCUGUCAUAUGCCAAAAUAAAGAAAAAAAAAAGAGAAAGCAAAAAGGCGGCACAUGGGGACACUGCAAAAGCAAGGAAUAAACACCCCACCAGAAUGAUGUAAUUUAUUUUUCUUAUCUUUCGGAGACAUCUGUAUAACCCCAUCAGAUGGUAAUCAAAAAGCAAAAAAAAAAAAAAAAAAAAAAAACGACAAAGCCCAAAAUAAAUGGGCUGGAAUGUUGUGUGGAGGUCGAAGGCCCAUAAGCCUAAAAUAGCACCAACCAGGUGACCAAAAGUAUGUCCAGUACUACAAAAAAUUAUUCGGCACCCUGCCACUAUUAUCGCCAACCAGGUGAUCAAAAGUACGCCUAAUACUCUAAAAAUUAUUUGGCAGCCUGUCGCUAUUAUCACCAACCAGGUGAUCAAAAGUACAUCCAGUACUCCAAAAUUAUACAUGAGCAUUACUCAUGUCAAUCAUACAUAAACCUUCAUGAGCAUCACUCAUGUCAAUCAUACAAAAACAUUCAUGAACAUCAUUCAUGUCAAUAUUCAUGAGCAUCACUCAUGUCAACAUCCAUGACCAUCACUCAUGUCAAUCAACAUAAACAUUCAUGUGCAUCACUCAUGUCAAUUAGCUUCAAAAGCUUCAUUUACAGAGUUCUAGCUUCAAAAGCUUUAUUUACAUAGCUCUAACUUCAAAAGCUUCAUUUACAAAAGCUCCAACUUCGAAAGAUUCAUUUACAGAGCUCUAGCUUCAAAGCUUCACUUGCAAAGCUUCAAAGCUUCACUUGCAAAGCUUCACUUGCAAAGCUUCACCUACAAAUCUUCAUUGCAGGGUAUACAAAUACUGCAUCCGAACAACCACCACUUCGGCCCAUACAUGAAUUCAAUUUGAAGUCUCCAGCCAACAGACUCUAUUGACCGAAAACUUGGGGGACUACACUAUGUACCAUAUAUUGGGCCUCAUAAAAAAAAUACUUGAGAGGCUUAGCCCAUUAUUUAUGUAUUGAGGAGUGAACCCUUAUUUUAUAAAAGGGACUCCCUCAUUUUCAUUAGAGAGCACCCAUUAUUCAUGUACCGAGGAGUGAGCCCUUAUUUUAUAAAGGGGACUCCAUCACCAUCAUUAGAGAGCAUCGCCGCCUACUGAGCAACCGCCUCACCGCGAGCAUCAACUCUAGCCCAUCAUUUAUGUAUUGAGGAGUGAGCCCUUAUUCUAUAAAAGGGACUCCCUCACCUUCAAACGCCACAAGCCGAGCCAACCAAGGCAACAUAAGCCACAAGCCGAGAAGCCUCACAACAUGUGCUACUUCUAGUUGAGCAUCAUUUCAGAUAGAGCACCGCCUCAUAUCGAGUAUUCAGUUCAAGACGACAUCUAGUUACUUCGGCCCACACAUGGAUUGAAUUUCAAGUCUCCAACCAAAAGACUCUCUUGACUGAAGACUUGGGGGACUACUGUUUGUACCAUACUUAAGGCCUCCGUAUUUAGAUCUCGUAUAAAUACUCAGGAGACUCAAAUGUAAUUAUGUAAUAAAGGAAGAGGCAAAUAUGUAAUAAGUGAGGAGCCCUUAUUCUAUAAAAGGACCUUUCACUCUCCUCAUUAAGGGAGGCCAAUUCUUAGGCCAUAUCCUAAACCUCUCAGAACUCUCAUCCUCACAGAGAAGCUCUCUCUCUCUCCCUCUUCAACAUCUCAGAGAAAUACAAUCAGUGUAAACGCAGCCCAAACAUUAGGGGUGAACCACGAUACAUCUUGUGUUAUUUACGUUCUUGCAGAUUCACGGUCGGAUUUACGUUGUUCCAAGACCUCCAGUUUUGUGCAUCAACAGUACUAUCUGUCAGUGCUAAUGUUAUAUGGGUUCAUUACUUAAGCCUCAACAUCUAAGGCAUCACAACCCUCUUAGUCAUCUUAGCCAUGCACUCAGGAAACUCCACAACCUUCAUCUCAGCCAACUUAAGCCUCUUAAACCACUUCAAAGUCUACUGCAAAAGGUCAGAAAAGGAGGAGGAAUGUUUCAUGAUGAUGCUUUAAUGCUUUACGUUGUUUAAGGGUUCAUUUUGUUAUAGUUGAAUAUGCCCUUAGUUUUUUUGGAAACAACUUUUCGAUAGAUCUUUAGUGUUUUGGACAGAGUUCAAUUAGUUGUUAAAGUUGACCCAUUAGUGUUUUGGACAUUUUUUUGGACAGAUCUUUAGUGUUUUUGGAAGACACCUUGACCCAUUAGUUGUAAAAGUUGCGGUGGUCUUUUGACACUUUUGUGUGAAUUGGAGGGUGUAUAUUGAACUUUGUUGUGAAUUGAAAGUUAUUGAUAAUUCAACUUUGUUGGUAGUUUAAAUGAUGAAUUUGCAUAUUUAGAAUUGAAUUUGCAUAUUUGGAAUAGAAAGUUGUGGUUUUUUUCCUAUUUAAUUUGAUUUCUUUUUUUUUCAAAAAGGGAAAAAAAAAUUUGAAUUUUUUUUUUCAUUGAAACCUCUUCUGUUAAAAAAAAAACCAUGUGGACCCACGUGGCGCCUAGUCAUUGUCCACAUAGGCGCCACGUCACAGUUAACGGGAGACUUAACAGUUUGAUUAACUGAUAUACGAGACCGUCCCAAAAUUUACAUUUUAGGUAUGACUUUGAGACGAAAAAAACUUGAUGUACUAAAUGUUGAAAACCACGAAACAUGAAGGUAGUAAACGGUCUUUUACCCAAAAAUUAUUUUAUCCGUUCAUUACUUUAGUCUAAAGAAAGCAUUGCAAUUGGCACUGUUCUUUACUGUUCAUUGUUUUUGGACCCCAAUUUCACUCUAUUUACGGACUUGCCAUUCAUCUUAGCAUUUCGCCUGGGCUUUAUUUUUUCAGGUUUAGUUGGAUAGGCUUUUGGGGGUUUGGGCUGUGACUUGGUUGAUGCCUUUCGUUUGUGGUUGGAUUUUUCGGAUGGAUGGCCGACACGGGCAGGCCUAGCCUGCAACAAAGCCAGUGAGAAGGGAGGGGGAGGUGUCGUGUGAUGCGAGAGAGAAGAGAGACAGGAGGUGUCAUCCGAUGGCAGAGAGAAGAGGAGGGGUCGCGCAAUGCCAGAGAGAAGAGAAGAGAUAGGAUGACUCCUGGAAGGAAAAAUUGGAGGAGAAAGGGAGGGGUAGGAUGAGCAAAGCAAUAGGUAGGCCUGCCCGGAAUUUGGGUUUUGUUUUUCUCGGUGAGGUCUGCUUAGAGAAGCGGUGAGGCAUGAAGGGAUGCCUAAACCUAGGGUUGGUUUCAGAGAUUUGGUUCCAGCUGGAAGCUAUCUCUGCAAGCAUUGAUGAGGAUCUCUCCCAGCUGGCAGCUUGAAUUCCUUUCAAAGCUAAGUGUCCCCUUUGAACCGAAUUUUCCCUUAUUUCACUGUUUCUGGUUUGAACCUGCUUAGAAACCUUUUUUUUUUCCUGCUUUGUUUUCUGUCUGGUUCUGGUUCUGGUUCGGUUAUUCAACUUUUAGUUAGGAGUGAAAGAUUUUUUUUUAACUUAUUAAAUUGGAAUAGAAAAACAGAUAUUUUGUGCUGCCUUCUUCACUGUCUGAUAAUACCAGUUCCUCUUAAUUUCUCUUUUUCUUCCUAUUGUGUUGGUCUUUCAGUGUCAUAGAUUCUCUGCAGAAAUCAAACUGUAUGCAUUUUGCCCCUUUUUUUUCAUUACCCUAUUAUUUGUUGUUGUUCUCACCCUGUGAAUCAACUGCUCAGUUUUUUUAUCCUUCUAAAAUACGUUAUGCAUCUGGUUUUUGUUCAUUCACAUAUGAUGCACUGUUAAUCAUUUCCUAACAAAUCUGUUGCUAUAUGUUAUUUUCUGUUUGGUUUGAUUCACAGGGAUAGCUUUUUUAUGGUUGUUGUUGUUAGAAAUAGGUUUAUUUUUUUAUGCCUCUGAACAAACCCUGUGAAUCAAAUGCUCAGUUUUUUUUAUGCCUUUUGUCGUUGUCAGCUCAUCCACAAUCAUGGUAUUUUCUCGGACCAAUUUUCUCUUAUCCUCUGUUUGGUUCCUGUAAAUUGAGCUGGUUUCGACAAUUUCCAGGCCUAAGUUCUGCUGGGAAAAUUUCGUUGAUUACUUAAUUACUUUUAUUGUUCCAAUAUAUUUGGAUGCUGUAUACUAACAUUUACAACUCAACUGAAUCAAUGAACUACCAUUUUAGGUUCUUUUUCUUAAUAUUUCUCUAAAAAAAGUUCUUACUUUUGAAGGGAUCCUGCAAUUAUGUUAUAAGCCACAUUCAUGAUAGACUAGGCAUUGGGCAUAUAUAAUAAGUAGUAACCAUAAUAAAUGAUUUACUUUGGUGAAUAUUUGUUUGAUAAUCCCGCUGUGCAGAUUGAAAAAUAUGAGUUUCUUCAUUCUGAUUAUGCAAAGUCAACAUCUCAGAUAACAUAUUGAUCUUCAAAACCAGAGUUUAGGGUUGUCUGUCGUUCCAUGUAUAUAAUUUUACCCCUUUUAUUACUUUUUAAAUAUUUCAAUCCUCUUUCAGAAUACUAAUCCCUAAACUUAUUAAAUUUAUUGACCAGGUCAUUUUUCAUUCAAUCCCGAAGUUCGUAUUUCUCGGAUUGGUGUUGUGUACAGAUUACUGGUGGUCAGCUUGCUAAAGCAUUGUAUUUAGGUGAAGGUAUUUGACAUUUUUCUAUGUAGUAUUCUGAAAUGCAUUCCUUAAACCCCAUUUGUUUGAUUUGGAAGAUUAUUCAUAAAUCAUCUUUUAAUAUAUUUUCAGCUAUUGUAUUUGGGGUUGUCCAUAUGCAUCCUAAUUCUUUGUCAUAUCCUAUCAUUGGUUAAAUUUUCGUUUUAAGUCGUAUGUUUUCAUGUGUUUCGUAAUUACCGCUAUCUAAGUUGUUUUGUCUUCCUCUUCCCGUAACACUACUUUCUAUGUAUUCUAUGUAUAUACACACAUAUGAGUUUGCUUCUUCAAGCCUAUUAGCUUUGAAAAUAAGCACCACCUUUUCAUGUGGAGCGUCUCAUCACCUGGGACUUGCAGUCGCUAACCAAUUGGAAAUGCACAACAGCAAUGAGCCUUUGUCUUGGUUCUUUGUGGAUUUUGGUAGAAUGUUGGAAAACCAGAGAAGUUAGAGAGAGAGAGAGAGAGAGAGAGAGAGAGAGAGGAGCCAAUGAGCCUUUGUCUUGAUUCUUAGUGGAUUUUGGUAGAAUGUGAGCAUAUGAAGCGGAGAGAGAGAGAGGGGGAGGGUAAUUCUUACUCAAUGUAGACAUGGCCGGGUGUAAAGUGGAAUUACCAAAAUGCCCUUGGGGCCAUAGUUUCCUAAAAUAACCAUGCAACCAACAUGAGGUGUUGGUACUACUGUGAACAUGAUUGCUUGGUACUAUGGGAAUAAAUUCUCCACUCUCUAUAUUCCACUCAAUUGUUUGGACUUGGAAGAAGUGAUGAUGCCUACUUUAUUUGUGAAAUACUCUUUAUGUUAUCAUGGCAACUGAUGAUCUACAUGAGUUGGUUCUUUUAAGUUCAUGUGAUAGCAAUGGAAAAAUAUAAUAGUUCAUGUGAUAGCAAUUAUGUAAUUAAUUGACUCUGCAAUUUUUUUUUAAUUUUUCAUUUGAAUUUUGUUUCAGCAAUUUCAGCUCAAUUUCUAUGUUUUAUGAAUUUUAAUUUUAAUUAAUGCUUUUGUGGAAAGAAAUUUGAAUUUGUUUAUGUUGUUUAAUAGAAAGAUAGGUGCUUGGAUGGGAGUGGACGCAGGAGCAGGGAGUGUUGUGAGGAAGGGUAAGUAGUUGCAUCAUCUGCUGUGUUACAGUAGUGAAGUGAUGAGACGUCGGUAUGGCAUCUGCUAGCCUAGGGAAUGCUGGAGUUGGCAGUUCAAGGUCUGUUAGACAAUAGAUAUGGCAUAAGUGAUAAGCCAUUUUCCCUCUCUGCAAGUGUUAACCUCACAAUCAAAGGGGUUCACCAGCGUGGGUUCCGUCGGAUUCCAUAGACAAGGAUGUGGUGACCCGGUAUGAUUUUGGGGAUUUUGUUUAUAGCUUUGGAUUCCCCAUCAUGGUGUUUAAUUUUGUUUUAUUUUUGGCUUUAGGAAAUCAUGCUUCUUCGGAUUUGAGAAAUAAGUUUUGGAAUUGCUUUUUAGGUACGGAUUUUAUGGGAGGCGUCUAGAAAGUUCCAACUUUUAUCUUCAUGUUUAAGAGUCAGAAAGCACGGGAUGCUAAGGAUCGACUUGAAACAGUUGCCUCGCAGGCUCAAAAGGUCACAUAUACUAUAUGCUGAAACGUUUCCUGCAAUCUUUGGUCUAUGAGACUAUGAGUAUGGUGUCAUUUUGCAAUUGGCUUCUUUGUCUUUGAUUGCAGAUGAACGACAUUGUUACUGAACAAUGGAUUCAAAUUCAGCGACUUGAGCAGGCUUUUCAUAGUACUCAAGUAAGCAUUUGUACUUGAGACUGGCUUCUCAUUCUGUGUGCAAGUUUUAUCGAAAUGAGCUUUAUUAAUUGGUUUAACUCGGUUAGGACUAUGAGGUUUCAAAGGCAAGUGAGCUCUAGAAGAUGCACAUUCUUGAAGGUAAUAGUUUAGAAAAGUCUGUAUGUGUGAGUCGGUGAGGCUUCAUUUAACCAAUUAGAAACCACUUUCCUGUAUAAUUAGAGUUAUAGAAUGCAGUGAAAUAUAUAUAUAUUUUUUUCAGUCUAAUUAGUCUUUUUGAACUUUUAUUCUGUUUGUGCAACAUCCUUAGGCCGUUGUGAAGUGUAUAAUUAGAGUAAAUAGAAUGCAAUGAAAUAUAAUGUUUUUUUCACUCUCUUUAGAUUUUUUUUCUUUUACUUUAUUCUCUUUGUGCAAGAUCCUAGGCCGUUGUGAAGUCGUCGUUCUCAACCAAUUUUCUAUGGAUAUAUCUAAGAUUAAGUUCGAUGUAUAUAAGCAUUGAAGUGGUGACCUUUUAUUCACAGAUUGUGUGCACUCUGGCCUGAUUUAUCUAAAGAAUUAUCCGAUUGGGGUAUGGUUUUUAACACACCCACACCCCACCCAAAAAAAAAAAUAAAAUGGUGAGGUGGUGUUGCUGUCAUUUUUACCAUUGUCAAUCAUUAUAAUUUUAGCUAAUAAGACAAUAUUAUGUUCAUUCUUCUAUAUUCGAGUUCAAAUCAUUCUAUUUUCAGUUUUGUAAGAGAUUAUCUUUUACCAAUUGUCAAGGUGCUUCCAACCAUAAAUUGAUAUAUUACUUACCUUUAUUUUUUCUCUUAAUUUAUCAGGAAUUUAUUUGCAUAUCUGUAGUGUAGACAAUUUUAACCCAUGAGUAUUUAACUUUAAUUGGAAUUGAUCUUUGUAUGAAAUUAUCUUGCUCACUGUUUGGAUUCCGAGAAAAUUUAGGGGAUGUCCAGUAAUAUUCACAUCCUGAAAACUCAGUGAAUGACGAAUUUGGAAUUGAGAAUUGGGGUGGGGAGAGUAAAAAAAAAGAAUGUGGUGGGUGUCUGUUUCGGGGUAGACAGACAGGCGGUGGAGGAGCUAGGGUUAGAAAAAGGGAAGAAAGAGAUAGAAAGAGAGUUGGAGAAUUUAGGGUAAUACGAUGAGGAGUGAGAAAGAAGAGAGAGAAAGGAGGGUGGUGGAGAGAGAGGUAAAGGAGAAGAGAGGAGAGAAGAGAACUGGCUUGGCUGCCUAAUAAUCUUCGUGUUUACCAUUUUGCUAAUUCCAUGACCCAAAAGCCCAAGUUUUUUUUUCCCCCGAAAUUCCCCGCUGCCUGUGCCCUUUUUAUUAAAUUAUCUCUUAGAUUACUGGCAUAAAAGAGUUAUAAUAUUAGUUAGUUGUCAGUUGCAGUUUGGCCCAUUUUUCUUCAGCGUGUUUGCCCUUUUUAUUCAAAUAUAAUUAUCUGAUUACAUGUACUCCUGACAUGUUUUAGUAAUAUCCUACAGGAUGAUGCCCAUAUCUUUUGCAGGAAGUCCCAAGUGAGUUGAGCUUAAUUAAAUUGUACCUACUGUUUACAACUUUACAUUUUUUUUUUGUUUCGUUCUUAAGACUUUUAGUUUUUUGUGCUUCUGUUGUCAGGUGAAAGAUGAAGUAAAGGGUGUCUUACAUUUCAUCCAGUAUACUUAUAAUAUUUUUGGCUUUGGCUUCUCUUUCGACCUGAAGCUAUCAACAGUAAGAUUCUUAUUACCUGUGCUUAAAGCUUCAGACCUCUUGCCUUCAUCUUAACUUGCAAAAGUCAUAUGAUGGUUUUAUAAUAUAUUAGAUGAUACAUAAUACUGUUAUGAUUAUUUGGUAUAUUCUAAUAUAGCAGUAAGUAUACCGUGCUGAAUUUCUAAUAAAACAAAGCUAAUCUUAAUCUUAUUUGGUGUAUAGAUAGCAGGGAUAACUAAGUAUUGUCAUUGGGGAGACUAAUGGUGCACUAUCUUUCGAUGGGUUUGUUUUUUUAUACUAAUUGCCUGCUUAUCAUCGUGGACAUAGGCGUUUAAUCUUAGGACUUUCCGCAUAUCGUAGCCGACAUUAUUUUUCCAUUCUAACAUUAACUAACGUUACCACCAUGUAUCUAUUAUGAAAAGAUCAAAUCAACAUGCUAAGUGGAUCAGCCAUUUCCAUUGAAUAAUAUUUAAAUACUUGCAACGUUUGUUUUAUAUUGGGUUUGGUUUCAGCAGACGGUGGUUUUUCUUAUUUUGAGGCUUUUGUUUCCAGGCUGCCCUGUGUACUCAAGGUGAGCAAUUUCAAUUUAUAGGGUUAUUGAAUUGAGAUUUUUAGUUUUUCAUUAUAUUGGAGUUGAGUUUGGUAUUUUGUUUAGGUUUUAUUAUAUUAAUUAUCAUAAGCUUCUUUGAGAUUACAAGAUUUUCUUGGACACAUUACUGCAAUACAGGAGUUAGAACAAAAAGUGGCUGAUUAGAAGGCUUGAAAACAAGUGUGAAAUUGCAUUCAAAAUAUUAGCAUGUUAACAAAUCAUCUUCAAAAGUUGUAAAUACAAUAUUUCUUACUAAUUUUUUUUGUUUAUAUAUUCUAUGUGUUUAUACAGAAUUAAAAAAUGGUUAUAAUUGGAAUAUUACGCUUAAUCUUCUUUUGGUAUGUGUUUGAUUUUCUUUUGUUGGCUGUGUUUUGUGGCUCAUCAGAAACAGUUAGCAAGUGAAACCUAUAACCAAAGGCUUAUUUAUUUUUUCCAAAUGGUUUUAAUCUAUUGUAGGUAAACAGGAGCUACUAUGCUGUUUAUGCAGUAAGGUUCACCAUCAGCUAUAGAUACGAGCAGCAUGGCAAAGUUAAAGUAUGCGUAAAUGGCAAGAGUUUUUGCCUCAACUGGAAAUUGUAGCGUGUGUAACUAUACUGGGACAUGUAAUGAGCAGAAAUGUUUAAGUAGCUGUGGGGAGGUAAUAAACAUGUUUACUUUUGGCCUAUGCUUACUCUCGGGUAAUUGGACAACUACGGUAACUUGAUUCUGAGCAGGCACGGAAAUGUCCCCGAAGACAACGUUUGUGCACAAUCUAAGGACGACGUUUUCUCGGAGUCACUCACUGACACCAUUAACAUGCCUCAAGGAUUCACACACAUCAAAGUAUAUGGUGAGAGCUUAAUUGGAUACGAAUAUCUUUUGCGUCAGAUGUUAGGAGCCGUCUUUUAAGGCAGUUACAUGAGAAGAUGGAUAGAACACAUUUCUUAAAUAUGAGGACUUCAUUUGAGCGAGGCGACGAAUGACAAAUCGAGAAACGAGUCAGUGACAUAUACCUGUGAGAUUAGAAGGGUAUAACGAAAAGAUUGUCAUUGAGAGAGAUGGAUCAUGUGGUUUUUAUAGACUGACACAAUUGGCUUCCAAUCUGAAUGCAUUGGCCCAGCGUAGAGAGUUCGCACAUUGGCAUGUCAUGCAGCUAGAUUGCCAUGGAUGGGCAGACCGAUCUAUAUGUUUUAUUAACCCCACGGCAUACGAUGACAGAGGACAUAUUCAGCACUCAGAAGUGUAUAUGGACGCAAGUGGAGGAAAGGUCUAGAGAAGGAAGAAUAAGGAAGGUGCAGAAUACAAGAGAAAAUAGUUAAAAGAACAUUUAGCCAUUUGAAAAGUUGGUAGAGGGAGGGAAUACAUCAUACUAGGUAUGAAAGUUGGUUUUCAUGGUUCCAUAAAGACUGAGCUUCUUUCCAUGUUUUGGCGCUUUCCGUCCAAUCGCUACCCCACUCAAAGCAGAAGAUUACUAGUCAUCAAUCCCUUCAUGAAAAUAGUAAAAUCUUGGAUAGUGUUCAGUCGCAUCUUCCUCGAGUUUGAUCGCCUAAAAAUGAAGCCUUCAUAUGAAUACCACACCUAGGGUGUAAAUAAUUAAUUGACCAUACCAUACAGAUAUUACACUACAACGGCUUUUCUGUUAUCAUGAUUUUAAGAAAUUGAAAUUGGAGAUUGUAUUUUUAUCUUCCAUCUAAUUUCUUUUUCCGCCGCUUAAUCUUAGUUCAAAGGUUAUAUUUAGGCACAUCUCUUCUCAAGAUAAAAGGUUAUUAUAAAUAUAUAAAAUAAAAUAUAACAUAUUAAACGUUAGGUAUCCAAAGAGUUAUGUGAGUGGAUUGUUGAUGUCUGGAGAGUAGCGAAUGAGGCCUGAUGAAAUAUAAGCCAGAUCCGCUCUGUAUUGUAAUCAGCCUUAGGACGCAGGAUUGUGACAAAAGCUGAGCGUUCUCUCCAGUAUACAAAAAUUAUUCGGGGGAGUGGCAAUCUUGAUUUUAGUACUCGUAUCAGCCAAGUGAUUUAAAAGUACGUCCAGUACUGACCACCGGAAAACCCCAAUAAUUAGUUAUCGGGGCUGUAUUAGGAGGAUGUGACGAACAAAUCGUACAGUACCCAGGGUGGCGAGAGAUUUACUCCUCCACUUGGGUGCUAAUCUAAACAGAGGAGUCACACAAUAUACACGAUACAUUGUAUAUGAUUAAGGAGUUGUCCUGGUCUCGUGAGAACGAGAGUGUCACACAUAGAUCUAUUCGUGCAUUUGUUAAUGCUAGCUGCCAGUUGAUCGCAGAGAGUAGUCUCUUGUUUUUUUUUGGUGUGCAAGUCUUAUUCUCGUCACUGUGACACUCUCAUCAGUAGACCGCGUAUACACGAUAGUGUGGUAAGAGGCUAUAGCUUAAACACAUGAGUCUUUCCAUCUACUUAGUUUAGUUCGGGAAUGAGUAAACACUCUAUAGAUAUCUGUAACACUGCUCACUCAUCAAGCUCUUAGGAGAGGUAAUAUAUUGCGCGCUCAGGCAUAAUUAUUAUUGCAACUUAAUGGGCUACUCGAACUUUAUCGUCAUAAGUCGUUUUCCUUCUGUCCGCUCUCCAUCUGUCAUAUACACUACCAUCAGUUGGAUCUAUGUGCACCUAGACAUACGGUGAUUUUACACAUGAAUACGUGUCAGUACAAUAUGAGUGUGGUACAACGACUAUUAUGAAUGUUAAUCUUGUUGAAUCAACGUGCACUGUCCAGAAGAAUGCGAGAGAUGGCUAGCUCAGCUGCGAUUAAAAGUUCUCAAGUAACUAUAUGUACAAUAUCAGUUUAUACAUCCAUUUCGAUAUAUAGGUUUAAAAUUCACAACUUUAUUUCCAAUAGCGUCAUGUCAUAGUUACAGGUAUCUAUUCUCAUUUACGUUUAUUGAUCAGUCAUUGUUCUAUGGUUCAUGAAGCUCAACACAAAUUCUUUCAAUCACAUUAAUCAGAGUUUAAUAUCAUAAUGUGCUGAACGAGGUUUGUAAGCCCAAAUCGAAUGAGUCGAGUACCUCACUGUUCGACUUCGACUUUCAUUUAAAUUUGAGCUCAAGUUUUCCUUCUGGAGAACGAUACAUAUGACUUUAAAAAAAGCCUUCAUUCAAAAAAAGCUCCAGCUUCAGAAGCACUUCACUUGCAGAAGCAAAGUAACUCUUACUAGGUAACUGGGUAUACAAAUAAUCCACACUAACAGUCUUAGAUCCCUCACUCACCCUUGCCUGCCACAGAGAACGCCGCCGACUCCAACUAUGGUAAUAUUUCUCUCAUUGCUUCGCAAAAUUCUGCCCUAUUAUAUACCUAAUGGAUUCUUAUUUGAAUGAUACUCGCUGACGACGCAUAUUCAAGACUUCACUAUUAGAUGCUCAGAGAACUAAAGACGAUAGAGCAUUUGGGGAGAUGUACGGAAUCUCACGUGAUAUACAUAAUAGUAUUGAGUAUGUAGCCCUAUCUGGUGACAUCUGAGCAUGAAGGAUUAGGAGGAGAUCAUGCUCACGAUCCCACUCCAAUUUAUUUAAAUAGUGUCGUAUUUGAUUCUUUCACUAUGGUAAGACGAGCCUUUAAUUCUAAGUUAAUCACUAACUUUGAUUUGAACACCUCUGUCAAUAUUGCCUUCAUCCUUUAAGAAAGUUCACCAGUCUCGAUUAAUUGAAUUGAUACAACUAAAAGACAGUAAAAAUGCUUCGAGAAGGAUAUAAUGCGGACAGCAGCUUUAUUAAUAAUAAAAAGGGACUCCCACAGUGUGUGGUACAAUUAGACGAUGUUAUCUUGAGCGAGCGAAAGCAAAAUUGCAAAUUGUUUGGAACAAAGAAGCCAUGCUUCUCGUUGAAAUGCUACGCGAGGAUACCGUCGUCAGGCGCCGCCCACCACUCAUGGUUCUUAUCCGGAAACAGAUACAUUUUAGUUGGUAAUUGAGUAGGAAUAACGAGAGCUUUUACUCUCUAUAGUAUUCUAAUAAAAAGGGAACUCCCUCACCUUCCAACGCCACAAAUAUUAAGAGAUCGAGGAGUCGCUUAAAUGUCACCAUAUGUUUGGCGAUAUGAUGAGUCUCAAAGAUAAAAGACCACGCGAAGCAAGACAAGUUCAACGCAUGGCAAAGAUAGAGCUAAAUACCUCAUGAUGUGUAAGCACAUUUGAAAGUUUGUGUAAUGCGUCACUGCACGGUGCUUUUCGUUGCAAAUUCAAAACUUUGGGAGCCUGCGACAUAAUGGAACUCGACUGAUCACGAUCUGCACGUAUCAAAUGAUCUGAAUCGAUAUGUUCACUUCUUCAAUGAUGAAUACCCAACGCAAUGCGAUACAUGGACAAUUAUUCUUUCAUUAGUCAUCGCUGUCGACAGUCAUAAUAAGCACUUUGCGUGUGUUGCUAGAUUGCAUCUCUCUUGAAGUAGCAUAUGGAGGACCUAUAUGUUUGGAGACUAACAAUAGAUAUUCUCAUAUCAAGCUCACAGCUCCGGUAUGAUAGUAUCUCGAUAAAUACUCGGGGACUCAAAUGUAAAUUAUAGUAAUAAAGAGGGGAAGAAUAAUGAAAAUCUAAGCUAAGUAGGAUGAGUAAAUGCCCCUGUUUUAUAUUCGUUUUAUAAAGAGGUAGUAUUCUAGACACUCUACCUAGCCGUUCUUUGAGAUUUUUGAGUAGGAUGAGGGCUAUAAGCUUUAUAUAGUUACACUAUAUUGAGAUUUAUUUCCCAAGUUAACGUUCUUACAAAACUCUCACUUUCACUUAUAUGAGUGUACUUAAUAUUUAUUCCACCUACCAACUGGAGAGACUGCUGUGUAUUACGACCUCUUCAUCUCGAGCAGAAUAUCGAAUAAAUUACAGUGUGGAAUUAGUACGUCCCCGAAUAAAUGUUGAGCGGGUGAGAGGAGUUAUGACUAGACAUGGUAUAUGGAAGUAAGACCACACUUGUCUAGCUAUAUCAAAGUGACUAACCUUCCAUAUCUAUUACUCAGUGAGACAGGACAGUGUAACCUAUAUUCUUAUUGAUCAUUCCUGUAGAGUGCUCUAAGACGAAGUAUCAUCUCACUCAUACUCAACUUAUCAAUCCGUUCCUCUCAAAGCUCAUCGACUAAUAUAUAUUACAGAAGGAUAUUCUCUCCUUAUAAUUCCUUAAGAAAGAAAUACAAUAUCAGUGUAUGGUGGAUCCGUAACCCAAAACAUUGGGUAACCACGAUACAGUCUGUGUUCUUUUAAACAUUUCUUAGAGAUCUAAUUACAACUUCACUUUGUCAAGGUUAUUACUUACGUUGAAUGUUCAAUUCAACCAGACUUUUUCUUACGUAUGGGCGAAGCAACACUCAAUUCGAUAUAAAUACACCAAUAAUUCUUCAUUUGAUGUUGAGAGAAUAGUUUCAGUAUUCAGCUGAUAACUUUUGUAUGAAGACGUAAGAAGACAGUUCGGCCUCACGUGUGCAUAAAAAAAUACAUUCUAUUUGUAAUAUCAGCAUUUUUCAAUCACACACAUCACUUUGAUAUGGGUUAAACAUAUUAUAUAUAUAAUUUACUCCAUAUAUAUAUUGAUCAACUAAAAUGCCUCAAAUAAUACGGCAAUUUUCCACCCUAAACUCCACACCUCUGAAGUAUCCCACCCAACUCCCUCUCUCUCUAUCAUCAUCAAGAAGCACCAUCUCGCUCAACCAUUCUACCUGACAACACUUCCCGCUUGACCUCGAAGUCUAUACUGCCGCCUGAAAGGGGAACGUCACUCCAAACUAUAUGCUGAGCAAUCUACUAAAUUCCUCUACUGUGAAGAACUUCCGCAUCUCAAAAACACGCCACAACUAAUUUGAAAUCACUUUUUUGGACAAUUUGGCUAUGUAGAUCUUAUUAUCUAUCCGUUUAUUAUGAAAAUCACAAAAAUAACUCAUCUGUUGCUUGAGCGAUACCAUUACGCUACAUGGUUACGUUACACCAACCACUUUCUACUUAAUACUCAACAGUAUAGCAGAAUGUGCAAAAUGUACAGUAUCCAAAAUAGAAACUGCUUCUCUAGUCUCCAUCCUUCUGUUAAGCCGCUUCGUAUCUGAAUAUCUAUUUCUCAUAGAACUAGAGAGUUAUCUCGCUCUUUCCGUUGAGUAUAAACCUUUGUAAUUCGAGAAUCUGAUGUUUGAUUUAGCAUUCUUCUGCCUCAAGCUUUGAUAAUGUUUACUUUCUAAGUAAUAUGUUUGUUCCUGAUGCACAUAGCUUGAAUCAACUUUUCCUUUGAAUAAUGUGACAGGUGAAGUCGUCUCUAUCAAUCAUAAGUGGCGUGUGAGCAAAGUCAUAUACAGCUGAAGCACGUAUUUUUUCUAAGUUGACAUCUUUAUGGUAAAUCGAGAUCGUUUUAGUUUCGGCUUGAGCCAGUUUCUCGUCUCUGAUUGAGCUGAAUCGUAGAGUAUGUGCCUGGAUUGAAAUGCACAGCAUCAAUGUCAGGAUAUUUGAAGAAUACACACCCGCAAGUAAACUGCUCAACUUGCUGUGGAGCUUCCGAGAAUGUUGAGAGCUUUGUGAGUUGGGGAUCGCUUUAAAAAUUCCCCUCGCUGGACGAGGUUUAAGUGAGCACCAUUAGAUGUGUUUGAUGUGGAAUUGCGAUAGUAGCAUUGUUAGAUAGCUACGUUACAAAUACAACGGUCUGAUAAGAUAACUGUCUGUGUUUCUCUGGUUUCUUCUUUGAUAAUGACUAUAUUACAAUCAUCUGAGUUAGGAAUGUGCACUCGGUUUGCGACAGAUGUAAUGAGCGGAAUUAGAUUUCAGCUACAAUGACUAAUAGAAUUAAUUAAAUGUAGUAGAGUGAGUAAAAUAUAGGAGCUUUAGGAGUAUCACACAUAUGUUUAAUUACAAUGUGAAGAGAGUAGAAUUUGCGGAGACACGAGCUACAUUGAAGAAGUUGCCAAAAGAAUCUUUUGAUCCGCAGGUAAAGAAAGCCUUAGCUAAUUAUAUACAUAGGGGAAAGAGCAUAUUUUAUAUAUAUCUAUAUGUCCUGCAUGAAAACAGAGAAUGAGUAGAGAGGUCUCUUCGUCUGAGUAAAUGUUUCUGGAAAUAAAACAACUUUGAAAACGUUAUAUAGUUUUAAUGCCUUUCAUGUUUUUAACAUAGCUGAUGCAAAUUGUGAGAUCCACGUUAUAGUCAAGAUAGUACCAAUCUUAACUAACUACUGUAGUUUAUGAAAAGAGAGACAUUUUAGCUCAAAAGUCAGCAGUCUCAACCACCAUUUCAACUGAAUAGUACUAAGUUCCACCAGUUCCGGCAAUUUAAGCGAUUCCAUAUAAAAGAUCUCAUCGUCAGAAUCAAUCUACCUCGAUCUAUUGCCUGAGCCCACACAAGUCGACGUGCAUGCUUUCACCAACGAUUUGCAACCUGUCACUCAUUUUGAAUUUGAGCCUUUUUUCUAAUUACAAUCUAUAUUACUAAGUAUACUAGAAUAAGGAUGUUUAUGAUAUGAUAGGACUUGUUGUUAUGAGCGUCGAGAGAAACUUGGAGGUGAAAAUGUAAUGGAAUAGAUGAGAAUUAGACACUUUGUUCCGCUCUCUCACACACAACGAAACGAAUAGAACACUAAGGCAGACAUAUAUAAAUAAAGAACAAAGUGCAGUAGAUCUUGAGCUGCACUGAGAUGUAGACUAGACCUGAUAAUGUGAGGGAGAUAUCCAAUCUCCGCAGUCCUCGACCUAUGUUCGUCUACAACCUGUCACCCGACACAGAGAUUUACGUAUACUGGAUCAAAGGCGAGUCACAUUUUUCUCAAUGCUGGUCGCCACAUAUUGCACAUAUCAAGAUUUUGGUUCCCAACCGGAAGAUCAAGACACCCAUAGUCCAUGUGCAUGAUUCGUAUACUAUACAUGUGGUAAAAGAGUUCAAAGGGAAAUAUUUAGCUACUUAGCUUACUCAUAACAUAUUAUAUUCAAAUAAACUGUGGAUUUUCAUUAUUGUUUAUGUAUUUAGGAUAAUUUAUUUUUUCAUACAUAUUUAGUCAAUCUCUAAAUGAGAUAAUAUAUUCAUUGGCGACCGAGAAAUGAUUGUACUUCUAUAAGGGAUUAUACAUAUCUAUUUUCUGUCUUCUGGUGCAAACCCGUAUGGAUGAGUGUUCUGUAUAAUUAUUCUUAUGCAGAACAUGAACUGCCAAGGGUCAACACUGAGUAUACGUAAUAGAUUUUUUUUGGUCGCGGUAUAUCCGUAAUACGUAAUAAUGACCUAAUAGCCAUUUGUAGUACAUGACACUGAGUCAGAUCUUACCCAGUAAGUAUUAUUUAUUUCUUCUUCUCUCAUGUAGCUAUAUUGGUAUACUACAUCAGAAUGCUUUAUUUAUUCAUACACUCUAUGUUGAUCAUGUUUUGUUAAAGGUGAAUGAUAAAAGAAAUAGAGUAGACCAACCUUUUAUACCUGUAUAUUUCCUGCGGGGCGGUUUAGAUCAACUUCCCUAACGCUCUAGUGAAAGAGAACUUUCGAAGCAUGUGAAAGGCUUUUGUUUCAUAAUGUCACAAACCAUUGACAACACACCUAGUGAGAGUAAAUCAAACUAACACACGUCUCAAAGAAUCUGGAACCAAUUAAAUGCAUUCGAAUAUCUCGAUCUAUAUAUACUAAACACCACGUAUAUCUAUGCACACAUAUAUAACACUAAUAUCUCACCUAAUGAGAUGAAUCUCCACAUGACUUUGAUGUAAAGCAGACCAUCAACCAGUGAAGUGACUAUAUUACCCAAGAUCAAAUUAUUAACCAAGAGUCUGAGAUCAAGACUUAAACAAGUUAAAGUCCAAAGAGUUAUUCCAGACUAACAUUAUCACGGGUAUUUGCCUUUAAUUUAAUUUAAGGAGGUCAACAACUUAUACUUCGUAAUAACGCAAGAGAGGAAAGUCUAACACCUUUAUGUCGGAUUAUAUGUUGCACGACUCCAGAGUAAAACUUAAUGCCACACUUAUCUAUAAGUUCCCUUAAUAUUAUAAGCAGCUGUCGGUUUAAAGUAUGAGCAUCUGAUAAAUGAGUUCUCUAUUCCCUAUAAAGUUUCGUCGCGAUGUAAUUCGAUUCCAUUACUCCCAUUUAGAUGACAUCUCCGAAUCUAAAUCGUCUGCAAGUAUGUGUGUAUAGUUAGGUGGCUUAAUAUCGGGUUGAGUGGUAUUACAAAUAUUCUCUACAAACUAUAGUGGCGGUCUUGAUAGAUUAUACCGUAGUUGAUGUCAGAUCCAAUAUGCUAUAUUUUCGGCUUAGAAGUAUGAUAGAGUAAUGUUUUACACACUAAAAUGUCGUGAUAUCAUGAUCCAUUCUGGUUCUGUAAGUAUUAACGCAUUAUAAUCCAUAAUUAAGAGACCGAAUAAUGAUUGUGGCUUAGAGUUAUUAAAAACUAUCCCUUAGCAGGAUGUUUUUGCAUACCAGAUCGUACGUAAAUUUCGUUAUAAGAUUACAGAAACGUUGAUAAUCUAGAGUAUCUAAGGGAGAAUUAUAAAGCAGUCUUAAUGUGUGCAUAGACCAUGGUGAUGGAAGUUUGUAUGAUUAAUUACCAGCCUCUAGAUAGCCUCGGCAAAGCUAGGCGCAAUCUAAUAGGUACAUUAACAAGAAAAAUAAGAUACCAAAUAGUCGUUGAGGAUACACUAUAGUCAAGAUCACUCAUUUUUCUAUAAGUGUCUGCUCAUUAUAGUCUCUAAUCGGAUCGUUGAAGCACCUCAAAUGAGGCUGUGAAAGGUAAGGAUUAUCACGCUAUGUAGGCCAGAUAGUCUCUUACAUUUUCUUACGCCAAAAAUACACUGACUAAAAAACACCUGAACUACCUGAGUUUUUAUGAGUAUCGAGCAUUUGCCCAUAAUUAUGUUAUUGUAAUUUAUGGAUGCUUUAUAUGCAUGGUAAACACACAGAACAAUUCAAUCCCAUCUAUAAUCAUUGCCUCCCGCAUUCUCAGAUCCUCUAUACAAUACUUUGGAAUCACAACCCCAAUUCAAAUUUUUUUGUAGUGCAGUUUGUAGUUAACAUGAUUACGCGCAGAGGCUUCUUUGGUUUUCAUUAAAGACUAUCUCUAUAGAGGGCAGAAAGAUAUAGUCGUGCAUCAGGGUGUAUGAGGUUAACAUGAUUACACUAACGCUGGCGAUAUACUUUAUUCUGAUUCAAUGGACCGCAUUACUACUCAGACUCGUGGCUAUCCUCUCUGGUAUUCAUGGACUCUCUGGUUCCGCAUAAGUUAUUCUCUUCAUAAUAUAAUGCACAGCCAUUGGGUCUAAUGGUAUUGUUCGUAUAUUCAAUAAGAGUAAGAGGGAGAUCUAAGGAUGCGAAGUCCUAAGUGCACUGAUAAGGAGAGAGCAUUAGUUGUUUAAACCUCUUGCUAGAACCACCGAAAACUCGUUGGAAUGAUGGCGCUCGGCUUGCUGGGGUAUACAAGACGAUAGCGUAUAAUGUGACACUAGAGUGAAAACAGAGAAAUCUAAUACUGUGAUAUCCUACCACUCUUAUCCCACCCUUCUCGCUAUAUGGUUCUAUAUUUUCUGUUUCCAGCACCUACAUGGCGUCUAUACUUCCUACCUUCUGGUAGCGCUCUUCGAGUAUGUCCUCGACUUAGCGAAAUUCAUUUAGUUAUAGCCUCCAUCACUUCAUCUUCAUACUGAAUAUAAUUCACGAACUGUGGUAUGGUGCGGAAAAUCAACAUCAUUCUCAUAACUAUCUACAUACUAUCCACUUAGCAUCUUUAUAUGAUAUAUAAUACUAAAAAAUUUGAAUCUUACAAUUUACUUUUAUCUAAUUUAUGUGUAUUUUUAUUUCUCUACUGUCCUCUACUUUCGUAAGAGACAUUUCGAUCAUCCGCAACAUUGUCCCACAUUUAUGCUCCGCUCGCGCUUAAUCAUCGCGCAGUCAGAAAUCUCUAGCAUUCCGCUGAACGACUUAUAGAUCCAUACUUGGCGAGCCUCUUCACAAAUGAUUAUACCGCCUCUUCAACUGCCAUUUCCGCCAUACUAUUCUCUUGUUUGUACUCGUAUUGAUUACAUACACACACACAUCUAUACAUAGGACGAGAGAUAGAGCGCUAUGCCCGCAGAGGAGUGCGCUGGCGUUCGCAGUACGCAGACCACGCUGCUUUAAGACGUAUAUGAGGAGUAUAUAUCAAAGUUCCACAUACAGUACCACUUAUAUUUACGCUUUACAGAUCCUUCUCCCUCACAUCCAUGGUUAGUUGUAGCAGCGGCGGAAUUGGCCAUCGUACAGAAAAAUAAAAAUACAAUUGGUAUAUGAGAGGUUGGGAAGAAGAUAACGAGGGGCCUUUGAGGGUGUUGGGAAAAAAAUAUGAGAGGAAAAGAGAGAGUGAAUCUGUAAUUCGUCGCACAAAGCUUGCAAUAAUUACUCCAGCUUAAAUGUCACACCGGCCAUUUCAGAGAACUCUGUGCGACAAUGAAUUUCAAAUACGUCGCUGUGCAAAGAAUUGUUUUCGAAGGAACCAAAUAAGCUACACUACAGUUAAUCGGAGGCAAAAUCAGGUACUUCACUAGUGUGACGUUGGAUAAUAUUUAAAAAUAGAUUCAAGUCUUUGCUUCGAGCAUUAAUUCAUUUAGCCUAAUGGGAAUUAAUAUUGUAUAUCAUGCAAUAGACAUUCAUUGUUGGAGUACGAAAUCACGGGUGCUCUCUGCUCGGUGAGAUACCUGGCUAUAAUAAAAUUGUAGUCCGUUUUGGAGGUCAAUCAUAUUUUGAGGAAAGCUCUAUGAGAACCGUGCAACUCAUUUAGUCACUGCAAUUAUAUAAUUAACGUGAACCCGCAAAUAGGUAGGUGAACUCUAGAGCAUAUCACAUCUUGACGAUCGCUGAUUAUUAGAGAUAAGAAUAGAAUUACUAGCAUAGGAGAAGCAGGGAAAUAGUGGUGGUGAAUCAGAGGGUUAUAGACACUGGCGAGGACGGUGGGCCGGAGAUUGAGAGUCGGGGACGGGAGGAGAGAAGAAGUGGGUCGGGCGAGGCCGCAGGGCGAGAUAAUGGUAUUUGAAUAAAAAAGGUGAUGAAUGAGAUUUAAUGUGUAUAAUAUUCUUAUGUCGCCAGCGUUAGCACAUUAGAUCUUUGGUUGGUCGAAGUGCAGAUACACAGCUAGUUAAGGAUCCAAGUGGCAGUCAAUGAAUUCAGGCUCGUAAUAGCUAACGCUGAACUUGUACCUCAUGAGUUUUUAUCCGAAAUAAAUGUAUACAGAGAAGGUACUACUCGACACCAAAGAAUUCAAGUUAGCUAGUACAUAAAUAAAGAAGUGGGUGAAAGUGCGGAAGAUAUUAGAGAAAAUCUGAGCGCAACUAUCUAGAACGAUCGUAGAGGGAGUAAUCUUAACAGAAUUUCCUUACCCUCUAUUAUGUGUUUGUGCACAGUAAAUUAUACUUUAGACUGGAACAUUUUGGGAAGGCUUGGGAGAGGAAUAUCGCAUUAAGAGAUAUUUUACGGAGGUAUAUGAAUAGAGAUAAUUUAUUCCAGAUAUAUUUCUCAAUUAACUAUGGAAGAAUACUCUUGAAAUUAGAAGAGAUUUAAGUUCACACACGAGCGGACAUGUAAUGGAUUUGGUUACUUAAUUAAUAUUAUUUAAUGAUUUAGAGAAGUCAGGAUUUCAGCAAGAAUAGAACUUAGCAAUAUUACACUUCUUUGCGCGCCACAUCAUUGAAGUUAUUACUCUAUAAUAAACCUUUUGAAUGGUGGUGAGAGUCUGCUAUUAGCUGAACUUAUAGAGAACCGAAAGCAAUUAUAGUAAAUAAUAUAGUGUUAUGUUCGCGAAAGUUGUUCAAUUCCGUUGUCAUGUAAAUCGUAUGUAUAUUAUAAGAGUAAACAGGCAUUGCUUCCUAUUGAUGAAACAUAUUUAUUGAGAUCAGGACGCUCCAUUCAUGUUACAAUCAAACCAGGCACUAUUACCAAUUGCUCAACUCAAACCUAGUGGUGAUCGGUAUUCUAAUAAAGAAACUAAUAACACUCAAAUAUAGGAUUUGUCUUAUAUAUACUUACCUCUCGAUUCCAUCACUUUUGUUUUUUACUUAGUCUACCCGUUAUCUGAAAGCUCUUAGUGAAACUAGUAUAUUUUAUGGAGACACUAUACAUAUAAAGACUGAUCAUUGAGAAUUGAAGUAUCUAAAGACUAGCUCACAAUAACGCACAGAUGAAGCAAUCGCAUACUAAUGGGACGACAUCAAUAUCAUUUUUGACGUGUUCAAUUAAUAGUCUUCUUUACUCACCGAAUGGACUAUCCAGAAUUAGCAAACGAUUCCUACACAUCCUUUAGUGCAUGUUUAUGUGUUAUUACACACGAUCCUGCCAGCGGUGGUCCUAGACAAGUUGGAUUGUCUACACAUAAUAGUGUAGAGAGCAUAAAAUGUAUAUUUACUUUCACAUUCACUAUAUGGGAGUGUGUGGGUGCGAACUCAAUAGGAUAAUUUAGGUAAUUCCCUGUUAAUUGCUGAGAGUCACUCCUACACAAUAUGGAUAUCCCUAUGUAUAUAUAUAGGCAGGAAUUUACUAAUCUUCUAGGUUAUAUUCACACUUAUCACUCACUAUUCUUGAGAGAAGGAAGAUCGAUAUUAGUAGAUAUAUAGAUAGGACCUGCUUGUGAAUAUAAAUUGAGAUAGAAAUUUACUCCAAUAUAACACUUAGGCAUAAGCUAUACAUUCUUUUCUCAUACAAUGACGAAACAUGUUAAAUUUAAAUAUUUUAUAUUUGGAAGUAGAUUAAUAAACAGUAGGUGGUAUAAUCAUUUAAUGAAUGUAGAAAUGGUGUUAAAUAAAGAAAACGCUUAAGUUAUGGUAGAAAGAAUGCAGAGAAUAAAGAUGUAUAAUGAUAAUUCUAGCUAAGAAAGUAAAUCAAUUCGGAAAUAUAAAUUACUAAUAAUGAGAACACUUAGUAAGAAACUCCAUAGACGCAUCAUCAUCUCUAAAAAGCUUCCAUUAAUAUUUUUCAAACCGAGUGACUCCAACUAAGACUCCAUUCAUACGAAUUUAGAACAAAAGAGAGCUAUAUGAACAAUGUGUUUUCAGGUGUCAACAAAGUAUUUUACAUAAAUUUUUAUUAUAAUUUUUUUAAAACAACAAACUUAGACAUUUGGGGGGACACACGUCUAUUAAUACAGCAAGGUUUAAAUCCGGUACUACACGAAUAACGUAUGACGAGAACGGCUCUAUUUCUAUCAAAAUGAGAUGUAAUAAACCGUAUUAAAGAUUUUUGUGUGAUUGAAACAAAUAAAACUUUAUAGAUUACUUCAUAUAUAAAAAAGCACGAUCUAUAAGCGUGCUAUUAUAUUUAUUCAAGAAAAUACACUUUAUCUCUCGUUAUCAAAAUGUGAGCUCCUUAUUUAAACGUCUAAAGACAUAUCAAUUGCUAAAGCGAAGAAAGUUGACUAUUAUCAAUAAUAGUACGGCAAUCUCAUAAAUGAGGCUGUAUAUUCUCUGAGGGUACAGAUAGUAAAUAAUGAUAUCACUGAUAAUGCAUCAUAUAUUUUUUGAGGGCUCAUAUCUACUCAUGUGUUUGAUGACUAUACUUGAGGGCAUCUUAUUAUUGGCUUAAUAUUUACAUUAACCUGGAUUAUCGUUUAUUGUAAAAAUUUGUUUUUCAAUAAGUCUCUAGAAGUGAGAAACAUCAUAAUUUCUGGAUCGAGAGACACAUACUUAUUUGGUAACCUGAUGUAAGUUUUCGUACAUAAAUUCUUUACUCCUCGUUUAUAUCUUGAGAUAUAUGAUCCUAGGAGACUACAUACACUUGGACUAUGGAAACCUUGGCGCGAUAAUAUAUCAUUAUUGGACAAUCAUCACGUGUAUUAUACCAUUAGAAUACUAAAGAGAAAAGUAUUUAAUAAACAUUUGAGAGAGAGAAUAUGAGACCUAACUAAGAUACAGCAUAUACAGUUCGUAUCCCUUAAACAGUAGAAAUCUUUAACUUAUAUAGCCUCUGAGACGAGUAAUGACACUUGAUAUGUGUAUUUAUCAAUAUCAUGAGAGAGUUCUAUGUUGACUAGUGAGUAGUCACCAUAGAGUCAUCAUUUGAAUUGGAUGAUGCUCGAUUUGAGAGAUCAUAUAGUUGCAUAAUGUCGCACGCGCGCACGGUAUAUUAUAGAUGCGGCAGUUUAUGUCCUCUACCUAAUUAGAUGUGGAUUAAGUUAACCGCCAGUCACGACAAUAGCACAUUUCCAAUUGCUCAUAAGACACCAACUAACACUACCCCGUUUACUCUAUCUUCACCGCCAUAUCACUAUCCACAUUUACAUCAUAGUAUUCCAACUCUAUCAUUUCUCACUCCUCAUGCCAUAAUCGUAUUGAAGAGCCUACAACACUCGCUUAUGAACAUAUUAUGAGAACCCUUCGAGAAAUAGUCACUCAAGCCUCAUGUAGGAUAACUCGCCGUUCAACCUCACACAAAAUGCCUUAAACCCCAAUUCUCUUAAUGCUUCUGAUUCUUUCAUACUUACCCUCUAGGCUAUCUUUCUUCUAAUCCUCAAUGUUUAAUUUGCUUCUAUAUCUAGUAGUUGCAAAUGGUAUUGCGUCAAUGCUUAAUUUUCGAUCCCAUGUGAGAACUAUAUAUAGUUAGAGAGAGGAUAUUUGUUUACGGAUUAUUUGAGAUAUCUGUUAGCGAGGGAUAGAGUUACUGUUAUAUUGGGGUGGAUUUUGGUCGAAGCGAGUGUAAGAAUGGUGCUGUCACGAAUAGGAAGCGGAGACAAGGAUCGCGGCUAUGUAUGGCGGUCUUGGGAUUUGGCGGCAUGAGUGUAGUCGCCUCUCGGAUUUCAUUAACGAGCGUUCAUAUGUGUCGCAGUAAGAAGGAUGCAGAGAUAAUUAGAAUGAUCUCUCUUUGUCUUCUUUUACUAUUUCUGAAUUUUAGUUUUUUCUCACAAUAGUGUGUUUUUUCGUGCUAUCAUUUACACGUUGGAGUCGCAGAGCUGAUUCUAGUGUGACUUCUACUGGCUUCUGAUGCAACCUGGUGAGCUUAUAGAUUAGUUCAUACAGCAUGCAUCUACUAUGACCCAGAUAUAUACGCGAAUGACCUCAAACAUGCAUGUCCUAUUAUCUUUCCUUCGGAAGUGUACAAAAAUGAGUUGACUUUAGGUACCAAACUAAGACGAAAAAAAAUUGAUGUAUAAAAUGCUGAAAACCAAAAAACUUCAGAGUAGUAAACUGAGAUUAACCCUAGCAUUUUAUAUAAAUUAAAAAAAAAUUAAGUUUUAUUUAUUUAUUUUUAUUAGGAUUUCAACUAGUUUUUAGCACCAUCAAUAAUUUAUUAUUUUAAGUUUGUUCUUUUAAUUUGAUUGGUUAAUUGAAUUAAACAAUCAUAUUUUUUUUAACAACAAUAUUAUCUACAUUAAAAGGGAGGGGUGAGCUUAGCCUCAUAAUGGGUUAGCAAUAAUGUGGUUCAAUUUCGCCUUUGGCGAGAAUUGACCUUAGACGUUUCACUUACAAAUUAAGAGGAAUACCACUAGACCCUAGUACUAAGUGACAUUAAACUAUCAUAUUAAAAAAAAAGGUUUCCGGACAUAUUUUGAGGUCCACUUGUUGCUAAAUGUUGUUUUAAGUUUCAUGUUGUUUAUGUUAUUAAAUAUUUUAGGGUGUUUUUUUUUUGUAUCACAAGUAGUCCCUGAAAUUGAUGCAAACCAUCAAGAUGGUUCCUGAAAAUGAAAAUCAAUUCAUGUAGCCCCUCAAAAUGGUUGUUGCAAAUUAAUGUGGUCCUCCCUUUAGAAUUUUGACAAAAUUUAUGUUAGUAUACUGAUUUGGCACAUAUAUAGGCCCCACAAGUCUAUUAAAUAUUGCCACAUGGAUAAAUAGUUAAAAAGUUUAUAAAAGUUAAUUUAAAAUCACUAAAAAACUAAAUUCAAAAUGAUUAAAUAAAAAAAUUAAAAUCUAUUCAACAAAAAAAAAAAAAAAAAAUAGAUGCAUCUUUAAUCCUUAAACCUCAUCUAAUUAAAUUAAACAAUUAGGUGCAGUUUUAAUUCUCAAUCCUCAUCAUCUGCCAAUUUUCUUGCCAUCUCUUCCACCCCAAGUCACCAUUUUCCCCACCAGCACCCCACCCCUGACAUCGUUGUUGUCAAUCCUUCUCCCUCACCGUCGAAUCGUUUGACCCCCUCCCUCCUCACCGUGACCGCACCAACCCACGUCAACGCUUCCCUUCCACCCAACCUCCUACCGAAACCAAGCCAACAACCACCAGUCCCCCAUCGCAACCCCGAUCCCAAUUUUGAGACAGCGAGAUAACCUAAGAACGAAGAAUUUUUUAGACAAGCUUGGUUGACGUCCUCAGCUCGGUCAUUGCAUAUGAUCUCCUUUGCCCAUGGCUCUUUCUCUCCUUGCAUGAAUUGAGUCUUCCUCAUUGUGAAAAUAACAACUUUAAUUGUUUUUGUUCUAUAGCUUUUAAUUUUUUGUUUAAUCAUUUUAAACUUAGUUUUAAAUGAUUUUAAAUUAAGUUUUUAUAAAGUAUUUAAAACUUAUCCAUGUGGUAAUAUUUUAGACAUUAAAAUAAGGUAAGAUAGUAUGAAAAGGUGAAAAGGAUGUAAGAAAUGGUGUAGAAAUAGCUUAGUGUUGUGGCUUAUUUUAAUCUGACAUGGGAGAGAGAGUGGAGAGAGAUGUGUUUGUAGGGUUGUGUAGAGGAUGCGUUAUUCCCCUACGCAUUGUCUUUAUUUAUAUUAAUAAGGGAUGGAAGAAUCCUUUUCCUCCAAGGAAUACAAGUCCUAAUAUGGAAAACAAACUAGAAUCAAAUCUAAUCUAGGGUUUACACAAUCACACUUAAAUACAAUGUUUAUAACACUCCCCCUUGAGUGUGUAAAUACUCAAGUAGAUUCGGCAUCAUGUAGAGCUGAGGAAGUCGACUCAUCGGCACUGAUUCUGAGAACACGCUAGUCUUAAAUAAGGUAGGAACUUACAUAUGAAACUAAGUCUCACAAAAAACCCUAUGGUUAUGAUAAAAACCCAAGUAAGGACAAAAUCCAUAGUUUAAGGAAAAAUCCGUGAGAAAUGCAAAGUCAAAUGAAAUGUCUACAUGACGUCAUUAGGGAUAUGAUCAGUCGAAAGUAGGUACCUCAUCAAAACCUCAUUAGGUAGCAAAAACCUGGUGGGAAAAAUGAUCCUAAUAGUAGGGAAUAAGAGUACAUUAAGAUCAAGCAAGUCUACUUCAAGAUACUCCCCCUUAAUUUGACAUAAAUAAAAAAAAACUAACAAUGUUACAACUCAGAAAGUUUACACAUACCUAUUCCUUGACCAAGCUUCUAAAACGUCACAUUUGGUAGUGAUUUGGUGAAAAGGUCGGCCAAAUAUUCUUGUGAAUGGAUUUGCAUGACUUCAAUGUUUUGAUGCUUUUACUGUUGAUUUGAGAAAAAGAACUUUGGUGCAAUGUGUUUGGUGUUGUCUUAUUUGACAUAACCCUUCUUGAGUUGUUCGAUGCAUACUGCGUUGUCUUCAGAGAUCGUCGUCGAGACAUAACGACGAGGUAAAGAUUGCAAGAGCUUGGAAUAUGGCUCACAACUGCUCUCAACCAGAAGCAUUCCCGAGUUGCUUCGUGUAAGGUGAGAAUUUCAGCAUGGUUAGACGAAGUGGCAACUAAGGUCUAUUUAGUUGACUUCCAACGGUAAAGACAUAACCUGUUUGAGAACGUGCCUUGGUGGAUUAGAUAAGUAUUUUGUGUCGGCAUAACCAACAAGGCGAGAAUCAACUCGAGAUAAAGGGGUGCAUCAUCACUCAAGGAUUUGUAGGGAUAGAACAAACCCAUAUCCGUAGUACCCUUAAGGUAACAAAAGAUGUCUUUAACACCACUCUAGUGUCUACGUGUUGAUGCAUUACUAUAUCUUGCCAAAAGAUUAACAAUGAAGGAGAUGUCGGGUCUAGUACAUUAAGCUAAAUAUAUCGUAGUUAGAUAAAGAACUUCAAGCUCCAAAAUUUCUUCAUCAUCCUCUUUCGAACAUAAAAGAUCUCGUUUUGCAUCUAGCGAUCGAACGAUCAUACGAGUACUCGAAGGUUUCACUUUAUCCUUGUUAAAGCGUCGCAACACCUUCUUGAUGUAAUUCGAUUGAGGUACUAAGAUUCCAUCCGAACGGUGCUUUAUCUCAAGACCGAGACAGUAUCGAGUCUUUCCUAGAUCUUUCAUCUCAAAUUCUGCCUUAAGGUGCGCGACAGUUCUUUCAAGGUCUUCAAGAGUUUUAAUGAGGUACAUGUUGUUGACAUAAACUGCAACAAUCGUAAAAUUGGAAUAUGACUUCUUAAUGAACAUGAAAAGGCAUAUUGCGUUGUUCACAUAUCCUUGGCUAGUCAAAUAAUCACUCAAACGAUUAUACCACAUUCUUUCAGAUUGCUUCAAAUAGGAGAGUGAACUCCCCAGCUAAAUUGAAAGCAUGUUCCGAGGUUUGAAAAUAUUUGAUCAAGUCAAUGUAAGUCAUUAGAGAACUUUCAUAUAAAUUUUCGUAUCAAGAUCCCCAUAGAGAUACACAGUUACUAUGUCCAUCAGCUGCAUACUCAGUGUUUUGGUAACUACCAAAGGUAGCGAAAAGUAAUCACACCUAUAACGGGUGAAUAAGUUUCGUCAUAGUCAAUCCCGGGGCGUUGUGAGAAGCCUUGUGCAACGAGAUGAACUCUUUUGUGCAUAAUAUUGUUCUUCUUAUCACGCUUCUAAAUGAAAAUUCACUUAUAGCCAACUGGCUUCACAUUUGAAGGAGUAGGAGCUACAGAUCCAAACACCUCACAUUUCGCAAGCCAAUCGAGUUCGACUUGGAUUGCUGGUUUCCAGUUUGACCAAUCAGUUCUACGUCGACAUUCAUCAACAAAAUGGAUUUCAAUGUCAUCACUCAACAUGAUAUUAGUAACUACUACAUAUGCUAAUGCAUUUUUUAUGAUCAUCUCAUUUCUACACCAAACAUCAUCCAAGCUAUCAUAAUAGAUCGAAAUCUCAUGAUUCUUUGGAGGUGGAUUCGUUUGUUCAAGGACGUUUCUGUUAUCUAGAAACCUCAUAAGUUGAAUAGAAUGAGAAGGCGUCAAUUAGACUCACGGUACACUCAGGAUGAGCAGUGUCGUGGGUUUCCUCUUCUAGGGGUGUGAAUCCUAUGAACCAAGUUAUCUGCCAUGGUUUUGUGUAGGGACAGAGAAUUAGCUAGUCGUUAAUGUACGUGGGUCAGCCAAGUUGAAGUCCUCGGCCUCCUGGAGGGAAGUUUGUCGUACAUUUGGUACAUCCAUCUUUGCAGACAUGUUCGCAGUUGGAUAUGUGAUCUUGUCACUUACACUAGAUCGGUGAAAGCAUCUAGCAUGCUCUAAGCUAUGCUCUAAAGAUCUAAUAUGCGUUGCAUUUUAGUUUUAGAUUGAAUGAUGAGGGGAUCUAAAUGACACAAAGUGGGAGUCAUGCACAAUAAUUCGCAUUGAUCUUUAGGAAUGUUGACAUUCUUAUCUCCCCCUAACUACGUGAAGACUGUCUCACAGAAAUAGCAAUCCAUGAAACGAGUUGUAAAUAGAUCACCUAUCAAAGGUUUUAAGUAACGAAUAAUUGAAGGAGAAUCAUAUCUAACAUAGAUUCUCAUUCUUCACCAAGGCAUCAUUUUUAUACGUAAGGACAGAAAAAUCGGCACAUAGAUCACACAACCAAAAAUGUCUAGAUGUGACAUGCUGGGUUUGUAUUUGGUAACUAAUUGAAGGGUGCUACAUGGUUGGGUUGCAAUAGGCCUCAAGCGGACCAACAUGGCUAUGUGCAAUAUUGCAUGGCCCCAAGUAGCAAUCGGGAGCUUGGUACGUAUGGCAACCGAUCGAGUAAUCAUUUGUAAGCACUUAAUGAAUGUUUUCUGCUAGGCCGCUCUAGGUGUGAAUAUGGGGUACUGAAUGUUUAACUUCGAUCCCAACCAACACGCAAUAGUCAUAAAAAAUUUAAAAGCAUUAUCCAAUCGAAUAGGUUUGAUUAGAUAAUUAGGGUGGUGAGUGAGCUUGAUAACCUGAGCCAACAGUUUGGAGAAUGCAGCGUUCCUUGUGGACAACAAGCACAUGUGUGACCAACGUAUGGAUGCGUCAACCAAAAUCUUAAAAUAUCUAAAUGGUCCGCAGGGAGGGUGAAUCGGUCCACAAAUGUCCUCUUAAAUCAUUUGUAGAAAAAUAGAAGGAUUCAAGCGAAACUUGUCAUAAAAAGGCUUAAUAAUAAGUUUCCCAUGGAGUAACUUUGGCAUGCGAUUCUUUGAAUCGAACCUAAACUUCGGGUUAGUGGAUGCCCGUGUGAUGAUUUUAAGAUACAGCACAUCUCUAUUCGUCCAAGGUGUCCCAAACGAUCAUGCCAAAGUGUAAUUGCAUGCACGGUCCCUGAUGUAGGGUCGGCCACUUGGGAUACAUUCCAUCUUCUCUAGAAUAUGCUUCUGGCCAUAUUCGUAGGAAGUGAUGCACAUAAAUUUAACUCCGUUUUCUACAUAGGUUUCAGCGUGGUAUUAUUAUCUCUAAUGUCCUUGAAACUUAACAACGUUCAGAAUGUGGAGAAUAAAGUGCCUCAUCAAUGGUCAAAAUUGUACCAUUGGAGAACAUUAUACUUCCCUUAUCGUAUCCUUCGAUCAAGUUGGAUAAGCCUUAGAAGGUUGUCAGAUGUGCAUUCUUAGGUAUGAAGUUAGUGAAAUAAAUGCGGUCAUGCAAAACGGUAUGCGUGGUUUCACUAUAUGCCGGACAACUAACUUUCCCACUAGCCAUCUAGAAAUAAAAAUUAAUUUGAAUCGGUUACAUGCAUAAAAGUUCUUAAAACAAAUAUCCAUUCAAAUUCAUUUAAGUAUUCAAGGAUGGUAAUUAAAAAAACUUAAUAUCCAAAAACAAAUCACCCCAAGGUUCUAAAUGAGUUUACGUCUAAGAUUCUAAUCUUCCAUAGGGGUAACGACCUUUUGAAAGUUAGAAACCUUUAUUUUGGUACUCUUCGGUUCAUCCACUUGCAUAAAGUUUGAUUCAAAGUUCUUAUGACGAGAAUGAUAUUCAGUUACAACCUUCUGGGGAGCGCGGCAAACAUAGAACCAAUGAUCCUUUGAACCACAGUGGUAACAUAUGUCUGCAUCAAUGGUUUCAUGUGCCUUGCCCUUAUUCUUGAAGUUCGGAGCCUUGGAAACGAGGUUAGGGCAUUUCUGGGCUUGGUUUCCUCCCUUAGAUGGGCCUUGGCUCUGUUGACCUUGACGAUGUGGCUCCUGGUCGCCCAUGCCAUGCCUAUGUUUGUGUUUUGGGUGUUAGUUUGUGCUAUAAUAUGCUUCAAGCACAAUAAUUGCCCCAAUAGGUCGAGCUUGAUGAUUUUUCAUCAACAACUGAUUCUGCUUUUCAACGAGAAAUUCGAAAACUUAGUGAACUUCUGAGCCCUAUAUUGUUAAUGCAGAACAAUAUUAGUGGCAAAGAAGGUUGAAUAGGUCUUCUCCAUGAGAUCCUAUUCGCUCAAAUUCUCGUUACAGAACUUAAGAAGUGAUCAGAUUCAACAAACUUCAGAAUUAUAUUCAUUCACAUAUUAAAGUCUUGGAAGCGUAUAUGCUGCUAGUCAUGUUUUUCUUUAGGCAAUAAGAUGUAUUUUUGGAGAUCAAAGCGAUCAUCCAUAGAAACCCAAAAUGCUUAUGGAUCUUCCUUAGCAAGGUACUCGGUUUGUAGAUCAUGGCAAUGCCUUUCUUAGAUUCGCCAACCGAGUUGUCUGUCUCAUCUUCAAUGGCGAGAUGGAAAUUCUUUGCGGUGAGGUAGAGCUUCACAUCUUGAACCCACUUGAAGUAGUUUCUUCUAGAGACCUCUAAAGCGGUGAAGUCAAGUUUGUUCAAAUUUGACAUGUCCCUAUCACAAAAUAAAUGGACAAGAAUGUGGUUUGUGCAAUGGAGAAAAAAAAAAAAUCAAUCUAUUCACAUAGGAGUAAAACAUUUAGGUUCUAAUAGAUAUUUCUUGGUUUAAAUUUACAUGAAAAAACUUCGGGUUUUCAUGGAUGAUGUUUUUAAGGAAAACUUCAAGUUUUCAAGGAAAACUUCAAGUUUUCAAACAAGGUAUAUUUCUAGAAACUUCAGGUUUUGAAACAAUUAUGAACUUUAGGUUCACAUGUUUCUACACACAAACACAAAUAUAUAUACAGAAAUGUUCAACAAGAAAAUAUGCAAAUAGAUCUUUAGGUCUAGAAAUAUAAUUGAAUUAAUUAUUUGGACUUCAGACCAAAAUUAAAGUGUGGGUGAAAAAUUAUAAAACUCAUAAGGCCUAAAAAAAAUAGUCAUUUAAAUUCGAAGCCAAAAAUAAUGGGGCAAAGCCCACGGAUGGGUUAAGAAUGUUUAGACCAUACGGCCCAGGCCUAAGAAUUGGGCUGGGUUAAAUAGAUGUGGGCUGCAUGCCCAAUAUACCAGAGGCUCGGAUGGGCAUGAAUUGGGUGGGACGCGGUGCAAUGCAUCGAUUCUCUAACAUCAAGCUGGGAUCAUGUGCAUGUGGGUACACGAAUGCACCAACUAGAGGUUGGGAUCUAGUGUGACGCGAUGCAGGUGCACUAAUGCACCAUCUACAUGCUGGGGAUCUGCUGCGGCGUUGUGCAUGGGGAAACCAAAGCCAAGUAGGUCGGUGUUGCGAGUGGGCCGAAGGGAAGAGUUGAUGUGGGCAGCAGCAUGCAAGCCACUAAAAACCAAAGCUUGAUUUUCGAUUAGGCCGAGAAGAACCAAAGCCCAAAUGGACUUAGUCUUAAACCAAAAACACCCAGCCAUAUGUUGGGUGUGCUUGCCGGGGAAGAACAGACCCGUCCUUCUGGCGGUGGUCUCGGGUUCGAGAUAGGGUUUUUGGACUCCGAUAAGAUUACGAAGACUCUCGACCAUGAUUUUGACAGAGAUGACUUCAGGUCAUCAGGAAUGGCAGCUGGUGGCUGAGCAUGGUUGCGCACCAUGCUUUUGUCAGAAAAUCAAUGGUAACGUCGAUAAUAGCAUCAGGUUCUGUGUUCUGGGGGCAUGGAGCUGUUGGCUCUAUGGGUUGGCUCAACUCAAACAGCUCAAGCUACUGGCCUGGCAUGCUGGGCUCGCGCGGCUUUGGCGGCUCGACAACCGCUGCUUACUCGGUGAAGGAGUUUUCAACGAAUCUAUAUUUUAUUAAUGUUUUCAAUUUCCAGAUUAAUUCAGUGCAUAUUUAAUCAAAUAAUUUAAUGCAUGGACAUAUAUUUGUUGCAAUUCAUGGCAAUAUUAAUUCACAUAAUUCAACAAUUAUGGAUAUAAUGCAUACACAAUUUACUUAGAAUCUUAAAUUUGAAAAACGUAAAGUUGGGUCAUGCAUUAUGGUGAAUGUUCAUGCUAUUAAGGCUGCAAAAAUAUCAAGUUAAAAACCAUUGUUUUAAAAGAGCCUGAUUGCGUGAUUAUAGUGAUGAAUUGGUUUGAUGCAGAAUACUUCCACGUUAGAUUCUUAAGCACAUCAGUAGGAACGUGCUAAUAAUGUGUUGUGACUUAUUUUAAUUUGACAAAAGAGAGAGGGCUGGCAGUACAGAGAGAGAAUAGAGAGAGAUGUAUUUGUAGGGUUAUAUAGAUGAUGUGUUAUUCCUCUACUCAAUGCCUUUAUUUAUAGUAAUGAGGGAGGGAGGAAUCCUUCUUGUCCAAGGAAUACAAAUUCUAAUAGGGAAGAAUAACUAGUAUAAAAUCUAAUCUAGGAUUUAUUCUAUCACACUUAAAUACAAAGUUUUUAAUAAUUAAAAUGCUUUAAUUAUAAACAGGUCAUCAUUUAUUAUUUGAUCCAUUUACAUAUUAUGAACGCUUUAUCUUUUUAAGAAUAUUGUUUCUAUACUUCAUUUUAUUUAUUAUUUGCUGAUCUUUAUCUUUAAAAUUUGAAUUUGGGUUCAUCUUUUUGCAAUUGGUGAACUUGUUACGGUUUGACAAUUUGUUGAAUGGAGGGAAUAAGACUAUGAUUGGUGCUAUGGGAAACAAAACGUCCAUAACCAUCAAAGUUAGAAUAUUCGGGUUCUAACACAUGGUUUGGUUUAAACGGAUUUGAGUAUGGAGAACUUCAAGUCUCAACAUGAGUGUUGCAUGUUAAGAAACUAAAGGUUCAUAAUACCUGCAAAUAAAUGCAAUAUAUAUACAAGACAAAAAUAUAUAAAGCAAUUGAAAACAAAUAUAAUAAAAAUGGGUAGCUUAGGGACCCUUUGUGUGAAAGUCUAGGAAAAUAGCCCUAAAAAUAGUAUGGAGCUUCAUGCCUAAAAAUUAUUAUUUUAAUCAGCUAGAUUGUGGGCCAGUGAAAGAGAAGUGGGGUUGACAGAACCCAACCCCAAAUAUAAGCUAAGAAAGAAAAAGUCAAAAACAACCCCAAUUAAAUGUGGCAGUUUUGAUGGGGGCCAAAAAAACACUGAUUUCUUAGCAUAUAUUAAUUGCACUAUCAAAGUAGAUUAGGCACUGCCAAACAUUUUGAGAGUAAAGAGACUUACCGCUUUAAGACCACAGGAUUCAGGUUGGGUAGCGCUGUAUUCCUUGACAACAUUUGCAAGUCAAUAUAUAUAUAUACUCAGUAUAAAUUUUCAUGCACUCGUGCAAAUAUUACAAUUCAAUUAAAAUUUAACCAUAAAUUUUAUGUUUGCAUACAUUAUAUGGCCAGAUGCAAAAACUGCCAGUUAGAAAUUAUUUGGCCGAGGAACACACUCAAUCGAGCCGAUCAUCAAACUAUCAGAGCUCAUGGGCUAUAGUGGAAAAACAAACUGGCUUAUUGUGGGAGACAUAGUGGAAAAAAACAUGGCAUCUGUUGGUCUCCCACAAUAAAAGACGAGAAGCAUUACUUUGAAACAGUAAACAAAAUUGACAACAUAACCGAGAAAUAAACGUCUCUGAAAUCCUCUAAAAGGAAAAGAUUGAACCGGAGGGGAAAAUCAAGACAGGUGGAAAUUGAAAAUGCCAUACGCAAAGGUACCAACAAUAAGGCACCAAAGCUGGAGCGCCAAUUCAACAAGGAGUAAUGUUAUACUUACUAUUUUUCAUAAUUCAUUUUUAUCACCUUUCUAAUAGAGGUAGGACCUAUCAAUAUAUGUGGGUCACAUCUAUAUUAGAGUGAUAGUGUUGCAGUUUUGGUUUAAGUUUUCUUAUAUUCUUGAUAAUGUGAAUGUACAAGGAUACACAUAUAUAAAAGAAAAGAAUGACCGGUCCUUAGACUAAACCCUAGAGAUUAGCUAUACUCCUUAACUAAAGGAGAUUACACCAAACAUUAGAUAUCAGCCAUACUCCUUAAUUGGAGCAAAACCAACUACAAGACUAUGAAGAGAUUUACACAUAAUCUGUCAGAAAACACAGAAUGUGCCAUGUAACCAUGAUGUACCCAUGAUUUAUGGAAUUGCAUAAUCUGUCUAGGGUUGGUAACUCUCAAUACUCUCCCUCAAGCUGGAUCGAGGAGUAUAGUUGAUCCAAGCUUGCCUAGAAGAUGCUGAAAAUGUGCAGACGAGAGAGCCUUGGUGAACACGUCCGCCAAUUGAUCAUAACUGCGAGUGAAGACCAUUUGGAUGAGUUGUGAUUGAACUUGAGUUUUGAUGAAGUAACAGUCAACUUCAAUAUGCUUGGUCCUUUCAUGAAAAACUGGGUUUGCAGCAAUGUGCAUGGCUGCUUGAUUAUCACACAUGAGAGACAUAGGAGUUGUACUCAAGAACCCUAGAUCAAAUAAGAGACUUUUAUGCCAAAUGAAUUCACAUGCAGUGGUAACCAUUGCUCGAUAUUCAGCUUCAGCACUAGAGCGGGCAAUGACUUGUUGUUUCUUACUGAAGGAAAAAUUUUGUCCUAGCUAAGAACAUGUGAGAAUAUUUGAAUACAUAUGCAAACUAUUAACACAUUAAAGUAGGCAUGCAUUCAAAACAAUUCAUAAAACCCAUGACUUUCAAAGCCUAGUGAAUGGUGAACCAACAAACUCUUUAACAACAUUAAAGAGAAUAAAGGAUUUAGAGAUUCUUUACCCUUGAAGCUCAUCCUUGAUUACACAAGGGAUUCACCCAAGUGGAGGGCCUUCAAGUCACCUCCUUGCUCCUUGGAUCUUACUUGUGAUUUUCUUCCUUUUAGUGCUCCUUUGCUUCUUUGAGGAUUUGAGGAUAUGUUCUCCAAAACACCAAAAGCUUGAUGUCUCUACGUCUCUUCACCAAAGAUGUAUUGUGCAGGUGAAAUGGAUGAAUUAGAGAAGAAUAGAUUGCUAGCUAAAACUUCUCUAAGUGGCCGGCCUCUAUAGAGAAAAAGAGAGAAAAAUGUUUCACCUCUUUUCAUCAAGAAAACCCUAAAUGAAAAUAAAGCUAUAAAGUUGAAUUUAUACUUCAUCACAUGUGAGUGGCAAACUUGUAAUUAAUCCAAGUUUGCAUCCACUCACCCUAUGGCCGGCCAUGUUGAUGUUAUUGGGCUAAUUGCCCAUUUUGUUUUAGUUGUCAUACAACUUAAACAUAAUGGGCCUUGUGGACCAAAACGCUUUUGGACCCCGAAGCCCAAAACCAACUUAAAAGCCCAAUAUGAACAUUUCAUAUAAUUAAUUAACUAAUUAAUUAACUUUGACCAUUCUUCAAUUAAACCAUUUAAUUGCAUAUCCAUUUCAUUUAAUUUCUUCACUUUCAUCCUUACUCGGUGUACGAUCCAUUAUGUUCCAUUUAGCGAGGUAGUGGGCGAUUGUUACUCUUAACGAUUGAUUGUGAAUUGCAACCACAUUUCAAUUCUCCCUUAAAAUUAGUGUUUGCUAAUCAUUAGGGCUUCCACAAACCAUGAGUGACACCUAGUAGCAUGUCAUGGUUACCCAAGCUAAGUAGAAUUGGUUGGAGAACCUAUCCAGUUACAACUACAAUGCAAUACGGUCAUUCUCUAAUACAAUACUCUUAAUCACAUUGUUUGAGUGAUAGUUUGUUUCAUGUCUACUAUCCAAUGUGAUACUUCUCCAUAUGAUUCUAUUGAAUAAGAUUUGGAACAAACUUCCUAAGUCAUAUUCAUUUGCUUUGGCCAAAGAUUCUCGAAUCAUAUCUUAGAGUAUUCUCCUUCAACCAUGGAAGGUUAGAGAUCCCUUGUUGUGCAUUCAUAUGCCUACAUGACUAGAUAGCUUGACCCCAACAAUACCGUGGACACUCCAAUGGAAUGCCUUUGACAUGAUCAAAGGUCAAGGACCUAACCAUUAGACAUCUAUGAUACCUCAGGUCAAAGGACUACUUUGCAUAUUGCAACUAUCGAGUUCUUACAUGACAUGUAUGUUCGAACUCUCUUUUGAUCGUAGUUCAGUGUACUCGAUCACUCUUUCGAGCACCUAUGUGUUUGUCUUAGUGUCCAACACCAAAUGACUUGAGACUAGUCAUACUCACGCUUGAGUCGACAUAACACAUACUAACCUUAGCGGAUUGUCAAUGCCCAAUUGGCAAUCCUAUGGCUAGGAACGUUUUAGGAAUGAACAUAAAAGAAAGGUCUCGUUAAUCUAACUUACUUAAAUCACUUGUCUCUUAGAUCAAAUACAUUCCUUGGAUUCCCUUAUUGGUUAAACACAUGAUACAAUAAAUAGUGAUUAACAAUAAGCUUUGCCCUUCAUUAAACAUAUAAAAGUUUAAUACAAUAAGUAUUCCAAAAGCUAUUACAUCAAAUGAUUGGCUUUGUGGGCAUACUUCCAACACUUACUCUUCCAAGAAACAAUGUAGCCUCCAACAAAUGUGCAAUAACCAGUGGUGGAUUUUCUGUCGAUUGCACUGCCUGCCCAGUCAGCAUCAGUGUAUGCAUGAAUCUAAGUGGAUGAUUAUUACGCAUGAGGAUACCCCUAUCAAUGAACCAUUUGAGAUAGUGUAGGAUCCUUUUCACAAUAUUAAGAUAUUCUAUUGUGGGUGCAUGCAUGAAUGGAUUGACUAAGCUCACAGCAAAGGUAAUGUCUAGACGGGUGAUAGUAAAAUAGAUAAGCUUGCCAACCAAUCUUUGAUAAUAGGUGAUAUUCUUGAGUGCCUCGCCAUCAGUGGUAAGUGAUGCGAAAUAUAUAAGCACACAAAUUAAACCCUCUUUUUAUCAAUUGUAGUAAAGUAUGUAAGUAGGGAUCGUUCUAGGCCGGGGAUUAGGAGGGAUUGCUAAAUCACUUGGAAACUGACUUGAAAACGUAAAAACAAAGUUUAAAACACUAACUAGACUCAAAGAAUGCAAAACUAUACUUUAAAACACUAAAACAAACCAAAAGACUCAAAACAGCCCCUAAACACUCAAACUACCUUAAACACACAAUCUGGGCAGUUUUGGGACUCUAACACAAACUUGGACGAAUUUUGGUUUUCUAAUGAACUAAAACACUUAAAAACAUAAUCUAAGACAAGUUCUAAUUAAUAUGACUCAAAGAAAUAAGAUGGGGUUGAUUUUGGACGAAAAUAAUUAAAUUAAGACAAGAACAAAGUAAACAAAUUCUUAGACAAAUUUAAGUGAAUCAAAACAGAUUGUAAAAUGAAUUUGAAUGAAACUUAUGGAUGGAAGGCUAGCUAGGAGGUUCUUCUCCACACAUGUCACACUUGCAUACAAAACGAUUUCCAGUUGCUUUUCGAUAAGCUAUGAAUACUCAACGUCCCAAAUUAACCGUGAAUUGCACUAAUUAACCCUCAGUUUUUCCACAAGUUAUUGGAUUGGAUGAUUGCAUACGACAACCCAAAACAUUCCCUACAAGUUCCCUACAUGAAUUGCAUAAUAGAGAUACAAGCAAGAAUCAUUAAGUUCUAUGAAAAACAUAAGCAUUGACGAGACACUCGUUACUAUGAUUUGCAUGAAACUUAUGCCAAGAAUUUACUUAACGUGAUUGUGACUAGCAACCUUCACUACUUGUGAAUAUAAGUUCAUAACGAUUAGGUGAAACUCCCUUAUAUUCUAGCGUUAAAUUCAUGCAUGAAAAUUAAGCGUGCACUCUCAACCAACAUACACAAAUCAUUUUUUAUACGAUCGGAUAAGUAAAUUGAAUUCACAACUUAUGAAUCACAACUGGAUGUAAUCAAAUCAUAUUGCAAGUAUGAACAUGGUUUCGAAUCACCCCCUAACUAAGAGGGGUUUAGUUCCUCAUACUCACAAAGCAAAGAUACAUAAAAUUAGACAUUAAAAUCAAAGGAAAGAAAACACCUAAAAUGCUCCAACUUGGGUAGCAAGUGCAUCCAAGAAUUCUCCUUUGCUUGCUUGCGGCAGAUUGCUUUGUGGACGGAUUUUUGGGUAGUUUUAUGAUGUAGAAUGGAUGGGGAAUGGUAUGGAAAGGUUUAGGGUAAGUGUGGAGGAGUGUUUGAGGGUUGGAGGGUGGUGGAGAACUAGGCAAAGAGGGUGGAAGAAGGUGGAGUGGCUGUUAUGUUUUCUAGGCACUAGAAUGGUGUUUUUGGGGUGUUUUUCUACCUAGGGUGAGUAUGGACGAAUUUCUGUGAUGAAUGGUGAAUAUGAGAGUGUGAACCCUUUGCCAAGGGGUGUAAACAUGUAUAUAUAGGCCCCAAAAACCUUAGAGAAUCAGGUUAGGCUAGGGAGAAUGCACGACAAAGAGUGUAUGUGGUGUGCAAUGGUCCAAGGGUGAAAAUGAAGUGAUGAUGCAAAGUGUGAAGGGUAAAAUAGAGUGGUCUUGUAGCUAGGGAGCAUGAAUGAUUGUGUACAUUGCAUAGAGAUGGAAAGGGAGGUGAAAAUGUGUCAAUAAAUGGGUCAAAGGUGCAGCAACAUGUGGUACACAAGGCAUGGGAUUCCAAAUGUGAAUGAUGGAGCAUCAAUUGGUGCAUGUUAUGGUUGUGAAAGUUGUAUAAAAUUUUGUGGGUGAAGGGAACAAGAGGUAUCAAGCAAUUAAGUGUAAUAAUUAAAUGAAUUGAAGCAUGAAAUCAGAAAUUAUGUAGGGGACAAGAGUGAUCAAGCAUGGCAUGGGAAUCCAAAGGGAAUUCUAUGUUGUUUUGCAUGGCAAUGAAGGCAAGUUGGGGUGACAAAUUUUUGGGCUGAGUUCUUCAUCUUUUGGACCAUAAUUCUUCACAAUCUUGGCCUCUUUAGUUCUCAAAUUCGUCCAUCCACUUUGGGGCAAAUAUGUGACAUGCAUUCCAAGCUCCAUUUUGCUCCAAAAUGCUCCAAAAUGCAUCUUCUUGCCUACUUUGUCCAUAAAAUCUGAAAACACACGAAAAUGACUUUAAACAUUAAAAUAACUAAGGAAACACGACAUAAAUGCACAAGAACAAGCCAACUAAGUCGCAUAAAUAUGCUCCUAUCAGUAAGCUUAGGUUUGUCAAUUGGGGUGACAACUGGUUUGCAAUCAGUGAACUUAGCUUCCUCGAGUAGAUACAUGACAUACUUGCGUUGGUUAAGAAACAAACCCCGUUGAGAGGUUGCCAUUUCAAUGCCAAGAAAAUACUUCAACUUCCCAAGAUCCUUGAUGGCAAAAGUUUGAUGUAGGGAGGCUUUCAGGGCUCCAAUUUCAGAUGCAUUGUCACCUAUGAUAAUAAGAUCAUCUACAUAAAUAAGGACCACCAACUUCCCACGGGUUCCAUUCCGUACAAACAAGGAAGAAUCGGCAUUACUUCUAAGAAAACCUUCCCUUUCCAACACUGAACUAAGCUUGGCAUACCAAGCUCUUGGUGAUUUCUUCAAACCAUAGAUAGCCUUGUGCAGUUUGUACACCAUGCCAUCCUUUGCUGGAGAGUAACCACAAUUGAUAGCAACAAAAAGUAGCACACGCACUGUGUUCAUUUUUUCCACUGGAGCGAAGGUUUCUUUGUAAUCAAUCCCAAAGGUUUGGGUGAAACCACGAGCAACAAGCCGAGCUUUGUGUAUUUCUAUUGAGCCAUUAGUCUUGAGUUUAGUUUUGUAAACCCAACGACUCCUAACUGCCUUCUUUCCUGGAGGUAAUUGAACGAUACUCCAAGUACAAUUUUCCUCUAAGGCUUGUAGUUCUUCAGACAUGGCUUUCCUCCAGUGAGGGAUGAGAUUGGCUUCUUGAAAAGUGUUAGGCUCUACAAGAUUUGAGACUGCAGUAAGAAAUGCCACAUGAGAAUUUGAAAAACUAUGAUUACUCAUUGCUUCAAAGAUGGGAUGUUUAGAAGCAUAAGUAACGUAGUCUACAAACUUGGCAGGAGCCUUCCUUUCUCGAGGUGGAUUCCUCCUAACAUCUUGGGAAGAAUGAUGAGUGAAAGGUUGAGGUGCAGCCUUAAGAUCACCAUUUCCUUGUGAGUUGGGUUAAUGAACCGUUGAAGUUGUGGUUUCCAUCAUGAGUUCUUCCUCUUGACUGUCAUUGCCCUUUAAGGAAUCAUCAUGACUAAAAAACUCAGUGUAUAUAGGCAAUGAAAACAAGUCACACAAGAGCUCCCCCUCACAUGAAGUAGGACCCUUCUUAAAGAAUGAAGUCUCUUCCUCAAAGCGAAUAUCUCUGGAUACAACACACUUGUUAGUGACAAGAUUAAACAUUUAUAUCCCUUUUGAGUGGAGUAGUAUCCCAUGAACACGUAUUUGACUGCCUUGACAUCCAAUUUGUCACGAUGUUGAGUUUGCAUGUCACAUCCCAGACCGGCUCCGCCAUAGCACGAUAUUAUCCACUUUGGGCUUAGCAUUCCCUCACGGUUUUGUUUAUGGGAACUCACACGAGAACUUCCCAGUUGAUCACCCAUCGUAGGAUUUUUGUCACCCGAACUCGCUUAACUUCGGAGUUCUAAUGGAAUCCGAAGCUAGUGAGUUCCCAAAAGGCCUCGUGCUAUAGGGAAGGAAGCAUGUACAUAUAAGGCACAUCACCUCAUCUCCGUUGGUCGAUGUGGGAUCUCACAAUCCACCCCACUUAAGGGGAACCCGGCAUCCUUGCUAGCACAUCCGCACCGAACAAUAGAGUGGCUCUGAUACCAUUAUGUCACAUCUCAGACCAGCUUCGCUAUAGCACGAUAUUGUCCUUUUUGGGCUUACCAUUCCCUCACAGUUUUGUUUCUGGGAACUCACACUAGAAUUUCCCAGUGGGUCACCCAUCCUAGGAUUGCUCUCGUCCAAACUCACUUAACUUCGGAGUUCCGAUGGAAUCCGAAGCCAGUGAGUUCCCAAAAUACCUCGUGCUAUAGGGAGGGGAGCAUGUACAUAUAAGGCACAUCACCCCCUCUCCGAUAGUCGAUGUGGGAUCUCACAUUGCACAUGUACAAAACAAGUGCAACAAAAAACUUUCAAGUGUGACAGGUUUAUUGGUCUGUCUUUAAGGGUUUCAUAUGGUGAUCUGAAACCUAGAACACGACUAGGAAGCCUAUUGAUCAAAUAGGUGGCUGUAAGGAUUGCAUAUGACCAAAACCUUUUGGGUACAUUCAUAUGCAACAUGAAUGCCCGAGUAUUCUCAAGUAGAUCUCUAUUCUUCCUCUUGACUAUCCCAUUUUGUUGUGGGGUUCCCACACAAUUUGUUUGGUGAAUAGUUCCUUGUGAACUCAAGUAUUAAGGCAUGAUAUUGGAUAAGAACUCGGUGACAUUUUCUGAUCUCAAGGUUUUAAUAGUUAAGUGAAAUUGUGUUACAACCAACUUAUGAAAAUCUUUAAAAAUAGUUGGAACUUCACUUUUAGAUUUCAUGAGGUAAAGGAAAGUGAUUCGAGUGUAAUCAUCCACAAAUAUGACAAAAUACUAUUGAUUCAAAAGUAGGACCCCAUACAUUAGUGUGUACCAUUUCAAAUGGUGUACUAGACUUGGACAUUGAAGAACCAAAAGGCAGCCUAGCAAAUUUGGAAAAAUGACAGGUAUCACACUUAAAGGAUGGGUGACAAAACAUGGGAAAUAGUUUUGACAAGACAACUUUGGAUGGAUGAGCUAGUCUUUCAUGCCAAAGUUAUUGAUCCUAGGGUUUUGCUUGAGUUUGCUUGAAGAGUUUUAAGAAGAUGGAACUUCUUGCAAAAGUAAUACAAGCCAUUUAGAAAGAAACCUUCACCAAUCAUCUUCUUGGUGAUACAAUCCUGAAAUACCACAUUAGUUUGUGAGAAAGUGGUAGUACAUUUUAAGGCAGAAGUGAGUUGCCCUAUAGAGAGUAAUUUAAAGGAAAACGAUGGAACAUAUAGAGCACUAGACUCGAUGUUUUUUGACAUCAAAUUUAAUUUUCCUUUACCCAUUACCGAGACAUUUUUUCCAUUUGCAAUGGACACUUGAGAAGGUUUAAAAAAGGAUGAAAGUCAUGCAAGUUUGAAACUUUAUUUGUCAGGUGAUCAAUGGAACCUGAGUCAAUUAUCCAACAAUCAAGUUCAACACUAGUUUGAAGUGCAGUGGAGAAAACAUUGAAGAUACCUAAAACUUUAUCAGGAUGAACAUGGUCAUGGUCAACAAAGAACCCAGCAAACUGACCAAGAAGUGCAGUGUGGUUAUCACUGUCUACCUUAGGAGUUGGUACAACUUCUCCAUGUCUUUUGCUUUGAAGAUACACUGCAAACUCGUUGAUAAGAGACAAGGGGUUGGCAGUGAAGUCAACUGAGCCAUGGUUGAGCGAGCUCGAGGCAUGAUUCGCAACAUGUUGUGCUUUUUAGGAGGUUAUUUGUAAUGCUCUUGGAGUGAUUGACCUAAUAUUCUUAUUGAACUUAAGUUUCAACUCCGGAUGUAGUUCCCAGCACCUUUCUUCCACAUGUCCUAUAACAUUGCAAUAUUUGCACUUUAAGUGUGGAUUCUUCCCUUUGUACACCUUGUUGUCAGUUUGCCUAUAGUUUGCAGCAUACCCUUGAGUCUCAGGCAGUUUUUGGCAUGACUCUGGGUUCAUCACCCUUCUUCUUGCUUCUUCACGUUGCACAGUAGCAUAAACAUUCUAAAAUGAUGGCAACUCCAUGCUCAUUAAAAUGUGACUUCUGAGAUCUUCAUACUCAGAGCUUAAGCAUCCUAGCAACUAUAUGUCUUAUCUUUCUCAGCACGUUUGAGAAGAAUAGACGGAUCAAUGGUAUGAGUAAUAUAUACAUCCAGCUCAUUCCACAUGGUUUUAAGGACACCAAGGUGUUGAACAAAGGUCAUUCCUUCUUGUUGAAUACCUGCAAUAUCUUUCGUCAAUUGGAACACACGAGCAUAAUUAUUCUGGUUCCCAUACAUGUCCUUCACAAACUUCCAUAGAUCUUGUGAGGAUUUAGAGUAGCUAAAGAUCUUAGCCACAUGCUUCUCCAUGUUGCUGAGUAACAAAGACAUGACCAGUUGGUCCUUGCACAACCAUGCUUCGUAUGCUUAGGUAGAAGGCUCAGGUGCUUUACCUUUUCCAUUGAUGAACCCCUAAGCUUUCCUCUUCCACCUAGAGCAAGAGACACUGCUCUAAACCAUGGGAGAUAGUUGAAUUCAUUCAACAAAACUGAGCAUAAGAGCUAAUUCGUAUUUAUCUCAGUAUCUGGAAACAAAAGAGGGACAACUUUGUGAGUUUUCUCCCCCAAGGUUUAUUGAGCUUUCUUCAACCAUAACUGGAGCUUGAAGAUGAACAACAGUGAAAAAAAUGGGUAGAGAUAAGUCAAGGAUGACACUGCUUUGAUACCAUGUUGCAGUUUUGGUUUAAGUUUUCUUGUAUUUCUUGAUAAUGUGAAUGUACAAGGAUACACAUAUAUAAAAGAAAAGAAGGGCCGAUCCUUAGACUAAACCCAAGAGACCAACUAUACUCCUUAAUUAAAGGAGAUUACACUAAACACUAGAUAUCAGCAAUACUCCUUAAUUGGAGGAAAUCAACUACAAGACUAAGAAGAGAUUUACACAUAAUCUAUCGGAAAACACAAAAGGUGCCGUGCAGCCAUGUUGUACCCAUGAUUUUUGGAAUUGCAUAAUCUGCCUAGGGUUUGUAACUCUCAAUAGAUAGUAUGAAAAAAAGUGAUAAGAGUAGUACUUUUGUUUAACGAAGACUGGGAUGGAUGGUUGAAUUUGUUGAGGUCACUCUUUGCAGACCACAACUAAACGCAGUUAAUAGACUGCCAUCGCCCGUUCAAACAAUCAUCACGAAAAUUACUAAUUAGCUGACUACUGAAUGACAGUUACGAGCUGCACUACCAGAUGAUUACAUUUGGAAAGGUAUACAUGCUUACAUGGGGAUUCUUUCGUAAGAAACAUAAUUUGUGAUUAAUCAAAAAUAGGAAAGUCCAUCGUAUUUUCGUUUGUAUGCAGGUAUUUUGCACAAAGAGUAAACUGAAUUGCAAUCAAUGUAUUAAAAGCGUAAGGCAUAGGCGAGGAGUCCGAGGGAUAGCCCAGUCUAGGCGUGAGGUGAAGCCUCAUGGGACCUAAAUUUUUUAAUAUAUACACUGAGCAUACACAUAUAUUAUAUUAAAAAAAAAGAUUAUUAAUCAAUAAUCACCCUGAGCACACACAUAUAUUAUAAAUACAUAUACACACAUAUAUAUAUACAUAUUAUAUAUAUAUAUAUAUAUAUAUUAUAUAUAUAUAUAUAUAAUAGAGGAUGAAAAACACAAUGAGCACACAUAUAACAAUGCACGUAGAAGGCACACAUAUCCAUUGUAUAAAAAAUAAAAAUCAGAAAACAAGGCAGAGAGAUGAUAGUGCAAGGAAGAGGUAUGAGGUAGUUAAAACCCUAUCCAAAAUUUGGGUUUGGGAGUAAAAAAAUAAAAAUAAAAAAAUAAAAAAAUAAAACCUUGAGGCGCGCCUAGGCAGUUCCGGUGGCGCCUUUCUCCCACUCCCUCAAACAGAGGCUGUAACCCUCAAGCUCAGCCUCACAGGGCGCCUAGGCGCGCCCUGAAGCGAGCCUUUUAAAACAUUGAUUGGAAUGCAUGUCCAAUGAGAGGAGAAUGUAGACACUUCGCAAGUGCUUUGGCAAGGUUCGAACAAUAAUCACUGUGCUGGAAAAUAAACACUGAAGCGUGUCACGGACUCACGAGAACUUUACAUACUUUGGGGCAUGACAAUCUGUAGAUAGUUUAAAGAACAAUAAUACAAUAUUGUAGAAUAUGUUUAAAUAACUUGAACUAGUAGAUAGUUCAUGGAUAAUCUGUAGAAGUAAAAAGUACUCUGUUCCACUAAUCACAUGGAACAAUAAAGAGAAGUAAGGGAAAAAAAAAAAAAAACACCACCACAAUAUAAAUCCCGCAACCGCUGUCACUCCUACGUCACUUUGUCCGCUUGAGAACAACUCACUCUAGAUAGCAGGUACUGUAAUUAAAGAGUGUGAACACAUCAUCGAAGAGCCAGCAACACCAGAACAAGAGUUGACUGAGCUAUCAGAAAUUGAAAUUGAGGACUUCUUCUAUAAGGAUCCUGAUGAGAUUCCUACCACCAAACUCAACAUGCAACAGUUCACAUCAACAUUACAAAACUACAUGCAAGAGAAGAAGCUCCAAGGUGACAUGUCCAAAGCCUUAGUUGCCUCCAGAAGCUACUUCUAUCCCUACGCCCAAGCUGAAGAAUAUCAGUAGACUACGAACAGAGCACCAAGUGUAAGUCCCUGUCUACCCAAUAAAACCACAUAUGCUUACCAUUGUUACCAGUACACUGGACACAGUUGUUUGAACCAAUCAAAUAUUAAUUAUAUAAUAUAAACUAAUUACACGGAUUAUAUUGAAAUAUAAUUAUACUAUAUAAUCAAACAACAAUAUGAAUAAUAAAUGAAGUUGAAAAAUAUAUCACAGCAAUUAUGAUUGACUUGAUUUUAGAAGAUAGAAACUUGCAAUAGCAAUCUCCUAAGACAGAAUUAUGCCCGCCCCUACACUUGUGCAGUAGAUUGUGCAAUAAUUCACAGACGUCUAUCUUGCUGGAUAUAACUAUAUAAUUCAAGUUCUUGCACUCGAACUUGAAUUUUUAGUGAAUUGGUAUGUGUUUCUCAAUAGAAAAUAAGAGGAAUGAUUUUUUAUUGAAUAAAUUUGUAUAACCCUGCAGCCAUAUAUAUAAUGGCUUAAUUUGAACGUUUGCAACUGUUGGAAGCAGUUGCAACCUUUCGAAAUCCUUCUUAUCCUUUCGGAAUUGUUAUAAUUGUUAUAACUGUUGACUGAAACGAUUCUAGCCUUUCCGAAAAACUAUAGAAAACAAAAAUAUGAAUCCAAUACUUAAGGCCUAAGCCUCAUCUUUUAUAUAUUAAUAUAUUACUAUACCCAAACCAAAACCAAGCCCAAGGUUACAAGGUCCAUGGGUAGUCUUUAAUCCAUUGAUUUAAGGUUUUGGGCGAUGUGGGACUUCCAUCCCAUAUUAAUUCCCAACAACAGUAACAAGAAACCCGUAACAUGUUCAAUCAAACAAAAAUGUUUUGGUGUCUAAAAUACUGAACUCCCCACCGUCACAAUUCUUGUACUGCAUUUUAUGUAACUCUCUGCCUAGGAUAUAUUAUGAGUUUUUAGAUACACGUAAAAUUUACUAACACAUAUAAGUCUUAUCUCUAUUAGAAAUGUUGUAUAAAUAUGGUAUGAAAAAUAUGAUAAGAAUAGCAUUUUUGUUCAACAACUAAGACUGAGAUGACUGAAUUGGUUGAUGUCGAUCUUUGCAAUGAUCACAACUGAACACAAUUCACAGACUGCCCCCACCCAUUCAAACAAUCAUCAAGAUAUUUAUGCCCCGCCAAAAGGAAUCCAGUAUUAAGACUGCCUAUCUAGUACUGCUAUACCAAUAAUGGUCGGAGUCGUUUAACCUAGUUUAAAUUUAUAAAUUUGAAGAAAUAUAUGUAUAACAUAGUAAAAGUAUGAAUAACAAUGGAAAUAAACAAAUAUAAAGUAAAGAGAUACCCUCAUAUUAUAGCGGCCAAUCACAUACUCAAUUAUAUUGGUCUAGUCCAUGAUCAUCUUUAUAUUUAAAUUCAACAAUUAAAUUUAAAUGAAAAUAUUCUCAUUGUAAUUAUGUAUUUAGUUAAUUAGGUUUUGGGAAAGCGUCACUGGGCCAAAAUUUGGCCCUUGUAUCCCAAGGGUGUGCCGGAAUUUUGUAGGGCUAGAAUUCAAGUCCAACUUGGUCUCCAUCUUAGCUCCCACUACUUCGGGGAAUUUUAUUAUCCUUAAUAAUUAAAAUUCUCAACAAUUAAGAAAUCUAAUUCAAUUAGAAAAUUAUUGCAUGACAUUUAUGUCUGUCCAUUAAUUGGUGAUGAAUAGUUCAUUGAAUCGUCAAAUAAAUUGGACAUUCAUUCCUUAGUUAAUUGAUGUAACCGUUAUUCCAUUUAUUCCUUUCCUCAAUUAACUGUUGUAAUUGUUAGGCCAUUCAUUUCUCAAUUGAUUAAACAAUUGAUUAUCCUUACUGAAUUAUGCAUAUUUGUGUAAUUUUCCAAGAUAGCCACACCAUUAUACGAAGGUGGCUAUUGUAAUACCAAGUGUUGGAACCAAAUUCACACACAUUCUCGGAUGGAGGCAAAAUCCAGUCGGAAUUGCCCAUAAUCUCCGGCGAGGGGAGAAUGGGGUUAAUUGGGAGUGUGGUUGAAUCUGAAUAAGACUGCCUACAUAUCUCCAAGAAGGCGACUCAAACCAUGGGUGUAGUUAUAAGGAAGAAUGGUGUGAUGUGAAAUACAUCGUGAACCAUCCUUGACGAGUAGCCUAUGGAGGGGCGUUAAGAAGAUGAGUUUCCCAUGGAUGUGUCUACACGUAUGUGGUGGCGUAUAUGCAAGAUGAGACUCUAUUAUGCGUAAAGAAAAUAAGUGUGUAGUAGUCAUGUAGAGAAGAUAAAGAAACUAGAGAAGAAGUCAGAGAAGGUCCUUAAUCAUAUAGAGAUCUCAAGAAUCCUUGUAAGGAGGGUAAUCCCAAUUAAAUUAGGAGAUUAUUUAGGAGAGAAUCGAGGAUAAGAUAUCUAAUUCUCAAAAGAUCAUGAUUAUGUUGCCUAAUCCCCAAGAUAUCGUAAUUUAACCUGAAUUAGGGUAUCCUUAUAUGGGAGACAAGUAAUAUCUUCAAUGGGCUUUAGCCUAGUUUGUCGCACUAAGGCUGUUAGACUACAGUUUGUGAGCUAUGGGCAUUUCAAUCAUACUUUCCAUCCAAGGUGCCUCGUGUCAUGGGCCCAGAAAAUCAUGGUCUCACAAUUGCCGUUAACUAUGCUUUUACGGGUGCACUCCACUUUAAGGAUGGAUGGUUACCAACGGAUCAUGAGUGAAUCAUCCCAGAAUAACUUCUUCCGACUGCUUAACGAGAUAACAUUUGAACUGCUUGCUCGAUUCGGAGCUAGCCAAGUCUAGCUAGUCUUGCUUGCUUGUUUGUCAUAGAUUUGAUCUUUCAGCGUUCCAAACUAUAUUAUAAACCUUUGGUCGAAGUUCUGGAUGUAUAGCUAAAAAACUAGAUGCGAGGCAGAAUGCGCAUAUAUAUUCCUGAAAUGACUUCGGCUUAGUUGGAAUGUAUCUUUAAGAUGCUAGGAUAUCAUAAGGAUGUUUGAGGAAUAAUCCUUGUAAUAAAUCCUAGUAAUUAUCUUUGAAGAAUCCUUGAUUGAUUGUGAUUGUGUUUCCUUGAUUAGAGGAAUCUGUAAGUCUAAAUGUAAGAAUUAGUUAUUAAUUCAACCUUUUAUUUCCUUGUCUUUAUUGUUGGAACCAAAUUUGUACAUUGUAGUGAGUGGUGGUUGAGUAUAAACUCGAGCAACUUGCAAAAUAGUAAACAACCAUAAGCAAGCCUAAGAACCUAAGGGGGGGGUAUGAGGCAAAGGCUUUCCUACGGUCAAGUUAGUGAAUGAUUUUAAACUCAACUAGUGGGCAAGAUAAUUCAAGUGUUUAGAUUGUGUUACAAUAGAUGAAUCCUAGAUGAGUAUAUUUAUACUAUGGGGAGAAUGACCUUUUAGGGAUAUAAUUCUCGUUCUAAGCCGGGAGAAUCUUGGAGGAUAUCUAGAAGUAGAUAUUGCAUUUUUUUAGGAAUUAUGAUUAACCGCGGCAAACGCUAAUUCCUAAAGUGUAGGAACUCCAAGACUCAUAGGAUCUGAUUGUGUCCAUAUAGGAAUCAGAUUGUGUGUCUUGCGGAACAAGUAUGGUCAUCCAGCGGAGUUGCUAGGACUCAGCCUAGUCACCUAGAGUAAAGUAAUGGUGGCAUCGCUACUUUGUCUAAUACAGUCUGCCUGGAAUUAGUGAGUCCAUGACCGGACUUCUGAUCUAACUGUAUAAGGAUCAACCUUACUUUGGCCCUGGAAAAUCAUGGUCUCACAAUUGCCCCUAAUUAUCCGUUUGAGAGGCAACCCAUUCCUCAUGAGGAUGGAUUGUCAUCCAAAGACCAUGGCUUUUGGAGUAAGUUGGAGUAUGUUCUGUUUGGACUUCAAAUUCUUAUGAAUUGGUCUAGUUCAUUAAAGAUAGGUAGUUGAGUCAUUCACAACUUUUGUCAUGCUUUCAUGUCAACUUAACUGUCAUGAUGAUAUACACCUCCAUUUUCCGUGCACGCUUCUUGACAAAAAAAACCACAUAUCUCAUUGAUUAGCCUUGAUUCUCGUCCACAUCGAUCUCUAGGAUAACGACUCUUCAUUUUCAACGGUGAGAUCUUUUCUUGAUUUGCCUUUAAAUAGCCAUUCUUCAUUCAUUUCUCAUUUGUGCCAUGAUGCUUGUUUUUACCUUAAAUUUUUUCUCCGACCUUAGACUUAUUCUUGGUUCUUUGUUAAAGAAAAUUUCAAUCCCAGAAAAUCAUGCCAUGAGCAGUAAAUCCCAACGCGUUCUCAGAAAGGUUUCCUUGCUUCCUACAACUCGCUCUAUAAUAUUUCACACUUCUUACAACUCAUUCUAUAACAUUCAUCCCCUCGUAGGACUCUCCAUGCACGCUUUGAGGAAGGAUAAUAUUUGCAUGAGGUUUGAAGAUCCAUCGAAAGGUCUUUCGUCAUGGCUUUCUUCCUAACAGCUAAUUGAUAGUGACAAUGGCGGCUUUUUAUUCAAACAUUCACCCACGUGUUACUCAUGUGGCUUGAGUGUUGAGAUCUGUCUCUGUUUCUUUCCAUUUCCUCUACUUUGUGGACGACGAAUGUGGAAGAUCUCUAUCGGAAUGCUGCUCGCCCUUAAUGUAGUGUCGUGUCCGGAAUGCAACAAGGUGAGUGUAGCAUGCAGCCAACUUGAUGGUGAUAGUCUCUCUAGGAUUAAUGAUUUCAGUCCAAGAUGUCAUUCUGCCUCUAAAUUUUCUUUUUGUUUUGUUUUUUUUUGUUUUUUGGCUAGGGGUGAGGGUUUGUCUCCCCCAAACUACUUUACUAGUUUGAUCUUCUUUGUGACUUUGAUAAUAAUCAUUCAUUUGUGUGAGAUUCUUACUGUCUCAUGCAUCUUUUGGCAUAAAGUACUUCUAAUUCGGUAAAUGUUUCCAAAGUAAACAAACUUUAAGAAAUAAAAGAAGCAACAUAGCGGAAUGUGAAUAAAUUUAUAGGCUCGGGAUAGAGUUUUAAGAAACCCCCUCUUGGUAACAUUAAUUCAGCAAGACAUUACCUCCCAAACUUAGCAUCUAUGAAGGAUUCUCAUCAUGAUAGUUGAAGUACCACAGUACUCCGGUACUAGGAAUUGAACAUUAAUCCCAUAAGGAGCCUUCUGCUUUGAUCUCUCUUAUGCAUUUAUCAGACCUGAGACAGUUGUGUUGCAUUCGAAAUAUCCUGCAAGAGAUAAGUUAGCAAAAUCUUCCAUACCUUAUCUCUGUUCUUGAGCUAAGGCUUUUAUUAGUUGCAACAUAGCGCAAGGAUAGAUCUUUUUUCUCGGAUUGGAUUGUGUGUCCUUUUCCAGUGAAUGUUAAAUGAAAAUUUUGUUGGAAACACGGUCGUCCGCAUCGGGGUUGAAAAUGCUUUUUGAAUCCUUUUACCCGACCCUAUGCGUUGAACCUGAGCAUUUCUAAUCAGACUACCUUGGGUGGCAUAACCAAAGCAUUUCCGCACGUCAAAGCUCUGUUAGAAAAAAAUUCAUUUUGGGGAUUACCUAGUCUGGAUGCCUUAUUCGAGCCUGCUAACACACAAUGCUGCAAAACAUACUUGGCUUAGUAUGCUGGUUCGAGAUUGAAGUAGUCGUACUUGGGGUUGGAGUUCAGAGCCACCAUUAGAUGAAUUCUAGGUUGUACUUGGCGUAAAGCUUGGGUUUGAAUGUUAUAACCCACAACCUUGCUAGUUAUACAAACUUUCUAGAGGUUAGAUGGUACAUUAGACUACCAGGUCAGGGCGUUAUGUGCCAUGCCUACAGCCUGCCAAUCGUUACCACGCUUAUUACGGUUUCAGUCUCUUAAGCUGCUAACUGUUUGAGACGGACUAGGCUAAGAGAGGUUCCUCUGACAUCGUUACUUUGAACUUUUUUAGACUUGCAUUCGUGCAAAGUUUUUCAAAGUUUGUACCGUGUUUGGAAUGAGUAGGGUAUUCUUCUACAUCACAAAGAAAAGAAAAAAUAGAUACUUAAAGACAUAUAACCUUUCUUUAUUCAUGAUACAAAGUAGAACAAUAUUAAUAAGAGGGUGUGAUUGAAUCCGGAAAGGAUUGCCUACAUAUCUCCAAGAUGGAGAAUUAAAUCAUUAGUGUAGUUCUAAGGAAAAGAUGAUAUAAUGUAAUAAUUACACUAAGGAUCACUUUUGACGAUAAGCCUAUGGUGGGGUGUGAUGAGAUGAGUUCUCCGUGGACUUGUCUUCGCGUAGACUGCCGCAUUGCAUUGGGUCCAAAGAUGACUACCUACAUAUCCCGAGAAGGGAAUCAAACUGCAUGUAGGUCAUUACGGAUAAUAUUUUCUAAGCUUGGUGAUGUGCCAUUUCUUGGUGAUCAGGGUUCCAUCUAUGUGUUCUUAGUGAUAGGUUUCAUUGCCCUAUACUUUGGCAAUCUUGUAUGGUCUUUCCUAUUUCUUUCCAAGUUUGCCUUUUCCCGGGAUUUUAGUAUUUUCUAAAACUUCUCGUAGAACCAAGUCCCUGGCUUGCAGACUUCUAGGCUUGACGCCCUUGUUGUAACACAACCAAAUCUGUUGUUGGUAGGCUACUAGUUGGACUUAGGUGCUUUCUUGAUGCUCCUCCACAAGUAAAAGAUCAGUCUUCAGAAUCCCUACAUUUUCUAUGGCAGUCCGCUUUUUGGUAUAUAAAUUUGGCAUAGUUGUGACUUGAACUGGGAUGUCGACCUUCAUUCCAUAAGCCAUAUAGAAUGGCGUUUCUUCAGUGGCUUUCCAAAUUGUCGUACGAUACACCCAUAAAACUCCGAGCAGUUAUUCCAGCCACUUGUUUUUCUUUUCUUCUAGUCUUUUCUUCGAACAUUGCAAAAUGGUUUUGUUUGAGUUCUUUUGUGUGUUGAUGGUUUAUAAGAGCAUACUUUUGAUAUUUGCUGCAACUUUAGGCGCAAUUAAUUGCAUCUCGUCGCAUGGCGGGUGAAUUAUAUCUUGCAGUCAUUGUUUUCCAUGCCAACAGCCAUCCUCCAACUUAAUUGCCACAAGGCCUAAAGUGGAUGUCAUUUAGAAUUUGUAGGCUGACCUCCUGCAUGACGCACAAGGUAUGAGGUUCGGGGUAAGAACGUUGGUAGGGCUUUCCGUGGAUGACUGUAUAAUUUAACGCCUUCUCGAUUAGCUUUCUGGCCAGGAUGUGGUCCUCUAGUAGUUUUUCAUCCCAUAUGUAGUCGGUGAUUUCAUCCAUCCAAUUUUCUCCAGUGUUGAUAGCAAUGACCACCUCAGGCUCCGUUUCAUAGAUAUUAGGGGCUUCUAGAUAUUCGAAGGGGAUUGUCUGCCAGAAUAAGUAAUCUACAUUUGAAGCUGUCAUGACCAGUGUGUCGGUGUUGUUUUGUCCUUGGGAAUCUGUGUGAUUUUGUUCUUUUCAAACUUCUCGAGUAGUAUUUUAACUCUGUUUAGGUAGAGCACCAUGGUAGGAUAAUAGGUGGCGCAAUCCCUUAUGACCUGAUUAACUAUGAGCAUCGAGUCACAAUGAAUUAACAGUUCUUUUACCUGGAGUUCAUUAGUAAAUAUGAAUCUUGCCAGAAGGGCCUUGAACUCUGCUUCGUUGUUGCUUACCUUAAAUCGGAGUUUUAAAGACUGUUCAAGUAUGGAUAUGUUCAGUGCUUGUAGCACCAUCCCCACGCCAAGCCCGUAUAUGUUGGAUGACCCAUCUAUGUAAAGCUUCCAAAUGUGGGGAUUUUCUAGAGGGCAUCGGGGACUUGUUACAUCUGUAGUAUUUUGAGUUGUUGUGUGAAUUUAGCUUCAAAGUUUGCUAAUGCUUGAGCCUUGAUUGACGUCUUGGGUCAGUAAAUUAUUUCAUGUUUACCUUGUUCGAUAGCCCAUUUAGUGAUCCUGGACAAAGCAUCAGGGUUGUGCAAGAUGGAUCUCAAUGGAUAUUUUGUCAUGUAGACUACUCUGAACGACUGUAAAUAUGGUCAGACUUUUCUAGUUGCUAUUACUAGUGCUAGGAUGAGUUUUUCGAUUUUUUGGUAUCUCGUCUUUGGUUGAAAAGAGAUUUUGAUAUGUAGUAUAUCGAUUUUUGCUCCCCUGAGUCUUCUCAAAUUAGAGUUGUACUUACCGUACAGUUAGUUACGGCUAAGUACUAGUACAAGUCUUCUCUGUCAAUUGGUUUGGAUAGUACCAGGGAUUUGGAAAGGUAUUCCUUGAUCUUAGUGAAGACAUCUCCAUAUUCAUCUAUCCAAAGUAUACCCUUGCUCUUCUUUCUCGCUGUAAAGAAUGGUUUGCAUUUGUUGGUGGAUCGUGAAAGGAAUAUGCUAAGGGCUGCCACUUGCCCUGUUAGGCUUUGUAUUUCUUUCAUAGUUUUGAGCAAUCUCACAUCUAUGCUUUGAUUUGAUCCAGGUUGGACUAGAUUUUGUGCUUAGUAACUAUAUAACCCAAGAAAUUGCUUGACGCAACUCCGAAUGUACACUUCUCAGGGUUCAGCUUCAUGUUGCAUUUCUGAAGUAGGUCAAACGACUCUUAAAGAUGUGUUAUAUGGUAUUUCUUUUCUUUUUCUCUUGACAACCAUAUCGUCUACGUAGACCUUCAUUGUGCCUCCAAUCUUCUCUUAAGGAUUCGGUUGACAAGUCGUUGGUAUGUUGCCCAUGCAUUUUAGAGUUUGAAAGGCAUGACUUUAUGGAAGUACAUACCUUGUACAAUGACAAAAGACGUUGUUUCCAUGUUUGGCCAAUACAUCUUUAUCUGGUUGUAUCCGGAAUAAACAUCCAUAAAGCUCAAGAGUUUAUAUCCUGCAGUUGAAUAUACCAAGAUGUCAACCCGUGGGAGUGUACAUGGGUCAUUUGGGCAAGCCUUGUUAGGUCCAUAAAGUCCACACAUUAUCCCCACUUCCCAUUCUUUUUUUGUACUAGCACAACAUUUGCUAGCAAUUUCGGGUGGUGGACUUUGACGAUGAACUGGGCAUCCUUGAACUUUGUUCCCUAUUUUUGUUUAUGCUGGAUAACUAGUUUGGUAGUUAGGUCUAGGUGGAGGUAGUAGCAAAUCAUCGAAGGAUAGAUUUCGGGCAUGUCUUCUGUUGACUACGUGAAAAUGUCUUUGUUAGUUUGUAGGAAGUUGGUGAAUAUUUUUUUUUUCUCGGUCGAUCAUCUUUAUGCCGAUAUUGGCUUUCUGUUCCAGUUUGUCGUGAUCAAGGCUAAUGUACAUAAUGUCUUUAUCUAACUUUAGCUCUGGUGUACUGUCAUCGUGGGGGUCAAGAUCUAUGUGAAAUUCCUUAUAACUCGUCUAUUGACCCCUUAGCUCUAAUUGUUAUGCUGACUCGUCCAUAUGGGUGCUUGAGCUUAGUUCUCAUUUCCUGAUCAUGUUUAUGCUUUCAACUAUGCAGCAAUGCAUCGGCAUUGAUCUCUUUAAUUUCUUUUCCUCAUCCGAGAGCCGGGUAACUGAGUAAUUAUUGAUAAGUGGAUGGAACAACUUCAUCUUAUGUAACCAAUUCCGACCAAUAAUGGCUUUGUGGGGGAGUUAGCCAAUCCAUUAUGUGGAAAGUCACCAGGUGGUUAUAGGGUUCUGCUUGGACCGCUAGCUUCACUAUUCCCAGAGAUCGUAUUGGUGCCCCAUUGAAGGUGUGAAGGGUUGGUUUCCCUUUGUUGAUGCUAUUGAGGAUUCUCCUUUUUUCAAUAGUGUCUUUGAAUAGAACGUUGACUUCUGAGCUAUUAUCGACCAGGGCAUGGCUUACGAGGGCAUUGAAAAUUUGGACCUUGACAACGAGGGCAUCGUCAUAAGGCAAAUAGACAUUUUCAAAAUCACGAUCUGAAAACAUCAGGAUGUUGGAAUCAAGCGCUAGUGGUUUUUGGACAGCAUCCACCAUUCUUGGUUUCUCGCAUGCUACAUUCAUUUCUUUCCGGACGUUUCCCAGAUAUUCUUGUUCGCCAUAUAUGCAGUUCCCUUUAAGAUGCUUCUUCCCUCGAGCACUGGGCAGGGUGGAGACUCAGAAGCCUAUUGGAUUUUCUAUGAUGUUUCUUUGGGAUAGGGCGUUGAGACGACUCUUUGGAUGUCAGAUCAAUCAUCUUCAUCGUUUGGGUAGCCAAUUCUUCCAAACGAGCAACAACUUCUUUGAGGUUUUUGAUGCGUGCCUUUAUGUCAGCUAAUCUAGUAGGUUCUCUAGCCAGUGGACUUCAUCAGACCCCUUCCAGAGAUAAACAUAUUUCUAUGACAUAUCCCCACAUCUCAUCCAUGGUGGCGACGCCAUCAUAUUCCUGAUAGAUAUAGCCUUGGGAGGCGAAAAAUCUGAUGUGGUUAACUAAGUCUACUAAUAUAUCAAUUGAUAGAGUGGUUUGGAUGGGAGGAAUAUAAGUUCAUUCUCAAUGAAAGCACCAAUUGUUAGAAGGAAAUUUGUGAACCGCCUUGAGUGGUGGUUGAGUGCAAACUCGAGCAACCUGCAAAACAUUAAACAACCAUAAGCAAGCCUAAGAUUCGGGGGGUGUAUGCCAACCAAAGGCUCUCUGACGGUCAAGUUAUGUUGGCAAAAGGCUCUCCGACGAUCAAAUUAUGCCAGCCAAAGGCUCUUUGACAAUCAAGCUAGUGAAUGAUUAUAGAUUCAAGCAGUAGGCAACAUAAUUCAAGUGUUUAGAUUGUGUUACCAUAGAUGAACACUAGAUGGGUGUAUUUAUCGUAGGAAGAAACCUUUUUAGGAUAAAAUCAUCAUUCUAAGCUGGAAGAAUCCUAGAAGAUAUCUAGAAGUAGAUAUUGCAUCAUCUUAGGAGUUAUGAUUACUUGAGGCGUAUGCCAAUACCUAGAUUGUAAGAACUCAGAGACUUAUAGGAUCUAAUUAUGUCCAUAUAUCUGGAUCAGAUUGUGUGUCUUGUGGAACAAGUAUGGUCAUCCAACUUAGUUGCUAUGACUCCGCCUAGUGCCUCAGAGUAGAGUGAUGGUGGCACUGUUACUUCGUCUGAUACAACUUUGAUAGGAGCAUAUUUAUGCGACUUAGUUAGCUUGUUCUUGUGCAUUUAUGUUGUUAUUUCUUAUUUAAUUUAGUAUUUCAAGCCAUUUUCAUGUGUUUGUAGGUCCAAAAGGUUAAAGAGGCAAAGAAGUACAUUUUAGUGCCUUUUGGAGCAGUUUUGGGCAUGGAAUGGAUAGCAUAUGAUUGGAGGAAGGUGGAUGGACAAAAUUGAAGACCUAAAGAUGCAAGUAUUCCUAGUUGAAGAAGGAUUCCUAGCCAAAGAAGGAUUCCUAGAAGAAUGAGGAUUCCUACUCAAAGAAUGAAUGUUAGCCAAGGUUUCCUACUUUGGUUUUGACCUUUCCUAAUCCUUAAAAUUCCCUAAGUUCCAGCAACAAAGAAGGGUUCCUAAAUACUUUGGGACAUUUAAAUCUCAGCCUUAAACCCUUGCCGCACCUUUCCUUGCACUUUCCUUCCCUUGCCGCACAAGGGAGACCAUUCCCUUUCCUAGUUUCUGCCAUAAACCACUUUCCCCUUUUCUAAAAGAUUCCUGCUGCAUAUCCCAUAGUCUUUUCUCUUUAAUUUCUGACUUUUACUCCGUGUGGGACUAAAUAGCUAAGUUCUAAACCUUUACUUUAAUUAUGCCGCACCCUAGCCUUAAUUACCUAGGGUUUUGACAUGUUUUAGGAGUUAUAUAAACCUUUGUCGCAGCCUUGGAGAGGAUCAUCAUAUCAUCCACCAUUCAGCAUCUAAAAUCCACUCACAAACAUCCUUGCCCCAGCCAUCAACUCAUCCAUUCACUACCAUACAUACUUUCAGCCAUUCUCCCAUACAAAUCACCACUAAAACCUUCACCCAUACCUUGUGCCGCAACAAAGAGAAGAAGGAGGACCCUUGGAGUGCUUGCUAUUCAAGUUUGGAUUGCUAGAUCGUUCUUAGGUGUUUUCAAUCUUUUGUUUUCAAUGUCUAAAUUUAUGUAUCUUUGUUUUGGGAACAUGAGGAGCUAAACCCCUUUUAGCUAGGGGGAAUUUCGAAACCAUGAUCAUAUUUGUAAUAUGAAUUGAUUACUUCCAGUUGUGAUUCUAUAAAUUGUGAAUGCAAUUUACUUAACUGUUUGAUUGAUAACUUAUUCUUGUUUGUAGAUUAAGGAUGCAUACUUAGUUUGCAUGCAUGAAUUUGAUGCUAGAAUGCAAUGGAGUUUCACCUAAUCGUUAUGAACUUGUAUUCAUAAGUAGUGGAGGUUGCCAGUCACAAUCGUGUUAAGUAGAUUCCUAGCAGGAGUAUCAUGCUCAUCAUAGUUACGAAUGCUUUAUCAAUGCUUAUGAUUUUCAUAAAGCUUAAUGAUCUUUGAUUGUAUCUCUAUUAUGUUGUUCAUAUAGGGAACUUUUGAAGAAUAAUUUGGAUUGCCGAUAGGUAUCCGUCCAAUUCAAUGAUUUAAGGAAAAUCUGAAGAUUAAUUUAAGUGUACCUAAUUAAUCUGGGGUGUUGAGGUUCAUGGUUUAUUGAAAAGCAACUAGAAAUUGUUUUGUAUGCAAGUGUGUCAUGUGUGGAGAAGAACUCUCUAGCUAGCCCAUCAUCCAUAGUUUUAUCCCAAAUUCGUCCAAAAUCUGUCUUAAGUUUUUAGUUACUUGUUUUACUUUAAAUUCGUCCAAAACCCAAUCCCCUUUACUUUAGAGUGUCAAAUUAGUUAGAAUCUAUCUUAGUUUGUGUUUUUAAGUGUUUUGAGUCAAGUUUAAAUCAAUUUCGUCCAAAGUCAUUCCUAGUGUCUAGUUUGAGUCUAUUUAGUUAUUUUAAGCUGUUUUGAGUCAUUAGAGUCUAAUUAAGUGUUUUUGAGUUUAUUUUUGUGUUUUAAAGUUAGUUUUAAAUAGAUUAGCAAUCCCUCCUAAUCCCCGGUCCAGAACGAUCCCUACUUACAUAUUUACUACAAUUGUCAAUAAGAGGGUUUAAUUUGUGUGUUAAGUUAAUUUUCGCAUCAAGCUCCGCCGGGAGCUAGUGAGUGCAUGAUCGGACUUCUGAGGUAACUGUAUUUUGAUUAGCCUGAAGUAACUAUAUUUGAAUCAGCCUUACUCUGGCCUUAGAAAAUCGUAGUCCCAAAUUUAUCUUCCUUGCCAUGGCAGAUCAUGGCUUCUAUUUCAGUCAAACUAAUGGUGGAAUAAAUAUGAGCCUCGCCAAUUAAUGAGGGCAUUUUCAUCAAAUAAAAGUUCAUAUGUCAGCUCUAUGAUUUUCCAAAUUAGUUUGGAGAAAGCCAAGCUGUUAAAUUUACAAGGAAAAAUAAUUACAAGAAAAAUUCUCUUGCGUAACUUAAAUUGAAAUUGUCCCGCGGUCAAGUUUAUCUUGCCUCAUUAGGAAGAGUUCGCCACCAAACGAUUUUACACAAAGAACACAUCAUCGACUAUUUGCCACAAAAUUUGUUCCCGAUAAAUACGACGAGUCUUGAAAUCUACAAGCCAACUUCUUAAUGUUAUCCACCACAGCAUCUAUAAGGACUUCUAUAUCUCCCUCCACCUCUAUGGUGAUGUAUCUAUAGUCCAUCUUAUAUAUACGAAGAAUGAAUUCAAGAAAAUGUUUCACUACAUUUUUCCUAUAAGGUCAACACACCAAUGAUAAUUGGUCUCACUUAUUUUCAAAGUUAUAAUGAAAAUUGUACAUAAAAACAAAAAAACAAAAACGGAACUGAAUUUCAUACACCAGUUUUAAUAUCACGCACACCUUAUAUAUUUCUUUAUUUUUUGGUUAUUCGACAACAAUAAUGUGUGUGUUUAUUAAUUCUAAAACAAAGCAUAUGACACUUCUACAGUGGCGGAAGGGAAUACUUCAUAUGCUCCUUUGGUGCGGGUUCAAUCCUCACCGAUCCCUUGCCCCUUAAUAUUUAACAAUUUACUUCACUAACGCUAUCAUUUGUUUAAAAAAGAAUUCUAACGUAGAUAUGAUGUAUCACAAUAACACAAACAUAUACUUGUUUCUAGAUCAUAUAUUAGCUUUGCAUUUUCUGUAAGGUGUGUUUACAUUAUUUAAUUUUAAUUUUUUACUCAUGUACAGAAAUAAGAUCGAAUUAUACAACAGAUUCUUUAAAAUAUGCAUGAAAAGUCUAUGCGUAAUCCGCGUAAAGGGUCCUUUCUGUUACGUUUUACAAAACAAUUUUUGAAAAACAAAUUUGUAAAAGCAAUGAAUGCUUUUAGUAUUUAAUCUCAAAAAUGAUUUUUGAGAAAGAAAACAUUAAAAAUCCGUCUACUACCAAUAUUUAAGAGGAGAAAUUAGAUUCACAUCCCUCAUUUUUAUAAUUUCAUCAAUCGAAUGUAGAGUUAAACAGUAAAUUUUGAAUGGUUAGUUUUGUAUCAAAUAAAAAAAUUUAAAAAUAGUAAAGUUUGAAUGUAUGAUUCCCCAUAAAACUCGAAACUGACCGGGUUCUUUUGAUAACUAUAUAUGUUGUGGUUGUGGAACUCAGUAUUGUUGAAUUUUAGCAUCUUAUGUGGUAAUCUACUAGGCCUUAGGGACUUGGAGUUUGAUUUAGUUUGGCUCAAACCGAUGGUGUUCUUUUCUGUGCAUAUGUACAUGUGAAGAAUUCAUGUUGAACAAAACUGUUGAAAUGUCCCAGGUGCAUGACAGUGAAACUCCUGAAGAUAGGGUGGUCGAAAUCCUGUCUAGGUUGCCGCCCAAGUCUCUUAUGCGAUUCAAAUGCAUACACAAGUCUUGGUGCACUCUCAUCAAUAGUCCAAGUUUUGUGGCCAAAUACCUCAGCAAUUCCGUGGACAACAAACUCUCAUCCUCCACUUGUAUCCUUCUCAACCGUACUCAGAUGCACGUUUUCCCGGACCAGAGUUGGAAAUAUGAAACUUUAUGGUCCAUGAUGAAUCUUUCCAAUUAUAGUGAUGAGCACAACCUUCAAUACGAUUUUAAGGACCUAAAUAUACCGUUUCCAACUGAAGACCAUCAUCCUGUGCAAAUUCACAGUUAUUGCAAUGGUAUUGUAUGUGUAAUAACAGGGAAAAGUGUUCGUAUUUUAUGCAAUCCUGCAACACGGGAAUUCAGGCAACUUCCUGCUUCAUGCCUUCUUCUACCUUCCCCUCCAGAGGGAAAAUUCCAAUUGGAGACGAUCUUUGAAGGAUUAGGAUUCGGCUAUGAUUACAAAGCUAAAGAAUACAAGGUUGUGCAAAUUAUAGAAAAUUGUGAGUAUUCAGAUGAUGAGCGAAGAUAUUAUCAUCGUAUUGCUCUUCCUCACACGGCUGAGGUAUACACCGCGACAGCUAACUCUUGGAAAGAGAUUAAGAUUGAGAUAUCAAGUAAAACCUAUCAGUGUUAUGGUUCAGAAUACUUGAAGGGAUUUUGUUAUUGGCUUGCAAACGAUGGCGAGGAAUACAUACUUUCAUUUGAUUUAGGUGAUGAAAUAUUUCAUAAAAUACAAUUGCCUUCUAGGAGAGAAUCUGGUUUUAAAUUUUGUAAUAUUUUUCUGUGUAAUGAAUCCAUUGCUUCGUUUUGCUGUUGUUAUGAUCCAAAGAAUGAGGAUUCUACAUUAUGUGAAAUAUGGGUAAUGGAUGACUAUGGCGGAGUUAAGAGUUCUUGGACAAAACUCGUAACUGUUGGACCCUUAAAAGGCAUUAAUGAGAAUCCAUUGGCAUUUUGGAAAAGUGACGAGCUUCUUAUGGUUUCCUGCGAUGGAAGCGUCACCUCUUAUAAUUCUAGUACCAAAAAUCUCAGCUAUCUUAAUAUUCCUCCUAUUCUCAAUGAGGUUAGAGAUUUCCAAGCUGUUAUUUAUGUGGAAAGUAUUGUUUCAGUCAAGUGAGCGUAAAUUAAGUUCCAUUUUCUUCUGGAUGCAUGUUAUAAGAUGCAUCGAUGGAACAUUGUUAUGUUGAGAUUAUAUCGACAGAUGUAGUACUCAUAGCCUAGCGCUGUUCAAAAUUUCAUCUUGUGUUACAUUUAGCUUUCGUAUAUGAAUUUUUACUGUGCCCUUCCCCAUGCAGUUUUAUUUUAUUUUAUUGCAUUUUUUCUUGGUCCCUUAAUCUCAAUUCAUGUACAUAAUAAAAUAUUAUUUUUAUUAAUUUCCACAACUCAUAUUUUUCUACAGUCCAAUGGUAUUCCUCUUCACUUGUAAGUAAAAAGUCUUAGAUUCGAUUCUCGCUAAAGGCAAAUUUGAAUCCCAUUAUUACAAGCUCAUUGUUAGACUUAACCCACUUUCCUACCCCUUAGUAUAAAUAAUAUUGUUUGCUCAAAAAAAAAAAAUCAUUAGCUUAAUUAAUCAUGGUAAUGCAUUCCUGCAUGACACCAAGGUCUAUGUCUCAAAACAUCCUCAAGAGCAUCAAUGAUACUUACGUCUCAAAUCACAGUUCUUUAGACCGAAACCAAAAGAUUUUCUCUAGAUCCAAACCAGGGCAUUUGCCACAAAGUUUGUUCCCAAUAUAUAUAAUGAAAUUCAACGUCAAAUGAAAAUUACACCGAUAAUAACAUCAAUAAGGACUUCAAAAUCUCCCUCCAUCUCCAUGUUUUUGUUUUAGAUUUAUUAAAGUGUUUACUUACUGUAUACAGUUAUGCUAGAAGGUGGCAUUAAGAGGUUGUAACGACUUAAUCAUAAUUCAAAUCUCAUUUGAAAGAGAAUACUAUUGUAGGGGCUGGUUUGGUAUUGCUGUGCUUUGAAAAAAAGCUGCUGUGAAAAUAAGCGGCUGUGCUGUGAGAAUAAGCGGCUGUGAAAUAAAUCAGCAGAGCGUUUGGUAAACUUUUUUGUAAAAGUGCUUUUGGAAAAAAAAAGUAGUCUGAUAGUGGGUCUUUGCAUUAAAGGAGCACUGUAGCUCAGUGUGCUUUGAAAAAAAGCCAGUUUUCCAAAGCUGCAAAUAGCUUCAGCUUUUUCCUUUGAUUUCAGCUUAUUCUCACAGCAGCUUCCAAAAUAAGCCCUUUUUUUUCAGUUUACCAAACACCUAAAACCCUCACAGCUUUUUUUCAUAGGUAUUUUUUUUUAAGCACCUCACUCCCAAACUAGGUCUAGAUAGUAUAAAGCCAUCACCUACACCAAAAAGAGGACCAUGACUUGGUUCACCAAUCACCUUCUUGUAUAUGAUCAUUUUGUCUUUCCAUUGCAGUAGUCUUUUUAUUGUCUAUUUUUUCCUUCAAUAAAAUUGUAAUAUAUAAGCAUAGGUUAUACACACAAUAACAUGUAAUAAAAGAGUGCGACAACACAUAAAGUUAUUUAGUGGAAUUUUUUGGAACAAUCAAUUGGGCUAGGUUUAAUUCUAGUACGAUCAAGCUAUUAAGAUUUUAAAAUAUAAAGUUCAUUAAAUAAAUUUUAAAUAUGCAAAACGACUGUGUGAAAACAAAGCAUAAACAUAGUAUUUUACCUCAUCUUUUCUAUACGUUGUCAUUGAAAUUGAACUUGUUGUGUGCACGAUUGUGGACUGCUUCCUAUUGCGUUUUGCGCACUUUGUUUCUACAUGAAAAAGAAAGCAAAGCUAAAAUCCAACUAUCUCUCAUCAAGCAUCUACAUGUAAGUAAAUAAUACAUUAACCAUCAAAAGAUGAUAUUACUAAAAUAAAACUUUUACCUUCCACUUAGGCUUCUCCCAUUUUUCAACCAUUUUAAACUAAAUUCCUCAAUAGUCUUGUACUUUUGAAAAACUAAAUUCCUCAAUGUGCUUAAACAAACGGCAUAUCUUGUUUUAAUAUGUCAACACCACAAAUUUUAUCUUACCCUACCAAAUUUUUCAGCGACGGAAACAAUUUCGUCUGUUAAAGCUAUCUAACACGACGGACAUCGCCAGUGUUAGGGCAGUAUUAGUCAGCAAAGCAAACUUCUCUCGAAAGUUCUUACACGAUGAAUAUAGUUUGUAGAUGAAGAGACAAUUCGCCGGGUAAAAUUUUGACCCCAAGGAGGAAAAAUUUUAACCGAUAAACAAAUUGUUAAUGUAGACAGAGGAAGAACGAAUGAGAAGAUAAGGAUUCAAGAACUAGAGAGAGAGAGUAAGGUUUAGAGAGAGAAGCUGCAAAGACUUGUUGUAUUAAUCUUUCUUAACCUCUAAGCCAUUACAAUCUCUUUUUUAACACAUGGCAUAAUCCUAGCCACUAUCUAUAUCCUUACAUGCCCCCUUAAACUCAUGCCUUGGAGGAACCAAGCAUGAGGUUGAAGCAAUGAGAUCGAAAUAGAGGAGCACUGAGGCCUUUAGUUAGUAUAUCGGCAAAUUGUUCCCGAGAAGAAACAAACUGAACCAGGAGUGUCUUCUUAGCAACGCGUUCACGGACAAAGUGCACAUCAAUCUCAAUAUGCUUGGUCCGUUGAUGCUGAACAUGAUUGAACGACAAUGCAAUGGCAGAAAGAUUAUCACAGAAGAGCACAUGAGCAUCACAGAUUUGAAUAUGCAGGAUUUGUAACAGUUGCUGAAUCCAGUCAAGCUCAGCAGUUGUAGUGGACAUAGCCCUGUACUCAGCCUAUGUAGAGGACCUGGAAACCGUGUUUGCUUCUUGGAGGACCAUGAAAUAGGAUUAUUGCCCAAAAAGACAACCAUGCCAGUAGUUGAUCGGCGAUCAUUAGGGUCCCCUGCCCAGCCUGCAUCACUAAAAGCCUUUAAUGACAAAGCACCCCGAGUAUAAGAGAGACCAACCAAUAAAGUACCCUUGAGAUAUCGCAGAAUACGUUUCACUGCUGUGAAAUGGGACAUCAUUGGAGACUGCAUAAAUUGGCAGACUUGAUGAACUGAGAAAGUAAUGUCAGGCCUAGUGAAAGUGAGAUACUGUAACGCUCCAACAAUGCUCCUAUACGCUGUUGGAUUGUUGUAUGGAAGACCAUCAUCCUUUAAUAGUCGAUUAUAAGGAAGACAUGGAGUGUCACAGGCUUUGCAAUCCAUCAUGUCAACCUUUUCCAAUAAAUCUUGGAUAUACUUUGAUUGUGACAAGAAUAAGCCUUGAGCAGUUUUGGUAACCUGAAUCCCCAGAAAGUAAUGCAACUCUCCCAAGUCCUUGAUAUCAAAUUCAGUUGUCAAGGAUUGAAUAACCUGUUGAAUAGCAAAAGAAGAACUCCCAGAGAUAAUAAUGUCAUCCACAUAAAGUAAGAGGAUGACAAUAUCACUUCCAACAAACUUAACAAACAAGGAAGAAUCAGAAUAUGUAGACUGAAAUCCCAAAGAUGGAAGAAAACCUGUGAACCUCUCAUUCCAGGCUCGAGGAGCCUGUUUUAAUCCAUAUAAGGACUUAUGAAGUCUGCACACGAGCUCAGGAUAAGAAUGAUCUUCAAAACCAGGAGGUUGAGCCAUGUAGACCUCUUCAUUCAACACUCCAUGUAGGAAGGUAUUCUUCACGUCCAACUGCCUCAGGGACCAAUUAAAGUGGGAUGCCAAAGCUAGAACAAGACGCACGGUGGUUGGCUUGACCACUGGACUAAAAGUCUCCCCAUAAUCUAAGCCAGGUUCUUGAUUAAACCCCUUGGCAACCAAGCGGGCCUUAUGUCGAGCAAUAGAACCAUCGGAGUUCGUUUUGAGCUUAAACACCCAUUUGCAACCCACCAGGUUCUUUUUAGGUGGCAAAGGAACGAGACUCCAUGUGUUUUGAUUGUGAAGGGCAGCUAACUCUUCUUUCAUAGCAUUCAACCAAACUGGGGCUUUCAAAGCAGACUUAUACGUAGCAGGUUCCACUUGAGCUAAAUCAACCGGACUAGAAUCAUGGAGCUGACUGAGCAACACUUUCUUUUUUAUUAUACCAUCCUUACUUCUUGUUUGCAUAGGAUGUAGAUUAAGCGGUGCUAUAGGCAAGACCACUUGAAGGUGAUCCGAAUUGAACAUAGGAUCCACAUGGAGUAAUGGUGAAGAACUUGCAGGUGCAGUAAUGGACGGAGAAGCAACAUUCUCUGGUGAUGACAAUGUGCUAGGGGAUGGUACUGAUACAUAAGGAGAAGUAUUGGGUGAAGAAGACAUGGGAAUAGAGGAUGAAGAGACAACAUGAUUCAAUGAUAGAGAUGGUGAGGGUGAGAGUGUAAUUGGAGGCUGAACUAAGGUGUUAUUCAGAUCAAGAACAGGAUGUAAAGGGAAAGACUGAGGGAUAGGUACUGGGACAUAUGUAGAUAGAGGUUUCAUAGUCAAAUGAGGAUAUGGGAAUCUGGACUCAUUGAAGACAACAUGUCGAGAUAUAUAAACUCUACCUGUUAAGACAUCACAACAUAUAAAACCCUUGUACUUUGAGGCAUACCCAAGGAAAACACAUUCUGUGGUUUUAGGUUGUAACUUGGUUUUGUUGUAAGGUCUCAAUAGUGGAAAGCAAGAACAACCAAAGACUCGAAGAUGAGUUAAGAUAGGAGGGGUUCCAAAGAGAGCCUCAAAAGGUGAACAAUUCUUCAAGAUAGGAGUAGGCAUACGAUUUAUAAGAUACACAGCAACAUGACAGGCAAAGGACCAGAAAUGAGAAGGCAAUUUUGCAGAUUGUAGGAGUGUGACAGUGGUUUUAAUAAUGUGCCUGUGUUUCCUCUCAGCCAAACCGUUUUGUUCUGGAGUAUAUGGGCACGACUUAUGGUGUGUAAUACCUUUACUAUGAAGGAAAGAUUGAAGUUUAACACUGGAAUAUUCUCCACCACCAUCAGUUUGUAAUGUUUUGAUAGAUGCUGAGAAUUGUGUUUGUACAAAAGAGUAAAACCCAACAAACGUUUCAAAAAAGUCGGACUUGUAGACAAGGGGAAACAACCAACAAUAACGAGUGCACUCAUCAAUAAGAGUCACAUAGUAUUUAUAGCCAUCAAUGGAAGUACAUGGAGAAGGACCCCAAAGGUCACUGUGUACAGUUUCAAAAGGAAUGACAGACUUAUGAUCACUAGACUGAAAAGGCAGUUUAGUAAACUUGCCUUCUAAGCAACCAUGACACAUCAAUGGGACAUCAUCCUUUGUACAAGAAAUGGAAGACUUAUGGAGCAUUAUUUUGGCUAUGUUAUUAGUAGGAUGACCUAACCUACUAUGCCAGAGAUGAGAACUGACAAUCUGACCAAGAAAUGCAGAAGCUGGAGAAGGGCCUGGACUAUGUAAUGUGUGAGGACGUAGGGGUGAAAAGAUGGGAUAGAGUCCAUUACUGCAUGGGCCUUUGUAUAAUAUCCUCCCUGUGACCUUGUCCUGAAUCCAGAAAUCAUAAGCAUCAAAUAUUAACCAACAAUUGUUAUCAAGACAAAUUUUGUGAACUGAUAACAAGUUGCUGGAAAGUCUAGGCACAUAGAGAACAAAAUUGAGUUUUAGUGGAUGCAUAGGUGUUUGAAUAAUGGAGCUACCAAUAUGAGAUAUUUGCAAACCUUCACCAUUUGCAGUUUGUACAGUCUCAUUUGUGGGAUAAGGAGAAGCUAAUGACAAGUUACUGAGGUCAGCGGUCAUAUAAUUUGUAGCACCUGAAUCAGUGAUCCAAAUCUGUGGUUGAUGAGAGGAUGUGGAAGCUGGAGACGAUUUAGAAGUAACUGUGUGCAUAGCUUGCAUAUGAGACUGAGGUGAGAAUGGUGGAGCACCAAAGUUAGGAGUAGAAGAAGGAUACGCAGUCAUAGGUGCUGUAUAAUGAUAGGGACCACUGAAGUUAGGACCUUUGUCAUUGAAGAAGCAAUACCAGGUAGUGUGAUUUGCUUUACCACAGAUGUUACAACCUUGCCUAUCUGUUGGUUUGGAGUUACAGAAUGGAGCCGUGUGACCAAAUGUAUUACACAAUUGACAAGAAACCUAUGGUGUGGUAUGAGGACCAAAAUACUGUGGUGGUGAAGGGCCAAGAACACCAGGAUUCGAAUUAGGAAAAUUAGUGUGAAACUGCUGUCGAGAAUUAGGAUGAGGAUACCUAUUCCCUUGAUUAAAUUUUCCUUUGCCCUUCUUGUUGAUAAAAGAUCGAUAGCCUCCUGAAGAACCAGAAUAACCACUAUUGAAACCAUUAUUGUGGCCCGAGAAACCAAGACCUGAACCCCCAGAUCGAGGUGGAGUGGUAGAGGACUUAGAACCAGAAUUAUUAGCCAUUAUGGCAGUGAGAAUCGAUGAGUUCACAUUGCUGUCAACAAUCAGCUCCUCAGCUAGCAAUUGUACCCUAAACUCCUUGAGAGAAAUAACAUUUUCACGACCCCGAAUAACACUGCGGAAGGUAUUAUACUCAGGAGGUAAGCCAUUAAGAGCAAGUAUAACAAUAUCCUCAUCGGCAAAAGUAACCCCAGCGGCUGACAAAUAAUCCCGAGCUUCCUUAAUACGCUGCAGAUAUUGAGACACCGAAUCUGAACCCUUUCGAAUAGUCUGAAGAUUCGACUUAAGUUGAAAUAUACUAGUACGAGAUACCACCGAAAAUUGUUCCUUCAACCGAGUCCACAGGUCACAAGCACUGGUACUACCAAUGGCACAUGAAAUCACUACGGGAGACAAAGUAGCAGUGAUCAACUGCAUAAGAGCACGGUCGUGCAUCUUCCAAACAAUAUAGUGUUCAUUCUCGGUUAGAGUAGAGCUAUCACCAGAACCAUUAGAAUUAGCAGAACCAGUAACAUAUCGAGGGGGACACACAUGUGAACCAUCAACAAAAGCCAAGAUGCCAUGACCUUCAAGCAACAAUUGCAUUUGACAUUGCCAAUUCAAGUAAUUCGAAUCAUCAAGCUACACAUUUACAGACGUAGAGAUCGUAGAGAUAAGACCAGUGAUCGGAGACUGUAAAAUUUGUAAUUGUGAUGCAUUCACCAUAGUUGCAAGAGCAAAAGAACACAAUUUAUAAUAGAGGAAAAAUGACAAACACCUGGUGUGCACAAGAAAACCAACAGGAACAGAAACCCUAGAAUUUGCAGACUAAGAAUACCAGAGUUGCAGACGAAGAAUACCAGAAUUACAGACAAAGAAGAUGAGCGGAAGCAGCCAGAGGAUCGAAGAUUACAGCGCGAGCAUCAUCGGCUCUGAUACCAUGUUAAUGUAGACAGAGGAAGAACGAAUGAGAAGAUAAGGAUUCAAGAACUAGAGAGAGAGAGUAAGGUUUAGAGAGAGAAGCUGCAAAGACUUGUUGUAUUAAUCUUUCUUAACCUCUAAGCCAUUACAAUGAUCUAUUUAUAUAAAAGACUACCUUUCUAACUGACUAACUAAACAUUCACAGUCUCUUUUUUAACACAUGGCAUAAUCCUAGCCACUAUCUAUAUCCUGACACAAAUGUGUCAUUAUGGUAGAAUGAUUUAUCCGACGGAGUAGUUUGUCGAGAACUUUUCUCGAAGUGGUCAAAAGUCCAUUUGCCACGUGUCAAAAAAGUCCACCGCCAAAACAUUACCCCACUCGUGUUUGUAGUUACCCGAUGGAGUAGUUCGUUCUCAAGUGCUGUUUAUAAGUCUGUGCUUCCACUUUAUUUUUCUCAUCCAUAUCCAUACAUUCAUUUUCCUCCACCAUCUCCUCCCAUUCUAAACCCUCAACACAAAUUUAUGAAAACGCAUCAUUAGCAAAUGCAAGAACAUGGUGAGGAUACCAUCGUAACGUUAAAGGCGGCGACGAACACAGUUGAACACGGUGGUGAACAAAAGUUGCUAGAAUUUCUUGCAUGUGGAAGAACAUGAUGAGAAUACUACCAUAAUGGGCGAAACGCCCUAAAUUGUAAGGCUGGGUUGGUCAAGAAAAAAGGCUCAGCCUUGUUUGUAAAGCUCAGGCGGCAUUGGAUUUAAAAGUGCUCCUAGUGAGUUCGCAGCCGAGCUUUUAUUUUAAAUCAUUUGUGUUUUGUUUUAAAUGCAUUCCUACGUGGUCAGGAAUCAGAGCAUAUCCAGGUGCCAGUACUCGGAGCAUUUCUGCAUGGUUAGGAAUAAGAGCAUUUCUGCCUGAUUUGUAAGUUGUAAAUCAUAUUGUUCAAGAAUCAGAGGAUUGGGUGAUAUUAUGUAAACUUUUAUAUAUUUUCAUUAUUUUGAAAUAGUUGUAAAGUUGUAAACCAUAUGGUUGAGCUUUUGUUCAUGGAAAUUUGCAUUUUGUUUAAUGAAAGGAGAAACAAAUUCGUUGAAACUAGUUUUACCAAAUGUAUAUGUGUUAUGGUAUCUAAUUCGACAAGAAUAGGGGACUUCAUAACAUAAAAAUGGUAGAUAUUGAAGAAUAUAUGUUUUGAUGAUAUUUUACAAAAAAUUGUAAAUGUAAGUAGAAUUUAUUGAUAAUAUUUGGUCAAAAAUACACCUUUCGAAGUGUUCCAAAUACCUAAGGGAGAGUGGCAAAUGAACUUUAAUGUCGCUUACCUGACGAAAUAUUGUCGGUUUAGAGUUUAAUGGUCAUCAAAAGUAGCACUUCAAAUUGGACUUGGAUCCUCUCCUGAGCUAAUGGAGAGGAUCCUCCUGACCACUAAUCAUGGACCGUUGGAUUUUUAUCCAACGGCUACAAACAAGGGGGUCCCUUUAAAGUUAUAAUAAUUAUAACCGUUGGAUAAAAAUCCAACGACCCAUGAUUAGUGGUCAGGAGGAUCCUCUCCAUUAGCUCAGGAGAGGAUCCAAAUCCCUUCAAAUUUGCAAGUUGUCACAUAAAUCCAAACACGUGUGUUGGGAAUCUACUAACAGAAACUUCGUCGACGGAGAUUUGUCGGGUAAACACAUAUUGGUCAAAAGUGCAAAACUUUUAUUCCAAAGUGUCACAGAUACCUAGUGGCAUGUGAAUCAACUCACACAGAAAUUGUGAAAUAUAUUGCAAAAAUAUACCAACUAUUUAUAUAAUCAAAUAUAACAAAUUAAAUGAAUAAUCACUAUCAGUCUUAUAAAAAAUUAAAUGAGGAAAAGAAUAAGAAUAUCUAACAUAUGAACCGAAUAAAAGCGUGAUGUCGUUUCCCUAAAGCUUUAAACGUCUCCCCACAUGCAAGUUAUGGAAGUGCCUACAACUCCAAGAUACAACUCAAAGUCUCACAUGAUAUUUGAUCUGCUAUGCACGCCAACGGCAGACGGGAUUGCCAAGUAGUGAUUAAUUGCCCAAGAAUUCUAAAAUAGAAAUUGUAGGAAUGUAAUUGAUGAUGAAAGAGAUGUGAGAAGUGGAGAUAGAAUAGCUUUUUCACAUAUUUGUUUUAUGUCUGAGGUUUCUUGUUUAAAGAACUUCUCAUACCCUUUCAGAAAGAGAUUAUGACUUUUCAACUAAAAUACCACUCUAAAAUAUUAAAAAUAAUUAAAAUAACCAAUAAUCUCCCACAAGAUUCAAAACUCUAUGAGGAAUAAAAUAGACACAUUUGAAGAAAUAAAAGUUUGGGCAAUCUGUAUACAUGCAAUAAGUGUAGUUGUCUUUUGGACUUGAACCUACACUUAGUGUUCAUAGUUUUCAACUGAAGGAAUUAUUGUGAACCAAGCCUUGAACUAGAUUCCUCUAAUUUAGAUUACAACAUAUGACACACACAGGAUUGAUCAAAAACUUGUCGCGGGUUAGUGCUAUUUAUGGCCAUGCACUUAAUCUUGAUUCUCAAGAGUGUUAUUAGAGCACAACCUAGUUCUCAUAGUCACGGCCUCACAACUACUCUCACAUAGGUGAGUCUUCCAAGAGUACAUGUGACCUAUGCCCUACGGAAGAUUGCCCGCCUUGGAACUCAUUCAGGACAAUGUCCUUCCUUAACAUCACAUAUCAUCAGCACAAAUGUCACAGGGGGAUGAGCAUGGGAUUUUAUUUCAGAUAUCCUAUUUUAAAGUGCUGGAAUAUAAGCCAUGCAACAUGGAUUGUUUCUACCCAUUGAACAUUUUUCAUGGGAUCUCUAAUCACAAAGGUUGGGUUUCCUCUCUAGGUGACUUCCUUAUGGGUUUAAGCCCAUCCCCCUCGACAAAUAUAGGACUCCAUUCCUAAAUAAACCUUCGGUCAAUUAAUCAGCAAUAUUCUUUUCUGACUUCACAUAGUCCAAAGAUAAAAGUUUUUUAUUUAACAAGCUUCUCACAUAUAUGUAUCUAACAUUGAUAUGUCUAUUGAAUUUCUUAUUUGUAUGUGUCUACCUCAAUAAAUCUAUCACAACCUUAUUAUCACAAUGUAUAGAGACGGCAGGUAUAGGUUUGCUCACCAAUGGGAUAUCAAGCAAAAAAUUCCCAAUCCAUUUAGCCACUACACAUGCAGUAUCAAGAGCUAUGAGUUCAUAUUCCAUUGUACUUCUUGAAAUUAUUGUUUGUUUCUUAGAUCCCCAACAUAUAGCUGCUCCUCCCAAUAAAAAUACAUAUCCUGAAGUAGAUUUCACUUAGGAGUUAUCUAUGAUCCAAUUUGCAUCACUGUACCUUUCUACUACAUAAGGAAAUCCUUUAUAGUUUAUAGAAUAACCAAAAGUUCCUCUUAGAUACUUCGCCUUAAAGCAUGCCAAUGUUCUUUACUUGGAUUAUGGUGUAUCUACUUAGCCUUCCAACUGCAUAAGCUAUAUAGGGUCUAGUUUUAUAUACUAUAUACAUCAAAGACCCAAUCAUCUGAGAAUACUGGAGUUGAGACACGGGUUCAUCACUAUUUUUAAGUAAGCACACACUUGGUUCAUAUGGUGUCGAGACAGUAUUGCAAUUAAAAAAAAUUGAACUUCUUAAGCAUUUUCUCAAUUGAACUAGCUUGAUUUAUAAUAAAAACCUGAUUGUGUUCUUUCUACUUUCAUUCCCAAAAUAAUACUGGCUUCUCCUAGAUGUUUCAUAUCUAACAUCCUUGAUAGAUAACACUAAACAUCUUUCACAAUUUCCAGACUUGUUCCAAAUAAUAUAUCAUCAACGUAAAGACAUAAAAUACACAUUGUCCAUUGCAUUCAUCAUGGUAGACACACUUUUCAUGCUCAUUAAUUUCAAAAAUCGUAUUCUAAAAUGACUUUAUCAAAGUUUUCAUACCUUUGCUUAGGAGCUUGCUUGAGUCCAUAUAACGAUUUAACCAACUUACACACUUUAUGUUCUUGGCCUUUCACUAUAAAUCCUUUGGUUGCUCCAUGUAAAUUUCUUCAUCUAAGUCUUCAUUCAAAAAUGUUGUUUUAAUAUCCAUUUGAUGAACUACUAAAUUGUGAAGAGAAGCUAACGCUAUGAGGAUUCUAAUUGUGGUAAUCCUAGACACAUGAGAGUAAGUGUCAAAAGAAUCAAUUCCUUUCUUUUGAGUACAUUCUAUGGCUACUAGCAUGGCUUUGUACUUGUCUAUACUUCCAUUAGGCUUCAGAUUCUUCCUAAAUACCCACUUGCAACCAAUUGGUUUUGCACCGGGUGGUAAAUCUAUUAAUUCUUGUGUUAUUUUGUGAAAUAGACUCAACUUCACUAUUGAUAUCUUCUUUCCAAAAUGGAGCACUGACGGAGAUCAUGGUUUCUUUAUAGGUUGUUGGGUCACCUUCAAUUAAAAAGGUAUAAAAAUCAUCAUCAAAAUUCUUCUCCACUCUGGGUUUCUUAUUCCUUCUAAGUUCUGUUGGAGGCUCUUCUUCAUUUGUAACUUGAUGACUAUUACUUGUGAAGGCUUUGUCAGUACUAGUGCAUGAUUUAUCUGCCACUUGCUUUUGCAUUAUAGUCUUGAAAGGAGGCAUGCCUUCAAAAUAUGUUGCAUCCCUUGACUCCAAUAUAGUGUGAUUCGAAAUUUCAUUUAUUUCAGAGUCGAUGACAAGAAAUCUGUUGGCAUUACUAUUAUGAGCAUAACCUAAGAAAACAGUAUCCACAAUUUUAGAUCCUAUCUUCUUUCUCUUAGGUUCUGGGAUUGCAACUUUCGCCAAACACCCCCACACUUUCAAGACUUGAAGAUUUGGAGUUCUCCUUUUCCAAAUAUCAUAUGGAGUAGUAGUAUUGUCAUUAAUGAUUACUCUAUUUAAUAUAAAACACGUAGUCAAAAUUGCUUCCCUCCACAAAUUUUCAGAUAAUCCAGAACUCAAAAACAUUGCAUUCACCAUGUUCAAUAAGGUCCUAUUCUUUCUUUCUGCAACUCCAUUUGAUUGUGGAGAAUAGGGUGUUGUUACUUCACGUAUUAUACCGUGCUUUUUACAGAAGUAAGAUCAAUAAGAGUGUACACACCACCUUUAUCAAACCUAAGUCUCUUUAUCAUUUUCUCUAAUUGAUUUUCCACUUCUGUCUUGUAAAUCUUGAAUUUACCAAAUACUUCAUCCUUGGUCUUUAUCAAAUAAAUAUAACAACACUUUGAACAAUUAUCUAUAAAUGUGACAAAAUGCUUAUUACCAGCUCUAGUAGGUGAUCUAUUUGAGUCACAAAUAUCACUAUGUAUAAGCUCUAAAAUUUGGGUAUUCCUUUCAAUGGACUUAAAAGGUUUCUUGGGUUGUUUUGCUUGUACACAAAUUUCAUACAUGCUUGAGAUUCAUAUUUGACUUUUGGACUAGGUCCAAAUCCAUUAUUUUCUUAAUUUUGAACAAGUUUACAUGUCCCAACCGUCCAUGCCAAACAUUACUAGAUUCAACAUUGAGAACUUUAGGAAGAGUAUUGCACUCGGAAGAAACACUUAACUUAAAUAAUCCUUCACUAAUACAACCUUUUCCAAUAAAUACAUUAUUCUAGGUUAUUACAACCUUAUUUGAUUCCAUUACAACUUUAUAGCCUUGCUUUACUAAACAUGAUCCACCACUUAUAUUUCUUCUAAUAUCAAGUACAUGUCGCACGUCCUUCAAAAUUAAGACCUUUCUAGAUGUCAUCUUCAAUUUAAUGUCUCCAAUUCCAAGCACUUGAGACAUUGAAUCAUUCCCUAGAGUUACACUUCCUCCACUUGAUUCAUGGUAGAUUUUGAAACAUUAACGAUCAAAAUAGACAUGUACAUUAGCUCUAGAAUCUACCCAUCAAUCCUUAUUUUCAUAAGUAAAAUUGACAAAGGAAUCAUACUUAAAAUGUGUUUGAGAACAUUGUUGCUCCAUCAACAUAUUCAGUUGAGCUUUUGGACCAAUAUGAUUUGACUUAGACUUGUUCUCCUCAGUCUUCUUGUAUAAGCAAUCCUUACACUAGUAGAAAAAAAAACUUGCACGACGAACAAUAAUUCGUCGCACAAGAGGCACUUGGGCGACGUAAAAACGUAUUUGUCGCGCAAAAUAGAAAAACAUAUUGAAAAAAAAAACUACACGAUGAAAGAAAUCGUCGGGUAAGAAUACUUAGCGCGACGAAUAAUUGUUGUCGUCGCGUAAAGUCAGCAAGAAAAUGCGGGGUAAUUUUUUUUGGUGCGAGAAACUUGUACAACGAAAAGUGCUUGUGUGACCAAUUUUUUGUUGCGCAAGUUCCAGUCAGCUUUUACCAUUUAAUGCAGAUGAAUCAGGGGACAUUUAAUAUAAAAGUUUGCGCGACAAAGCCUUCGUCGCGCAAAGAUCUUAACUUUGCUAUAAAUAGGCGCUUCUAUUGUCCUUAUUCUUCAUAAUUUUGUUCGUGCUGAGAUGGCAGAUAGAAAGAACGAUAAGAGUGUGCGCGACAGCAACCCAUAUGAUUUGAGAGAGCAUUUUAAGUUUGCUCAUGCUAUUGUUGUAGCUAUGGGGAAUAAUUGCCCCAUUGCUGAGUGGCGUUCUUGGAAAAAUGUGCCCGAGAAUUUGAAGAAGGCUAUGAUGGAUGAACUAUUAGUAAGUAUAUUAUUAAUGGAUCAAUAAUGAAGUUUGUGAAAUUUUUAGUUAUAUGUUGGAAUUAAUUAUUUGCAUAUAUGUGUAACAGUGUAAGUAUGUUUUGAUGAUGAACCGAAAGAACAAUUGAUGAAGUUGGUAGAGGAUGCGCUGGAGGGAGGUUACAAUCAGUGGCAUUAUGAAGUCUUGUGGAAUGGAGCAAGAUCAUCGAAAUAGUAAUUUAAAAUUUAUCUUUUGUAUGACAAUAUUUAAAUUUCAAGUUUUUUUUAUUUUUUAUAAUUUAUGUAUUUGGACUUAACUAGAUUUCAAUUCCUGUUGGAUUUUUUUUAUUGAGACCUAAUGUAAGCACCCUAGCUAUCCUCGGUUUAUAUGUGCUUUUAAUCUUUAAUGAAUAUCGUACUUAUGUUGAAAAUAAUUGUAUAGAUUAAGUCAUUAAUUAUUUGUAGAAUACAUAUUUAAGGUGUUAACUAUUUAUAGAAUAAUAUUUUAGGUAUUAAUUAUUUAUAGAAUAAAUAUUUAAAGUAUUAAUUAAUUUUAGAAUAGAUAUUUAAGGUAUUAAAUCAUUUGUGAAUAUUUGUUUGUAAUUAUAAAGUUUACGUAAACAUAGGUAUCUAUGUUUAAGUACAUUUUGUAAUUACAGUUAUAAGUAUCGUCACGCAAUAUAUUGCACGACGAUACCUUCGUCGCUCAAUAUAUUGCGCGACGAUACUUCGUCGCGUAAGAUAUUUUUGCGUGAAGAACACAUUUUUUUGUCGCACAAAACACGGUCAGACUGCGUUCAAACCAACCAAUUUAUUGCGUAUUUAUGGCGCAUUUUGCGCUACGAACUUAGAGGUUUGCGCCACAAACAUUUCAUCGUGUAAAGGUGUCCUACUGCUAUAUAAUCACAACUUCAGAGGCGUAGUUUUCAAAAAAAAAAUUGUUUAAAAAAGAAUGGCCGAUUCUGGGGAAGGUUCUAGCAAAAAGAAAGUUGUUGUGCGAUUAGAGAGGUAUAGACGGAAGUAAGUGAUGUACUUUGAAGGCAAAAAUAUGGCUGAGGCAUACGUCGAAUUUAAGUAUGACAUUGGGAAUUUGGUGCGGAGGGAUUGUUCUGCCAAGUUUGAGUCUUGGAAAAAGGUUCUUGAAGAGUUGAAGAAGUCCAUGCUAGGAGAGUUAUAUGUAAGUUUGUGGUAAAUAAUUAAUAAUUAUUUUUGUUAAAACGUAAUAUUUUUUAAAUUACAAAUUUAUUGUUAUUGGCAUUAAUGUAGGUUCAUUGGGAUGUUGAUGAAACUUAUGAGAAGCAACGGAUUUAUGUGGAUGGGCUUUUCAAGUAGAGGUUCCGACAGUUGAAGUUUGAUGUGUUACGGGCUAGGGAGGAGUGAAGUUGAUGAGAGUUGUUUUUUAUUUUUUUUUACAUAAGAUUUUGUGGACAUUAUAUUUAAUUUAAGGAAUAAAUAUAUGUUAUGUGGAUGAGUAUUAAUAUUUGCAUUAAUUAUAAUUUCUAUUUGGAAUAGUAAAUUAGUUUUGUUAAUUAAUUUAAUGUUUAAUUAGGUUUGAGUUUUUUAUUUAUAAUAAAAUAGAAAUUUACAAUACAUACAAAUAAAAAAGAAAAACAUAAAAAAAUAAAAAAUAAAAAUGGAUUGCGUGACGAAUUUUCAUUUUUCGUCGCGCAAAGAUAUCUUACGCGACGAAAUAUAUAAUUCGUCAUGCAAAAUCGUUCGUCCUUUUUAAUCUAGAUUCAGCCAUGUGCAGAGGCAAAUUGCAAAAAAAUUGCAGAUUGUGCCUUUGCACUCAUCCCUUAGAUUUUGCUCAAUCCAACAUUCGUCAUUUCCAUUUUUACUCAAUUUCAUCAUCUAAUACUCCCUCCAUCUUCUAGGUUGAUCGAGCUAUCUCGGUGCGUCUAGUAAGCAUUUUUUGUCAUUACGGUAAAAAUAUUAAUGUAAAUUCAUACUAACGCCAUUAAUUUGGUUGUCUAUAGGGAUAUUUUGUGUGAUUAGCGUUUGGUGGAGAACGAUUGAGAAGGUAUUUUGUUCGUUUUAUUUUUUAAACAGAUAAAAUUAAUUAAAUUAUAUUGAACUUAGUUUGUUAUGUUUAUAUUGUGUUUUGAAAAUUAUAUUUAUAUUAUGUUGUUAAAUUUGUACGUGACGUACAAAUAUGUGUUGUGAUGUACGGAGUUAAUUGAAAUUAACUUUGUACUUGUUUUUUAUUUUUAGUAAAACAUAGUUUCCUAUUCGAGGAUUAGUUGGAUUUCGCGCAUGGAUGCAAAAGCAUGACUGUGGUCCAAUUAAUUCUUGAAUUGUCCCAUUAUUUGGACAGUUUGAGAAUGCAUAGUUAUGACGCUUAGUUUAUGGUUGAAUGAUUAGGUUUCGGUUGUAGAUAUUUCGCUGUCAUUUAUGUACAUUCUUCGGGGCGUACACCCGAAGAACUGUAUCUAGAUGCUGCCAAAAUUCAUCCACGUCGAAAUCUAAUCUAUUGUAACCGUAAAUUACUUGACAUGACUAUGCAUUCCCGAAAGGGAUAGGGCCUUUACCGGAGGCAUAAGGUGACAUUAUCAUUUUGGAUGAAGUUGUUGUGAUUGUUGUGAUUGUUGUGAUUGUUAUUGUGGUUCCAGGAAUUAUGGACAAGACGUGGAUACAGAACCUGUGACAUUCCACAUCGCCCCUUUGACAUCCCACAUCCCCUAUCCCAACCUAGCACGAGGCCUUUCGAGAGCUCAUUGGCUUCGGGUUUCAUUGGAACUUCGAAGUUUUGUGAGUUCGUGCAAGAGCAAUCCCAUGAUGGGUGACCCACUGGGAAGUUCUCAUGUGAGUUCCCAGAAACAAAAUUGUGAGGGCGUGGUCGGAGCCCAAAGCAGACAAUAUCGUACUACGGCAGAGUCGAGCCCAGGAUGUAAUGGGGGCCCGGGCCGGGAUGUGACAAUUUGGUAUUAAAGUCAAUCCCUGGCAUGAUGUGUGCCGACGAGGAUGUAAGGCCCCUAAAGGGGGUGGAUUGUGACAUCCCACAUCGCCAAUAAGAGUGGAUCCUGCAAGCCUUAUAUGUAUAUUCCCAUCUCUACCUAGUACGAGGCCUUUCGGGAGCUCACUGGCUUCGGGUUCCAUUGGAACUCCGAACUUAAGCGAGUUCAUGCGAAAAGCAAUCCCAUGAUGGGUGAUCCACUAGGAAGUUCUCGUGUAAGUUCCCAGAAACAAAAUUGUGAGGGCAUGGUCUGGGCCCAAAGCGGACAAUAUCGUGCUACGGCAGCAAACUCGAGGAACGUUCGAUCGAACUCUUUCAUAAGUUAUAAACCAACACCACAGUACUUGGCCGAUUUUCAUAUUUCCGUAUAAUUUGCCGCCAUGGAAAUGUAUGAAAGAAGAAUACAUGAUAAUAACUAUAUUGAUAACUAAGGAUCCUGGUAAGUCAAUCGAUGUAUACUUACGGCCGUUGGUGGAUGAGCUAAAAGAUUUAUGGACACACGAUGUGCGCACAUAUGAUAAAUGUACUAGCAUGAUGUUCACUUUGCAUGCUGCAGUGAUAUGGAAUGUGAACGAUUUCCCCGCAUAUGCAAUGGUUUCCGGGUGGAGCACUAGGGGUUAUAUGGCAUGCCCUGUAUGCAAGGAAAACAUAACAUCUAGUUGACAUGCCAGAAAAGUUUGUUACCUUGGUCAUUGAAGAUGAUUGCCUUGGGACCACGAGUGGCGAGAGAAGGAUAAAAAGUUUGACGGGAAGAAAGAGCAUCGCCUCAGACCCAUAGAAUGGUUCGGUGCUCAGAUUUUGGAACGGCUUAAUCGUUUGGAUUUUGCUUCUUUCAGGACCAAUAUUAGUAAGACAAGACCUUUUACACAUAUGAACUAGACGCACAAGUCUAUGUUUUUUUAGCUCCCGUAUUGGUCCAAACUAAAAUUGAGACACAACCUCGAUGUUAUGCAUGUUGAGAAAAAUGUAUUUGACACAUUGGUCGGCACAAUUCUAGAUAUUAAGGGCAAGACAAAGGACACGAUCAAAACUCAUCUUGAUUUGGAAUGAAUGGGAAUACGAUGGGUUUUAUGGAUGAAUAGGGACAAUAAUAAAGCCAGAAGGGAUUUUGUAUUUUUUUUUUCAAUGAAACCGAAUGACAAGAAAGAAUUUUUAAAGUUUUCAUCGUCUGUAAAAUUUUCUGAUGGGUAUGCUUCAAAUAUCGCGCCUUACGUGAACGUUGACGAGGGUAAAUUAGCUGGCCUAAAGAGUCAUGACUGCCAUGUGGUUCUGCAACACCUACUUCCUGUGGGUAUUUGAUAUCUAUUGCCAGCUGAUGUAGUGAAACCAAUUAUGUUGUUGUCCAGUUUUUUUCCACAAUUGACGUCAAGAACGUUGCGAAAAAAGGAAGUUAAUCAGUUGCGCCAUGACAUUGUACUAGUUCUAUGUAAGUUUGAGAUGAUAUUUCCUCUAGCUUUCUUCACAAGUAUGAUACACGUGAUGGUUCACUUAUCAGAUGAGGCAUUGCUUGCUGGACCAGUCAACUUUCAAUGGAUGUAUCCGAUAAAAAGGUAUAUAUUCCUCGUCUUUUUUAUUAAUCAAUAUUAAAUAAAUUACGAUUAGUAAUAUGUGUGUCAUAUCGUUUUCUUUUGGUAGGCUUCUCGGAGACUGAAAAGUGUACGAAACGAAGUGAAGCCCGAAUGAUCCAUUAUACAAGCUUGGAUGGCAUAUGAGGCGCUUACAUUUUGUGGAAUGUAUUUAAGGGAUGUGUGACAACUUUGUUGGAAAUAUGCCCUGAAAGUCAAUCUUUGGAAGAAAUCUUUCAGGACAAAUAAAUGAAUGUAUGGAUGAAUCUUAUACAUCAAAGGCAAAGACACGAAUUAGGACUAUCUCAAUAGACGAAAUAUGUCCUUAAUAGUGUAUCCAUGGACAAUGGAUCGAUUGAAGAAGUAAUCUAAUGAUGUUAGACUACAGAGACCUUCUUCACAUAACCAGAUGUCCAAAAGGUUCCUGGUCAUUGGAUUGUUGGAGGGAUACUGACAAUGCUUAGACCAGUACAUACUAUGUCUGCUUCAAAUGGAAGGAUGGAAAGUCUCAUCCCAUUCGUGUUGUGACACUAAGACAAGUAUGUAGGUGCUCAUUAGGGGAAUGAGUUCACUGAACACAAUCGAACGAGAGUACUUGCAUGGAGGUCUACUCACAUGUCAAGCAAGUAACUCUAAUGGUUGGAAUAAUGUAAGUAGUCCUUAGACCUGAGGCAUCGUCGUUGUCUUGUGGCUAAGUACUUAAUCUUUGAUUAUGUCAAAGUCUCCCCAUUCGCGGGUGUCCACGGCAUGAUUGGGGUUAAGCCACUUAGUCAUGAAGGCAAGUGUAUGCGCAACAAGGAAUCUCUAAUCCUCGAUAAGAGAGGAAGAAUACUCUAAGAUAUGAUUCGGGAAUCUUCGGCCGAAGUAUCGAGUGUAUUAAAAGGAAAGCGUUCCUAUACGACUCAAAUGAAUCAUAUAUGAAGGAAUAAUCACAUUAGGGGUUUGACAUAAUAUCCAUACCCUAAUGAUGUGAUUGAGAGUAUUGUAUUAGAGAAGGAUCGAAUUACAUUGUAAUUCCAACUGAAUAGGUUCUUCGAAUAAACUUCUACAUUAGCUUGGGUAGCUAUGACAUAUGGUUAGAUGUCACUCAUAGCUUGUGAGUUCUUCUAGAUGAUUAAAUGUAGUCACCAAAGAAGAAUGGUGAAUUGAAAUGAAGUUUCAAUUCAAUAAGUGAUUGAAUUAAUUGGAUUGGUUCCAAUCACCUCACUGCCUUGCUAAUUAAAACCUAAAAGAUUGUUCACCAAUACACUAUUGUAGUGAGUAACCAAUGGAUGAUGGAAAUAAUUAAUUGGAUUAAUUAAUUGUUGUGAUUAAUUUAGAAAGUCUAAAGAAAUCAUAAAAGCGAUAAAGAUCGUUUUGGGCUUAAAGAAACGUUCGGGUUUAAUUGGGCCCAUUGGGCCUAAACCCAUUGGGCUUUUAUUCAAGCAUUGGAUGACUUGAAAUUAUAAAAGCCCAAAGCCCAAAAGAACAACAAAGAGGCCGGCCAUAUAGGUGUGAAAGGGUGAGAUAUUUAGUCAAUUUGUUGGCUAGGUUUUCUUUGGUAUAUAUAAGGAACUUUAUAAUGAUAUUUUCCUUAAGAGUUUUUGGGUGUUUAGAACAACAAAAAGGAAAAAGAAUAUCUCUCAAAAACACUACAAAGGGCCGGCCACCAAAGGGAGUGAUUUAGCUAACAAUCUUUCACCCUUUUGGUUAUUCCAUCAUCCUUCUCACUACACUUGUGGGUGAGGAUCUUUAGAGGUUUCCUACUUUGGAAACUUGAAGAGAACCUAGGAGCACUCAUUCUAACAAAGUGGAGGAGGCAAGGAAGGAAGCUAGGCUCAAGGAUUUCAAGGAGCAAAGAGCUUGGAGGUGGUCCAUGCUUGGUCUAAAAUCAAGAUCAAGAGGUAUAAGACUAACCUUCACUUUGUUCUUGAUUCUAUAAAAUGUUUUGAUGCAUUAUAUAUAAACCUAUGAACCUUGGAGGGGAUUUGCAUGACUAUAGCUUUGAUAUUAUAUGAUAACUUGCUUCCGUUGCUCAUGUAUAUAAAUUUUGAAUUGUAUAUGCAUGCUAGUCAUCUUGAAAUCCCACAUGAAACUCAUAGAUUUCCCUUCAAUUGGUAUCAGAGCCAAAGGUUUAUGUAUAAUGUGUCGUUUUGGAUUUUAUGCAUAUGGGUAUUAAUGUUAUGUAUGACAUAUUAUUGUUUCAUUCAAAGUAUGUUUAUCUUUUGUUUUUCAAAAGUUGAAAAAUGUUAAUCAAAAGUUGAGAAAGAUAUGUAUGCAAAAGUUGUUUUGUAUGCAUGAAUGAAAGAUGAGUUUUGACAAAUUAUUUCUUCAUUUAAAAGUAUGUUUAUCUUUUGUUUUUCAAUGGUUGAAAAAUGUAAAUCAAGAGUUGAAAAAGAUAUGCAUGUAAAAGUUGUUUUGUAUGCAUGAAAUGAAGAAUAAGUCAUGAACAAAUUUUGGGGUUUUGUUCUUUGUGGUUGGCACGUUUUUGGGGAAGUUUUGAGCAUAUGUUUGUGUUUUAUUGUAAGACACUCACACAUAAUUUCAAAGCUAGAAAGUAGAAACCUUGUCACUUUUGUUUUUGGGUUUGAAAAAUCAUCAAGAAUACACAAAUCUUGAAAAUAUGUUCAUGGUUUUGUUCUUGGUGUUCAUGGUUUGGUUUUGGGUGAAAGUAGUUUUAUUUGGUUUUCAUGCAUAGUUUUAUGGUUUUGGAUGUUGUUCUUACCAUCCAUAAUCAUUUUAAAACUUAUAAAACCAUAAACUUAUCUAAGAGAUUUCCAUCACCUUUUGAAAUAAAAUCAUUUAAACCAAAACCAAGUGACAAGUAAAAUUAUGAUUUUUCUACUUUGCAUGAUUUAAAGCAAGAUAAGUGAAACUUUCAAUCUCCCCAAUUCAAGGGCUGGCCUCCCCUAGUGGUAUACCCACUUGUGGGGUAUUUUGUAAUUUGGAAAAGAUAUUUUAUACUUUUGAGUAUUUACGGUUUGACCUCUAACUUUUUCAUAUUUGCAUAAAAGCCCUUACUAACUAGAAAGUUAAAAUAUUUGAUUUUAAUUUUGUUAGUUGUUUAAACUCAUAAUUAUAUUAUGCCCAUAUGCACUAAAUCUAAAUGAUUAUGUUGCAUUCCAUUAUGAUUAUUUAAAUGUGUUUAAGUAAUUGUAAAAUGGAUGACUUUGGACUUAUGCCUUAAACGAUAAUUGAGCUAUGAGAUAAGGCGCAAAAAUCAAAUUGUUUGAACCUUGGGAAUGUGUUUUAAUUACUGUUUAAUUGGACCUUCUCACGUUUGACGUUAAUCUAUCUCUCCCCUUUUAGUAUAUGUAAUUUAUAGGAAUUUGUACAAAUCGGUUUGUAAUUCUUAUUACUUCUUAAUCUCUAUUCGUUAGUUGAUUCACUCUAGUGCUAGACUAGAGUUUCUUUAACCAUUGGUAAGGAGACAUAACUAAAAGAGGGUUUUGACAUGAGAUUAAAAGAUUAAAAGGGUCCAAUGCCCCAAUUAGCAAUGAAUGAUUGUCUUUCAUUUCUAAUGGCUCAAUGAAAAUGGUUUUAAUUGGAUUGAUAAGCACGUAAUUAAAUUGACACAACCUCCCCGAGUUUAUAUUCAACAAUGAUGGCUCGUUGUUGCAAUAACCUUAUAAGUCCAUGGUCAUCCAAGAGCCUAAGAUAACUAUAAAGUCCAAUUUCAAAGGAAUGCAAAAACCUUAUUAGUAGUAGUUACUUCCAAUAUUUUGAAAAUUUUUUUGAUAUUGAUUUGUUUUUCUCAAAACAAAUAGUGGGAGUAUCAUACGCUACUAAAACUAUAAUGAAUACAAUUAGUAGUUACAUAUAUCUCCAAUAUUUUGAAAAAUGUUUUGAUAUUGAUUUGUUUUAUGAAAACGAAUAGUGGGGAUAUCAUAUGCUACUAAUUUCAUUAACUUUGGACUAGUAGUUGUAAAUAGGACAUUAUUUAUUUGAUUGUGAUUAAAUAAAUAAAAUUGAUGAGACCUUAAAAUCCCUCAAUCACUCAAUAUUAAGUUGAAAACGUAAGAGUGCUUUGAACACUUUUUUGUGGCCUUCCACCGUGGUAGGCUUCAAUCGUUUGUGACUCAUACACCGUAUUCGUCCAGUUCUGGGGUUGCAAAGUAUGUGCUUACAUUCAGGAGAAGCCUAUACACAUAUGAUGAAGUGAAAGGUAGGCAACUAGUGUGGCCAAUAUGGAGUUCUUCUGAGGCCAUUCUUGAACCCCUACUUGAACUAGCAUGGUGGGAAAGAACUUAACUAAGUGCAAUGGUGCCAAUAUGGAGUUCUUCUGAGGCAUCAUUCUCUAGAGGCCAAACGAGAUGGGUACUUGCAUUAGUUGCAAAUGAGUAAGCGUACUCUCUCAUUAUUAUUGUUGCUAGCCAAUAUGGAGUUCUUCUGAGGUGGGCUUGGUAAUAGUGAGUCUCCCAUAACCCGCUAGGAGCUUUCUUUGAAAUCUCCCGGAUUCCAUUAUGGGGAUAUGGAAUUUGCCAAAAAUGGUGGGUGGUGUCAUUCGGUUUAAAGACCCGAAUCGUUUGACUUAAUCAACAAUCAAUCUAAUUAUUUUAUUUGUUUAUGUAUAUAGAUAUGGUUGGAAGCACACUCGCGAAAAUACUCGACAAACAUUGCCUAGAGGGGCACAAUUUCCCAUCAUGGUAUCGUAAUGUCAAGAUUCUCAUAACAUUGGAGAAGAUUGUUUACGUACUAGAUAAGCCUCUACCUCACAUACCUCUUAGCCCUGAGGCUACUAAGGAUGAACGUGCUAAGUAUGACAAGCACGUUGAGGAUGAUAUACAAGCCAAGUGCUAUCUGUUGGCUUCCAUGAAUAAGGAGCUACAGAGACAGCACGAGGGCAUGGAUAGUGCAUUUUCCAUAAUACUCCAUCUUACGGAGUUAUAUGGCGAAGGGACGCGCAACCGUCGCUUUAGCACUGUUUGUGAACUUGUAAAGACCAAGAUGGUAAAGGGGGCUCCAGUACACCAACAUGUACUGAAGAUGAUAGGAUUCAUUGAACAAUUGGAGAACCUUGGUACUCCACUUGAUGGGGAAUUGGCCCAGGACUUCAUAUUGGCUUCUCUUUCUGAUUCAUUUGCGCAGUUCGUAAUGAACUACAAUAUGAAUAAGAUGGAUAGUACUCUCUCUGAGUUACUAAACAUGUUAGUAACUGCUGAGAAGACUAUGAAGAAAGAGAGCGGUGUAGGGACUGUUGCAGUAGCCUACAACAAGCCAUCCUCUUCCAAGGCCAUGCCGCAAGGCAAAGGCAAAGGGAAGGAGAAGAAGUCACCCACUCCUAAGCCGAAAGGAGGAGUGAGGAAAAAGAAGGCAAAAGAGCCCAAGGGGACUUGCCACCACUGUGGAAAGGAGGGGCAUUGGAGGAGGAAUUGCAGGUUAUACCUUGCAAGUCUUAAGGACAAGCCACAAGGUAUGGUUUAUGUCCUUAUCUUCAAUUCUAAAUGUUAGAUCUUCUAAAUAUUUAUAUUUGAUAUAAAGGGCUAAUCACUUGUAUAAUUGUAUAUAGGUGGAGAAGCCAAGUAGAAGAAGAACAAGCAAAGAAAAAGUGGUGAAGUGUUCGGCCACUAUGUUUUUGCUCACUACUUAGGAAGUUUGUUAGGCAUUAAAGAUUGUCUUUAAACUUUCUUAUUUUGAUAAGAACUUAUUAUGUGGCUUCAUAUGAUGGAUGACCACUAUUAAUGUCUAAAUGUAUAAAGGUAUUUAUAUUAGUCUCUAAAUGUAUAGAGCUAAUACUUUUUGUAUUAAACAUUAUGAAUGUUUGAACUAUCAUAUUAAUGUAAUGUGAAGUAUGCCUUUUUAUUUCCUUAAAGUAGUGUUAUGAAUUGAAAAUUGUCUUGUUGUAUCCUAGAUGAGAUACAAGAGUUAUAUCACUUAAUUGUAAUGUGAUAAACCAAACUUUAGAUUUAUCAAUUAUGGAUAGAUCUCACAUGUAGGACAUAAAAGGAUACAAUGAAUCUUUAGAUUUGGUUCCAUUUGUCUACUUAUGAGUUCUAUAUGAAUUGACAAAAGUCUAGAGAAUCCUUUCUUGAAGAAAAGGAAGAUCACAUUAUAAUGAUAUAAGUAAUAAGAAAAAUGUUUCUUAUAUGGUUAUCACUUGAAACACAAUGAUCAAGAUCACUCUUGAUUCAAUUAGUAGUUUUGAACAAUUAAUUGGGCAUUCUUAAAAUUGUUUUAAAAUGUCAAUUGUGUUAGUGACUAAACCAAGAAAGAAGUGUCUAAAUCUAUAAAUUGUUUAAAGACUUUAGUCACUUAAAUAACAAGACAUUGACUUAGUGAAGAUUGAAACAAAUAAGCUUGAAAUGUUCUAAAGCUACUACACAAUGUCUUCUUCCAAUAUAUUCCAAUUUUAUACAUUUUGAAUGUAUGAAGUGAUUUCUCAUUAAAGUCAUGAGAAAUAGUGGGAGGUGUGAAAAUGGAUAUAAACUUGAAUGGGAUUGGUUUAUAGUUGUCUAAAGAAUAAUAGUACUUGACUAUUAUUAAGAGUUUGUAAUUUUAAUUGUUAAAAGGACUCAAGCUCUUCAAACGUUAAAAUUCUAUGUUGUGUGACAUUUAAAGAAUAGUCUUUGAAUGUUGGUUUCGUCAACCUAGCAUAAAAUAGUUAUAUGUUGGGAGUUGUCCAUCAUUCUCUUUUAUGAGAACAAGCUAAUAAACAAAAGCAUAUGGACAAGUUGAUGAAACAAAAGGGAAUAAAUUUCAAAAUGAGUCACAACAUAUGUUUUAACAACAAGACAAUCCAAAUUCAACAUCUCAUGUAACUAUAUUGCUCUAUGUAGUUUUGAUAAAGAAUUAUAUAUCAACCACCUAGAAGGAAUGGUUGAGUUUUUAUCCUUAGUAGGAGCAAUGCUUCACUAAAGACUUAGAUAAUUCUUAUAUGACUACAUUAAAGGUCUUAGUAUGACUAAAACUUGAAGUAUGGUGUAUGACACCAUAUAAUUUAAAUGGAUUGACCUGAUAAAGCAAGUCAUACACAUUUCAUGGAAUUACUUGAGAAGGAAUUCUUUUGUGUAUGAUUCAUUUAAGUUAGUGGGAGCAAUAUGCAUUCAAAUCAAGAAAGUAUAAUUGUUAUUUUUGAAUGAAUGCUAAGUUACAACAAGGCCAGUGGGAGUGAUGUCAUAAUUUGAGCAACAAGAUGUGAAUAAAGUCUAUUUGAUAGACUUAAUAAAACAUAGAUGUUACUCGAAAAUGACAAUACAUGACACGGUCAAUUUUGAAGUAUAGACUUGAAAUUGGACUUAUUGAUAUAGCAAGGCUAUCUCAAUAAUGUUAUAUGGGAAAUAAAUCUCAAAUGUUGUAGAUUUAAGAAAGCAUUUUCCUAUGUGAUAGGAAAUCACUUUCAUAACCCUUAUAAUGGAUGUGUCAUAAAAUCACAAAAGGGACACAUGUAUUGACUUGUGAAGUAGAUAUCCAAAGGUGAAGAACCACAUGGGUGUCACUUUAAGAUAUUACUAUGUCCCAGGAUCAGAACCAAAGCAACUGAUAGAGUAUUAUUGCCUUUAAGAAAGAAACAUCAGAGUGGGACUCUGGAAGCGUGCAUUCACUUAGGUUGUUAACCAAAGUGAAAAAUAAGCCAUUUUAACAAAUGGAACUUCAUAAUGGAUGAAGAACUAAUCAUAUAAAUGAAUUGUUAGUAUUGUACUACAAUGGUCUCAAGCUUGGAGCAAAAUUUGUAUAAAGUAUACAAACGAAAUAUAUGUUGAUAUAUAGUUUUAGAAACUGCUUCAAAAGGUGUUUUGAAUGGAAGGGGUUCUUUUAGAACCAAUGAUUGAAUCCAAACCAUAAGGUCGUUAGUAGUGUACUACGACGUAAUGGGGCGAUAGCUCAAGCCAUGGAAUCAAGGUCUCAUCAAAGUAUUCGAACACAACAAAGAGACAUCAUCAAAUGUUUUGGAAACAUUUGAUAAGUAAAUCCCUUUUAAAUGAAAAGGGAUUAAUACAUAACCAAGUUAACCUACGAGCAUAAACUCUCUCGACAAGAUGUAUAAGAUACACUAGUGAUUGACUUUAGUGCGAAAUAUGCCCUGAAAGUCAAUCUUUGGAAAUAAAUGAAUGUAUGGAUGAAUAUACAUCAAAGGAAAGACAAGGACUAUCUCAAUAGACUUGUGGAUCGAUGAAGAAGAAUCUAAUGAUAGACACAAGUUCCAAUGAUCAUUGGAUUGUUGGAGGGAUACUGACAAUGCUUAGACCAAGUACUAUGUCUGCUUCAAAUGGAAGAUUGUGACACUAAGACAAGUAUGUACAUGAAUAUUCACAAUCGAACAGUACAUGAUGGAGGUCAAAAUGACAAGGAUUCAAUGACAAAGUAACUCUAAUGAUGUCCUAAGUAGUCCUCUUCUGGGCAUUCGUUGUUGUAGGUAUGUACAAUUGAUUAUGUAAUGACAGAUAUGUCCAGGUCAUCUUGGUGAUGGUUAAGACAUUGUGUUGUGGACAAGUAUGUAGGUGCUCUUUCAACAUAGGAAUGAAAAUUCACCAACUGCAUAAGAGGUCUACUUCAUUAUGUCAAGCAAGUAACUCUAAUGGUUAAUAAAAGUUGAAGGUAACCUAAGGCAUCUUCUUUGGCUUAUGACUUAAUCUUUGAUUAUGUCAAAGUCUUGUUAAUCACUUCCAUGGGUGUCAAGGCAAUUAAGUUAACCACUUGUUCAUGAAGCAAGUAUGCGCAACAAGGAAUCUCUAAAUCCUCGAUAAGAGAGGAAGAAUACUCUAAGAUAUGAUUCGGGAAUCUUCGGCCUUAGUAUCGAGUGUAUUAAAAGGAAAGCGUUCCUAUACGACUCAAAUGAAUCAUAUAUGAAGGAAUAAUCACAUUAGGGGUUUGACAUAAUAUCCAUACCCUAAUGAUGUGAUUGAUUGAGAGUAUUGUAUUAGAGAAGGAUCGAAUAAUACUACAUUGUAAUUCCAACUGAAUAGGUUCUUCGAAUAAACUUCUACAUUAGCUUGGGUAGCUAUGACAUAUGUAUGUUAGAUGUCACUCAUAGCUUGUGAGUUCUUCUAGAUGAUUAAAUGUAGUCACCAAAGAAGAAUGGUGAAUUGAAAUGAAGUUUCAAUUCAAUAAGUGAUUGAAUUAAUUGGAUUGGUUCCAAUCACCUCACUGCCUUGCUAAUUAAAACCUAAAAGAUUGUUCACCAAUACACUAUUGUAGUGAGUAACCAAUGGAUGAUGGAAAUAAUUAAUUGGAUUAAUUAAUUGUUGUGAUUAAUUUAGAAAGUCUAAAGAAAUCAUAAAAGCGAUAAAGAUCGUUUUGGGCUUAAAGAAACGUUCGGGUUUAAUUGGGCCCAUUGGGCCUAAACCCAUUGGGCUUUUAUUCAAGCAUUGGAUGACUUGAAAUUAUAAAAGCCCAAAGCCCAAAAGAACAACAAAAGAGGCCGGCCAUAUAGGUGUGAAAGGGUGAGAUAUUUAGUCAAUUUGUUGGCUAGGUUUUCUUUGGUAUAUAUAAGGAACUUUAUAAUGAUAUUUUCCUUAAGAGUUUUUGGGUGUUUAGAACAACAAAAAGGAAAAAAGAAUAUCUCUCAAAAACACUACAAAGGGCCGGCCACCAAAGGGAGUGAUUUAGCUAACAAUCUUUCACCCUUUUGGUUAUUCCAUCAUCCUUCUCACUACACUUGUGGGUGAGGAUCUUUAGAGGUUUCCUACUUUGGAAACUUGAAGAGAACCUAGGAGCACUCAUUCUAACAAAGUGGAGGAGGCAAGGAAGGAAGCUAGGCUCAAGGAUUUCAAGGAGCAAAGAGCUUGGAGGUGGUCCAUGCUUGGUCUAAAAUCAAGAUCAAGAGGUAUAAGACUAACCUUCACUUUGUUCUUGAUUCUAUAAAAUGUUUUGAUGCAUUAUAUAUAAACCUAUGAACCUUGGAGGGGAUUUGCAUGACUAUAGCUUUGAUAUUAUAUGAUAACUUGCUUCCGUUGCUCAUGUAUAUAAAUUUUGAAUUGUAUAUGCAUGCUAGUCAUCUUGAAAUCCCACAUGAAACUCAUAGAUUUCCCUUCAAACUUUCAAUCAUCCUCCUCACAAUAAUGAUGAGGGUGUGAGAAAGGAGAAACUUUCAGUUCUUGCCCAAAUCGCUCGACCAUUCGGAGAUCCAAUUUCUGGUGAGUCGUUUUCCAAGAAAGACAUGGAGGUAGCACAUUGGUUCGUACUCAAAAAUUGUGACGAGACACUAUCAUACCUAGACAAGCAUGAAAAUAUGAUAAAGUAGGCACAUCCUUCACAUUUGUAUGCCAAGAAACACCAUGAAUUGUUUCCGCAGUGGUUUCUCGAAUAUGUAAGUUUGAAGUGUUUUGUAUUGGACAUAUAUAUUGUACCAAUUAAGUUGCUUGAACUAACAAAUUUAAAUGUUUGCCUAAUAUUAGGUGAAUCAACUAAAAGCAUCGAAUUCCUCCGCGUACAAUGAAGAGUUAUAUAACUUGGCGUUCGGACCAAUUUGCGUUGAAUUGUACUCGGGUUGCCAUGUGAACGGCAUCAAGUUCUUAGCAAGUGCAUGAGAUGACAAGUUGUGUAUACAAAACAGCGGUGUUCAUGUCCUCAGGGGAGGUGAAAGUACAGACAUUGAAUUUUAUAGUAAACUAACAAGUGUCGGGCAAUUGCUUUACAAAGACCGGUGCCAAGUGAUCCUAUUUAAGUGUCGAUGGUUUGAUACAAACCCAAAUAGGCAUGGAAGUGUGAAAAUAGAUAAUGGAUUACUAUUAGUGAACACUACCAAAACUUGGUACGAUGACACCCUUACAUCUUAGCAAGCAUGGCAAAACAAACUGUGUAUCUAGAUGACCCUAAAGCCGGGAGGGGUUGAAAAUUUUGUCAGACGAUGGAUCAUAGGAACAUUUAUGCUAUACCAGAACAAGACCGUAUUGACAACGACAUCGACAAUAUUGCUGACCAACGUCUUGAAUCUUUGAUGGAAAGUGGUGCGGAAAAACUCCGAGAUACUAAUCUUAUCCAAGAACCAUUUCAGAUAGAAGGAGUAUCUUCAAUUGAAAUAGUGACGAAAGUGAAAGUUAUUAUAGUUCGGAUAAAGAUUAAGGCAAUUUAUUUGUAACUUUUUUUCUAAAACACAUGAAAUGGUUAAUGAGUGGUGGAAAAAAUGGUAUGAAUGAUUCCCAUUUUAUAUGUGAAUUACUUUGUACAUAAAUUUGGUAUGUUUGUAUUUUAUAAUAAAUUGUAAACAAAAUUAAAAAAAUUAAAAAUAUUUUAAAACAUAAUUGCGUGAUGCAUAACAAUUUUUGGUUGCCCAAGUAUAAAUAAGCUCUAAAUGUUAGUGAAUCUAUCUUUUUGAUGGGAUACGCAUUCUACGAAACUAAUUUGAACGAUCCAACCAUCAAACUUGUUUGUAUAUGGUUCGAGAUUGCAUACGCCAAAAAUCGCAAAAAAAAAAAAACAUUCAGAGAUCAAGUAACGGGAGAAAACUUUUCGACGGUUAGAAACAAAAAAUCACGAUUUAAUGGUUAUUUUAACUCUGAUUUUCAUGAUUUUUUACAGCUACACUCCUUGACCCUAUAUGAAUACAAUGAAUGAAUUCGAUCUUCAAUUUAAACUAUUUACACUAGUGGAUACCACAAAAUCUUACGUUAUACUUAAUGAAAGUAUAAAUAAACUCCAAGUGUUGGUGAAUCUAUCUUUUUGAUGGAAUACACAUUCUAUGAAACUAAUUUGAACGAUCCAACUGUCAAACUUGUUCGUAUAUGGUUCAAGAUUGCAUACGCCAAAAAUCGUAAAAAACAACAUUCAAAGAUGAAGUAACAUAACAAACUUUUCGACGGUUAGAAACGAAAAAUCACGAUUUAAAAGUUAUUUUAAAUUUACGCAGGAAUAUUGCGCGACGAAUACAUAUAUUUCGUCGCACAAAGUAUAUUUGCAUGACAAAAUAUUGUAUUCAUCGUACAAGUGUCUAAAAUUUCAAUUAAGGCACUGUCGUCCAAGAUUGUAUAUUUUAACCCCAACUCUCUUUCUUUACCUCACUUCCCUCUUCUUCCUUUUUCCCUACGCGAUACCCUCUCUCUCUUUCCUGUAUAUCUCCAUCUGUCUCUCCGUCCCUAUCUCCGGUCAUCGCGACUUCAUCUCCAAGAGGUAAUUUCCUCUUCAAUUUUCAUUUUCAAUUUUCUUUAUUUACAAAUUGGGGGUUCGAAUUAGGGUUUUCUUGGUUUUUUUUCUUUUAGAAUUAGGGUUGUUAGGUUAGAUUUAGGGUUCGUAAAUUGCGGGUUACAUUUAGGUUCUUAAAUUAGAGUUUUUAGGGUUCUUAAUUGGGGUUACAUUUAGGUCUUAAAUUAGGGGAACGAUUUUGGGCAGUGAGGUUAGAUUAGGUUUUCUUAAUUUGGGAGGUUAUAUUUAGGGUGCUUCACUGGGGGUUAGAUUAGGGUUAUUAAAUUAGGGGUUUUUUAAUUUCAAGUACAGAGUUCGAAUUUGGGGUUUUUUUAAUUUAAGUACAGGGUUCUUAAAUUAGGGAGUUGUUAAUGUUUUCCUGUGUUCUAUGCAUCCACAACAUUGCACUUACACUUUUCCAUAUGCAACAAUCCUUUUAAUUAUUUAUCUUUAUGUCGUAUAAUUCACUUUUCUAAUUCUUUUUUAUUACGAUUAGAUGAAAUAUAUUUAUGUUUGUGAUUUUUAUGUUGGAAUUUAAGAUAUUGUAGGAUGUGUUUUGUAUUGUAGGUUUGAAAGAAAAAAAAUUGAAUUACAUUGUACAUUUGUGGAAUAAGUUUUUAGAGAUUUGCAUUGUAGACUGCCACGAUUUCUUGAUAUAUAAUGGGAUAUUAGCCUUUGUUGUUGCCUUAUUAAUAUGAUAGACAGUUACGUUGCUUGUUGAAUUCGGCCUUCCAAUUUUGAAGUUACAUUUUUAGGAAUGUCAUGAAUAGAUUCUCUCUUGGGUCUGGCUAUACUUAAUUCACCAAGAAGGACAAAAAAUGGGAAAUUUAUAUGUAAAAUAUGUUUUCAACCAGAUAGGGCAAUGUCACGGUGAUUAGGUAUAACAAACCAAUAGGAACACAUUAAAUCGAAUGAACUCCAUUAUUAUUAUUAUUAUUAUUCAAAGAUAUGGGAACCCACAUGAUAUAAGCAAAUCUGGAUUUUACUAGUAAAUAAUGAUAUGCUCUCUUGAGGUCUUUAUUUAAACAUAAGGUAGUAAGGAUAUCCAAGGCACCUCACAUUUGUUUGGUUUUAGGUAGUAAACUUGUAAGGAUGUCCUUUAUGCUAGUUUCUUCUUAUAAGUUAUAAUUACUGGGUCUAUAUCCUAUCUAAAUUGAUUAGUUUGUGUAUGGUAUAUUAGCUUUAAGUUUUGUUUCCGCCAAACUUGAAUUGGGUUUAGAAUUAGGGUUUUUAAAUUUCGUUUUAAAUUUAAGUUCAAAUUAUUAGCAUGUGUACGGUAAGUUAAAUCUUUGUGUACGAAACAAAUUGAUUUCCAAUUUUGUAGAUGUCACACCUCAUUAGAACCCGGAGGGCGAUGACUUCUACACCUAGUCCAACGGCUACACCUAGUCCGUCGACUACACCUACUACUAUCCCCACUGCUCUGGCAGAGAUGGACCAUAGGCCGGUUAAGUCGGUUGACUCGGUUGGUUUUCCAGUCCCACAGGCACAGGCAUCAUCAACUUCUUCGGUGGUGUUGCCUGUUAGCGCCCAACAUACUCAUCGGCGCCCCCGUAGUACUGACCAGAUGUCGCCAUUGGGAUUCACAACCUAAUGCCUCGGGUACACGACUAGGUAUACAAUCCUAAUUCACUCCCUCAUUCCCAUGUUAACUGAGUUUUGUUAUUUUAGGUUCAAUUUGUUAUGUCAUGUCAUGUAAUGAUUAAAAAGUUUUCAUUGUUUUCUCUUUUUUUGUUUGCAAUCUCUUCACUUUCAGAAAUGGGUUUUGUCAUGAAAUCGAAAUUGUGUGUAUUCCGUAAUUCAUGUCUGUUAACUUUUAUGUUUUUGCAAUUUUUUUUGUUAAUUUAUGUGUCAUUUCUUAGUUACUCAAAUGAGUUUCUCACGGAAUUGAAACGGUAGUGCUGUGGAAGAGAUUUGAUGCUGAGGAAAUGGCGAAAAUGUUUAACUGGGAAAUGAAAACCUUGGUAAUUAUCAUGAAGCGAAGUUUUUAGAGUCGUAGAAGUUUCGAUUGUGACUGUCAGAGUCUUACAAAUGUCAAUGUGGAAGAGGUUAUAUGGAAUUGUUUACUAUGGCAGCUUAGAAUUCUUUGCCAAGCCUGUUGCCAGAAAUGUUUUCGAGCCUAUGUAUACAAGCACAAAAAUUGGCCUUCUUGGAUGGCAGUUGUCUCCAUUUUUAGAAGUUUGUUAUGGUAUUUCAAAAUGCUCAAAUUGGAAAUCAUAUAUACUAAAACUCAUUUUUGGAGCAUUGUGGAUGACCAGUGGUCUUAUGUUUUUGCCCUUCUGUUUUUGUUUUGUUUGCCUUGCUGUUUUCUGUUUGCUGCAGUGAGAAGUCAAUUUUGCUCAUUCACUCCACGUGUCUGUCAUCCUUGAUUUGUUUUGUUUGUGAAGUUUCUUUUUGGUUUAACCUUCUGCUUUUGCUGUUCUCUCUCUUUCUCUCAUCCUUGCUUUAUUCUCACUGCUCAUCUCCGAUUGUUUGUUGUUCUUAAAUAUUGUGUUGAUUGCCUUGGAAAAUAUUGGGGGGAAACUUCCUGAUUUUCGUCUUUUCUGCUAUCUUAUUUCUGUUAUCUGACUUGAGGAGGGUUUUACACCUAGUAUGUUCUAAUUAGGAGAAAGGAAAUAGUGGCCUCAACUAGAGAAGUAGCUGUGAUGCUCAAUAAGUAACUUUUAGGAUAAAUAGAGGAAGAAAAUGUAUGCGAAUGUUAAUUGAUCAAUUUUGUAAUUUUAGGUUCAAUUUGUUAAAAUAUAUCAUGUAAGGAUUAAAAUGUUGUCAUCGUUCUGAACCUUUUAUUAAAUUGUUCUGAUCAUUGUGUUGGAUACGUAUAUUGUUUAUGUUAUUUUCAAGGUUUUGGGAAAUGUUUUAAUUAUAGGGGAGGUUAUGCCGAAAUUUUAGUAGGAUUUUCUAUUAGUUUUGGGUUAAUGAUUUUUUUUUCAUCUCUUUACCGCGAAGAAAAACACCAAGGGACCUUGUCGGCAAUUGAAGACGGCGAAGGUCACCUAGGUGACCAACGGUUGUAUCCCAAUGGGAUACAAUGAGCGACAUCAGGCAGCAUCAACAGCAAAGCAACAUAUUGCAUUGGCCCACGACAUUGGGCAUGUCGUGCAAACCUUUUUCCCUAUGCGGUGGAAGUCUUGGAAGGCGAUUCUGGAGGAGACGAAGAACACGGUGCGCAACCAAUUGCCCGUAAGUAGCGUAGCCUUUUUAAUGAUUUUCAUGUAAAAUUUUUAUAUUUAUAUUUAUUUGGAGGCAAUUUAUAUGUUACAUUGCAAACAAACUACAAUUUGGAGGCAAUUUAUAUGUUCCAUUGUAGACAAACUACAAUUUGGAGGACAUGGACGAGGACAUGUUUGUGUACCUCAAUCGGCUAUUCUCUGAACGCUACAAGCAAUGGCAGAGUGACUUGCACCUAUAUUUCCAGCAAUUUGAUGAUCCGCAUGUCGCUCUCAAGGAGGGUUAUCCGAAGGCGUUGGAGGAACGACAAGAUAGUUAGGUUUAGCUUUGUGGUCAUUUUCAGGAGUCGGGCUAUGUGGUGCGUUUUUAAUUACGACUUCUUUCAUUUUACUUUUUUUUAAUUUUUACAAAUGUUUAUUAUUAUUAUUUUAAUUUUCUUUAAGUAUUACAACUAAUAUGUUUAUUUUUUGUAUAACAGAAGAAGGCGAACAAGAUAAAUCAGGAGAAGAAGACUCUUCUCCACCAUUCGGGUUCAAGGCUUUUCUCCUAUAGGAUGGAGGCACGACGGAAGGUAUAUAUUAAUCUUUCAUUUCCAAUUUUAAAAUGCCGCUAAUAAUUUAAUUUUUCUUACUAACACUUUCCUUAUCGUUUUCGAUUUUAGGAGGGUUCAAAAUUUCUGGGAUCGACGUCUUUGCUGACAUUUAUGUUCGGCCUGGGAAUAAGUUGACCAAGUCCCUUCAUGUAAGUAAUUUCUUAUGCAUUCAACAAUUGUACUAAUUAUUUCAAAUUUUUUUCUAUUAAUAAUCCAUGUUUUGUUUUUCACAGGCCACUAUGGUGGAGAAGAGUCAGUUAGUACUACAAGAGUCCACCUCCCAGCUUCCCUCACACACGCCGAUUAAGUCUGUGGAUCCCCGUGGGGCUGCAGGGUUUCACAUCGUCACAGAGACGUUGGACCACACUUUCAGUCGGAGGCUAGGGACUUAUUGUCGGGGGAUGGGAAAUGCUAGGCGGCCGGAGAGUAGAGCCUAGUCAUCCUUGCAGUCAAAGGACCAGGUUACGGCUUUGACGCAAGAAGUCGAUGGCCUGAGAAGUGAGCUGGUAUCGUACAAGUCUCAAAUGUCGAUACUUGUACAAGCCCUCAGUUCUUUCGGAAUACAUCUCCCUGGUUUUUCUGCACCAUCGCCCUCACAACCCUUCCACACCAAGCAAGCAUAGCAAUUAGGCCCGUCAACCUCCGACCCCAUCCCUAACCAGCAGCAAGAUCCUUCGAACGACAUUCCUAUAGAUUUUUCUGGUUUUUUUUUAUAGUUUUGUUCUUGCUUUCUUUUAUAACUUUAUAUUUGUACGUACAUUUUUUUAUAUUAUAAAUAAAAAUUGUUUUUUUAUUCAAUAAUUUGCUUCUUUUUUUUGUCAUUAGUAUGAUUUUUUUUUUAAUUUUCCUUUUAUUCUAUUUAUUUUUUUGAAUAAAAACUACACUUGCGCGACACCGACCAGUUGUCACACAAAAUUAAGCGCGUCUUAUAACUUCGUUGCUCAUUACCUCACACCUCUUACAUUUUUCGUCUCGCAAACUUUUUGUGACGAACUAGUCACAAAGCGCACUUGUACCCUUUUAUAUCGUACGACGAAAAUCUUCGUCCGUAUAACUUUAGCGUGACGAAUAGUCAAGCGUCGCGUAAUUUUUUUUUACGAGAAGAGUUUGAAAUUGUUCGUCGUGCAAUGUCUUUUUUCAUGACCUUUGCGAGACAAAAUACACGCGACAAUUUUCUGGUCACCAUAGUUUUUGUGCGACCUAAUAAUUAUUUGCGCGACAAAAUCUCCCUCUCGCACAAACUGUUUAAUUUAGUAGUGUUAACCAUAUGAUUGGUUUUUCCAAAAACAAAGCAAACCCCAUUCUCUCUCCAUUGAUCCUUAGUCUUUUGGAAGUUAUUAUCUUGGUUGGGUGAUUUGUACUUAAAAUCCGUUCUUAUAGGUUAUAAAUUCUACUUAUUAUUUAUGGGGAACUUGUUUUUUAUUUUGCCAUUUUUGUUGGUGUCGUUCUCAACUAAGUUUACAAUUGUUUGCUUUUCCAUUUAUUUCUUUUGGCAUUUUCAUUCUCAACUAUGUUUCUCUUCGACCCUAAUUGAAUUUAUGUCUUGAACAAAAGUAAGCUCUCAUUGUUUAUGCCUUGGGGUUCUAGCAAAGUCAUUCCAAGAUUGAGGCAAUUUAUCAAUAAGGUAGGAGACUUUAAAGUCUUCAUUGAACUUUGUUCCUUUCUUUUCAACUCCACUUUAUAGCUUCUGAUACUUAUGUAUUUGUUCCCCCACUGACUUGUUAUCAACAAUCUUACAGCCAUUAAAGUUUGAGACGAUAAACCUAUCCAUCCCAGCAUCUACAAUUCCAUAUUUUGCUUCUAAAGUUUCCCAAGUUUCUUUGACGGUGGGUGACUUGUUAUCAACAAUCUUAUAGAGGAGAUCAGAAAUGGCACUUAAGAUUCUAUUGUAACAAUGGUAUUCUAUUAGUUGAGUGGUUAGUUUAGAAGUCGAUUUGGAAGAAGAAUCUUUGUUUGAUUGAGUUUCAUCAAGGGCGGAUAUAAGUCCUAGGACAGUUAGCCAAUAUUUCAUUUGUUUUGACACCUACGAAAAUUGUAGCCAUUAAAUUUUUCAAAGCUUAACACUAUUGGCUUUUUCUUGACUUACCAUUUGUUAUGUAAUACUGACUAACAAUAAGUAAGAGAGAUAUAAGAUUGCUAUAAUACUGGAGAAAUUAAAACAGAUUGUCACUCAAAAGUUUAACAAGCAUAAGAUAAACUAUACUGCUGUAUAAUAACCUCGGAUCAGUUAAAAAUGAUAAUUGCGCACGAAUUUAAUUAAGGCAUAAAAACAAUUAAUAUAUAUAUUAAUACGCAAUUAAACUAUACAGGGAUUAUCAUUCCCAUAAAAUAAAUGACAAAUAAGCAGUAUUAAAGUGCUUUGGUACAACAAAGAAAAAAAAAUGCAGAGAAUCAAAGAUGCAAUAAAAGCAGUAUUAUAAACACGCUUCUUUGCAACUAUAUUAAUAAUUUAAGAACCAAAUAAUUAAUGACAGGCGUGAUGUCAUUAAUAAUUUAAGAACCAACUAUUUAUAAAAUCAAAUAUAACAAAUUAAAUGUAUAAUCACUAUAGACUUACGAAAAAUUAAAUGAGGACAAAGCAAUAAGAAUGUUUGGCUUGUGAACUGAAGAGAGGUGUGAUGUCGUUGCCCUAAAGCCAUAUACGCCUCCCCAUAUGCAGGUUAGGGCAAUGCCUACAACUUUAAGAUAUAACCCAAAGCUUCACAGGAUGUCUAAUCCGCUAUGCAUGCCAACUGCAGACCGAAUUAACAAGUAGUGAUCAAUUGUCCAAGAAUUAUAAAACUGGAAUUGUAGGUAUGUAAAUUGAAUAUGACAAAUGUGAGAAGUGAAGGAGACAUAAUAAUUUUUUAACUUAUUUGUUUUCUGUCUAAGGUUUCUUUUUUAAAGAACUUCUCAUACCCCUUCAGAAAAUGAUUAUGACUCUUCAAAUAAAACACACCUCUUAAUUAUUAAAAAUAAAUAAAAUAAUAAUAAGUUUUGAAUCUUUAAUAUAAUUAAAAUAUCCAACAGAAACAUUACCCGACGAGCCUCUGUCGGAUAAAUACUAUAAUGCCAAUCAAUGGGUUACAGAAAUGAAGUCACACGCUUGGGCAAUCUACUAACAUGGGCAUUACCCGCCAGAGAUCCGUUGGGAAAGAACAAUUAGUGAAAAGUUUAACCUCACGUGUGGACAAAUUCUACCGACACAAUACUAUAAAUAUCUUCCUUGUUAUUCAUUUUUCUAAUGUUAACUCCCACCAGCCACACGCAUUGUAUGAAACUAAUGUGCACGAUCUAACUGUAAAAAAAUGUUUGCAUAAACUUGUAGAUCACGUAUGCAAAAUAAAUAAAUAAAUAAAACGUUUGGAGAUUAGGAAAUAAGUCGCAAACUUUCGACGGUUAGAAACCAAAAUUCACGAUAUAACAGUUGUUUUAGGCCCGAUUGGGGUCAUUUAUUCAAUUGUCAACCGCACAAGAUUAAGAUCAACAUUCCUGGUGAUGCAUUAAUUAUUUUAGAAAAAAUACAGCAAACAAAAACCUAUAUUCUACUUGGUGGAAGUAUAGAAAAAAACACGAAGUGUUUUGGUAUUGAAGCUUUUGAAUGGGACACUCAUUGUAUGAAACUAGUGUGCACAAUCCAACCAUUAAAAAUGUUUGCAUAAACUUGAAGAUCAAGUGUGUGAAAAAUCACUAAAAAAGAACGUCCAGAGAUUAGGAAAUAGGUUGCAAACUUUCGGCAGUUAGAUACCGAAAUUCAUAAUUUAACGGUCAUUUUAGGUCCGAUGGGGAUCAUUUUCUGAAAAUACAAUCGUCAACCCCACAAGAUUAUGAUCAACGUUCCCGAUGAUGCAUUAAUUAUUUUAGAAAAAGUGGAGCCAACAAAAUCCUUAUAUUAUAUAAUUUUCCAUAUUCUGUCAAGUUCACUUUUCUGUCAGUUAAAGACCCAAAACAAAAAACCGCUAUAAAUUUCAUGUAAAAUAAAAAAUUUCCCAACUGUUAGAGGCCUAUUUGACUGAACUGUAUUUAGGACUAGAGAGGGAAAGAGGCCGGUGGCAAGAGAGAGAGAAGAGAGAGAUUUAAUUGUGAGGUGUGUGUUGUAUCACCCUAUUGUGCCUUUAUUUAUAGCAGUAGGAUAUGUUAAAUCUUUAUCCUAAUAGGAUUGCAACUUUAAUAGGAUAAUAACUAUUAAAGAGAAUAUUCCAAAAUAUUCCUAGAUACACUAUGAUUUACACAAUCACAUUCUUAUUCUAAAUAUGAAUGCAACACUCCCCUUGAGUGUGGAAAUACGCAAACAAAACAUCGCAUUAGAUCUUUAGCAAAUAAGGUAGAACAGUUGAUGAAGUUGGUGGCACAACGGGUAAAUACGAGUCUCAAAUUUAAAGAAAGUAUGCAUUGGUAGUAGAACUCACAAAACCUUGCUAUGGUAAACCCCAAGGCAAGUGAAAACCAAUAAAUUAAGGAGAAAAGUGAGAAGUAUGCAUAAUAUCUAAAACAAACGUCAAAUAGGACGACAGUAGUGAACUCAUGAGAGUAUGAUCAUCGCAGGAUAAGUGUCUCAUCAAAACCUUGUUAGGUAGCAAAAACCCAGUGGGAAAAAUCCUAAUCAUAGGAAAAAGAGUAGAUAAAGAUCAAGUGAGUAUGCUUCAGGAUACUCCUUCUAAGUUAGACAUAACUUCCAAAUAAGAGAAUUUACGCAUACUGAUUCCUUGGACGAGUUUCUGAAAAGUAGACUUGGGCAAUGACUUGGCAAAGAGAUCGGCUAGGUUGUCCUGGGAAUGGAUUUGCUUCACUUCAAUGUUCUGAUACUGUUGUUGCUGGAAAGAAUAAAAGAACUUCGGCGCUAAAGAAUAAAAUAACUUCGGCACUAUGUGCUUGGUGUUGUCUCCCUUGAUGUAUCCCUUUUUUAACUGCUUAAUACAUGUUGUAUUGCUUUCAAAGAUUGUCGUGGGAAGGUCAACAAUGGUAGUAAAACCAUUAGUACUUUGAAUAUGUUCCAUGAAUGCUCUUAACCAAAAGCACUCAUGCGAUGCUUCAUGCAAGGCGAGAAUCUCAGCAUGAUUCAAAGAAGUCGCAACUAGUGUUUGCUUAGUAGACCUCCAAGAUAUAGCAGUGUCUCUAAUGGUAAAGACAUAGCCCAUUUGAGAGUGUGCCUUAUGUGGGUCAGACAGAUAACCAGCAUCUACGUAACUAACAAGGCGGGAAUCAACUCGAGGACCCAAGGGGCGGCGGCUCUUCUCAAGGAUUCAUAGGUGGAGAACAAACCCAAAUCCGUUGUACCUUUGAGGUAGUGGAAAAUGUCUUUAACACCAUUCCAAUGUCUGAGUGUAGGCGCAUUGAUGUAUCUAGCCAAAAGAUUAACAUCGAAGGAGAUGUCAGGUCUAAUGCAUUGAGCCAAGUACAAUAAAGCACCAAUUACUCUUAGGUAUAGAACUUCAGGCUCCAAAAUCUCUUCCUCGUCUUCCUUGGGACGGAAGGGAUCUCAUUUAGCAUCUAGAGUCCGAACAACCAUAGAAGUACUUGUAGGCUUUGCUUUAUCCUCAUUAAAAUGUCACAACACCUUUUGGGUAUAGUUCGAUUGAUGUACUAGGAUUCCAUUCGAACAAUGCUCGAUCUCUAGGCCGAGACAGUAUCGAGUUUUCCCAAUAUCUUUCAUCUCAAAUUCCAAUUUCAAGUGAACGGUAAUUUCCUCAAGCUCUGCCGGAGGUCUAAUGAAGUUCAUGUCGUCGACAUAAACUGCAACGAUCGUAAAUCCAAAAUGUGACUUCUUUAUGAACACAUAUAGGCAUAGUUCGUUGUUCACAUAAUCCUGAGUUGUUAAAUAUUCACUUAGAUGGUUAUACCACAUCCACAUGGAUUAUUUCAAUCUAUAUAGUGAUCUCCUCAAUCUAAUAGAAAGAGUGUUCCAUGGUCUAGAACUAUUUGAACAAGUCAAUGGAAGUCCUUUUGAAACUUUCAUGUAGAUUUUCAUAUCUAGAUCCCCAUAAAAAUACGCAGUUACCACGUCUAUAAGCUGUAUAUACAGUUUUUCAGAAACUACCAAAUUGAUAAGGUAUCAGAACGUUAUGACAUCCAUUACGGGGGAAUAUGUCUCUUUGUAAUCAAUCCCAGGGCGUUUAGAGAAACCUUACACUACGAGGCGUGCUUUGUAUCGCACUAUUUCAUUCUUCUCAUUACGUUUCUUCACAAAAACCCACUUGUAGCCCACGGGUUUCACAUGUGGUGGAGUAUGAGCUAUGUGCCUAAACAUCUUACGUUGUGCAAACGAAUCGAGUUCGACCUGGAUUGCUUGUUUCUAAUUUGACCAAUCCGUUUUACAUCAGUAUUCAUCGACGGAACGUGGUUCAAUGUCAUUGCUAAGCAUGAUGUUAGUAGCUAUUGUGUACGUAAAUGCAUCAUCAACGAUCAUCUUAUUCCGAUUCCAAACCUCAUCCAAUACUGCAUAAUAGACCGAAAUCUCACAAUUCUCAGGAUGAUAGGUUGUCUCAUCUAAAACAUCAUCGUAAUCUAGAAUAACCUCAUGCGUUGGAAUAGAUAAAUGAGCGAUGGUCAGAUUCAAACUAAGGUCACUAGUUUGUGCUAUUUUCCUUUUCCGGGGUUGUGAAUCCUUUGAACCAGGGAGUCUGCCAUGCUUCAGGGUAGGAGCAGAUGAUUGGCUAGCUGCCAAUAUAUCAGGCUGUGUGGAAGGUGUGGCCGCCCCACCCUAGAGGACGGUUCAGCCUUCCCAGGCAGUAUUACGAUGUACUCUAGGUACAUCGAUCCUUGCAAGUGCGUUUGCAGCGGGUAUAUGUGAUCUCAUCACCUUUGCUAGAUCAGAAAAAGCAUCUGGCAUGCUUUGAGCGAUGCUCUAAGAUCUAGAAUACAUCGCACUUCAGUUUUAGACUAGGCAGUGCAGGGAUCGAAACGAGACAUAAUGAGAGCGUACCACGACAAUUCGCAGUGUUCUACAGGAAUGUUAGCGUUCUUAUCUCCCCCUAACGACGGGAAGACUGUCUCAUUAAAGUGAUAAUCUGCAAAACAUGUGAUAAAGAGAUCUCUUGUCAAGGGCUCUAAGUAGCGAGUAAUUGGUGGCGAAUCAUAACCGACAUAGAUUUCCAUUCUUCUUUGAGGACUUGUUUUGGUAUGUAGUGGUGGCGUUAUUAGCACAUAGACUGUGCACCCAAACACACAUAAAUGUGAGACUUUGGACUCGUAUCCAGUAACCAAUUGUAACGGUGAAUGAGGUAGGGUAGUGGUGAGCCUCAGGCAGAUACCAUCAGUUUGGUUCGCAUAACCAAAGUCUGAGGUAUCAAUUGCAGGCACUUUAUGAAAGCUUCUGUUAGGCCAUUUUAGGUGUGAACAUGAGGUACAUGAUGUUCAACUUCAAUCCCAACUAACAUGCAAUAAACGUCAAAAGUCUUUAACAUAAACUCUCUAACAUUAUCUAGUCGAAUCGACUUGAUCAGAUAAUCAGGGUGGUGUGUCGUAAGCUUAAUAAUUUGUGCUAGGAGUUUCACAAAAGUAAUGUUGCGUGUGGACAAUAAACAAACAUAUGACCAACGUGUCGAUGCAUUAACCAACACCAUAAAGUAUCUAAAUGGUCAACAUUGGUUGGAUAGGUCCACAAAUAUCCCUUUGAAUCCUCUGAAGAAACUUAGGAGGGUUGUGAAUAAUCUUUGUAAUUGAGGGUUGAGUAUUCCACUUUCCCAAAGAACAAGCUUUGCAUGGCAAUAAUCCAACAUAUGGAGGUAAAUGAUGCCCAGGUGAUGAUUUGAGGAUACGACUCAUCAUGUUACGUUCGGGAUGUCCCAUAAGAUCAAGCCAAAGCAGCAAAGUGUUCUAGAACCCAGGCACAAGGUCGGCCAUAUGGUGGGCUUCUAUGCCACCAAUGGUUGUGAUCUAUAAACCACUCAAAAGACAUUUCAUACUCGUAAGAAGUGAUACAAAGAAAUUCAGUAUCAUUCUCUUCAGUGGUUUCAAUAUGAUAUUGAUUAUCUCGAAUGUCUCUAAAACUCAACAACGUUCUUCCAGAACGUAGAGAAUAGAGGGCCUCUUUAAUGGUUAAGGCAGUACCAUUAGACAACAUUAUACAGGCUUUUCUGUAUCCUUCAAUCAGGUUAGAUGAGCCUGAGAGGGUUGUCAAAGGUACAUUCUUAGGUACGAAGUUAGUAAAAUAAUGUUGCUCACGCAAUAUGAUAUACGGAGUAGCACUAUUAGCCAGACAACUAACUUCCCCACAAGUCAUACCAAGAAAUAAAUUAAUGGAAUUGGUCACAUGCAUAAAUAUAAUUUCAUUCAUUCAAUUAAUCAAUCAAGAAAUAAUAUCCAUAAAAUAAUUAUCCAUAAUUUAAAACAACCAAAACCAAACAAAUUAUUCCAAAGACUUAGAAAAAUUGUCCAAAAAUUAAACCAUAAUCCUAAAUAAUAGGGGGGGUCCAACCACUCCUAGUGGGUUCGACCACUAGGGGUAAAAACACUCUAACAACAUGUCUAGAAGAAUAAAACUUAUUCUUCCAUAGGAGUUGAUGCCUCCUGAAAAUCUGAUAUCUUCAUGGAUGUAGUAACAUCUUCGGGAUGUUCCACAUUGGCAAAGUUAGACCACGACGGGAAUGAUACUUGGCAAUAGCCUUGGGGGUAGCUCUGCAUACGUGUGAUCCAUAGUACUAGCACAUAUCCAUUUCAGUGGAAUUGAACGGUAAUUUUUCCCUUGUUCUUUAAAUUUGGGGCCAUAUGUGCAAGGGGUUGGUGCUUCUGGGUCAAAUUUCCUCCCUUGGGUGGGCCUUGGCUCUAUUGACCUUGGGCCCAUGGGUGGGUUUGCCAGCCAUUACCACGGCCAUGACAAUGUUUUCGUCAUUUAUGGCUACUAGAAUUGGUUGCAUGCUUUUCAGGCGCAACGUUCGAGCCAGUGGUUUGAGCUUGAUGAUUUUUCAUCAAAAGUUGGUUCUGUUUUUCAGCAAGAAGUAAACCAGAAUCAACUUUUGAUGAAAAAUUUGGUGAACAUAUGUGCCCUAUAUUGUUGCUGCAGGACAAUAUUGGUAGCAUGGAAUGUCGAAUAAGUCUUCUUCAGGAGAUCUACUUCUAUUAAGUCCACUUUACAGAACUUAAGCAAUGACCAAAUUCUACGUAGUUCAAAUUUGUAUUCAUUCACGGACUUAAAGUCUUUGAAGCGUAGAUGUUGCCAGUCGUGUCCUCCUUUAGGUAAGUAAAUGUCUUUCUGGUGAUCAAAACGAUUGGCCAUAGCAAGCGAGGGUGCGUGGGUCCUUCUCAGCGUGGUACUUGGUUUGCAGUGCAUCAUGAAUGUGUCUUAGAAUGAAGAUCAUUGCAGUAGCUUUCUGAGCUUCAUCGAUGAGUUUGGUUUCUGUAGGUUCCUCGAUGCUGGCUCUAAUACCCUUUGCAAUAAGAUUAAGCUUUAUGUCUUGAACCUAUUUUAGCUAGUUUCUUCUAGAUACUUCUAGAGCGGUGAAAUCGAGCUUGUUCAAGUUCAACAUGUCCCUAAAAUGGAGGGUACAAUAAAACGUGGUUAGUCAUAUGGUAAUUCAUAGACAUACAUCGUAGAACAUUUGGGUUCUAUAUACAUGUAUUGGUUUAAUUUAAACAUGAAAGCUACAAGUUUCAAGUGGUAAGUUUUGAAUGAAAACCUUCGGUUUCAAAGGCACUAAAUAUGAAACUAUAGGUUCAAUUUAGUUUUAUGAAUGAUUAGUUCAUAAAGAAGAGGUUCCUGCAGAAACACAGAAUGCAAUAUGCUGAUUUAAGUGUAUUGGAUUUCAGUUGUUUCGGCAACUCAAGUGUGAGAGCUUCGGGACUAUGAAAGGAUGUCAAUGGUUCAAACUAGAAAAAUAAAUUAUUGAUCGUUAAUGUCCAAAAGUGAUCUUCAGGUCAAUAAUUUUAGAUUAAUUAUCAGAUUAAUGGAUUACAGGUCACUUUUAAUUAAUUCAAUAGAUUGGAACCAAACAGGCUCAAUCAUGAAAGAGUACCCUAAAAAAAUAUUUGGCCUUGAUUUAUAACGUGGGAAUGAAAAAAAUUGGCAUUGGGUCGAAAAAAUAAUGCAGCCCAGCCAAAAGUGGGCUGGUAAUGUUGCAAAGACAAGCCUUAUAGCUCAGUUGCAGGCCAUUGGGCCUCAGGGAGAGCUGCAGGCCUCUGAGGUGUGCGAUCUGGGUUGGGGCAAGUCAAUCCCAGCAAGCAAUACGGGCUUGCUGCAAGUAAGCAUAUGGCAAAGGACAAAGCCCAGCAGCAGAAGAUUGCUGGCAGGUUGGGUCAGGGACACGUAGAUGGGUCCAAGAAGGCCUACAUGCAUUCUUAGGAGUUAGGUGUGAAAUCCUACCAGGCCAAAGGCCUGGCAUGUCUGUGUAGGCGCAGCAAAGCCCAAAGGGCUGUUGCCAUGGUCCAGACAUCCCAACGACGUCGUCCCGGUGGCGUGCUCCACACGGGUAGGCUGCAAGCCAGUGAGGUGCUCUGCGGUGGUGCCUAGCAGCUGCACUACAAUGAGCCGCAGCCAUACCGCAUUAAAUUCCCAGAAUUUUUCCUUUUUUUUUUUUUGACAUCUCUAGGGUUUGGAAAAUCCUAAAUUGCUUCUAAUUUAUUUAUGUGCUUUGACUCACAAAUUCCACAUAGCAAAAUAAUAAUUGCGCAAUGCAUGAAAUGUGUGUGUGUGUGUAUAUAUAUAUAUAUGGACAAAUAUAUGAAUCAUAUACAAUACAUAUCGGAAGGAAAAUAUAAAUAUAGGGAUUUAUGCAUAAUGGGGAAAACAAAUAUCAUGCUUCGUGGACAUUUCAAAUAUCUUACUUUAUUUAAGCGUACCUGAUUGGCAAAAAACAUAUAAAAGCCCUUGAAUUUUGUAGAAGAAAAGCCUUUGAUUUAAUUGUGAGGUGUGUGUUGUAUCACCCCAUUGUGCCUUUAUUUAUAGUAAUAGGAUGGUUUAAUCUUAUCCUAAUGAUGAGCACAAAUUAUACUACUUAUGUUGCCCGAAAAAUUACAUUUUUCCUAUGAUAUGUUGGAUUUAAGUGAAAGAAUUAACUUGUCUCUAUACCAUGAUGGCUAGGGAAAGGAGAUGACUGAAUUGCAAUAUAACUAGCUUGCUUUGUUUCAUCUUUUGCUUAAAAAAGUAACCAUUGUAUAAUUGGCUCACACAAAAGACUUGUUAGGCUCCAUUUUAAUCUUGGGAAUUAUUUGUCAUCUUGUUAAGCUCUAGUAUUAAAAAGCUAAAUUUGUUUUCACUUAAACUUUAUCCAGGUUUGCCCUUUUGUCCAACAAAGAGCAGCAUUUCUAUGCUUUUGCAAGCAAAGGAGGUUGACUUGUAAACCUAUUAGUGCAAUAAAUUUGUGCACGUGAAAUAAAGAAGAAUUUGUAUUGUUUUAUCUCAUUUUCCUAGACUCACACCCGGACACACCAUGGCAGUAGAGGAAGAGAGAAUGAAAUGAGUAGAUCAUAACUGACACACCGAAUUUCUAUUUCAAUCUCUUGUUUGUGGGUUAUCUAUGGACGAAUAGUAUGGGCAUAUUCAGCUUUCAUAUUUUGGCUGCCCAUUCCGUUCACUUGCAGUGGGCAGUUUGGUUACUUCAAGAUUUGUUGGAAGUGGAAUUGGAAGAUGAAAUAUCAGUUACUAAUCAAGCAGAGAGUGAAAAGAGGCAACAUGGGUGCUUGAGUGUACGAAAUGGCUGGUGAAGAAUUCAAUUCUCUUCCGUAUCUUAUCUGUUAUUUUUAAUCAAUAAAUGGGCGUUAAGGUCUCAACGGUUACGAAAAAGAAACGGCUAAUUGGAGAGUGAAAGGAGGUAGCCUGGUCAUGAUUGAAAUAGGGGAGGAAGGAAAGAAAAAAAGCAUCGGUAGAACAAGAAGAAGAAGGCAGCGGUAGAGCAAGGGCACUUUUCAGGCUUUUUCUAAACUAAAUUUUCUUCUUAUUUCUUAUGGAUUCAGUACCAAUUUCAAUUAUGUUUGGAAACUAAUUUCUUUUCGCUAGGGCUACGAUGUAGCCUAACUAUGAAUUCUUAAUUUCUCAGUUUAAUUAUUUAUGAAUUUUCAUUCAAGUUAAGUAUCAUUUUGAUGUGCUUAUGAGCUUGAUUUUAAUCUUGGUGAUUGGCCAUCACUUUGGUUUGAGUUGAGUGUAUUUGCUACAAAGUAACACAGAUGCCAUGUUGUUAAUUCAGUUUUAGCGUCUUGCAAAUGGUACCAUGAAUUCCUUGAUGUAGAUGCCAUACACUAGGUUUCAUGCAGUCUCUUAAGUAGUUCCUAAAUCGUUAAUGAAUUCUUGUGUGUUUAGUAAUCUAGAUGCCAUAGAUUGUUAGCACAUAUGAGUAUACAUAGUAAUCUAGAUGCCAUGGAUACUAUAUGAAUUAGAGGGACUAGACCGUCAAUUUGGAUGAUUACUCAUUAAUAAUUAACUGUAGGAAUUGAGUUGGAUUGGUUAUGGUGAAUCGGAUUCCCUAGUGUCUUUCACAACUGAUUUAUAAUUUUCUUUGCAAGUUGUUCAUCAUUUUUCAUUACUUGUUAAUUUCAUUUUACUUUUUAUUAAUUUAGAAUCUCUACUCCUAAAUUUUUCUCAAUCAUUAAGCGUACAAUUUCAAUUCAAGUGCAAUACAAUUUAAGUUAGAUAGAAUUAUUUCAAUCUUAGUUGGAACGAUCUUGUGCUUGCCUACUAUACUACUUAAUGAUUCGUACACUUGCGAGCAAUAAAAUUUGGACUUAAUUGGGUUGAUUUUGGUUAAUCUAAUUUUUGCAACACCUAAUAGGAUUACAGCUCUAAUACUACUAAAAAGAAUAUUCCAAGAUAUGCUUAGAUACACUUAGAUUUAAUACAAAGGAAAACUAAUGAAAAUGGCUUGAAAACUUUGACUUUUAACGAUAAGGACAAAAUAAAGGGUAAAGUGAAUAGUACCAAGAUUGACUUUUUAGUGUAAAAAUGUGGUUUUUCGUUAAAGUGAACAGUACCGGGAGCUUUUCGUUAAAGUUCCCUUUAUACAAUCACAUUCCUAUUUUAAAUAUAACUGCAAGAGCAACUAAAAUGUUUGAAUUUUGAGGAAAAUUUUACAGUACUGUUGUGGUCUAUAUUUAUCUGACAAAGAGACUAGGGCCAGCGGCAGAGAGAGAGAGGAGAGAGAUGUGUGUUUGUAGAACUGUAGGGGAAUGUGUGUGUUGUUAUCCCUCCUACAUUGUGCCUUUAUUUAUAGUAGUAAAGGGAGAGAAGAUAUUCCUUCUCCUCCAAGUAAUACAAGUUGUAAUAGGAAAGGAUAACUAGAAUCAAAUCUAAUCUAGGAUUUACACAAUCAUACUUAUUUUAGGAAUGUUUACACUCCCCCUUGAGUGUGCAAAUACUUAAGGUAGAUUUAGCAUCAUGCAGAAGUUGAGGAAGUCGACUCGUCAGCACUGAUUCCAAGGAACAACGCUUAUUCUCAAUAAGGUAGGAACUUGCAUAAGUAGUAAGUCUCACUAAAAAACCCUAAGGCUAUGGCAAAAACCCAAGUAGGGACAAAAUCCAUAGUCUAAGGAAAAAUGCGUGAGAAAUGCAAAGUCAAAAGAAACGUCUACAGGACGUCAUCAGGGAUAUGACCAGCCCAAGGUGGUUGCCUCGUUAAAACUUAGUUAGGUAGCAAAAACCCAGUGGGAAAAAUGCUCCUAAUCGUAGGGAAAAAGAGUACAUUAAGAUCAAGCAAGUAUCCAGAAGAUACUCCCCCUGAGUUUGACAUAAUUCCAAAGAGAAAUAGCAAAGUUACAACUAAGAAAGUUUACGCAUACCAAUUCCAUGAACAAGCUUCUGAAACGUCGCCUUCGGUAGUGAUUUGGUGAACAGGUCGGCCAGAUUGUCUUGUGAUCGGAUUUGCGUGACUUCAAUCUUCUGAUGCUCUUGUUGUUGAUGUGUAAAGAAGAACUUUGGCGCAAUAUGCUUGGUGUUGUCUACUUUGAUGUAACCUUCUUGAGCUGUUCGAUGCAAGCUGCGUUGUCUUCAAAAAUCGUCGUCGGGGCAUUAACGGCGGGAUGAAGAUCACAGGAGCUUCGAAUAUGGCCCAUUACUGCUCUCAACCAAAAGCAUUCCCGAGUUGCUUCAUGUAAGGCGAGAAUUUCAGCAUGGUUAGACGAAGUGGCAACUAAGGUCUGUUUAGUUGACCUCCAAGAUAUUGCGGUGCCUCUAACGGUAAAGACAUAACCCGUUUGAGAACGUGCCUUGUGCGGAUCAGAUAAGUAUCCAGCGUCGGCAUAACCAACAAGGCGAGAAUCAACCCGAUGAGCAUAGGGUGCGGCAUCACUCGAGGAUUCAUAGGGAUAGAAUAAGCCCAAAUCCGUAGUACCCUUAAGGUAACGGAAGAUGUCUUUCAUGCCAGUCCAAUGUCUGCGUAUUGGUGCAUUGCUGUAUCUUGCCAAAAGAUUAACAGCGAAGGAGAUGUCGGGUCUAGUGCAUUGAGCUAAGUGCAAUAAAGCGCCUAUCGCACUUAGAUAAGGAACUUCAAGCUCCAAAAUCUCUUCAUCAUCUUCCUUCGGACGGAAGGGAUCUCAAUUUGCAUCUAGCGUACGAACGACCAUAUGAGUACUCGAAGACUUCGCUUUAUCCUCAUUAAAAUGGCGCAACACCUUGUGGGUGUAGUUCGAUUGAUGUACUAAGAUUCCAUCCGAACAAUGCUCUAUCUCGAGACCGAGACAGUAUCGAGUCUUUCCUAGAUCUUUCAUCUCAAAUUCCGACUUCAGGUGCGAAGCAGUUCUCGCAAGCUCUUCAGGAGUUCUGAUGAGAUUCAUGUCAUCAACAUAUACUGCAACAAUCGUAAAUCCAGAAUGUGACUUCUUAAUGAACACACAAGGGCAUAGUUCGUUGUUCACAUAUCCUUGACUAGUCAAAUACUCACUCAGACGGUUAUACCACAUUCUUCCGGAUUGUUUCAAACCGUAUAGUGAACGCCUCAGCCAAAUUGAGAGCAUGUUCCGGGGUUUGGAAAUAGUUGAACCAGUCAAUGUAAGUCAUUCGGGAACUUUCAUAUAAAUUUUCGUAUCAAGAUCCCCAUAGAGAUAUGCGGUUACUACGUCCAUCAGCUGCAUAUCCAGUUUUUCGGAAACUACCAAACUGAUAAGGUAUCGAAAAGUAAUCACAUCCAUAACGGGUGAGUAAGUUUCGUCAUAGUCAAUCCCGAGGCGUUGUGAGAAACCUUGUGCUACAAGACGAGCUUUGUAACGCACAAUUUCGUUCUUCUCAUUACGCUUCCGAACGAAAACCCACUUGUAGCCAACGGGUUUCACAUGUGGAGGAGUAGGAACUACAGGUCCAAACACCUUACGUUUCGCAAGUGAAUCAAGGUCGACUUGGAUUGCUUGUUUCCAGUUUGACCAAUCAGCUCUACGUCGACAUUGAUCAACGGAACGCGGUUCAAUGUCAUCGCUCAACAUGAUCUCAGUAGCUACUGCAAAUUCUAAUGCAUCGUCGACAAUCAUCUCAUUUCUACGCCACACAUCAUCUAAGCUAGCAUAAUAGACCGAAAUCUCACGAUUCUCAGGAGGAGGAUUCGUCUCUUCAAGGACGCUUCCAUAAUCUAGAAUUACCUCAUGAGUUGGGUAAAAUGAGUAAGCGAUAGUCGGAUUCACGGUAGGCUCUUCAGGACCUUGUGCCACGGUUUUCCUCUUCCGGGGUUGUAAAUCCUUUGAACCAAGGGGUCUGCCAAGCUUUUGUGUAGGGGCAGAUGAUAGGCUAGCCGCUAAUGUACGUGGAUCACCAAAAUUGGCAUCCCGAGCUUCCAAGAGGGUAGUCCGUCGUACAUUUGGUACAUCUAUCUUUGCAGGCGUAUUCGCAGUUGGAAUAUGUGAUCUUAUCACGCGCGCUAGAUUGGUGAAAGCAUCUGGCAUGCUUUGAGCUAUGCUCUGGAGAUCUAAUAUGCGAUGCACUUCAGCUUCAGACUGAGCGGUGCGGGGAUCUAAAUGAGACAAAGUGGGAGUCAUCCACGAUAAUUCGCGUCAUUCAUUAGGAACGUUGACGUUCUUAUCUCCCCCUAACGGCGGGAAGACUAUCUCAUAGAAGUGACAAUCCGCGAAACGAGCGGUAAACAGAUCGCCUGUCAAAGGUUCUAAGUAACGAAUAAUCGAAGUAGAAUCCUAUCCGACAUAGAUUCUCAUCCUUCGCUGAGGCCCUAUUUUUGUACGUAAGGGCAGCGAAAUCGGCACAUAGAUCGCACAACCAAAAAUGCGCAGAUGCGAUAUGUGAUGCGUAAAAUUACUUGACACACAAAUUAAACCCUCUUUUUGAUAAUUGUAGUAUAGAUGUAAGUAGGGUAUCGUUCUAGGCCGGGGAUUAUGAGGGAUUGCUAAUCUAUUCUAAAUUAAUUUAAAAAUAUUAAACAAGACUCAAGGACACAAAACUAGGCUAAAAACUCUAAUAACUCGAAACACACUUAGAAUGACUCAAAAUAAUGAAAACAAUCAAAUUAGACACUAGGAACUGAAAUGGACGGAAAUUGAAUUAAAAGACUAACAACAAUGAAAACUAACUAAAUAAUAUAAUUUAAUAAUGGGGGGUUUGGUUUUGACGAGAAGUAAAUUAAACUUAAAUAAAUUACAGAAUUGACAAAAACAUGAAAUUAAGGUGAAAGGAUAGGUGACGGACUAGCUAGAGGGUUCUUCUCCACACAUGACACAUAUGCAACCUAAAUUGAUUUUCAGUUGUUCUUUCAAUAAAUUGUAAAUCUCAACGCCCCAAAUUAACCGUGAAUUGCACUAAUUAACCCUCAGUUUUUCCACAAUGUUAUUGGGUUCGAUGAUUGCAUACGAAAACCCAAAACAUUCCCUACAAGUUCCCUACAUGAAUUGCAUAAUAGAGAUACAAGCAAGAAUCAUUAAGUUCUAUGAAAAACAUAAGCAUUGACGAGGCACUCGUUACUAUGAUUUGCAUGAAACUUAUGCCAAGAAUUUACUUAACGUGAUUGUGACUAGCAACCUUCACUACUUGUGAAUAUAAGUUCAUAACGAUUAGGUGAAAUUCACUUAUAUUCUAGCAUCAAAUUCAUGCAUGUAAAUUAAGUAUGCAUCCUUAAUCGACAUACAAAAAUAAGUUAUAAAUCAAGCAGUUAAGCAAAUUAAAUCACAACUCAGAAAUCACAACUGAAGGUAAUCAAUUCAUAUUACAAAUAUAUUCAUGGCUUUGAAUUAACCUCUAGCCAAAAUAAAUUUAGUUACACAUUAUUAAAACAGAAAUAAAAUAUAAGUUUGGAAAGAUUUAACCGAGAGAGAGGGCAGAUUGCUGCUUUCUUCACUGGCGUCCUCCCUGUCUUCUCUUGAUCUCUCCGCAUGUCCUCACUUCCCCCUGCUGUCCUCACCUUUCUCUGCUGUCCUCACCUUCGGUUUCUGCUUUCCUCGCUGCCCAAGGCAGCCAAGCCUUUUAUUCCUCCUGCGCAGGUUCACGCUGCAAGAGCAGCCUGAUGCGAAAUAUAUAAGCACACAAAUUUAACCCUCUUUUUGACAAUUGUAGUAUAGAUGUAAGUAGGGUAUCGUUCUAGGCCGGGGAUUAGGAGGGAUUGCUAAUCUAUUCUAAAUUAAUUUAAAAAUAUUAAAUAAGACUCAAGGACACAAAACUAGGCUAAAAACUCUAAUAACUCGAAACACACGUAGAAUGACCCAAAAUAAUGGAAACAAUCAAAUUAGACACUAGGAACUGAAAUGGACGGAAAUUGAAUUAAAAGACUAACAACAAUGAAAGCUAACUAAAUAAUAUAAUUUAAUAAUGGGGGGUGUUUGGUUUUGACGAGAAGUAAAUUAAACUUAAAUAAAUUACAGAAUUGACAAAAAUAUGAAAUUAAGGUGAAAGGAUAGAUGACGGACUAGCUAGAGGGUUCUUCUCCACACAUGACACAUAUGCAACCUAAAUUGAUUUUUCAGUUGUUCUUUCAAUAAAUUGUAAAUCUCAACGCCCCAAAUUAACCGUGAAUUGCACUAAUUAACCCUCAGUUUUUCCACAAGUUAUUGGGUUGGAUGAUUGCAUACGACAACCCAAAACAUUCCCUACAAGUUCCCUACAUGAAUUGCAUAAUAGAGAUACAAGCAAGAAUCAUUAAGUUCUAUGAAAAACAUAAGCAUUGACGAGGCACUCGUUACUAUGAUUUGCAUGAAACUUAUGCCAAGAAUUUACUUAACGUGAUUGUGACUAGCAACCUUCACUACUUGUGAAUAUAAGUUCAUAACGAUUAGGUGAAAUUCACUUAUAUUCUAGCAUCAAAUUCAUGCAUGUAAAUUAAGUAUGCAUCCUUAAUCGACAUACAAAAAUAAGUUAUAAAUCAAGCAGUUAAGCAAAUUAAAUCACAACUGAAGGUAAUCAAUUCAUAUUACAAAUAUAUUCAUGGCUUUGAAUUAACCUCUAGCCAAAAUAAAUUUAGUUACACAUUAUUAAAACAGAAAUAAAAUAUAAGUUUGGAAAGAUUUAACCGAGAAAAGAAGGCAGCUUGCUGCUUCUGUCUGUGCCCUUCUCGUGCUGCAAGGCAGCUUCCUGUCAGUUCUCUCCUCUUCCUUCCGUGCUGCCCUCUGCCCUCACUUCUCUCCCUUUUAUUUUCUUAUUCUGUUUUUUUCUUUUUUUUUCUGCGCAGUCCUCUCUCUGCACUCUUCCCUGCGCCUCUGACUUCUAUUUUCUUCUUAUUUUCUUCUACACAGUUUUCUGUGCUGCACCACUGGCUUCUGACCUCUCCCUUCUGUCCGUGCUAUCUGCUGCCGCAAGGCAGCUGUCUGCCUUUUGGUUCUCCCCUGCUCAAGCUGCCAAAUGGCAGCUUUCCUCUUGCCUUUCUCUCCUGCCCCGCGUCACUUCUCUCUGUCUGACCUUCUCUCCCCCCUGCUGUCCUCACCUUUCUCUGCUGUCCUCACCUUCGGUUUCUGCUUUCCUCGCUGCCCAAGGCAGCCAAGCCUUUUAUUCCUCCUGCCCAGGUUCACUUCUUUCCGUCUCUGCGAGUUGCCCAAAGGGCAGCCCCCUUUCUCCUGCUCCCCCCUCCUCUUCUCCUUAUUUUUCCAAAGCCCCCCUGGAAGCUCAGCUCCCCCACUCUUUUAUUCUUUUAUUUCUGACCUACUCCCCACUACUAUUUUUCUAUUCUUUCCACCUACCUUCUCCACUCUGUCCGUGCCCUCUCCCCUUUCUUAUUUCUUUUUUUCCUUCUUUUCCUUCUUUCAUUCUUUUACAAAACAUUCAAACAUCAUUAUUAUUAUUUAUUUAUUAUUAUAUAUUUUUUUAAUUUAAUUUAAAAGCUGAUCUACACAGACAGUUUUUACGAAUUUAUUACAUAAAAUUUCACUUGUUCUAUUUUUAUUUUCUUUGCAUAACAAAUCCUAUAAACACAAAAAUAACGUAAAUAACUCAAAAAUAUAAGGAACUAACUAAGAAAAGACGAGUGAAUUUGAAGUAAAAAUAUAUAUAAAUAUGAUCCGAUCAAAUACCCCCAUACUUAGCUUUUGCUAGUCCUCGAGCAAAACAAAGAAAACAUGAAAAAGUACUAACAUGAAAAACAUUAGUUUCCCCCUAUGUGACCCUCAUAGAAUUUCAUUUGAGAACACAAAUCAUCAAGAACCAUAGCUAGCACCAAACAAGUUAAUCCAAGUUCAUCUUCUUUAUUCAAAUAUUAGCAGUAAUCUUUGAAUCAUCCUUGAGGUGUAGUGUGUGAGAUAGCCAUGCUAAUGCAAUUUCAAGUUUUUAUUUUUAAAAUCAUCAUAUGCGAACUAGCGACCUUCUCACGGGAUAUACACUCAAUCACACAUGUGUCUAGUUUAAAUGUGUUUCGCUCAAAGAAUCAAAUGUGAAAUUUCUACCAUAAGCUUGCAUAAAGAUCACUUCUCCACAGUCAUAAUUGCAAAACUUAAAUCAAGAGGACUUUUAUUGGAUGUAAUGAGGCUUAUGGAUAUGGUUAUUGAAACGAAAGAAUAGGAAAACACAAGUUCCAAGCUACAUUGCAAGCAAUUAUUUUGUUUAGAUUUAUAAGAACUCAAGCUCUCCAACGAUUCUUCUGAUACCUCCAAUCACACCCUUAAACUGAAACUUUAAAAACUUUUUAUUUUCUUUGUAUACAAUCUUUCUUUUUCUUUUCUCUUUUUUUUUUUUUUUUAUUUUUUUAUUUUUUAAAUACAAACAUGAAAUACCCCCACACUUAUUCUUUUGCCAAACACCUUCAAAGUACUUCACAAACGUAUCUCAUAGGACAAUCUCGCAUUGCUCGCUUGGAAAGGGUAAGGAAAAAUGUUUUAGGUAUAAGGGUAAAUAUCUGGUGAUAAGAAAUAAAAGGCUCAACAUACACGGCUCAAAUUGGCAAUCUAAUGAUAUCAUUUUUCUUUGGGAAACAUGGUUAUUUGGGCCAUGGUGGUAAACCUAAUGCCUCUAUCAUUUCCAAGUUCAUGCAAUCAAUGACAAACAUUUCGAAAGAUCGUUACCCAAGUUCUAGAGAUGUAUCUCACAUAAGUUCAUCACACAUGAAAGAAUAGGAGUGUAUGAAAAAUGCACACACUUUCAAUAGGCUCAAAAACUCACAUAGGAUGUAUAUGGUCACUAAAUUCACAGAUGAAGCUUUAAGUCAUACUUUAGUUUCACAUUAACAAGGCUAUGUGCAUUUGGUUUUUCAAAGAUGAUCAAACAUGUACAAAACUAACAAGAGAAUUAGGAAUUUCACAAAACACAUGUUAACUAAGUUCUUGAUGAUCAUGGUUCAAAUUUGAUCCAAUUAUAUCAUUGGGUCGGGAAACUAACAAAAAUCUAAUUCAGAACAAUAAGGGGAACAAGACAAUAUUUUUGGAUUUUUAAAUUUUCCGAAUUUUUUGUUUAAAAUUAAAUUUUUUUUUUUAAAAAGAAAACAAAACUAAUUAAGAAAACAAAAAAAAACAACAACACGGAAACAAAUGAAACCCGUUCGUAGUUGAAGGUACAAAAAAUUUCAAUUUGGUCAUUUUUUAUACUCUUUACCCCCAAACUUAAACUGGACAUUGUCCCCAAUGUCAGAAAACACUAUAAUACAAAUAAAAAUAAAAUAAAUAAAUAAUAAGAAACAAAAUAAAACAAUGGGACUGAAAACUUCCCUAAUUUGCAGUAAAAUCAAGCGAUGACCCCCAAGCUAAAAUUCUGCAAUCAACUUCAAGGGUGGAAAGAACCAAAAGUUCCUGCAAAGAAAAGAAACAAUUCAGUUAAGUAACGCAAGAAAAUGUAAAAAAAAUUGCAAACGAAAAAUUGAAAAUCACGAUAAAAGACAAUGAAUAGAACUAAUAAGUGAUCAUUGGUCGUGCUUGUUGACUUUCCACAGCUUUCCUCUUGAACAGGGUGACACUUAGCUUUUUACUUGCAAGUGAUGAUUUGAUGAUAUUGUACGGCGAAGCUUUGCUCUUUGGUGAUGUUGCAGUUCCUUAUUUGUUCUCCAAGCAGAUGUGGCAGCUUCUCUAGUUCUUCAGCUCGGACUCCUUGUGCUGGGUUGAUUGUACGAGCUGCAUUCUUCUCUGCUUGUUUCUUCUGCACAACGGGCAGGCACGAGGGAGAGGUGUUGGUCUGUUUCUUUCUUCAAUCUUUCCAAGUGCCCACCUCUUGCUCUCUUUCUCCUUGUCCCUAGCUGAAUUGUCUCCACAUGCUUCGAGGUAUCAUUUUCACUUCCCUUACUGUCCCCCAGGCAGAUGUGGUAGACGAAGAGAAAGCAUAAAAUGAUGAAGAUGAGUACUCGAGAGCAAGGCUAGGUAAGCAAUCAGGAAGGGGUUCCAGGCAGUUGGCUCCAGAUCGGAAGAUUGAUACCAAAUGCUGGCUGAUUGCUCUUUUUCUCCUUGUCGUAAAACAAAGACAAGGAAAAGGACAGGGAGAAAGCAUGAUAUGAGAUACUCUUGCUUUCAACCUUCAUGAUAUGAAAUACUUUUGCUCUGGAUGGGUUGUUUGCAGGGGUAUCCCAGGGAAUGAGGAAUACAGUGUGACUCGAGAGGGUUCUUUGGGAAUGCAUUCUCGGAGAUGAAGAAGUGCUGAGAGGGUCUGCCUUUGCUGUGGAAGGCGAAGGUAAAUACUUAUAGGACUUUUCUUCACAACCGGAACUAUUCUCUCACUCAUUGUCGGUAGCCGGUGGAUGGAUGAAUAGUACAAAUUACGCGCUUUCUGACAAAGCUGCCCGUAAUUUCCGCAAAGCAGAUUCCUCAUUGAUAUCUGGAAUCGGCGCUUCAAGCUCUGAGCAUCGUCGAUUGUAGAGGUAGCAUGUGACACGUGCGGAUAAAUCUGGAAAGAAGAUUUGCCCGUGGGUUGAAGCCCAGCUUUUGAGAAAGCUAGCGUGUCUUUGACUGUUGAAUUUCCUUCUUCGAUUUCUGAAUUGGUGCUUCGACAAACUGCCCGAGAUUUUCGCAAAGCAAUUUGCGUGUGACAAGUGACGACACGUCUGGACAAAUUGAUCUUUUGAAAUCCGGGGUUCGGCUCGUGGUUUCUGAGCAAGCCCAGCCUUUAAGAAAUGAAACGCCUCUUUUGAGAAAAGAAUCCGGCUUUUGAGAAAGGAAACUCCUCUUUUGAGAAAAGAAUCAGGCGUUUGAGAACGGAGCCCCGACUCUUCGAUUUGCGAGAGAACGCCUCUUCAAUUUCUGAGGAGCGCCUCUUUGAUUUCUUCUUUUUAUAGAGGCGCUAAUUUUGUUCCACAACACACUUGAGCUCCCUCCUGUAAACACUCCCUUCUUGCACUUGUUUAAUCUUAAUCUGUCCGAUCUCUUCUUUCUCAACACCUUCAGAAAAUGUCUGGCCCUUCCGAUCGUCGUUUUGACUUGAACCGUGGUGCAGGCUUCACCAACAUACAUCUUUCAUAUCCCCUACUGGUCCUCUUACCCGUUGGGGAUUCCGUGAUGAAAAUGACAUGACCGCUGCGGUGGUGCCCGGAACCUUGUCACCCCCAGAGAUAACAGACUGCUCGCUAGACGAUCUGAUGAAUUGGCGGUUAAGGAGUCUCUGGCUCUUAGCGUGCAGUGUGCCGGUUCCGUGUCCAACAUGGCCCAACGCCUAUUUGCCCGUCACGUUGAAUCGUUGGUGGCUGAAAUACAGAGUCUCAAAGAGGAGAUUAGAGGACUCAAGCAUGAAAAUAAACAAUUGCACAAGCUUGCACACAAUUAUGCCACAAACAUGAAGAGGAAAAUUGACCAGCUACAGGAAAAUGAUGGUCAGAUUUUACUUGAUCACCGGAGUUUGUGGGUUUGUUCCAACGCAUCUGCCUUCGCUUCUGGGGCAGCACCGCGUAGUGAAGCUCCAACUGAUCAACCUCUGAUACCUCCUCCUUGGCUCCGCCGACUGCUGAAGCUCCGCCGACUACUGAAGCACCACCUGACCAAUACCCCUAUUAGUGCUUUAGUUUACACAUGUUUUACUUUUUAUGUUUUUUUUUUUUUUUUUUUCUUUUUUAAAUUAAUGUAGUAAAGACUUCCCCCACACUUAAACUAAAAUAACCACAAACCCUUCCCAAAUUAAACUAAAUAACAAAACAAACUAACAAACAAAUGAAAGCAGUAAAGAAAAGGGUGUAACAAUUAACUUUGGUUAUUCACUUAAAAGUCUUCCUUCAAUGAAAUUAAGAAACAACUUACGUUAACCAAAACAAAACUAAAAAUGAAAAAGCAGGGUGUAAGAAUUCAAAAUCUGAUUUGGUUAGCGAUUCCAAAGUCUCCCUUCGUUGAAUGCUUGGGUUGCCUCCGCUUGAUUUAACGUCUUUUAAAUCCCCUCGACGAACUCUCUUCCAAGCAUGGAAUUUAUCUUUUAAUGGGAGGUGAUACUUGAAAUGAUUCGGCAAUGGUUUAAAUUCAAGAAUGGGUGCCUGAAUCAUCAAAAUCAGAAAAAUGUUAGUAUAAAUAAAAAUUAAAAUUGGAGAAGAUGGCUUACUUUCUUUUUCCGACAACAAACUCAAUGACAAACACCACAUCUUUGAACUUGAAUUUCUUUUUCUGGGAUUUUGAACUUGGCCAGGUUUACUAUAUGAUGGUUGUGGCUUGUCCCGGGUCAUCAAACUCAACUGCUUUGGGCUUGAUUGUCUCAUGCACAACCCCUUGGAUGAAUUCUUGAUCUGCUUCAACCACUUCAUUCUCUUGAAUCCCUUUUCUUGGUGUGCAAGGUUCUUUGAACGUUUCAAUACCAUCGGGAACUUGUUUUGGUGCACCAAGAAUUGGGAUAUCACUUUGCACCUUUGGAAGAGCUUCCACAAUGUCUUUUUCACUCUCUUUGAUAUUUGGAAUCAAAAACCUGCAAGGACAAAGGACAUUCGGUGGAAUAAUGUUAGAAUGAAGUGAAUUUAGAACUUCCUCACCUGAGUUGGAUGACAUAGGGACUUGAGGAGCUUGCAGCAAGAAUUCUUCUAAACUGCCCAGGUCGUCCUCCUCCUCUUCUGCUUGCAGCAGCAAUUCAUCCAUGUUCGGGCUGUGUUUGGAUAGUUCUGGGACAGCUUCAUCCUUCAUAGCACUUCCCAAAGUGAUAGCAUCGUGGAUUUCAAAAUCUUCCUUCGAAUUUUCAACAUUUGAGUUGGAGAGUUCACUUUGCUCUUGAAUUUGUACCAUGAAUUCCAUAAUCUCUCCCAUUUGACUCUUCAAUUUAUCCAACUUCUUGUCUUGAUUUUGUUGGUCCUGCGUCAAAGAGGUUAGUACUUGAAGAAUUUGAUCACUAUCCAUGGACAUACUUGAAUUUGAUUGGAAUUGUUGUGGGGUAUGCGGUGGUGGCUGUAUAGGUGUGGUGUAGAACUCCUCAUAUGGCUGCCAAUAUGCAUCUUGUUGAGCCUCCUUGGCUUGAUUUUGUGAGCCCUGCACCAAACAAUUUAAUUCAUUAAGAAUUUGAUUAUAAUUUAUUGACGAACCUGAGUUUGAUUGAGCAUAUUGCAUAGGUUUUGAAUAGAACUCCUCCUCUUGCUGCCAAUAUCCCUCUUGUUGGAAUUGUUGAGGUUCCCCCCACAUAUAAUUUGAAUGAUCUCUCCAAGCCGAAUUGUAAGCGUUGGAAAACAUGUUGUUGCUUGGUUGAUCAUAGCCUUGAUAACCCCAAGCAUCUUCGUUCACAGUGAAUUGAGGAUGUUGAUAUCCUUGCCCAUAGGGCACAUCAAAUGUAGGGACACUUGGCAUUGUGGUCCGUUCGGCAUUAUGAGUCAAUUGAGCAGUGAGCUGUGCCAAUUGAGCUUGAAUGGUCGCAAGUGCCAUGUCUUGCUCCAUUUGUACCUAAAAUCAAAGAAAGAAAAAUAACUCAAAUAUCAAAAGUAACACAAAACAAGGAAAACAAAACUAAGUCAGAAACUAAAACAAAAAACAAACUAAACAAAAAGAAAAGAACCAAGGGAUUAGCAAAGUUGCUAAUCCCCGGCAACGGCGCCAAAAUUUGAUGCGUAAAAUUACUUGACACACAAAUUAAACCCCUCUUUUUGAUAAUUGUAGUAUAGAUGUAAGUAGGGUAUCGUUCUAGGCCGGGGAUUAGGAGGGAUUGCUAAUCUAUUCUAAAUUAAUUUAAAAAUAUUAAACAAGACUCAAGGACACAAAACUAGGCUAAAAACUCUAAUAACUCGAAACACACUUAGAAUGACUCAAAAUAAUGAAAACAAUCAAAUUAGACACUAGGAACUGAAAUGGACGGAAAUUGAAUUAAAAGACUAACAACAAUGAAAACUAACUAAAUAAUAUAAUUUAAUAAUGGGGGGGGUUUGGUUUUGACGAGAAGUAAAUUAAACUUAAAUAAAUUACAGAAUUGACAAAAACAUGAAAUUAAGGUGAAAGGAUAGGUGACGGACUAGCUAGAGGGUUCUUCUCCACACAUGACACAUAUGCAACCUAAAUUGAUUUUCAGUUGUUCUUUCAAUAAAUUGUAAAUCUCAACGCCCCAAAUUAACCGUGAAUUGCACUAAUUAACCCUCAGUUUUUCCACAAUGUUAUUGGGUUGGAUGAUUGCAUACGACAACCCAAAACAUUCCCUACAAGUUCCCUACAUGAAUUGCAUAAUAGAGAUACAAGCAAGAAUCAUUAAGUUCUAUGAAAAACAUAAGCAUUGACGAGGCACUCGUUACUAUGAUUUGCAUGAAACUUAUGCCAAGAAUUUACUUAACGUGAUUGUGACUAGCAACCUUCACUACUUGUGAAUAUAAGUUCAUAACGAUUAGGUGAAAUUCACUUAUAUUCUAGCAUCAAAUUCAUGCAUGUAAAUUAAGUAUGCAUCCUUAAUCGACAUACAAAAAUAAGUUAUAAAUCAAGCAGUUAAGCAAAUUAAAUCACAACUCAGAAAUCACAACUGAAGGUAAUCAAUUCAUAUUACAAAUAUAUUCAUGGCUUUGAAUUAACCUCUAGCCAAAAUAAAUUUAGUUACACAUUAUUAAAACAGAAAUAAAAUAUAAGUUUGGAAAGAUUUAACCGAGAGAGAGGGCAGAUUGCUGCUUUCUUCACUGGCGUCCUCCCUGUCUUCUCUUGAUCUCUCCGCAUGUCCUCACUUCCCCCUGCUGUCCUCACCUUUCUCUGCUGUCCUCACCUUCGGUUUCUGCUUUCCUCGCUGCCCAAGGCAGCCAAGCCUUUUAUUCCUCCUGCCCAGGUUCACGCUGCAAGAGCAGCCCUUCUUCUUAUCCGCUGCCCAGCUGCAAAGGCAGCUUUCAGCUUUCUUAUUUUUGUUUUUUUUUCUUUGCUGCGCUCUCUGACCUCGCUGCCAAAGGGCAGCGUUAUUCCCCCUCGGUUUCUGCUGCCGCAAGGCAGCUUUUGCUUCUCUCCCUCUGACUUCUGUCCGUGUGGACUCCCCCCUUCUUUCCGCUGUUCCCUUCUCCCGCUUGUUUCUUUCCUUUGUUUUUCUUUUAUUCCUUUUUUCCUCCCGCUUCUCACGCUCUGCCUCUUAUCUUUAUUUUCUUAUUCUUCGUUCUCUCUGCACUGCUGUCCAUUUCCUCUUCUUUUCUUCUUUUAAUCCGUCAGUGCUCCACCUCUCUGACCUACUCUCCCUCUUAUUCUUCUUUCAUCUAUUUUUUAUUCCUUUCCUUUUUUUUCCUCUCCAUCCGUUCCUUUCUUUUCUUCUACAAAACAAAACCAUCAUGAUGAAACAUCAUCAUGACUUAUCAUUAUUAUAUUUUUUUUUAAUUUAAUUUAAAAGUUGAUCUACACAGACAGUUUUGACGAAUUUAUUACAUAAAUUUCACUUGUUCUAUUUUUAUUUUCUUUGCAUAACAAAUCCUAUAAACACAAAAAUAACGUAAAUAGCUCAAAAAUAUAAGGAACUAACUAAGAAAAGACGAGUGAAUUUGAAGUAAAAAUAUAUAUAAAUAUGAUCCGAUCAAUAUGUCGGGUUCGCAUCCGGUGACCAACUGAAGGGCACUAAAUGGUUGUGUCGCAACAGGCCUCAGGCGGACCAACUUUGCUGCGUGCAAUAUUGCAUGGCCCCAAGCAGCGAUCGGGAGCUUGGUACGUAUGACCAACAAUAGAGCAAUCAUUUGUAAACGCUUAAUGAAAGCCUCUGCCAGGCCGUUCUGGGGGUGAACAUGGGGUACAUGAUGUUCAACUUUAACCCCAACUGACAUGCAAUAGUCAUCAAAAGUUUUAGAUGUGAAUUCUCCAGCAUUAUCCAAUCGAAUAGAUUUGAUCGGAUAAUCAGGGUGGUGAGCCCUGAGCUUGAUAACCUGAGCUAACAGUUUGGAGAAUGCAGCGUUCAUUGUGGACAACAAGCACACGUGUGACCAACAUGUAGAAGCGUCAACCAAAACCAUAAAAUAUCUAAAUGGCCCGCAGGGAGGUUGAAUCGGUCCACAAAUGUCCCCCUGAAUCCGUUGAAAAAAAAUGGGACGAUUCGAACGAAUCUUGUCAUAAGAAGGCUUAGUAAUAAGCUUUCCCAUAGAACAUGUUUGACAUGCGAUUUCAUGGAUCGAACCUAAGCUUCGGGUUAAUGGAUGCCCGUGUGAAGUUUUGAGGAUACGGUGCAUCGCUAUUCGUCCAGGAUGUCCCAAACGAUCAUGCCAAAGUGUAAUUUCGUGCGCGGUCCCUGUGGUAGGGCCGGCCACAUAGUGGCAUUCUAUGGGGCGUAUAGUCGUAGUACACAGACCACUCGGGUUACACUCCAUCUUCUCUAGAAUACGCUUCUGGCCAUAUUCGUAGGAAGUUACGCACAGAAAUUCAACUCCAUUUUCUACGUGGGUUUCAGCGUGGUAAUUGUUAUCUCUAAUGUCCUUGAAACUUAGUAACGUUCUUCCAGAACGUGGAGAAUAGAGUACCUCAACAAUGGUCAAGAUUGUACCAUUGGACAACAUUAUACGUGCCUUACCGUAUCCUUCUAUCAGGUUGGAUGGGCCUGAGAGGGUUGUCAGAGGUGCAUUCUUAGGUACAAAGUUAGUGAAAUAGAUGUGUUCACGCAAAACAGUAUUCGUGGUUGCACUAUCUGCCAGACAACUAACUUUCCCACUAGUCAUACCUAGAAUGAAAAAUUAAUUUGAAUUGGUCACAUGCAUAAAAGUUUAUAAAAACAAGUAUCAAUUCAAAAUAAUUUCAUUUAUUCAAGGAUUAAAACUGAAUAUCCAAAAUAAAUCGCCAACUAAUAAUCCAAAACAUAAAGGAAAAUUGUUCAAAAUCAACCAAAAAACAAGGUGGGGUGCGGCCACUAGGUGGAUUUCGGCCCCAAUUGUCUUAUUUCAACUAAAAAAAAUCUAUGUCUGAGAUUCUAAUCUUCCAUAGGAGUGGUAUCCUCCUGAAAGUCAGAAACUUCCAUCUUUGUAGUCUCCGAUUCGUCCACUUGCAUGAAGUUUGAUUCAAAGUUCUUACGACCAGAAUGAUAUUCAUCUACAACCUUCUUGGGAGCACGGCAAAUACGGGACCAAUGGUCCUUUGAACCACAACGAUAGCACAUAUCAUCAUUCAUUGUGGCAAGGCACAUAUCGUCAUUCAUUGUGGCAAGUGCUUUGCCCUUAUUCGUGAAGUUCGGGGCCUUGGGAGCGAGGUUUGGGCGCUUCUGGGCUUUGUUUCCUCCCUUGGAUGGGCCUUGACUCUGUUGACCUUGGUGGGAUGGCUUCUGGCCGCCCUUACCACGCCUCUUUUGGCGUUUUGGGUGCUGAGUAGAGCUAUAAUAUGCUUCAGGCACAGCAAUAGCCCCAGUAGGUCGAGCUUGAUGAUUCUUCAUCAACAGCUGGUUCUGCUUUUCAGCAAGAAGUAAAGCAGAGAUCAAAUCCGAGAACUUAGUGAACUUCUGAGCUCUAUAUUAUUGCUGCAGGAAAAUAUUAGAAGCAGAGAAUGUCGAGUAGGUCUUCUCCAGGAGAUCCUCUUCAGUCAAAGUUUCAUUGCAAAACUUAAGAAGUGAUCGGAUUCGACAAACUUCAGAAUUAUAUUCAUUCACAGACUUAAAGUCUUGGAAGCGCAAGUGCUGCCAGUCGUGUCUUGCUUCAAGCAAGAAUAUGUCCUUUUGGUGAUCGAAACGAUCAGCCAAAGCGACCCAUAAUGCACGUGGAUCCUCCUCAGCAAGGUACUCAGUUUGCAGAGCGUCAUGAAUGUGUCUUCGGAUGAAGAUCAUAGCAGUGGCUUUUUCAGCUUCGCCAACAGGUUCAGUUGCUUCUUCAAUAGCAAGACGCAAGUUCUUUGCAGUGAGGUGGAGCUUCACAUCUUGAACCCACUUGAGGUAGUUCCUUCCAGAGACCUCCAAAGCGGUGAAGUCGAGUUUGUUCAAAUUCGACAUGUUCCUAUCACAAAUAGAUGGACAAGAUGUGGUUAGUGUAAUGGAGAAAAAUCAAUCCAUUCACAUAGGAGUAGAACAUACAGGUUCUAAUAGACAUGUAUUGGUUUAAUUUUGCAUGAAAAACUUCGGGUUUUCAUGGGUGAUAUGUUUAAGAGAAAACUUCAGGUUUUCAAACAAGGCAUGUUUAUAAGAAACUUUGGGUUUCAAAGUAAUUAUGAACUUCAGGUUCAUAUAUUCCUGCAGGCAAACACAAAUAUAUAUGCAAGCAAAUAUGCAACAAAUAUAUGCAAAAAUAUUGUAUAAUGAUAAUUGAAUUAAUUUAUUUUUGCUCUUCGGGGCCAAAUUAAAGUGUGGGUGAAAAUAUAAAAACCCAUAUUAUUAAAAAAAUAUUAAAUAGAAAAUCUCAGGGCCUAAAAAUAUAGGCCGAGAACCCUUGGGUGUAGGCUGCAGGCCCACGGGGUGAGAAGGGGAAUGGGCUGCUGUGUGUAGCCCCAAAAAAUCUUUUGUUUCACAGAUACGGGCUGCAAUAAGCAGGCCCAGAAAAAAAAACUUAAAAAAAAUAUUUUUUUCGAUCUGGGCCGCUGCAGGCGCGCCUAGGAAAUCAAAAAAAAUUUCUUUUCUUUACGGGCUGGGCCGCUGCAAGCGAGCCCAGCAAAAAUUUGUUUAUUUUUUUUCUUGUCACACAGGCCGAGAGGCGGGAGCCCGUUAGGGCUUCAGGGUGCAGGACAAAACAAACCCAGCGGCACUGGGUGUGCGUGGCUAAGGAAGAAGGCCGGAAAAUUUGGGACGGUGCCACUGCAGGUGGUUGUCCAUGAUUCAAAAAUCACGGCGAAGGCCGUGGGGGUCAUUCCUAACCAUAAAUUUGGACGGAGAGUGAGGAAUUCUCAACGUAGUAAAACCCUAGACUUGUCGAUUGAAAUUUCAAAGAAAAAAUCGACUGUCAAUCAAAAAAAAAAAAACUCGUCAGCGACGACUGCAGGUCGUCGAGGGUAUCAGGGCAUGGCUGCAGGCCAUGUUGUUUGACGGUUUCAUGGGUGGUGACGCCUUCUGGGCGUCGGGUCUGGGUGUUAAGCCUGGAGCCGAGGCACCAGGUUUAGUUCUCGACUCGGGAAAGAUGGGGGAUUGGUUGGGCCAUCGCAAGCUGCGGGCCUGGUGGCUUGCGGCUUGCAUGGUACAAGUGCACGGGUUCGUACAGAACCCGUAUUCCCCAAUUCCAAAUUUUUUUUAAUUCAAUUAUAUUAUAUGCAUGUAUAAUUUUAAUGAAUCACAUAUUUACGUUGAUGCAUAUGCAAAUAAUAAUUUCAAUGCAUGUACAUAUGUAAGAUUCAAUUCAUGGUAAAUAUCAAAUUCACAUAAUUGUAGCAAUUUUGGUUAUAAAGCAUACACAAUUUAUGUAGAAUCUAAAAUACGUAAAACGUAAAGUUGAGUCAUGCAUCAUGGUGAAUGUUCAUGCUAUCAGGGCUUGCAAAAUAUCGAGUUAAAAGCCGUUGUUUGGAAAGAACCUGAUUGCGUGAUGAUAUGGAUGAACUAGUUUGAUGCAGAAAAAAAUCUCCAACGUCAGAUUCCUAAGCGCAGCGGUAGGAGCGUGCUGAUAACGUGUUGUGGUCUAUAUUUAUCUGACAGAUAGACUAGGGCCGGCGGCAGAGAGAGAGAGGAGAGAGAUGUGUGUUUGUAGAAUUGUAGGGGAAUGUGUGUGUUGUUAUCCCUCCUACAUUGUGCCUUUAUUUAUAGUAGUAAAGGGAGAGAAGAUAUUCCUUCUCCUCCAAGUAAUACAAGUUGUAAUAGGAAAGGAUAACUAUAAUCAAAUCUAAUCUAGGAUUUACACAAUCAUACUUAUUCUAGGAAUGUUUACAACAAGUACGACAUUUUACUUAGUCAAUUCAAUAUAAGGUUAACGAACAGGUGUCGCAAAUUUUAAAUAUUUCUAAGUAACGAACCUGCGUCGGGUAAGGGUUUAAGAAUCUUAUAAGCCCAGAAGCUUCUUCUUUUUUCCUCCUCCGGCCAUUUCAGUAUCUCUCUCCCUCAAACUGUUCUCUCAGUCUAACUCUCACUCUCACUUUCGAUCUCUCUCUCUCUCUCUCUCUCUCUCUCUCUCACUCUCACUCUCACUCUCACUUUCAUUCUCACUCUGUCUCUCUCUUAGUGCUCUAGUAUUGUCACACUCGCUCUCAGACCAUCCUCGUCACUCAGGUUAUCCUCCUCACUCUCACAACAUCCCUUUCACUCUCGCUCUUCUAGUGUAAGGAGUAAUUUUUUAUUUUGGUUUCUUGAUUUUUGAUUUCGAUUUGAUGAUUUAUAAUUUGUAUUUGGGGUUGAGUCUUUUAUAAUUUGUUAGUUAGGGGUUGAAUCUGUGAUAUUUAGGUUUAGGUUUGUAUUUGUUGAAUCUGUGAUGUUUAAGGUUAGGGUUUUAAUAUGUUGAAUCUAUGAUGUUUAGGGUUAGGGGUUGAAUAUGUGAUACUUAGAGAUGGAUUAUGCACGGUGAAGGUAUGUGUUUUGUGAAAUUAUGAAUUGAAUUUCAAUUUGUUAGUUGUGAAUUGGAUUAUAAUUUGUUAAUUUGGGAUUGAAUCUGUGAUAUUUAGGGUUAAGUUUGUGAAAAUGGAUAGUUCUCCGAUUGAUUUUUUUUUGGUUAAGUUUGCUAAUUUGUUAAUCUGUUUGUUUUUUAAUUUGUUGAAUUUAUUUUGUGAAAGUGGAUGGCUCUCCGAUUGAAACCAACGGCCACCAGUUUGCUUCCUCUUCGGCUCAAAGUGAGACGUCGGUCCUCAGUGCUACAGUGGUGGCCAGUGGGAUCCAAGCCUUGACUGCUGAGUCCGCUAUCGGGACCAGUUCGACCACCCAAUUACCUCCAGUGCACGAUCACAUCAGCCAUUGCCACCAGCCGCCCCCGCCACACCCCACGAUCACAUCACCCCCAUUUGGCAGCAUGGAGGCCAAAUCGGAAUUGGAAAUUUUGUGUAGAAUUUCAUAGUCCCAUGUUGCUCACCACCACAAGGUUCCUCACUUUAUAAGGCUUUGUUCCUUAUUCAAAGUGAUUUGAAUGAUGGACCUUAGAGAAUAAAAUUGAGCUCACCUUUGAGGUUGGGCUUUGAUGUGUACUAAUUAAUUGAUAAUUAAUAUAUAAUUAAUUAUCAAAAGAUGGGUUCUAAUAAUUAAAUACUUUAAUUAAUUAUUUUCGGAUUUAAUUAAUUAUUUUUAAUUAAUUUCGAAUUUAAUUAAUUAAUUAAUUUUUUAUUAUUUUAUCAACACUCAUCAUUUUAGAUGAAGUUUAAAGCGUGAAAGAACGCAGAAAGAAAACACCCAUCUGAAAAGAUGUCUCCGAACAGAUGCAUCCCUUCCUCAUACCUGUUGCGAACAAGCAUAAUCAUAUUAUAUAUACAUCCAUCUGCAUGGUAUUUAGAACACAACAAAUCAACAUUCUUCUUCUACAAUCACAAAUAUCCUUUCUGAGAGAACCACACAGAAAUUCGCCAGAAGUCAAUGUGAACACGGAAAAUUCCUGAAACGAAAGAGACAAGAACAAACGUGCACAAACAAAUAUUUGUAUUUGAUGAUUUUGGGUUACAAUCUCUCUCUAUUUUGAUCCUCUGAUUCGAUCUCCGUAAGGUGUGUAUUUGUGGAUGUGCGAUUGAUCCAAAGGGCCGUUGGGCUUGAUCUAAGGAUGAACGUUCUUCAAGGGCCGUAGACUUGAUCUUGAAGGUGGAUUUGAGCGGAUCUUCAGAGGGGGUUUUUUGGGCUUGAUCUUUGAAAAAACAGUGACGAACGGAUCUUCAAGGGCUUUUGGGCUUGAUCUUGAAGAACAGUGAUGAACGAAUCUUCAAGGGCUUUUGGGCUUGAUCUUGAAGAACAGUUGGAUGUGUGGAUUUGUCGACGUUGUUGAUCCAAAGGGCCGUUGGGGCUUGAUCUUGGAUGAACGGAUGAUGAACGAUGGUGCUUUCUUCAAGGGCCGUCGAGGCUUGAUCUUGAAUUGGUGGAUGGUUGAUCCAAGGGCCGUCGGGGCUUGAUCUUGGAAGAACGAUGAACGAAGAACGAAGAACACUUUCUUCAAGGGCCGUCGGGGCUUGAUCUUGAAUUGGUGGAUGAUUGUUGAUCCAAAGGGCCGUUGGGGCUUGAUCUUGGAAGAACGAUGAACGAAGAACGAAGAAGGCUUUCUUGAUUCUUCGGGAACCUAGAUGCUUGAGAGCUUCGGGGUUUCAGAGCUUCAGAGCUUCAAGGUGUAAUAUCUAUUGGUCCUCUAAAAUGAAUGAAAUGGGCUUGUAUUUAUAGAAUUUUCCAAGGCCUAAUUUUGAAUAUAAUAUCCCAGAUGAAAUAAGUCGUUUCUGCCAGGUGUUGACACGUGUCCUAUUUGAUGACUUUUCCAACUCAUUUCAAUUUUCGUUGAGUCACACGCUACGUGUAAAAUUUAUGUAAUACAUGAGCGUUGACACUUUGAUUUAUCGGUCAACAUUUAUUUACCGAAAUUUCGAUGUCUACAAAUGCCCCCACUUCAAGGCACGUCGUAUACAUGUGCUUGUCACGUGUAGGAGAUGCGUUUUGAAGUCCCUUACUGUAGAUGUCGAUCCAAGGGCCGUCGAGGCUUGAUCUUGAAUUGGGCUGGAGAUUUCUUCAAGGGCCGUUGAGGCUUGUUCUUGAACUUUCGUUUGAAAUUUCUUCAAGGCCGUCGAGGCUUGAUCUUGAAGGUUGAAAUUGAACCACAAGGAACUUCAUGUGGUAGAUGACCUUUGGCUUUGGUAGUGGGUGAAUCGGCACGUAUUUUGUUGCGCUUGUUGACUUUCCACAGCUUUGAUCUUGAACUGGGUUGGAGGAUUUUCUAGAUUCAUCCAAUUGUUGAUUUUCCACAGCUUAUUCUUGAACUAGGUUUUGAUUUAAGGGUGGUAGACAUUUAAUCUUGAAUCGGACUUGUGAUUUCUUCCAAGGUCGUCGAGGCUUGAUUUUGAAUUUGGCUGGAAGCUUCUUCAAGGGCCGUUGAAGCUUGAUUCUUGAAGGCUGACUCGAACACACGGCAAGCAGGCACGAGGUGAAGGUGAUGACUUGUUGCUUUGUUCAAUCUUUCUAAUUCACACCUAAGUAGUUUGGUCAACGGUAUAAUCUCCGAGAUUGAUGGGCUCCUCUUCCAAUUGGUGACUUGGUCUUUAAGGAUUUGAUUCAAGGGUGGUGAAUCGGCACGUGCAGCCCACAAUGCCUAGUAAGUCGACCCAAGAAUUUGAGGGUCAAAACGAGUUCACCGUCCUCAGGCAGAUGCGGCAUCUUCUCGAGUUCUUCAUCUCAGACUCUUUCUGCUGAGUUGACUGUGCAUGCUGCAUUCUUCUCUGCUUGUUUCUUUAGGCAGAUGUGGCAGCUUCUCGAGUUCCUCAGUUCGGACUCCUUCUGCUGAGUUGAUCGUGCAGACCGCAUUCUUCUCUGCUUAUUCCUUCUGCACCUUGUCUCCACAUGCUGCAAGGUAUCAUUUUCACUUGCCUUAUCUGUCCUCCAAGCAGAUGUGGCAGCUUCUUUGAAAGUACAUCAGCAGUGGAAGGCGAGUACUCGAGAGCAGUGCUAAGUAGGCAAUCAGGGAAGGGUUCCAAGCAGUCGGUUCCUUACCCGAGUUUGAGUGGAAGUUCCGGCAUAUUGUUUUCUUUAUCCUUGUCUUUGUAGGUAGGAACAAGGACAAAGGAAAGGACAGGGAGAGUGCAUGAUAUGAGAUACUCUUGCUUUCUACCCUGGUGAUAUGAGAUACUUUUGCUUUGGAGUCAUUAGCUUGCAGAGGUACUCCAAGGAAUAAGGAACACUGAAUGACUCGAGAGGUUUCGUUGGGAAAAUAAUUUUUGAGAUGAAGAGAGGCUCUGUGUGUCUGCCUUGCUAUGGAAGGUGAAGGUGGACAGUUAUAGGAAAUUCGUUAGUACCUGUAGAGGUACUAUUCUUUUACUCGUGUCGGUAACCAAUGCGUGAUUGAUCAGUAUGGCUUCACGUGCUUUCUUCUUUAUCAGAAUUUUUCGACAAAUUGUCCGUAAUUUUCAUCAAGCUGAGCGUGCGUGAUAGGUGUUGACGAGGCUGAAAAAGACUGGCGCUUCUUCGAUAUCUGGGAUUGGCGCUUCGACAAAUUGCCCGUGAUUUCCGCAAAGCUGAGUUUGCGCGUGACGGGUGCUGACGAGGCUGAAAAGACUGGCGCCUCUUCGAUAUCUGGGAUUGGCGCUUUAACAAAUUGCCCGUGAUUUCCGUAAAGCUGAGUUUAGGUGUGACGGGUGCUGACAAGGCUGAAAAGACUGGCGCCUCUUCGAUAUCUGGGAUUGGCGUUUCGACAAACCAUCCGUGAUUUCCGCAAAGCUGAGUUUGCGUGUGACGGGUGCCGACGCGUCUGGAAAAGCAAGAUGCUUCUCCGAUUUCUGAGCUUGCCUCUUCGAUUUUUGAAUGGCCUCUUCGAUUUUUGAAUGGCCUCUUCGAAUUCUGAGCUCGCCUCUUCGAUCUCUGAAAUCCCGUCGAGUGCUGCUUUUUAUAGAGGCAUGCAAUUCGUUUCAAAGCACACUUGAAUUUUCGCUUGUGAAAACUCCCCUCUUGUACUUCUAAGAUCUUGAUUUGUCCGAUCUCUUCUUCCUUCAAUACUUUGAAAAUGUCUGGACCCUCCGACCGUCGUUUUGAUUUGAACCUUGGUGAAGAGGUAGUCCCGUCUUCUCCGGAUAACAUAUGGCGCCCAUCCUUCAUAUCCCCUACUGGUCCUCUUACCGUUGGGGAUUCGGUGAUGAAGAAUGAUAUGACCGCUGCGGUGGUGGCCCGGAACCUUGUCACUCCCAAAGAUAACAGACUACUUUCCAGGCGGUCUGAUGAGUUGGCUGUUAAGGAGUCUCUGGCUCUUAGUGUGCAGUGUGUGGGUUCUGUGUCCAACAUGGCCCAACGCCUAUUUGCUCGAACCCGUCAAGUUGAAUCGUUGGCGGCUGAAGUGAUGAGUCUCAAACAGGAGAUUAGAGGGCUCAAGCAUGAGAAUAAACAGUUGCACAAGCUUGCACACAACUAUGCCACAAACAUGAAGAGGAAAAUUGACCAGAUGCAGGAAUCUGAUGGUCAGAUUUUACUUGAUCAUCGGAGGUUUGUGGGUUUGUUCCAACAACAUUUGCCUUCGUCUUCCAGGGCUGUACCGCGUAGUGAAGCUCCAAAUGAUCAACCUUUGGCUCCUCUUCUUCCUGGAGUUCCGCCGAGUGGUGAAGCUUCAAACAGUCAACCUCCAGCGCCUCUCAUUUCUGGAGCUCUGCCGAGUGGUGAGGCGACACCUGAUCGUCCUUGAAGAUCCUCUCUUGUAAAUUUGAUUUGAUUUUUUUUUUUUUUUUUUUAGGUACGUAUAAUGUAAAUUUAUGUAAAAUUUCCAAAAAAAAAAUGAACCUUCUAUUUCUCUCUAUGCAUUUGUUUUUUUUUUUUAUUUAAUUAUUUAUUAUUAUUUAUUAUUUAUUUAUUUAUUUAUUUAUUCUUUUUCUUUUGGUGCUGGAUGCACCAAGUUCCAUCAUUUUUCUUUUUUAUUUUUAUAUAUAUAUUUUUUUUUUUUAUUUUUUUUUUACAAUUUUUUUCUUCUUUCUGCACAUGGUGCCCAUGCACCACCAGAAACUUUUGAUCUGUCAUGGGGCUGUUGUUCCCCAUCUUUGAUCCACCAUCCCAUUUUCUAUUAUUAUUAUUUUUUUAUAAAUUUCGAUGAUGGGCUAGGGAAUUUGCAGGGAAGGAUGAAGGCGAACUUAGAGCUGGAGCUUGAGGAAGAGCUUCUCGGCCGGCUAGUCGUUUGACAGCGGUCUUUGAAGUUGUUGGCAGUUGCGAGGCAGGAGACGGAGGAGGUGGAGGUGACCUUGAUGUCGGAUCCAGCUAGAACCCAGAGCACAGCCACUGAGCCCAACCACUGAGCACAGCCGCUGCACCCCCGUCGUACUGCCACCGAGCACCGCCACUGCGCAUCUGUUGCACUGAUCUCGAGAAGGCACUUGUUCGAUGAGACUCUGCACAAAUUGGGACUAGAGAAGCACAGCCUCGACAACAUUCAGAAAAUGCACUGGGAAUCGCUCGAAAGAGAGAUCGUUUCAUGGGUGAAGGCCUUCAAGGAAUGCACCACCGUAUACUUCUCCGGCGAGCGGAAGUUCGUGGAGGCGGUGUUUGCUGACUACCCGUCCAUCUCGUCGAGCCUGUUCAGCAAUUUGACCAGGGGGUGAUGAUACAGCUUCUCAAUUUCGUGGAGGGGAUUGCGAUAUCGAAGCGGUCGGCGGAGAAGCUGUUUAAGACGCUGGACAUGUAUGAGGCGUUGCGGGAGGUGAUCCCCAAAAUGGACAACUUGUUUCCCGCUGAUUGCGUGAACGAGCUGAAGCACGAGAUCUCUAAUGUCCGGACCCGCCUCGGCGUGGUAGCGAUAUGCAUUUUCUGUGAUCUGGAGAACUCACUUAAGGCCGAGACGGUUAGAAACCCGGUUCCUGGAGGGGCGGUCCAUCCGCUAACCCGAUACACGAUGAAAUACCUGAGGUACGCGUGCGAGUACAAGGACACGCUCGAAUUGGUUUUUUCAGAGAGCACUCGAAGAUCGAACGCGCCGAUUCGACGAGUCGGCCUGAACGCGGCGAGUACGAGGCAGGGGAGGGAUCCGGGAACACGAGCGGCGACCAAUCGCCGUUUUACUUGCAGCUGAUGCGCAAGAUGGACUUGCUGGACUCGAAUCUCGAGACGAAAGCGAAGCUGUACAAGGACGUGGCUUUGAGCUCCAUCUUCAUGAUGAACAACGGGCGAUACAUCUUGUAGAAAAUCAAAGGGUCGGCAGAGAUCAACUCGUGUAUAGGCGAGACGUGGUACCGUCGGCGGUCGUCGGAUCUGAGGCAGUACCACAAGAACUACCAGAAAGAGACGUGGGACCGGCUGCUGCAGUGCUUGAGCCACGAAGGGCUGAGCGUGAACGGGAAGGUGGCGAAGCCGGUGUUGAAUGAGAGGUUCAAGAGCUUCAACGCCUUGUUCGAUGAGAUCCACAAGACGCAAAGCACGUGGGUGGUGAGCGACGAGCAGAUGCAGUCGGAGGUCGGGUAGAGAUUCGAUUGUGCGUGGAGGGAGAGACGGUGCCGGCUCUGUCCCUCGAUCUUCAACCACCGUCGGCAGACCAGAGAGCAUCGUUUCCGGUCGCCGGAGCCGAGGGAGUAGAAUAUGCAGGCCAAGCACUCGUCGGGAAGAUCGGAUAAGGGUUUGGAGUCAGAUCUGGGAGUUGAGACUCUCGGGGUUGUCGGGAUUUGAGUCCCCACCGCCAGGCUGCUGCUGCUGCAGAUGCUGCUGUGUUAUCGGUGUCACAUGAGCCGGAUCGUGUUAAGGGAAUUCCUGAAGAAGAAAUGUUUGCUAAAACAGAUGACGUCUCACGAAAUGGUAGGGAGAUUCAAGAACCUGAAAUCCGGGAAGAUUUAAUGGCCAACAAUUCUAAGCUGCUUUCUGCUGAAGAUGGAUUCAGGCUGAACAAUCAGACUUCUGGUUUUAAACACAAUAACUUUGAGAAUUCCUCAACCUCCGAAAUUUGCCAAGAAUCAAAAGAUAGUGCCAUCAGAGGAGAGGACCGGGCCUGGUUGCUGGGCUUACGGUUUGGGUCGGCGGAGAGAUGGAGACGGGCCUGAUUUUGUAGCUGGGCUCAGACAUGUAUAUAUAUAUAUAUAUAUAUAUAUAUUAUAUAUAUAUAUAUAUAUUUUAGAUAACAUAUGUAUAUUUUUAUUUAUUUUUUUUUAUUUUUUUUAUUUUUUAUUUUUUAUUUUUUUCAAAGAAGCUGUAAUUUAAUUUUGUACAAAGAAAAUUGCAAGUAAUUUUGUAAUAAAAUUGACCUUUAUCAAUGAGACUUUAAUCAAAUACCCCUUUUUUUUUUUUUUUUGAUGUGACUGAACUCGAAAUCGAAUGCUCGAGCUGCCUACGUACCCUUCCAAAGAAAGAGAUCAAGUCAAAACGUAGUUCAAAAUACACUUUUUUUUUUUUUUUUUUUGGUGCCGUAUGCAGUUUAUGCUCUUGCGGGCCAGGAGCUUUAGUUCAUGCAGUUUAGGCUCGUGCGAAUAAAGAGCGGGAAUUUGUUGCCUUUCAAGGGUAGUAGCGCUUCAAGAAUCUGUCGUUGAUAGGGCCGAUCUUCAAGCCGUCUUCCGCCAUGAUUAAGUAGGCGCCAUUGGUGUAGACUUCUUGUACUACGUAUGGUCCAUCCCAUUUUGACGUGAACUUGCUCUUUGUCUUGUGAGUUGUGAUGAUGGGCCUACGCAAUGAAAGGACGAGAUCUCCCAUUUGAAAAGACCGAGGAAGAACUUUCUUGUUGAAGGCUUUAGAAAGUCGAGCUUGAUAACACUCCAGGUGUUGGUGGGCUUCGAGUCUUUUCUCAUCCAGUGCCUCCAGUUCUUGAAGACGCAACUUUGCGUUCUCUUCAUCAGUCAAGCCUUCUUGUAUAGCCAUCCUUAGCGAGGGGAUUUGACUUUCGAGUGGUAGAACAGCUUCUACGCCAUAUACAAGAGAAUAGGGUGUGGCUUGGGUAGGCGUUCUAUAUGUUGUCCUGUAUGCCCAUAGGGCUUCGCCUAUUCUUUCGUGCCAGUCUUUCUUUGUUCUACCGAUUACCUUCUUCAGGAGGUUGCACAAUGUCUUGUUGAAUGCUUCUGCAAGCCCGUUGGCCGGAGCAUGAUACAUGGAGGAUUUGUGCUGCUUGAACUUGUAUUUCUCGCAGAGCUCGUCCAUGAGUCGGUUUGAGAACUGCUUUCCGUUGUCGGUGACAAUGUAGCGAGGCACCCCAUAUCGAUGGAUGAUAUGUCCCUUGAUGAAACAGACGACAGUUUCCUUCUUGACUUCCCUCAAGGGUAUGGCCUCAGCCCACUUAGAGAAGUAAUCUGUUGCAGCCAGGAUUUAAGCCUCUUCUGUAGAUGACUUUGGCGCAAUUGGUCCUACGACAUCCAAUCCCCAUGCAUCGAACGGCCAUGAAGUAGCUGUGGGGUGUAAUGGUUCAGGCGGUUGAUGUAUGAAGUUGGCGUGAAAUUGGCAGGCUUGGCACCUUUUGGCGUAUUCUAGGCAGUCCUUUACCAUGCUUGGCCAGUAAUAACCCAUUCUUUUGAGCUGGAAAUGAAGCUUUGGUCCGGACUGGUGCGCUCCACAUAUUCCUGAGUGUGCUUCUUCCAUGGCUUGAUUGGCUUCUUCCUCGCCUAGGCAUCUUAGAAGUACCCCUUCAAACGAUCGCCGGUAGAGUGUCCCUUUGUAAUAGAGGAAGCGAUGUGCUCGUCGACGUAUUUCAGAGCGGUGUUUCGGAUCAUCUGGAAGCAUUCCGUGCUCCAAGUAGUUGAUCAGAGGCUGUCUCCAUUCUUCAACGUUGACCGGAAGUAUUGAAAUAACGUUUGUAUCACUUAAUACCAUUUCGGUGACAAGCGGGAUUACCCAUCUUUGGCAGACUGGCACGUUUGUAGCUUCGUCUUCUCCUAAUGCCAUGCUCGAGGCUAGGUUGGCGAGAGCGUCUGCCAUUUGAUUCUCUUUUCUUGGCACGUGUUCUAGUGUUACGGCCUCAAACCUUUGUAGCAACUGCGUUGCCAGCCGAAAAUAUGGGACAAGGUCAUCUUUCCUCACCUCAUAUUCAGUCAGGAGUUGAUUGAUUAUGAGCUUGGAGUCGCCGUAUAUCUCGAGGGCUGCGAUUUCCAUGUUGAUUGCCAUUUGGAGCCCGAGGAUCAGUGCUUGGUACUCAGCGACAUUGUUGGAGCAUAAUUCGCUUAGCUGGAAUGAAUAAGGUAGUACUUGCCUUUGUGGCGACAUGAAUACUACUCCUGCCCCCGCUCCGUCUACUCGUGCAGAUCCGUCGAAGAACAUCGUCCAUGUCGGGAAUAUGUCGAUGCAGAACACCUCUUCGUCGGGCAAGUCGUCUGAGAUUUUCCAAUCAGCUGGGAUUGGAUAAUCGGCAAGGAAGUCUGCUAGCGCUUGUCCUUUGACGGCUUUAGCUGAGACGUAGAUGAUCUCGUAUUGAUUGAGAAGUAAUGCCCAUUUAGCUAGUCGCCCUGUCAAAACUGGCUUAGACAUGACGUAUUUGACCGGGUCAGCUUUAGCAACCAAGUGGAUGGUGUAAGCAUGCAUGUAAUGUCUGAGCUUCUGGAUGGCAAACAUCAAGGCCAGGCACAUUUUUUCUAUUGGGGAAUAGUUCAAUUCAGCGCCGGUAAGCGUUCGACUGAGGUAGUAGAGCGCUCCUUCUUUCUGGGCCUCGUUUUCCUGUGCCAAGAGUGCUCCAACUGAACUUUCCUGUGCAGCAAUGUACAAUAUGAGCGGUUUCCCUGGUACAGGUGCCCCCAGGACAGGUGGACUUGAUAAAUACUUCUUUAUGCUUUCAAAAGCAUUGUUGCAUGCUUUGUCCCAUACGAACGGAACAUCUUUCUUCAUGAGUCGACUGAACGGUUGACAACGCCCUGCAAGGUUGGAGAUGAAGCGUCUGAUGAAGGCUAGCCGACCUUGUAGACUUUUCAACUCGUGCAGGUUUCUUGGCUCGGGCAUGCUUUGAAUGGCCUUGAUCUUUGAUUGGUCCACUUCAAUGCCACGAUGCUUGACGAUGAAGCCAAGGAACUUUCCAGAUGUGACGCCAAAUGCACACUUUAAUGGGUUCAUCUUGAGGUUGUAUUUUCGCAACCUUCCGAACACUACUCGCAAAUCCUUCAAGUGAUUUGAUCUUUUCUUUGUCUUGACCACCACAUCGUCUACAUAGCAUUCUACAUUCUUAUGUAGCAUGUCAUUGAAAGAUCUUCUGCAUUGCGCGUUGAUAUGUAGCUCCAGCAUUCUUCAGACCAAAGGGCAUCACCUUGUAGCAGUAAAUACCUUUUGGAGUGCGGAAGGCUGUUAGUUCCUCAUCUUCAAGAGCCAUGCGAAUUUGAUUGUAUCCAGAAGAGCCGUCCAUGAAUGAUAGUGCCUCAUGGCCAAUGGUUGCGUCCACCAUGAUCUCAAUGAUUGGCAAGGGGAAGUCAUCCUUCGGGCAAGCAUUAUUGAGGUCUCGAAAGUCCACGCAAACACGUAUUUGUCCAGAUUUCUUAAGGACUAUGACGAUGUUGGAGAUCCACUUGGGGUAUUGCACCUCUCGAAUGAAGCCUGCUUCGAUCAACUUGUCAAUCUCGGCCUCGAUUUGUGGGAUGAGCUCGGAUCGAUAGCGUCUUUGAGUUUGCUUUACUGGUCGCGUUCCAGGCUUGACUGCAAAAUGAUGCACAGCAAUGAUAGGGUCGAGGCCGGGCAUUUCCUUGUAGGUCCAAGCAAAGACGUCCUUGAACUCUAAUAGCAGCUGGUAAUACUCUCUCUCUAUCUCGCCUGCACUUAGUAAUGCGCUUACGAAGAUAGGCUUUGGUUCCUCACUUUGUGCCUAAGUUGAGUUCUUUGAGAUCGUCAACUGUGGCUUGCCCCCCAUCUUCGAGUUGUGACGGUGCUGCAAUAACAUCUUCUUCGAGGCUUUCAUCUUCUUCACCUUCUUGGAUUGUGAUGUGGAAGACGUCUUGGGCUUCUUCUUCGGUGUUAACCUCCCGAGCUAGUUGGCAUGAAGAUUGUCCAGUGUGAAUGAUGGUGCGCCUUUUUUCACUUUCAGUGAUCCAACUGUGUCAACCUCCAAUAUUGCUUGGCGCUUCAUUCUUGAAGGAAUGGAACUUCGAACGCCAUCCUUUUCUGCCAGGCGAUCGAUCUCUCUCUUCUACUUCUGGUGUCGUCUUUCUCCUUUUGGAAGGCUCUUUGGCUUCUCCAAGUCUUUCCAUAACUGACUGUCGUGGAGGAAAGCUAGUCGUAUUGCUUUGCUUUUUAGGUUUUGAUAACCUUUUGAAAACAGAGCCUCGAGAUACUGACGUGUUAAGCCUUUUGAAGACGGAAGUUUUGUUUUGACCGCCAAUGAGUUUAGGUGCCGAAACUCUGGGCUUUGAACAAUUCAUUCUAUCGAAUACUGAUGUCCGGGGGGCAGGUUGAGGCUCCUCUCUAUCUUGUAUAAUGUGUAUGCUGAUGUGUUGAGCGCUAGCAUUUUUUGCCUUGCUGGAGAUUUUCACCGGUGCAUUUGGUGUGAAGCCAAGCCCAGCUUUGUUGUUGCUAACCCCGUAACCAUACUUCUCUAACUUCUUCUGAGUUUUAGUGAGAUCACGUUCGUUGUCUUUGACGGUGUGUUCAAAUCAUUCUUUCCCAAAUUUGCAGAGGAGGUGAAGUUAUACCCAGCUUUCGACAUAAGUUUGUAGGCGUUUGGAUCAAAACCUUCUUCGGUCCUUUUGGUUGGGAGAAAGCUUGGUUCUACCCCCUUUGGCAGGCCUUUUAUGAAGCCCUGUGAUGGUUUUGCAACCUUAGUGUCGCCUAGCUGGGUCAGAGGCAAAACUGCAUUCGUUUUGAGCAACUUUACAUUAUCUAUGUGCCGCUGUGCAUCGGCUUUGCUCGCUGCAGUUUCGAACGGGGAUUGACCAUUCUUUCUUCUCGACGUCAGGAUGUACCGGAAGACGGGUACGCUUGGUCCGUUUGAGGUCGUCCUACUUCCUCUGGUUGUUGCAGGUUUAGAAAGCUCGUCGUCGUUUUUGCUUGAAGAUGGCAUAGCUUCUUCUUCUUGCUUCUUGGGCAUAGCUUGCCACUCCUGUUUUUUAGGCGCUGUUUUGCUCAUGGAUUUAAUCUCUUUUGGAAGAGUUUCGGGCACCGUGUCUUCAUUUAUGUAGAACUUGGCGUCUGCGAAAUGUGAUUCGGCUUCGGUGAAUGGCUUGGUGUCGCCAUAGAUCACCUUUACUCGUUCUUGGUAAAAUUUUAAACAUUGGUGAAGGGUGGACGGUGCCACUCAGUUUGCAUGGAUCCAAGGCCUUCCUAAGAGCAGACCGUAGGAAGUUCUUGCAUCAAUCACGUGGAACAUCACGCUUGACUUGAGUUCACCAAUGGUCAUCUCCACUCGGAUCAUGCCCAUCGCUCUUUGUCCUCCUUGGUUAAAACCUUGGAUUAGUAGACGGCUUAGGGAUAGUUCAUCCACCUUGAUGCCGAUUGCGGUCAUUGUUGACUUUGGCAUGAUAUUUAUGGCUGACCCGCCGUCCACAAGCAUGCGGCUGACUUUAUGCUCCCUUACGUACCCAGAGACGAAGAGAGGUCGGUUGUGAAGCUUGGAUCCUAGCAACAAGUCUUCGUCGGCGAAGUGGAUUAUGUCCUCGGUGGCACAGCAUGUGGCACACUCGUGUGGCCGAGGCCUCAAGCCUUCGUUCUUGCUUUCUUGCACUUCGUGAUCGUUUGGACUCGCUAAAACUGUUGCCAAUGCCCUUCGUAUCUCCUUUGGCAAUUGUAGCGCUUCCUCGAUGCUAAAGUGUAUUGGCAGACCUUCUUCAGGUGUCGGAGUAUUUUCUCCCUUAGCGGCGACAAUUUUGCCCUUUGAAGGUUCUUCCGUUUCUACUUCGACCACGUGACAUGCGGUGAUAGUGCAAUGUUGGAAAAAGUCAUCCGGGAAGUACUCGUGCAAUGAGACGGGAAUGCGUGGCUUUUGCUCCGCAGGUUCCCCAGCAUAUAUUGGCUUAGCAGCUCUUAUGUUUCUCUUAGGCUUCUUAUUGCCGCGACGGCGGUGCUUUCUCCCUUGUUCCCUCUUUUGCUUUAUAGCUUGCGGUUUUGGUUUCCUCGUCCUCUUAUAGGUCACCAAUGUCCAUCCUCUAUCAUCGUCAGUAGGUGCGUCCUGGUUGCUUGCCCCCAGUGACAGUGGUGCAGAAUGUGCAGUGUGGUUUGAGUAUUGCCGAGCAUGGUCAGGCAUUUCUUGAAGAAGCACGGGAUCAAAGGAUCCGAACACGACCGUAGUGGUGUGCGUCGCAGCUGUGUCUUCUAGGUCGAGCUCAAUCCGUCCUUGUUGUGCCAACUUCAUGAUGAGUUCUUUUAGGAUGAAACACUUGCCCACAUGAUGACCCACGAUACGAUGGUACUUGCAGUACUUGGGAUCAUUGAUGCGAUUCAUUUCUUCAGGGCGUUUGCAUUCAGGUAACUCAAUCACCUUCUUCUCCAGUAGGUCGUCCAGCAUUGCGUCCAUGUCGGAGUCCGGAAAAGGGUAUACCUUCUGCUCCAAUUCCCUCAAGGUGUUUUUGUACCUAUCUUGGGUGUGGGAAGGCUCACCUUUUUUUAUCUCCCUUGCUUUAUUGAAAGAGAUUUUGACGGGCGCGGACGAGGUCUUGAUAGGGGUGGUAUUGGUGGUAAAAGCUUCCUUGGCGAGCUUUUUCCCAUGAUUGUCUGCUCUUGAAGUGAACACCUUAUCCCUUUUGAAAUCGGUGAUUGGCUCCUUCUUUCCAUGGUGGGCGAUGCUCAACUCCAUGUCGUGGGCACGGGUGGCUAAUUCUUCAAAAGUUCGUGGUUUGAUACCUUGAAAGAUGUAUUGUAAACCCCAUUGCAUGCCCUGGAUGCACAUCUCGAUUGAAGAAAUCUCGGAGAGUCUGUCCUUACAGUCGAGGCUUAGAUUACGCCAUCGGUUGAUGUAGUCCAUGACUGGCUCGUCCUUCCACUGCUUUGUGCUUGUUAGUUCUAGCAUGCUCACAGUGCGGCGGGUGCUGUAGAAGCGAUUGAGGAAUUCCCGCUCCAAUUGCUCCCAACUGUUGAUGGAUUCAGGCUCCAGAUCCGUGUACCACUCAAAGGCGUUUCCUUUCAGCGAGCGCACAAACUGCUUGGCGAGGUAGUCCCCUUCGGUUCCUGCGUUGUUGCAAGUUUCAACGAAGUGGGCAACGUGCUGUUUCGGGUUUCCCUUUCCAUCAAAUUGCAUGAACUUUGGUGGUUGAUAACCCCUCGGCAUCCUUAAGGCGUCGAUCUUUUUUGAAUACGGCUUUGAGUACAACCCGGAGGUAUAUGAGCUCCCUUCGUACUGUGCCUUGAUGGUGUUGGUGAUCAUCUCUUGCAGCUGCUGGAUAGAAAGAGAUCCCAUGAGUGCCGCUGCUUGGUCUGGUUUCGGCUUCCCAUCGAUUUUCUUCACCGGGGGUUCUUCGUCUCCGCCAGCUCCCUUUAGUGGAUCAUCCUCUGGGUCGGGUUUCUCGCUGUCCUGCGCCUCCAGUCGGUUGACUAAUGCCGCGAUUUGCAAGUCUUUUUCUUCCACAGUUCGAGUUAGUCUUGCGAUUGCUUCAUUCAUUUGAGCAAGCUGUUCCUCGAUUGAAGUUACUCCAGCGGUCAUGACUUGCAUGGCUGAACUGCCGCUUGAAUCGUCAUCGGAGAGCAUGGAUUCGGAGUAUCCCCUUGGUCUUUCCCCCCUUGGUGCCCUUAGUGAGGCUAAGGUGAUCACAGGCUCGUGCCUGGGGUACUCUCGUUCCCCUGGCAGAGUUGAUGCACAGGCUUGUGAUACCCAACGUGACACCACUUGCGACGAGGGCGCCUUUGUUCUUUGCGCCGGUUACGGGAACAGCUUGAGCCUUCCUUGACGUCAUUGAUUUUGGAAGUGUGCUUAUAUUCCUUGAACGGAGGAAGAGAUGAGAGGUAGAGAUGUCCCACUGGGCGUGCCAAUUUGUGAACACGGAAAAUUCCUGAAACGAAAGAGAUAAGAACAAACGUGCACAAACAAAUAUUUGUAUUUGAUGAUUUUGGGUUACAAUCUCUCUCUAUUUUGAUCCUCUAAUUCGAUCUCCGUAAGGUGUGUAUUUGUGGAUGUGCGAUUGAUCCAAAGGGUCGUUGGGCUUGAUCUAAGGAUGAACGUUCUUCAAGGGCCGUAGACUUGAUCUUGAAGGUGGAUUUGAGCGGAUCUUCAGAGGGGGUUUUUUGGGCUUGAUCUUUGAAAAAACAGUGACGAACGGAUCUUCAAGGGCUUUUGGGCUUGAUCUUGAAGAACAGUGAUGAACGAAUCUUCAAGGGCUUUUGGGCUUGAUCUUGAAGAACAGUUGGAUGUGUGGAUUUGUCGACGUUGUUGAUCCAAAGGGCCGUUGGGGCUUGAUCUUGGAUGAACAGAUGAUGAACGAUGGUGCUUUCUUCAAGGGCCGUCGAGGCUUGAUCUUGAAUUGGUGGAUGGUUGAUCCAAGGGCCGUCGGGGCUUGAUCUUGGAAGAACGAUGAACGAAGAACGAAGAACACUUUCUUCAAGGGCCGUCGGGGCUUGAUCUUGAAUUGGUGGAUGAUUGUUGAUCCAAAGGGCCGUUGGGGCUUGAUCUUGGAAGAACGAUGAACAAAGAACGAAGAAGGCUUUCUUGAUUCUUCGGGAACCUAGAUGCUUGAGAGCUUCGGGGUUUCAGAGCUUCAGAGCUUCAAGGUGUAAUAUCUAUUGGUCCUCUAAAAUGAAUGAAAUGGGCUUGUAUUUAUAGAAUUUUCCAAGGCCUAAUUUUGAAUAUAUCCCAGAUGAAAUAAGUCGUUUCUGCCAGGUGUUGACACGUGUCCUAUUUGAUGACUUUUCCAACUCAUUUCAAUUUUCGUUGAGUCACACGCUACGUGUAAAAUUUAUGUAAUACAUGAGCGUUGACACUUUGAUUUAUCGGUCAACAUUUAUUUACCGAAAUUUCGAUGUCUACAGUCAAGUUUUCCGAUGCUGGAAUUUUGACUUGAUCGUUGAAGCAUGUGAAGCAGAUGUCUGUAGAAUUACAAGCACUGAGUAGGGGUGAAAUUUUUGUUUCAAGGACAUUAGUUUCAACGAUCUAACUGUCAAACUUGUUUGUAUAUAUGUCGAGAUCGCAUACGCCAAAAAUCGCAAAAAAACAAACAUUCAAAGAUCAAGUAACGGGACAAAACUUUUCAACGAUUAUAAUCGAAAAAUCAUGAUUUAACGAUUAUUUUAACUCCAAUUUUGAUGAUUUUUUUACAACUACACUCUUUGAUCCUAUAUGAAUACAACAAACUGAUUCGAUCGUCAAUUUAAAACAGUACAUAAGUGGAUACCACAAAAGAAAAAGGCAUUUCAAGAAUCCCAAAAGAAAAGCGAAAGGACAAAAAAAAAAAAAACUUUGCACGAUGUAGGUACACAUGUGUUGUGCAAAAUAGCUUUACACGACUGUUGACCCUAAAAACUACCAAGCCUGCGUGGCGCAGGCCGAGUAAUUUAUAAGCUAACUACGUCCUUCGGUGAAUGCGGGGCGUGCCAACUCGUCGGCCGAGUUCGGCCGAGGAGUAAAUUUGUUGAUGUUGCGUUGGGUGCGCUGCUGACUUCUGAAUCUCGCGACUGCGGCCGAGGAAGGAACACUCUCGGCCUUCGGGUUCUAGAGCCUGAAGACAAGGCUGCUAGUUCUACGAAGUUCAAUAUCAAAUUCGGCUUUCAAUGUGCCGAAUGUAAUAACUUGUAACACCUCACUUCGCCGAGAAGGCUAAUGAGAUGACCUCGACCAAUAAGGAUUUGGAAAUCCUUCUCGACCGAGACUUGGAUAGGUAACCAACCGUCCUCGCCGCAGUGCUGUUGAUGCCAACGGAAGAUGCUGCUAGAUCGGUUGAUUCUACGGUGACAGAGCUAUCUAUGCCGACUUAAGAUAUCAUCGGUUGCUUUCACAGUGCUGUUGAUGCCAACGGAAGAUGUGUCAGCGAAAAGAGAAAAUAAAAAAUCUCAAAAUUGUUGAGAGGGUUUGCGCAGGGCAGUUUUGUGUGUUGAAUUGGAGAUCCCUUUCUAUCGCAGAACAUCUUGUAUUUAUAGUAUUUUGUACUUGCUUGGCACGGCUGGAUAACUGUGUAAAGUUCGACUGCAACUCUGACUCUAUAAAAUUGAUCCGUGUGAAAUGCCAAAGCCUAUCCUCCAGCUUUUGUGACUUUUCAAACCUAAUAAAAGUUAGGCUUUAUCAUAUCUCAUAAAAAGCCUAGCCUACCUAGACUUCUUAUCAUCAAAACUCCAUCAAUAAAUUUUAAACCCAUCUGACAACAUCCAUCACCAUGUAAAAAGACCUAGUCUACCUAGGUUCCUUAUCCCAUCAUUAUCCAAGACUAUGACUUUAAAAUCAUUAAAUCCUCAAGCUUUUCAAUCUGCACGUUCAUUGCUAAACAUCCAAAUUAAUUUGAACUGUACCUCUUACUUGAGGAUAUAAUCUGCAUCCUAUCCAUCCCGUUUAAGAAUAUGCCAAGAUAAUUCAAAUUAAAAGAUGAUUAUGAUAAAAACCAUAAUAUUAUCUUUUAACAAAAAUAUCUUCAUUUUUUCAUCCGAUGGUUGAGAACUAUGUUUACUCUACGGCCUUGAUUACACGGGCCGAUGGUGUAAAUUUGGGUCCAAACAUUGCCCCCUAGUUUCCUUAAGCUUCGGCUUGUAAGCCGAAUGGUUAAGGAAAUUAACUGUUCGUAGCCAACAACAUUUCUUCGUAUUGCCGAGGAAGAAACUUUAUUCCUCAGCAAUAACAUGUAUGUUCUGCCAACACUGCGGCUUUCCUCGACUACCACAACUCCAUACCAGGCUCGACAACUCUGCCAGAAGGUCGAGAAAAUUGGGGUCGAGAAGAAUUUUCCUGUCAUCUCGGCCAGCCUAUAUACGUAUAUAUAUACUGAUCAAAGGCCGAAGCUCAUUAAAUAUCCUGACUCUUAGAUUUGACAACCCAACUUCCACUAUUAAAAUUCAUGGCCGAGUCUUACAUAUAUAAAAUAUUUAUAUUUGUCUUUCCAAUGGUAUUCUGACAAUUCCCCAUCAGCCACAUCCAUAGGCUAAAGCCUAUAUCUAAUUAAAUAUCUACUUUUGUUGAAUAAGUCUGCCAUCACUAGGAAAAACUUCGCAUGCACGUAUCCAAAUUCGCCGAGCUCGGCAAACAAAUUACCUCGGCCUAAACAACCGAUUUCCUGAAUCUGCCUCGGCCUAGACAGCCGAAAUCUAUUCCUUUUGGAUAUCUCGACAAACAAAUUACCUCGGUCUAAACAGCCGAUUUCCUGAAUUUGCCUCGGCCUAGACAGCCGAAAUCUAUUCCUUUUGGAUAUCUCGGCAAACAAAUUACCUCGGUCUAAACAGCCGAUUUCCUGAAUCUGCCUCGGCCUAGACAGCCGAAAUCUAUUCCUUUUGGAUAUUGCCCCCCUUAUUUUCUUAUGCAUCGGCUUAAUUAGCCAGAUGAUUAAGAAAAAUAAUUUAUUCCUUUUCUUAAUAAAAGAAAACAAAAGUGGCCGAGCUAUCAAGAGGAGGAGGCCAACGAUGUUUUAUUCCAAGUCGAGAUCUUUGUAUAUCAACACAGCCAAUCAAAUUUUGCAUUGAGCCGAAUAAAAAAUCAUCUCCAAAUAUGCUCGGCUUGACAAAAGAUUUUUUAUCGGUCGCCGAAUGUGUUGAACAAUUAUUAUGCCUCCCAGGCAUAAUAAUUUCGUCAAUUUUGACUUGCGACUUAAAUAACUUAGCUGAACGGUAUUUCUCCAUAUCGGCUUUAUCACCAAUAAUCAUAUCAAUUGGCGUGAUUUUUUCGGCUAGGCUUAUGUCUCGGCCCUGUUCGUCAUUGGAACAUUCCUCUGACGAAUCAUUUUCUGAGUCAAUUUUUGUAUUUGGCUCAAGAACUUGAACUUUUUCUUCUAGGCCUACCACACUUUCAGUCUCGACCGAAAAAAUAGGUGGCCUUUGUUCUUCGCCCAAAUUAACCAUUUUCUUAAGCCGAAUAUUAGUUGUGGCCGGAGCGGAAAUUUGCCCCCCCGGCCUCUUGCCUUUCAUAAAUUCUUCCCAAACUCUCGAGGAGUUGUUUUUGCUUCGUUAAUAGGCGAUGACACUCAUCCCAUGAAGCCUGAUCAAGAUAGAUCAUGUGAACUUCGUAGUUUUAGCAUUGGGUCCCACUGGGCGUGCCAAAAUGUUGACCCUAAAAACUACCAAGCCUGCGCGGCGCGCAGGCCGAGUAAUUUAUAAGCUAACUACGUCAUUCGGUGAAUGCGGGGCGUGCCAACUCGUCGGCUAAAUUUGUUGAUGUUGCGUUGGGUGCGCUGCUGACUUCUGAAUCUCGUGACUGCGGCCGAGGAAGGAACACUCUCGGCCUUCGGGUUCUAGAGCCUGAAGACAAGGCUGCUAGUUCUACGAAGUUCAAUAUCAAAUUCGGCUUUCAAUGUGCCGAAUGUAAUAACUUGUAACACCUCACUUCGCCGAGAAGGCUAAUGAGAUGACCUCGACCAAUAAGGAUUUGGAAAUCCUUCUCGACCGAGACUUGGAUAGGUAACCAACCGUCCUCGCCGCAGUGCUGUUGAUGCCAACGGAAGAUGCUGCUAGAUCGGUUGAUUCUACGGUGACAGAGCUAUCUAUGUCGACUUAAGAUAUCACCGAUUGCUUUCACAGUGCUGUUGAUGCCACAGGAAGAUGUGUCAACGAAAAGUCAGCGAAAAGAAAUAAAAAAAUCUCAAAAUUGUUGAGAGGGUUUGCGCAGGCGCAGGGCAGUUUUGUGUGUUGAAUUGGAGAUCCCUUUCUAUCGCAGAACAUCUUGUAUUUAUAGUAUUUUGUACUUGCUUGGCACGGCUAGAGAUAACUGUGUAAAGUUCGACUGCAACUCUGACUCUGUAAAAUUGAUCCGAUCCGUGUGAAAUGCCAAAGCCUAUCCUCCAGCUUUUGUGACUUUUCAAACCUAAUAAACGUUAGGCUUUAUCAUAUCUCAUAAAAAGCCUAGCCUACCUAGACUUCUUAUCAUCAUCAAAACUCCAUCAAUAAAAUUUUAAACCCAUCUGACAACAUCCAUCACCAUGUAAAAAGACCUAGUCUACCUAGGUUCCUCCUAUCCCAUCAUUAUCCAAGACCAUGACUUUAAAAUCAUUAAAUCCUCAAGCUUUUCAAUCUGCACGUUCAUUGCUAAACAUCCAAAUUAAUUUGAACUCUACCUCCUACUUGAGGAUAUAAUCUGCAUCCUAUCCAUCCCGUUUAAGAAUAUGCCAAGAUAAUUCAAAUUAAAAGAUGAUUAUGAUAAAAACCAUAAUAUUAUCUUUUAACAAAAAUAUCUUCAUUUUUUCAUCCGACGGUUGAGAACUAUGUUUACUCUACGGUCUUGAUUACACGGGCCGAUGGUGUAAAUUUGGGUCCAAACAGCGACGUACAUACACCUGCGUCGCGCAAAACAUCUUUGCACGAUGUAGGUAUUUGCAAAGCAGUUUUGUGCGACGCAUAUGUACCUACGUCGCGCAAAGCUAUUUUGAGCAACGCAUGUGUACAUGCGUCGCGAAAAGUUGUUUUUUUUUUUUUUUGGCCUUUUGGCCUUCCUCUCCCCUGUGUUGUUGUUGGUUGUGCCGUACGACGUCGUCUCCUCCCGUUAAAGUUAAACUGUCUCCCUCGUCUCCAUUCUCGUCACUAUCCCGAUACCUCAUUCGGAUCUCCCCAUUUCCACAUCCCACAAUCGCAAUCCCUAAAUAGAUAUGUCUCAUUGGCCAUGUCUCUCAUGCUCUUCUUUGAGAGGGUUUAUAUGGGAGUGGUCAUCGUUCUGGUCAAGCUCUUCUGGAAGAAACCAGAAGAACGCUAUGAAACCAGAAGAACGCUAUAAAUACGAGCCCAUUCAGGACGACCUUGAAGUAGGAAGCUCCAAUUUCCUUGUUGUUCUCAUCCAAAUCCCCAUGUUCAAUGAAAGAGAGGUGCACACAUACACACAUAUACAUACAUACAUACAUAUACAUAUACAUAUAUAUAUAUAUAUAUAUAGUUAUAGAUAUGAUUGUUUUUGCAUUUUUAUUUUCUGGGUUUGUGAGAGAAAAAAGCCUUUAAAGUGUGGUGCUUUUUGUGUAUGGGGUCAGGUCUACAAGGUCUCCAUCGGAGCUGCAUGUGGACUUCCAUGGCCGUCCGACCGUGUCGUGAUCCAAGUCCUUGAUGAUUCAACCGACCCUACAAUCAAUGUAAGAAUCUCAUCCUUUCAAUGGGGCCUUUUCCUUUUAGUCCAUUAGCAGAGCUCCAAGGAUCUCAAUGUGUGCGAUUUCAGACCCAAUUUCGGACAUGGGGUUGUUCCAAUGCGCAAUGUCCGAGUGGGUUUUCAACAAAAUUGGCAAAUAAAUUAAUAAAAAUUCAUCUGAAAUUGUUGCAGCAAAUGGUGGAGCUGGAAUGCCAGAGGUGGGCAAGCAAGGUCAUAAAAUUAAUAAAAAUUCAUUUGAAUUUAUGUUCGAUCAACAUUUUUUUGGCAAAUUAUGGGUUAUGUGUGUUGAGUUUUAAGUGUUUGAUUGUAUAUAUCUUUUCAUAGAGAAACAACAACAUAAGAAUACAAGAUAUAUAGGGCAAGGUGUGAUCAACACACUGAUCACCCUUGAAUCACUCCUACAUGGCAGCUUCGUAAAACAGGGAGCAGAAAGAAGGCAAGGCAAAAAGCUUCUAACCACCCUAGAAGUAUGGGAAAGAAGAUACAAGAUCUAACUAGAAGUAAGGUGACAACUACACCCUAAUCAUCAACCUAACCAACAUCUCCGGAUACCCUCUUUUGACUUUUAUUAGACAAUAUGGGGUGACUGAUGCUGCACUGCGCAUACUGAUGCUGCAUAUGAUUGAUGCUGUAUAUGGAAUACCCACUCUUGACUUUCAAUAAUGUGGGAUCGUUUAGGUUUGUGCAUGUUGUUUAAUUACUUCUUAAUUUGUUUCAAGUUUUGAAUUUGCAUCGAUUUUAUCUGAGCAUCAGUUGCUUUGAUUGAAUAUUUACUUGAAUUGGUUCAAACUGUUUUACCCAUCUUGAAUUGUGGAUUUGUUGCUUCAAAAGCACUCGAUUUGCAUCUUUUUGCUUUGAGAUUUUUCUUAUUACUUUUGGUUAAGAUUUGAGCGCUAUCGAUUAGAAGAAUUGGUGGAAGAAUGUGUAAACAAAAACUGAGUUCUGCCGCUCAAGCGCUAUAUAAAACUGAGUUCUGCGCAUUACUGAGUUCUUCUGCUCAAGUGCUAGCAUUACCGAGUUCUUAACAUAGAAUGAUAUAUAACUGCUGCAUUUAUUAUGUCAUUAUGCAUGCAGCUAUUUUUACAAGUAAUAAGGGUAUGAUAUCUGUGGUAUGAUAGCUGAACCGAGUACAUUAUGCAUGCAGCUAUUUUUACAAGUAAUAAGGGUAUGAUUGUUGGUAAUUGUUUAUUAACAGGAUCGAGAAACGGAUGUCGUUGGACUAUCGAUCACAAUAUGGUGUGAAGGAUAUGAACAGAGUGAAUAUAGAAUCGAAUGUAUAUUCUGACAGAAAGGGAUUUACAAAUAUAUAGAUAUGCAAGUAACCUUUCUGGAGAAGUUGUGUUCUUCAGGAGAAGUUAUGACUUCUCAGGUUGGAAUAUAACUGUUGAUAUCCUUUAAUUAAUUAAUUAAUUAUAUUAUAUUAUAUUAUUUUCUUUAUUAAUUAAUUAACUUAUUUCACUACAAUCAUAUGUAUAUUAGUACACCAAUGUUAUGGUAUACCUUCACAUAUGAUUACACAUAUUGUGAAAACCAUGUUAUCAUAAUCAUAUUCCAACAUCUCCCACUUGAUUAUGAUGACAUAAAUGGUUUCCUAUUCUGAUUUGUUUCUCAAGAGUAUUACUCAUAAACAAAUUGAAUGUAACAUCAGAUAUGUGGCUUCUUUACCUGGUGCGCACCAUUCCACUUAAUCUGAUGACAUUUUACUCUUUAGUAAAAUGGCAUCAUAUCCAAGUAACUAGGACAAACAAUCCAUACCCGGUUACAAAUGAUGACUUAGCCCCGCACUAUACGCCACAGUGUUAUAUAAAUUAUUUCUUGAAGCUUAUUAUGGAUUUUACUUUCAAGACGAUUUAUUAUAACCUGGUUACCUCGCUAGUGCCCUCUAUCUUUAACCGACCAAGUACUAAAGAACCAGAUAGAGUCGCAUCUACUUGUCCAUGUUUCAGGCGUCCCUAAAACCAUACAACGAUGCCCGUCGCACGUCUCACUCUACAACACAUCUAGAUGUUUUGCAAACCCAUUGUAGUCACAUGCUCUCUGAAUUUUUCCAGAGACAAUCCCUUGGUCAUCGGAUCGGCCACCAUCUCUUCGGAAGGUAUGUAGUCGACCUCUACCUCUCCUUUCUCCACUAUAUCUUGUACAUAGUGAUAUUUAACAUCAAUGUGUUUUCCUUUGGAACUAUUUGCUCCACUCUUUAUCAGAAAAAUGGCGGACUUAUUAUCACAAAACACAUUGACGUGCUCCUUAGGUAUACCUAUAUUUAAAUUAUCGAUAAAUCGUUUAGCCCAUACUGCAGUACUAACCGCUGUGCUACAAGAUAUAUAUUCUGCUUCCAUGGUAGACUUUGCAACACAGCUUUGUUUCUUACUUAACCAAGAAACAGUCGUUCCUCCAAACAAGACAAUGUUACCACUUGUUGACUUUCUGUCAUCCAAGUCGCCUGCGAAAUCUGCAUCGCAAUAACAAACUAAAUCUAGAUCAUUUAAUCCGAAACAUAGUUUCAUACCUUGGGUGCCUUUUAGAUAUCUAAUAAUUCUCUUUACUGCCAUCCAAUGUUACUUUCCGGGGUUGGAUUGAUAUCUACUUACCAAUCCAACUGCAUGACAUAUGUCAGGUCUUGUGCUGGUCAUAGCAUACAUCAAACUUCCAACUGCUUGGGCAUAUGGAACAUUUUGCAUAUCAAUGAUGUCUUGUUUAUGUACCGGACACAUAUUUUUGGAAAGCAUCAUUCCUUUACAAACAGGUGUACUAACUGGCUUGCAAUCUUGCAUAUUAAAUCUUUUAAAUAUUUUAUCCAGAUAAUUUUGUUGAUCCAAAUAGAGUGUUUUGGCAUCUCUAUCCCUAGUAAUUUUAAUUCCUAGAACAUAAGAUGCUUCUCCCAUAUCUUUCAUUUCAAAUUUGGAUCCCAAAUAUGACUUAGUCUUUUCAAUCAUAUCUAUAGAGUUACCUGCAAGUAAGAUGUCAUCUACAUAUAGUGACAACACACAGAAAUUAUCUUGGCACUUCCAAGAGUAAACACAAUGAUCCAAUAGAUUUAUUUUGUAACCCAUUUCCAUAAUGGCUUGGUGGAACUUUAAAUACCAUUGUCUUGAUGAUUGUUUAAGGCCGUACAACGACUUUCUUAAUUUAUAGACUUUGUUUUCAUGUCCUUUGACAUGAUAUCCUUCGGGUUGAAUCAUAUAGAUGUCUUCCUUUAAAUCUCCAUUCAAGAAUGCUGUUUUGACAUCUAACUGAUGAAGUUCUAAAUCCAUUAUAGCAACAAUUGCCAUAAGAAUGCGAAUGGAUGUAAACUUCGCAACUGGAGAGUAAGUAUCCACAAAAUCUAUACCGGGUUUCUGAGUAUAACUCUUAGCUACAAGUCGAGCCUUAAACUUUUCCAGGGUACCAUCUGAUUUGUACUUUUUACGAAGUACCCACUUACAACCGAUGGGCUUUCUUUCAUUAGGUAGAUCAACCAAUUCCCAAACUUGAUUUUUCUUUAUGGAAUCUAAUUCUUCAUUCAUUGCUUGUUGCCAUUGUUCAGACUCAAAACUAUCCAUUGCUUCUUUAUAAUUCCGUGGGUCUGGAUCUCCCACUGAAUGAUCUACCUCCUCAAGAUUGAAAACAAAGUGAUCUUUCAAUCUUCUAGAUGGUUCCCUUUUUUCUUUUACUCCCACUGAUUUUAUCAUUUCUCCCACUAUUAAUAUCUUCCAUGAUAAUAUCAUGAUCAUCAUCCAUGUGUAUGUCAUGAUCGACAUUGAUAUGAUCACCCAUGUUAAUAUCUCCCACUUGAUCAUUGUCAAUGUCAACAUCAUGAGACAAGUCUAAAUCAAGAUGAAAAUCUUGAGCAUCCGUAAGAGAAUUGUCUUCUUCCAAAGAUUCCAAUUCGUGUAUUGGUUUAAACAAAUCAGUAGUUUCAAUAAAAGUAGCAUCUCUACUUUCGAUCAAUCCUUUCUCAGGAUGAUAAAACCUAUAUCCGAUACUAUUAUCAGGAUAUCCUAUGAAUUUACAUUCCAAAGUCUUUGCUUGUAAUUUAUUUCUUAAUGGCUUUGGAAUGAGGACAUGCGCUUUACGACCCCAAACUUUUAAGUUUGAUAAAUCGGGUUUGCGCCCAUGCCAUAAUUCAUAUGGAGUUAGUGGCUUGGCCUUUGUAUGAACUUUAUUCAAUAUAUAUGCUGCAGUAGCCAAAGCUUCACCCCAAAAAUGUAGAGGUAAGUCAGCAUAAGACAUCAUAGAUCGCAUCAUAUCCAUUAGAGUUCGAUUUCUUCUUUCUGCGAUACCAUUUUGUUGCGGUGUAUAAGGCAUAGUAUAAUUAUGCCUUAUACCAUUCUCUUUGCAGAAAUCAUCAAAGGCUUCAAAUUCUCCACCUCUAUCACUAUUAAGGGUCUUUAUGGAUCUUCCCAAUUGGUUCUCUACUUCGGCCUUAAACUCUUUAAAUUUUUCUAAGGCUUCAUUUUUAUGCUGCAAGAAGUAGACAUAUCCAUAACGGGAAUAAUUAUCGAUGAAAGUCACAAAAUAUUUCAUUCCUCUAUGGGUUUUUGUUCUCAUAGGUCCACAUAAAUCUGUAUGCACUAUCUCAAGUAAAUUUGUAGAAAUCCAAUGCUGAGAAAAUGAUUUUCUAGUCAUUUUUCCUUUAAUACAUGAUUCGCAUGUAUCAAAAUCAUGUGCAUUUAUUUGAGGCAACAUUCCAUUUUUACUCAUGCGUAUUAUUUUAUUUUUAUUUAUGUGACCUAAACGUAAAUGCCAUAAAUAUGACAAGUUUUGAACAGUAGAGACAAAGACAUACUCGGAAGAAAUACUUUUAUUAAUACAAACUGAGUACAUAUCAUCGAGUCUUAUUCCCCUUACAUAAAUAUAACCCUUUUUCCCAAUAGUGACAGCACCAUUCAUGAACCUUGUCUCAAAACCUUUCUUUUCUAGGACAGAAACAGAGACAAGAUUCCUUCUUAUAUUUGGUGCAAACAGAACAUUUUUAAGUACAAUGGUAGAUUUACUAUUGUUGAUUUUGCAAUCUCCUUCACCCAAAACAUCGACAUAAGUAUUGUUGCCCAUGUAGAGACGAUGUUCUCCUAGUGCUUUCUCCUUGAAAUUGAUGAAGCAACUUUUGUCCUUACUUACAUGACGAGUUGCUCCUGAAUCUAUCCACCAUUGUCCUUGAUCUUCAGCAAUGAGUGCUUCAGAGAUAGUCAAAAUUAGUUCUUUAGGAUUUUUGUUGUUUUUGCGUCGUUUUGGGCACUUAUACCUAUAAUGACCAGUCUCUCCACAAUUGUAACAUGUACUCUCCUUUCCUUUAAACUUGUUCUGCUUGCGGUGUCCAAACUUUUUAAAUUUCGGGCGCUUGUUACUACUAUGUGGCUUGUGCAUGUGUUGCUUGUUUUUCUGAGAAUCUUCCGCUAUGAGGAGGUUGGCUCUGCCUUGUCCAGUUUCCUUUUUCCUAUAAUUUUUACGAACUUCUUCAAUAGCCAACAUUGCAGGCAAUGUAUCCAUCGUUAAUUCAACUUGACCAUAAGUCAUGGAAGUAACUACAUUUUCCCAAGAAUUUGGGAGGCUACCAAGAAGAACACUAACUUGCAUUUUAUCAGAAACUGGAUGGCCAGCAUUGGCUAAGUCUUUUUCCAUUACUUCCAUUUUAGUAAUAUGAUCAACCAUAGAAUCAGUUUCCUCCAUUUUUGUCCCAUUGUAUUUCUCAAGCAAUAACUGAAUGUAUGUUUGAGAUUUAGGACCAUACUUCUUUUCAAGUACAUCCAUGAUUUCUUUGGACGAAUCAUAUUCUUCAUAGAGAGGUAUUAAUUUAUCUUCCAUGUAAUUGAGGAUUGUGGCCUUAGCCAAUUCAUUAUCUUUCACCCAUUUAUUAUAAACUCGAGAGGGCCCAAGGGGUCUCUCGUCCUUGAUAGUGUACAAAGUCUUGUCAUGGGUUAAAAGAUAAGUAAUCCUUCUCUUCCAUAUUCGAUAAUUAACGUUAUUCAACCACUCAAUUUUAAAAACUUCGGAUUUGGAAGAUUUAGUUGCCAUAGCUCAGAAAAUUACAAAACAAACACAAUACUUAAUACAAACUUAAAUACAAAUACAAAUACUACUAGUGUACUUUUAAUUAUUACAAGCCACAAAUACUAAUUGUUCUUAAUAAAUUAAAGACUAAAAAACAAAAUAAAAUAAUAGAUAGGAACUUAUUUAUUUAUUAUUAUUUUUUUUUAGUAGCAAAUACCGCACGCAUUCACAGAGGUUUUGUCCAAUUAGUGAAAGACGAGUACUUGUUCAGGCGAUCACGUCGAUAGAAAGCUCGUGGAUUUCUUACUUGUCUACUUGGCCAAGUGUGAUCAAUUCUUCCUGUAUUUUCGUACAAAAGCAGUCUCUUCUCGACUACUGGAUUCUCUUUCAAUUCUCAAUGGUCUUGGCCCCCUUAAAUUUCUUGCAGUCGAAAUCUCUCUUUGUGCCAAAUCAGGAUAUAUAAAACCGUAACGGGUAUUAUGUUGAUCCAAAUAAUUAAGCACUUUGACUCUAGAAUUCCGAAAAUUAAAUCCUUGCUUCCACGUUUGAUCUUUGUCACUAUUAUUCAAAUUAUUCCACAAAUCAACUCUAUGAAUGAAAUUAUUAGGGUAAACGGGAUUAAUUAAACCUGAAUUUUGUUCAAUCGUAACACCCAAAUGAGUAGGAAAUGGCUCCAAUUGCAGCUGUCCAGAAUUUUGCCUAGAGGAGGAGCCCACUUCAAAGUUUCUGUCGAUUUGACUUUGCGUAGAACCAAAAAAUCUGCUAUCUUUGGUUGCUUCUCCACGUGAAACCCCUGAUUUUUCACAUGCACUGUCAGAGUGCAUUGAACCAAACCAAAUGUUGGCUUUUGUGUUGUCCACACGUGAUGCCUUUUCACAUGCACUGUCAAAGUGCAAUGAAUCAAAAAUGUUUUUGACUUUAGCCUGCGAAAAACCACUUUCUCUGGGAAAAACCACUUUCUCCCCAAAAACAAAUUCUUUUUUAUUUUUAAAGUAGUCUUCUUCUUCUUUAUUUCCAAAACACUUUCUCUGGGAAAAACCAGUUUCUUCUUUCUUCUUCGUUCCGCAACCCGGCGGAUAAUCUCGAACAGCAGAGAUUAUUUUUCUUGGAGGAUAUCGAUGCGGUUGGUGUUGUAUAUUAUCACGAGAGGACGAGACCACGGAUGAACGACGAGACCACGGAGGAAGAACACGACCACACUGCUGAGUAUUAUGAGUCGAUGAGAUUCUGCGGCGAGUCCACGGUGGAAGGCGAGGGCGUGAAGGGUUUUCUUUUCGAGCCGAAAGUUGCGAGUUCGAAUUCGGAUUUGCAGUAAUUUGAGAGCAACUUCGAAACAAACUUGAUGGUGCAGGUAAAUCCCUUGGACUUGGUGACCAAAAUCUAGGAAAGGGAUUUGCACUUGUAGUUUCAAAUUCUUGUGUAGAUUCGGUUUUUGCAGGCAAAAAUCCCGAGUGAAAUGUAUUGUCUGAGGGCCUAAUGGGACUGUAAAACCUUUCUGAAUUCUGAUAAUUGUUGGAUGAAUUUGUAUGAUGAAAUGGUUCAAUUUCAGAAAGAAUUUUGUUCUCUGUCGAAAGUAAUGGUGUAAGGGAAUAAGGUUCAAAUUGUUGGGUUAAUUCAGGCCUAGGUUCAAACAGGUUGUAGGAUGGGAUUUCGAAUGAUUGGGUAUUUUUGUGAGUUUUGGAUUCUACAGGAAAAUACUCCGAUGACGAUUUCGAACUUUCAAUCAAAAUCGGUUCAACAUUCUCCUUGGUCAUCGACGUCCUCUUCCCUAAAUGCUUCUCAAGUUGAAACUUAGAAAAAACGUUGUUGGAUUCGUUACUUGACGGAGAGGAAGUCUCAGAUUUUGUUCGAGACGUCCUCGGAUGAAAACUGGGCAAAUUAUCUUGAUUCAUGAAAACCUGGCUCUGAGGCCACUGUUGGUAAUUGUUUAUUAACAGGAUCGGGAAACGGAUGUCGUUGGACUAUCGAUCACAAUAUGAUGCGAAGGAUAUGAACAGAGUGAAUAUAGAAUCGAAUGUAUAUUCUGACAGAAAGGGAUUUACAAAUAUAUAGAUAUGCAAGUAACCUUUCUGGAGAAGUUGUGUUCUUCAGGAGAAGUUAUGACUUCUCAGGUUGGAAUAUAACUGUUCAUAUCUUUUAAUUAAUUAAUUAAUUAAUUAUAUUAUUUUCUUUAUUAAUUAAUUAACUUAUUUCACUACAAUCAUAUAUAUAUAUUAGUACAUCAAUAUUAUGGUAUACUUUCACAUAUGAUUACAUAUAUUGUGAAAACCAUGUUAUCAUAAUCAUAUUCAUCUGUGGUAUGAUAUCUGAACCGAGUACAUUAUGCAUGCAGCGAUUGUUUCAGUACAAUUGCAUCUUCUUCUGCUGAUGAUAUCAGUGGUAUGAUAUCUGAACUGAGUACAUUGCCUGCGGGUCCUGACACCCAGCGUCAUGUCUCUGCUAUACGGCGGAAGAUUACAAUAUUGGGGAGUAGACUUGAUAGCUUCCAUCAAACUCCCUGAUAAAUAGCACAUGUAAGUCAUCACAGUUGACUUGUUUUAAUGCAUACACCAAACUGCUAUUGGAACAAAUAUAGGAACUGAACACUGUUGUAUGCUCUUCUUUCAUUUCCGGUUUCUAUUAGUCAAAGUAGCAUGUGACGGGGUUUAUUCCCAAGUUAUGAGUUCUUUGAGUUCGUAUUUCAUGUGAUCACCGUUUGUGAUAGAAGCUCAUGAAACUUUUGAUCAAAAUCAAACAUAGUUAUAGUAAGAUAGUCCUUCAUAAUGUUAAAGAUACUUCUGGCUAUCAUUGUAUGACAUUCUUUAUGCUGCCAUUUUUGAAACUCAGAUCAGAGAGAGAGAGAUGAAUCGUCGAAAGGAUAUGAUAGGAAAUUUAAGAUCGAAAGUGAAGCACGGCUUCAACAUUGAUGUCCUAGUCUUCCAACCGAGAUAGCUUGAUGGGGCCAGAAAUAAAUAAAGCAGAUGGCUUCAACAUUGACGUCCCACUCUUCCAACCCUUCAAUUUUUUAUUUUUGCUUUCAAAUAUAAAAUAUCCCCAUUAACUUUUCUUCACAUUUUGAUGAGGAAAAAUGACUGAAACAUGUAAUGUGUUUACUUAUAUUUGAGAGACCACUGAUUUAGCCAAUCUCAAGUUCGUGCUUCUUGAAAUUUUGUUAUAAAACACAGUGAAAGUAAAAAGUGGGCGGUGAAAUAGAUAAAAGGAUUUGACUGAAAAUAGUGACAUGAAAUCUCAUAGAAAAAAUACAAAUUGAAUUAAAAGAAAAGCUUUCUCGGCGACGGUUUUGAUGAAAUGGUGGAGGGCGAGGUUGAGGACUUUGGGGGAAGGGGAAUCCCUCUGCUUUCUCGGACCCCUGCAACCUUGUCAAGCAGCUUUCCUGGCUCGGGGUCUGUUAGUAGUGUCUUCUGAAAUGACUGCGAAAGGCAUGUUGCAAUAAUAGUCAGACGAAGCUCUCCGUUGUAGCGAUCAUCCACAACAGCCCCAAAUAUUAUGUUAGCAGAAGGACCUGAAAAUUUACAAUAGUUUGCAGACUUCAUUAGGCCAAGGAAAGGAGACAAGAAAAAAGGGCUACCAGCACCAACCACAAGCAAUAAUUUACGGCUUCCCCCCUCAUCUUCGAAAAUGAAAAUGUAAAGGUAGGAGAACUGAUUCCCACCAUGGGGAAUGUAAGAUGUAAAUCCUGAGGAGUUGGUUCGAGCUCACUAAACUCGUUCCAUAAAACUGAAGAGACCACUUUUCAAUAUAGUCAAUGUUCUCAUUAGAUUAAUACGGAAGCAAAAAGAAUUUCAGGGUCCCUUUCUUCCUUCAAAAUUAAAGCAUAAAAACCCGUAAUGUUACCUGAGACACUCUGUUGACUUCCUGCAGGGUUAUGUCCUUUCCACCUGUGAUAUUAUACACAACGCCAGUAGCUGAUUGAAUUGAAGAUCCAAUCAGAGGAGCCAAAGUCGCCUGUUCAGCUGCUUCUUCUGCACGGUUUUGCUGGAGGAAACACCUACUCCGAGCAUUGCAGUUCCUGAGUUUUUCAUGACUGCCUUUACAUCUGCAAAAUCCACAUUCGCCAAUGUAAAAUGCAGUUUCAUAAAGCAGUAUUACAGAAGACAACAUUCCGAACCACAUAACAGUUAACUAACAAGAUGUGAACGGUAAGUAGUAACUAAUAAGCUCAUGGUGUCUACUUAUAUUAUACUUCACCUUUUCAAAUGUAGUUUCUCCCGUUCCUGUUUUAUACAGUUCAUACACCAUAGGAGUCAAAAAUACUUUACUCAGUUUGGAACAAGUUUUCAUCAGUGAAACGACCAACUGCCACUGCCAUUAUUUAUACUUCAACUUAAUACCCGUGUGUGGAAUUCAAGCCAUGAAUAAGGAUUUCAUCCAACCUGCAAGGAAUUCAAGCCAUGAACAAGAAAAUGAGACAAAGUGUUAGAGUAAAAUUGGCAGUUCCUAAACAAAACGCCCGAGUCUGUAAUCUUAGACUAGUGCUUGUUUUCAGUUGUAAUUAUUUUAGUCUAAGUUUGUCUCACGUGCUCUCGAUCACAAAAUGGCAAGCGUUUCAGAGACAUCCAUUCAAGUAAGUUUGACAUGCAUAUGCAUUCACAUGAUAUAAGUUUUUGUUCAAUGGGCUGUUUAGCUUUAAGUUUAUAAUAAUUGAGGUUUGGGCUUUACAUAUUAAUUAAUUUGCUACGACUUCAUUUAGCUUAAUUAAAGGUCCAUACAUAUUAGAGGUCGCAUUUGGUGCGAUGGCAAGUGCCUUCGCCCAUGAGCGGUAGGUCUCGGGUUCGAGACUUGGGAGCAGCCUCUCUAUAAAUGGGGGUAAGGCUAGCCGACAUUCACCUCUCCCAGACCCUGCGUAAAGCGGGAGCCUUGUGCACUGGGUACGACAUUUUUAAAGGUCCAUACAUUAAUAUGAGAAUUAUAUAUUUGGAGUUAGAUGCCAUGCAUUUAAUAUGUGGAUAAAUUUCGGAUGGUCUUUAGUUUAUCUCUUCACUUAGAGAUCACUUCAAACUCUAUUGGAUUAGUUGUUUUAAUUGAUUAGGAUGACAAGUCUGAUCUUUCUUUUUUCUUCGGCCACGUGCUUAAUCUAACCGACCUAUAUAUAUAUAGAUUCAUCAGGUUAGGGUUUGGUGGUUGCUGCUCCGUAUCAGAACAUAUAUAUACAUUGAGAGCAGGCAUUUAUUUGUGAGAGCAUGCGUUAGGUUUUCAGAAGUCAUCAUCGUAUCAUAAUUGUUGGUUUUGGUUGCUGCAGCAUGCAUUGGAAUAGGCUUUGUUUUUGGGCUGUCGUUUUUGUGCUUUAAAGGGAUAUUUGAGCUUUAGUCAGCAACACUAGCAGCACGGCAUAUAUUCCUUCAGUGUUUUUUGUUGUCCAUGCGCCGCAUGAAUUAGAUUAGGAUUUUGGUUGUUUUUGCUGCAUGAAAUAUCAUUUGAAAGCAACGACAUGUGAGCAGCCCGUGUGCACAGAGAAGGAAUUUUCAUGAAGAAAAAUCAGUUUUUAUUGAAGGUGUUUUCAAUGAGAAAAAUAUUAGUUUUGGUUAACUUUUUCAUGCUCUUUAAUUAGAAAUCAAUUAUGAAAAUGUGCCUUGUGAUUUUCAUAAUUGAUUGAUUUCCAAAAAUCAUUUCAUUACAUACAUUAUGCAUGAUCGUGUUAGUAUCCUGCAAAGUUCGAGGCGACAGUGAUUGACGGCCGCGUUAGUGUCGUGCCACUUCAACUCGAAGGCUGAAGAGAGAUCAAGUAGCAAAGCGCGGAGACAAACCUGCCUACUAGUAUGCGUGUCUAGUUGAUGAGUUUUGUAAGUCUUUCUGUACUUAUUUUUCUUAGUGUUUGUCCUGGCUUGAAAGCCCGAGGAUUUUCCCAGUGGUGGGUUUUGCCUCGUUAAAUCCUACAUCAUGUGUGCACUUUUUAUUUAUCGUUUUAAUUGCAUAUGAGUAUGAUAGUUUGAUAUGUGAUGUGAAUGUGGAUUUAAUUUGAAAACUGAAAAUUAAAUUGAAAAUUGAAUUGGAUUUUUAAAUUGGAACCUAUUCACCCCCUCUAGGUUAAACUAGUACCCAUCCUAGAACUUUCAAUUGGCACCAGAGCAGGUCACUAAAAAUACCUAGUGAGAUUCGUGGGUAGUCUAGGAUGAAUCGUACUAUGGGUUCAGUUUCUCAUCCACCACAUUUUGAUGGUGACAACUAUGCUGCGUGGAAGGCGAAAAUGAAAUCGUUUUUGUGGGCACAAGAUGACAAGGUGUGGCUUGCUGUUGAAGAAGGUUGGGAACCUCCGACGAUUGAAGAAACCAAAGGUAAAGGAGAGUCCUCUGUGUCUAUAUCUAAGCUUAAGCCUAGGAAAGAAUGGAGCAAUGAUGAGCGUAGCUCUAGCACUUUUAACCAAAGGGCUUUGAAUGCUUUAUUCACAGCCGUUUCGCCUGAACAAUUCAAUUACAUAAGUAAGUGUACAACGGCGAAAGAAGCUUGGGACAUUCUUGAAGUUCAUGAGGGUAACUCAAUUGUUAAAGAAUCCAAACUUCAACAUCUUAUCACAAAAUUCGAAAAUAUCACAAUGUCUGAUGAUGAAAGUUUCUCUGACUUUUAUGCUAAGCUUAGCGUAAUUGUCAAUGGCUGUCACAAUCUUGGUGACAGUAUUCCUGAGCAUAGGAUUGUGAAAAAGAUCUUAAGAUCACUUCCUAUGAGGUUUCAUGCUAAGAGGACGACGAUUGAGGAAUCGAAAGAUCUAAACACCUACAAGCUUGAGCAAUUGAUUGGGUCUCUGCAAACGUAUGAGUUAGAGCUUCCUGAUUCCAAGAAGAUGAAAAGCAUUGCUCUCAAAGCUGUCAAAGAAGAAGAAAGUGAUGGCUCAAUUGAAGACUUGUUCGAAGAUGAAUUGGUUGAAUUAACCAUGCAAAUUAUAAGGUUUCUCAAGUCUCAAAAUUCCAAGGGUCAUGAGCAACGAACCAACUCAAGUUCGAACUCAAAAAACUUUCGUUCUCUAGAUGUCUUACAUGACAAAGCCUCUAGAUCAUCUAGAACUAGUGAACAUAAGAGUUCUAACAAUAGGGUUCAAUGUCAUGAGUGUCAAGGCUAUGGACACAUUGCUUCUGAGUGUGCAAACACUAUUAAGAGAAAAGAGAAGAAGAAUAGGGCAAUGAAGGUCACUUGGAGCGAUAGUGAUUUAGGGGAUGCAUCUACGUCAGAAUCUGAGAAGGAUAUGAUUGCGUUUAUAGGAACUGUUGAUGGAUAUGACACAGAAGGUUCAUUUGUUGAAGAAUCUGACUUGGAAGAAGUCUUGAGAAAAUAUUCUGAUCUCUAUGACAUCAGUGUGCAAGUAAAAAAGGAUAACUCUAACUUGAAGAAGAAACUUGCAUUUGUUGAAAGUGAAAAGAAAGAAGCUGAAGUUGAGCAUCAAUCUCAGUUGGACAAUGGAGAGAAACUACGAGAGUCGCUAUUAGAGAAGAUUCACAUUCUACAAACCACAAUUAACACUCUCUCAUCUGAUAAGAAAGCUCUUGAGGAUGAAGUGGUUGAGAUGAGAAGAAAAGUUCAGGAGUUGAGCAUAGGUUCGGGGAAAAUUGACAAGAUGCUUAGCUAUGGAAAAAGUUUUGGAGACAAAGGAGGUCUAGGAUUCUAGUCUACAAAGACUAAAAGUUCCUCUUCUGUCACCAGAUUUGUCAAAGCCUCUGAUAUUCCUAGUUUGAAAGUAGGUGACGAUAAAUGUUUAGGUCUUACUCCCGAAACAUCUACAAUCUUUGCACAUGUGUUAAAUCCUGUCAAGACUUCAAUUAAUCUUAACAAACCCAAACAAUCUAGGAAGUUCAUUCCUAUAUGUCAUCUUUGUGGGAUUCCUGGUCACAUCCGGCCUAAGUGCAAUAAGCUUAGAAAGAAAAAUUCUUAUCAAGAAAACUUGCAACUACACUCAUAGCUUGUGAAUGAGGAUUCAGAACCACAUGUGUUUUUGCACCAUUUCAUUCUUGUUGGAACAAUUAUAUUCUUCUCAUACAAAUGAUUAUUUUUUUUUUUAAAAAAAAACAUAUCAUUUGUGUGUUGCAUUUCAUUAUUUUUUUCAAAGCAUUUGUUUAGGGGGAGCUUAACAAUAUGAAAGAACAUUUCUUUUCAUGUUUAUCUUUUCAACUAUUGCACUUGUAUUCUUUUCCCUCCUGCUUUUGUCCCCACUUUUAUUCUUCCGAAGAGGUUCUAGUUCACAGAAAGGAAAUCUUUCUCCAUCAGAAAGGAAAUCUUUCUCCAUCACAUUUUGUUAUGUUCCACUUAUCUUCCGAUGACUGCACCUGAUGGUUACCUCUUUGGCCUUUGACCUUUCUAGACAAAAAGGGGGAGAAGUAGGAAGCUUAUAUUUAGGGGGAGAAGUAAAAUUUUGAAAACCUGGUUGUUUUUUUUGUUGCUUGCUUUUAUAGAUAAAUGUUUCAUUUUCUGCAACGUUUAUCUUUUGUACGUCAUAGGUUUUCUUGUUUGAGUGUGUGCAGGUUACAUACUUCAAUGUUAUGCAUGGUCAUUAAUUUUAUUAGUUGUCUGUAAUUUUAUGAUUGAGGGUUUUGUCUAGGAAAUGCCAAAAGGGGAGAUUGUUAGAGUAAAAUUGGCAGUUCCUAAACAAAACGCCUGAGUCUGUAAUCUUAGACUAGUGCUUGUUUUCAGUUGUAAUUAUUUUAGUCUAAGUUUGUCUCACGUGCUCUCGAUCACAAAAUGGAAAGCGUUUCAGAGACAUCCAUUCAAGUAAGUUUGACAUGCAUAUGCAUUCACAUGAUAUAAGUUUUUGUUCAAUGGGCUGUUUAGCUUUAAGUUUAUAACAAUUGAGGUUUGGGCUUUACAUAUUAAUUAAUUUGCUACGACUUCAUUUAGCUUAAUUAAAGGAUUAUAUAUUUGGAGUUAGAUGCCAUGCAUUUAAUAUGUGGAUAAAUUUCGAAUGUUCUUUAGUUUUAUCUCUUCACUUAAAGAUCACUUCAAACUCUAUUGGAUUAGUUGUUUUAAUUGAUUAGGAUGACAAGUCUGAUCUUUCUUUUUUCUUCGGCCACGUGCUUAAUCUAACCGACCUAUAUAUAUAUAGAUUCAUCAGGUUAGGGUUUGGUGGUUGCUGCUCCGUAUCAGAACAUAUAUAUACACUGAGAGCAGGCAUUUAUUUGUGAGAGCAUGCAUUAGGUUUUCAGAAGUCAUCAUCGUAUCAUAAUUGUUGGUUUUGGUUGCUGCAGCAUGCAUUGGAAUAGGCUUUGUUUUUGGGCUGUCGUUUUUGUGCUUUAAAUGGAUAUUUGAGCUUUAGUCAGCAACACUAGCAGCACGACAUAUAUUCCUUCAGUGUUUUUUGUUGUCCAUGCGCCGCAUGAAUUAGAUUAGGAUUUUGGUUGUUUUUGCUGCAUGAAAUAUCAUUUGAAAGCAACGACAUGUGAGCAGCCCGUGUGCACAGAGAAGGAAUUUUCAUGAAGAAAAAUCAAUUUUUAUUGAAGGUGUUUUCAAUGAGAAAAAUAUUAGUUUUGGUUAACUGAUUUUUCAUGCUCUUUAAUUAGAAAUCAAUUAUGAAAAUGUGCCUUGUGAUUUUCAUAAUUGAUUGAUUUCCAAAAAUCAUUUCAUUACAUACAUUAUGCAUGAUCGCGUUAGUAUCCUGCAAAGUUCGAGGCGACAGUGAUUGACGGCCGCGUCAGUGUCGUGCCACUUCAACUCGAAGGCUGAAGAGAGAUCAAGUAGCAAAGUGCGGAGACAAAACUGCCUACUAGUAUGAGUGUCUAGUUGAUGAGUUUUGUAAGUCUUUCUGUACUUAUUUUUCUUAGUGUUUGUCAUGGCCUGGGAGCCCGAGGAUUUUCCCAGUGGUGGGUUUUGCCUCGUUAAAUCCUACAUCAUGUGUGCACUUUUUAUUUAUCGUUUUAAUUGCAUAUGCCUAUGAUAGUUUGAUAUGUGAUGUGAAUGUGGAUUUAAUUUGAGAACUGAAAAUUAAAUUGAAAAUUGAAUUGGAUUUUUAAAUUGGAACCUAUUCACCCCCUCUAGGUUAAACUAGUACACAUCCUAGAACUUUCACAAAGCAUAUAAUUUCUAUGUAGAGAAGAAUAAUUUGAGGGGAGCAGAUAACAACGUACUGCCAGCAUUGUUUUGAACUCAUCCCGUGCCUUUUUUAGUUUGACUUUGCCUCUCCUCAGCCUACUGAUUUUUCCUUUACAACUUCAUAUUAAUCAUCAUCCGAGCUACAAUAAUAACUCCCGCUAUCCUCACUACUAUCAUUUCCGGAUUCCCAUUCGUCCUCAUCUUCGUUUGCCUCUUCCGGUGCAUUGUAUUGAGGCAAAUCACCAAGGUCAAUUGAUAUUUCGAAUUCGGGAACUCCAGGUACGUCAAACGGUUCUUGGACAAUAUUAGUAUCCCGGAGCAUUGCUUCACCAAUUUCUAUUGAAGAUGAUAAUUGUUGGUCAGCGACGUUGUCGUUGUUGUCAUCAAGAUCUAGUUUCGAAAUAUCAUAAAGCCCUCUUUGAUCAAUGUUCUGAACAACUUUCCAACCACUGUCAGCUUUAGGGUCAUCUAGAUAGAAUAUUUGUUUCGCCAUAGUUGCCCCAAAAUGUAUGGCAUGUCUUCAUCAUGAAUUAAACCAAUGUCUCAAGUAGUGUUUACAUUUGAUAGUAAACCAUGGUCAUCGCUCUAACACCUCAUUCGGUUAUGUGGGUUUUAGUAUCAAACCAAAAAGUAUCUUAAAUGGGCGGCCAUGGGGUUUUGUUUGGGCUUUUGGGCCUUUGUGAAUUAAGUUGUCAUACAACUUAAGUCAAUGGACUUGACGUUCGAAGCCCAUUGGGCCUUGAGGCCCAAAACUAUCCCGAGGUCUUCAAAGAACUUAUUCGUUUGAUUAAUUAACAUAUUAAUUAAUCUUUGCCAUAAAUAAUUAAACCAUUUAAUUAUUCUUACUCAUCUCCAUUGUUUCUUCAAUCUCCACCUUACACGGUGUACGAUCCAUUAGGUUCCUUUUAGCGAGGUAGUGGGCGAUUAAAACCAUUUUACAUCGAUUGUGAAUUGAAACUUACUUUCAAUUCUCCCUUUAGUGAUUACACACGUUUAGGGCUUCCACAAACCAUGAGUGACACGUAGCAGCAUAUCAUGGUUACCUAAGCUAAUCAGAAGAGGUGGAGAACUUAUUCAGUUUAGGAUUACAAAUGCAAUACGGUCUUUCUCUAAUACAAUACUCUACCACAUUGUUUGGUUUGAUAGUUCAUUUAUUCAUGUCUACUAUCCAAUGUGAUUCGUGUGCUUAUAUGAUUACCUUGAAUGUGAUUUAGAACAACUUUUCUAAAUCUCAUUCAUACUCUGGCCAGAGGUUCUAAAUCAUAUCAUAGAGUAUUCUCCCUUAAACGGUUUGAAGGUUAGAGAUCCCUUAUUGCGCAUUCACUUGUCUCCAUGACUAAGUGGCUUAACCCCAAUGAUGCCAUGGACACCCCGAUGGGGUGACUUUGACAUAAUCAAAGAUCAAGGACUUAACCACAAGACAACUGUGAUGCCUCAGGUCAAAGGACUACUUUGCAUUAUCCCAACCAUGAGUUCUCAUGUGACAUGAAUAUGAGAACUCUUCGUUGAUCGUGUUCAGUGGACUCAUUCUCUAUUGAGCACCUACGUACUUGUCUUGAUGUCACACACACCAAUGACUCGAGACUAGUCACUCUCCCUGAGAGAAGACACAGCAUGUACCGAUCUUAACGGACUGUCAAUGCCCAAUUGACAAUCCUAUGAUCAGGAACAUUUAGGAUGUGUCUACGAAAGAAUGGUCUCAUGAAUCUAACUUCAUUAGAUUGCAUUCUCCCAAUCACAUAUUCCUUGGACUUUAUCGUUUAAGCAUAUAACAUUUAUAUGAGACGGCUCAAACAAUAAUCUUUGCCCUUUAUAGUUAAACUAGAUUAGUUUAACAUGUGAAAUGUCCGUAAAGUAUCAUCAUAUGAAUGGCUUUAGGGCACAUUUCCAACAUCGGACACACUUUUUCAACUCACCAAGAUAUCUGUACAAAUAAAAGGUAUGCUACAAAUUAUUCAAAGCAUUCGUUGAUUAUGAAUCUGUUAUAUAUAUAUAUAUAUAGACGCUUAAUUAAGUACCUUUCUAUUGGAUACAUCAUGAAUCUGUUAUAUAUAUAUAUAUAUAUAUAUAGACGCUUAAUUAAGUACCUUUCUAUUGGAUACAUCCAUCAACAUUUCAUUGGUUUGGCAAGUAAUGCCUCAUCUGGCAAGUGAAUCAUCACGUGAAUCAUACUUGUAAAGAAAGUUGGGGGAAAUAUCUGUUCAAACUUGCAUAAGAUGUUCACAAUGUCGUCCUGCAAUUGUUUAACAUUCGACUUUCACAAACACCUUGCAAUCAACUGCGAAAAAAAAUCUCGACAACAACACGAUUGGUUUCACCACAUCAAGAGGCAAUAAGUGUCGAAUACCAAUCGGAAGAAGGUGUUGGAGUAUCACAUGACAGUCAUGAUUCUUCAUGUUUGAAAAUUUACACCCCCCACGUUCACACAACUCAAGAUAUUGGAAACAUACCCAUCUGGAAACUUUACAGAAGAAAUAAAGUUGAAAUACUCUUUCUUCCCAUUCGACUUAAUUGUAAAAAAGGGAUGGCCUUUAUUCAAUGUACCACUGACUCUCUUCAUCCACAAGAAUGACCUAAUGCCCAUUCGUUCCAAAUCGAGGUGAGCUUUGAUCGUGUCUUUUGUUUUUCUUUCAAUGUCUAGAAUUGUCCUGACCAAAGUAUCAAACACAUUUUUCUCAAUAUGCAUAACAUCGAGGUUGUGUCUCAAUUUUAACUUUGACCAGUACGGGAGCUCAAAUAACAUACUCUUGUGCAUUCAAUUCAGAUGUGUAGUUGGUCUGGGGUUACUGACCUCUUUGCCGAAAUGACCAAAUUCCAAACUGUUUAACUGAUCCAAAAUAUCAUCUCCGGACCAUUCUCUUGGUCUUGGCUGAGUCUCUUUUGUGUUGUGGAAGACUUUAUCAUUCUGACGCCACUCGUUGUCCCAAGGGAGCCAACUACAAUGACCAAGAUAACAAACUUUUCUCGCAUGCCAAGACAAUGUUACGUUCUCCUUGCAUAUUGGACAUGCCAAAUAACCCUUAGUCAUCCACCCAGAAACCAUUGUAUAUGUGGGAUAAUCGUUUACUGUCCACAUCACUGCCGCUCGCAUGGUGAACAUCUGCUUAGUAUACUUAUCAUAUGUACGAACACCAUUUUCCCAUAAAUCUUUUAGCUCAUCAACCAACGGCCGUAAAUAAACAUCAAUGGACUUUCUUGGAUCUUCGGUAAUUAAUAGAGUCAACAUCAUGUAUUCUUUUUUCAUGCACUUCCAAGGCGGCAUAUCUAAGGAAACACGACAACCAGCCAAGUGUUGUGGAUUUGGUUUAAAACCCCGAAUGAAUUAAAUCUGUCGAUGGCAAGUCCCAAUCUGAUGUUGCGCGGGUCAGCUGCAAAAUCAGGGUACAUCCGAUCGAAUUCUUUCCAUGCUUUUCCAUCUGCAGGAUACCUCAUAACAUCAUCAUUUACCCAUCAUUCUUUAUGCCAUCUCAUGUCUGUUGCAGUAUGCAUCGACACGUACAAUCACUGCAACCUAGACUUUAAUGGAAGAUAACGCAUUUCUUUUUGUGGAAUCUUGGUCUUUCUAUUAUGUGAUGUCAUUUUAAACCUCGGCUCAUUGCAGAUAGGGCAUUUAUCCAACUAUUUGUUCUCCUUUUAGAACAAUAUACAAUUAUUUACACAUGUGUGAAUUUUUUCAUACCCCAAUCCGAGACCCUUCAACACUUUUUGGGCACUUUUAUGAUCUUCAGGUAAACAAUUCUCCUUUGGAAGCAUCCUCUUGAUAACUCCCAAAAAGUAAUCAAAACACUUGUUUGACAAACGAAACUUGAUCUUGUCGUGCAUCAACUCCACAAUUACUGUGAGCACGAAAAAGUUCUUGCAACCCGAAUAUAAUUCUUGCUUGGCAUUUUUCAAUAGUUUUUCAUAGUUUUUUAAUGCCUCACUGUCCAUGGUUGGACGGUCAUCAUCUCCCCCUUCCUGAUUGGUGUUGCUCGAGGCGUAUGGAUAAACGUCAUUUAGAAUAUUCAUAACUUGUUCCCUAGGAUCCACAUUAGAUUCAACAAUCUCCACUCGUAUCAUGUAAGAAGACGAAGCUUGGUUUAACUGUUCUCCAUGAUGAUAUCAAGUAGUAUAGGUCUCCAUCAUCCCAUUUCUUAAUAAAUGAAAUCCAACAUUUUCGAAUGUCUCCCACAUUGAGUUGUUACACCUCCUACACGGACAUCAAAUAUGAGUUGAACCUAGGUUGUGUCUAGUUGCGAAUUCAAUGAACUCAUCUAUUCCAUCCAAGUACUCAACAACACAUCUAUUAUGAUUAUGUAUCCACUAUCUGUCCAUUUUGUCUGCAAUCCCAAUAAAAGUACAAGAGUUACAACAACUUCAACUAUUGUCUUGUCACCUUAUUCCUCCGGUAAGGGCCCUAUCCCAUUCAAGAAUGUACAGUUAUGUGCUGUAAUUUACGAUUCCAAUGGAUUAAAUUUUGACGUGGGCUAAUUUUGGCAGCAUCUCCUUACAGUUCUUCAAGUGCACGCCGUAAAUACCUAAUAUCCACCGUGUACUCAAAGAACAUCAUCAGGAAAUGUUACCAAAAUUUGCACUAUCGAAACCUAACCCAUGAAUCGCAAACUACAACACAUAACUAUGCAUUCCCAAGCUAUCCAAAAAAUGGGACAAUUCAAGAAUUAAUUGGACCACAAUCAUGCUUUUGCAAUACAUGAAAUCCAACUAAUUCUCAAACGGGAAACUAAGCUUUUCUUGAAAAAAGUGUAUGAAGUUAAGUAGUAUUAACUUCGUACAACACAAAACAAUUUUGUACUUGAUGUACAAAAGUAUGUGCAUACAAAUAAAUUAAAUCACAAUAAUUAGUGAAAUUAAAUAAAAUAGAUACAAAUUAUUAAUCCUUCUAAACCAAAAAAUUGGACGAAUCCAUAUUGACAUCACCCAAAAUUUCUAUGUUCCACAGUUUUAACUUCUUGUUUACCCCUUCUACUCUUGCCUUAAAAUUAUUGUUUAAGGACCUAUAUGAUGAGACCAGGUAUUCUAAAUCGUAAAGGAUAGAGACUACACCUAAAAUGAUUACUAACCAUGUAAUAGAACAGUGGUUUGACAAAGCUGUAAACUGGCUUCUUCUCUAAAUCUCUAACACUCUAGUUUCCUCCUCCCAAUUUGGUGAGAAAUGAAAUCUAUCCAUUUUUUAGCACACAUCAAUCUAUCCCUAAAUUAGAUCAAGUUAACUGAGCAGUUUGUAGUUUCUUAGCUUUUGUUUCCCUAAACCUAUCAAAAUCCUUUAUACUCCUAGUCAUUCAUUCUACUCAUUCAAUUGUUCAAAACCAAAACUCAACUUGUUAAAAAUAAGCAUUGUCAAAGACACAACAUUAAGUUGCAUUGACAAAGACACAACAUUAAGUUGCUUGAAUGCAACACUCAGAAGUCCAAAUUCUAGAAAAUAAUUAAAGAAAAACAUGAAUACACAAAAAUAAAAAAAUCCAAACAUAAAAGUAAUUAAUAAAUAGUUAAUUAUGUUGUGGUCUAUUUUUAUCUGACAGAGAGACUAGGGCCGGCGGCAGAGAGAAAGAGGAGAGAGAUGUGUGUUUGUAGAAUUGUAGGGGAAUGUAUGUGUUGUUAUCCCUCCUACAUUGUGCCUUUAUUUAUAGUAGUAAAGGGAGAGAAGAUAUUCCUUCUCCUCCAAGUAAUACAAGUUGUAAUAGGAAAGGAUAACUAGAAUCAAAUCUAAUCUAGGAUUUACACAAUCAUACUUAUUCUAGGAAUGUUUACAACACUCCCCCUUGAGUGUGCAAAUACUUAAGAUAGAUUCAGCAUCAUGCAGAAGUUGAGGAAGUUGACUCGUCGGCACUAAUUCCAAGGAACAACGCUUAUUCUCAAUAAGGUAGGAACUUGCAUAAGUAGUAAGUCUCACUAAAAAACCCUAAGGCUAUGGCAAAAACCUAAGUAGGGACAAAAUCCAUAGUCUAAGGAAAAAUGCGUGAGAAAUGCAAAGUCAAAAGAAACGUCUACAGGACGUCAUCAGGGAUAUGACCAGCCCAAGGUGGGUGCCUCGUUAAAACCUAGUUAGGCAGCAAAAACCCAGUGGGAAAAAUGCUCCUAAUCGUAGGGAAAAAGAGUACAUUAAGAUCAAGCAAGUAGCCAGAAGAUACUCCCUCAGUUUAACAUAAUUCCAAAGAGAAAUAGCAAAGUUACAACUUAGAAAGUUUACGCAUACCAAUUCCAUGAACAAGCUUCUGAAACGUCGCAUUCGAUAGUGAUUUGGUGAAGAGGUCAGCCAGAUUGUCUUGUGAUCGGAUUUGCGUGACUUCAAUCUUCUGAUGCUCUUGUUGUUGAUGUGUAAAGAAGAACUUUGGCGCAAUAUGCUUGGUGUUGUCUCCUUAGAUGUAACCCUUCUUGAGUUGUUCGAUGUAAGCUGCGUUGUCUUCAAAAAUCGUCGUCGAGGCAUUAACGGCGGGAUGAAGAUCACAGGAGCUUCGAAUAUGGCCCAUUACUGCUCUCAACCAAAAGCAUUCCCGAGUUGCUUCAUGUAAGGCGAGAAUUUCAGCAUGGUUAGACGAAGUGGCAACUAAGGUCUGUUUAGUUGACCUCCAAGAUAUUGCGGUGCCUCUAACAGUAAAGACAUAACCCGUUUGAGAACGCGCCUUGUGCGGAUCAGAUAAGUAUCCAGCGUCGGCAUAACCAACAAGGCGAGAAUCAACCCGAUGAGCAUAGGGUACGGCAUCACUCGAGGAUUCGUAGGGAUAGAAUAAGCCUAAAUCCGUAGUACCCUUAAGGUAACGGAAGAUGUCUUUCACGCCAGUCCAAUGUCUGCGUGUUGGUGCAUUGUUGUACCUUGCCAAAAGAUUAACAGCGAAGGAGAUGUCGGGUCUAGUGCAUUGAGCUAAGUACAAUAAAGCACCUAUCGCACUUAGAUAAGGAACUUCAGGCUCUAAAAUCUCUUCAUCAUCCUCCUUCGGAUGGAAGGGAUCUCGAUUUGCAUAUAGUGUACGAACGACCAUAGGAGUACUCGAAGACUUCGCUUUAUCCUCAUUAAAAUGGCGCAACACCUUCUGGGUGUAGUUCGAUUGAUGUACUAAGAUUCCAUCCGAACAAUGCUCUAUCUCGAGACCGAGACAGUAUCGAGUCUUUCCUAGAUCUUUCAUCUCAAAUUCCAACUUCAGGUGCGAAGCAGUUCUCGCGAGCUCUUUAGGAGUUCCGAUGAGAUUCAUGUCAUCGACAUAUACUGCAACAAUCGCAAAUCCGGAAUGUGACUUCUUAAUGAAAACACAAGGGCAUAGUUCGUUGUUCACAUAUCCCUAACUAGUCAAAUACUCACUCAGACUGUUAUACCACAUUCUUCCGGAUUGUUUCAAACCGUAUAGUGAACGCCUCAGCCGAAUUGAGAGCGUGUUCCGGGGUUUGGAAAUAUUUGAACCAGUCAAUGUAAGUCCUUCGGGAACUUUCAUAUAAAUUUCCGUAUCAAAAUCCCCAUAGAGAUACGCGGUUACUACGUCCAUCAGUUGCAUAUCCAGUUUUUUAGAAACUACCAAACUGAUAAGGUAUCGAAAAGUAAUCACAUCCAUAACGGGUGAGUAAGUUUCAUCAUAGUCAAUCUCAGGGCGUUGUGAGAAACCUUGUGCUACAAGACGAGCUUUGUAACGCACAAUUUCGUUCUUCUCAUUACGCUUCCGAACAAAAACCCACUUGUAGCCAACGGGCUUCACAUGUGGAGGAGUAGGAACUACAGGUCCAAACACCUUACGUUUCGCAAGUGAAUCAAGUUCGACUUGGAUUGCUUAUUUCCAGUUUGACCAAUCAGCUCUAUGUCGACAUUCAUCAACGGAACGCGGUUCAAUGUCAUCGCUCAACAUGAUCUCAGUAGCUACUGUAAAUGCUAAUGCAUCGUCGACAAUCAUGUCAUUUCUACGCCACACGUCAUCUAAGCUAGCAUAAUAGACCGAAAUCUCAUGAUUCUCGGGAGGAGGAUUCGUCUCUUCAAGGACGCUUCCAUAAUCUAGAAUUUCCUCAUGAGUUGGGUAAAAUGAGUAAGCGAUAGUCGGAUUCACGGUAGGCUCUUCAGGACCUUGUGCCGUGGUUUUCCUCUUCCGGGGGUGUGAAUCCUUUGAACCAAUGGGUCUGCCACGCUUUUGUGUAGGGGCAGAUGAUUGGCUAACCGCUAAUGUACGUGGAUCACCAGAAUUGGCGUCCUGGGCUUCCAGGAGGGUAGUCCGUCGUACAUUUGGUACAUCUAUCUUUGCAGGCGUAUUCGCAACUGGAAUAUGUGAUCUUGUCACGCGCGCUAGAUCAGUGAAAGCAUCUGGCAUGCUCUGAGCUAUUGAUGCGAAAUAAAUAAGCACACAAAUUUAACCCUCUUUUUGACAAUUGUAGUAUAGAUGUAAGUAGGGAUCGUUCUAAACCGGGGAUUAGGAGGGAUUGCUAAACCACUUGAAAACUAAUUUAAAAACAUAAAAACAAAGUUAAAAAUGUAAACAAAAGAUUUUAAAACAAGAAAGUAAAAGGGGGAUUUGAGUUUGGUGAAGUUGAAAGUAAAAACGAAUAAACUAAAAACUUAAAUAGAUUUUAAACAAAUUUGGGUUGAAUGGAUAAUGGAAGGCUAGCUAAGGGGUUCUUCUCCACACAUGUCUUGCUUGCAUACAAAAUGAUUUCCAAUUGCAUUUCAAUAACUUAUUAAUUCUCAACGCCCCAAAUUAACCGUGAAUUGCACUAAUUAACCCUCAGUUUUUCCACAAGUUAUUGGGUUGGAUGAUUGCAUACGACAACCCAAAACAUUCCCUACAAGUUCCCUACAUGAAUUGCAUAAUAGAGAUACAAGCAAGAAUCAUUAAGUUCUAUGAAAAACAUAAGCAUUGACGAGGCACUCGUUACUAUGAUUUGCAUGAAACUUAUGCCAAGGAUUUACUUAACACAAUCGUGACUAGCGACUUUUACUACUCAUGAAUAUAAGUUCAUAACGAUUAGGUGAAAUUCCCUUAUACUCUAGCAUCAUAUUUAUGCAUGCAAACUAAGUAUGCAUCCCUAAUCAACAUACAUAAACAUGUUAUCAAUCAAAUAGAUAAGUAAAUUGAAUUCAUAACUUAUGAAACGCAAUUAAAAGUAAUCAAAUCAUAUUGCAAGCAUUAACAUGGUUUCGAAUCCCCCCCCUAGCCAAGGGGGGUUUAGUUCCUCAUUAUUACAAAACAAAGAUAAACAAAUUUAAAAACAUUGAAAAACAAAGGAAAGAAAGCACCUAAACGUUCCAACGAUCCAUGUUGGAUAGCAAGUGCGUCUAAGGACUUUUCUCCUUCUCUUUGCCGCAACAACAAGGUUGGAAUGAUGUUGAAGGGUUGGUUAUUUGGAGGAAUGGAUGGGAAGGGGUUUAGAUAUGUAGGAGAGGCAAGGAAAGGCUUGGAGAAUGGUUAAUUUCUGGAUGAUUUGAAUGAGGUUGCUGCCAUGGUAUUUAUAGGAAGAGGAUGGACAUGUUUAAUGCAAAAAUCUGGUGGAAUGAAGUAGGUAAGGCAUGGCAAGGUGGAGAGUUGUUGGUGAGGGUAGGUUUUGAGUCAUCCACUCACAUGUCAUGGUGAGUUAAGCAUUGCAUCAUUCACUCAAAUGUCAUGGUGAGUUAAGCAUUACAUCAUCCACUCAAAUGUCAUAGUGAGAUAGGCAUUGCAUCAUCACUAAAAAAAUCUGGUGGAAGUAAAACAAAGGGAAGGCCACGGCAUUGAUGAAUUUUAUGGGGUAUGCAUGGUUUUGAGUGAAGUUUUGGCCAAUCCUUUUAGAAAUUUAUCCCUUCUUGCAACUUGUAUUUGUUUCACCAGAUUUUUAGCAUGUUCUUAGCCUUUUUUGUCUUCAAAUUCGUCCAUCCAUCUUGCUCAUAUCAUAUGUAAUCCAUUACAAACUCAAAACUGCUCCAAAAUGCACCAAAAUGCACUUUCUUGCUACCUUAGCCCUUUGGACCUACAAACACACGAAAAUGGCUUAAAGUACUAAAAUAACUAAGAACUAAUAACGUAAAUGCAAGAAAACUAGUUAACUAAGUCGCAUAAAUAUGCGUCUAUCAAAUUCCCCCACACUUAGCUUUUGCUAGUCCUCGAGCAAAACAAAGAAACAAAACAUAAGAACAAAACAAAACCUAAACCUUCCAAUAAUUACCUUAGGGAUUUUCAAUGCAACAUGACAUGCAAAAGAUCAUCAUAACCACAGAUUUUUGCCUUCCCUACCCUUGAGCACAUACUUAAUCAAAGUCACCACAUACUAGUUCACAUAUAACCAAUUAAAACGAUGUUUUGAAUGUAGUAACAUGCCUUAGAGAAUUUGCUCAAUUCCUUACAAGAUACACUCUUAUUUUCACUCUGAUUUUCUGACUACUUACCCUACACUAGAUGUAUGUGAGAAGAUUGAUGUAAACAUGAAAACGAACACUCACAUAUGUUAUAGCAAAGAAAGCAAUUUCUGGAGUUAUUAAGCAUGUAUAGAUAUGAUCUCAUGACUGGAAUGCUACUACUUAGAUGCGAGAACCAGGGACACCAUAUGCUCGUACCAAUCCCAAACUCCACAUAUUGAAACACAUAACACUCAAGAUUGAAGUUAAGGGUUGUAACGGGGUUAGGGGUGAUUGGCUAACAAUGAAAGGUAAGGAAACAAACGUUUUUAAAGCAUAAUAAGCAAAGUAAUGAAAUUGAUGCUUAGAAUUCCCUUUGAAUGCAGCAACUAACUUUAAACACAAUGGGGUUAUUCAUUCAACUUUUUAGGGCCGAUUUCAACUACAAACAACACUUGUGAGCCUUUCCUCACUUAUUUCAAACUCUUUUUUUUUUUUUUUUUUUUUUUUCUUUUUCUUUUCUAACCCGUGCCUUAUUACUUUCUUUUGGCACACAAAACACAAAAAUCUCAUUCCCCCACACUUGUUUUCUGCAUAAGGACAAUCAAAAGGAAUUCAUUUUAAGUCAUGCUUCAUUAUGCUUUAAAAACAAGGGUAUGGAUAGUCCUAAUCUAGGCUAGGUGAGGGAAAUGUGGUUUAACAAAGAAAACAGGCUAAACAAGGCUCAACGGGGUUAAACUUAAACAAAUAUGCACGGGAUAAGCUUUUUGGCUCUAGUUCACUACACAACUUCAUCUUGAAUAUGUGUUAUGCAAAUCAAUGUCAUGCUUUGAAUGGAACGGGCAUAAGUUCUAGUAUUUGGAACUAAAUGAUGAAACGCCUUCUAAGUAGCAACCAAGGAAAGAAUGAUGAGAUCAUGCAACGACUUUAGAAAACAAAAAUGCACAGAUUAAUAACUCUCCAAAGAACGUAUUAGGCUCAAGUCUCUCAAGGUUGUAGUGUUAGUUUGAGUUCCUUCCUUCAAGCAUGUUACAAAAAUUGAUUUUUUUCUUUGUGAUUACAUGUGAAUUCGUAAACUAUAACUAUAACCAAGCAUAAAUCAAGAGCAUAUCAAACUUCCAUCCAUGUUUAUAACUUUCUUUAACAGUCAUGCAAUUAAAAACCAAAUCCUCAUUAUUUGUGUUGGAAGGUACCCUAAGACACAAACAAACACACAAAAACAACUCUUUUUGGCUUUUUCAAAACAAUUUUUUUUCAAAUUUUUGUCAAAUUUUCGGAUUUUUAUGUCAAAACAUACUAACAUGCUUAAAAACACACUAAAAACACUUAAAACAGCAAGAAACAACAUUGUAAGUGAUAGGUGAAUAAAAUCCCACGAAAAUCAUGCAACAGCAACUUGUUUACCCCCCACACUUAAAUCUAACAUUGUCCUCAAUGUUUCAAACAUAAACUCACACAAAAGCAAACAAACAAACAACGAGGAAACAUGAUAAACAUGGCAAAGUAAAAGCAACAGAGAGGAGGGUUAAAGAACGCAAACACCUGGUUUUGGAGUCGGAAAUUCCUAGGUCUUUCUUUAUUUCCAUGGGUUGCCUCCAUCACUAAUGAGAACUCUAGGCAUGCCAAACCUAGCAAAGAUAUUAGUUUUCACAAAAUCUGCAACAACCUUUGAAUUGUUAGUCCGGGUGGCUUUGGCUUCCACCCAUUUGGAAACAUAAUCAACAGCUAGCAAUAUAUAAGUGAAACCAAAAGAUGGAGGGAAAGGACCCAUGAAAUCUAUACCCCAAUGUCAGAAAACACUAUAAUGCAAAUAAAAAUAAAAUAAAUAAAUAAUAAGAAACAAAAUAAAGCAAUUGGACUGAAAACUUCCCUAGUUUGCAGUAAAAACCAAGCGAUGACCCCCCAAGCUAAAAUUCUGCAAUCAACUUCAAGGUGGGAAAUAACCAAAAGUUCCUGCAAAGAAAAGAAAUAAUUCAGUUUAGUAACACAAGAAAAUAUAGAAAAAAAAUUGCAAACGAAAAAUUGAAAAUCACGAUAAAAGACAAUGAAUAGAACUAAUAAGUGAUCAUUGGUCGUGCUUGUUGACUUUCCACAGCUUUCCUCUUGAACAGGGUGACACUUAGCUUUUUACUUGCAAGUGAUGAUUUGAUGAUAUUGUACGGCGAAGCUUUGCUCUUUGGUGAUGUUGCAGUUCCUUAUUUGUUCUCCAAGCAGAUGUGGCAGCUUCUCUAGUUCUUCAGCUCAGACUCCUUGUGCUGGGUUGAUUGUACGAGCUGCAUUCUUCUCUGCUUGUUUCCUCUGCAUGGCGGGCAGGCACGAGGUAGAGGUAUUGGUCUGUUUCUUUCUUCAAUCUUUCCAAGUGCCCACCUCUUGCUCUCUUUCUCCUUGUCCCUAGCUGAGGAUGAAUCAGCACGUUGUCUCCACAUGCUUCGAGGUAUCAUCUUCACUUCCCUUAUACGUGAGAGACGAAGAGGAAACAUAAGAUGAUGAGUACUCGAGAGCAAGUGCUGGCUGGAGAAAGGACAGGGAGAAAGCAUGAUAUGAGAUACUCUUGCUUUCAACCUUCAUGAUAUGAAAUACUUUUGCUUUGGAUGGAUUGUUUGCAGGGGUAUCCCAGGGGAUGAAAAAUACAGAGUGACUUGAGAGGGUUUGUUGGAAAGCCAUUUCAGAGAGGAAGAAGUGCUGAGAGGGUGUGCCUUUGCUGUGGAAGGCGAAGGUAGAUACUUAUGGGACUUUUCUUCACAACCGGAACUAUUCCCUCACUCAUUGUCGGCAGCCGGUGGAUGGAUGAAUAGUACAAAUUACGCGCUUUCUGACAGAGCUGCCCGUAAUUUCCGCAAAGCAGAUUCCUCAUUGAUAUCUGGAAUCGGCGCUUCGAGCUCUGAGCAUCGUCGAUUGUAGAGGUAGCAUGUGACACGUGCGGAUAAAUCUGGAAAAGAAGAUUUGCCCGUGGGUUGAAGCCCAGCUUUUGAGAAAGCUAGCGUGUCUUUGACUAUUGAAUUUCCCUCUUCGAUUUCUGAAUUGGUGCUUCGACAAACUGCCCGAGAUUUUCGCAAAGCAAUUUGCGUGUGACAAGUGACGACACGUCUGGACAAAUUGAUCUUUUGAAAUCCGGGGUUCGGCUCGUGGUUUCUGAGCAAGCCCAGCCUUUAAGAAAUGAAACGCCUCUUUUGAGAAAAGAAUCCGGCUUUUGAGAAAGGAAACUCCUCUUUUGAGAAAAGAAUCAGGCGUUUGAGAACGGAGCCCUGACUCUUCGAUUUGCGAGAGGACGCCUCUUCAAUUUCUGAGGAGCGCCUCUUUGAUUUCUUCUUUUUAUAGAGGCGCUAAUUUUGUUCCUCAACACACUUGAGCUCCCUCCUGUAAACACUCCCUUCUUACACUUGUUUAAUCUUGAUCAGUCCUCCUCUCUUCUUUCUUCACCACCUCUGAAAAUGUUUGGCCCUUCCGAUCGUCGUUUUGACUUGAACCUUGGUGAAGAGGCAGCUCCGCCUUCACCAGACAACAUAUGGCGCCCAUCCUUCAUAUCCCAUACCGGUCCCCUUACCGUGGGGGAUUCGGUGAUGAAAAAUGAUAUGACAGCUGCGGUGGUGGCCCGGAACCUUGUCACCCCCAGAGAUAACAGACUGCUCGCUAGACGGUCUGAUGAAUUGGCGGUUAAGGAGUCUCUGGCUCUUAGCGUGCAGUGUGCUGGUUCGGUGUCCAACAUGGCCCAACGCCUAUAUGCUCGAACCCGUCACGUUGAAUCGUUGGUGGCUGAAAUACAGAGUCUCAAAGAGGAGAUUAGAGGACUCAAGCAUGAAAAUAAACAAUUGCACAAGCUUGCACACAAUUAUGCCACAAACAUGAAGAGGAAAAUUUACCAGCUGCAAGACACUGAUGGUCAAAUUUUACUUGAUCACCGGAGGUUUGUGGGUUUGUUCCGACGUCUUCUGGGGCGGCACCGCGUAGUGAAACUCCAACUGAUCAACCUCUGUUGCCUCCUCCUUCUGUGGCCCCGCCGACUGCUGAAGCUCCGCCGACUACUGAAGCACCACCUGACCAAUGAAUGCUAUUAGUUUACACAUCAUUGUAAAAUAUUAUUACUUUUAUGUUUUUUUUAUUUUUUUUUUUAAGUGUUUUUUUUUUAUUUUUUUUUAUUUUUUAUUUUUUAUUUUUUAUUUUUUAUUUUUUUUAAAUAUGUAAAUUAAUGUAAAAAGACUUUGUUUAACCUUCCCCCACACUUAAACUACAAUCUCACAGAAAUCAACCAAAUAACACAACCAACUAAACAAAACAAAAUGAAAGCAGUAAAGAUAAGGGUGUAAGAAUGCAAAUCUGAUUUGGUUAGCGAUUCCAAAGUCUCCCUUCGUUGAAUGCUUGGGUUGCCUCCCAAGAAGCGCUUGAUUUAACGUCUUUAGCCGGACGAAUCUUUCCUUUAAACUCCCCUCGGCUCCAAAGCAUGGAAUUUAUCUUUUAAUGGGAGGUGAUACUUGAAAUGAUUCAGCAAUGGUUUAAAUUCAAGAGUGGGUGCCUGAAUCAUCAAAAUCAGAAAAAUGUUAGUAUAAAUAAAAAUUAAAAUUGGAGAAGAUGGCUUACUUUCUUUUUCCGACACAAACUCAAUGACAAACACCACAUCUUUGAACAUUUCUGGGAUUUUGAACUUGGCCAGGUUUACUAUGAUGGUUGUGGCUUGUCCCGUGUCAUCAAACUCAACUGCUUUGGGCUUGAUUGUCUCAUGCACAGCCUCUUGGAUGUAUUCUUGAUAUGCUUCAACCACUUCAUUCUCUUGAAUCCCUUUUCUUGGUGUGCAAGGUUCUUUGAACGUUUCAAUACCAUCGGGAACUUGUUUUGGUGCACCAAGAAUUGGGAUAUCACUUUGCACCUUUGGAAGAGCUUCCACAAUGUCUUUUUCACUCUCUUUGAUAUUUGGAAUCAAAAACCUACAAGGAAAAAGGACAUUUGGUGGAAUAAUGUUAGAAUGAAGUGGAUUUAAAACUUCCUCACCUGAGUUGGAUGACAUAGGGAUUUGAGGAGCUUGCAGCAAGAAUUCUUCUAAACUGCCCAGGUCGUCCUCCUCCUCUUCUGCUUGCAGCAGCAAUUCAUCCAUGUUCGGGCUGUGUUUGGAUAGUUCUGGGACAGCUUCAUCCUUCAUGUCACCUUCCAAAGUGAUAGCAUCGUGGAUUUCAAAAUCUUCCUUCGAAUUUUCAACAGUUGAGCUGGAGAGUUCACUUUGCUCUUGAAUUUGUACCAUGAAUUCCAUAAUCUCUCCCAUUUGACUCAUCAAUUUAUCCAACUUCUUGUCUUGAUUUUGUUGGUCCUGCGUCAAAGAGGUUAGUACUUGAAGAAUUUGAUCACUAUCCAUGGACAUACUUGAAUUUGAUUGGAAUUGUUGUGGGGUAUGCGGUGGUGGUUGCAUAGGCGUUAAAUAAAACUCCUCAGAUUGCUGCCAAUAUCCAUCUUGUUGAGCCUCCUUGGCUUGAUUUUGUGAGCCCUGCACCAAAGAAUUUAAUUCAUUAAGAAUUUGAUUAUAAUUUAUUGACGAACCUGAGUUUGAUUGAGCAUAUUGCAUAGGUUUUGAAUAUAAAUCCUCCUCUUGCUGCCAAUAUCCCUCUUGUUGGAAUUGUUGAGGUUCCCCCCCACAUAUAAUUUGAAUGAUCUCUCCAAGCCGAAUUGUAAGCGUUGGAAAACAUGUUGUUGCUUGGUUGAUCAUAGCCUUGAUAACCCCAAGCAUCUUCAUUGGCAGAAAAUUGAGGACUUUGAUAUCCUUGCCCAUAGGGCACAUCAAGUGUAGGGACACUUGGCAUUGUGGUCCGUUCGGCAUACUGCGACAUUUGAGAAGUAAGAUUUGCCAAUUCAGCUUGAAUGCUAGCAAAAUCCAUGUCUUACUUCUCUAGUACCUAAAAUCAAAGAAAGAAAACUAAAUCAAAUAUCAAAAGUAACACAAAAUAAGGAAAACAAAACUAAGUCAGAAACUAAAACAAAAACAAACUAAACAAAAAGAAAAGAACCAAGGGAUUAGCAAAGUUGCUAAUCCCCGGCAACGGCGCCAAAAAUUUUGAUGCGAAAUAAAUAAGCACACAAAUUUAACCCUCUUUUUGAAAAUUGUAGUAUAGAUGUAAGUAGGGAUCGUUCUAAACAGGGGAUUAGGAGGGAUUGCUAAAUCACUUGAAAACUAAUUUAAAAACAUAAAAACAAAGUUAAAAAUGUAAACAAAAGAUUUUAAAACAAGAAAGUAAAAGGGGGAUUUGAGUUUGGUGAAGUUGAAAGUAAAAACGAAUAAACUAAAAACUUAAAUAGAUUUUAAACAAAUUUGGGUUGAAUGGAUAAUGGAAGGCUAGCUAAGGGGUUCUUCUCCACACAUGUCUUGCUUGCAUACAAAAUGAUUUCCAAUUGCAUUUCAAUAACUUAUUAAUUCUCAACGCCCCAAAUUAACCGUGAAUUGCACUAAUUAACCCUCAGUUUUUCCACAAGUUAUUGGGUUGGAUGAUUGCAUACGACAACCCAAAACAUUCCCUACAAGUUCCCUACAUGAAUUGCAUAAUAGAGAUACAAGCAAGAAUCAUUAAGUUCUAUGAAAAACAUAAGCAUUGACGAGGCACUCGUUACUAUGAUUUGCAUGAAACUUAUGCCAAGGAUUUACUUAACACAAUCGUGACUAGCGACUUUUACUACUCAUGAAUAUAAGUUCAUAACGAUUAGGUGAAAUUCCCUUAUACUCUAGCAUCAUAUUUAUGCAUGCAAACUAAGUAUGCAUCCCUAAUCAACAUACAUAAACAUGUUAUCAAUCAAAUAGAUAAGUAAAUCGAAUUCAUAACUUAUGAAACGCAAUUAAAAGUAAUCAAAUCAUAUUGCAAGCAUUAACAUGGUUUCGAAUCCCCCCCCUAGCCAAGGGGGGUUUAGUUCCUCAUUAUUACAAAACAAAGAUAAACAAAUGUAAACAUUGAAAAACAAAGGAAAGAAAGCACCUAAACGUUCCAACAAUCCAUGUUGGAUAGCAAGUGCGUCUAAGGACUUUUCUCCUUCUCUUUGCCGCAACAACAAGGUUGGAAUGAUGUUGAAGGGUUGGUUAUUUGGAGGAAUGGAUGGGAAGGGGUUUAGAUAUGUAGGAGAGGCAAGGAAAGGCUUGGAGAAUGGUUAAUUUCUGGAUGAUUUGAAUGAGGUUGCUGCCAUGGUAUUUAUAGGAAGAGGAUGGACAUGUUUAAUGCAAAAAUCUGGUGGAAUGAAGUAGGUAAGGCAUGGCAAGGUGGAGAGUUGUUGGUGAGGGUAGGUUUUGAGUCAUCCACUCACAUGUCAUGGUGAGUUAAGCAUUGCAUCAUCCACUCAAAUGUCAUGGUGAGUUAAGCAUUACAUCAUCCACUCAAAUGUCAUAGUGAGAUAGGCAUUGCAUCAUCACUAAAAAAAUCUGGUGGAAGUAAAACAAAGGGAAGGCCACGGCAUUGAUGAAUUUUAUGGGGUAUGCAUGGUUUUGAGUGAAGUUUUGGCCAAUCCUUUUAGAAAUUUAUCCCUUCUUGCAACUUGUAUUUGUUCACCAGAUUUUUAGCAUGUUCUUAGCCUCUUUUGUCUUCAAAUUCGUCCAUCCAUCUUGCUCAUAUCAUAUGUAAUCCAUUACAAGCUCAAAACUGCUCCAAAAUGCACCAAAAUGCACUUUCUUGCUACCUUAGCCCUUUGGACCUACACACACGAAAAUGGCUUAAAGUACUAAAAUAACUAAGAACUAAUAACGUAAAUGCAAGAAAACUAGUUAACUAAGUCGCAUAAAUAUGCGUCUAUCAGCUAUACUCUGGAGAUCUAAUAUGCGCUACACUUCAGCUUCAGACUGAGCGGUGCGGGGAUCUAAAUGAGACAAAGUGGGAGUCGUCCAGGAUAAUUCGCGUCGUUCAUUAGGAACGUUGACGUUCUUAUCUCCCCCUAACGGCGGGAAGACUGUCUCAUAGAAGUGACAAUCUGCGAAACGAGCAGUAAACAGAUCGCCUGUCAAAGGUUCUAAGUAACGAAUAAUCGAAGGAGAAUCAUAUCCGACAUAGAUUCCCAUCCUUCGCUGAGGCCCCAUUUUUGUACGUAAGGGCGGUGAGAUCGGCACAUAGACCGCACAACCAAAAACUCGCAGAUGCUAUAUGUCGGGUUCGCAUCCGGUGACCAACUGAAAGGCACUAAAUGGUUGUGUCGCAACAGGCCUCAGGCGGACCAACUUUGCUGCGUGCAAUAUUGCAUGGCCCCAAGCAGCGAUCGGGAGCUUGGUACGUAUGACCAAUGAUCGAGGGGUACAGGAUGUUCAACUUCAACCCCAACCGACAUGCAAUAGUCAUCAAAAGUUUUAGAUGUGAAUUCUCCAGCAUUAUCCAAUUGAAUAGAUUUGAUCGGAUAAUCAGGGUGGUGAGCCCUGAGCUUGAUAACCUGAGCCAACAGUUUGGAGAAUGCAGCGUUCCUUGUGAACAACAAGCACACGUGUGACCAACGUGUAGAAGCGUCAACCAAAACCAUAAAAUAUCUAAAUGGUCCGCAAGGAGGUUGAAUCGGUCCACAAAUGUCCCCCUGAAUCCGUUGUAGAAAAAUGGGAGGAUUCGAACGAAUCUUGUCAUAAGAAGGCUUAGUAAUAAGCUUUCCCAUAGAAAAUGUUUGACAUGCGAUUUCAUGGAUCGAACCUAAGCUUCGGGUUAGUGGAUGCCCGUGUGAAGUUUUGAAGAUACUGCUCAUCGCUAUUCGUCCAGGAUGUCCUAAACGAUCAUGCCAAAGUGUAAUUUCGUGCGCGGUCCCUGUGGUAGGGCCGGCCACAUAGUGGCAUUCGAUGGGGCGUAUGGUCGUAGUAUACAGACCACUCGGGUUACGCUCCAUCUUCUCUAGAAUACGCUUCUAGCCAUAUUCAUAGGAAGUUACGCACAGAAAUUCAACUCCGUUUUCUACGUGGGUUUCAGCGUGGUAAUUGUUAUCUCUAAUGUCCUUGAAACUUAGUAACGUUCUUCCGGAACGUGGAGAAUAGAGUGCCUCAGCAAUGGUCAAGAUUGUACCAUUAGACAACAUUAUACGUGCCUUACCGUAUCCUUCGAUCAGGUUGGAUGAGCCUGAGAGGGUUGUCAGAGGUGCAUUCUUAGGUACGAAGUUAGUGAAAUAGAUGCGUUCACGCAAAACAGUAUGCGUGGUUGCACUAUCUGCCAGACAACUAACUUUCCCACUAGUCAUACCUAGAAUGAAAAAUUAAUUUGAAUCGGUCACAUGCAUAAAAGUUUAUAAAAACAAGUAUCAAUAAUAAUUUCAUUUAUUCAAGGAUAAAAAAACUUAAUAUCCAAAAUAAAUCGCCAACUAAUAAUCCAAAACAUAAAGGAAAAUUGUUCAAAAUCAACCAAAAACAAGGUGGGGUUUGGCCACUAGGUGGAAUUCGGCCCCAAUUGUCUUAUUUUAACUGAAAAAUAAGUGUAUGUCUAAGAUUCUAAUCUUCCAUAGGAGUGGUAUCCUCCUGAAAGUUAGAAACCUCCAUCUUUGUAGUCUCCGGUUCGUCCAUUUGCAUGAAGUUUGAUUCAAACUUCUUACGACGAGAAUGAUAUUCAUCUGCAACCUUCUUGGGAGCACGACAAAUACGGGACCAAUGGUCCUUUGAACCACAACGAUAGCACAUAUCGUCAUUCAUUAUGGCAAGUGCUUUGCCCUUAUUCUUGAAGUUCGGGGCCUUGGGAGCGAGGUUUGGGCGCUUCUGGGCUUUGUUUCCUCCCUUGGAUGAGCCUUGACUCUGUUGACCUUGGUGGGAUGGCUUCUGGCCGCCCUUACCACGCCUCUUUUGGCGUUUUGGGUGCUGAUUAGUGCUAUAAUGUGCUUUAGGCACAGCAGUAGCCCCAGUAGGUCGAGCUUGAUGAUUCUUCAUCAACAGCUAGUUCUGCUUUUCAGCAAGAAGUAAAACAGAGAUCAAAUCCGAGAACUUAGUGAACUUCUGAGCUCUAUAUUGUUGCUGCAGGACAAUAUUAGAAGCAGAGAAGGUCGAGUAGGUCUUCUCCAGGAGAUCCUCUUCAGUCAAAGUUUCCUUGCAAAACUUGAGAAGUGAUCGGAUUCGACAAACUUCAGAAUUAUAUUCAUUCACAAACUUAAAGUCUUGGAAGCGCAAGUGCUGCCAGUCGUGUCUUGCUUCAGGCAAAAAUAUGUCCUUUUGGUGAUCGAAACGAUCAGCCAAAGCGACCCAUAAUGCACGUGGAUCCUCCUCAGCAAGGUACUCAGUUUCCAGAGCGUCAUGAAUAUGUCUUCGGAUGAAGAUCAUAGCAGUGGCUUUUUAGCUACGCCAACAGGUUUAUCUGUUGCUUCUUCAAUAGCAGGACGCAAGUUCUUUGCAGUGAGGUGGAGCUUCACAUCUUGAACCCACUUGAGGUAGUUCCUUCUAGAGACCUCCAAAGCGGUGAAGUCGAGUUUGUUCAAAUUCGACAUGUUCCUAUCACAAAAUGGAUGGACAAGAUGUGGUUAGCGUAAUGGAUAAAAAUCAAUCCAUUCACAUAGGAGUAGAACAUACAGUGAGAAAAAUCAAUCCAUUCACAUAGGAGUAGAACAUACAGGUUCUAAUAGACAUGUAUUGGUUUAAUUUUGCAUGAAAAACUUCGGGUUUCAUGGGUGAUACAUUUAAGUGAAAACUUCAGGUUUUCAAACAAGGCAUGUUUAUAAGAAACUUCGAGUUUCAAAGUAAUUAUGAACUUCAGGUUCAUAUAUUCCUGCAGUCAAACACAAAUAUAUAUGCAACAAGUAUAUGCAAGAAAUAUAACUUUUAGGUGUAUAAUUAUAAUUGAAUGAAUUUAUUUGGACUUCGGGCCAAAUUAAGAUGUGGGGAAAAUAUGAAAACCCAAAUUAUUAAAAAAAAUUAAAUAAUAAAAUCUCAGGGCCUAAAAAUAUAGGCCGAGAACCUUUGGGUGGGGCUACAGGCCCACGGGGAGAGCAGGGGGUUGGGCUGCUGCGGGCAGACCCCCCAAAUUUUUUUUUUUCACAAAAGGGCUGCAUCAAGCAGGCCCAAAAGAAAACUAAAAAAUCUUUUUUGUCGGACUGGGCCGCUGCAAGCGAGCCCAGAAACAAACAAAAUUUGUUUUUUUUUUUUUCGCACGAGCCGAUAGGCUGGAGCCCACUAGGGCUCGGGUUGCAGGUAUCAGACACCCUAGCGACGCUGGGUGUGCUUGGCCGAGGAAGAAGGCCGAAAAAACUAGGACGGCGCCACUGCAGGUGGUUGUCCUUGGUGUGUGCAAGCCAUGGUUUGUCGGAGAACCAAGUAUCAAAACCCUAAAAAUUGAAAUCGAAUUUUCAAAAAAUUCCGACAAGAUUCCGUUGAAUCUCGGUUCAAUUGUCGACAUGGGACGACUUCAGGUCAUCGAGAAUAUGAACCAAAGGUUCAAGGCUGUGGCUGCAGGCCAUGCCAUGGUCAAGGGACACCAGGAAGGGUGUCGGGAUUUUGGGUUUGGGGCUUGGCUUCGUGGGUUUUUUCUAGGAACAAGGAGAGCUGCAUGCUCUCUGCUUGUGUGGAGACCCCAUCUGCAGGAUGGUGGUCACGGGUUCUAAAGAACCUAGGUCCCAAUCGCAAAAAAAAUGUUUUUUUUUCAAUUCAAUUAUAUUAUAUGCAUUUAUAAUUUUAAUGAAUCACAUAUUUACGUUGAUGCAUAUGCAAAUAAUAGUUUCAAUGCAUGUACAUAUGUAAGAUUCAAUUCAUGACAAAUAUCAAAUUCACAUAAUUGUAGCAAUUUUGGUUAUGAAGCAUACACAAUUUAUGUAGAAUCUAAAAUACGUUAAACGUAAAGUUGGGUCAUGCAUCAUGGUGAAUGUUCAUGCUAUCAGGGCUUGCAAAAUAUCGAGUUAAAAACCGUUGUUUGGAAAGAACCUGAUUGCGUGAUGAUAUGGAUGAACUGGUUUGAUGCAGAAAAAAUCUCCAACGUCAGAUUCCUAAGCGUAGCGGUAGGAGCGUGCUGAUAACGUGUUGUGAUCUAUUUUUAUCUGACAGAGAGACUAGGGCCGGCGGCAGAGAGAGAGAGGAGAGAGAUGUAGUUUGUAGAAUUGUAGGGGAAUGUAUGUGUUGUUAUCCCUCCUACAUUGUGCCUUUAUUUAUAGUAGUAAAGGGAGAGAAGAUAUUCCUUCUCCUCCAAGUAAUACAAGUUGUAAUAGGAAAGGAUAACUAGAAUCAAAUCUAAUCUAGGAUUUACACAAUCAUACUUAUUCUAGGAAUGUUUACAACAAAUUAAUUAAUCAAAUAAAUACAAUACUUGAAGGUGAAGAUGGUGAGGGUUGAGAGAAAUGGAGAGCCUAAAAGAGGGUGAAAGAGAGAGGUUGAGUGUGAAGAAAAAGGCCCCUGUGUGUGGUUAUUUUAGAAAAAAAAAUCGUCGACUUUAUCCGACGCCACCUACGUCGUGCAAAGCUGUUUUGCACGACAUAGGUGCACAUGCGUCGCGCAAAGUUGGAAAAAAAACGGUAAACAUUCUUGGUUUGGUGCCAAAAUCUUGAUCGACGCACAAAACGUCGCGCAAAACAGUUUUAUGCGACGCAAGCCUCCUUUGCGCGACGUUUUAUGUUUAGCGUCGCGCAAAGUAUGUUCACGCGACAAAAUUUGCUGCGUUGCGCAAACAUGUUUUUGUACUAGUGUUCUCCUAAGUACUUUGUUUCCGCAACAAUAGGACAUCCACGAUCAUCACGAAUAAUGAAUCCCGCAACAACAUUCUGAUUUAUUACUGAACUAUCAAAGUUUAUUUUAAGGUAACUAGGCUUAGGCGGCUUCCACUUAAUAAUCUCAUGAUUUCUAGUCUCCACUUUCCUUUUUAACUUUUAUUUUAGCUUGAAAAUAUUCAUUCCCAAUAAUGUAAGCUCUCAUAGGUACUUGAUCAGGAUGAAUUUUAACAUUUCUGAAAAUUAGGUUAUUUCUUUCAUUCCAUAUUUACAACAUAUUAAUAGGGUUUUUCUUAAGGAUGCCAUAUCAUCACUGUCUUUAGCAGGUUGGUUUAGCCAACUAACAAUAGUACUAUUGGCACUUGCAUUUUCUUCAGGGUUAAGAUCACUUAUUAUUUCCCAGACACUCUUUGCAAAACAAUAAGAAAUAAAUAGAUGGUCUUGAUCUUCAUCCUCUACUUGACAAAAAACACAAAUAAGGAGCAUUAGGAAUAAAUCGACUUACUCUUACUCUUGUUUGUAGUCUUCUUCGAGCCAAUAGCUUACCAAAAAGUUUAACCUUAUGAGGCAUGUUUAGUUUCCAAAUUUUAUCAAUGAGACUUUGGUUCUGGUGACUCUUCUUGUUAUCAUUUUGAAUCCACGGGUUAGAUUUAACCGCAAAACACCGUUGGUGGAAGGACCCCAAGUCAACUCAUCAUCGGGAUGCUACAAAUUUUCUUAACAAUAGCAAUCAAAUCGCUAAUUUUUAAAUUCUUUUCUAGUUGAUCGAUCUCUUUUGUGUUCAGGAAUAAAAUUACUAAGAAAGGAAAAACCCAAUUAUGAGACGAAAAUAAGAUACUAUCCCCGUUUCCAACAAUCCAUCUUAUCCCCUUAGGAUCCCUUACCAAGCAACCGAUUGGUUUUGUUUUAUCUUUUUGAACAUGGUCCACGCAUAUGACAAUGUGAAUUUUUCUUAGUUAAUUAAAAUCAUGUGAUGUCACAUGAUGGCCCAUAUAUGGAUAUCAUUUGAAUUUUCCUUUCUUAAUAAAUUUAAUGUAGAAUUAAAUAGUAAAAUUUGAAUGGUCAUUUUUGUAUCAAUAAAAAACUUAAAAAUAGUACAAUUUGAACGUAUGAUCCUCCAUAAACUUGAAAUUGACUGGAUCACCCAUGUGUUCUUUGAUAGCUAUAUAUGGUGUGGCAGUGGAAGUCCAAGUUUAUUUAAUACUAUUGGAUUUUGGCAUCUUAUGAGGUAAUAUGUUUAGUAAUUAAACCUCGAUCUACUUGGCCUCAGGAACUUGGAGUUUGAUUUAAUUUGUCUCUAAAACUAGUGGUGUUCUUUCGUGUGUAUAUAUACAUGUGAAGAAUUCUUAUGAAACAAAUUGCAAAAAUGUCCUAGGUGGUGCGUGAAAGUGAAACUCCUAAAGAUAAGGUGGUCCAAAUCCUGUCCAGGUUGCCGCCCAAGUUUUUUCUGCGAUUUAAAUGCAUAGGCAAGUCUUGAUGCACUCUUAUCAAUAGUCCAAGUUUUGUUGCCAAACACCUCAGCAAUUUCGUUGACAACAAACUCUCAUCCUCCACUUGUAUCCUUCUCAAUCGUUCUCAUUUGCUCGUUUUCUCGGACAAUAGUUAUAAACAUGAAAUUUUAUGGUCCAUGAUUAAAUUUUCCAUUGAUAGUGAUGAGCACAACCUUUAUCUAUUACUACCUAGUAUCGUCAUAAUAUCAGCCAAUUUCAUUCUUUUAACUAACCGUGGAAGAAUUUGCAAAUUGAUUCGCCAGGCAGCUACUCUCUAGCUUCCAGCUAUUCUUCCAAACUUGAAGCCAAGUAAAGGCAGCUUGCUGUUGAGUUAUAGCCUUGGACUUAGGUGGGGGGAACCUCAGUUAAACAAACUAGUAAUCUAAUCAGUCAUCUAGAUCUUUUUAGGUGGCCCAAAUGACUAUAGGUAGAACCUAUCCAAUUUUUACAGGGCGAUGGUUAGCUGUUCACUGACUAGCUGUACCUACUGUUUCUUUUUUAUGAUGUUGAGGACCUAAAUAUACUGUUUCCAAUGGAUGACAAACUUCCUAUACAGAUUUACGGUUAUUGCAAUGGGAUUGUCUGUGGAAAAAUAGGGAAUAAUAUUGUUCUAUUCAAUCCUGCAAUAUUAAUUGGGGAAUUCAGGAAAAUUCCCGAUUCAUGCCUUUUUCUACCUUCCCCUGAGGGAAAAUUCCAAUUGGAAACGAGCUUUGGAGGAUUGGGAUUUGGGUGUGAUUGCAAAGCUAAAGAAUACAAGAUUGUGCAAAUUAUAAAAAAUUGUGAGUAUUCAGAUGAUGAGCAAACAUAUUAUCAUCGUAUUGCUCUUCCUCACACAGCUGAGGUAUACACCACGACUGCUAACUCUUGGAAAGAGAUCAAGAUUGAUAUAUCAAGUAAAACCUCCUGUUCUUGUCCAGUGUACUUGAAGAUAUUUUUUUUUUUUGGUUUGCAAGCCAUCACAAUGAAUACAUACUUUCAUUUGAUGUAGGUGAUGAAAUCUUUCAAAGAAUACAUUUGCCUUCUAGGAGGGAAUCCGGUUUUAAAUUAUCUAACAUAUCGGUAAUGGGUGACUUUAAUGGAGUUAAGAGUUCCUGGACAAAACUCUUAAACCGUUGGACCCUUUAAAGGCAUUGAGUAUCCAUCGACACUUUGAAAAUGUGAUGAGCUUCUUAUGCUUGCCUCUGGUGGAAGAGCCACGUCUUAUAAUUCUAGCACCAGAAAUCUCAUGUAACUUCAUAUUCCUCCUAUUAUCAAUGAGGUUAUAGAUUUCAAAGCUCUUAUUUAUGUGGAAAGUAUUGUUCCAGUAAAGUGAGUUGAGGGCGGAGUUCCAUUUUCUCCUUUGUAAUUUGUAUGCAUGAAGGCUUGAGUUUGCAUCUUUUAAUUUAAUUUGCUUUGUGGUCUUUGUACUAUGUUUGCUUAUCAUGGGCUGCCUUUAGUUUUUAUGAUUUCCACUUUUUCGUGAUGUUAUUUUAUUUGGAAGUGUUUGAUAACUAUUAUUUUAGAGUUAAUUAUACUACUACAAAAAACACUUUGUGCGACGAAAUAAGUUUGUAGCACAAACUACAAUUUCGUCGCGCAAGAAAAUUUUUGGUCGCGAAUGGUUCAUCGCGCAAAGCUUGUGAAGAUAGGGUUUGCUCGACGAAAAUUAAUCUUCGUCGAGCAAAGAUAUUUGUUUUUUAAUUUUUUAAAUUAAAAUAAAUUAAUUUUAGUAUUUUGAGCAAUGAAAUAUUUUGUCGUGCAAGGUUUUCGACGUUUUGUUUUAUUAUUUCUCUUAUAUUAAUUUAAUUCUAUUAGUUGUUUACGCAAUGAAAUAUUUGGUAGCGCAAGAUUUUUCAAAUUUUUAUUUUUUAAUUUAAUUUAAUUGUAUGAUUUUAUUUCUUUAAUUACUUUAAUUUAAAUUGACAUAUUCAAAAUAAAAUUACAUAUGAAAAUUAGUGAUAAAAAAUUAUCCAAUAUAUAUAAUAUAUUAAAAAAGUAAACAUAAAAUAACAAAAUACAAUAAUAAAAUCCUAAUACAAGUCUAUUGUGGUGGUAGUUGUGGGGGAUAUGCUUCGACAGCGUCCUAAUCCUUAACUUUAGCCGUCAAAGUCUCGAAAAUUCCCUACAAAAAAAAAAUAUAUGGUCAAAUAAAAAAAACAUAAAAUAAUACCAAAAAAUUGGCAUAAUCUCCCCUAAAAUUGGUAUACCCCAAACCCCGCACCAAACUCAAAACUAACUCCAAAAACACAUAUUAAUGAAAAAAAAUUAAAAUUUGAGGAGAAUCUACCUUUUGGCAAGAUUGAGAGUUAGUGAGAAUGAGAGGGAGGAGAGAAGUGAGUGUGAGAGAAUUAGAGGAGAUAGUGAGAGAGAGAUGAGAGAGUGAGUGACAGCGAGAGAUAGUGAAGAGAGAGAAGAGAGAUUAAGUGAGAGGAGUGAGUGUGAGAGAGAAGGUCGGAUUUGGGGAGAGGGAAAGAGAAAGGAGAGGUAAGAGUAGAGAAACACAUUGAGAGAAUGGUGGAGGAGUUAUUUUGGUUUUAAAAACCCUAUCACUUUGCACGAUGAAGGAUACGAGUUUGCAUGACGAAAUAUUGAUUGCGCAAAGUCUUAAAUAAUUUUUUUUUUAAAUUCCCGCAUCUCAUUUUUGGUGCCUGCCCAAAAUUUUAAAGUUUUGCGCAAUGAAAAAAUGGUUGCGCAAAGUCUUUAAAAAAAAUUCCCACGUAAUAUUUUUGGCUCCGUCCAAAUUUAAGGAUUUUAUGCGAUGAAAUAUUGGUCACGCAAAGUCUUAAAAAAAAUUUUAAAUUUUUUUUCCGCAUCCCAUUUUUAGAGUUUUGCGCAAAUAAGUGUUGGUCACACAAUGUCUUAAAAUAAUUUUUUUUUAAAUUCCCGCAUUCCAUUUUUGGCUCCCAUCCAAAUUUAAGGAUUUUGCGUGACAAAAUAUUGGUUCGUCGCCAAAAUUUAUAAAAAUAAUUUUUAUAAAUAAUAACAAAAUUUAUUUUACAAUUUAAAAUAUAAAUAAAUUAAAAUAAAUAAGGUUUAGGCGACCAAAUGUGUAUUUGUCGCGAAAAGAAAAUAAUAAAAAAUAAAAAAAUAAUUUAGUUUAACAAUAUAAAAUAUAAAAAUAAAUAAAAAAUAAGUAAAUAAGGUUUAGGUGACUAAAUAUUGAUAUUCGUUGGGCAAAGUUUAAAAAAAUAAUAAAACUUAUGAAUACAACUAUAUUUUAAAAUUUAUAAUAUAAAAUUAAAUAAAAAAAAAAGUAAAUUGGCUUGCGCAAUGCAUGUAUACAUUAUGAUGUCGCGCUAUUAGUUUUUGCGCAACAACCCCAUUGUGGCGUCACACAAGUUAUAUUUCUUUAAAAAAAAAACAAUUAUUAUAAAGUCUACUGAAAAAUGUGACUUUGCUUCCUUAAAAUUCAAUUUUUUUUACAUAAAACCCACAAUAAUAUAUUUUUCUAACAAAAACCCGAACCGAGCUACAAUAAUAAAUUUAAUGCUACUUAAUAAAUAUAUAUAUAUAUAUACACACACCAUUCAACGAUCCAAUAGUCAAACUUGUUUGUAUAUACUUCGAGAUCGUAUACGCCAAAAUUUGCAAAAAACAAAUUCAAAGAUUAAGUAACAGGACAAAACUUUUCGAUGGUUAUAAAAAAAAAAUCACGAUUUAACAAUUAUUUUAACUCCGAUUUUGAUGAUUUUUUACAGCUACACUCCUUGACCCUAUAUGAAUACAAUGAAUUAAUUUGAUCUUCAAUUUAAAAUAUUUAUACUAGUAUAUACCACAAAAUCUUAUGUUAUACUUAAUGAAAGUAGAAAUAAACUCUAAGUGUUAGUGAAUCUAUUGUUUUGAUGGGAUACAUUACGAAACUAGUUUCAACGAUCCAACCAUCAAAAUUGUGUGUAUAUACUUCGAGAUCGCAUACGCCAAAAAUCGAAAGAAAAAACAUUCAGAGAUCAACUAACGGGACAAAACUUUUCGACAGUUAUAAAUGAAAAAUCACGAUUUUAUGGUUAUUUUAACUCCGAUUUUGAUGAUUUUUUACAGCUACACUCCUUGACCCUAUAUGAAUACAAUGAAUAAAUUCGAUCUUCAAUUCAAUUUAAAAUGUUUUGAUGGGAUACACAUUCUACAAAACUAGUUUCAAUGAUCCAACUGUCAAACUUGUUUGUAUAUGCUUCGAGCCAAAAAUCUCAAAAAAUAAACAUUUAGAGAUCAAGUAACAGGACACAACUUUUCGAUGGUUAUAAAUGAAAAAUCACAAUUUAACGGUUAAUUUAACUUUGAUUUUGAUGAUUUUUUACAUGUACACUCCUUGACCAUGUAUGAAUACAAUGAGCUAAUUCGAUCGUUAAUUUAAAAUAUAUUUUUCUAACAAAAACCCAAUUCGAACUACAAUAAUAUAUUUUUUCUAACAAAAACCCGAUCCGAACUACAAUAAUAAAUUUAAAGCUACUUAAUCAAUAUAUAUACCGUUCAAUUUCUUAAGUGUUAUACGUGCAAAAUAAAUAAAUUUAAAGCAACUUAAUAAAUAUAUAUACCAUUCAAUUUUGCAAGUUUAUAUUAAUCCUUAUUCGAACUACAAUAAUAACUAUCGGUAUCCUCACUACUUAAUAAAUAUAUAUACCAUUCAAAUAGUCUUUGUGCAAUGGUGAACCUAAACUUCACGCAAAGGCCAUUUGUGCAACAUGGUUGGUCUGUCGCGCAAUUUUCUAGCGCCAAAUCAAGGCUUUUAUCUUUUUUUCCCCCAACAUUUGUGCGACACGGUUGGUUCGUUGCGCAAUUUUCUUGCACGAAACCGAAAUUUCAUAGUAAAAACUUAUGAAAAUAACUAUAUUUUAAAAUUUAUAAUAUAAAAUUAAAUAAAAAACGAAAAUAAAUUGGUUUAGGAGACCAAAUAUUUGGAUUACGUCAUGCAAAGAUUUAAAAAAAAUAUUUAUUUUAUUUUAUUUAUUUUUGUAAAUACUUUGAGCGACGAAGUUUAAAGUUUCACCAUGCAAAGUCACUUUGCACGACGAUAUGUGUUUCGUUGCGCAAAGCCACUUUGCGCUACGAUGUGUGUUUUGUCGCGCAAAAUUUCGUUGCGCAAAGUGUUUUUUUUGUAGUAGUGUUAGUAAUAACAAUUCCCUUAUGCUUUCCUUUUAUUUUAUUUGAAAUUCCUUUCUUAACAACCUAUUAAGUUUUUACUCAUUUAACAUAAUCAAGUUAAACCUUCUAAAGUAGGCAUAACCACUCUCCUAAGGCCUUCAUUUUGAGGAUUUGUGAGGUCAUUUUUCAUAUGAAACUUUAAAUUAAUCUUAUGGUAGGUUAAGUUAUUAACUUAAAUAAUCCAUGUUAUACUGAAAGAGUAAUUCUAAAAAGUGAUUAAAUUAAACAAAAAAUUCUCACGCAAAACAUUCCGUCUUCUUCCCCUACCAUCUCUCUGCCCCAAAUCUCUUUCCUCUCUCCAUCUCCAUCUUGAUAGUUCACUCCCCUUCUCUCCUCCCCCGUUUCUUUUCCUUUUCUCAUAUGAAAAAGGGUGAGUGUCAUGUUUCAAAAUGGCCUAUUUUGGGCUCGGGUCCUUCUAGAAAAGGGUUCAAGACAUUUUAAACCUUAAAACAAGCUAUCUUGAGCCUGUAUUGGAGGUGGCCAAGGCCUAAAACGUGGCUAAUUAGUUAUAAAGUAGAUUCUCCUUUAUUGUUUAACAAUUUGUUUCCUAGUUUAUUUUAGGUUUUUUAGUCAAAAUGGUCCCUGAGAUUUGCUUAACUCCUCACUUUGGUCCCUGAGAUUUGAAAUUGAUAGAAUUGGUCCUUGAGUUUGUUCACCGUCAAUCAUUUUGGUUAUUCUGUGAAAAAUCUCCAUUAAAUAAGAAUAAAGUAACAAAAAUACCCUAAAUUUUUGUCAAAUCACUUUGGCCUAUUGUUUAUUACAUUGAGGGUAGUUUUGUCAUUUUAAUCCAUAUUUAAAAUAACUAUUCAUGGAAUGAUCAAAAUUAUUGGUGGUGGGCAAUCUCAAGGACCACUUGUAUUGAUUUCAAAUCUCGAGGACCAAAUUGAGGAGUUAUGCAAAUCUCAUGGACCAUUUUGGCUAAAAAGCCUUUAUUUUAUUAUAGUUUGUUUCCUAGUUUUAUUCUAAGAUAUUUUUUAGGAAGGAUUUAAUUGUAAUACUAUAAAUAAUGGUGGCCAGCCAUAGGUUUUCUCUACGAACUUUUGCAAGGAUUGCCGAAGGCUCUGGCGGAUUUCAGACUUUAUUCUACAAGGUGUUUUCAAUCUUUUUCUAUUUCAAUAAAAUUCCUUUUGAUUCAUAUUAUGAAUAUGCGUAACUAAUUUCUUUCGCAAGGGCAAGGCCAUGAGCCUUAGCAUGAAUAUGUAGCUUUUAUUUAAUUUCUUAUUAGUCACUAUGCUUAAACUAUCUAUUUGUCUUAAUGAUUAGCUACCAUUAUGAUGUUUAGAUAAGUAAUUGGAUGCAAUUUAUGUUGGAAUGUCAUCCUGAAAUCGAGGAAUACAUCUUGUGAUUGAUAAGAAAUUCACUUAGGGCGAAUACCACGUCUUAAGAAAUGCAUGGUUUUUCAAAGGGUUUUCACAAAACGUAAUGAGUCAUGCAUGUUUACGUUUAAUCUGAAUUCUGCAGACGACUUGUAUGUUUGAUAUACGUUCUAUCUUGAAUGCCACAAGUAGAAUAUGCAUUAGGAAAACCUAAUCUUUCAAACUGCAUGUAUAAUUCAUAAGUAAUUGGUAAAACUACAUAGGAUUGUCUAGAUGACAGCAGAACUCUAGUGCUUCAUAAUUUGAUCUUUUAAAACCAUUUCCUUUCAAAUUGUUUUCUUUAAAAUUGGUCUCCUGCUGAUUUCUUUAAUUAGGUUAUUUGAAAUUUAUUUUUUUUGAAAAUUUUAAAAAUUAAAAAUCAACUUUUUCCAAACUUUGUUUCAAGUAAUUAAUUAAGAUUUAGUUAAGAUUUAGUUUUACAUAAAUUGUUUUAAAAAAAUCUUUCUGGGAACGACCUUGCAUGAGUAUUGUUACGACAAUAACAUUUUUCUCUUGCAAAUAUUUGGUGUGAUUUUAACCCUCUUUGUGCAAGUACUAAAAAUCCUAUAAGAGGUGUUAAUUAUUUUGUAGGAACAAAUUCGUCAAAAUUGAAGACGGUAGAUUUUGCUACCCCAUAGUCCAUCUUAUAUAUGAAGAAUGAAUUCAAGAAAAUGUUCACUACAUCUCUGCUACAAGGUCAACACACCAAUACUUUCAAAAUUAUAAUGAAAAUUGUAUAUCAAGAAGAACAAAAUUGGAACUGGUUUUCACACAUCAUUUUUAAUCUCACACACAUCUUAUAUAAUUUUUCUAUUUUUUGGUUACCUGAUAGAUACAAAAAUGUGUCUGUUUAUUAAUUCUAAAACAAAGCAGAUGACGUUUUACCACAUUGACAUAAAGCAAUAGUGUCACAGCCCGUCCCGGAAUUUUAAUUCCGAGGACGUGAAAAGACCAAAAUGCCCUUAAGCGGGACUAAGGGGCGAAAAUUUAACAAUUGGAUUUACAUUAGUAUGUUUAAAGUUGUGUUUGGGAUUUAAGUAGGGCCUCCUACCCUGAUUCCCUCCCCAUUUCCCGUAUGUACUCUCUCUCUCUUCCUCAGACCUCACUUUCUCUCUCCCUCUCUUUCGAACUCACACGGACCACCACAAAACCACCCUAAAUCUAUACCAACGUCAAGUUUGAGACCACCAUUGGAAUCCUGAGGACUUCACGAUCACGUUGGUAUCCAUUUCAGGUAAGUUUUACUUCGGAAAACCUAGAUUCUAAACUCCCCAUGAAAGUGUACUGUUCAUGAGCUUUGAAUUGGUUGAUUUUUAGGACAAUCCAAGCUCAUAGUGAGCUUAGUGAGGUCCCAAGGAAGCUCGGAGUGCUUCGUUGGAAGUUUUUGGACGUAAGAACACGGAGAUCGACAAGUUCAAAGUUUGGCCGGAGCUUUCGAGGCUCUUUCCGGCGAAUCCCCGGCGCUUUAGGAGUCGAGGUAGGUAUCAAUCUCUUCGUCUCGUCAAGUACUACAACUUUCCUUUUUGUUUCACUCAAUUUCGUUGAGUAUUGAAGAAGUUAUACUCAUUUGAAAAAUACCCAGUUUCCGGCGACCUCCGAGGCUUUCGAGGCAGUUUCCGGCCAAACCACGGCGAACUAGGUGUUGUGCAAGGUACCAUUCUCUUUGUCUCUUCAAGGGCUACAACUUUCGUUUUUGAAUAACUUGAUUUCGUUGAGAAAUGACAAAGUUAUGGCAAUUUGAAAAACGGCCGCCGGAAAAACCAGUCCGGCGACCCAAGGAAGAAGAAGGUGUGCGUGGGGGCGCGUAGGUCCGUGCCUUCCUUGGCGCGUGGGGGCGCGUGCUACAGUAAAAAAUUAUUUUAAAAAUAUGUCGACGUCCGUGACGUCGAUUAGAUCACCGUGGUAUAUUCAUAUACCCAAAUUGAGCACCGUAUGAGAAAGUUAUUAAGGAUUGUUGGUUAGGUGUUCGAAUAACGUUUUAUAGUUUUCACAUUUAGGUAAAAAUGUGAAUUGACGAUCCGACCGUUGGAUCGUUACCAAACUUUGAUACGUUGUAAUACGUAAUAUUUGAGGAUUAUUGGAACUUACGGAUUGGGAAUCCGAGUUACGGAUCUUCCGGAAUUGGAAUUGUAAGUCCAUAAUAUAAAAUAUUAACCGUCACUUAGUUUUGGAAAUUGACGGAGAUCCGACCGUUGGAUGGUAAUGAAAUUUUAGGAGGUUAUCCUAGAGAUAUAUUGUGGACCUCUGGAAGUUAUGGAUUUAAAAUCUGAGUGGCAGAUCUUCCGGAUCGAACUACGUAGUGACGUAUUUUAUAUAAGUUAUAUAUUCUAUCGAUAUGAAUUCUGAGGUUGGAUUUGAUUACUAUUCUAGGCGGCGAUCGUCGUGACGCCUUGAUGUGUGGUGCUAGGGAGUUGUUGGACGAACUCCAGGUGAGUGGGCAGUUUUGUUUUCCGUAUAUAUAUAUACUUGACGUUUCCCAGAAAUUGAAUUGAAAUGAAAAUAUGUUUAAAAUGAAAUGCAUAUGAGUUAUGUGGAAAAACGGGAAGUGAAAUACCAUGCAUAGAAUUGAUAUGAAAAGUAUAUAGAAAUGUGAGUUGAAAUGCCAUGCAUGAAUUAAUAUAUGAUGCAUAUGUAUGAAUUGGUGCGGUGGACGCACAGGUAAGAAUUGAUUUAUGAUGCAUAUGUAUGAAAUGGUGCGGUGGACGCACAUGUGAGUAUUUAUUUCUGUUAUGAUGAUGUUGAUGUAUAUUGAGCUCAAAUCCUGCACCAUAGUUUAGUGCUUAUAGUAUUCACCGCAUCGCACGCUCGUCUUGGAUCCAAGUAGAUGCUAGUCGUACAGUCCACGUGGAGUGGGUACGACAGGCCAGUCGCGAGAGUGUUAGUGAGAUUCCGACUGGUGGGUGACCUUAGAUUAUGUGCACAGAUGAUUUAUGAGAAGCACUAGAGCGUAACUUAUGUGCAGAAGGCCGUACAGGUCACGUGGAGUGACUCCGGCAGAGUGUGAGAUUGAUAGAUUUUGAGCUCUAGGUUCAACCGUACAGGGCUAUUAGAGGGCCUCCGGUUGAUUACUUUCUUGCACCUGAUAUGAUUAUUGUUGAUGCAUCCAUACUUAACUGUUGAAUUAGACAUGGCAUGACAUGAUUGAUAUAAAGAAAAAUGUUGAGAUAGUAAAAAUGAAGUUUUGAGAAUAUAUAUGUAUAUUUAUAUUUUACAUUUCUGGGAAAGUAUACAGGUUUUACGGAGAGGGGUUACAAUGCUUUGAGAAAAAAUUGGAUUUGAAAAGAAUUGUUUUACUGACCCACUCAAUUUUGGUUUUGCGCCCCUCCAGGUUCAGGAAUCACAAAGGUGUGGUGACUACGAGGAAUUCGACGGUGUUCUGACAGAUUGGACAAAAUUAGGACUCACCUUCGGGUGUAUCAACUUAUAAAUUGUAUCUUAAAACUUCCGUACUGUGCAAAUGGUUACGUCACUCUCACGUGACGGCCAGCAUGCCCUCCUUCGGGACGGGGUGUGUCAAAUAGUGUGCCGUGGUGCAAGUUCAACCUUCACCUAUCCCCUUCCCUUAACAUUUAACAAUUUAACCUACUACUACAAUCAUUUGAUUAAAAAAAUUUCUGAAACCAAAAUGAUGCAUCACAAUAACACAAUUAUAUUCUUGUUUCGAGAUCAUAAAUUAACUUUGCAUUUUCUUUAAGGUGUCUUUACAUUAUUCUACGUUUUUUAAUCGAAAAGCCUAUGAGUAUUCUUCUGCAAAAAGUAAGGGUCCGUUUUUUAAUGUUUUACAAAAUAAUUUUUAAAAAAUUAUCGUGUAAAACAAAAACGGCAAAUAGGAUUUUUUAUUUUAUUUUAGUAUUUAAGAAUGCUUUUGGUUAUUUAAUUUCAAAAUGAUUACUGAGAAGGAAAACAUUGAAAAUGUGUCUAUUAUCAAUUUAAUGUAGAAUUAAAAAGUAAAAUUUGAAUGGUUAGUUUUGUAUCAAAUAAAAAGAUUAAAAAAUAGUAAAAUUUGAACAUAUGAUCCUCCAUAAAACUCGAAACUGACUCAAUCGUCCCUAUUUUUGACAGCUAUACAUGUUAUGGCUAUACAUGUUGUGGUCCUGGAAAUCCAAGUUUAUUUAGUACUGUUGAAAUUGAACCUCGAUCUACCAGGCCUUAGGGGCUUGUAAUUUGAUUUAGUCUGGCUCUCAAAUUGGUGGUUUUCUUUCCUGUGUAUAUAUACGUGAAGAAUUCUUGUGGAACAAAAUUGCUAAAAUGUCUCAGGUGUGUGAAAGUGAAACUCCUGAAGAUAGGGUGGUCGAAACACUAUCCAGGUUGCCGCCCAAGUCUCUGAUGCGAUUCAAAUGCAUAUGCAAGUCUUGGUGCACUCUCAUCAAUAGUCUAAGUUUUGUGGCCAAACACCUCAACAAUUCCAUGGACAACAAACUAUCAUCAUCCACUUGCAUCCUUCUCAGCCGUUCUCAGGCUCAUGUUUUCCCGGAUAACAGUUGGAAACCAGAAGUUUUCUGGUCCAUGAUUAAUCUUUCCAUUGAUAGUGAUGAGCACAACCUUCAUUAUGAUGUUGAGGACCUAAAUAUACCGUUUCCAUUGGAAGGUCAUGAUUUUGUACAGAUUGAGGGCUAUUGCAAUGGGAUUGUCUGUGUAAUAGCAGGGACAAGUCUUUAUUUGAUAAAUGUUCUUUUAUGCAAUCCUGCAACGGGGAAAUUCAGGCAACUUCCCCCUUCAUACCUUCUUUUACCUUCCCGUCCUCAGGGAAAAUUCCAAUUGGAGUCGAUCUUUGGAGGAUUGGGAUUCGGUUAUGAUUGCAAAGCUAAAGACUACAAGGUUGUGCAAAUUAUAGAAAAUUGUGAGUAUUCAGAUGAUCAGCAAUACUAUUAUCAUCGUAUUGCUCUUCCUCACACGGCUGAGGUAUAUACCAUGGCUGCUAACUCUUGGAGAGUGAUCAAGAUUGAUAUAUCAAGUGAAACGUAUCAUUAUUCUUCUUCAGUGUACUUGAAUGGAUUUUUUUAUUGGUUUGCAAUUGAUGGCGAGAAAUACAUACUUUCAUUUGAUUUAGGUGAUGAGAUAUUUCAUAGAAUACAAUUGCCUUCUAGGAGAGAAUCGGAUUUUGAGUUUUCUAAUAUUUUUCUGUGUAAUAAAUCGAUUGCUUCUUUUUGCUCUUGUUGCGACCCAAGUGAUGAGGAUUCUACAUUAUGUGAAAUAUGGGUAAUGGAUGAUUAUGACGCAGUUAAGAGAUCAUGGACAAAACUCUUAACCUUUGGACCCUUAAAAGACAUUGAGAAUCCAUUUACAUUUUGGAAAACUGAUGAGCUUCUUAUGGUUGCCGCCGGUGGAAGAGCCACCACUUAUAAUUCUAGUACCGGAAAUCUCA